rnacentral:lncRNA from 1 species
AAUUGUAUUAGAGUUAAUCUAUAACCAUUAUGUAGAAGUUUGUUUGGCUCUACAAUCUCAUGGGACAUAAAUAGGAUGUUGUGUUUGCAUAAAGGAUGAGUGUGUUAUCCCACUAUAGAUAUGAAACAAAAAGUUCUGACAUUAAAUAUGAAUGAGUUUCCCUUAACCUUAUAGACAAUUUUUAAAUUCAUGUGGGCUCCUUGGACCCAAAGUGAAGAAUAUCUAUAUAGUUGGGAGCUAUUAUUUAGUUUGCAUGAGAAAUAUAAUGAAAAAUAAUAUAUUAAAGAUUUAGAAGAAUUUAUUCACUUUCAAGCUCUUCAUAAUUUUGAAAUAAGUAAUAAUAGUAGAAAAAGUUUGGUUUGGCUAGUAAUAAUAUUUCCUUUCCUUUCAUCCAACAUAAUUUGUGACUUAUAUGAAGUAUAUAAUAAGAAGUAUGAUUGUACUAAAUACUUCGAAUCUCAAAGAUAACAAACUUAUUAAAACGAAAACAACCAAAAGUUCAAAAGAUAUAUCGAAAGAGUAAAAGCUGAAAGAAAAACUGGUGUGUACUUACCUGGUGCUAUGUAACCAUAAGUGCCUGAAAGAAGGGUUUGAUUAGAUGAAUCAGGAUGUAGCAGUCUAGAGGUGCCAAAAUCCGAUAGAAAAGCAUCCAAUUUGGAGUCCAAAAGAAUAUUAUUGCUUGAUAUGUCCCUAUGAAUAAUGGGUGGAGUACAAUCAUGAUGCAUGUAGCAUACGGCAUGGACUAUGCUUUUAACCACAUUCACCCUUUUAAUCCAAUCCAAUUCCAAAGCUUCAACUUCAUUACUCAAUACACAAUACAAGCUUCCUCUUCCCAUGUAAUUGUAAAUCAAAAACAUGCAUCUUUUGUGUAGACAAUAGCCUUGAAGUUUUACAAUAUUUCGAUGGCGUAUCUUUGAUAAUAUUUGCACCUCAUUUUGAAAACUUUUCAAGUAUGUUGCCUCAUCUGUUUCCCAUCCAUGAAGCUUUUUCAGGGCUACCACAUUGCCUGUAGGCAAUUGAGCCUUGUAAACACUGCCAUAGCCUCCUGUACCUAUGCAAUAUUUGAUGUCAAAGUCUUCUGUUGCUUUAAUGAUAUCUUCAUAGGCAAUCUUCCCAUCAUAGUUCCAUACUGAAAAUAUAUCUCCAUUUUUUGUUGGUAUUUCCUUGGUUUGAAUUUUUCUUGUCUUCCGUGAAAGCAGGAGAAACCCAAGGACCACAAAAAAAAAGAAACAAGGUUGUAGACAAAGAAAUAACAAUGAUGCGUGUGGUUUUGUAUUCUUCUUUGCAAUGAGGCAAGCCUUUGAUGUCACCACAUAAACCUUUGUUAUUGUCAAAUGAACCUUGGGAAAAUUUAGACUGCAAUUCAAAGGGUAUAUGACCCUCUAAAUCAUUGUAUGAUAAAUCAAGUGAUGGCCUUAUGUGGUCAUAUAUUAGAAGAGUAGGAAUGGAACCAGAGAGUUUAUUGUGGGAGAGAUUCAAGUAUACUAAGCGCUUCAAGUUUUGGACUUGGGAAGGUAUCUUUCCAUGGAUCAAGUUGUCACUAAGGUCGAGUCUAGUUAGAUUAUUCAAAUUUCCUAUCGAAGAAGGGAUCUGACCACUGAUUUGAUUUCCACUAAUGUUGAACUCAUGUAAAUGAAUGAGAUAACCCAAAGAUGAAGGAAUAACACCGGUAAGAUUGUUGUGAUCCAAUCUAAGAUGGAUUAGAUUCUUCAGAUUCCAAAUUAUAGGAGGGAUAGAACCAUUGAUUUGAUUAUAACAAAGAUACAGAUCUGUCAAAUUGGUAAGAUGACCAAAUGACAAGGGGAUGCCACCCUGGAUUUGAUUGUUGAAGAGAUGUAAAUAAGUCAAAUUGGUAAGAUGACCCAAAGAGGAAGGAAUAGCACCGAUGAGGGAGUUAUGACUAAGGCACAAUUGAACCAAAUUCUUUAAAUUUCCGAUUUCAGAAGGGAUGGAACCGUUAAUUCGAUUGAAAUUAAGGAAUAAGUAUUCCAGAUUGCUUAAAUUGGCAAGGGGGGAAGGGAUGACACCAGAAAGAGAGUUAGAAACCAAAUACAAAUGAGUAAGAUUCUUCAAAUUCCCAAUUUGGGAAGGAAUAGAACCAUUGAUUUCAUUGAUGCUAAGGUCUAAAUAUUUCAGAUUCUUCAAAUAUCCAAGAGAGGGAGGGAUGACACCAGAGAGCCCAUAGUUAAAACUCAAAUCCAAAUGAAUAAGAUUCUUCAAAUAUCCAAGAGAGGAAGGGAUGACACCAGAGAGAUUGUUAUAAGCCAAAUCCAAUUCCUCUAAUAGAGUGAGGUUACCCAGUGAAACAGGUAGCUCACCAUAAACAUCACAUUCAGAUAUACGGAGGUAAGUGAGUUUUGUAAGCAUACCUAUCUCAUCUGGGAUGCGACCAUAGAUGGAAGAAUGGCUAACGUAGAGAUGGAGGAGGCUGGGAAAUGAAGAAAACUUCAACUUGCUAAGCUCAACCAUUUUACCAUCGAUAUAUGAAUAGGUAAUUCGAACGACAUGUCCCUCCGUAUUGCAGGUGAUGCCUUCCCAUGUGCAGUGAUGAGAAGUCGUGUUUUCCAUGUACCACCACCAAGUGGAGUUGCGGAGAGCCUCGGCCUCAGCCUCCACCUGUGCCUCCGUUGUAGCAGCAGCAGCAGGUGGUGAUGAGAUCAAGAGCAUGUUAUAUAAUAACAAUACCAUUGAAACCACCAACGCCCUACAAGUAAUGGAACACCACUCCAUUUUUGCUUGUUUUCGAUUAAUAUUGCUUUGCCCCAGUUUCAGCCUUUAUUAACUCGUGUUUCAGCGGCUGCAACUCAAGCCAGUCAAAGAAGUCGGCUGGAAAUUCAGCGGAAAUGAAGAUAAGAUCAAGAGCAUGUCAUAUAAUAACAAUACCAUUGAAACCAACCAACGCCCUACCAGUAAUGAAACACCACUCCAUUUUUUCUUGUUUUCGAUUAAUAUUGCUUUGCCCCAGUUUCAGCCUUUAUAACUCGUGUUUCAGCGGCUGCAACUCAAGCAAGUCAAAGAAGUCGGCUGCAACUCACGCAAGUCAAAGAAGUCAGCUGGAAAUUCAGCGGAAAUGAAGAUAAUUAAUAUUUUUGAAAUUUUAAAAUAAAAACUCAAACGAUAAUGAUAUUAUAAAAAAAUAAUAUUCACAAUUUUUUUUUAAAUUAAUUUUAGGAAAUAAUAAAACCUCACCUGUAUUUAGAAAAUGAUAUAAUAUUUUCUAACUCUAAAUAUAUGUAUUAUAAAAAUAUUACAAAUUUUAACGUUAUGUCAAUCAUUGCAAAAUAAAUGUUUUAUUUACCUUAUUAAUUUCAUUAAUUCUAAAAAGGAAAUCAAGGCAAAUUCUAUUUUAUCUUUUCUUCUUUUGUCUUCAAAUCAUACCUACUUUACAGGUGUUGAGCAAACUACAUAAAGUCAACCAAGUCUUCGUGGGCUCAUGUGGCUGGAAACUAGGUGGAUGAAGUAUGAAUAGAGCAAAAAUGUAUACCUAAAAAAAUAAAAAACUUCUAUAAGAAAAUGGUAGAAAUCUUGUACUGCAAUGAUACCUGAUCAACAACUCAAAUAAAAAUAAAAAUAAAAAAUUAAUUAACUUUUAGAAACUAAAUCAAAUUUUCAUCUUGAAAAAUUCCCACUUCAGUUUUACAACCACUUAAACAACAUUCCGUAGUAUGAUUUCACCAAUAGUUAUCAUGUAAGUAUAUAUAUAUAUAUAUAUAUAUGAUUGAGUGGGAAAUAUAAUUGAAAGUGAGAGUUUACAUGCGUUCUAAAUUAUAUGCAUUGCAUAAAAUACAAACUUUUCAACUCUUUUUAAUUUUUUUUAUUUUAUAAAUAUUUUUUUAAUGUAAUAUGUAACUUGAUAAAUAAGAGAACAAAAAAUGAUGAAAGUCAUAUAUAUUAAAAAUAAUAAAAAUAUAAAAUAAUUGAGGGGGAAAUACAAUUGAAAGUGAGAGUUUGCAUGUGUUUCAAUUAUAUGAAUUACACAAAGUACAAACAUUUCAAUUUUUUUAAAAAAAUUUAUUUAUUAUUUUAGAAAUAUUUUUUUAAUGUAAUAUGCAUGGUUUUAAAAACUAGAUGAGACCGUCGAUCGGUCACCGUUUCUAUCCGAUUCACACCUUUGAGUUGGACAGUUUUUGAAUCGCCUUGAGACUGAUGAACCGAUUGACCUGACCGAUUUUGGACAAAAAGAACGGUUCAAAAAAUAUAUAUCAAUCUCAAAACACUAUCACCAUGAUGACGCCAUUCUGACGGUCCUAACAUUGACUCUUCCCAUAAGUAAUAAUUCAAUAAAUUGUUUUAAAGUUUUGAUAUAGAAAUGUCAAAGUGACUAAAUUUGUGGCUCUAAAUUAAUAAUUUUGUGAAUUUUAAAUUUAGUUAUUAAAUAAGUUAAAAAAAAAUCUUGAUAUUUGAAUUGAUUAUCUUUAAAGAGAAAAACUUUAAAAUAUCCAUUAUAUACAUAUAAAUAUGUUAUUGAAUGAAAAUACCAAUUAUAUACAUAGAAGUUUGUCAUUGAUUGAAAAUAAGAUAUGUGAUAGAGAAAAGUUAUUUUUUUGGUAUCAUAAUUAAAUUUAAAAAAUAAAAUAAAAUAGUGAAUUAAUAAUUCAAUAACAUAUCAAUAUUUUAAUUUUAACAUUUCAUAUCUGUGGUUAAAUAUGAAUUAUUAAAUAAAAAUGUCAUAAAAUAAUAUUUGAAUAUACAAACCCAAGAUUAUGAGUCUUUCACUCACAUUUUUAUAUUUUUUUUUAUAUUUUAUAUUUUUAUUUUUAUUUAUUUUAUUUUUUUAUUUCCAUUAUUAUUUAUUUUCAUUUUACAAUUGUAAUUUUUUUAACUUUAUGGUUUCUAAAAUUAUAAUUUUAAUUCAAAUAAAUGAAAAUAUUAUGAUUUUAAAUAAAUUUAUGAAAAUAUUGUGUUACUCAUAAUUUAUCAUUUUUAUUUUUAAAAUUAUUUUUAAUUUUAAUAAUAUAUAAAAAUAUAUAUUUAUGACGUCACCGGUUCAAUGCCGAUCCGACUAGUGAACCGGUAACUUUUUCAUUUCAAUGAUCGAUUCGAUUAUGAAAACAUUGGUAAUAUAUCAAAGAAGAUAAAAAUCAUUUAAAUAUAUUCUAGCCUUUUACCCAUCAUUCUCUAAAAAAAGAAUGAAAUGUUGAAGAUUUUUGUAACUUGACAUGCAGAAGAUAAAUUUAUAUUUUUUGAUAUAAAAAAAUUAUAAAAAUUGAAAAAUAAAAUUAGGGACAUUGAUCAUAUAAUACAAUGGAUGUCAUUAGCAAAUUCUAAUAAGAAGGUAAAAAAAUUAUACCCUUUGUAAGUGCAUUUUUAAUUUAAGUUGAUAAUUUUAUCUUUUUUAUUCACAUGUAGGACAAUUUAUAUUACUAUAUCAUAUACUUCAUCAAAGAUUUAAUGUUUCUAAUAAUUAAUCAAGGAUGAAAAGGGUUUUUUUUUUUUUUUUUUUUUUUUUUUACAUAUAACGAAAACUAAAAUUAUUUCUUGUUUUUAUUUUUUUUACAUAAUAGCAAAUAUUUCUUAUUUUUUAUUUUAAUAGUAAUAAAUAAUAAAAUUAGAAUUAUUAAACAUUUUAAUAUAAUUAUAAACUAAAACAUACUACAUAACACAUUAAAACCAUCAACGCAUUAUUUGAUCAUUAUCUUAAUUACAUGGUUAGCCGAGAUUGUUGAGGGUUCGCAUUACCGGGACCACUGCAACUGCCUGAUGGACGCGCCUCCUCAAUUGAAGAUUAUGCUUCCUUUCUUCGACCUGCAAAAGAUGUUCGGAUAGGGCGUCCGGACACACCCUCCGAUGAUUUUGUUAGUUUUUCUCUCUUAACACUUUGAUAUUCUCUCUUGGGCCCUCCUCCUUAGGAAAAAUGCUUACCUUCUUUUAUUGUGUGGGGGCCUUUUAGAGUGCUAGGAGCUUUGUCCCUUUUAAUGGUGGGAAGACUUUUUGGCUUGUCAUGAUGGUGCUUAGAUGGUGGCAGAGCCAUCAUUAUCCUGCAGGUGGCUGUAAGAGAUUAUUGGGGGGAUGACUUGUCGUCAUCCUUGUCUUUUCAUCCUGCAGGCGGUGCAGGGCAGGUCGUGGCAAAUUGCCUGAAGUGACCUAGAAGGGUCCUGUCAAGCUAUUGAGUCUGCUUUUAGUAGUAUGAAUAAUGAUGGCCCGUGAAACGCGAUCAAGACUUUUGUCUAAGACGCUAGCCACUGAGUCCAGACAGGACAUCCGGACAAGGGAGGUGUGGAUGGCAUGCCCGUCCCAUGGUCAUCUGGAUGGAGGGUUGGACGCGCCACGUGUCCAAUGGAGGAGUGCUCUUAUGGUGGGAUAUUAGAGUAUGGGAGGAUUCUCACCUCCAUCAUUGCCAGAGUCAUAUGCUGCCAUGGUGCUUAUGCUGCUUUCACUGCACACAAGUUAUUUUGAGUUUCUAAUUAACCUUAACAGAACAAUAAAAAUUAGACUCCAAAAGAAUCAAGUGAUUAAAUUAAGUUAAAUACACACCUCUUUUAUCCACCAAAAGCAAACCUAAAUUAAAAGAUGAAAAAAAAAUAAAAAAUCAAGGAGCUGAAGUACUUACUAAGAUAAUUGGAAAUGGGUCACGAAGCUUAAGAAAAAUUUAAAAAUUAGAAAUUUAAUUCCUUCUCCAAAGCACUGCUGACAAAGGAGAGAGAACUUUAAUGUUAGCACUGAUUCAUUCCCAAUUGGUGUCUCAGCUGAUUCAUGUCCUCUCAAUGGUCCCUGAUAAUGGUACCAUUUGAUUUGUGUCCAGUUGGUGUUCCUUGAUUGUGGUCCUCAAAAGGAAGUAAUCAACAAAAUUUAUAACCUAUAUCACCAUGCAUUAGGAUAGUCUUAGCUAAUAUAGCAUAGUGGCUCUAGGAUCGUUCACUAGGAAGGGUUUUCAACUUACAACUGAUACCAAUUCAAAGUUGAAUUGGUACUUUUUCAUUUCAAGGUUAGCUUAAGAAGAAAACAUAAACUUUGGUUGAAAAAGGUUUUGUUUUAAGCUAACUAAAAAGAAAGUAAUGGAAAUUACUUAUGAAAGAAAGCAUUCCUUGGAGUUUUAGGUUCAAAGAGGAGGCUCCUCAUGCAAAAACAGAGCUCCGAUCACUUGAAUCUUUUCGUCGCAUUAGAGAAUUAACAUAUAGUUAAUUCUCUAACCGGUGUUGUACAGAUGUUUCCCUUUAAUGGAUUUCAGCACUAAUUCCCUCUCACUGAUGCAACUUGCAAUGGCUCAUGCCUCUCACCUAGCAUUUGCCAUUCAAGGUGAUCAUUAACCUUGGACUUCCCUUCUCAAGCUCCAAGAGAUAACUAAUGGAUGUCUCCUUAGAGUCCAAAAGCUUACUAAGUGUUGGCAAUUCUAGAAAAUCCUACCUUCAAGUCACCUCCCAAAAGCUCGCAAGAGAUAAACUAGUGCAUCUCCAUGGAUGGAGAUCACUUGCCUUACCAAGUGUUGGCUCAGGUGAAUUGAAGGUGUUUUAAGUUGACUAAAAACAUAGAAAUCAUUAAUGGGUCACACUUUCUCUUCAUUAAUGGCUGAAACAACAAAACUACCAAUUCUUGCAUUUGGGGCCUUACCUGGCAACCUUAGCUCCAAGGAACUAAAAGCCUAGCCACUCAUUCUCUGAGGAAACAUCCUCAGAGCUUGUUUGGCUAGUAAGAAAAAUUAAAUAAUAUACAAUACAAUCAAAACGAGAAGGUAAGGCAGAGCAAAGGCUCUGUAUUUUACUUCCUUGCAAAACUAUACAAAGGAUGUCUGAGAACAAGCUCCCGACCUCUUGUAAUGGAAAUUACAAACAAUAUAUAUGAGGGUAUUUACCCUUUGUUCUUGCUUGAUAACUAAGGAAUCCUAUGAUAGGUGGAUUACAAGGAGAGUUUGGGGAUUUAGACAUCAAAUAUCUAAAGCAAAAAAAAAAUCUAAAAAUGUCGCAAAUAUCGGGAAGCUUCAAGAGAAUUUCGCAGCCGUGCAAGAUGGCUGCAAAAUUUCGCAGCAUGAAGGACACCAUUUCGCAGCCAAAGGCUGAUUUCGCAGCCAUCCUCUUGUGAUUUCGCAGUCCGCGAAAUUGGCCUCAACUUGGAGUGAUCGGCUUCCAAUGGCUCUAACUCCUUCAUUUCAACUCCGAAUCACGUACCAUUUGAAGCGUUGGAUUUCUGACUUCCCGAGCUUCGAAACGACAUAUAGUAUACAUAAUUUGAGCUCCAUGAAGUGCUCCAAAAGUGGCUGACAGAGACUGUCCUCUAGAAUGUUUCAUGGUAGAUUUCUCUCUUUGCUUUCCCUCCUUGCAUUCUGGAUUUGCUUAUGGAAAAGGACUCUAAAGCUUCAAAGCUUUGGUUCUUCAUGUUUUUAAGCUUUCCAUUGCUUUGCCAUGGAUUCCAAAGAACUCUCCUCAAACUCGGAUUGCUUUGGUGAUCAAAUUACUAACAAAAACACCAAAACUUACACAAUUUGAUUAGAAAUGAUUGCAAAGGUCCUUAAUAUGUUAAUUGGGCUAAAAGGUAAUAACUACUACUCAAAAGUGUUUAAAAGAGUUAAUUACAAGCUAUCAAAUAGCACCUUUGAGUAGUAAUCAAGCACAAAAAGGGAUCUUCGUGAUGCUAUAUUUUACACCGCACAUGCUUGUGUCUUCUAUACCUUCCAAUUUGCAAAUAACUCUGCCUCUUCUAAUCCACAUCAAUCAAUGGUUUCCUUCUCAUAUUUCCAAUUGAUUGAUCUGAUCUGAUUUUCAAAGUGGGUACAUGCAUCUUCUUUCUAACAUGGAGAUUACUUGCCAAGCAAUUGGCUGCGCGCAUUAAUCAUUUCCCAUGAUAUCUAGUUGCAUAAAGAAAAGUAAGCUCUCAAGCCUUUUGCUAAUUGAUUAAAAUCAUAGUGAAGAAGACAAUAAUUACAUAAUAAUCAAAUACUGUUCACAGUGAAUGAGACAUGAAAGCUCUAAGCAUUUUCAAAAUUCUUCUACUAAGUGAACAACCAAAUUGUAUCCAGUGUAAAGGUCAAAUCAUCUUCAAGUAACUUGCCUGCUUCUCAUGGUGCAUUAUCUAAAAAUCUAAAAAUCUUGUGACGAAUGACUAAGGCUUCCAAGAAUAUUUGAUGUAUUGAGCCAACAAAUAUUAGACAUAGAAUCGACACACAUAAGUAUUGUAGUCCUUUGUCCUACUAAAAAGAAUGAAUAAAUUAUUAGAUCAAUUAUUAGUGUCUGAAUACUGUAAUUUAAGUGUUAUAUUCUUGCUUACUUCACCACAAUAUUAAAGAAGAUUUGACAUUAAAAAAAAGUAAUAAUUAUUCAUAUUCAUGCCAUGAACAAGGACCUCUUUUAUGUUAUGGAUAUAUAAAAUAUAUUAACAAUCCAUUAUGCUAUGUUUGAGAGCUCACACACAAAACAAAGUAUUGGAAUAAAUUAAUAUAAAUUCAGGACUGAUAGCUCCUAUCCUACUUCCGCCCUUUUUAUGAAAGCAAUUUCCCAUGCUUGGGCCAAACUUGUGAUCGGGAGGAGCAAAUUGGGGUGGGUAAGCAUAAUUGAUAUUUAUUCUUGCCCAAUUUUCCCCUCAAUUUCUGUAAUUCGAUUAUAACAAGCUAAAUUAGGUAUCAAUAAUUACUAUGAGAAAAAAAAAUGGGAUUAAAGGUAUUUCUCUUCUUAGCAAUCAUACAUUACAAAGAGAAUCAAGAUUGCUUACCUAUCAAUUUUCUUUUCUUCUACAACAAGUUAAAAUUAUAGAAUAAAAUAAAUUAAUAAAAUGAAAAUACUAGCAACCAAACUAGUAAAAAAUUUGUUGGACCUUCAAAGAGAUGAUGAAGAGAAUACUAAAAAUGAUGAAAAUAUUGUUGGCAACAACAAUAAGAGUAUAGUACUGAUGUGACAACAAUAAUGACAAAGAUUACUAUGACAUUAGAGGGAAAGAGUACCCAUGAUGCGAAUCAUUCAUAGAGAUGUGAACAACGAUAGUGAUAGAGAUGACUAUGAUACUAGAGCUAUAAUUGGAGUGAAGCUAAGAUAAGUUCCUCACAAGCGUUGAGGUUCAUUGAUAAGAAUUAUCACAUCAAUUUCUUGUCUUAAGGAUGCUCAUCUUUGCUAUAGUUUUUUUUUUUUUUUUAAUCUUUGAAUUUUGGGAUAAUUUUGUUUUGGACCCAGCUAGGCCCAAAAAUUAAGUAUUGGUCCAUAUAAGUUCACCAUUUAAGCCCAAGACCCAAAGGAAGUGUGAAAAUCGAGAAGAAGGAUAUGAAUUUUUUAUCUUUCUGAAAAUGACCUUUGUUGACUAUGAAAAAAGAAUUUAGAAAAAUCCACUCUGAAAUUCUAUUUAUGUUACCCUAAUUUUACUCUCUUCGACAUUUCAUUUCAGCCCUAGAUAGUGGCAUUUUUCAUCUCUUCCAAUUUCCUCCCUCGCUUCCAUUUCAUUUGAGGCCUAAACAUUGCCCUAAUCUCUGAGGCGAUUUCCUUAUCUCUCAAUUUCGUCUCUCCCAACCAUUUGAUUUCAAGCCAGUGGCAUUUGUCAUCUCUACUGAUACAUUACCCUCAUCAAUCCCCAUCGAUGUUACCCUUCGUGUCAUAGUAGUUGGAUAUUUGAGGUUAGUUGGUUCUCCAAUUUCAUUUUCUCUUGAUUUCGUCUCUCGACCAUUUGAUUUCAACCCAAAUACAUUGCCCUAAUUUCUCUCCUGAUUUCAAUUUGUUGUCUAUUGUUCUCUCGUCAAUCCCCACCGGCGUUGCCCUCUAUGUCAACCGUAGUUGGAUAUUUGAGGUUAGUAAGUUCUCUAAAUCUAGCCCUAGAUUUGUUUAAUCCUACAUUUUGUUUAAUUGUCAUUGGUAUGGGGAGAGAGAUUCUUGUUUUCUAUUAACCUUCAGUUUACGAAGUAAAUUUAGGGUGCUAUUAAUAUUUUUUGCAACCUAUCUGUGAAUGGAAAUAGUUUUUAUUUAUUAUAGUGUUUUUUUUUGCUGAGAUACAUAGGUGACUUAUGAAAUUUGGGUGCUUGGGUUUUCUCUUUUUACACUAAUGGAUUUUUUCGAUAGUUGAACCAAAUUCUAGGGAAGGAAUGUUUCAAAAUUAUGCACCAUCCCUACUUAAUUUUUGGAUAGUAGUAUUCAUUUGUACCCUGUUUUAUUGGUGAUACUACUAGUGGCCCCCGUUUUUUGUUCCAAGAUAAACAUGCUUAGUUGUUAUCUGCCUUUUAUGAGUGGUUAUGAAUUGUUCUCCUCAUGACAUAAAUUGAAAUUAUUAUGCGCCUAAAUAUAGUGAGUAUCUAAAUGGAAUUCGAUGAUGGCACCAAGAAAUAAAAUGUGCCAAUAUUCUUAAAAAAAUAAAAAUAAAAAUUAUUGACCAUGUUACCCUUCAACCUUGAGGACUAGGGUUAUGGAAUCAGAUUCAACCAACAUUGGCUCACACUUACCUCAAUAUGAGCAUGAACCUGUGUCCCGUGUGAAGGAAUAGAUAGCUUAUAUGACUUAUCAACACCAUUUUGUAACUACACAACACAACAAAUUUCACUGGCAGAAUUGGCAUUUCUUCAAUAAAAUAAACAGAAUAAUGCAAACUAAAACAAACUUCGAACAACUUUUAGAGACAAACAUGUGAAUAUGAAAAUAAAGUUCUAAUGAAAAAGGAAAUCAUACACUACUAUUUUCCUUAAGGAAAAGAAUUUUGUUCCAAACCUUCGGCUCAGGGUUUGAUUUCCACCUCAAAAAAAGUACUCAUCAAAUAGAAUGUAUAGAACAUCACUACAGUUCCCAUACCAAGUCAAUUUUUAAAUUUUUGUAAGCAUAAAUUGAAAUUAUAUGAACAGUAAAACUCCUAUGCAUUACAGUACCUAAAAACCGAAUCUCUUAUCUUCAUUCAUAAAAAAAAAGUGCUUACUCAAAAGUUGUAUUCAGAUCAUGAUUUAACUUCAAUUAUUUAGAGAUCUCCUUAUGGAAUAAAUAAAAGGGUUUGCUUGAACAAUGUCAAGUGUACCAAAUGGACUUGGUUUUCUUAAUCAAGUCUCUGAAUCAGUGUUAAGUUUGCUUUAAUAAUAGAAAGGUUUUUUUAUUCUGUUAGUAGUUCAGAGUCAUAUGCACACGAGCAUAGGUGUAAAUGAUGCUAUGAACAAGCUGUGGAACCUCAAAUUAGUUUAUCAAUGUAAGGUUGAAGACCUAGUCAGGUACUUCAUUCAUAGGAACAUGAAUUACUUUUAUGAAGAUUAUGGAGCAUAAGAUCACAUAUGUUAUUGAAUAAGCUAGGAUUUAGGGCUUGGUAGUUAAAAGUUGUAGUAGAAGUGAUAUUCUGAUGCCUAGGUUAAAUGUUUCAGUAGCUACUAUGUCUCAUGUAUAUGUUAUUAUUUGUUAUUAUUUGUUUCAAUCCAUUAUUCUGAUUUCAGGGAAUGUUUUAUUUUUUUUCAUGCUUGUCUUUAUGAAAAAAAAAAAAAAACUUUCAAAAGUGACCAACACUAAGUCAUGCUAGGGUGAGCAUUUCUUAGGGUCAAACAAGGCACCCACUCCACUUUAGCCCAUGUCGUUGCAAUUUUCAAUAUAAUAGAAAGAACACAAAAUACAAAAAAAGUAAAAAAAAUAUGUUUGUGUUAUUACCUAUUAUUACUUCAAUUGACUGUCAAUAGACUGCGUAAUUAAUAGUUAAAAGUUAUCCAUCUUAACUUCUCCAUUUCAGCAUGCUUAUUUGAUGUGGGUAGGCACCAUUAGUAUAGGGCCUUCCCUAUUAUUAUUCUCCUUCCUAAUACAUAAAGGGGUUUCAAUCAUACAAUUAAUGGGGUCUCAAACAUAAAGAAUUUUAACAAAUAUGGAUGUGACAAUUCAUCCCUAAACCUAAUAAAAAUACCCUCAGUCCUCCACAAACCUUGGUUCCAAUUCCAAAAACUGUACUAACCCAAAAACCACUUCAACAGAUGGAACAUAUUUUCAUGUUCAAAGGAGGUCAUUGGGCAUAUACCCCACUACCAGUUCUGCAGCGACUUUAGAUCUUCAAGGGAAUUCUUGCUUUUCAAAUUUGUUUGACCCAAAGGAAUUGUGGAGGAAUUACAUGAUCUUCACACAAUCUUUUCCCCCAAACUUCACCAUCUUUCUCCACGAACCAUACUCAAAUUCUCUCUUUGAAUUUAUUUUAUUGGACAAUAUACCCAGGUCAUAGCCACAUACACAUUUUAAAGAUAUCUAACAUGGCAACUUCAAUUGAUCGCAUAUAAAACCCAAAUUUUACAAACAUCUGCUAUGGAAAUUUGAAGGGUAUAUUUGUCUAAUAAUAUUCUAUAUCUUCUCUCUCAAUUAUGCAACUUAUAUGGCCCAAAGGUUAAUUUUUCAUUAGAAAUGAGUGUGUGAGUUCUUCAAAAGCAUUUGAAAUCCAUCAAGAUAGGUAGUCUUGUACACCCUUGUAUAGUUAACACAUUUGCCUUGUACACUUAGUGCAAAUGCCUUGUACAGUCAUAGAAAUUCCAUAUAGGUACAACUGAACAAGUGCUUAAGGGUGGGUAAACAAUGUUUCCAUUCUCAUGGAUCAAGGAAAAUGAGAAAAAAAAAUUACCUUAAUUUCGGUUCAUAUUCAUGAUUAGUGGAUGAUCUAAUAAAAUGAAUGAACAUGGUAGACAUCAAAUAAAAUGCAUGCAAUGGGUGUGUGGUCAAGCAAUGUGUGUGAAGAAUGUCCCCCAUGAUUGGAAAAAGUAAAUGAGUAAGUUCUUCAAAAUCAUUUCAAAUCCCUUAAGAUAGACACCCUUGUACACUUUUGUAUAGUUAGUACAUUUGCCUGGUACACUUUGUGUAAAUGCCUUGUAAAGUGGUAGAAAAUCGACAUAGCUACAAUUGAAAAUGAGAGCAUAUGGGUGGGGUAACCACAUUCCAAUGUCAUGGCUGAGCAAAAAUGGGGAAAAUGAAACCCAAUUUAGGUACCUAUUCAUCAUUACUACGGUAGCUCAUCCAAUGAAUGUGUACGAAGAGGAAUGAGGAAUGUCCCACAUCCUUAGAAAAGGGAAAUGAGCAAGCCAGUUUUUCAAAAGGAUUUGAAAUCCUUCAACAUAGGUACCCUUGUACACCUUUGUAUAGUAAGCACAUUUGUCUUGUACACUUAGUGUAAAUGCCUUGUAUAGUGGCAAAAAAUUGACAUAGCUACAACUGAACGCAUGCAUAUGGGUGGGCUAACCAUGUUCCAAUGUGAUGCCUAAGGUAAAAGGGGGAAAUGAAACCCAAUAUAGGUUCAUAUUCAUCAUUAGUACGGGAGGUCAUCAAAUGAACAUGUAUGAAGUAAUAAAAUUGAAUGGGAUCAGUGCGUGAUCAAGGAAUGUGUGUGACAAAUGUCCUUCAUCCUUACAAAAUGGAAAUGAUUUUAAACAGAUUUGAAAUCCUUUAAUAUAGGUACCUUUGUACACCCUUGUGCAGUUAGCACAUUUACUUUGCACAAUUAGUGUAAAUGUCUUGCACAGAGGAAGAAAUUCCAUACAACUACUACUGAAUAUCUGCUCAUACAUAGGUUAAUCAUGUUUGUAAUGUUUUAGUUCAUAAAAUAAGGAAAAACUGAAGUAUCAAUUUCUUCCCCAACUACUAGUCAUCAAACAUAAAGGAGUUUCAAUCAUACAAUUAAUGGGGUUGUGUUUUGGAUCAUAGCAUAAUAAUUUUCAUAAAUAUGAAUGUCACAAUUCAUCCCUAAACCUAAUAAAAACACACUCAAUCCUCCAUAAACCUAGGUUGGAAUGCCAUAAAAUAUAGUUACCCCACAAUUCUACUCCAAAAGGCCAUAUACCUUAUUUAACGUAUUUUCAUCUUCACAGGAGGUUGUUGAGCCACUGGCAUCAUCAUGACCACACUUGUAGCUGCUUUAGAUCUUCGUUGGAGUUAUUCCUUUUCUCUAUUUUGUGUAGUGGACCAACCUCACAAUCAUGACAACCAUCUUCUUUGCUUUUAAUAUACGUUUGAUUUGAAGGAUAGUUAUUAUGGAGGAAUUGCAUCAUCAUCAGAGAAUCUUCUUCCCCAAACUCACCGUCUCUCUCUGUCAACCAUACCCAUUUCUUUUCUUUGGACGAUUGACCCAACAAGAAGAUUUUUAAGUCGGAUUUUUAAGACAAGUGACAUGCCAAACUUAAGGAGAUCUUCUCCAUUUAUGAGUUGCUCACAAUCCUCAGUUGUUGAAGGAAUUGAUUGGGGGACGUCAGAGUCGAGGGAAAAAAAGGGGUAGGAGUGGUGACCGACCUUUAUUUCAAAUUUUUAAGAUAAGUGACGUGGCAUUUUUUUAUUGGUCUCUUAAUAUUUAUAUCCUCCCCAUCAAUUAUGCAACUUAUAUGGACCAAAGCUUAAUUUUUGGGCCCAGUUGGGUCCAAAACCAAUUGUCCCUUAAAUUUUUGCUACUUUUGUAUGUUACUAAUGGAAAUGUUCAUUAUUGAGAGUAGGAAUGACUUUGCUAAAGAUUAAAACUCAUUAUUUCAUGUCGGUGAAAAUGAGUAUGACUUCAAAGGUGGAUAGUGUGAUAAGAUUUAGGGUUUGAGAUUUGAGAGAGAGGGAGUUGUUAAUGGAAAUGGGGUUAUCUUUUUCCACUUUUCACUUUAUAUGGGGAGUAUUUGGAAAUAUUAAGAAUAUAAAAAACAAAUUAAUUUGUCUUUUUCAUUGAUAAGAGGGGCAAGUGGGAGUGGGUUAACACAACCUAAACUUGUCCAAGAUAUAUAAUCCCAUGCUUGACUUGCUUCAGUUAGGAUUUUUUCAAAUCCAUUCCAUUAGAAGUGGCAAUGAUAGCUAAUGCCACAUAUUAAAAACAAAACCAAAAUUAAGUACUAUUUAUUAUUUUUAAAAAGAAAAAUAUGAGGAUGAUGUAAAAUUAUUAGCAACAUGUGUUCAAAAAUCAUUUUGGAAACUUUUUGUCCUCUUGAAAAUGAAUAAUUUAAAAAAAAAUUGUUUUUCAAUUUGUGUUUUAAAUAAGGUAAGUUUUUAACAAUUGAAAAUGAUUAAUUAGUUUUGUAGGUACACUGGAAACUAUUGGUUAGUCGCAAAAUAAGAAUCUUCUAUAAAGUUAAACAAAUGUUUUCCUAAUGAAAUUCAUAAUUUCCCUACAGAUGAUCAAUAUAUCAAAUGCCACAAUAUUGAAGGUCCAUCAAUAAAACUGAGAAAGAUUAAGUUAGUCUAAUUGUUACGCCUACAAAUAAAAGAAAUUGCAAAAUAGCUUAUUCAAAAACCAACUAUACAGACCGAGAUGCAAUAAUACUAUCAAGACUAAGAUCCAUGUCUUUGAUAAUGUUUAUAUUCAAAGUACUUUAAAUGAAAUUCUUGAUGAAAAAAUAACUUAUUAAGCAUUUCUCCAGUAAAUACUAUAAGUGAUUUUUCAACUUUUUAAAUUUUACUAAACGCUUAUUUUUUUCUUUAAAAAUACUUUUUAAAAUUGCUAUCAAAUGGGCUCAAAGAUGAAAAGAUUUCUCAUCUCCAUAUGUCGAUGCAAAUAUAAAUAUAUGAACAUUUCAUUUAGUUUCAUAUGAUAUAGAUGGUAAAUAAUUUAAUUGGUGCAUAUUAUUUUAAAAUUAACUCUUAUAACACUAGUCAACAAUAAGAUCAUCCAAUUCUCUAGUGUGGGAUGCUCAUGUCCAUCUAGUAUGACUCUUAAUUUGUGUAGCCGUAUCUUCGUCCAUCCAUCCAAGGAUUUGGACGGAUAAAGACUAUCCAAGCACUACUUAUUACUACCUGUCAAGCACUAAAUACAAAACACAUUAAGAACAUUGAGUGUCACAACCAUUACUAAGCAUAAAUGACAGACUUUAGAGCUCAAAAACUGUUAUGCAAGCCAAUUAAAAGGCAUUAAAGGCAAUUGAAACACAUGGGACAUGUUAUGGCUUGGCUGAAGAUAAAUAGCCAUCAAACGUCAGAAUGAAGGUAGACAAUUAGAACCCAUUGACCUCUUACCCAACUCCCCUCUGUCUAAUUUAAGCUUCAGAGAGGUGUGCCUUGGAAAACCAUCUGGACACUCUUUAUUGUAGGUAUACUUGUCGUCCAAACCAAGAGGAGGCCAACCAGAUGCAAACAUUGUUGGUCAUGCACCAACAUCUAGGACUUAAAAAAAAAAGAGUGGCAAGCCCCAUGUUGCUUCAACUAGUAGUUGUCAAUUCUAAAUACCCCACACUCCAAAUAACACCCUAAUUAGUUAGGGUUGUUCCAAAUCAUCACUACUCACUCUUAGAAAUUUCAUGUUUAUUCCUUUAAGUUCUUGCCCAUACAAUCAAAAUUCAAAUAAAUUUACUAUAUAACAAAAUUAUUUCCACAUGUAUAAAACUAUUAUAUUUUAAAUAUGAGUCUUUUAUUACGAAGUUUUUUUACAAACUGAUAAAUAAAUACAACAUUAAUUUCAUUUGACAUUUGCUUCAAUAUAUCAUAUAAUGCAUUUCCUAAAUUCCUAAAUAAUUUUGUCUCAUUUAGAUUAAUUAAAUUGUCUUAUGCAUUUCUAAGCUUCCUUAGUAAUUUUAUUUUCGUUUAGAAAAUAGUAACUAGUGUUAUUUCAAUUAGGAAGGUAACUUUACUCUCAUGUGGCUACUUUAUUAAGCAUUUUACUAUUAAGGAGCAUUAUAUAUAUACCAAAAUCUUGCAAGUUUAAGCUUUUAGGAAAAUUGUUAAUUCAACAUCGUAUCAUAAAUUUAUUUCAAAUUUUAUAUAAUGAGUGGAAUUAUGCACUACAAGGAAAAAGGUAUAUGAUGACAUUUAUAACGAGUCACCAUAAACAUAAGGUGUCACUACAACAUAGCGUCACCUUCUCCACUGACACCAUAGAGGGUACCAAUUGGUGACGUAUUUGGAAGUGACACCAAAGUAGAUAAAUGGUGAUCCAUUCAGAAGUGACACCAUAUAUUUCUAGUGAUGAUAAGGUGUCACAUUAAAUACAUCAUCUUUGAGUUAUGAUGUCACAUUAAAUGCAUCACCUUUGAGUUAUGGUAUCACAUCAUUGUAAAUUAUUGUGGAAUAUAUGAUUGGUUUUAGUUGUUGAUUUUUGUAAUGCUUAUGAAUUAAUAAGAUUAAAUUGUUUAUAUUUUGUCCAUAAACAUAACAAUCAUAUUAUAUUUAACUCAUUUUUCUGUAAUGUUUCUAAAAUAACUCAUAAUACAUUGAUCAUCUACUAAUAUUUGUAUAUCAAAUGUUCACAAAAGGAUAGUACGUCCAACAUAUCAAACCCAUCAAAACUAAAAAAGAAGAGUGAAUACAUACCAAAACAUGAUUUAGAAAUGUUAAAGAUCCCAAGAUUCAUGUAUACCUCCAUUUCAUAAGCAUAAAACCAGCUAACCAUAAAAUGACAUAGAAGUCCCAUCUAAAAAUCUAAAUUUCUCAGUUGCAAUUAAAGUAACGUUUAUGUCCUACAACGUAUGACAUAAGAGUUGCAUUUAAAAACCCAAAAUCUUGUUGCCUUCUUCUUUCUUUUUAUUCUCCAUUUCACCCUCCCAAGAGUGUAUACCUGCAUUUCAAAAUUUAAUGAGUUUUAGAGAUUUUUAUUGAAGAAAAUAAGCAUGGAUCUAUGUUAUCAUAAAUGAACAAAUCUAAGAAUUAAUUUUUUUUUCAAAUAGAAACAUUAUUCAAAGAAUAAGCAUUACUAUACAAUACCUAUGGAAAAAUUCAUGUAGUAGCUAAGGGACUCACCAUGCAUGGUGAUCAUGAUGCAUCAACAUGAUUCAUGAUUAGUUGUAGCACAAAAGUAGCCCAUUCUCCUCUAAUUUCAUCGAAUUCUACUUGAGAAUAUGUUUUUUUUAUUACCAAACUGAAAUCAAAUAAGAAAAUAACAUUAAAAUGCAUAACAUUUGGAAGCCUAAAACUAUGUACAAUUCAUUAAAUAAGUAAUACCUUUGAAGCAAUAAUUGUAGGAUCAAAAAUUAUCUCUUUAAUGAAUCUCAUAACAAAGUAGCCACAUUCGAACCCUCCUUCUUGUCUUGGACAGUAAUCGAUCAAUUAUAAAAUAACAUUAGUACUCACAUAUAUAAAUGGUGCAAAUGCAUAAGCUAAUGUGUAAAGAAAAAUUUUUGGAUGUCACCUGCACUAGUUGCUAAGAUGGCUCCCUCUUAGAUGUUUUCUUUGCAGAUAUUCGAAGAGCCCUAUGUAAAUAAGUUACAUUUUUAAAAUACGUAAAUGUUAUAUGUUUUAAUAUAUAUAAAUAAUAAUAAAAAUGUGUUUGAGGUGAAUGUAUUUUUUUUUUAUUUAAAAAUAAUACUAUGAAAAAUAAUAGGAAGAACUUACAUGUUUACGAUAUCCUUUAAGUCCUCACAUGGUUUGUGAUGCAUAGGGUCAAGAUAGUGGACUAUCAUUUUCCUUGGCUCAAGCACUACCUAAAUAUAAACCCUUUAAGUCCUCAUAUCUAUUUCUAUUAACAAAAUAUAAAAACUUUCCAAAACUCAACUACUUAAAUAUAAAAACAAAAUCAAAUAAAAUAUCUAGCUAAUUGGAUUUUAGAAACUAAAUAAACUAUAAAUAAACUAAAUAAAAUAUCUAUGUCCAUGAAUUAAUUGAAGAGGAUAGAAAGACACAGAGAGAACAUGACUAUGGUUAUGAUUUCCAUCUUAUCAUUUCCUGUCAAUACCACACAUACCCAUUUUAAGGUUGGACACUACUUUUGUUGCUAGACUUGGAAAGGGAAUUUCAAAAUUGAAAACAUAAAUAAACCCUUAUGUAAAAAAAAAUAACAUUAAAAUAUAAUUGAGCAUUAAAAUAUUUACUCUCUUUCAUCACUUUCAUUUGAAUAUUAAUAAUCUCUUAUUGAGAUAGAUACUUACAAUUUAACAAAAUAGAAAUUCCUAAUAAUAAAAAAUAUAAAAAUUUCUAUUUCUAUUAACAAAAUAUAAAAACUUUCCAAAACUCAACUACUUAAAUAUAAAAAUAAAAUCAAAUAAAAUAUCUAGCUAAUUGGAUUUUAGAAACUAAAUAAACUAUAAAUAAACUAAAUAUAAAAACUAAAUAAAAUAUCUAUGUCCAUGAAUUAAUUGAAGAUGAUAGAAAGACAUAGAGAGAACAUGGCUAUGGUUAUGAUUUCCAUCUUAUCAUCUUCCGUCAAUACCACACAUGCCCAUUUUAAGGUUGGACACUACUUUUGUUGUUGGACUUGGAAAGGGAACUUCAAAAUUGAAAACAUAAAUAAACCCUUAUGUAAAAAAAAAAAUAACAUUAAAAUAUAAUUGAGCAUUAAAAUAUUUACUCUCUUUCAUCACUUUCAUUUGAAUAUUAACAAUCUCUUAUUGAGAUAGAUACUUACAAUUUAACAAAAUAGAAAUUCCUAAUAAUUAAAAAUAUAAAAAUUUCUAUUUCUAUUAACAAAAUAUAAAAAUUUUCCAAAACUCAAAUACUUAAAUAUAAAAACAAAAUCAAAUAAAAUAUCUAACUAAUUGGAUUUUAGAAACUAAAUAAACUAUAAAUAAACUAAAUAUAAAAACUAAAUAAAAUAUCUAUGCACAUGAAUUAAUUGAAGAGGAUAGAAAGACACAGAGAGAACAUGACUAUGGUUAUGAUUUCCAUCUUAUCAUCUCCCGUCAAUACCACACAUGCCUUCCCGGAUUGGUUCUUUUGGGGUUGGAUACUCUCAACGAAAUUCUAUAUCUCAUUCCCACUUAGAUACAAACAGAAAAAUCAUUCUUUUUUUUUUCCUCUCUUGUUUUUUAGAAAGGAUGAAGAUUAUGUGAUAGUAUAUCUUAAAAAAAUUCUGUACCUGUCAUUCUCACACAAAUACAUAUUAAAAAUCAUUCAUUUUUUCCUGUUUUUCACUUUUUUUUAAGGACUUGAUCAUGUGUUUGGUUUAGAUUAAAAAAAUCAAUUAAUCUAUAGUUUUUUCUUCCAUGCUGGAAGAUUAAACCUAAAUUUUUCUUCCCUACAACUCAAGAAAACACAAUUCACAAAAAUCAUAAUACAAAGAUGUUGAAACAAUUAAUAUAAUGACAUUAAUAAAAGAAAAAAAAAUUAUAGAUCCAAGAGAUUUUGGGUUACCUGGGAGUCCACAAAGUGAAGAAUGUCGGUUUUGAGCGUGUUGACUAUGGAUGGGUGAGAGAAAAGGUUGAAGAAGAUCAUGAUUUUAUAUAUAGGAUUUAUAUAUUGAGAUAUUUUGGAUUGUGGGUGAGAUAUGGAAACAAUGGGAUUUUUAUAUAGUAUCCAUCAUUAUUAAUUCUAAAAGUGGGCUCAUUAAGUUAUAAUACUUAAAAAAAUUUAUUUUAUAUGAUGUCACUUCCCAAAAAAUGACACUAUAAAUAUAAAAUUAAUAUCAUCUAACUACCUCAAUUGAAGAUUUUUUAUAUGAUGUGUCACCUUUAUUAAUUAUAAACCCUAUGGUGUCAUUAUUUUAAAAGUGACACCGUAAAUAGUGACACCAUAAACUAUUUUUGUAGUAGUGAUGAAAAAUGGAAAUGCAUGUGGAUUGAAUUCUUACCUUAAGAUCUCAAAAAUUACUUAAACAGAUUUAAAGUUCUUCCUCAACUCUCUAGAUCUUCAGACCUUUGUUUAAUAAAUCAAACCUAAAGUGAAUUAUAACUUAAUUUAAGUUAUUAAGUAGACUAAACAUAUUUGGUAAAAUAACUUAAUAUUAAAAUGCAAAAUUAAAAAUAACUUUAAGUAGUAAGUCAAAAUAAUUAACUUCUUUUUAAUCCCAAACUUUUUUUCUUUUGGUCUUAUUUACACACAUUUAAUGAGUAUAUAUUAAACAACUAUGACUCCAAAUCCAUGACUCAUUUUUUCUACUAAAUAUUUUAAGGUUAUUUUAUAAAUUUACAAUCUUUAAGUAUGGAUGUUAAAUAACAAAUUUAUUGCUUAAGAUUAAUGAAAAUAAAUAUUAAUUAAAUUUUUUAAUAAUAAACAUGAAUUAAAACUAAUGAGAUAAAUAUGUUAAUUCAAUAACUUAAAAUAAAUUCUAAGUUAAUUUUAUACCUUACUACUUAAAAUAAAAAAAUAAGUAAUAAGUUUUAAGUUAAUGACUUAAAACCAAUUUAACUUAAAGUUAACUUAAGUCAUUAAAUAAUAAGUAUUAAGUUUUACCAAACAUCCAAGUUGACUUUAAGUUAAAUUAUUCUUAAGUUGUUAACUUAAGACUUAUUACUUAAUUGUUACUUUAAGCAUUAAGGUUGUUUUGUAAAGUUAGCUUAAAGUUUAUUCUAAAUCAUCAAAUUAACUCCUUUUCCCUCAUUAAUUUUAACUAAUAUUUAUCUUUAUUGAUUUUAACUCAUAUUUAUUUUCAUUAUUUUAAACAAUAAAUUUAUUUAUAUAACAUUCAUACUUAAAGUAUUGUAGAUAUAUAAUACAACCAUAAAAUGCUUAUUACAAAAAAAUGAGUUAUGGAUGUGAAAUCACAGUUUUAAAAUGUAUUUACUGUGAGCAAAUGAGACAAAAAUAAUUUUACAUUAAGAAUAAGUUAACUAUUUUAACUUAAUACUUAAAGUUCAAAGUAACUUUAAGUUAUAAUAUUAAGUUAUUUUAUUAAGUAGACUAAAUCUAAUUUCUCAAACUUGGUUGCAGAAGCCUAAUGAUAGGAACUCUUUCUUAUUAUACAAAUAAUGAUCACAUGAAAGAGAGUCAUGAUUUUCUUUCAAAAACUUGCACAGUUAUUUCUCACUCAUAUGUUUUGAUGUCUUAUUCCAUAACUUUAGGAAAGCGUAUUGUCACGGACUUAGUCUUUUCCUAAGCUCGUGUGGCACCUAGACAAGUUAAGACACUUGAUCUUGCUAAGUCAGCCUUACUCCCAAUGCUUAGCUUACUAAGCUAAGAUACUCACAACUUGGAAACUUUAGAAGGUGUAGUAGGCAACUCUUAAAGAAUGGAAGCUUUUGUUGCUCAAAGGAAGCUUUACAAGUGCUUUGGGAACUCACUUGCUUGGUUAGGAAGUGAUUUGGGUGGUGCCUUGGCCAAAUGAGGCCUUAACCUAUUUAUAGGCACCAAUAGAACUCUUUGGAACCUUGGAGGGUUCCUUACAAAUCAAGAAUAAUCUAGAAUCUCCUACACUAGUCUAUGUACAAGGGUAUGUACAAGAUGACUUUGGAAGAUUCUAUAACACCCCACACUAUUCCAAUGCUCUCUUAGCCAAGUAUAGAGAUGUGUGGACAUCUCUAGCCCUCUCUAGAAGCUUCCAUGCUCUUCCACUUUGUAGCUAAGUGUAGAUGUUUCCAGGGGUUUCUAGAAGCUUCUCACCUCCUAUAUAAGCCCAUGGGGAGAGUCAUUUGAAGCAUCUUGUGAUUGUAUGGUCUCGAUAGCAUUCAAAUUGCCCUUUUACACUUCCUCUUGGUAUAUGUAGCAAACCUCUUCUUUUGCAACAAAUAACCUCUUUACCACUACCAAAAUAACUUUUAUAUCCUUGUUUAACUUGUGCAAAUCUAGACAUUAGUUUGAGGUUGGAACGUUGGUCUCUAGACAUACAUUAUUUAUUCAUCCUAAUUGCACCAAUGUCUCUAUCUUUGUAAUUUGAAAACAACUUCAAUUAAGGGAUAACAUGCAUGAUAUAAGGUUAUUGUCUCUACAAUCCACUCAAUUUUGUGAUCACUAAUAGGGAUUUAAUCCAAGUGUUAAGUUGACAUGAUAUAUAUAAUUGAUUCAUUACCAAAUAGCUUAAACAUUUAUAUCAUAUAUAUUGAUAGCUUAACAUGUUUUUAAAGCCUUAGUUCAAGGGAGAUCAUGCAUGAUCUUGAGCUUCACACAUAGUUAUUUCUCAUAAUUAUUGAACUUGCAUACAAACCGAAAGAAGGUUUUCUCUUAUACAAGGUAUUGAGGGUUUAGUCCAAGUGCUACCUCAUUACCAAAUAAUUUAAUUAGGGAUGACAAUACAAUAAGUUUUUUUUGGUACUCAUCUCAUCCUACCGUGAAUAGAAUAGGUUUGAAAUGAAGAUAAAUAGGUUAGGGAUAGAGAUUUUUUUACAUAUAUAAACCAAUGGUGGGUUUAGGUAUUACCUUGUACCCUCCUAUCCUAUCGCAUCCCAAGUAUAUGCAUAAUUAAAUUUAAAAAUAGUUUUUUUUUAUUUACUCAUUUUUAACACAAAAUAAUAAUUAAAACAAAAUCUACUUCUUGAAUAAAAUAAAUUAUAAAAAUUUAUAAUAUUUAUUUAUAUAUAAAAUAUAUUUACUUUUAAUAUUUUAAAAUUUUAAAAAUAAAUAGGGUUGGGUGGGGCCUGUGCAACACAAGUAAUAAGAAAUUUUCAUACCAGUAGCCUUGCCCUACCUUACACCGCCCUGUUUAAUUUUUUUAUUGGGUGGGGGUAGCAAUAGAUUUAUAUAAAUGUGACAAGAUUGGAAUAUGGGUGAUCCAUUCCAAACCCGUCCCAUUGUCAUCCCUAAGUUUAGCUUUUAGAUUAUGUUGGUAGCUUAACAAUCACCAACAUUCAAAAGUUCAUGUUGUAGUAUCCUUGUUCUAUUCCAUUACCUAAGGCUGCCUCUUCUUUUCCUUUCUGUAAACACAGUAGUUCUAUUUCAUAUGGCUUUUUUUGCCACAAUAUCCAGACAUCUAUCCACUAUUGAUACCAAACUCUCAUCAUUCUUAUAUGCAGUGGAUGUAGUAUUCUUUUUCUCUCUCCUUUUUCUUUCUUAGGUUUGCCUCCUUUAUUUCCUUUCCCAAACAACACAGUUCUUUUCUAAAUUGCUCUCUUUGCCACAAAGAGCAUUUCAUUUUCUCCUUGGAUUGAAAUCUUUCGUUGGACUUAUUAUAAUAAUUCUAUUUUCUAUCUAUUUAUAAUAUGAGUGUUCCUUCUUUUCUCUACAUCAAACAAAUACUAUUCACAAUAGAUGUCUUGCAACAAACACAAUAGCAAAGAGACUUGCAUCUCAUCAUCAAUUGCCAUUUUCGUAGUAACUAAUUGAUUUACCGUGCUUUGAAAAGCACUUCACAUGGUUGGCCACUGAAGUGUUUCCUUCGACUUCAAUCUAGUUAACACACCUCAAUGUGGUAACUGAAAUGUAACUCACUUUUUUCAGUUGCCUAACUAGACACCUCAGCCAAGUUAUUAGUUUAUUGAAUUAGAAUCUUUUUUAGAGUAAUUUUAAAAAGCGUUUCUAAUAUUUGAAAAUUUUUAUCUUUUAAAGUAUUAUAAAGGUUAAAAAUAUUUUCUAAAAUCACUAUCAAACACACUCUUAAAUUACUAAUCUUGUGAGUCUAACCUUUCACCCCGUCGCCUAGACAAAUACUUUAGUAGAGUUGCUAAAACUUAAUUGGACUGGCCUCUCUAGUUGGAGAAAAUAGCCCUUAAAUAGAUUAGAAACAAGCAAAAAGAAAAAAAAAAAAAGCUUUCUAUAGCAAGAAUUGAACAAGGACUUACAACAAUGUAGAAUAGAUCUCAACUAGAAAUUAGAAAUUAGAAUGUAAACCAACAACACAUUACGAAACACAUGAGUAUCCAUCCAAGAUAAACACCAAUGACCUUACUUGGAAAAAACCCUUCGAGGAGGUGAAAGAAGCCAUUCAAAAAUGAAUGUCCAUCAUAUAAAAUAGGAAUUAAUCGGUGUUCGUGCAAGUCUUUUUCCAAAGAUAUGGGAAGGGAACUAGAAAUGGUGUUAUUCUCAAGCUUACAAAACCAGCACACAGAGUGGAAAGGAUCUCACCAAAUACAAUUGCCACAUUUGAUAUGGAGAAAACCCUUGGUUCAACCAAAACCAAGAAUGGUGAAGAAACAUCCCUAUUCUAGCAUAAAAGCCCAACAUAAUUAGGCUCAAGUUGCUACUGGAAGAAUCAGCCCACACAAUGGGUUUCUUGCGAUAACACAGAGACAGAGGUUCACCAAAUGGUCCCCAAGGACUAGACCCCCCAUCAGAAAAAGGGAAUGUAAUGAGUGGGAAUUGCCAUCAGUAAGGCAUAUGCAGGAGACUCAACUCUCUAGCCAUUGCUCUAUGGAAAUUUAAAAUGCCUUUUGUUAGCUAAUAAUAAAUUUAUGAUUUAUGACAAUAUUCUUUGGAAGAUCUAUUACUGGGAUACAAGUUUCAGAUUUGAGUGAUUUAGCCCUAUGGCAAGAACAUGAUUCUUAAAUGUAAGACUAAAGAGUAUAUUUGUAGUGAUUCUAUGAAGGCCAAAAGUGCUCUCUAAUACUUGAAGCAUUUUUCUUAUAAAAAUUAGGGUCCUAUUCAGUUUAACUUGUUUUUUUCUUACAUUUUUAAAGAAAAUAAAGAACAAUUUGGAAAAUAUGUUUGGAUAUUUCUAUUUCUAUUUUCCCAAGAAUUGAGUUUAGAAAAUGAAAAAGGGGAAAAAUGCCAAAUUGGUAUUUUCAAAAUUUAAUUAAAAAAGUGAAAAGAGUUUCUAAAACGUAAAAACACAAAAGUAAAUAAUGUAAUUAAAAAACAUGAAAGAAAUGCAAAUAUGAAUUUGAUAAUAAUAUUACAAUAUUAUAAUCAUCUUCCUCUUUUUUACCAAUAAUAUUACAUUUUUAUAUUAAAAAAUAAAUUAUUUUAAUAAGCCAAAAUAUGCCCAAUUGAUCAAUUGCUUCGUUAAUUAUAAAUAUAUUAAAAAAAAUAUUAGAGUAUCAAAAUAGAAAUUUUUAUUAAAGUAUCAAAAUAACUAAUAAAACAAAUAAAAUAAAAAAUAAUGAAAAAUAUAAUUUCAUUAUUUUUCAUGUACAAAAAUUAGUACCAAACAAAACAACACAACAAUUGGUCAAUUCCUUUAUUAACUAUUAAUAUACUAUAUUUUUUAUUAUAUAUUAAAAUAACUAUUAGAGAUGAUAAUUGAAAGAGAAUAAUCAAUAAAUACAAUUUAAUUAUUUUCAUUGUGUUUGAUUAAAAAAUAUAUAUAUAUCCAGUACUAAACAAGGUUUCCAAAUUUUUAUUUUUUGAAAACCAGUUUUUAAUUUUUUUAAACAAAAAUAUUACAAAGAAAUGAAAACAUAGAAAAUAAAAAAUAUUUAAAGAAAAAAUUAAAAGUAGAAAAUAAAAACUAAAAAUAUUUUCCAAACCAAAGGCAACUUAAAUUACUGUGUAAUAUUUUAGAAAAUAUUUUUUAAAAAUCUCUAGAAUAAAAUAGAUAAAACAUGGAUCUAAACAUCCUUGCAUCCAUGAAAAUAUUUUUGGAGAUAAAAUCGGAAAUGAGAAUAGAAAAUUAUUUCAUUUUUAUUCAUUUUGAUGUUUAGAUCAUUUAUUAAAUAUAAAAAUAGGAAUAAAAAGUUAUUAUUAUUGGUUUUUUUUAAUAUUUGUUUAAACAGAAGAUAUGUAAAGAUACAUCAACCGAACCCAAUAGGCUUCGGAGAAUUAAAAACAAUGGCUAGUUUGAACUAGCAGACUAAUAAUAGAGACAAUUAUCCAACUUCUCAUACCAAUGUUAUCAUAAGAUAAAAGUUGAAUCAUAAAUACUUGUACAAGACAUUCAUUACUUGAAUUACAAUCUCUGUUUCCUUCUUCAAAAACCCAUAAUAUCAUAAUUAAAGCAAAAAGUGUUAUACACCAAGUAUACAUACCAUGUACAAAGGGUAAAAAAACCCAAAGGGAAAGAACCGGUGGUAAGAGGAUGCGGGGGAGGUGACAUCUCUUACUAUAUAAUCCAUUAGAAUGCCUUGGCGGCCUUGAAAGUAAGGAGCACUGCCAUGGACUUGUAUCCUUGGAGGAGUAAGAGCUGCCUGGCAAUCCUAAAUUUUGAAAUUAGAAGACUCUGCUACUCAGGAGAAGUGGAAGACUCUGCAGUUUAGUCUCCAACCUUGCAUCACUUUCUAUCAGAGAUAGUGAAUCUAAAGUUGCCAUUAUCGGAGUCGGGCCUCCACAGGCUUACUUCUAUUUCAUCAUUGCACAUUUCUGUUGUAUUUCUAGAUAUUCCUUGGCUUCUCUGGCUCUCAAAAACCUCCCUUCCUUUGAAAGUAAAUCCAUCUAUGGGUGCCCUAAAAUCUGGUUCAUAACCUGAAACAUCUUCAGGACUUGAGACAAGUGAAAAGUAUUUUUGUUUUUAAAAACUCAAUCAGGUAUGGCUAUUUGCAACUCAAUCCCAGCUCCAGAUUGUCCUCUCCAUGGACCUAUUUGUUGAAACUCUGAUUAAUUUCAACUUUAAAUUCAGAUGGGAGCUGCUUUAUUCCUUUGACAAAUAGAUGGCUUUAGCAGCAGUUGCAAAGUGACGUUUUCUCUAAACUUGCCGGCCUCAGUUCUGUGCACAAGCAUGGUAAGUUAUACUGUUCUAUUGAAUUUGCAUGCGGUUUUAUGGUUUUAAUAAAUAAAAUAAAUAUAAAGCUAAAGCUAUGUGUAAGCUCUCUUGCCAUGCUUAAUUGGACUGCUAUUAUUUAUUUAAGAUCAAGAGAUAGAAAGUUUUUCUGCAUUUCCAGUUAUAAAUCUAUAAUUGAGUUUGUUUUAUAAACAUAUUCAAGUUUAUUCUCUGUUUUUUCUUUCCUUCCUUUUAUUUUUAUGAUUUUCUAUUAUCAUUUGUGUUAUUAAAGAUGAAAGCUCAUUUUUUACUCGCUUUUAUAGAAGUACUUCUACAAUGAAGAAAUUCAGGUUAGGAUUUUGCUAACACAAUAAAAUCUUUGGCCUGCUUGAUAUCUAGUAUCAAGUUUUGCCAAAGGCCAUAGCUUCUAUUGGUUAUCUAUGAGUCAACCAUUGCUGGAUGGAUAUGAAUAGGAGCUUGUCCUGCCUAUGGGCAGGGAUAUGCGCGCAAUCACCUGUUUUCUGCUUUUUAAGUAUCAAAGUACAAACUAACUGCUUCUACAAUAUCAUUUCCAUUUUAAUCAGCAUUGAAAGUAUGUUGCUUUUUUAAGUAUCAUUUCCAUUUUAAUCAGCAUUGAGUGUGUCCUGUCAUGGUUGGUUGGACCACUUAACAAAAAAACAGCAAGGCCUUUUCUUCAAAAUCUGCAUUCGACAGGUUCUCUGUCAAUUCUUUGCUUUUGCUUUUACGAUAACUUGUUGCAAACUUAUUUAAAAAAAUUGUGCCCUUCUCUUGUUGGCUAGGUAUUUAACUUAUGCAUAAUCUUGUGAUGCAGCUAUGGCUAGAGAUACUGUACUUGUUAUGCUCUUUUCUAGUUGGGCAUGUAAAGGGCUCUAGGGAUGUCCACUUGUCUUCAAGUGCAGUUGAUUUCUUUGGUACAAAAAUGUUGACUACAACUACAGAAGAUAAACUUGAACUAGUUGUUAAGCAAACUCUUUUAUGUUAUAUUAAAAAAUUUCUAAAGAAAAUUUCUAUUGAGAAAACUAGGGAUGUUUUAACCCUCAACCAUAACUUAAUUUGUGUUUAAUGUGUGAUAUUGUCGUCUUUACUUGGAACAUGUCUAUGAUGGUGCUUGUCUAUGUUUCAUCAUUGCUUAUUUAUUUUAUGACGUCUUUGUUGAGCAUUUUAGCUCCAGGUGGAAGAGCUGUGUUGUCUGAGAUGCAUAGGGAACUGUCUCAUUAGUGACUAUGCCAAUUGGAUGAGGAUUCUGGAGAGAACUCUCUAUCUGAUCCAAGUAUCUACUGACUUCUGCCAUGAACUCUUGAAUAGAAGCAAGGAUGGAAGCUAGUUUGUCUGACAUCUCAACUGAACUGUCUAAACUUUGAUAUGAAUCUGAUAUGAUCAAUCGACCUCCAACUCUCCUCUAAGAAUAUGACUUCAAACUCAACCAACUCCUAAACUAACUCCCUACAAUGCAAACAAAAUGGAUGAAGGACAUAAGAUAAGACCCUAAAAGACAACAGUGCAACAUGCAAACACAUGGUCCUGAGGUGGCAAUCUGAAAUCUGGAUGUAUGAUGAGAGCUCUAGAGUCAUAAAGGUGUCCACUGUGAGAUGGCUACAAAUGUGACUAGAGAAUUCCUAUCAAUAAUCCAAGAUGAAAGAGGUGUGAGAAACACACUAUCACGAGAUUGAUACUCCAUCUAUAACCACAUAUCCUUGACUCAACCUUCAACCCAAGCUCCAUAAGAGAAAAGAUAAGGUGAUCAAGGCGACUCUCUCAAAAAAGGUGUGAAUGUGAAAACAUGCCUUUCACCUUUCCAUAAUGAAAAUGUGAGCAUCAAGUUGAAAAUUGAAUCAAGGAUCAAACAAAGAAUGGGAUACUAGGCUCAUGAUAAGUGUACGGUAUAAAGAGAUGAUCAUAAUCAAUGAACAUAUCCCAAAGCAUCAAGCAAGUGACAACAAAGUGAAAGGAUGUGCCAAGCCAAGAGAGGGAGACGAAAGCUCUAGGGAGAAAGCAUGCUAAACUCAUUGAGUGAAAAGAAUAAUCUAAAGCGACAUGACAAAAGGUGAUCCAACUGAUACUGAAACUUGUACCGAUCUCUGAGCACUCUCAAUUGGAAACCAAAGGUAAAAGCACUGGGUCCAGGUGAUGAGUAAGACGGCCCUGAAGGCUCUCAGAUGCACCCACGUGUGAGGAAGGAAUCCUAAUCAAAGGAUCUAAGCUCAUCCUAUAAGUUUAAGGUGGCUUUAAAAAAAGAAAGGUAGGCUUUCAAGGGUCCUUAGAAGAAGCAAUCAUACCCUUCGGUGGUACGCAACCUUCUGUACGCCUCCGAAGAGACGGGGCGCUUCCAUGCAAGGUGGACAUCACCUCCACACAUGCACUACCUCGCAUCCCAGGGGGCUCCUAUGGUGAAGGCCCUUCUAAUGGUUAGCAUAUCUCAUAACUUUGGUCACUCAUCAACAAUCUAAGGUGCAUAGUGAGUUUGUGGGUGCAUCUGAAAAUCCUAUGAAACUAAAAAGAAAACACAUUGGUCACACAAAUAUCCUAAAAUCCAGCUUUGGGCUAUACAAGUCUUCAAAGAUCGGACUCCAAUCAACAUCAAUGUGUCGGCCACCUCCAAAAUGCUCCCAAACAUAGAUAUAGCCCAUCACUAGACCUUACUUCAAAUCACUAGCUUGGUCGAAGAACAAUCAAGGUGAUAAGUCUCAUAUCAAAUAAGAGAUCAAGGGAAACAAAGUCGAUGGAGUCUAAGGAAUUGGAAAUAAGGGGAUAGGUGUGAGACCCACACGAACAAGCAAUACAUGCAUCAUGUAGAAGGAGAGUAGUCAUACAACAAACAGUUAUGCAAAGCAGGUAUAUAUCAUACAAAUCUACACACAAGCUAAGUAAGAAGUAGGAUAAUCGAGAUGAAUAUCUAGCAAGAAUAAAUGGCAUGCUCAGAGUUAAUCGAGAUAAUAUGUAACAAAGAGAAUAAACAUGUCAAGAUGAGCAACAUUGAGAAUAUACAAGUCAGGGUGAGCAGAGCAAUCACACAGUAAGGAGAGUUGAUAUGUGAACACAAACAAGAGGAUCAAAUGAUAUAAUCAAGAUGUCAAUGUCUCAAACAAAUACACAAAUCAAGCAUGCAUCAGAGAUAAACAUAUCAAAAGUUCUCAAUGUGCAAUCAACAGUCAAACAUACAAAAGCACAGAGAGAGAAGGGUACCCACUAAUCGACCAAUCAAACGUCACAUUUGCCUUAAUCUAAGUUCAAGUUUGACUGUCUAGUGAUCCCCAAUGGAGUCGCCAUUUUACGGACCCCGCAUUUCUCCACAAUGCGUUCCCACUCGAAUGGUGAUACUCACUUUUUAUUUUGAAAAAAUGACUUUUGAAAAGUUUUUGGAGUCACCACUUAUUUUUCUUUUAUUUUUAAAGGGAAAAACAAAAUAAGAAAAAAAAAACUCUAAAUGUGACUCCUGAAGGAAAAACAGGUCUGUGAAAAACCAAGUCUAGGUUCGGGAGUGAGGUUACCUAUUGAGAAAGUACGGUGAUAAGUUGUAACACCCCUCUAAGCACCUAAAAAUGGGUCUCUACUAAUCAACUAAGACAAGUGUAGCAAUUGAUUGAUUAAUUGUGGAUACCAAAUAGUGAUCAAGGGUGUGCUAGCAAGUCAUGCAUGAUAAUGGAUAAAUAAAUAAGUAUGAUUAGGUAUGAGAUGCACCUUAGCAGCGAAUAAGGAUGUGCUAUCAUGAAACGGGGUUAGCUCAAAUAUAAAGUAAUGCGUGUCACAUAUUAGAGCCAAAAAUCAAUCAAUAAACAAUCAAACAUAGCAAACAAAAUCAACAAUCGGAUGACGAAUGCCUCAUAUGUUAGGCCACACCAAUGCCCAAAUUAUUUUUGGCAUGAAUUACUUCUACAAAUUCCAUGAUUUUUGGAAUUACAGACUUGUAUUCAUGGUUAUUUAAAAACAUUUAAAAAAUCAAGAAAAAAAAAGUGAAAAAUGCUUGCCCAAGAGAAAAAUGGCAGCAAAUUUAUUAAAAAUUGGAUUUUUGGUGACCCAAAACUCUAUGGAUGAAUAAUAAUAAUAAAAAAAUUGAAUAGUUAAAAUUAUUUGAAAAUUGGAAUUAAAAAAAAAAACAAUUUUUGAAAGCGAAGGUGAAUAAUUAAGAGAACAUGGCCUAUGGGAUUGCAUGUUAAAGGUGGCUAUGCAUGGGUGUAGAAGUGGCCCAGGGUAGGUAGUGAAUUGGCCAUUGAAUCACUUUAUUGGACAUGCAACUUGCUGUAGUGGUUUGCAUCCAUGGAUAUUGACUGUACCGAAACUUGGAAUGUCGACCAUGUCGUUCAUCGGAAAUGUACCAAGUGACAUGCUUCAUGGUGGCGGGAUUCAUAUGCUGCAUCACUUUCUUCUUAUAUAAAUACUCAGCACCUUUGGCAAUGCCAUUGCACUAGAACCACUAUAAAGACCUCUAACAAUGAAUGAUGAUCUAGCCAUACACCAUUAACGAGCUUCUCACCAAACUGCUACUUGCUGAAACUGUUCUUUAUCGUGUUAUACCCAUAUCUUGCACCGUCCAUUCCAUGCAUGACUUGAUUAAGUCCUUCAAGUAAUCAGGCCAUAGCUUAGCAAAAAUAGUCCCCUGACAUCCCUUUAAGACUAGGUAUGCUGAAGUGAUUUGAGUGUCAUGAAGGAGAGGCGAAGGACGGGUAUUGCACAAUUGGAAUCGCAGCACAUGCAACCGUUCUUCUCAACCAUGGUAACAUGAAUUCUACACGUUCAUCCUUAGUUUAAGGGACAAUGGGGGUCAGUCGACAUGGCAACAAUGACAUUCAGAAAUGCAUCCCUGCAAAUCUUUCCAAUAAUCUUUCCCAGAACCACCCAACAAGCCACCUGAAGGAAAUGGAUGUCCUGGAUUAAUGUCAGAAUCCUUAUAUCUGAUAUGGACGUUACUAAUGGGAAAUCUUAAGGAUUCCAAUUAUGGUUGCAAACAGAGAACCCAACCAUGAAUUUGCAUUAGCUGGACUUCCUUCUUGCUAUUGAUGAAGUUCCAACUUCAGUUGCAGUGAAUGGUAUCCCCAACUCCGGACUACUGUCAUUUCUUGAUGGGAUUCAAGGCAUUGAACUUACAAAAUCAUCGUAGCCUUAGUCUUCAUGCACAGAAGACCUCUUUCUCUCAAACUCCUGGACACGACUUUUUCAAUAGUGGUAAGCAUCGGGAUAUCUAGCCCAUUUUCUGACCUUGUAUGAGACGCUCCCAGAAAACCCUUCAGAAUUGCUUAGGGAGUUGCAUCUUUAGGACCACCAGAAGCAUUGGGAACCUCAUACUUUUUGGUUGUCAAAGCACAAGGGUGGCAUUUGGUUUUGUCGAAUGGCACAGCUAGCUCAUCACCUAAUUUCUGACCAAUAUGAAAUGAUUGAGACACUUCAGCGAGUUCCUUGACAUCACUUCUUGUAUGAUUCAACCACUCAUUUCCUUUUUGGACAUUUGGAAUCCAUGAAUUCAAAGAACUCGUACGCAUUUUCACAGGGACCUUGAUACAUGAUUUUCCCAUAAGAGAGGAGAAUCUUAUCAUUAAAUAGGUUGCAGGUUUCUGGUACUGGUUGGAGGAGGCAGAUCAGAGCAGUUCCAUUAAGAAUGAGGAUGAACUGCCUGAGUGAACUUACAAUCUGAAAAGCUAUUGAACUAUCCAAACGAAUUACCAUUUCAUCCAUGGAAAAAAGCUCUGUUUGUUUCUCCAUCGACUAAUGCACCAAUUAUCACCCCAUCUCCUCAUUGACCAAGAGCUUUCCUGACUCCAUCUUAUCCUCAUCAAUAAUCUCCAGUAAUAGCUCUUUCCAUUCUGUCUCUAGGCAUUUCAAUGUGGUCCAUAUGGCUUACAGGUGUCUAGAAAUUUCCAACAGUAUGUAAAGUGGUUCACAUGGGGCUCUCUCAAAAGCACCCCAACCAAAAUGGCCAGCCCAAAUGGGAUACUCAACACCCCGAACUUACCAGAAUCAGGGGAAUAAGAGGAAAAAAAAAAAGAAAAGAAAAAAUAGGAGCAGAGCGAGGACUGAAGAAAUAACAAAAGGAAAUUAAGCAGAUAACGAAUAUACAAAGCCUCAUUUCAGGUGACAUCCAUGGACUAAUAACAGGUGGAAUUAACAAAGAAUGCAAGCAUGAUUCUUAUAUAUCAAGUCCAGGGAUGAAGCCAUGCAUCAACUACUUACGGGAGGAGUCAAGGAAACCAAGAUAAAAUCAAACAAAGCAUGUAUGCAAACAAACAGAUUCGGUCAAACAGACUAAUAAUCCUUCAAGUCCAAGCCAAUCAAUAAAAUAACACCCAAGAAUCUACAAAAAAAUGUAGAAGAAUAAUAUGAAAAUGAGGAAAUGUGAGGUUCAGAGAGACCUUACCUGGAAGGCUUCCUUUCGAGCAAGAUUUUUGUCCAACUUCCCAACUAUUCUUCCUCUGCUCCAACUCCCUUUAUCUCACAACUUUUCUUGCUUUCUAUGUUCCUCUAGACACUCUUUAUAGCUCCCCUUCCUUCAGCUCCCUGUUUUUCCUAUUGUUCUCCUUCUCCUCCAUUCCUCUUCUCAACGGUCUCUGAAUCCUCUCCUUACAUGUCACCUGCUGGUUUCCCACAGAAAAAAGUCCUUGCCAGCCCACUAUCUCAUACACCUGCUGCCAAAACCUCCUAAAGGGUGGUAAAAAUAUCGCCCCUAAAAUAUCCCAAAACUUCUAGAUCAAAAUGAGGGUCUACACCUUAUAUUCCACAAGCCAAACCUUUUUAGACAUACCUAUGACUUCCUAAUUGGACGAACAACAACCCUUAUUCUUAAAUGGAGAGCAAGUUACUAUCUAAACAAACUUUUAUGACCAAACAUUAAUUGGAACAAAAUUGCCAACAAUUAUAUAAGACUCAAUGUCCUAACAAUCUCCCAUUUUGGUAAUUUUAUGACAAAACAUCAUCAAUAAACCCACCUAAACUCUCAUAAUGAAGUUUACAUAAUACACAUUAAUGCUUAAUUAAAAAUAAACUAAGGGAAUGCUUUGCAAUGCUUUGUAGUACUUAUCUUCCAACCCUGUAACCUACACACAUACAAAAAAACUAUACCAAAAGUAAAGCAAUGUGAGAGAUAAAAUAAUAUUAUGAAAGCAAAAUAGGAUAGUUAGAGGUUUUUCUUGACACCUUGUGAAAGCAUGCAAAAUGAACAGAUUCCUAUAGCGACAUCAAGGUAUAAUGCAGCUUAAGAGGAAUAUAGAUGCAUGCAAAUCAACCAAAUAGAAUAUAAGCUAAAUAAGACCUAAUUAUUUAAUAGUAAAGUGAAGGGGGCGUUCAUCAACCAUAUUACUAGCAAUGAAAGCCUUAGGAAGAAGCUUCUAUGACAGAGAUUAGUUCUAGAAAGAUAGAACAUUCAAACAGUAAUAUUUUCUAGAUGAUAGGAAAAAAAAAGCUUUUAAUUCCAAAUGGUUUCUAGAUGUGAUGAACCGGGAAAGUCAAAAGAUCAAGUUAUUGGUCUGGUCAUCGUUGCUGCUGGAAUAGGUGGAGGAACGGGUACUAGUGGGGCUCCUGUGAUUGUAGCUGCAGAAUCAUUGGGGAAGGGUCCUACAUCUUGGCUGAGAAAUAGAGUUAUUGAAUCAAUAUAUAGCCUUGAGGCUCUCUUAUUGUUUCCAUUGGAAUUGUUGAUAACUAAGGAAUGGAAGAGUAUAAAGCUUGAACUUCAGCUUCUGACAUCAGGUUCACUUGACGGCUAAGCACCCAUUGCUUGAAUGGGUUGGUUAGGAAAAUCACUACCAGAAUCACCAUCACUUAGGUGGUGUUUGUUUUUUUGGCUUUUUGCUGAAAGUAAUUUAUUUUUGAAAUUUAAGUUGUUUGUUUUUCUACUUUUUUAUGACUUAUUAUAAACUUUUUACUAAAUAGAAAAAAUCAAAAUAUGUAGUUUUUUCUUAAUAGAAAAAAUAACACAUUGAUUUUUCUUUACUUUUUAAUACUUAAUAGAAAUAAAAUAUUAUAAAAACAAAUAACCUAAUAUUUAACAUUAUUAAGCAUUAAGGUUCUAUUUAGAAUUAAGUAAAAAAACAAACACCACCUAGGGUGGUGUUUGUUUUUUUACUUAGUGUUUACUAUUAUACAAACUCUGUAGCAUGGAGGUCUGAUGGAUCUAAUAAUGGUGUUUGGAGUGCUAAUAAGCCUUCUCGGUACACUGGUGCUCAUGCAAUUGCUGGAAGCAAGGCACAUGCCAGAUUUUCAAUGAAACUGAACCUCUAUUUCACUGCACUGCUUUAAGCUUAGAUCCUGGCAGUCUGUGAUAUCUCUGUUGGGGAAAGAAGUAUGAGCAAGGUGAAAUCACAACUUGGUAGAGGAGAAUAAAUGUCGAUGCAUGAAAUGGCAAACAAGAUGAUGUUUGAGCUAUAUUUUGUCAGCCUGAAGAAGCAGAGAUGCUUGGUAAAACAAUAUUGGAGACUUGCACAGAUCCCUACUCUGAUGUUAACAAACCAAAAUGAAGUUUCUGGUGAAGAACUGAAACCAUUUCCAGAGAGGCUUUAUGUGGUUCUUUCUAGAGAAACCAUUGAAGAAAUCAUUGGAACGCCAAGGGAGCUACCAUCCUUCUGAAUUUCCAUCUGGAGAGCAUCUUCUUUUGCUUAAUCCACCAAAGAAGCAAUUCAGUAGCCAAUUGCCAUCUCUCAACGGCUCACUGGAACUGCAUUGCAAAAAUUCAGCUCAGCUGAGAAGUUUGCCAUUGGAAAAUUGCAAUUUGGUUGGUCCUGUGCCAAAAUCUUCGGGGAUUGGUAAUAUUAAGACUGUCAAUGAAUAACAAGAACACAACAGCCCAGGAUCUGCUCUCUUAGCCAGCUCGUACCAAAUCAUUCUCAUUGGAAACAGCUCAGAUGGGUUUGAGCUGAAUCAUUUGGGAAAUGAAUAACUUAUGAUUGAUUGCAUAAAUGGUGGGGCCUACAAUCCAGAAGAAAACCCUCUCAGAAGACACAAGCUCCUUCCCAUUCUUUCCCAUUCUGUUUGUUUCCAGCCUUGAUACCUUCAAUACCUGGCAGUCUCCACACAACUCAUCCAAAGUCCCUCCAUCAAAUUUGAACCCAAAGCCAAACAACUCCGUGUCUAAAACCUUAGGACUAGCUCACCACCUUGUUUUUCUUCAUACCCACCACCUUCAGCUUCACUCAUCACCAAGCCAACUUCUCUCACAUCCUCCACUACUCAUUUCCUACCCAACCUAGCUCUAUCUUUCUCACUUAACAAGUGCUGGUGAUGACAGUGAAGACUGGUCACACCUCUCUUUACUCGGCUCCAGCGAUGAGACUAAUGCCUUUGAUGAUUCCGAUACUUUUGUUUCUCCAGUUCAGGGGUUUGCCUGUAUUGGAUGAAUGGCUCCAAGAGUACAUAAAGGAAAGAUUGGUGAUGUUAGUAGCCCCAAGGAUGGUGAUAAAUCUGCUGAGGAAUCCCUAUUGGUUUUACUUCAUGCACUUGAUAAGCUGCCUGUGAAUCUUCAAGCCCUUCAAAUGUGUAACAUUGGCAAAUCUGUUAAUCAUUUACGUACUCAUAAAAACUUAGAAAUUCAGAAGAAAGCAAGGAAUUUAGCUGAUACAUGGAAGAAACGAGUUGAGGCAUAAAUGAAUAUUAAUGAUGCAAAGUCUGGUUUAAGUCAGGCUGUUCCAUGGUUCUCGAGGCCACGUCUUUCUGAAGUUUCUCAUGAUGGGAACAGACACUCUGGCGGCUUCUCUGAGAUUGCCAUGGAGAGCUCAGUCAUGCAGCUUUCUUCAUCUAAAACAGCUCCAGUUAAUAAGAUUAUACUGGGGGUUGUCUUCAAUUAACUAGAUUCAAUACUAACCAUUGUUGCCUGACUUAGUGUUAGAGAUCCAUUGGACAAAGAGGAUCUUGCAGAGGCUGCAAAAGCUCAAUUUUCUCAUGACUACAGUGAUCAUCUUGCACUUGUUCGGUCUGGAAAGAUGCUGAAAAGGACCAAAUUGGAUAUGAAUAUUGAUGGAAAAAUUUUCUUUCGGCACAUUCAAUGAAAGCUAUUGAUUCUCUUCAGAAGGAGUUCUUCUCUUUGCUAAAGGAUACUGAACUGGUUGAUGACAACAUGAACACCUACAACGCAUGGAACUAUGAUGAGCAUCUCAUUUGAGCAGCUAUUUGUUGUUGUUGUAGUAUGUGGCUCAUAUUUGAGCAAAAAGACAUAUGGAGAGAAAGGGGCAAAAUGUUGGAGCGAAGUAGAGCGAUGGCAUUUUUCAUUCAGGGUUUGUACUUCUUUGUUGUGGGGCGAAUGAUAGGUUGGGGGGUGUUGCCCCCCGCAGUACAAUUCAGGGGUAUUUUUGGAAUUUCAUUCCUAAGGGUUAGUAUAAGUACCCUUUUUAUGUAACCUUAAUUUUAACAUAGUGAAAAUCCUCUUUUCCCUGUUCCCGAUGACAUAGGCUACCCGAACCACAUUAAAUCUUUGUGUUCUUCUUUCUUGCUUUUUCUAUUAUUUUUGCCAUAAAUCGUUGCACGGAUUUCAACAAUUGUGGCCCGUAUCCUGAAAUUUGCUCUGUUGUGCAAAAUGAAAUGUCAUUCUCAUUGAAAACAAUGGAGGAUGGUCAAGUGAUCUUGCAUUCGAAUUCAAUUAAUGCUCGAGAGUGUAAACUCUGUUUUCCUCUAGGAUUCAAUAGCUAUGUCUGAUUUAGUGUUUCUUCUAUUUGGGGGCGACAUCUUGAGAGAGAUUAUGAUGGGUACCUUGAAGAAUCUUGGACAUUCAGUGCUUGAAAAUAUACCAAUGACUAAGCAUUCCAGCAAGAUUUUGGAACCAAAAUGCAAUUGGAAAGGAGCAGUUUGUAAUGAGAUUGCUGGUUUGACUGCUAUUUCAGUUGAUCUUUCAUUUGUUCCUUUGGUUGAAUCUAUUGGGAUGGAAGGAAGGGACAUGGUGUUUUCUUCCAAAAGUAGCUUAUCAUCAUAAUCAAAUGCUGGAAACAUCCUCAUGGACAAUAAGGUGGGUUCACUAAUGGGGUCUCCUUUGAGAGAUAUCCAGCACAAUGAAACUGUAUAAAAUGAAGAUCUUUUGUCUCAUUCAGAAAGGUUCAAACGGUUGGAACAUAGAUGCUAUUGUGGUAAAUGAUGUCAUUGAGCAAGGAAUUGAAACCACUAGCAUCCAUAGAGUAGACACAAUUGCACCCCGACCCCCGCGUGUGCAUGGUCAUGCAUGGCCACCUUGGUGCACACUCUCCUCCACCAUAUGCUUCUUUUUGGUGACUUACACUUUUUUUGUAAUCAGAUUUUCAAACCUAUUUUCAAUUGAAUAAUCCUUGCUGUCAAAAUUUGAUUUUCGAAACUUCAGCUUUCAAAUAAUUUUAAUUCUACUCUAGUUUUCAAAUAAUUGUAAUUCCCCCAAUUUUUCUCCCUUCCUUAGAGUUUUAGGUCACCAAAAAUCCAUUUUCAAUAAACAUUUGAUGUCAUUUUUUCUUUGGCAAGCAUCUUUCACCUUUUUUCCUUGAUUUUAAAUAAAUUUAUCUAUUUUCACGUUUUUAAUGAGCAUGAAUGCAAUUUCCAUAAUUCCAAAAUAAUGAAAUUUAUGGGCUUAAUUCAUGCAAAAUCAAUUAGGCAAUGGUGGGGCCCAACAUCUGUGAUUGAUAUUGAUUAACUUAUCCACUACUCUUACAUGCAUGUGAUUAUUUUAUACAUAAGCUAACCUUUUUUUUCAUGAUAGCACAUUAUUAUUUGUUGCUAAGGUAUGCUCCCACUCCCACUUUGCUUAUUUAAUCUCUAUGAAUGACUUGCUUCCAUUAUGUGAUUAUUCCUUGGUAUCCAUUGAUCUCCUUAUCAAUUGCCACACUUACCUCACCUUAUUUAGUAUUGACCAAUUUUUAGGGGGCUUAGAGGGGUGCUACAACUUGUCGUUGUACCUUUCCAAUAGGUAACCUGACCCUCACACCUAGACUUGGUUUUCACAGACCGUCUUUUCAUAUUAGAUGUCAUAUUUAGGGUUUUUCUUUCUUAUUUUGUUUUCCCUUUAAAAAAUAAAAUAAAAUAAAAAUAAGUUGCAACUCCAAUUUUUUUUUUUCUAAAAUUCAAUUUUCUUCACAAAUAAAAAAAUGAGUCUCACCAUCGAGUGGGAACUCAUUGUGAAAAAUGUUGGUCCACAAGUAUAUUUCUCUAAAACACAAACUCGAGGUAUUACAAAUCAUGCUAAUAUAUCAAGUAAAUAAACAAUCAUAUGCCCAAAAUAAAAUAAGGCUAAAGGUAACAAAAAGAUAUAAACACUAAGCUCAACAUCUUUGAACCUAUACCUAUGAUGAGCAAUCAAUUAGGCAUAUGCCCAAGGAUUUCCUAUGGUACUUAAACCUAAGAAAUCCAGGGGUUUGGUAAGAAUAUCUGCUUAUUGAUGUUCAGUGGGGACAAACUCUAGAGAAAUUACUUUUUCUUCUACAAGAUCCCUAAUGAAAUGAUGAAGAAUUUCAAUGGGUUUACUAUAGAAAUGAAUAAUAGGAUUCUUUGAGAUAUUUGUAGUACUAGAGUUGUCAUAGUGUAUGUUUAUAGUCCCUUGUUCAAUUCCAUAGUCUUUAAGCAUUUGCUUCAUCCACAAGAGUUGUGUACAAUAGCUCUCAGUAGCGAUAUACUCAGCUUCAAAAAUAGAUAAGGAUAUAGAUUUUUGUUUCUUAUUAAGCCAAGCCACAAGACAAUCACCAAUAAAAAAACAAGCAUCAGAUGUGUUUUUUCUAUCCUCAACAUUUUCAGCCUAAUCAACAUUGGAAUAUCCAACAAUCACAAGAGAAAUUCAUACGGAUACCACAAACCAUAAUCAAGAGUAUCAUUUAUAUAAUGAAUAAUUCUUUUAACAAACAUUAAGUGUGACUCUUUGGGGUUUGCUUGAUACCUAACAUAGGCUCUAACACUAAAAGAUAUGUUAGGACGACUUGCAGUAAGGUAAACUAAGCUUCCUAUCAUACUUCUAUAAAGCUUUUGCUCAACAUCCUUUCUAGAUGCAUCCUUGUUAAGCUUAGCAGUAGUGCCCGUAGGUGUCCUAAAGGGUUUGGAGGAUUCUAGACCAAAUUUUUUAACUAAUUCCCUAGCAUACUUGGAUUGAGAAAUAAAGAUCCCAUAUUUUAGUUGCCUAAUCUGCAAUCCUAGGAAGAAUGAUAAUUCACUUACCAUGCUCAUCUCGAAUUUAGUCUUCAUCUCUUUGGCAAAACUAAGGGCAAGGCUACUAGAUGUAACUCCAAAAACUAUAUCAUCUACUUAAAUCUGAACUACUAGCAACUCACAAUUGGACCUAUUUAUAAAUAAGGUUUUAUCAACUCCCCCUAUUUCAAACUUUUUCUCCAAGAGAUAGGUUGUGAGCUUCUCAUACCAUGCUCUAAGAGCUUGCUUUAAACCAUAAAGGGCUUUCUUUAACCUAUAGACAUAAUUAAGGAAUUUCGAAUCCUCAAAUCCCUUAAGUUGCUAAACAUAAACCUCUUCACCUAGAAUCCCAUUUAGAAAUGCACUCUUAACAUCCAUUUGGUAAAGCUUUAUCCUCAAGGAGCAUGCUAUUGCCAAAAGUAUCCUAAUUGAUUCUAGUCUAUCUAUAGGUGCAAAUGUUUCUUCACAAUCAAUCCCCUCUAUCAUUGAGUAUCCUUGGGCAACUAGUCUUGUUUUGUUUCUCAUAAUAACCCCAUUCUCAUUUUGCUUGUUCUUGACUAUCCAUUUUGUACCUAUUACAUGUUUAUCUUUUGGCCUAGGGACUAAAUACCACACAUCAUUCCUAGUUAAUUGUUUUAACUUUUCCUGGAGUGUGGUACUCCAAGAUUCAUCUCCUAAAGCUUCCCCACAUUCUUUGACUCCAAUUGGGAGGUAUAGCAUACAAGACCCAUCUCAUUUAAUCUUGAUUGUCUCUUAGUAACCACUCGUUCAUUUACAUUACCUAUAACAUUUGAGAUUGGGUGGUUCUUAGGUAUCUUGGAUCUAUGUUUAUCCUUUAUUUCUUUAGGAGUGUCAUCUAAAGGUACAACUUCAUCAUUAUUAGGGUCAAUGUUUUUAUCAAGGAUGUCAUUAGGGUUUUCUUUUGUGGUCUCCAAGUCUUUAGGGUCAUUCCCAAUUGAUUCCUAGAUUAAAAUUUGAUUAUCAAUUAUAUCCUGAUCAUACCCAAUAUCAUUUAUACUACAUUAGAAGAUUCCUAGAUGAUGUGAGAAUUUUGAUUAUACACCUUAUAGGCUUAGCUAGAAGUAGAAUAGCCUAGGAAGAUACCUAAAUAAGAUUUAGCAUCAAAUUUACCAAGGUUCUCUCCAUCCCUAAGUAUAUAGCAUUCACUGCCAAAAUUCAUAAAAUAUUUAAGAUUAGGUUUUCUCCUAGUCCAUAAUUCAUAAGAUGUAUUCUUUGUUCCUAACCUGAGAAAAAUCCUAUUGGCAGAAUAACAUGUAGUAUUAAUUGCUUCUACCCAAAAUUUCAUAAGGGUAUUAUACAUAUGAAUUAUGGACUCUAUUCUCUUUUUCUACUACUUCAUUUUUUUUUAGGAGUUCUAGGGGUUGAAAACUCAUGUUUAAUUACUUUUGAUUCACAAAAGAGGUCAACAUCCAUCCACAUUGUUGAACUCUCUCUUCCCCCUAUCACUCCUAAUCCUUACAAUUGGAUGGCUAAUUUCCACUAGUAUUCUAUUAAAUAAAGACAUUAAAUGUUCUAUGGCCUCAUAUUUCUCCUUAAGAAAACUCACAUAGGAGUAUCUUGAAAAAUCAUCUACAAUCAUAAGGACAUAUCUCUUGCCACCUCUGCUUUUAGUGUGCAUUGGACCCAUAAGAUCUAUGUGAAGAAGCUCUAAAGGUCUAAUGGUCCUUAUCUCCUUAACCUUUUUGUGUGAACUCUUAGUUUGUCUUCCUUUCAUGUACUCACCACAAAUGGGUUUAGGUUCACCACUAAGUCUAGGGAUACCUCUAACCUUUUCAAUAUUCACUAAGUGCACAAAGUCCCUAUAAUUUAUAUGACCAAACCUUCUAUGCCAAAGCUCAGUAGGAUCAAGCUUAGCCUUACUACACAUAAGAGGUGUUCUAGAGUUAGGAUUUAUGGCAUAAUAGUUAUCAUCUGUCCUAUGUCUUGUGAUGACUAUUUUUCCUUCUUUAUUAACUACCUCGAAUAAGUCUUGUUGAAAAUUCACUUUAUGAUCUUUAUCCCACAUUUGACUAAUGCUUAGGAGGUUUGCUUUGAGUCCUUCAACAUAUAGAACUCCAUCUAGUUUGGGACAACCAGGGAUAACUAUACUAUCUUUGCCUUUUACUCAAGUUAGGCUUCCAUCUCCAAAAGUAACAACUCCACCAUCAUAGUUUUCUAGAGAAGUAAAGGAGGAUUUGUCUCUUGUCAUGUGUCUAAAGUACCCACUAUCAAGGUACCACUUACUAGAAGAUUUAGCUUUAAGAGCAUUGAACACAACUUGACAUUUAGACCUAUCAUUUCUCAACCAAACUUGUUAUGUCUUGGGUGGUGACUUGGAGAAACUAGAUUGACUUCUAGGUUUUUGAUUAGCUUUGUUUCCUUUCCCAUUGUUCAAGAUGUUAUUUUUAAGGGAAUUAAAUUCAUUCAUAAGUCUGUUCAUUUGAGAUUCAAACCUUUCAAGAAACCUAGUGUAGCAUCUAAAUUGAGUGUGUCCAGUUUUCUUAUAGUGUGUGCAUAGUGAUGUCUUUUUAGGAGAUUUUAUUUUUUGUUAGGGGCACCAUACUUACCUUUGACAAACAUAGUUUCUCCAUUAUAGGGAGUUUCAUCUUUAUUAGUGUACCCUAAUCCUCUUUUAUCUCCAUGGGUUUUGCAUUCAUCAAGAAUUUCAUUAAGCACUUUAGUUCCAGGGUGAAAAUUUUCAUUCGCAAAUGAAGAAGGCUUAUUAUUAUUGAUUUCUUGAGUGUGAGCAUUAUUCUUCUCAAGGAGAAAAUGAUGCUCAUAUUUAAGAAAUCUGACUUUCUCAAGAAAAUUAAACUUUUCAACAUUUAGCACAUCAAUCUUUUUUUUAUGAGCUUUAAGAACAUCAUGAUUUUUCAUAGAACUUUGGAUCAAUCUUUCAUGCUCAACAACAAGAUUACUCACAAAUUAAACCCUUUGUUCAUUAGUAAACUCAUCAUCAUCACUAUCACUAUCACUAUCACAAUCAGUAUCAUCCAUAGGUUCCAUAAACGCAACAAAAGCUAACAUGUCAUUGGAAUCAUACCUUGCAUCUUCAGAAGUUGUGGAAGCACUCUCUUUAGAGUUUGAAUCACUCCAUGUUGCCUGCAUAGACUUUUUGAUAUUUUUUUUGGGCUAGGACAAUCUUGAGCAUAGUGUCUUAGACCUCUACAAUUAAAGCAUUCAACUUUCUUACCUUUGGAGGAACAUUUUACUUUCUCAUUGGAUGAUUAUUCAUUAGGUUUUUUUCCUUCUCCAUAUUCUCGAUUAUUGUGGAACCUUUUAUUGAAUUUCAUGACCCUUUUAAUCCUUUUGGCCAUAUGGGCAAAUUCAUCCUUAGUUAUAUCAUAUGACAUUUCAAUAUAUUUUUUCUCAUCCUCAGAAGCCUUAAAAGUAGAGUCUUUAGGCUUUUGGGAACUAGGUAGGGUCAUCUCUUAUGUCUAAAAAGAGUCAACUAGUUCAUCAACUCUCAUGGAAUUGAUGUCCUUGCUCUCCUCUAUGGUAGUUAUUUUGGGUCUAAAUCUCUCUAGAAGAGAUCUCAAUAUUUUCCUAACUACAUUAGAAUAUGGAAUAGGUUCUCCAAGGUUGAAUGAAGAAUUUACAAUAUGACUUAAUUCAGAAUAAAAAGAAGAAAAAGAUUGAUUUUCAUGCAUCCUAAUAAUCUCAAACUUAGUAGCAAAUAUUUGUAACUUAGAAACCUUUAUAGCAGACGUACCUUCAUGAGUGACUUGAAGAAUAUCCCAUGUUCCUUUACACGCUUGCAAUUUGCAAUCCUAGAAAACUUGUCUAGACAAACUCCAUUAAAAAUACUAAAUAAAGCCCUAGCAUUGGCUUAACUACCUUCAUUAUCGGUUUUGUCCCAUUCAUGUUUAAGUUUAAGUUCUCCUGUUGAUCUUCCUUGAGCAUCAAGGAUCAAUGGUGGUCCCCAACUGAAUUGCAUACCCUUUUGCCUUGAAUUUUAAGGGAAAACAUCAUUCGUGCUUUCCAAUGAGAGUAAUUAUUCCCAUCAAAAUAGGGUAGACUAUUCAAAGAGGCACCACUUUUUUACUGUUCCAUAUCAGACUUACAGGAUCAAUAAAAUUUUGAUUUUUAUCCUAUAUGAUCAAUAAAAAUUUGAUUUUUAAACAAUGAAAGCUAAAUCUUUAAUCAAUAGGAUAGAGAAUCGGUUUUUUAUCUUGUUCUAAUACCAAUUGAAAAAUGGGUAUUGAUCAAAUACCUCUUAAAUAAUAAUUGAAAGUCUAAUAGGAAACACCCAAAGGGGGAGGAGAGAAUGGGUGAUUUAAAAAUUUUAAAUUAAUAUUUAUAAAUAAUAACUAACUUUUUCUUACUCUAAUAGAUAAUAGGGAUAUCCCAAAUAACUAAAUGGAUUAUACCCAAAAUAUUUAGGUUUAUAAAAAUAUGAUUUUUAACUUUUAGGGAUAUCCCGCAAUUGGUUAGGAAUAAUAUAAUUAUGAAUAUCCAAAUUAUACCUUAUGAGAUGUUAGGUAAAACAAUAAUUAGUUAUAGGUAUAACAACCAUAACCUCCAAGAUAACCAAUCCAACAAUUUCAAUAACCAAUCAAUCAUAAAGGAAUCUCAAUAACAACCUAACUAACCUAUUCAAUAUAAUCAAUAUCAUCAACUAUAAUAUAAGCAGUAAUAAAAAGAUAUGCAAUGAGGCAUAACAUUUUUACAUGGAAAACCCCCACGAAUUAUGGAAUAAAAAAACACAAGGUCUAAGACCUAUCAAUCUAAACCCAUUAUUCGAAAUCAAGUUACAUAGAUUUACAUUACAUAGAUUUACAUAGUCAUUUUACCCUAAAUACUUUCUCUCCAGCACCUGCAACUUUAUCUAUGUCUGUGAUGCAACAACUCCUUAUUUCUCCCUAGUAGAUCCUUCAGCCACUCUAAAGGGAUUAAGGUCUUCAAAAAAACAAUUGAAAUAUCCUAAUCCUUGAAUAAGAGAUUGCGAAUGGUGUGACAAUAAGGAUUUCUCUCAAUAACUCACUCCCUCAUGAAUGAAAGGUCUCAACGAUAUAUUUUCAAUCUCCCCAAAAAUCUCUACACAAUCUUUUAUCCUUAAUGGGUUAUAAGAGAUGUAUUUAUAGGCAAAAGUCAUAAGAAUUUCGAUAUCUCAAGUUUCCAAAUUUGAGUUUGAAUGAAAUUCAUCCAAAAUAUGUUUCUAAACUCGGCAAGAAUAACAUGAUUGCUUAAGUGGACUUAGACCGCUUGAGCGGUUCAUACAACUUGAGUGGGUUGACUACUUGAGCGAGAUUAACCACUUGAGCCCCUAUUUUUUGAAAAAAAAAAUAUUAUAAUUCCAAAAAUGAAACCGAACCUUUUAUACCUUAAAUAAGUCUUAUAUGCCACAACACAAACCUUUUUAGACGUAUCUGUGACUUCUUAGUUAGAUGAACAAGAACCAUUGAUCUUCAAUGGAGAGCAAGCCACUAUAUACAAAGACAUCUAUGUCCAAACAUUGAUUGGAACAAAAUUGCCAACAAUUACACAAGACUCAAUGUCCUAAUAAACAAGAUCUCUAGUUUGGGUUAAUUGAUUAAUUAGAUGAACCUAUCUAGUUAAUUAAUCAAUUAGGACCCAUUUUAGGCUAGAUUAAGUGACCCAAGCCUUGAUGAGCUUAAGUCACUUAAGCCCAAUGGGUAACCCUAUAAAUACCACUUUUAUGAGUUAGGGUCUCAUAUAACUUUUUGAUAAGAAUUGUCUUCCACCUCUAGAGAAAGAGAGAGUCAUUGCUUCCUUUCUUCCAUUAUCCACACUUUAAAGUGUUAAGAUCAUGGUUUGAGUCAUCUUCCGAAAGAUCUUGGAUGUACAAGACCUCCAGACUCUUUAGGCUUCUUCUUGAUUAGAUGGAUUUUGAUUUGGGAACAUCCAAAUCACAGGUAUGAAUACUAUAUCUCUAUAUCUAUAGUUAAUAAUAGUUUUUAUUGUCAUUUUAUUUCAUUAUGAUAGAUUUAGAGAUGCCUAGGGAUAAAGAACAGAGUACUAAGGCAUGAGAACAGAGUACUCUAGGGUUCCCAACACCAAGAUCAUCGUUUAAGUCAUCGGUCAGAAGAUCUUGGGUGUACGAGACCUUUGGUUCAUCGAGUGGAAUUGACUUAGGAACAUCUCAGUCAAAAGUAAAAUUUAGUAAUGACUUUUCUCUAGAUCGUAUAAUGUUAAAAUUUAUUUUUUACUUUCGUUACAUAAGAUCUAGAUCUAGAGGCGUAAAGAAGUUUACAUGCACCUAUACAAUCUAGGGCUUGGGAACAAAGAGAUCUAGGGUUCCUAGAAAUUGGUAUGAAUGCCCUAUGAUAAGAUUUUUCAUGUUAGAUAUGCUCUAAGGUGUGUUAACUCUAUUUUGAAAGGCUUGUUUUUCAUUUGAUGGCCCUAGGGAUGAAUAUAUGUGGGUUUUCAAUAUAAUAUGAUGGUUAUAAUUAUGAUUGGAUUGUUUUAUUUUUGCUAGAAUAGGUUGUAAGCUUCAUGUUUAGGAGCAUAGGAUUUUUCUUGGUUGUAAAAAUCUCUCCUUUAUUAGAUUGGUUGUAAACUCCAUUAAUGGAGUAUAAUAUUUUUGUGAUGUAAAAGAUCCUUUUUUUUUUUUUUAACAAUCUAAUAACUCAUGAAAGACAAGAAAGCAAUCUAAGAUGUCAUUCUUAACCAUCAUGACUCCCACACCAACCAAGGUAAGUUUUUGGUGGAGAAAACAAUCAAAAUCUACAAAAGAAAUAGUCUCAAGUGCUCAGGAAAGGUGACUUGGGUGCUCGAGCAAUCACUUAUCAUGCUCGAGCGAUAUGAUUGAUCGAGUGGUGCUUCCAAUGAUGGUAAGUUGCUUCUAGCAUCCUCAAAAAAAUUUGAGCGCUCUAGUGUAGGUGACAAUAGAUGUGCAAUAAGGAAAUACAACAACAUAAAAAUUGCAAUUCGGGAUUUUUGUAAUAGAUUAGGGUAUUUAUGUAACUAACCCUAUUUUCUGUUACAAAUAUAACUUGGGAAAAUUUGGAUUUUUUAUCCAAAUGGGUUACCAACUUUAUGUAAUAGUAUUCCCAAGGCGAUGGAAACCAGUUCAUUAAUUUAUUAUUUAUUUUAUUUCAUAUUUUUUUCUGCUUAGCAUGUGUUAAAUAAAGAAUAAAUUGGAAAAAUGAUUUUGGAUUUUUCUUAAGGAAAAUAGAUUUUCAUGAGAAACGUUUUCCAAUAUUAUUUUUCUUUUGAACUAGUCGUUGUUAAAGACAUUGUUAUUCCUUUUUGGAUUAUCCACUUGGUUAAUAGGUGGUUCUCUAAGAUCAACCCCUUAGAAAAGGAGGAAAUCAUUUUGUAUAUGGAUAGUCUAAGGAUAAAGGAAUAAGAGAGAAAUUCUUUUAUCACAAGACUCUUAAUUUAAGAAGUAAAUAACAGAAUUGGAAAAUCUCAUGAUAGAGAAUUUAUUUUAAGAAAGGUUAUCAAAAUUACUAAAAGUCACUAUUUUCAAAAUAUUAAUUAGGAGAGGGCCUUAGCAAAUACGAUAACCUCCAUUGUCAAGCCCAUCUUGAUUUGGGUUCAUCACCACCCUCACAGUGGAUUGUAAGCCCUAGGAAUCAAGGGAUAUAGACUCUCCUUAUAGACAAGGCUUUACAUGUCUGUAGUAGGAGCAACCACCCCCAUGGUGGGUUUCCUUGCUAAGUGAUAUUGAUAGCUUAAGGACAAUGGUUAUACACUUAACAUUGGAUAUUAAGUGGUUGAAUCACCCCACACAAUCCCACCUACAUAGUUCAUAGGUCAAAUAAAAAGGUAUGUUGUUCUUGCCUUUAGGUAACGUUCAUGUUUAAGGUAGGGAGAUCAAUCUGAGAGAGUCACUAACUAAUAAUAAGGUCAUGACCUAACUUAUGUAUUCCUAAACAUAACUAAGGCUAAUAAUAAGGUCACUAACUAAUAAAUCGUGUUGGAAGAAGGAAUGCCCUAAAUUCCUAAAGAGAUAGUUAGUUAUGCAUUUUUAUUUUCUAGUUGAAUCAUGUUUAGUGUUGGAUUCUACUAAUUCUUAGUGGAUAGAUUCCAGAGCUAUUGAUCAUGUUUAUAAUUCAUUACAGGGGUUUCAACUAAGCCGAAGGCUAAAUGAUUGAGAUAUGUAUCUAACAUUAGCUUCUGAAGCGAGACUUGUUGUGUAGGCAAUGGAAGAUGUUACCUUUAUAUUUUCUUAUAAUAGUCUUAUAAUAGUCUUUUAGUAUUAAAGGAUUGUCUUUAUGUUCCCGAGUUUAUGAAGAAUUUGAUUUCGAUUUCUAAUAUAUGUAAACUGAAUUAUUCAUCUUUUUUCUAUUAAACAGGUUUGUAUUAGAUUGAAUGAUUCAUUUAUAUGCUCAAGAUCAUUGAUAGAUAAUCUUUAUCGUGUUUCUCUAUUAUCUAUUUUGUGAAGUAAUGAGAGUUAUCAUAUUUCAUAGAAAAUGAAGGAACCUAGCAAUAAUCAAAUAUAACUUUAGCACUUAUACGUAGGUCAUAUAAUCUAAACAAGGCCUAAAGAUUGGUUAAGUUUAGAACUUUACCAUUCUUGAUUCAAAAGAUCUUACAGUUUGUGAAUCUUGUAUAGAACGUAAAAUGACCAAGAAGCCUUUUACUGCUAAAGAAUAUAAAGCCAAGGAAUGUUUAGAGUUAGUGCAUCUUGACAUUUGUGCAUCUUUCAAUGUCCAUGCACAAGAAGGAUAUGAGUAUUUCAUCACGUUUACAAAUGAUUACUCCAUGUUUGGAUAUGUUUACCUGAUGCAUAGGAAGUUUGAUGCCUUGAACAAAUUCAUUGAAUUUAAGACAGAAUCAGAAAACUAAUUGGGUAAAUGUAUCAAGGCACUUCAAUUUGAUAAAGGUGGUGAGUAUAUGUCUACUCAAUUUGAUUCUUUCCUUAAGGAGCACAAGAUUAUAUCCUACUUGAGUGCACUAGGAACUCCACAAUAAAAUGGAGUAAUAGAAAGAAGAAAUCGAAUGUUGAUGGACAUGAUGAGAUCUAUGAUGAGUUUCUCAUCACUCUUGUAUCCUUUUGGGGAUAUGCCUUAGAUAUUUCAUCUUACCUUCUCAUUUUCACAUUUAGGGGUGCCUAAGACAUGUGCUGAAGCUAAAGGUAGACAAAUUGAAAGCAAGGCUUGAUGUAUAUCAAUUUUUAGGUUAUACAAGAGGAAUGAGAGGCCUUUACUUUCACAUCCAGGUCGAUCAAAAGGUAUUUUUCAGUACAAAUGCCAAAUUUAUGGAAGAAGGUUAUAUGAUGAAUAAUAGGGUAAAACAUGAUAUAGAUUGGAGGACACUUGAAGACACUCCCACACUAGCACAAAGGACUAUGAGACAACAAGUUCCUACACCUACCAUUCUAGUCAAUUCUAGUACAUUCAUGGCUCAUUGUAGUGGAAGGAUUGUUAUACAACCAGACAAGUUCAUGUAUUUGAGAGAGUUUAUCAAGGCAAUUCCAAAGGAACAUGAAACCGAUCCCAUAGAUUAUAAUAACGCAAUGAGUAGUAAUGAUGUUAUUCUUUGGCAAAGAGCUAUGGAGGUAAAGUUAAAAUCUAUGUAUUCUAACAGAAUCUAGGAUCUUGUAGAAGUACCUGAACUGCUAAAACUCAUAGGCGGUCUAAAAAAGGAAGAGAAGUAAAUGGAAAGAUUGAGACAUACAAGGCUAGGCUGGUAACGAAGAGUUAUAGUCAAAAACUUGGUUUUAACUAUAAGGAGACCUUCUCACCAAUAGCCAUGCUGAAAUUCGUCUGAAUACUCCUAUCCAUUACAAUGCACCUUGAUUGUGAAAUAUGACAAAUAGAUGUCAAGACAAUGCUCUUGAAUGGUGAUCUUAAAAAGAGCAUCUAUAUGAUGUAACUAGAUGGAUUCAUAGCAAAAUGAUAAGAACAUCUUAUGUGCAAGUUGCAUAAAUCCAUUUAUAGAUUAAAUUGGGCGUCUUGCACAUGGAAUAGGCAUUUUGAUUAGGCUAUCAAGACUAUUGAUUUUGAUCAAAAUGAGGAUGAGUCUUAGGUGUACAAGAAGAUGCAGGAAAGCAUGGUUGUGUUUUUGGUCUUAUAUGUUGAUGACAUUCUAUUCAUUGGGAAUGAUGUAGGGUUAUUGUCAUCAAUUAAGAUCUGGCUAUCUACUUAAUUCUAAAUGAAAGGUCUAAGUGAGACACAAUAUAUUCUUAGAAUUAAGGUCCUUUGGGAUUGUACGAAUAGGAAGAUUGCGUUGUCUUAGGCCACCUACAUUGACAAGGUUUUGGUCAAGUAUGUGAUAAAGGACUCUAAGAAAGGUUUCUACCCUAUGCUUUUGCAAUGGGUAGCCUUAUGUAUGUGGUGCUAGGUACCAGACCAGAUGUUUUCUUUGCUAUAGGAUGGUGAGUAAAUAUUAGUCUAAUCUAGGCAUGGAGCAUUGGACAAUAAUCAAGCAUAUACUCAAGUAUCUUUGAACAACGAGGGAUUAUAUGUUAGUAUAUCAUUACGAUAAGUUGUUACUUCUUGGGUAUAUGGAUUCAUACUUUCAGUCAGAUAAAGACUCUCACAAGUUUACCUUUGAUUUUGUGUUCACUCUAGGUGGUGGGACUAUUAUUUAAAGAAGGUUGAAGCAAUCUUGUAUUGCUAACGCUACUAUGGACGAUGAGUAUAUUGCUACUUCUAAAGCAGCAAAGGAAGUUAUUUGGCUUCGAAGGUUCCUGUUAGGACUUGGGCUAGUGCUCUUGGCUAUAUCACCCCUAGUACUAUUUUGUGAUAAUAGUGGGAUGGUGGCAUAGUCUAAAGAACUAAAAAAAACCACCUGAAGAGUAUUACUUGAUACGUAAGAUAGUAAUGAAGGGAGAUGUGGUUGUGGAGAAAAUCACUUCUACUGAGAACCUGAUAGAUCCCUUCACAAAGACUUUAUUUACUAGAGUCUUUAAUGGUCAUAGGGUAGCUUUUGUGUCAAAUGUGUUCCCAACAUGCUCUAAGGCUAGUAGGAUUUUGUUGGGAUUAAGCCCUAGAAAGCAUGACAAGAUGUAAUAGAUAUAGAUUCAUUUAUAAUUUUAUUUAUUUAUGUUUCUUUAUUUUGUGUUAUUAUCCUAUUUGUAUUAAUUGGUUAUUUAAGCAUACACACCCCACAUUAAUUGCAUUGUACAUGACUUGGGUGCAUUAGGGGUUACAUAGACGAUCUAAGUCAUUGGUUUCUUAUAGAGUGAUGAGUUGUCCAUAGUCGGUUCAUAGAUUUAGGCAAUCCAUCUGAGACUAUAGUGCACUACCUCCUAAUUGGAGGAAUAACUUGUCUUAGUUGUCAAGAUGGUUUUCCCAUGGUGAGUGCACUAGUGCAUGUGAUGAACACUGCAUUAAGCCUACGGUGAAUCAUGACAUAAGGCUAUCAAUUGUCAUGAUUCACCAAGCUACUAUACUAGAUGAACUCUUAAGCUUGAGAGGAUAUUAAGCCUAUGCCAAAGUCAAUAGGAGGCUUUAACCUACAAGUGAGUUCCUAAGGUGACCAUAUAUCUCUAUGGAUUAUGUCACUAUUGAUUAAGACUGGUGACAAUAGGUAUUCUUAAUAGAGGCACCAUAAUAUCUCAUGGAUUGAGAUAGUGUGUCCCCUUCGAUGAUCCAAAGGACAUGUGAUCUAGAAGAUUUGACAUUUUCUUUAGUGGAAAUUUCACAUAUCUCCUUGGAGUUAGAGUAUGUCAAUUGAUCACAUAAUAAGUAGGAUUUGUAAUCUAAGGACUGAAGACGUAAUCUUGAUAGGUGAUAACACUAUCUUAUUAGAUUGCAGACACCAAUUCAUGGGAAGUCUACAUGUAGUGGAUAUUAGGUCACAAAUUUGAGCUUUAUAUCAUUGUUAUUUACAUAAGUAUUGGAAUGUAGUUGAUUCUCUUAAAUGAAAUGUUGAAUCAACUUCAAAAUUAGAUUUUGAGGGAUCCAUUACUCCUAUGGGUCCUAGUGAUCCCCACUCUAAGCUCAUAUAACAUGAUGACAUGAUUUUUAAGGGUUAGAUUGGCUCUAGGUUCACUCUUGUGCAUAAGGGUAUUUUGGUAAUUACGUAAGGUUGCAUAGGAGAUAGUGAACAAGGUCUCUAGAUUGGACUAAUUGAUUAAUAAGAUGGGCCUAUGUGGUUAAUUAAUUAAGACAUGUUUUAGGCUAGAUUAAGUGACUCGAGCCUUAGUAGGCUCAAGUCACUUAAGCCUAGUAGGGAGACCUUAUAAAUACCCCUUUAGGGGUCAAUGUUUCCAUCACUUUUCAAAGACAGUCGUCUUCCACUUCAGAGAGAGAGGGAGAGAGCUAGGAUUCUUCCCUUCCAAAGUCCACACUUUAGAGUACCAAGAUCGUGGUUCAAGUCAUAGGGCAAAAGAUCUUCGGUGCACGAGAUCUCCAGACUCUUCAAGCUUCAUCUUUAACUAGUGAAAUUGAUUUGGGAUGUCUAAAUCAAAUUUAAAGUUUUCUAAUGACUUUUCUUUGGAUCCUAGAAUGUUAAAAAAAAAAAAAUUCAUUUCCGUUGCAUAGGAUCUAGAGGCAUAGGGUAGUUUGCAUGCACCUAUAUGAUCCAAAGCUUGGGAACAAAGAAACCUACCCAAAAUAAAAGGUACUCGAUAUGAUGAUUUGAAAUUUUUGCAAGGAAUUACAAUUACACUGAAUGUAGCAACAACCUCAUAUGAAAUUCUCGGUGAAGUUUCUAAUUCUUCAAAGCUAGUGAAAAGGCAUUACAAAGUCUUGCAAAGCCAUGUUUGUUGAAAGGUAUUUCUACAUCCAAGUUGGAAUUUUGUGAGCACUAUAUAUUAAGCAAAAACAACAGGGUAAAGUUUGGUAUUGCAGUCCAUCGCACCAAGGAAACAUUAGAUUAUGUGUAUACAAAUGUCUAGGGACAUACAAAAACAACUUCUUUAUGAGGUAAGCAUUGGUUUGUGAAUUUUUUUUAUGAUUACUUAAGAUAUGUGUAGGUGUAUUUAAUGUGAUAUAAAAGUUAUGCUCUUAAUGUGUUUCUCAAAAGACAAUGGUAGAAAAUAAAGUUAUUAAAAAAAUAUAUAUUAAGAAGCAUAUAUUAAACAAUGAUGGGGAAUAUAAGUUAAAUCCUUUUACGCAAAUUAGAGAAAAAAAAUGAUUGUGUGACACUUACCAGUCAUGAAUAUUCUACAAGAAAACAGGGUAGUAGAGAAGACAAAUCACAAAUUGUUUGAGAAGUUGAGGUGCAUGUUGUCUAAGAGCAGAUUGAGGAAAAGAGUUUUAGGUUGAGGUUGUAACAUAUACAUGUCAUCUUAUUAAUAGAUUACCUUCUAUAAUACUUGAGAUCAAGACUCCCAUGGAGAUACGAUAUGGUACUCCAACUUCUGAUUAUGAUUCAUUACAUAUAUUCAGUUGUUCUUCUUACUACCAUAUUUAGAGAAUAAGUUAAAGCUUAGAUCCAAGAAAACAAUUUUCUUAGGUUUUAGUAGUGGUGUUAAAGGCUAUUGUUUAUGGUACUCUUUGCAAAGGAAAAUCAUUGUGAGCAUGGAUGUUGUGUUGAGUGACGAUGUUAUGUUAAAAAAGAGUUUCACAGAAGAUGGAGUUUGGAAGUCAAGUUGAAACUACUAUGAUGUCUUCUCUAGAUCAUUCAAGUAUGGAUUUAGAUGUCAUAGUAGAUGAACUAGAGUUUACUUCCCUAAGGUCCAAUGAAUAUUUUAAGUCAAUUGCAGUAAGUAGACCACAUAAAGAGAUAUUGUCACCUGCAUGACAUGUUGAAUUGGUUGCAUAUGCAUCACCCAUUGUUACUAAAGAUAUUCCAGACACUUAUAGGGAUGCAAUUCAUAGUCCUUAAAGUGAAGAUUGGAAAUUGGAAAUAUAGAAUAGAUGAACUCUCUCCACAAAAUUAAGACAUGGAAAUUAGUUCCAUUUCUUCCAUGAAGAAAGUUGUUGGAUGUAAAUGGCUAAGCAAAUAAAGAGAACUCAAUAAAAAAAAAGGUGAUAUAAGUUUCAAGGUUAUAUUAGUUGCAAAAGGGUAUGUAUAACAUAAAUAUAUUCAUGAUAAUAAAGUGUUUUAUCCUAUUGUUAAUCAUUCUUCUAUUAGAUUAUUGUUCGCUCUUAUUGCUCAAUAUGAUUUGGAGUUGUCUUAGUUAGAUGUUAAAACUGCUUUUCUCCAUGGUGAUUUAGAUGAAGAGACAUAUAUGUCUUAACUAGAAGGGUUUUAAAGAACUAAGAAAGAAUAAUUUGUUUGUAAAAUUGAACAAAUCAUUAUAUUCAUUUGAAGCAAUCCCCAUGGCAAUGGUACAAGACAUUUGAUCAAUUUAUAAUAGAAAUAAUUACAUUAGAAGUAAAUUUGAUCAUUAUGUUUAUUUUAGUAAAUUAUCUUAUGAAAAUUAUAUUUUUUUUGUUAAUAUAUGUCGAUGAUAUGUUGAUUGCUUGUAAGCCUCUGAUAGUCAUUCAUAGGUUAAAAAAUUAGUUGAGAACUAAAUUUGAAACUAAGGAUCUUAGAAUGCAUGAAAAAUUAUUGGAAUGAAGAUGACAAGGGAUAGAAGAAAGGGGAUUGAUGAAUUGUCACAACAACAAUGUUUGUAGACAUUACUUUAGCAUUGUGGUAGGACUUCCAAAAUAAAAAGUGUACUCCUUUGGCACCUCAUAUGAAACUCAAUGUAGAGAUGUCUCAUAACUUAGAUGAAGAAGUAAAGUGCAUAUGCAUAAUGUUCCAUAUGCUAGUGUCGUUUGAAGUUUGAUGCAUACCAUGGUUUGUAAUAGACUUGAUAUUCCACUUGUUGUCAUCAUGGUUAGCAGGUAUAUGCAUAAUCCAAUGGCUCUAGCAAACAGUAAAAUAAAUUUUAAGAUAUAUUCUAUGCACAACUGAUGUUGGAAUAGUAUUUCAACAAGAAUGUUCAACACAAGAUAUGGGUUAUGCAUAUUCAGACUAUACAACUAAGCUUUGUAAGUGUACGUCUAUUAUAGGUUCUGUAUUUACACUUGUAGGUAGACCUAUUUGCUAGAAAUCAACAUCUAUUGUGGCUUUGUCUGCUACAGAGCUAGAAUAUAUGAUAAUUAUAAAAGCUUUCAAGGAAGCUAUUUGGUUACAUGGUUUGGUUAAGGACUUGGGAAUCAAACAUGUCACAUCAUAACUUAUUGUGGUAGUUAAAAUGUCAUUCAUUUGGAAAAUAAUCAAAUUCAUCACUCCCAAACAAAGCAUAUUGAUGUUUGAUUUUAUUUUAUUAAAGAAAUUCUAGAAGAAGGUGAUAUCUUUCUUCAAAAGAUUGCUACUAUAGAUAAUCUAGCUCAUAUGCUGACAAAGAUAGUUUAUGGGAUCAAGUUCAAUCAUUGUGUAGACUUAAUCCAUAUUGAGAGGAUAUGAGUAUCCUCAAGUGCAUUUGGCUACAAGAUCCUUAAAAGAAUUUGUGUAGCGUUCAAUCUUGGCAAGGUGGAGAUUGUUAAAUUGGCUUCACUUAAGUUAAUCAACCAAUUGCAAGAGAAUUUUGAAGCCUUAAUAGUUGAACCAUAUAUUGUUUUUUUAGGUAAAGUCUAUAGUUACAAUGCAUGUAGUUGGAUUGAAAAGUUUCUUGGGGAACAUAGGAUAUAAUUGAUGUUCUCUACAUUGGUUUUUCUUUUUUCUUUUUUCAAUUUUGAAAUUCCAGAGAAAACUAUCUUACAAAGGAGAAAAUACCACACUUAGGACAAAGAGUACUUUGUAAUUAUUCUAUACUCUUUUGAGAUCUUUAGUGAAUGAUCUUACUAUAGGCAAAAACCUUGAAGCUUUACAACGUUAUGAUGUAGUAUUUCCAAUAAUAUAGGCACUUCAUUUUCAAAACCUUUCAAGUAUGUUGCCUCAUCUCUUUCUUGUCCAUGGAGUUUUUUUCGAGGCUACCACAUUGCCUAUACAUAAUUAAGCCUUUAAACACUACCAUAGCCUUCGAUACCUAUGUAAUUUUUUAUAUCGAAAUCUUUUGUUGCCUUGAUGAUGUCUUCAUAAGCAAUCUUACCAUCAUAGUUCCAUGCCAAAAAUAUAUAUCCUUAUGGAUGUUACUUUGGUUUGAUUUUUUCUUAUCUUCAAUGAAAGUGGGAGGGCCACAAAAGAAAGAAACAAAGUGGUAAAAAAAGAAAUAAUGAUGAUGAGUAUGAUUUUAUGUCCCUUCUUAGAAUGAGGCAAGUCUUCUAUGUCCACACAUAAACCUUUAUUGUGGUCAAAUACUGUAAAUAGAUGUUCAAACUACAUUAGAUUCUUCAAAUCCCCAAUUUCAAAAGAGCUAGCAUCGUUGAUUUGAUUGUAACAAAGAUAAAAAUGAGUCAAAUCAGUAGAUGCCCCAAAGAUGAAGGAAUAACACCAAUAAGGGAGUUAUGACUAAGAGACAAUUCCAAGAAUUCUAGGUUGGUAAAAUAUCCAAGUGAGGAAGGGAUGACUCUGGAAAAAGAGUUAGAACCCAAAUCCAAGUGAAUCAGAUUCAUUAAAUUCCCAAUCUAGUAAGGAAUAAAACCAUGGAUUUCAUUGCAACUUAGGCUUAAAUAUUUAAGCAAGUAAACAAUAAUAGCACAAAAUAAACAAGAAAAUAAUAACAUAAUUAUUUCCUCAUGGGCUUUAAGGAUCUUAUUGCAUAAUUAGUAAUAAUUUGGAUAAAAUCCAAAUAAAAAAUAUUACCAAAAAUACCUAUAACCAAAAAUAUGAUUAUAAAAUAAAAAGAAACCUUAAAAAUGAUGGGAGAAACUUGAAUCUCUUCAUUUUCCGAGCCUAGAUUAGGCUAGGAACAUGCUUAACUAUCCUAAGCUUUUCUAAAUCCCAUGCAUAGUGAAAAAAUUGCAUUUUUAAAACUUAAUAUGGAUUCAAUAAGUGCUAACGAAAACAUAAUUUGGAUUAAAAUGUUCUUAAAUCCAAUACACAUAGUGAAGAUAAAGAAGGAAGUCACAGAAGUCUCAUAUACCCGAAGUCUUCCAUUCGAUGACUUGAACCUUGAACUUAACACACUUCAGGUGGGAAUGUAAGAGAAGGUAAAGGUUAUGGCUCUCUCUCUCUCUCUCUCUAGAGGUGGAAGACAACUCUUUAAAAAAAACAAUGGAAACCCUAACCCUUAAGGGGUAUUUAUAGGGUUUCCCACUAGGCUUAAGUGACUUAAGCCCAUUAAAGGCUAGGGUCACUUAGUCUAGCAAAAAACAAGUCCUAAUUGAUUAAUUAACCUAAGAAGGCCAAUUAAUUAAUUAAUUAGUUCAAUUUAAAGAACUUGUUCACUUGCCUUGUGCAACCUUACGUAAUUACCAAAAUGUCCUAAUGCAUAAAAGUGAACCUAAAGUUAAUCCAACCUUUAUAACCCAUGCCAACAAGGUAUAUGAGCGUAGAAUAGGGACCAAUGGGGCACAUAAAAGUACUAACACCCUUAAAAUCCAAUUUUGAAGUUGAUUCAAUAUCCCACUACAGAGAAUCAACUAAACUCCAAUAUCCUAUGUGAAUAACAACAAGACACCAUGUGCUCGAGUCUAUGACCUAUUAUCCAUUACGUUCAGUCUCCCCAUAAACUUGUGUCCAUAGUCUAAUAAGGUGAAAGCUAUCAGUCUUUCAAGACUACCUCUACUAUCCUUGAGCAAUAGAUCCUUCUAUUUUGUAUUCAAUUAACAUAUCUUAGCUUUCCAAGAGCUAAUGUCAAGUUCCACUUAAAGAACUACUAUGACCAUAGUUUCCAUGAACAUACCUCCAUAGGAUCAGCCAAGGGGACACUCUAUCUCAAUCCUAUAAGAUAUCAUGGUGCCUCUAUUGAGAAUACCUAUUGCUACUAAUUUCCAUCAAUAGUGACCCAAUCCAUAGGGAAUAUAUAAUCAGCUUACGAUAUCACCUAUAGGUCAAAGUCAUUGCUAACUUGAACAUAAGCUCAAUAUUCUCUCAAGAUUGAGGGACAAUACAAUGAAGCAGCUUGGUGAAGUCAUGACUACAUGAUAGCCUUACAUCAUAACUCAUCGUAGGUCUUGUCCAAUGUGCAACCAUACACACUAAUGCACUCACCAUGGGAAACCUAUCCCAAUGGCCAAGACCAGUCAUCCCUCCAAUUAGGAGGUAGUGCACUAUAACCUCUAAUGGGUUGCCUAAGCCUAUGAACUAGUUGUGAACAAGUCAUCCAUUUGCAAGGAACCCAUGACUUAGAUCUUGAAUGCAACUCCUAAUGCACCUAAGUCACGUAUAAUGGAAAAAAUGCAUGCCAAAGUGCUUACAAGAUAUAAUGCAUAGAAAUAGGAUAACUAAAAGUAAACUAAAACUUUAUUAAAUAAAUAAUAGAAAUUCACAUGUUUAUUACAUCAUGUCAUGUUUUUAAAGGCUCUAUCCUAACAAAAAAAAUACCCUAAAAAUGUCAAAUAGCAAUCAUUUGCACUUUAGCGUCCCAAGGGUCGCUGGAAGGACUACUCUAUCACUCAUGCUGCCUAAGCACUAAUAUGAUCACUUAAGCAUUGAGGCCACUUGAGUGCUAAUCUAAGCGCUUAAGCACUACAUCCUACACAUGAGGUUGGUUCUAUAACUAUUUCAACCAUCGUUUCUAUGAAAGCCUCAUCAUUUUGGAUGACUUUUUGCACCAUAGAUGCUCGUGAAUGCUUGGAAUCUUUAAUCUUCAAGUUUUGGGUUACCAAAGACGGAUAAAAUUUCGAUUUUUACAUUAAGAAAAACCUUAUGCUUCGUUAGAUGGAGUGUACAGUCCAUCUAAGAACAAAAGACUUGAUAUUUACUUAUAAAAUUAAAAUUUUAUGCUCCUAACCAUGAAGUUUCCAACCUAGUCUAUACAAAGAACAAAUCCAAACACUUAAUCACAAUUAUAAACAUCAUAUUCAUAAAAAUAACAUCCAUACAUUCAUCCCUUUAGGUCAUGGGAUGAACAAACAUGCCUACAAAACCAAGUAAGCACACCUUAGAAUGGAUCUAAUAAGCUUUUUCGUAACCUAGGGCUUUGAUACCAAUUGUUGGGAAAACCUAGAUUGCUCCAUUAUCAUGUCUUGGAUCGUUAGGGUGCAUGAAAACCUAUUCUAGGCUCUCUAAAUCUAUCAUACAAUAGAAACAUUGCAAUUGAAACCAAAAAGAAUACCAUAGAUUUAGAGAUUAGUGCCAUACAUUUUAUUUAGAUAUUCCUAGAUCGAUUCCUAUCAUUGUAGAAAGCUCCAAAAUUGAAGAAAAUCUUAUAAACAUCAUGAUUUUCCACCCAAUGACUUCUCCUUGAGUGUAGGUGCUAAGAUGGUGGAGAUCUCAAGGGUUGGAGGCUAGGUUUCUCUCUCUAGACUAUAAGGAGAGAAUGGUAAGAUUGAACUUCACUAGAAACCCUAAUCCCCUAAAGGGGUAUUUAUGGGCUUCUUACUAGGCUCAAGUGACUUAAGCCCACUAUGGGCUUGGGUAACUUAAUUUAGCCUAAAGGGUGCUAAUUGAUUAAUUAACCCUAUAGAGCUCCAAUUAAUCCAUUAGUCUAAUCCAGAGAUAUUGCAUACUUAUCCUUAUGCAACCUUGCAUGAUUACCAAAGAGUCAUAAUAUUCAUAAGUGAACUAAAAACUCAUCCAACCCUCAUAAACUGUGUCAUCAAAGAAUAUGAGCUCAAGUGAGGACCAUUAGGACCCAUAGAAUAGUACUGGCUCUCUCAGAAUCCAAUUCUAAAGUUGACUCAAUAUCCCACUAUAGAGAGUCAAUUGCACUCCAAUACCCCAUGUAUAUUACAACGAGACACUAAGUGUUUGGGUAUGUGAGUCUCUUCAUGAACUGGUUAUUGAUAGUCUAACAAGAUGAAAGCUAUUAGCUUUUGAAGACUACCUUUACAAUCCUUAAGUUACAGAUCCUCAUCUUAUUAUGUGAACAAAUGACAUACUCUAGCUUACUAAGAGCAUGUGUCGAAUUCCACUAAAGGAAUUACUGCAAGCCCAUAAACUUCAUGAUCAUGUGUCCUUAAGAUCACCUAAGUAGACACACUAUCUCAAAGUCCAUGAGCUAUCAUGGUGUCUAUAUUGAGAAUACCUAUUACUACUAGUUCCAUCAAUAGUGACCCAAUCCAUAGGGAAUAUAUGAUCAGCUUACGAUCUCAACCAUAAGUCAAAGCCACUACUAGUUUCUACACAAAAUCAAUAUCCUCUCAAGGUGAGAGACUAUAUAGUAUAGCUACUUAGUGAUGUCAUGACUCCUUGAUAACCUUAUGUCAUGACUCAUCGUAGGUCUUGUCCAAUGUGUAAACUAUACACACUAGUGCACUUUUCAUGGGAAACUCAUCCCGACAACCAAGACUAGCCAUUUCUCUAAUUAGGAGGUGAUGAAAUACAACCCCAAAUGGAUUGCCUAAGUCCACAAACCGAUUGUGAACAAAUUAUCUACUUGCAAGGAACUCAUGACUUGUAUCUUAUGUGCAAUUGCUAAUGCACCUAAGUCAUGUACAAUGCAAGGCAAGAGAUGCUAAGCCAAAGUGGUCAUAGAGAAUAAUCCAUGGAAUAAGUAUAGAUAAGAGUGAACUUGGAAUAUCAUCAUGAAUUUCAAAUUUGUUAUAUCAUAUCAUGCUUUCAAGGAAUCUAUCCUAACACUGUGUACCUUGAGUAUAUAGUUUUCUUUAAAUUUUAUAAUAUAUUGUUGCUUUCUUAUUAAAAAAUCAUUAAAAAAAACCUCAUUUAACCCUUUGUAUAUUGUUUUUCUAUACUUGAAUGAUAGAAAUGGUGAUUUAGGUUUGGCUUUCUAGCUUAUAUGACUUUUAUGGUAAAUGCUUCAAAGCAUAUUCAUGAUACUAUCUUGCUAAUGUUGAGGAUGACGUAGCACAACUUCAAGAAGGUAUUUGCAAAGUAGAAUGUACAAUUUCUAGAUUAAAUUUUUUAGAAAUGUUUAUAAAGUUUAGAUUUGAAGAUUACUGUGGAUUAUUUUUAAUAAAAUAGAAUUUAUAGAUAUCCUAUUAUGUAAUCGCUUUAUACAAAAACAAAAAAAAAAAAAACAAAAAAACAAAAAAAAAAACAGAAACAAAAAAAACACAAAAAAAAAAAACAAAAACAAAAAAAAAGGGUUUAAUUUUGAUGUCUUCUACAAGAUGCUUUCACUUUUAUAUUAUUUAAAUAACAUUUUCCAAUAUGUUGUCAAAUAUAUGUUUUCUUAUAUUAAUUUCUUCCAAUAUUUUACUUAGGAAUAAAAAUGGAAUAUUGCUAUUAUUUUUAAUGUUGCAAUUAUUUUUCCUACACACACACAUAGAUAGAGCCUAUCUAAAAAGGGAUUGAUUAGGGUUUAAGCUUUUUCUUUGCACAAAUUUGAUCAUGAAUGAUACUUACAAUGAAUCAACUUAAUUAAUAUAAACAUCUCAUACUAAUUUAAUCAUAUAUAAUUUACUAUAAAAUAUUUCUAAUUCUUUCUUAAUUCAAACUAAAAAUUUAAUUCUUUUAAUCAAAACUUUUUGUUUUAAAAAUGAGUAAUACAAAAGGUUGACGAAAAAAUUAUAAAAAAAAUGUAGAAGAAUAAUAAAUUUAUGAUACAUGAAAUGUGUAUAUAUCUCAACUUAGAAUUAUUAUAUCCUAUAUUAAAAGGAUGUAUAAAGGGAUUGGAUCAAUAAAUUAUCUUAUUGAAUGUUUGAUUAAAUAUGAUAUAUGAUAAUUAAAGGAUGAGAUCAUUUAUCCUAUCCCAUAGCUAACCAAACAUGGGAUAUGAUAUGUUAUCUCAUCUCUUAUCUCAUCUAAUAUUAUGUAUAUUAAAUCAACUAAAUACAACCUUACUUUAGAAGGUAAUUCAAUUGAGAUGUGGGGAUGUGGACUACUAUUACUUUUAAAAGAAAUAUAGAAGUGAUAUAGACUAUUGAUAAGUUGAGUGCAUUAUGGGGGGGAUACGUUGAGUGGAUUCAAUUUGACAUCCACCUAUCUAAAUAUAUUAAUAGAUCAUCUUGGAUUAUGAAAAUUAUGAAGUUCAAAAACAAUAUGGAGCACACACUGGUAAUAUAAAAACAAAUCAAAAUUGGUAUCAUCGUUGCAUGCUAGUCACCUAAUUAUAUUUGUUGAAUAUUUAGUUGCCAAAGUGAAAUCUCAUGAAAAGAUUCAAGAAAUGGUGAUUGAGGAAGAAGCUUCGAUGAGAUGUGUUGCAUUGUUGGACGAGAUCUCGGAUUAGCAUGUAUGCAUUUCAGUGCCAACCAAACCACAAGAACUACAUCUUUAACAACUUGUUGGUCUUGAGGAGAUGAGAGAUGUGAAUCUAAUAUAUUAGUGAGCAUUAUAUUUUGAGCUGAUGAGGAAGACAAUAAAGUGACAAGUUCUCCUAGAUGUUUUCCCAUCAUUGUCUCAAGUGUAAUCACUCCAAAGUUAUAAACAUCACAUUUUUCUGUCACAAUCAUAGUAUAGGCAAGCUAUGCUAAGAAUCAAAAUAAGAAAUAAAUAUUGCACAAAUGAGAAAGUUACAUUCAUUUGAUUUUCUCAUAUUAGCCAUAACUAUAAAAUGUUAAUAAUGUUUCAUAGCAUUCCAUUGACAUUUGGCUACAUUUUAUUUCUAGGAUUGUGAUGAAAUUAAGUUAAUUUUUACAACUUAUAUGAAAUCUUUGAAAAACCAUUCUAAGGAGUUUUUAAAAAUGUUUAGGUAUUAUUAGGAAAAUGAAGACAACCAUUUGGAGAAUGCUUGAGAGACCAUUGAUAAGUAUUUUGUAUAUAAAGUUAUCUAGCUCUCUAAUAUCCUAAACCAUUUUUUUUUAUAACUUUUUAAAAUAACUAUUAAGAGUUUUCUUUUUCUUUUUCUUUUAUUUUUUUGGGAAUUUUAGAAUAAAUAAAUAAAAAAAGAGAGAAAAAUAUGUUAAAGAUAUUUCAACUUCUAUGAGGGCCCUUUGGGCAUAUAGCAAAUAAUAUUUACACAGUUGGAAGCACAUCAUUAUAAAUGAUAUAAAGUUUGUUUGGCUCUAUAAUCCCAUUGGACACAAAAAGGAUGUUAUGUUUGCAUAAGGGAUGAGUGUGAUAUCUCACAAUAGAUAUUAAAACAAACAGUUCUAAAACUACAUAUGAAUGAGCUCUUCUUAACCUUGUAAAUGCAUUUUGAAAUCGUGUGGACCCUUAAGCCUAGACCAAACAAUAUCUACGCGGUUUGGAGAUAAUAUCUAGUUUGCAUGAAAAAAUAAAGAAAAAUAAUAUAUUAAAUAUUUUAAAGAAUAUAUUUACUUUUGAGCUCUUCAUAAUUUUGAAAUAAGUAAUAAUAGUAGAAGAAGUUUUGUUUGGCUUGUAAAAAUAUUUCCUUUCACUUCAUCCAAUAUAAUAUAUCACUUCUAUGAAGUAUAUAAUGAGAGGUAUAAAAGUACUAAAUACAUCCAAUCUCAAAGAUACCAUACUAAAACGAAAAAUAGCUAGAAGUUCAAAAGAUAUAUCGGAUAAGUAAAAGUUGAAAGAAAUAUCAGUGUGUACUUACCUGGUGCUAUGUAACCAUAAGUGUCUGCAAAAAGUGUUUAAUUGGAUGAAUCAAGAUGUAGCAGUCUAGCGGUGCCAAAAUCCAAUAGAAAAGCUUCUAGUUUAAAAUCCAAAAGAAUAUUGUUGCUUGAUAUGUCCCUAUGAAUAAUGGAAGGAGUACAGUCAUGAUGCAUGUAGCAUAAGGCAUGGACUAUGCUUUUAACCACAUUCACCCUUUUAAUCCAAUCCAAUUCCAAAGCUUCAACUUCAUUGCUCAAUACACAAAAUAAGCUUCCUCUUUCCAUGUACUUUUAAAUCAAAAACAUGAAUUUUUUUUGCAGACAAUAGUCGUGAAGUUUUAUAAUAUUCUGAUGUUGUAUUUUUGACAAUAUCUGCACCUCGUUUUGAAAAGUUUUCAAGUAUGUUGCCUCAUCUAUUUCCUAUCCAUGAAACUUUUUCAGGGCUACCACAUUGCCUGUAGGCAAUUGAGCCCUAUAAACAUUGCCAUAGCCUUUGGUGCCUAUGCAAUAUUUGACAUCAAAAUCCUUUGUUGCUUCAAUGAUGUCUUCAUAAGCAAUAUUACCAUCAUAGUUCCAUAUUGAAAAUAUAUCUCCAUUUUUUGUCGAUGUUGUCUUGGUUUGAUUUUGUCUCGUAUUCUGUAAAAGCAAGAGAAACCCAAACGUCGCAAAAAGAAAUACGAUGGUAGAUAUAGCAAUAACAAUGAUGCAUAUAAUUUUAUGUCCUCUUCUACAAUGUGUUCAACCUUUGAUUUCACCACAUAAACCUUUUUUGUGGCUAAACACCUUAGGGUGAUGUUCCAACUAUAAUUCAAUGGGUAUAUGGCCCUCCAAAUCAUUAUACGACAAAUCAAUUGAUGACCACCUAUAUAUUGGAAGAGUAGGAAUGCGACCUAAGAGGUUAUUGUGAGAGAGAUUCAAGUUUUCCAAGCUCUUCAAGUUUUGGAGCUGGGAAGUUAUCUUUCCAUUGAUCAAAUUAUCACUAAGGUCUAAGAUAGCCAAAUUCUUCAAGUUCCCUAUCUCGAAAGGAAUGCAACCCUUGAUUUGAUUUCCACCAAUAUUGAACUCAGUUAAAUUAAUGAGAUAGCCCAAAAAUGAAGGAAUAACUCCCAUGAGGUUGUUAUGAUCCAAUCUGAGAUGGAUUAUAUUCUUCCAAUUCCAAAUUAUAGGAGGGAUGGAACCAUUGAUUUGAUUAUAACAAAGAUAAAAAUGUGUCAAAUUGGUAAGAAGACCAAAUGACAAGGGGAUGGACCCUGGAUUUGUUUGUUGAUGAGAUGGAAAUAAGUCAAAUUGGUAAGAUAACCCAAAGAUGAAGGAAUAACACCAACAAGGGCAUUAUGACUCAGGGACAGUUGAACCAAAAUUUUAAAAUUCCCAAUUUCAAAAGAGAUGGAACCGUUGAUUCGAUUUAAAUUAAGGUACAAGUAUUCCAAGUUGGUUAAACUUCCAAGAGAUGAAGAAAUGACAAAGGAAAGAGAGUUAGAACCCAAAUCAAAAUAAAUCAGAUUCUUUAAAUUCCCAAUUUCAUAAGGGAUGGAACCGUUGAUUCGAUUGAAAUUAAGGUAUAAGUAUUCCAGGUUGGUUAAACUUCCAAGAGAGGAAGGAAUGACACUAGAAAGAGAGUUAGAACCCAAAUUCAAAUGAAUCAAAUUCUUUAAAUAUCCAAGAGAGGAAGGGAUGGCACCAAAGAGAAAGUUAGAACCCAAAUCCAAAUGAAUCAGAUUGUUCAAAUGUCCAAGAGAGGAAGGGAUGGCACCAAAGAGAGAGUUAGAACCCAAAUCCAAAUGAAUCAGAUUCUUCAAAUAUCCAAGAGAGGAAGGGAUGACACUAGAGAGUGUAGGGAAUUAAACCGAAUUCCCAACCCGUGAGAAACAAAAAUUUAGAGAAAACACAUGCCAAAGAAAAACAAUCACACGCACAAGACAGUAUUUAUGUGGUUCGGCAAUUUGCCUACGUCCACGGAGUUGCAAGGAUAUCACUAUUAUAAGGGAAAAAUACAGAGUACAACCACAACGAUUACAAUAUUUUCUCUCUAUAUAUAACACGGCAACCACACCACACUAAAAAACCCUAAUUACAAAAGGUGGUUCCACAAUGGGCUAAAUGGGCCCAAUAGGCCUCAGUAAAUCUCCCAUUAAAAAGCCAUGCAAUAUUAUUCAGGUUGGGUAGUCAAAUCGGAUCAAAUAAAACUAGGCUCCACAAAGCCCAAAAAAUCUCCCACUUGGAGACUAGUCCAAUCACUAACAUCAAACCGCUAUCCUCCAAGAAACAAUCCCUCAUCCCUGCAACUCAUCCUCCUAUCCUCAAGCUAGAAGACCAAUUGAAGCUACGCACAACUUCAACUUCUCAAUAGUGACACCCUUAGUCAACAUGUCUGUCGGGUUCUUAAAUCCAUAAAUCUUCUCAGGUAUUACCAGUUUAUCUUCAACAAGGUAACGGAUAAAGUGGUAUUUUGUUUGUAUAUGCUUCGACUUUGAAUGAAAAGCUGAAUUUUUGGCAAGAAAAAUUGCACUCUGACUGUCACUGUGAAGAAUGUCUAUCUCCUAUUUUUUACCCAAUUCAUCUAAGAAACCAUGCAGCCAAAUCAUCUCCUUUCCAGCUUCAGUUGCUGCAACAUACUCAGCUUCUGUAGUAGACAGAGUAACAAUCUUCUGUAGAUUUGAAGCCCAUGAUAUAGCUGUACCACCUAGAGUAAAAACAAACCCAGUAGUACUCUUUCUACUAUCAAUAUCACCAGCAAAAUCAGCAUCUACAUAACCUUGUAGUUUCAAACUUGCACAUGUGAAGCAAAGACAUGUAUCUAAUGAACCCUUCAGAUAUCUUAGAAUCCACUUGACUGCCUCCCAAUGCUGCUUUCCAGGCCUACUCAUGAAUCUACUCACAACUCUCACUACAUGUGCAAUGUCUGGCUUUGUACACACCAUAGCAUACAUCAAGCUGCCAAUAGCUGAGGCAUAGGGCACCUUGCUCAUAUGGUCCCUUUCUUCUUUUGUCUUCGGUGACUGUUCUUUGCUUAGUUUGAAAUGACUGCCCAAGGGUGUGCUCACUGGUUUAGCUUCAUUCAUGUUGAACCUGCUGAGAACUUUCUUCACAUACUCUGACUGUGAAAGCUUCAAUGUACCAUUAGCUUUGUCCCUAAUAAUUCUCAUACCAAGGAUUUGUUUUGCAGCUCCCAAAUCCUUCAUUGCAAACUGUUUGGACAAUUGUUUCUUCAGAUUAUUAAUCUUUCAAUGUCAGACCCUGCAAUAAGCAUAUCAUCCACAUACAAUAGUAAUAUGAUGUAAGAAUUGUCAAAAGACUUAACAUAACAACAGUGAUCAGCUUCACAUCUCUUGAACCCAAUUCUAUGCAUAAAACUGUCAAACUUCUUGUACCACUAUCUAGAAGCUUGUUUAAGGCCAUACAAGCUUUUUCUCAGUUUGUAGACUAGAUUCUCUUGUCCUUGAGCAAUGAACCCUUCUGGUUGAAUCAUGUAAAGGUCUUCCUCCAAGUCACCAUGAAGAAAUGUUGUCUUCACAUCUAACUGCUCAAGAUGUAAGUUUUCUGCAGCUACCAUUCCCAGUACAAGUCUGAUUGUUGACAUCUUCACAACUGGAGAAAAUAUCUCUGUAUAGUCAAUGCGCUCCUUCUGCUGGAACCCUUUAACAACUAAUCUGGCCUUGUAACGUUUGCUACCAUCAUGCUCAUUCUUUAUUCUGUAUACCCACUUGUUGUGCAAAGCCUUCUUUCCUACUGGCAAUUCAGUCAGUUCCCAUGUUUAAUUCCCCAACAAGGAAUCCAUCUCAUCCUUCAUGGCUAACUCCCACUUGCUUGAAUUCUCAUCUUNNNNNNNNNNNNNNNNNNNNNNNNNNNNNNNNNNNNNNNNNNNNNNNNNNNNNNNNNNNNNNNNNNNNNNNNNNNNNNNNNNNNNNNNNNNNNNNNNNNNUCUGGCUCACCACCAUCAAUCAACAAGAGAUAAUUUAAAACAGGUGAAUAACGCUACGGAGGUCUAAUGUUCCUGGAAGAUCUGCGAACUUCAGCUACAGGUGUACUCAGAUCUACCUGUGAAUUUACAUUCUCCUUAUCUUCUUCACCCCCUUUUUGGACAGUACUUUCAGUCAAUUCAUCUAAGUUGACAAACUCAGAUUUCUUUUGAUCUAUCUCUAUAAUAUCUGACACUAUAGUUGACAUGUCCUUGUACAUAACUUGUUCAUUAAAUAUCACAUUUCUACUUCUGAUGAUUUUCCUGUUUUAUUCAUCCCAAAACCUAUAGCCAAAUUUCUCAUCACCAUAGCCAAUGAAAAAACAUAUUUUUGACUUUGCAUCAAGUUUACUACGAGCAUCAGAAUCAAUAUGAACAUAAGAAACACAACCAAAAACUUUUAAAUGUGAAAACUUCACCUCUUUGCCGCUCCAAACCUCCUCAGGAAGUCUGAACUCCAUGGGAACUGAUGGUCCUCGAUUUAUCAGGUAAGCUGCAGUGCUAAUAGCAUCAGCUCAAAAAGUUUUUGGUAGUCCAGCAUGCAACCUCAUACUUCUAGCACGCUCAUUGAGAGUUCUGUUCAUGUGCUCAGCCACACCAUUCUGUUGUGGUGUCCUAGGAAUAGUCUUCUCCAUCCUAAUUCCCUGUGCAGCACAAUACUCAUUGAACCCUCCAUCUAUGUACUCUCCUCCAUUAUUUGACCUCAAACAUUUUACUUUCAAACCUGUUUCUGUCUCAACCAUGGCCUUCCACUUCUUAAAAGUUUCAAAUUCAUCAAAUUUAUUUUUCAGAAAAUAAACUCAUACUUUUCUGCUUGAGUCAUCAAUAAAAGUGAUGUAGUACCUCGAACCUCCAAGGGAUACAACCGGAGAAGGCCCCCAUAAAUCAGUGUGUACUAGUUCCAAUUUUUCAGCCUUCAGUGUCCUGCCAGUUUUCAAGAAGCUCACAUUUUUUUACUUUCCUAAGAUGCAACUUUCACACAUGUCAAAAUCAAUGGACUUCAAUUCUGGUAGUUUUCCUUUUGACAACAGCAUCUUCAUCCCUUUCUCACUCAUGUGACCAAGUCUACGGUGCCAUAGGAUUGUAUCAGUACUUGCAUCAGCAACUGCAAUUGUGUCUCUUGGACAUGAGGUCAUAUACAAAGUACCAGUCUUCUUUCCACGAGCCAAUACCCUAGCUCCCUUUGUAACCUUCCAAGUACCACCAACAAAUAGUAUUGCAUGUCCUUCAUCAUCAAGUUGUCCAACAGAAAUCAGAUUCCUCCUCAGGUCAGGAAUAUGUCGAACCUUCUCCAGUAACCAAACAGACCCAUUGGGCAACGAUAUCUGAACGUCUCCCAGACCCACAACAUCCAAGGCUGAACCAUCAGCCAAAUACACCUUACCAAAAUCACCUGCAACAUAAUUCUGUAUGAUUUCUCGGUGUGGAGUGGUAUGAAACAAAGCUCCUGAAUCCAAAACCCAAUCAUCAAGUGGACUGUCUACUGCAAGAAGUAAUGCAUCCUAUACCUCUUCUGUUACAGCAUUAGUAGAAUCAUCCUCAUUCUUCUUCUUUGGACUUUUGCAUUGCCUUUUAAAGUGACCUGUUUUCCCACAGUUCCAGCAUUGUACUUGUUGGCCUGAUCUAGAUUUACUUCUGUUCCGAUUAGAAUUUCUAGAUUUUGAUCUACCCUGGUUUGAAUUUGUGUCAUUACCUCUGCCUCUUGUCUCAAGGUUUAGGGCAGAACCAGAUCUUGAGGUUUCGCCUACAUCUUUUUGGCGAAUCUCCUCAGCCAGAAUUAAAUCUCGUAUAUCAUUGUACUUGAGCUUUUUCUUUCCCGUAGAAUUGCUUACUGUCAUCCUCAUUGCCUCCCAACUAUUUGGCAAAGAAGCCAAGACGAUCAAAACACGAAUCUCAUCAUCAAAAUCAAUUUCUACAGAUGACAAUUGAUUUGUGAUUGUAUUAAAUUCAUUCAGAUGUUGUGCUACUGAUGCAUUCUCCGCCAUCUUCAAAUUGAACAAUUUCUUCAUUAGAUGCACCUUAUUGUUUGCGGACGACUUUUCAUACAUACCAGACAAAGCCUUCAUCAAAUCUGUUGUGGUCUUCUCCUUUACAACAUUGUGUGCAACAGACCUAGACAGAGUUAACCUAAUAACUCCUAUAACCUGUCUGUCAAGAAGCGCCCAUUCCUCAGCCUUCAUACUCUCAGGUUUCGUCCCCAAAAGAGGCAGAUGCAAUUUCCUCCCAUAGAGAUAAUCUUCAAUCUGCAUCCCCAAUACGCAAAGUUUGUGCCAUCAAACUUUUCUAUUCUAGACGCCUUUCCUGCUUCCUCUGCCAUUGCUCCCACUUAAACCUAACCCUAGGUUCUGAUACCAAUUGUAGGGAAUUAAACCGAAUUCCCAACCCGUGAGAAACAAAAAAUUAGAGAAAACACACGCCAAAGAAAAACAAUCACACGCACAAGACAGUAUUUACAUGGUUCGGCAAUUUGCCUACGUCUACGGAGUUGCAAGGAUAUCACUAUUAUCAGGGAAAAAUACAAAGUACAACCAUAGCGGCUACAAUGUUUUCUCUUUAUAUAUAACACGGCAACCACACCACACUAAAAAAUCCUAAUUACAAAAGGUGGUUCCACAAUGGGCUAACUGGGCCCAACAGGCCUCAAUAAAUCUCCCGUUAAAAAGCCAUGCAAUAUUAUUCGGGUCGGGUCAUUAAAUCGGAUCAAACAAAACUAGGCUCCACAAAGCCCAACAGAGAGCAAAUAGUUAUAACUCAAAUCCAAUUCCUCUAAAAUAGUGAGGUUACCCAGUGAAAUAGGUAGCUCACCAUCAAGUCUACAACCAAAGAUAUGAAGGUGAGUGAGUUUUGUAAGCUUACUUAUCUCAUAUGGGAUGCUACCAUAGAUGAAAGAAUGGCUAAGAUUGAGAUAGAGGAGGCUGGGAAAUGAUGAAAACUUCAACUGGCUAAGCUUACACCGUGGGCAAUAGUGAUGUGAAUAGGUAAUCUGAAUAACAUGUCCCUCCCUGUUGUAGGUGAUGUCAUCCCAUGUGCAAUGAUGAGAAGUAGUGUUUUCCAUGUACCACCACCGAGUAGAGUUGCGGAGAGCCUCGGCCUCGGCCUCCACUUGUGCGUCAGUUGUAGCAGUGAUUCGUCCCUAGCAGCGGCAGUGGCAAUGGCACCAUUUGAUUCGAGGUUCGAUCCCCGGCAACGGCGCCAUUUGAUUCAUGCCCAAUUGGUGUCUCAGCUGAUUCGUGUCCAGCUGGUGCUCCUUGAUUGAGGGAUUGAUCAACAAAAUUUAUAACCUAUUACACCAUAUACUAGGGUAGCAAAGACAAAGCUACUAUAGUAUAGUGGCUCUAGGAUCGUUCACUGGGAUGGGUUUUCAUUUCACAAAUGAUAUCAAUUCAAAGCUGAAUUGGUGCCUUUUCAUUUCAAGGUUAGCUUUAAAAGAAAACAUAAACUUGAGUUGGAAAAGGUUUGGUUUUAAACUAACCAAAAAUAGUAACUGAUUUUACUUAUAAAGAAAAGUUGUUUCUUGGAGUUCAGAUCACUAGGCUCAGAUUCCUCAUACAAAAAGGGAGUUCCGGUCACUUGUUUCUUUUCCUCGCAUUAGAGAAUUAACAUAUAGUUCCUUCUCCAACCGGUGUUGUACAGAUGCUUCCCAUUAAUGGGUUCAAACACUAAAUCCCUCUCACUGAUGCAACUUGCAAUGGUUCAUGCCUCUCACGAGCACUUACCAUUCAAGAUGAUCGUUAACCUUGGACUACCCGUCAAAAGCUCGCAAGAGAUAACUAAUGGAUGUCUUCUUGGAGUCCAAAAGCUUACCAAGUGUUGGCUAUUCUAGAAAAUCCUACCUUCAAACCACCUCUCAAAGGCUCGCAAGGGGUAAACUAGUGCAUUUCCAUGGUUGGAAAUCACUUGCCUUACCAAGUGUUGGCCCAGGUGAUUUAAAGGCGUUUUAAGUUAACUAAAAAGAUAAAAACCAUUAACGGGUCACACUUUCUCUUCAUUAAAAACUAAAACAACAAAACUUCCAAAUUAUGCAUGUGGAAACUUACCCGGCUUUCCUUACUCCAAUAGAAAAAAAGCUUAGCCUCUCAUCCUUUGAGGAAAAAUCCUCAAAGUUUGGUUGGCUAGAAAUAAAAAGAAAUGAAAAAUAAAAGAGAAGGAAAAACAGAGCAAGGCUCUGUAUAUUCUAUAUAUUGAUUGAUAUUACAUAUAUGAUGAUUUUACAGUGGAUGCAAGGGAGUUUAUAUAGGAAGAUAAUUUACCCUUCCUUGGAUAUUUUCUAGCUAAGGAAUUACAUGAGUGGUUGAAUACAAGGAGAAAAUGGAAAUUAUACAAAAAUAUCUGAAGAAAAGAUCUAAAAGAGUCGGUGCAAAAAUAUCGGGAAGCUCCAGGAACAUUUCGCAGGUGAAAAAUGGUGUCUGCGAGGAUAAACCAUCUUGCUUCAUUGGCUAUCUCUCUUGCUCUUCCUUACAUCUUUAUACACACCACUUCUAGUCCUUACAAACUCGUAUCUCUUUCAUAACUUUUUCACACUCAAGAGGGCUGCGAAAUAUUUUCGCAUCAACAAGCUGAACUCGCCCCGCUGCGAAGUUGGCUUUCAUCUUGUGGUGUUUGGCUUCCAUCGCGGCGUGAAACUUCAAGGGAAAUCCAAAGCACUGUGCAAAAAGGCUGCGAAAUUCUCGCAACAAAAGGCUGAUUCCGCAACACUUUAAAGUGAUUGACUUGCAGUGGCUGUAACUUCUUCGUUUCAACUCCGAAUCGUGCACCGUUUGAAGAAUUGGAUUCUUGACUUCCUGAGCUUUGAAAUGGUAUAUAGAAUGUACAAAAUGGACUUCGGGAAGUGCUCCAAAAGUGCACAAGAAGACUGCAGCUAGCUUUCCUCUGUUUUCUUCACUCUGUUUUUCCUCUCUCCUUGCUUCUCUCCUUGCAUACUUUGAACGACUUUGGCAAAGGGCUAUGGAGCUCCAAAGCUUUGUUCUUCAUGAAUUUAAGCUUCCAAAAGCUUUUCCAUGAACUAUAUACAGCUCUCCCUCAUUCUUGGAUUGCUUUGGUGAUCAAAAAGCUAUCAAAACACCAAAACUUAACACAAUUUGAUUAGAAUUGAUUGCAAGGGUCCUUAACAUGUUAAUUGGGUUAAAAGGCAAUAACUACUACUCAAAAGUGUUUAAAAGAGUUAAUUACAAGUUAUGAAAUAGCACUUUUUGAGUAGUAAUCAAGCAGCAGCAAGAGGUGAUGAGAUCAAGAGCAUGUUAUAUUAUAACAAUACCACUGAAACCACCAACACCCUACAAGAAUUAAUGGAACACCUCUCCAUUUUUUCUUAUUUUCGAUUAAUAUUGCUAUAUAUGCCCUAGUUGAUGGUUUUGAAAAUGUGAAUCUCAAUAAUGAACUACACCUAGAGGGGGGUGAAUAGGUGUUGUAGAACAAUUUAAAAAUUCUCCCAACAAAGAUUACCUAACCUUAGACUAUCUUAAUGUCAAGAAUUUUUUCUUCCAAUAACUUUCCAACAAAGCAAAACAUCCACAAGCAAUAAUGUAUGCAUCAACACCCUCCCAACAAUUUAUAAAUGCAAAACACAUGCAAAUGCUUCAACACCCCUCAAAAAUAAAUCAAAAUAUAGAGUGAGAGAAAGAGACAAUGAACACCGGAUUUUUAAUGUGGAAAACCUCCGAAGAUAUCAAAAACCACAAUCCUGUCACCGAUUGAAAACUCCACUAUGAAGAAUAAAAACUAAGUACAAGGUUUUACCUAGCUCAAGCCAACCAAUCCUUCCCGGAAUACUUGACUAGUACCUUCAUUUUCAGUUUCUCCUUUUGGAGCACACUUGGAGUCCACACCAAGUUCAAUCUCGGCCUCUUCUUGAAUCCACACAAGAAGAAAAUGGGUUUUUGCACAAACCCAAAUAGAAUGAGAGAUUGAGAUGUGAAUGAAGUAAUGAAUCAACCCAUUUAUUGCUCAAGAAAAUCCAUUGAAAACUAGUUUGGAAAACAUUAAGAGAAGUGGAUUUUCUUUGCAAUCAAAAACCCCAAAUUAGGAAAGCAAAAAUGAGAAAAUGAAGAACACUUGGAGUGUGGCUGCUCUCCCCACGUUUUUAGUAGUCUCUCUACACAGAAAAUGAGAGAAGAUUGGUUUUUAAAGUGUAAAAAGAAACCCUUAAUCUAAUGGCUGAGAUUUGAUAAAAAAAAACAUUAGUUGGAUAGAUCCACCCCUACACCUGGAUCGAUCCAGAAACAGAGAAAUGAAAGCCUUGCACCAAAAACCAUUUUUCCCAACUUUCUAACACAUUUAAAGAUUAAAAACCGGGUUGAUUCACAUCCAAUCACCACAAACUCGACUACAUACCUCGGUCUCUUAGCAAAGUCUUAGUCUUCAAAGUCAAGUAGUCCGAAUAGGAAUAGGAAAGCCGAGUUAGGGAGCACUUAGGAAUUUUGUCCGGAAUUGCCAACUUAGCUAAACACUCACAGGUUUUAUAGAAGUGGUGUCGGUGUUGAUCCGACAACUCUCUUCUUUCACCCACACAGCAUCUCAAGCAAGUCAAACAAGUCUUCUCCUGACUCUCCACUAGACAUUAAUUUGUUGGGAAACGAGGACGUUUAUAUAUCACCCAUAGUGAUAUAUAAAUCUUGUAUUCACAAAUUUUUUAAAAUAAAUUUUAUGAUGGGAAAUUAGUGAUCAUGAUCAAACCAUAUUUAAUUUGCUCUACCAAGACAACCACAUGAUCAAAUCGUGCAUUUUGUUUUUAUUUUGAACCAAAAAAAAAAAAGAAAAAUUUAGUAUAUAGAAACAUGCUUAAUGUUAAUGUAGACUAAAAAUACAACCCCAUAAGUACUUAUCCAAACAACAUAUUAGCUGACUAUAAUUCUUGGGUACCUGUCAGAUGGUUGCACAUGUAAUCUCUAUAUAUUAAAAAUUAAUAAAAAUAUUGAUACACAAAACAUGUAUUAAUAUUUUGUUUUUGUACUUAAAUUUUAUUUUCUACUUGUUAUAGUUAUCAAGCAUUUAUUUAUUUUUUAUUUUUUAUUAUUUAAUAGUAAUGAAUAAUGAUAAAAUUAAAAUCACAAAGCAUGUUUUAUUAAUAGCAUUUUUAUAAUUUUAUUGUUAUUCUACUUCAUGAUUAGCUUGUCUAACACUUCAUUUGAUUUUUCUUUCAAGCAAAUCAACUCAACCAAGUCUUCUUAGGCCCACUUAUUAGACUUUCGAUUAUUUUCUAUUAUGCUGCUAAUUAACUUAGAAAUUUUCCUAUCAUAGUAAUUUGAUAAAAAAAAAUUAUCAAUUUCACUAAUUUUAAACAGGAAUCAAUAAAUAAAUAAAAACAUUUGAAAAAGUUUUUCUAUUUAUUAGGCAAUCAUAAUUUUUUUUCUUUUUUGCUAAUAAAAAAAUAAAAUUAGCUCCUAUAAGCACUCCAUUUUUUUUCUCUCUUAAACAAAACAAGUCCAGUCAAGCAACCACCCUCAAAUCAUUUCUAAAACGCCAUAUUGAAAAUUUCCUAUAUGAUGACAUGUAAGACCACACAAAAAGAACACAAAAUAAUAAUAAUAAUAAUAAAUAAAUAAAUAAAUGCAAAGUAGUCCUCCCAAUUUGCAAAGUUUACUAUAUAAGGAGUCAAUGAUUUCAAAUGUUAAAAGUUGAAAAUUUUUAAUUUCUUUUUUCUUUUCUUGCUCACUUUCUAGAAUUAAUGAUGCCUUCAUAACUCUUGUUUCAGCCACGCAACAAGUCAAGCAAGUUGUCUUCCACUCUUGAUUGGGAAUUUAGUGGGAAAUGGCCAUAAUUAUUUUUGAAAUUUUUAAAUAAAAACUCAAACUAUAAUGAUAUAACAAAAUAAUUAUUCACAAUUUUUUUUUUAAAUGAAGUGUGGGAAAUACUCAUACCUCACAUGUAUUUGGAAUAUAUAUAUAUAUAUAUAUUCCAAAUAAUAAAGAUAUUAAAAAUUUUAACAUUAUCUCAAUCAUUGCAAAAUAAAUGUUUUAUUUGUCUUAUUAAUUUCACUAAUUUUAAAAAAGAAAUCAAAAUAAUUUUUUAAAUGUUUUUCUAUUUGCUACAUAACUAUUAAAUACCUAUUUUUAUUUUAAUCAUAAUAAAACAUAAAAUUACAAAUAUUAAAUACUUUAAUAUUAAUAUAAACUAAAAAUAUGUUUUAGCCAAUAUUUUAUUUGGUUCUUUUCUAAGUAAUAGGAGGUCUUUUCAAUCCCACCACCAAUGAUUUUUAAUUUCAUUUUAUGUAAAAUUCCACAAUGGUCGUGUCAUGUCCGUCAUGAUGUUUGAAAAAGUUGUUCAAAAAGGAUAAGGGUACUCUAAUUUAUUUAUUUUUUAAAGAAUUAAGACUUAAUUUUACUGACUUUCCUUCGAGUUAUUUGAUGAAAUUUCAAACAAAUGAGAACGAAGUAUAUUAAUACUUUUAUAAUCUUGGGUUUAUUUCUCUACAAAUAUUCUCAAUUUCAUGUUUUAUUCAGCACUUAAUGAUUCUAUUGAGAACUUGCAUUUUGUUACUCUUUUUUUUCACCAUUUAAAGAUUUCAUUUCACAGACUUCCUUUUUUUCAUAUUUAAAAAAGAAUUUUGUUAAUUAUAACUCCAAGGAGAGAUUGGUGUUGUUCCUUGCUUCUAAAAUGUUAUCUUUAUUAAUUUAUAUUAUAACUUUUUUUAUCAAAUAUUAUCAACAUGGUAUCAUCUUUUUUACUUCAAUUCUUUUCUAGAGCGAGGAGUUCUUAUGUGCGAUAUAUUUUCCAAUAUUGCAAUAUCAAAGAUAAUAUUUAAGAUUUAAGGAAAAAAAAACUAUAUGUAGUUCCGAUUUGAGUUUUGUUCUUCAAGAUCAAAAUUUCAAAGAUAACAUUUAAGAUUUAAAAAGAAAAAGAAAAAAAAAUGAACAUCUAAUCAACUAUAUGCACUAAUAACUCUUCAUCCUCAAAUGUAAUAAUUAUUAUAACUAGUUUAUUAAUUGUUUACUGUAAAUAAGUUAUUAAAGUCUCAUUUGGAUAUAUUUUACAUUAUUUUUAAAAAAAUAUUAUUUAAUAUUAAUGACUAUUAUAUAAAACUUGGAAACUCUUAUAAAAAAAAAUAUACAAUUACCUUAUGUUUCCCAAAAAAAAAUUUUAAAUUUUGAGAUAGUAAUUUUAAAAAAUAAAUAAAUCAAUUUUUUUUUAACCAGUUUUAAAACUUUUAAAGAGCUCUUAGAAAUUACCAAUAUUUUUUAUUUUUAAAAAUAGAAAAUAGAAAAUAGAUCUAAACAACUAUUAGUUAAUUCAUUUGUACAAUUAGUAAAAUAUAUUUCACAAGUGCAAUAAAACCCAAUAAUCUUUGUAAAACUUUCUAUUAGAUAAGACAUCUAUAAAUGAAAAAACCAAAAAGUUGAUAGGAAUGUACCCACUCCUCAUACGGUUGAAGAGAGCAUAAAUGUAGAGUCAUAGUGUGUGAUAUUAAUCCAUUUACAUUAAUAUAUAGAGUCCAUCUAAAAAGAGACUAAUUGGGAUUCAAGUUUUUUCUUUGCACAAAUUCAAUCGUGAAUGAAAAUAUUCUAUUAAAAUAUUUAUAGUGAAUUAACCCAAUUGGUAUUAACAUAUUCUAUUAAUUUAAUCAUGUAUAGUUCGCUUUAAAUAAUCUUUUUUUAAAUAGUACAUGAACUUGUUUAUGGUAUAUAUAUUUAAUUCCACCUUUUUUUGUAAUUAAAUUUUUCUCUACUUGUCAUAUAAUCACCAAAUAUUUUUUAUUUUCUAUUUUUUAAUAAUAGUGAUAAAAUUAAAAUCACUAAUAUGUUUAGCAUUGAUAUAAAUUAAAAAAAUAUUCUAUGACAAUAAAAGUCAAAAGAUUGCAUUUUUACUAUUUGGUUGUCAUCCACCUUACAUGAUUAGUUUGUUUAAGACUUUAUUUGAUUUUUCUUCCAAGCAAAGUAUGUCAACCAAGUCUUCUUAUGUCCACUUCUUAGACUACCCACUAUUUUCUAGUCAUGCUUCUAAUUAACUUGGAAAUUUCCCCGAUUUGAAAGCUUGAAAGCCCAGAUUUGAUCAUAUAUGCAUGGAUGAAGAUAUAACAUUAAAUAUUUUAAAAUUUUAUUAAAAAAUAUACAUAUGAAUCACUCUAAUUAAUACUGCCACAUUCUUCCCAUUCAAUAAACAAUAAUAGCAUAAAAUAAAUAAAGGAAUAAUAACAUAAAUAUUUCCCCAUGGCCAUUAGGGAUCUUGUUGCAUAAUGGUAAUAAUUUGGAUAAAAUCCAAGUAACUAAUAUUACCAAAAAAUCUUGCAACCAAAAAUAGGGUUAUAAAAUUUUAAAAAAAUACCCCCAAAACGUCAAAUAGGCAUCAUUUGCGCUUGAAUGUUCGAAAAGCUGCUGGAAGGACUACUUGAUCAAUUAAGCCGCUCAAGCACUAAUAUGGUCGUUUGAGCGUUUAGGCUACGCAAGCACUAAUCUAAGUGCUCGAGCACCACAUCCUACACUUGUGGAUACAAGGUUGUUUCUACCACCGUUUCUCCGAAAGUGUCACCUUUUUAGAUGCCUUUUUGCACCAUGGAUGCUUGUGAAUGCUUGGAAUCUUCAAUCUUUGCUUUUGGGUCACCAAAGAUGGAUAAAAAUCUAAUUUUUACAUUAAGAAAAAUCUUAUGCUCCAUCAAGCGAAGUGUACAAUCUAUCUAAAAACAAAAAAAAACAAAAAUAUUUUUACAUGUAAAAUAAAAAUCCUAUGCUCCUAACCAUGAAGCUUACAACCUAAUUUGUACAAAUAACAAAUCCAAACAUUCAAUCACAAUUAUAAACAUCAUAUUCAUAAAAAUAACAUCCAUAUAUUCAUCCCUUUGGGUCAUAGGAUGAAUAAACAUAUUUGCAAAACCAAGUAUGCACACCCUAAAAUGAAUCUAACAAGCUUUUCCCUAACCUAAGGCUCUAAUACCAAUUAUUGGGAAAACCUGGAUUGCUCCAUUCUCAUGCCUUAGAUUGUUAGGACGCAUGAAAACCUAUUCUAGGCUCUCUAGAUCUAUCAUACAAUGGAAACAUGGCAAUUGAAACAAAAAAUAAUACCAUAGAUUUAGAGAUUAGUGUCAUAUAUACUUGUGAUUUGGAUGUUCUUGGUCAAUUCUUAUCAUUGUAGAAAUCUCUAAAACUAAAAAAAGAUCUCGUGAACACCAUGAUCUUCCACCUAAUGAUAACUUCUCCUUGAGUCUAGGUGCAAAGAUAGUGAGAUCUCAAGGGUUGGAGGUUAGGGUUCUCUUAUUGAUUGUAGUGAGAGAAUGGCAAGACAAAACUUCACUAGAAACCAUAACCCCUAAAGGAUUAUUUAUAGGCUCCUUACUAGGCUUAAAUGACUUAAAUGACUUAAGCUCACAAUGGGCUUAGGUUAGUACUAAAUCUAGCCCAAAAAGGGCACUAAUUGAUUAAUUAACCCUAUAGGCCUCCAAUUAAUCAAUUAGCCCAGUCUAGAGAUAUUGCUCACUUACCCCUAUGCAACCUUAUAUAAUUAUCAAAAUGCCCUUAUGCAUAUAAGUGAACUAAUAACUCAUUCAACCCUUAUAAACGAUGUCAUCAAAGGAUAUCAUGAGCUCGAGUAGGGACCAUUGAACCCAUAAGACAGUAUUGUCUCUCUUAGAAUCCAAUUUUGAAGUUGACUCAACGUCCCACUAGAGAGAGCCAACUACACUCCAAUGCCCUAUAUAUAUUACAAUGAGAUACCAAGUGUUCGGGUCUAUAACCUACUAUCCACUAUAUAUAAUCUCAUUUUGAACUGGUCGUCCAUAGUCUAACAAGCUAAAAGUUAUCAACCUUUCAAGACUACCUCCAUAAUCCUUGAGUUACAGAUCUUUUUAUUAUGUAAUCAAAUGACAUACUCUAGCUCACUAAGAGCAUAUGGUGAAUUCUACUAUAGGAAUUACUACAGGCAUAUAAAUUUCAUGAUCACACAUCCUUAAGAUCACCUAAAGGAACACACUAUCUUAAAGUCCAUGAGAUAUCGUGGUAGCUAUAUUGAGAAUAACUCUUGCUAUUAGCUUCCGUCAAUAGUGGCCCAAUCCAUAAGGAAUAUAUAUGAUCAACUUAAGAUCUCACCCAUAGGUCGAAGUCAUUGUUAACUUUUGCACAAGUUCAAUAUUCUCUCAAGGUUGAAAGGCAAUACAGUAUAAUAACUAGGUGAUGUCAUAACUACCUGAUAGUCUAUAUCAUGACUCACUAUAGGUCCUAUCCAAUGUUUACACAUUAGUGCACUCUUCAUGGAAACCUCAUCCUGACAACUAAAACUAUUUAUCCCUCUAAUUAGGAGGUGGUGCACUACAAUCUCAAAUGGAUUGAGUAAGUCCACAAACCGACUAUGGACAAAUCAUUUAUUUGUAAGGAACCCAUGACUUAGAUCUUUUGUGCAACUGUUGAUACACUCAAGUCAUGUACAAUGUAAGAAUGGUAAGCUAGAAUGCCCAUAGAGAAUAAUGCAUGGAAUAAGGAUAGAUAAAAAUGAACCUAGAAUAUCAUCAAAUAAAUAAUGAAUUUCAAAUCCGUUACAUCAUGUCAUGCUUUUAAAGACUCUAUCCUAACAAUGUGUUCAUUGGUAUAUAGUUCACUUUAAAUUUUAUAAGAUACUAUUGAAUGCUUAUCAGCAAAUUACAAAAAGGACCCAUUCAGCCUUUUUUGUAUUGUUUUUCUAUACUUGAAUGAUAAAAAUGGUGAUUUAGGUGUAACUUUCUUGCUUACAUGUACUUUUACAAUAAAUGCUUCAAAACAUAUUCAUGAUACUGUCAUGUUAAUCUCAAGGAUGAGGUAAAAGAACUUUAAGAAGGUAUUUGCGAAGAAGAAUGUACAAUUUCUAGAUUAAAUUUUUUUAGAAAUGUUUAUAAAGUUUGGAUUUAAAUAUUAUUGUGGAUUAUUAUUAAUAAAAUAGAAUUUAUUAGAUAUCCUAUCAUGUAAUCUCUUUAUUUUAAAAAAAAUGUUUAAUUUUGAUUCAUUCUAGAAUAUGCUUUCACUUCUAUAUUGUCUAAUUAACAUUUUCUAAUAUGUUGUCAUAUAUAUGUUUUCUAAUAUUAAUUUCUUCCAAUAUUUUACUUAGGAAUGAAAAUGGAAUAUUGCAACAACAACAUUCAAUUUGAACUAAAUUUAAUGUUUCAACUAUUUUUCCUACACACACACACAUAUAUAGGGACCAAAAAAGGACUAAUUGGGGUUAAGCUUUUUCUUUGCACAAAUUUGAUCAUGAAUGAUAGUUACAAUGAAUCAAUUUAAUUAGUAUAAACAUAUUCUACUAAUUUAGUCAUGUAUAGUUUACUGUAAAAUAUUUCUAAUUCUUUCUUGUUUCAAACUAAAAAUUUAUUUAUUUUUAAUCAAAAGCUUUUGUUUUAAAACUGAGUAAUACAAAAGGUUGAUAAAAAAAUUGAAAAAAAUGUAGAAGAAGAAUAAAUUUAUGAUACAUGAGAUAUUUAUAUAUCUCAGCUUAGAAUUAUUAUAUCCUAUGUAAAAAGGAUAUAUAAAGAGAUUGGAUUGAUAAAUUAUCUUAUUAAAUGUUUGAUUGAACAUGAUAUAUGAUAAUUAAAUGAUAAGAUCAUUUACCUUACCCCAAAGCUAACCAAACAUGGGAUAUGAUAUGUUAUCUCAUAUCUUAUCUCAUCCAAUAUUAUGUAUAUCAAAUCAAUUAAAUAUAGCCUUACUUUAGUAGGUAAUUCACUUGAGAUGUGGGGGAUGUGAACUACUAUUACUUUUAAAAGAAAUAUAGAAGUGAUAUGGACUAUUGAUAAGUACCAUGUGGGGGAUAAGCUGAGUGGAUUCAAUUUAACAUCCACCUAUCUAAAUAUAUUAAUAGAUCAUCUUGUCUUAUAAAAAUUAUGAAGUUGAAAAACAAUAUGGAACACAUAUUGGUAAUAUCAAAGCAAAUCAAAAUUGGUAUCAUCAUUGGAUGCCAGUUACCUAAUUAUAUUUCUUGAAUAUUCAGUUGCCAAAGUGAAAUCCCAUGAAAAGGUUCAAGAAAUGGUGAUUGAAUAAGAAGCUUCGAUGAGAUGUGUUGCAUUGUUGGACGAGAUCUCGGAUUAGAAUGUAUGCAUUUAAGUGCCAACCACACAACAAGAACUACAUCUCUAGCAACUUGUCGAUCUUGAGGAGAUGGUAGACGUGAAUCUAAUAUGUCGGUGAGCAUUAUGUUUUGAGCUGAUGAGGAAGACAAUAAGGUGAAAACUUCUCUCGGAUGCUUUCCCAUCAUUGUCUCAAGCGCUACCACUCCAAAGCUGUAAACAUCACAUUUUUCCGUCACAGCCAUAGUGUAGGCAAGCUCUGUUAAGAAUCAAAACAAGAAAUAAAUAUUGCACAAAUGAGAAAGUAACAUUCAUUUAAUUUUUUUUCAUACUAGCUAUACCUAUAAAAUGUUGAGAAUGUUUCAUAGCAUUGCAUUCACAUUUGGCUACAUUUUAUUUCUAGAUUGUGAUGAAAUUAAGUUAAUUUUUACAACUUAUAUGAAACCUUUGAAAAACUAUUCUAAAGAGUUUUUAAAAAUGUUUGGGACUUAUUGGGAGAAUGAAGACAUCUAUUUGGAGAAUGCUUGAGAGACCAUUGAUAAGUAUUUUGUAUAUAAAGUUCUCUUACUCUCUAAUAUCUCAAACCAUUUUUUUACAACAUUUUUUAAAUAACUAUUAUGAGUUUCCUUUUUUUUUUUUUUCUGUUUGUUUGGACUUUAGAAGAAAUAACCAAUAUAUAUAUAUAUAUAUAUAUAUAUCAAGGCCCUUUGAGCCCAUAACAGAUAAUAUCUACACGAUCAGGAGCAGGUUAUUACAAAUGGUAUUAGGGCUUAUCUGUAACCAUAGUAUGGAAGUUUGUUUGGCUCCGCAAUCUUAUGGGAUAAGUGUGAUAUUCCAUGAUAGAUAUGGAAAAAAAAAUAAAAAUUCUAACAUUAUUUAUAAAUCAACUUCCCUUAACCUUAUAGACAUAUUUUAAAUUCAUGUAGGCUCCUUGGACCCAAAGUGAAAAAUAUUUACACAGUUGAGAGUUAUUAUCUAGUUUGCAUGAAAAAUAUAAAGAAAAAUAAUAUAUUAAAAAUUUAGAAGAAUUUAUUUACUUUCAAGCUCUUCAUAAUUUUGAAAUAAGUAAUAAUAGUAAAAAAAGUUUUGUUUGGUUGGCAAUAAUAUUUCCUUUCCCUUCAUCCAAUAGAAUUUGUGACUACUAUGAAGUAUAUAAUAAGAGGUGUAAAAGUUCUAAAUAUAUUGAAUCUCGAAGAUACCAAACUUAUUAAAACGAAAACAACCAAAAGUUCAAAAGACAUAUCGGAAGAGUAAAAGCUGAAAGAAAAACUGGUUUGUACUUACCUGGUGCUAUGUAACCAUAAGUGCCUGCAAGAAGAGUUUGAUUGGAUGAAUCAGGAUGUAGCAGUCUAGCAGUGCCAAAAUCAGAUAGAAAAGCGUCCAGUUUAAAGUCCAAAAGAAUAUUGUUACUUGAUACAUCCCUAUGAAUAAUGGGUGGAGUAGAGUCAUGAUGCAUGUAACAUAAAGCAUGGACUAUGCUUUUGAUUNNNNNNNNNNNNNNNNNNNNNNNNNNNNNNNNNNNNNNNNNNNNNNNNNNNNNNNNNNNNNNNNNNNNNNNNNNNNNNNNNNNNNNNNNNNNNNNNNNNNAUUCGAUUUCUACGAAUGUUGAACACAUUUAAAUGAAUGAGAUAGCCCAAAGAAGGAAUAACACCGGUAAGGUUGUUGUGAUCCAAUCUGAGAUGAAUUAAAUUCUUCAGAUUCCAAAUUACAGGAGGGAUGGAACCAUUGAUUUGAUUAUAACGAAGAUACAAAUGAGUCAAAUUGGUAAGAUUACCAAAUGACAAGGGGAUGAGACCCUGGAUUUGAUUGUCGAUGAGAUGGAAAUAAGUCAAAUUGAUAAGAUUACCCAAAGAUGAAGGAAUAGUACCAAGAAGGGCAUUAUGACUCAAGGACAAUUGAACCAAAUUUUUUAAAUUCCCAAUUUCAGAAGGGAUGGAACCGUUGAUUCGAUUGAAAUUAAGGUACAAGUAUUCCAGGUUGGUUAAACUUCCAAGAGAGGAAGGAAUGACACUGGAAAGAGAGUUAGAACCCAAAUCCAAAUGAAUCAGAUUCUUCAAAUAUCCAAUAGAGGAAGGGAUGGCACCAGAGAGGUAAUUAUAACUCAAAUCCAAAUGAAUAAGAUUCUUCAAAUAUCCAAGAGAGGAAGGGAUGGCACCAGAGAGGUAAUUAUAACUCAAAUGCAAAUGAAUAAGAUUCUUCAAAUAUCCAAGAGAGGAAGGGAUGGCACCAGAGAGACCGUUAAGACUCAAAUCCAAUUCCUCUAAUAGAGUGAGGUUACCCAGUGAAACAGGUAGCUCACCAUCAAGUGCACAAUAAGAGAUACGGAGGUAAGUGAGUUUUGUAAGCGUACCUAUAUCAUCUGGGAUGUGACCAUAGAUGUAAGAAUGGCUAAGGUUGAGAUGGAGGAGGCUGGGAAAUGAAGAAAACUUCAACUGGCUAAGCUUAUACCGUGGGUUAUAGUAAUCUAAAUAGGUAAUCUGAAUAACACGUCCUUCCCUGUUGCAGGUGAUGCCGUCCCAUGUGCAAUGAUGAGAAGUAGUGUUUUCCAUGUACCACCACCAAGUGGAGUUGCGGAGAGCCUCGGCCUCAGCCUCCACCUGUGCGUCAGUUGUAGCAGCAGCAGCAGCAGGAGGUGAUGAGAUCAAGAGCAUGUUAUAUGAUAACAAUACCACUGAAACCACCAACACCCUACAAGGAUUAAUGGAACACCACUCCAUUUUUUCUUAGUUUCGAUUAAUAUUGCUAUAUAUGCCCCAGUUGAUGGUUUUAUAGAAGUGGUGUUGGUGUUGAUCCAACAACUCUCUUUCUUUCACCCACACAGCAUCUCUAUCUAUUAAAAAUUAAUAAAAAUAUUGAUACCUAAAACAUGUAUUAAUAUUUUGUUUUUGUACUUAAAUUUUAUUUUCUACUUGUUAUAGUCAUCAAGCAUUUAUUUAUUUUUUAUUUUUUAUUAUUUAAUAGUAAUAAAUAAUGAUAAAAUAAAAUCACAAAACAUGUUUAAUAUUGAUACUAACUAAAAAAUAUUAUAUAAAAGUAAUAGUCAAAAGACUGCAUUUUUAUUAUGUGAUUGUUAUUCCACUUCAUGAUUAGCUUGUCUAACACUUCUUUGAAGUUUCUUCCAAGCAAAGCAAGUCAACUAAGUCUUCUUAGGCCCACUUUUUAGACUUUUGAUUGUUAGAAGGUUAUGCUGCUAAUUAACUGAGAAAUUUCCUAAUGAUAGUAACAUGUAAGGACCACAAAGAAAACUUAAAUUUGACCAUACAUGGAUCAGGAUAUACUAUUAAAUAUUUUAAAAUUUGAUUAAAAAUUAUUAAUUUCACUAAUUUUAAACAGGAAUCAAUUUUUUUUUAUUUAAAAAAGCCUUUUGAAAAAGUUUUUCUAUUUGUUAUGCAAUCAUCAUUUUUUUUUUUUUGCUUUUUUUUAACUAAUAAAAAAUAAAAUUAGCUCCUAUAAGCAGUACUCUGUUUUUUUUUUUCUCUCCUAAACAAAGCAAGUCAAGCCAAACAACCAUCCUCAAAUCAUUUCUAAAACGCGAUAUUGAAAAUUUCCUAUAUGACACGUGACAUGUGAGACCACACAAAAAGAACACAAAAUAAUAAUAAUAAAUAAAUAAAUGCAAAGAAGUCCUUCCCAAUUUGCAAAGUUUAUUAUAUAAGGAAUUAAUGAUUUGAGAUGUUAAAAGUUUAUGAUAUUUUAUUUUUUUUGCUAUACAUUUUUUACCAUGCAUCAAGGAGGAAAAAUUUUAAAUUCUUUUUUCUUUUCUUGCUCACUUUCUAGAAUUAAUAAUGCCUUCAUAACUCUUGUUUUAGCCGCGCAACAAGUCAAGCAAGUCGUCUUCCACUCUUGAUUGGAAAUUUAGUGGGAAUUGAACAUAAUUAUUUUUAAAAUUUUUAAAUAAAAACUCAAAUGAUAAUGAUAUAACAAAAUAAUUAUUCACAAUUUUUUUUUAAACAUGAAUUGUGGGAAACAAUCAUACCUCACCUGUAUUUGGAAAAUGAUAUGUUAGUUUUUUUAUGUAUAUAUAUAAUUCCAAAUAAUAAAGAUAUUAAAAUUUUUAACAUUAUAUUGUAACUAAAUGUUUUAUUUGUCUUAUUAAUUUCACUAAUUUUAAAAAGGAAAACAAAAUAAUUUUUUAAAAAGGUUUUUCUAUUUGCUACAUAAUUAGUAAAUACAUAUUUUUUAUUUUAAUAAUAAUAAAACAUAAAAUUAAAAUUAGUAAAUAUUUUAAUAUUAAUAUAAACUAAAAAUAUACUUUAGCCAAUAAUUUAUUUGGUUCUUUUCCAAGUAAUAGGGAGACAAGAAAGUCUUUUCAGUCUCAUUAUCAAUGAUUUUUAAUUUUAUUCUAUGUAAAAUUCCACAAUGAUUCGUGUCGUGUCUGUCACGAUGUUUGGAAAAGUCGUUCAAAAAGUGUACCAUCCAUAAAUUAUGUUAAUAUUUUUUCAUUUUUUAUUUUACUUUAAAUCACACCUACUUUUUCCUUGUGCAAGUCAAAGCAAGUCUUCUUAGACGCUCAGAAGCAUAAGCAUAUACCUAACAAAAUAAAAAGCUCUAAUAGGAAAAUUAUAGAAAUCCUGUAUUCCAACCAUACUCAAUCAACAACCCAAAAUAAAAAUAUUUUAAUUAACUUUUAAAAAUUAAAUCAAAUUUUAAUUUUGAAAAACUCUCAAUCCAGGUUUACAACCAAUCAACAACAUUUGGUGUCAUAUCGUAUGAUUCUACCAAAUAGAUAUCAUGUAGGUAUAUAUUAAAAAAAUAAUUAAAAAAUAACAAAAAUAUAAAAUCGAUUGAGGGGGAAUAUAAUUGAAAGUGAGAGUUUGCAUGCACAAAAUACAAACUUUUCAAUUCUUUUUUAAUUUUUAUUUAUUAUUUUAGAAAGAGUUUUUUAAAUGUAAUGUGUAACUUGAUAAAUAAGAGAAUAAGAAAUAAAAAUCAGUCGGAUACAUUCCACCAUUUUACUCAUCAUUCUCUAAAAGAGGAAUGUAAUGUUGAAGAUUUUUGUAACUUGACAUGUUGAAGAUGAAUUUCUAUUUUGUGAUGAAAGAAUAUAAAUAAAUUGAAAAAUAAAAUUAAUGACAUUGUUCACCAUAAUAUAAUAACCGUUAUUGGCAAAUACUAACAAGAAGGUAGCACAUUAUAUUAUUUAAUCUAAAUUGAUAAUUUUGUUUCAUUAUCCGCAUGUAGGGCAUUUUACAUUACUAUAUUAUACGUUUUAUUGAAGCCUUAAGGUUGCUACAUAAUUAACCAAGAUGUAAUACAUGUAAAUAUUCUAAUUAACAUUUUUAUAUAAUACAUGUAACACUUCUCAAAAAGAUGAGAAUAGAAGGUUGAAGAUUUUUAUAACUCGACGUAUUCAAGAUGAAUUUCCUUUUUGCAACAAAAAAAGAAAUAAAUAAGUUCAAAAUUGUUUAUAUAUAAAAUAAAACUAGAUCCUAUAGGCUCUCUAUAUAUUUCUCUACUAGACAAAGCAAUUUAAGUCAAGUCAAGCAACCCUUCUCAAACACUUCUAAAACACUAGGUUGGAAAUGCUUCAUUUGUUUAUUAGAUAAAGCAAUUUAAGUCAAGUCAAGCAACCCUUCUCAAACACUUCCAAAACGCUAGGUUGGAAACGCUCCAUUUGUUUCUCUCCUAGAAAAAGCAACUUGAGUCAAGUCAAGCAACCCUUCUAAAUCAACUUCCAUAAGGCUAGGCUUGAAAUUUCUUAUAUGAUAUGUGACAUGUAAGACCACAUAGAAAGAGCACAAAAUAAUAAUAAAUAAGUUCCAAGAGGUCUUCCCAAAUUUGACCCCAUGUAUAUAUAUUAAUAAAUAUUCUAAAAUUUGAUAAAUAAUUUUUAUAAACAUUAUUAUUCCUUAUUUUUCAUAGCACAUGUGAAACAAAGCUAAUUUUGAUUAAAAAAAAACACUCAUGAGGAGAUGAGUGAAAAUAACUAAUGAAAAUGAUAAGAUAUUUAUUUAAUAAAAUUUUAAACUAAUGAGAACUAGAUGUAUUUAAUCAAAACAUUAAAUGAGAAAAACGGACCAAUGGGUGGCUUUCCCGUCACUUUAUGUUGUUGGUGUUCAAGUGCUCUUUGUAAUCUUGGGUUUAUUUCUUUACAAAUGUCCUAAAUUCAAUUUUUUUUUCUUUUAAUUUAAAACAACUUGAAAAUACCCUAAAUUAUGUGUGACCUACUAGUACAUGAAAGAUACAAAUAUAUAUAUAUAUAUAUAUAUAUAUAUAUAUAUAUAUAUAUAUUUUUUUUUUUUUAAACUUGCAUUAAAAAAAAAGGCCAGUUAAUGAUUUCAUUGGACAACUUGCAUAUUGGUACUCUCUUUUUUUCACCAUUUAAAGAUUCCAUUUCACGGACUGCCCUUUUUUUAAUUAAAAAGAAAAAAGGACUUUUGUUAAUUAUAACAAGAAGUAGAGAUUGAUGUUAUUCCUUGGUUCUAAAAUGUUAUCUUUAUUAAUUUAUAUUAUUAUUAUUAUCAUUAUUUAUCAAAUAACAUCAAAACUAUGGUAUCAUCUUUCUUAUUUCAAUUCUUUUCUAGAGUAGUUCAGGUGUGCAAUAUGUUUUUGAAUAUUAUAAUUUAAAAAAUAACAUUUAAGAUUUAAGCAAAAAAAAAUGUAUUUAUUAGUUGAAUUUUUGUUCUUCAAGAUAAAAUUUAAUAUUUAAGCGAAAAAAUGUUGAACAUCAUCCGUUUAACCAUAUCCACUAAAAAGUACAUGCAUCCCCAAAUGUAAUCCUUGUUAUAAAUAACUUAUUAAUUGUUUCUUUAGGUAGGUGUGGACCCCGCAUUUCGGCUUAUGCGUUUUCCACUCGAUGGCAAGCUCGAUUUUUAUUUAAAAAAUGAUUUUAUUUUUUCAAAUGAUUUUGAGUCGCCACUUAUUUUUGUUUAAUUUUAAAAUGGUAAACAAAAUAAGAAAAAAACCCUAAAUGCGACUCCUAUUUUUGGAAAAGGUGAUUUACGAAAAACUGGAUCGGACUCGGGGAUCAGGUUACUUAUCGGGAAGGUACGGUAAAGACCGUAACAACCCUCUAAGUCCAUAAAAUUGGGUCUCUACUAAUAAAAUGAAGCUAACAUAGGAAUCAAUGAGAAAAUUAAUGACUACUCGAAUUGAUCAUACACAUAUGAGUAUCAGAACAUGCAUAGACACUGAUCAGAGUGAAAGUGGGUACGUACCUGGACAAUAAGCCAUCAUGCGCUAUCAAGAGAGAGAGUUAGUGCACAGUGAUGAAUAUAAAAUAUGUCACUCAUAUCACCAAACAAGAUGAAGAACCAUCAAUAGCAUGCAUGACAUUUCAUUUAAAUCCCUUUUUAUUUUAAAGGAAGUUUAUUUGAUGUUGGGCCCCACCAUAGCCCGAUUUAUUUUUGCAUGAAUCAAUUUUGUAAAUUUCAUUAAUUGGAAUUACAAAAUUGAAUCCUUGCUUAUUUCAAAACCUUGUAAGGAUAGAGAAAAUGUGAAAGUUGCUUGCCAUGAAGAAAAAUGGUGGCAAAAUUUUAUAUAAAAAUGGGAUUCUUGGGUGAUCCUAAAAAUUCUAAGGAUGAAAGAGGGGAAAAUUGGAAUUAUUUGAAAAUCAGAAUUUGAGAAAGAUUUUUACAAAAUGAGAUUUGAGAAAUCAUUUUCAAGAUCAGAUAAGAAGAAAUCCCAGAAUAUUACAUGGAGCAGCUUCUUGACGGGUAGAGUUUCUCUUCACAACUUUGAGAAUACGUGACAUAAAGGAGGUGCCAUCAAGAGAAAGAGCAUGUCCUGCAGCCUCUUUUGGCAUGAACUCUACAUAGUCAGACCCCUUUGGUUGCCUUGUAGCAGCAUCAGUUACUAUAAUCACUUUUACCACUUCCCCAAACUUAUUAAAAUGCCGAGAAAGACUAUCCUUGGUUGCAGUAAAAUGAACAUUGUUAACAAAGAUGGUCCGAGAAUCAGCACCCUCUAAAGGACGACCAGUAGGAUAUGAACCAGGAGCAGAUAGCUACAUCUUCUGAGACUCUCCCUGAGUAUCUACAGCAGGUUUUGCAUUUCCAUUGCCAACCGAGACAGGGUUUCCAUUUGCCUUCAUUAACUGCACACCAGAUUUGCCAGUGCCUGUUUCAUUUCCCCGCACAGGUUUCUGACCAUCCUCUUCCUCAACCUCCCUUAGUCCCUGAUAAUGAGCUGGUUUCCAUGUAUUCACAUUCACAGAGAUAUUCACAAUCUUACGAGAGGUGUUUGCUAAAGCACUAAGCUGACCCUGAUCUUUACUUCGCAUUGUUCGCAUACCUUCAUCAGCAUUCUUAGCCACACUGUACUGCACCAUUCAUCUUCCCAUGGAGAUUCACUGACCAUGAUGCAGUCAAGUCUUUCUGUACAACAAUAUCAUCAUCAAGAAACAGUAUCUUAUCUGACUUGGGAUAAACCUCAGGGAGAUAAAACCUCAGGUGGUUAAGCAUUGAGAGAUACUUGGGAUUCCUGUACUUUAGAUUAGAAGAGCCUGAUGACAGAGUACUGGGAUACCUCUGAUUGAAAUAUAAUGCUUUCAUAGCAGCAGACUCGAGCUGCCUCAGAACUGGGCAGUAGAAUGAAUUAAGCCACUUAAAUUCAUCAACGUUUUCCACAUGGAUGGUUACUUUUCCUGGGGGUUCAACAGAAACCACAUAUUCAUGGCUUCAAAAUUCAGCUCAUCAGUAACCAGAUAGAAUACAUGUUUUUCUGGUUCCUUGGCGUUCAAGAUGGUUGAGUUGACAACAACCAAUGGUCAAGCACAUAGACAAGCAGUGGAUUCCAUUAGGAAUUGUCUUGGCUGCUAAUUGACUCAGGAAUGUGCUCUGCUUUUUUCAAGCUCCUGACUUGUUCCUCUGCUGACUGAAGCAUUGCUCUCAGCUUCCCAGUGGCUUGUCUGAGGGCUCUUUGGGCUCAUUGAUCAUAUCUAGUAUCUCAGGAAAAGUCAAGCCCUUGCACUGGUCCAGACUGGUGAGUUCUUCAAUCAUAUUGGCAUUUUCAAAGUUUAUCUUGUGACUCAUUCCAUGCAAACUUUAUCAGUGGGUCAGAUUCAACUCUUCCAUUGACUUCACUUGCCACAUCUACAUGGACUACCCGUGCGUGGCCUCUGCAUGAACCCUUAGCUGAAAGAUCUUAUCUCCGCCACUGCCACCUUCGAUGCAGCCAGAAAGUUAAAACCCGAUGAAGUUGACUGUUGCUUAUUUUCUAACUGAAGCACCCGAAAACCUCCAUUGUCAGGAUCAAACCUUGCAGUAGAUCUUCCAUCUUUCUCAUGCCAGAGAUCAUGAUCAGCCUCCCCUUGAGGAAAUUGCAUAUUUGAGGCCCCUCCAGGCAGGCUCGAUCAAGGGACCAUUUGUAGGAACCAUGGCAGUCAAAUUUACCUGAGGAUAUCCCACUGAAGCUAGAAUGGAAGGUAAGAAUGGAAGAGGUAGGUGAGUGAGAAAUGGGUAUGGUAAUAUGCAUGGGGAUGCGGGUAUGAAGAGUAAUGAAUGGAGUUGUGGGUAGUAAGAAAAUUGGGUGAAUCAGGUAUUAGAGAAGGGUGACUGCAUAGAGAUAUGGAGAAUGACCUUGUAUACGUGGUAUCCAUGCAUGCGGGUAGGUGUAUUUGGGUAUGGGAUGCCGUGCUCACUAACAUCAGGUGAGAUGACAACCCUUACAUUACUGCCAGAUUGUAAAAUCUCUCUGACCUUGCUUAUAUGGUUCACAUAUGCUUCAACCAAUCCAAGCUCAUGACGUGUCCCUUCACCCGCUUGCCUUAUUUCAAGUUCACUUGUGAUAACCCCAAGUUAAGUUCCUGUAACUAGCAAAUCUCAUAUUUGCUCAUUAUAAGCUUCUAGAACACAACCAGAUGUAUCACAUCAGAGUUGCUGCAAGAGGCUUCAUUAAUUCUACCUCGGGAUUCGCUACAGUUGUAGGGGGGACGGGACUGGCAGUAUGGAACACUCCAUCAUAUCCUUCAAAGGCAGAACAAAGAGCUCCGUACUUCAGCAAAUCUGCCCUAAAAGAGUUUCAGGUUCUCAGAUGCUUUCUCAAGUUUCUUCAAAUCAGCAUCCUUUCCAUCACUGGGAUCUCUAACAGUUCCAUGGACAAUGUAGCCCUUGGAGAGAAGAAGCUUGACGACCUAUGUAGCAAUGUACCCAUCGGCGCCUGUCACACACACUCUGCCCUUCUCUGCCAUUAUCAAAUCAAUCCACAGUUUUUCUUGUUUUUAGCUCCUGACUUCCGUCCUUCAGUGUAAAGCCAUUCAAAUGUUGAAGACUUCGAGAUGAAGAAUAAACCUGCAUGCGGGCUUAGCAAUAACCCGAUUUCAUCUUCAGUAAAUGAAACUAACAGGCAGUAACCUUUAAGGGAUUGGCAAUGAGCAUCAUAUCCCAAUAUCCUAAACUUUGAGCCAAUCAUGUCAACUAGUGCACAGAUUACAUGCAUCGUUUCCUCUAGCAAAUGCCGAAAUCCUGUAGUGGUGUACCUGGAAGUGCUGAAUGGGAGGAAUGAGCAUGAAGUCGGCCAUGCGCGUGAGAUUGGUGCAAAGCAUAGCCAUGGGUGGUGUGUGAAAUUGGUCUUAGGAGUUCGGUGGGUACGAGGCGAUGGAUUUGAUGGCCAUAGGAGCAUGCAUGAUGACUACGUGCACAUGGGAUUUGAGAAAUUGGAAGGAGUGGAAUGAUGAGAGAAAUGGGUGGUGCGGUGUGUUCAAGACUAAUGAAGAAGGAAUGCAACGUGGGCAUGGUGAUUGUGAGGAUGUGGCUAACAAAUUCAGCUGGGUAUGAAAGAAGGUUUAGGUUAUUGGAAGUGAGUAAUGGCAAGGCAUGGGAAGGUUUAGAGAGAAGUGGGUAUGAGGGUGCAGAGAGAAUGAAGGCUAUGACGGCCAUGGCUUUGCUUGAGUUGUGAUUGAUAAUGGGAUGCUGCUGCCUUCAUAUGAUGCAUGGAUAGAGGAGCUUUCACGUCAAGAAACGACAAAGAAAGAACUUGGGUGCGCACCGAUGACUACUCAAGUGGUGAUGUAGCUCCUGCAAACUGAAGUCGUUAUUGUCCAACAGUGCCAACUGUGGGCCUUGAGCUUACAACUCAUUAGAAACCCAAAACUUGAUUCCCCAGCAUGAGAAAAGCACCAACGCCGUUUGCCAUCUUCCUCACUCGAGGAUAAUCAAAAUCUCAAGGAUAAACACUGCCAUCAACAAUAAGAAGUUUUGGUCUCAAUAGAUUAGUUUCUUCUCAAGCAUGUCAUAAACAGCAAGACCAAGACCUGUAGAUUCAUCGAGUCGUUGGGGCCUAGACUCACAAUAAAUUGAGGUGCCUGAUAUCCGUCUUUUAGGAGCUAUGAAACUAUGAGACAAGUGGCCUUACGAGGUAAGUCCAAGCCUAUGAUCAUGCCAUGUAGAUUGAGAAGGACAGUGCAUACUUCAAAGGUAGCUGGAGAAACUGACAAUGGUUGAACAUUGACGCCUCACGUCUUUCCCUUUAGGUGGAAUACUGCCAAAGCCCUCUUCUGACAGAGGAUUUCUAGCUCAUCAAAGAAUUCAUUGCCGCCAUAGUAUCCUCUACCAGACAAUCCCUAAGAAUAUUUGUUUGUGAGGCAAGAGCUAACAACUUCCAUCACUGCUCGGGAUAUGAAAUUCUCUGAAGCAAAUGAGUUCUAAUAUCUUCAUUUAUCGUUGUUUUUCUUUGUAAAUAAUUACACACACUUCAUGACCAGCUGCAUUCAGGCCAUAGUCAAUACAACUGACUUCGCUUCCUCCAUUUUCAGGCACAAUGAUAGACACAAAGGAAAGUAACUUCCCAGUAAUCAAGCUUCUUUCGAUAUAAGAUCUGCAUGGCUUAGCCGAGUUCAGUUUAAUUGGAUGUCGAAUCCCAUGGUCAGUAGACCCACUUGGAGCGAAACUGAACCCUUUAAUCCAAAUGGACCGUUACAGAGAGCACAAAGCAGCAGUAGUAUUCACGAAACCCAGAGCAUGAGGGCGGGCUGUGACCAUGGCAGAGAUUCCAAACUAGAAAGCAAGCACAAAACCGUCCAUGGAAGAGGUUAUCCAAGGUUUUGGAUGCUUAUGAAGUUUUCCUGCAAGUUGAACGAAUCUGUGACAUAGCCCUUUCUGAUCUAACCUGCAUCGUUUCAACAUGUACCACACCAUCCUCAUUCACGGUACCUCCAAUCACUAUGUCACCCUUCUUUCUUCACCAUGGGCAUAGCAUCCUCUGUGAGCAUGUUCUUGAACCCACACUUAUUCUCCAGCUUUACCUCAUGGAAACACGUCAACCAAAAUACCCCACCCAUCAAGUGACCAAUUCAACUCUGAUACCCAACAUCUCAAACGCACCAGCCAUAGAGGCACAAAAGGGAAGGAAAGGGGGCCAAAACAGAAAAGAAACGAGGGAAGGAUAAACGAGGAAUAAAGUAAAACAUAAGUGUAUAGAGCCUCAUUUCGGGUGACAUCCAUGGGCUAAUAUAAGUGAGGAGAUCUCAAGCUAGAGUUACAAAAUAUAUGAGGAACAGAGUUCCAUUAACUCCAAGCCAAACCACAAGAACAACAGUAAGAUCAACAACAAUAGAGUACAAAAACGAUCCAGAAAUCAACAAAAUUCAGCACGUAUGAUCCAAUCCAAAUUGACGAGCAAUGCAGAGCAAACCAAAAUAAGAAAAGGACGAGAAGAAUAUGAAUCAAAGUAAGCAAGAGAGUCACCUCAAACUCACCUGCAGACGCUCCUUUCCUCUGUUAUCUCCUCCUCCAACUGAAUAAAAUCCUCUGUAAGUCCUUCCCAAGCCACGCAGCCUGCUACAUUCCUCAGCUGAAAGGAUCUUCUCUCAUUUCCCUCAAAAAUCAAUAUCUUCUCCCACCCUCAGCCGAAUAGCCUCCUCAUCCCCCAGAAAACCUCCGUUUUCUCCCUCUAGUCUUUUUCUUCUUCUCCCAAAUAUCCCUCUGUCACAGCUGAAAAGCACCCCUUCACUCUGCAGAAGACGCUCCCCCUAACAAACUCUGAACGUCCCCUUUCCAGGUGUCCAUCUUUCAUUGGCUCUCUUAAGCACCACUGUGAUUCCUUGGCAGCCAAUCAGGAGGCAACACAUGGCUCUUGAAAAAGCCCUCCACCUGGCAAAGAAAAUAACCUGCAAGAAAAAAGUGAAUAAGCCCCAAAUGGGGGUCUACAGCAGGCUAUUGAAGUCUUGUUUGAAUACAAUAUAUAUAUAUAUAUUCUUAAAAUAUAUUUUUUUAAUAUUUGAGAUAGUUAAUUUUUUUAUAUUUAAAUUGUAUUUAAAACCUUUACUUUUUUAAUAUAAGUCUUUAUAGAAUUCUUAUAUUUUAUAUAAAAAUUACUAUUAGUUCAAUUUUUUUUAAAAAAUAAAAAUAAAAAAUGUACCAAUUUAUACAAAUUUUAAAAUAUAUUUUUGAUAAGUCAAAUAAAGCCCAAUAAUCUUUAUAAAAUUUUUCUAUUAGAUGAGACAUCUAUAAAUAAAAAAAAAAAAACGAAAUGUUGAAAGGAAUGUCCCCAACUUUCACCAUAAAUGAUACAAUAACCAAAUUAUUGAGGCAAAUAUUCGGACAAGAUUUCUUGUCAAACAAGCCUUCUCUUCUGUUGAUUGGGAAUUGAGUUGGAAAUGAAAGGAGCAUAAAUAUAGAGAGCCCAUCUAAAGAGAGACUAAUUGGGAGUCAAGCCUUUUCUAUGCACAAAUUGGAUAGUUUUGAGAAGACAAAUCAUGUUUACAUCUUCUCCCUUCUUCUUUCCCAUCUAGCAUGCUGUGCUUCCCACUAUUUCAAUUAUCAAGAUGGAAUCUCCACUCCAAAAAAGUGGAAAAUUAAAAUGAGAGGCAUAACCGGAUGAUAAUCAUAAGUAAUAUUGUUUUUUCUUUUUUUCUGAAAAAAAUUUGAUUUGUUAUCCCAAUUGACGGGUAAGCUCUCAAGUAAGUCUUCUUUGGUGACUUCUCCAACUCUUGAUUGGAAAUUAGGUGAUAAAUGAAGAAAAUAUCCAUUUUAAAAGCGGCUAAUUGUGGAAAAACAAUUUAUCUUAUUAAAUUAAUAUUUUUAAUAUAGACAUGUUAAUAUGGAUUUAUAAUAAUUUAUUUAUAAAACACUCCAAAAAUACAUGAUAAUCAUGGAAACUAAUUUGACAAAAAGUUAUAGAAUCUUUAUAAAAUUUUAAAUUAUGCUACAUGGCAUAUGGAAAGAAAAUAUGCAAGUCAAAGAAAGAAUUUAUAAGGAAUCCACCUCAAUUGGUAGAGGGAUAUUCUACCAAUGUAGAUUUGCCUAUAAUUCACUUAUGAUUAUGGAUUUUCAAAUAGUAGAUAGACUUGUUUCAAAAAUUCUUGAAGUGAUAGAAAGUGAAAAAAUACCUAAGCUUCUUUAAAGGCCACUAAAUGUGGAAAACAAUUUAGUUGUUUUGUUUUUGUUGAUUUCCGUGUGAAUAUCCCUAAUUUGUUGGGAUUUUGAUUUUGAAUUCAAAUCGGGAUUUGUUUCCCACUUUCUAUAUUGAGUUUUUUUCCUUUUCUUAGGCAUGUAUCUCCUAGAUUGUAGAUAGAUUUUUAUUUGGUAGAUUAGAUUCUUAGCUUAUAUAAUGUUGAUGUUGUACAUGCUCUAUAGAAAAAUAUAGAAAUAUAUCAAGUUUUUUGCAUGGUACCAGAGCGGUUUCCCACUAGGACAGACUCCUACUCUCCAGCAUUUGUUUUUUUUGGCAACAAGCAACUUGAAGCCCCUACUGCUAUCUCACUGUGAAUUGUCUUCUCCAACCUAGUCACAAUUUGUCCUUGGUUCAUCAGUCCAGCCAUGAUUUAGUCCAGAUGUGAUUUGAUCGUGUUACGAAUUGAUCUAGUCCAGACAAAUCUUUUGGAAUGACUAUUGAUAGUCAAAAAUCAGUCUCUAAAGUCAACUCUAGGUUGAAGACUAUCACUUCCAAUGACCAUGGAGGAUCCGAUGGCUCUUUUCUUCCCAUUGUAGGUCACAAGUUGAAUGGGAAUAACUAUCUACAAUGAUCUCAGUUCGUCCUUAUGUUUAUCAGUGGCAAGGAUAAGGAUGGCUACCUCACUGGAGAAAUUGUUCAACCCAAAAAUGAUGAUCCUAGAUUCGGAAGUUAGAAGAUAGAGAAUAAUAUGGUCAAAUCAUGGCUUAUCAAUUUCAUGACCAAUGUGAUUGGUGAAAACUUUCUUCUCUAUAAGACCGCAAAAGAGAUGUGGGAUGCAAUUAAAGAAACAUAUUCCACCAAAGAAAAAACAGCAUAACAGGUUGAUAUCGAGAUUGUUCGUCAUGAUUUCCAUCAAGAGGAUUUAACCGUCACUAAUUACUACAAUAUUCUUGGUCACCACUGGCAACAAUUGGAUGUUUGUGAGGAGUAUGAUUGGAAUUGCCCAAAGAUGCUGCCAUGUAUAAAAAGAUUGUGGAGAAAAGACAGCUUUUCAUGUUCUUAUUAGGCCUCAACAAGCACCUUAAUGAGCUCCAUGGGAGGAUCCUUGGUACCAAACCCCUUCCAACAAUCCGUGAAGCCUUUGCCACUAAAUACCUAAGCUUCUUUAAAGGCCACUAAAUGUGGAAAACAAUUUAGCUGUUUUGUUUUUGUUGAUUUCCACGUGAAUAUCCCUAAUUUGUUGGGAUUUUGAUUUUGUAUUCAAACCGGGAUUUGUUUCCCACUUUAUGUUUUGAUUUUUUUCCUUUCCUUUCAUUUUCUUAGGCAUGUAUCUUCUAAAUUGUAGCUAGAUUUUUAUUUGGUAGAUUCGAUUCUUAGCUUAUAUAAUGUCGAUGUUAUACAUGCUCUAUAGAAAAAUAUAGAAAUAUAUCAAGUUUUCUGCAUGGUAUCAGAGUGGUUUCCCACUAGGACCGACUCCUAUUCUCCAACAUCUAUUUUUUCUGGCAAUAGGCAACCUGAAACCCCUACUGCUAUCUCAUUGUGAAUUGUCUUCUCCAACUUAGUCACAAUUUGUCCUAGGUUCAUCAGUCCAACCACGAUUCAAUUAAGACGUGAUUCGAUCUUGUUACAAAUUGAUAUAGUCUAGACGAAUCUUCCAGAAUGACUACCAAUAGUAAAAAAUUAGUCUCUAAAGUCAACUCUAGGUUGGAGAUUGUCACUUCCAAUGACCAUGGAGGAUUCGAUGUCUUUUUUUUCCCCAUCAUAGGUCACAAGUUGAAUGGGAAUAACUAUCUCCAAUGGUCUCAGUUCAUUCUUAUGUUUAUCGGUGACAAAGAUAAGGAUGGCUAUCUCACAGGAGACAUUGUUCAACCCAAAAGUGAUUAUCCUAAAUUCCAAACAUAGAAAAUAGAGAAUAAUAUGGUCAAAUCAUGGCUUAUCAAUUCCAUGACCAACGAGGUCGAUGAAAACUUUCUUCUCUACAAGACCGCAGAAGAGAUAUGGGAUGUAGUUAAAGAAACAUAUUCCACCAAAGAAAAUACAAUAGAACAGGUUGAUAUCAAGACUAUUCUUCAUGAUCUCCAUCAAGGGGAUUUAACCAUCACCAAUUACUACAAUAUUCUUGGUCGCCACUGGUAACAAUUGGAUGUUUAUGAGGAGUAUGAUUGGAAGUGCCCCGAAAACGUUGCCAAGUAUCAAAAGAUUGUGGAGAAGAGACAACUUUUCAAUUUUUUAUUGGGCCUCAACAAGCACCUUGAUGAGGUCCAUGGGAGGAUCCUUGGUACCAAACCCCUUCCAAUAAUUUGUGAAGCCUUCGCAGAGGUAAAGAGAGAGGAGACCUGGAAGAAACUCAUGUUAGGCAAGCAAACUGCUAUAGCUACUACUGAAAGCUCUACUCUUACAACUCGAGGUUAGUCUAGCAACAAUUGAGGAAAUCAACAGCAACGAAAGGGAAGACUUUGGUGUGACUAUUGCAAGAAACAUGAACAUACAAAGGAUACAUGUUGGGAUAUCUAUGGUAAACUUGCAGAUUGGAAAUCAAGGUCAAAUAGACGUGAUAGUCAAACGAACAAUGCCACCACCGAUUCCACCUCCCAACCCAAAUCAAACUCGCUUAGCAAAAAGCAAUUAGAUCUUUUAUAGAAACUACUCUAACAGUCACAACAACCUAAACCACCUCAACCCACUUCCAUAAUUGGUACUAGUUUUAUUGCACAAAAAGUUAAUUUCUUGAGUGCUCUAAAUGCUAAACAGAAAGGACAAGACCAUGGAUUGUUGACUCUGGUGCAUCUGACCACAUGACGGGAGAUGCAAAUGUUUUUGACACAUAUGAUCCUUGCUCUUCGAAUUAUUUUGUCCACAUUGCUGAUGGAUCAUUGUCCAAGGUUGUUGGUUCCGGUUCAGUGACUAUUUCAAAGGACUUAACUCUUCACUCUAUCUUGUUCCAAAUCUAGAUUGCAGUUUGUUGUCCAUUAGUAAACUAACAAAAGACCUUAAGUGCGUUACUAAAUUUUUUCCUAACCACUGUGAAUUUCAGGUUAUGGAUUUGGGGAUGAUGAUUUAUUUCAAGUUAUGGAUUCAGGGAUGAUGAUUGGAAAUGCUAAGGUGCAUGAGGGGCUCUACCUACUUCAAGCUAAUGAGUAUCCUAAUCCCAGUCAUUCUCAAGCUCAUUCUAUUCAGUCCUCCAAUUCUGUUCUUUCCAUUCGUAGUGAUAAUAAAAAUGAUGCCAUAUUGUUGUGGAAUUAUAGAUUAGGCCAUCCAAAUUUUGUUUUACCUUGAGAAAAUGUUUCCAUCAUUAUUUAAUAAAAAUUCCUAGUCUUUUUAGUGUGAAAUUUGUCAAAUGUCUAAACAUGUGCAUAAUUCUUAUCCUAACCAAGUUUACAAGACUUUUCAUCAUUUUUUAAUGAUACACAGUGACCAUUUAAGAUCAAGAACAUUUAUGGAUGAAGAUGGUUUGUCACCUUUAUUGAUGAUCACACUAGAUUCACUUGGAUAUUUCUCAUGAUAGAUAAAUCUAAGGUUGGCCAAAUCUUUAUAAACUUUCAUAAAAUGAUCCAAAGUCAAUUCUAAGCCCAAAUUCAAAUUCUCAAGACCAAUAAUGGAAGAUAAUACUUCCAUUAUGCUUUGGGUACUUAUUUGAUGAAUAAUGGAAUUAUACACCAAAGUUCAUGUGCUGAUACUCCUCAACAAAAUGGACUAUCAAAGUCCUUGUCAAGUCCUUCUCUAAUCUUAUCCUAAUUCUCGGCUAAUCUCCUCCAUUCCCAUCAAAGUGUUUGGUUGCAUUGUCUUCGUCCAUAUUCAUUCCCAACAUUACUCCAAACUUGAUCCAAAAGUUGUCAAAUGUCUCUUCCUUGGGUAUUCUCUUAACCAAAAAGGGUAUAAAUGCUACUCUCCUACUCAAUGGAAAAUUUACAUAUCCAUGGAUGUAACAUUCUUUAUUAUUCAACUCGUUUACCCCAAAACUAAUAUUUAGGGGGAGAAUGGACUUAGUGAAUAUUAGUUUUUGAACAUAAAUACUGAUUUUCUUGAUACAAAUUUUGAUUCUUCCUGCCUUUCUUCAUCUUUUCUUCCACUUGAGGUUGAGACAUCUUCCAAUCUUCAAUCAAAAUCCAUUUCUGAGACCAUAUAGUCUGCACAAUCUUCAAGUGCUGACCUUCCUCUCAACCAAACUCAACAUCCAACCUCAUCUAUUGUCUAUACCAGAAAAAAAAAGGCUUAGAAGGACGAAAAAAUCCAAGUGCAUCCAAUGCAAAACUAAGAGUUUGAAUUAGAUUCAAAAGAUUCUAAAAAUUGACUAGGUAACACCACUAUUGAACCUCUUUUGGAUGAAAUUUCUAAUGAUUUAGAUUUGCCUAUUACUCUAAGAAAAAGGGUGAGGUCUUGCACUAAACAUCCUAUUCAGAACUUUGUGUCCUAUAAUGAGCUAUCUCCAUCAUAUAGGGCAUUUUCCAUGAACAUAACUGAAGUGCAAGUUCCUAGAACUAUUCAGCCAAUCAGAUUGGAGAAAAACUAUUUUUGAUGAGAUGAGUGCUUUGGAAAAGACGGGUACAUGGGAGAUUAUUGAUCUACUGAAAGAUAAAAAUACGAUGGGAUAUAAGUGGAUCUUUACAGUCAAACAUAGAGUUGAUGGAAAUGUUGAUAGGUUGAAGACACGACUUGUUCCAAAAGGAUUCACUCAAGCUUAUGGAGUUGAUUACUAAGAGACAUUUGACCUAGUUGCAAAACUCAAUACUGUUAGAGUCUUACUGUCUCUUGUUGCUAAUCUGGAUUGGUCACUAAACCAGUUAGUUGUGAAGAAUGCCUUCCUCAAUGGUGACUUGGAGGAGGAAGUGUAUAUGGAGAUUCCCCUUGGCUUUGAAAGAAACAAUGACUUUAAGAAGGUAUGUAAACUCCGAAAAGCAUUAUAUGGCCUUAAAGAAUCUACUCGUGCUCGGUUUGACAUAUUCACAAAGGUCAUCAAGAAAAAUGGUUAUAUUCAGUGCCAAUUUGAUCACACCUUGUUUGUUAAAUUCUCUAAAGGAGGAAAAAUAACUAUUCUUAUUGUGUAUGUCGAUGACAUAAUUCUUACUGGAGAUUAUGAUGAAGAGAAAGUUAGUUUGGAAAAUUUCCUCACCAAGGAAUUUGAGAUAAAAGAUUUGGAUGAUCUCAAGUAUUUCCUAUGAAUGGAAGUGGCUUGAUCUAAGAAAGGAAUUUGUAUUUCCCAAAGAAAAUACAUCCUUGAUCUUCUAGAGGAGACUGGUAUGCUUGGGUGUAAACCCUUAGACAUCCCUAUAGACUCUAAUGUCAAGCUUGGCUUAGAUCAAGAGGGUCCUUCAGUUGACAAAGGGCGAUAUCAACAACUCGUAGGGAAGUUGAUAUAUCUUACCCACACAAGACCAGAUAUUAGAUUCUCUAUUAGUUUGGUUAGCAAAUUUAUGAAUAAUCCUACCAAAGAACACUUAGAUGUUGUCUAUAAGAUCCUUCAAUAUCUUAAAUAGGCUCCUAGAGUAGGGUUAUUUUUCAAAAAGAACUCUAACAAAGAAAUUAUGAUCUACACUAACAUAGAUUGGGUUGGCUCUCCUAUAGACCAUAGAUCUACAUCUUAUUAUUGUUCAUAUGUUUGGGGCAAUCUUGUUACAUGGUGAAGCAAAAAACAAACUGUUGUUGCUAGGAGUAGUACUGAAGUUGAAUUCAGAGCUUUAGAAAAUGAAAUUUGUGAGGGCAUGUGGAUUAAAAGACUAUUGGAAGAACUCAAGUUUCCUAUUGAUAGUCCUAUGAGAAUUUUUUGUGAUAAUCAAGCAACAAUUAGCAUUGCUAAAAAUCUUGUUCAUCACGACACGAUUAAACAAGUGGAGAUUGACUGUCAUUUCACUAAAUAGAAGAUUGAUGAGGGGAUUAUCACUCUUGGAUACAUACUAACAACUCUUCAAACAAUCUACAUCCUUGCCAAAGCACUUCCUAGAGUCAACUUUGAAGAAAUGAAGUCCAAGUCGGGCAUGCUAAACAUCUAUAGCCUAGCUUGAGGGGGAGUGUUGAUUUUCGUGUGAAUAUCCCUAAUUUGUUGGGAUUUUGAUUUUGUAUUCCAACCGGGAUUUGUUUCCCACUUUCUGUUUUGAGUUUUUUUGUUUUUUUUCAUUUUCUUAGGCACGUAUCUCCUAUAUUAUAGCUAGAUUUUUAUUUCGCAAAUCCGAUUCUUAGCCUAUAUAAUGUCAAUGUUGUACAUGUUCUAUAGAGAAAUAUAGAAAUAUACCAAAUUUUCUCUAGUUUUAAAUCAUAUCAAAUUUUUUACUUCAAAAUGAUUACAUUGAAAAACUCCUAAAUUUUGACUUUGAAAUGAUUAACCUUCCAAAGAUUAUUAAAAUUGUUAUCCAUUAUUUCCAUUUACAUAGAAUUUGAGAAGGACUAUAUAAUGCUUGAAAAUUUAAACAGUAUAGAAUAAAAAUAUGAUCUAUAUUGAAUUAGAAUUUUUUUUAAAAAUAAAAUUGGGACAAGCUACCUACUUAAGGAAUCCUCAUAUAUAUAUAUAUAUACGACUAAGAAAAAUGAUAAAAAAGGGUGUACAAAUAUCACAUGUUAGAAAUUUUCAAAUAAAAUUGUAAUUUUAUUGAAUUGUAGAAAAAUCUACUUCAAAUCUCCAGUUUAAUUUCAAAUUAUUCUUUCAAUAAUUGUUGACUAAGUGCUUGCAAAAUUUUGAUCUCAAGUUCUAUUGAAGAUUUGAUGUUGCUUGCUUGAACUUCAUUUAGACUUUAACUUGCUUAUGGUUUGAGUUUGGAUUGGCUUAUUUUUUACUUACAUUUUAGAAAUGAACAACAUCUUAGUCUUUGAGAUUUGAAGCUUGAUUUUAUUCUUGGCUAGACUUGUUAGGCUUUGACUUCAUUUUAGCUUUGGCUUAAACAAUCCUAACCAAGUGCUUGAGUAAUAAUCUUAGACAACAAAAUUUAGAAGAUUUGGCUAUUAAAGUUUGAUUCUUGAUUUUUUGAAAGAUAUUCAUGAUUUGAAAAUAUUUUGAAGAAAUUAAAAACUCAUCAAAGAAAUUUUGAAGAUUUGAGUAAACUUUGAAAUCUCUUUUGAAGAUUGAAAAAGCAAUGAAUACUUUCAAAGAAGCCUUCAAUUUCACAUAAAAAUGUUUGGGAAGCUUUAAAGGAGACCAAAUUUUUUUGAAGAAGUUUGAAGGCCAUCAUAGAAGCUUUUUGAACUUAUAACAAAGCUUUCCUUCUACCUUCUUACUUAUGUAUUUUUUACUUAUUGUGUGAAAUAUACCUUCAAGGUGGUUUCCUUUAUUUAUAAAGAUAGGAAUAACAAUACUUAAACAAUUUUCUAGCUCUUGAAAUAUGUUUUUAAUUAUUUAACUAAACUUAAUUUUUAAGGAGAUAUAAAAGAACAUAUUUAGAUGGUCUUUAACCCCUUGAAAACUAUUCUUUAAGGAGAAUCGGUGAUUAACCAUUUUUUUUAAAUCAAGUCCAUUAUUGUCUUAAUUUAUUGUAAUAAUAUUCUUUUUGUUGUCAAUAUUUAUCUUUUCUUUUAUUUAAUCUAUAGAUAACUUUUUGAGGACCCAUUAAUUUGUACUUAAAUAUUGGUAUAGAUAGUUAAAAUUAUGUUUUUAAGCAUAAAAAGGAGUAAAAAUCAUUGUUUUUACCUUCAAUAUGUUAACACCCUAUUUUGGUAACUAAUGUGCUAUAUUGUGGGAACUAUAGCAAAGAGAAGAUAAACACAUGUUUUUGUUAGGAUAGAACCCUUAAAAACAUGAUAUGAAGUAACAAAUUUGGAAUUCAUUAUUUAAUGAUAUUCCCAUUUCAUUUUUAUCUAUUCUUGUUCCAUGCAUUACACUUUAUAAACAUUCUUGCCUAGCAUCUUUUGCAUUGCACGUGAUUUGGGUGCAUUAGGAAUUGCCCAAAAGAUCCAAAUCUCGAGUUCCUUGCAAAUAGAUAACUUUUUCAUAAUCGAUUCAGGUCUAGGCAUCAUGAUAUCUCAUGGUGAAAGACCACCGAAAGUCUAAUAGGGAACAUCCAAAAAGGGAAAGAGGAGUGAAUGGGUGAUAUGAAAAUUCAAAUAAAGAGUUAUAUAUAUUAUAUUCAAUUUUUCUUACCCUAAAAAAUUUUAGGGAAGUCCUAAUUUGCACUUUGGGCAAAUUUCAAACAUAUAAUCUAGUAUCUUCGGAGAAUAAGGGAUUAUAUGUUUGUGAGUCUUUGUGAUGAGUUGCUACUCUUUUCAUAUCGAGAAAUUGGACUUCAAUAUGAUAAGGACUCUUGUAGGUCUACCUUUGGGUGUGUGUGCACUGUAAGUGGUUUUUAUUUUAUUUAUUUUAUAGAAACAAAGGAAGCCUUUUGGCUUAUGGGUAGUUCCCUUGACCAUAAUGUCUAAGAUCCUAUUAUGUAAUAAUAAUGGGUUGGUGGCAUGAUCUAAAAAACUAAAGUACCACUAGGAGAGGAAACACAUAUGGAGGAAGUGUAACCUUAUUGUGAGAUAGUAUGGAGAGUUGAUGAUACAAUGGAGUAGAAUUCUUUCUACGGUUCCCAAUCUAUUUUUUGGGCUAGUGGGAUUUUGUUGGGAUUAUGCCCCUAAAAACAAGGCAUGAUGUAACAAAGUUAGACUUAACCAUCCCCUUGCUAUCCCUUUUGGUGUAUUGACAUUGCCUUGAGCAUUUAGCCCGUGUCUCAUACAUUGUACAUGACUUUUGUGUAUUAGGAGUUAUACAAAAGAUACAAGUCAUGGGUUCCUUGUAAGUAGAUAAGUUGUCCACAAUCGGUUCAUGGAUAUAAGAAAUCCAAUAGAGACUAUAGUGCAUCACCUUCUAAUUAGAGGGAUGACUUAUCUUGGCCAUCAAGAUGGGUUUCCCAUGGUGAGUGCACUAGUGUAUGUGAUGCAAAUUGGACAGGACCUAGGGUGAAUCAUGACACAAAGCUAUCAAUUAUCAUGAUUCACUAAGCUACUACACUGCAUAGACUUUCAAACAUGAGAAGAUAUUGAGUUUCUGCAAAAAUCAAUAGGAGGCUUUGACUUAUGGGUAAGACUUUAAAGUGGUCAUAUAUCCCUAUGGAUUUGGUCACUAUUGAUGGAGGUUGGUGGCAAUGGGUAUUCUCAAUAGAGACACCAUGAUAUCUCAUAAGAUUAAGACAGUGUGUCCCCUUGGGUGAUCUAAAGACAUGUGAUUGUGAAAUCUGUGGCCAUAGUAAUUACUUAAGUGGAAUUUGACAUAUUCUCUUCAAAGCUAGAGUAUGUUAUUUGAUCACAUAAUAAGUGGGAUCUAUAACUCAAGGAUUUGAGAGGUAAUCUUGAUAGGUGAAAACACUAUAUUGUUAGAUUAUGAACACUAGUUCAUGGGGAGUCUACAUGCAGUGGAUAGUAGGUCACAAACUCAAAUACUUGGUGUCUCAUUUUAAUAAAUAUAAGGUACUGGAGUGUAGUUGACUCUCUAUAGUGAGAUGCUAAGUUAAUUUCAUAAUUGAUUAUGAGAGAGCCAAUACUCCUAUGGGUCCCAAUGGUCCCCGAUCUGGGCUUAUAUUCCUUGAUGGCAUGGUUUAUGAUGGUUAGGUGGAUUUUGAAGGGAAAAACUCUGAUCACUCCACUUCCCAAGCCCAGAUUUGGGUAGCAACAUGCAUAACUAUCCUAGGCCUUUUCUAAAUCCUAUGCUCAAUGAAAAAAAUAACAUUUUUAAACCUUAAAAGGAUUCAUAAAGAGCUAACGAAAACUGAUUACUACUCAAAAAGUGCUAUUUCAUAGCUUGUAAAUAACUCUUUUAAACACUUUUGAGUAGUAGUUAUUGCCUUUUAACCCAAUUAACAUGUUAAGGACCCUUGCAAUCAAUUCUAAUCAAAUUGUGUUAAGUUUUGGUGUUUUGAUAGCUUUUUGAUCACCGAAGCAAUAUGAGAUUGAGGAGAGUUAUUUGGAAUCCAUGGCAAAGCAAUGGAAAGCUCAGAAACAUGAAGAACCAAAGCUUUGAAGUCCUUUGCCAUAAGCAAAUCCGGAAUGCAAGGAGGGGAAGCAAAGAGAAAUCUGCCAUGAAACAUUCUUGAUGUCAGUCAUGUCAGCCACUUUUGGAGCACUUCUUGGAGUUCAAUUUAUUCAUGCUAUAUGUCGUUUCGAAGCUCAGGAAGUCAGAAAUCCAAUUCUUCAAACGGUGUGUGAUUCAGAGUUGAAAUGAAGGAUUUACAGCCAUUGGAAGCCAAUCACUCCAAGCUGAAGGAAGAAUUUUGCACGGCUGCGAAAUCACCCUUUUGCUGCGAAAUGAUUUCGCAUCCAUUUUGCACAGUGCUGUGGAAUUCCUCCUGAAGUUUCCCCAUAUUUGCGACACGUUGGAAGCCGAACACUGCAAGCUGAAAGCCAACUUUGCAGCACUGCGAAAUCAGCCUUUUGCUGCGAAGUGAUUUCGCAGCCCUUUUUGUGCAUCUGCGAAAUCUCGCAAACCUCUUUUUCACCUGCGAAAUGGUCGUUAGUGCUUCUUGAUAUUUGCGACCGACAUUUUGAGAUAUUUUUCUUCAGAUAUUUUUGUAUAAAUUUUCAUUCUUCUCCUUGUAAUCCACCAACCAUAAGAUUUCUUAGCUAGGAAGGUUGGAAAAACUUCUCUAUAUAUAUUCCCUUGCAUCCAUUGUAAUAAAGAUACAUAUCAUAUAUAGAAUCAACGAACAGAGCACUUGCUCUGUUUUUCAUAUAUAUUCUUGUUUUCUCAUUAGUUUUCUUUCUAGCAAAACAUUCUCUGAGAUAUUUUCUCAGAGGAUGAGAGGCUAGGCUCUUCGUCUCUUGGAGUGAAGAAAUCCGGGUAAGCUUCCACAUGCAUAAUUUGGAAGUUUUGUUGUUUUAGUUUUUAAUGAAGAGAAAGUGUGACCCGUUAAUGGUUUUUAUCUUUUUAGUUAACUUAAAACACCUUUAAUUCACCUGAGCCAACACUUGGUAAGGCAAGUGAUCUCCGUCUAUGGAGAUGCACUAGUUUAUCUCUUGCGAGCUUUUGGUAGGUGGUUUGAAGGUAUGAUUUUCUAGAAUAGCCAACACUUGGUAAGCUUUUAGACUCCAAGGAGACAUCCAUUAGUUAUCUCUUGCGAGCUUUUGACGGGUAAUCCAAGGUUAAAGAUCACCUUGAAUGGCAAGUGCUAGGUGAGAGGUAUGAGCCAUUGCAAGGUGCAUCAAUGAGAGGGAUUUAGUGUUUGAACCCAUUAAUGGGAAGCAUCUGUACAACACCGGUUGGAGAAGGGACUAUAUGUUAAUUCUCUAAUGCGAGGAAAAGAAACAAGUGACCGGAACUCUCCUUUUUGUAUGAGGAACCUGAGCCUAGUGAUCUAAACUCCAAGAAACACUUUUCUUUGUAAGUAAAAUCAGUUACUAUUUUUGGUUAGUUUAAAACCGAACCUUUUUCAUUCAAAUAUCUUUAUGUUUUCUUUUAAAGCUAACCUUGAAAUGAAAAGGCACCAAUUCAGCUUUGAAUUAAUAUCAUUGGCAAAGUGAAAACCCAUCCCAGUGAACGAUCCUAAAGUCACUAUGCUAUAGUAGCUUUGUCUUUUCUACCCUAGUAUAUGGUGUAAUAGGUUAUAAAUUUUGUUGAUUACUCCCUCAAUCAAGGAGCACCAACUGGACACGAAUCAGCUGAGACACCAAUUGGGCAUGAAUCAAAAACCAUACCUCAGAUUCCGAUGUUCCUAAAUCAAAUCCAGGUGGUGAAAAUGAAGAAUGAAAUCACAAAAGUCUCAUAAACCUGAAGUUUUCCGUGCAAUGAAUCGAAUUGAUCUUGACACACCUCCAGUGGGGAUGGAAAGGAAUGUGGAGGCUAUAACUCUUUAUUUUUCUCUUUGGAGAUGGAAGAUGGCUCUCUAGAAAAACUAUAUGAACUUUAAGCCCUAAGAUGAGAUUUAUAGGGUUUUCUACUAGGCUUAAGUAACUUGAGCUCACUAAGUGCUUGGGUCACUUAAUCUAGCCCAAAAUGGGUCCUAAUUGAUUAAUUAACUCAAUAGGGCAUGCUAAUUAAUCAAUUAGCCCAAUCUAGAGACCUUGCUCACUUACCCUUGUGCAAUUUUUGUGUAAUUACCAAGAUGCCCUUAUGCACAAAAGUGAACCUAGAGCUAAUUCGACUCUCAUUACCCAUGCCAACAAGGUAUAUGAUUACUACCCAAAAAGUGCUAUUUUACACCUUUAAUGCAUUAUGUUUUAAGCACUUUUGUGUAGUAGUUCUCCAUCUUUAGUCCAAUUGGCAUGUUAAGGACCUAGCAAUGUCUUCUAAUCAUAUUUGUGGCUAGUUUUAGUGUUUUGACAUCUUUUUGGAUCAUUAAGACAAGCCAAUCAAAGGAGAAAAGCAAAGAGAAGCAAGGAGGAAAACAGAGGACAGCAGCUGCAGUCUUCGUUAGCACUUUUGGAGAACUUCCCGAAGUCCAUUUUCUACAUUCUAUAUACCAUUUCAAAGCUCAGGAAGUCAAGAAUCCAACGCUUCAAACCGUGUAUGAUUUGGAGCUGAAACGAGGAAGAUAUGGCUUUCGGAAGACAACUGCUCCAGGUGUGCGAAAAUUUCGCACACCCCCUUAGCUGUGCGAAUGGUGUGCGAAAUUCGCACACCCCUUGCGUGGUGCAAAUUUUGCUCUGUUUUUGCCGACUCCACUUUAGAUAUUUUCCUAUGUAUUUUUUGAUGUAAUUUCCUUUCUUAUCCUUGUAACUAACCAGUCACAAGCUUUUGCUUUUGUAAAGACUAUAUAAGGGGUGGAAAUUACCUCUUGGAUAUGAAAUAUACGUAUUACGUUUGACACUUAGAAAUUUUUACAGAGCUCUCUCGUUUUCCAUUUUCUCUCUACUAUUUUCUUUUUCUUGGAAGCCAAACAACCUCUGAGGAUGUUUUCUCAGAGGAUGAGAGGCUAAACUUUUGGUUUCUUGGAGUGAUGGAAGCUAGGUGAAAAGUCCAGAUGCAAGGUGGAAAACGCUCGUGCAUUAAAUUCAGGUAGUUGGAAUUCAUAAAUGGCUUUUAAAUCCAAAGUUUUGCUUUAAAUCCCUUAGAAUCACUUUGAAUGACCAAUACAUGGUAAGCUUUAGGUCUUUAUGGAUGCUUAUUGCUAGAUCCAUAUUAGUCCAUUAGUUAUCAUGUACGAGUCAUUGGAAAGCGGUUCAAGGUGAAGACCUAUAGUGUCUAAAGCCAUUAAUGGACUUUGACUACCAUUUAUAUUGAUUAUUAUGGAUUAAAUCUUCAUUGUUAAGCCUACACCGGUUCGGGAAAUAACUAUAGGUUAAAUUCCCAAUGCGAGGAGAAAAAUCCGGAAUUUUCCACUUUGCACUCUAAACUUGAUCCUAGCAAUCCUGAGCUCCGGGAGACUUUCCUUCUUCCAUUUUUAAUUAGUUUAUGUUAAUUUAGUUUCAAACACUUUCAAAACAAAUUUUAUUUUCUUUUAAACUCUAAGUUUUUUUUUUUUAUAAAGGAAAUCAUUAAAUUCAAUUCAUAAUCAUGAGUAUAUCACUGGUAGAAUGAAAACCCAUCCCAGAGUUCGACCCUAGAGCCACUAUACUAUAGUAGCUUUGCUACACUAGUAUGAGGUCAUAGGUUUUAUAAAUGUUUUUGAUUAAAUGACCCAUUUGGAGUUACAUGCGAAUCAGUAUAUGAGCUCAGAGCAAGGACUAUUAGGACCCAUAUGAAUAUUAGCUCCCUCACAAUCCAAUUCUAAAGUUGAUUCAACAUCCCACUAGAAAGAAUCAACUGAACUCCAGUAUCCUAUGUAAAUAGCAAUGAGACAUUAUGUGCUCAGGUUCUUGACCUGCUAUCCAUUACAUUCAGUCUCCCGAUGAACUAGUGUUCUUAGUCUAACAAGAUGAAAGCUAUCAACCUUUCAAGACUAUCUCUACUAUCUUUAAGUUAUAGAUCCUCCUAUUGUAUAUUCAACUGACACGUCUUAGCUCUCAAAGAGCCUAUGUCAAGUUUCACUUAAGGAAUUACUAUGACCAUAGUUUCUAUUAACACACCUCCUUAGGAUCACCUAAGGGGAUACACUGUCUCAAUCCCAUGAGAUAUCAUGGUGCCUAUAUUGAGAAUACUUUUUGCUACCAACUUCUAUCAACAAUGACCUGAUCCAUAAGGAAUAUAUGAUCAACUUACGAUCUCACCCGUAGGUUAAAACCAUUGCUAACUUUAGCAUACGCUUAAUAUUCUCUCAAGGUUAAGAGACAACACAAUGAAGCAAUUUGGUGAGGUCAUGACUACUUGAUAGCCUUAAGUCAUGACUCACCAUAGGUCUUAUCCAAUGUGUAACCAUACACACUAAUGCACUCACCAUGGGAAACCUCUCCCCAUAGCUAAGACAAGUCAUCACUCCAAUUAGGAAGUAGUGCACUACAACCUCUAAUGGGUUGCCUAGACCCAUGAACUAGUUGUGAACAAGUAAUCUAUUUGCAAGAAACCCAUGACUUGGAUCUUCUGUGCAACUACUAAUGCACCUAAGUCACAUACAAUGCAAAAUAUGCAAGUAGGAAUGCUCAUAAAAUAUAAUACAUGGAAUAAGGAUAGACAAAAGUGAAAUUGGAACAUCAUUUAAUAAAUAAUGAAUUCCAAAUUUAUUACAUCAUGUCAUGCUUUUAAGGGCUCUAUCCUAGCAUUCUCCUACUAGCCCUCAAAGCGUCAUGCUUAUAAAGCAUGCUAAAUACUCAUUUGAAACCUAUGCUAUCCUUGUGACUAACAAAGACUCUCCUUGUCAAUGUCUUGGUGAAGGGAUCCACCAGGUUCUCCAUAUAAGGUAUCUUGUCCCAUAUCAUGUCACCUUCUAAACUAUUUCAACACUUUGGAGCACAAGCACAUAAUCCCUCGUUCUCCUAAGAUACUUCAGUAUAUGCUUGAUAGCAGUUUAGUGUUCUGGACCUGGAUUAAACUAAUAUCUACUUACCAUACCCAUUACAACAUAAAUAUUUAGCCUAGUACAUAGCAUCGCAUGCAUAAGGCUACCCACUAUAGAGACAUAGGGUACUGAUUGGAUGCGUUUUUUCUCCUAGGUGUUUUAGGACACUGAUCCCAAGAAAGAAGAAUUCCAUGCCUAAAAUGUAACAAACCUUUCUUGGAAUCUUGCAUCACAUACUUGACCAAAAGCUUAUCUAUGUAGGUAGCUUGAGAUAGCACUAGUUUCUUAUUCUUACGGUCCCUAAGGACCUUAAUCCCAAGAAUAUACUACACUUCUCCCAAAUCCUUAAUCUGGAAUUGAGUAGAUAAACAGAACUUUACUGAUGACAAUAACCCUACAUCAUUACCAAUGAGUAAAAUGUUGUCAACAUACAAGAUCAUAAAGACCAUCAUGCUUCCGUGCUCCUUCUUUUUACACACAAGGUUCAUCCUCAUUUUGAUCAAAGUCAAAGGUCUUGACUGCCUGAUUGAAACAUUUAUUCUAUGAGUGGGAUGCUUGUUUUAGUCCAUAAAUGGAUUUAUGCAAUUUGUAUACCAUAUGCUCUUAACCCUUUGCUACAAUACCUUUUGGUUACACCAUAUAGAUGCUCUCAUCAAGAUUUCCAUUUAAGAAUACAAUCUUGACAUCCAUUUUCCAUAUCUCGUAGUCAAGAUGUGCUGCAAUGGAUAGGAGUAUUCUAAUGGACUUGAGCAUGGCUAUCGACGAGAAGGUCUCAUCAUAGUCAAAACCAAGUUUCUGACUAUAACCCUUCACUACAAGCCUAGCCUUAAAAGUCUCAACCUUUCCAUCUACUCCUCUCUUUCUCUUAUAGACCCACUUACACCUUAUGGGUUUUAUACCUUCAAGUGCUUCUACAAGCUCCUAGACUUGGUUAGAAUGCAUAGAUUCUAACUAUACUUCCAUAGUCUUUUACCAAAAAUGUGCAUCCACAUCGCUCAUUACUUCAUCGUAAUAUGUGGGAUCGAUCUCAUGUUCCUUUAGAAUGACCUCAAAAGACUCUCCCAAAACAUGAAUUGGUCUAGUUGUUUAACAACCCUCCCACUACAAUGAAGCAUCAGUGUACUAGAAAUGAGAAUGGUUGGUACUAGAUCCAUAGUAUCUAGUGUAUAGUGAAACUAUCUUCUAGAUUGUUUGCCUUAUUACAUGUCAUAGAGUCUUCAUAAAAAAUCUAGUAUUUGUAGCAAGCAACACCUUAUGAUAAUCCUGACUAUAACGUAGUAAUCCUGAAAUCCUCUUGGAUAUCCUAUAAACUAAUACACCUCUUUAGAAAAAGAAGAGGUAUUACAUAGUCUUUAAGAUAUAUCCCCAAAGAAUAUGGGAAGUAAUGAGAAACCAAUCACCGAUCUCACUUUGUCUACCAAAGUUUAAUAUAUUCUUUCCAUUACUCCAUUUUGCAAUGGAGUCCUUGGGGCACACAAUUGUGAUAUGAUCUCAUGCUUCAUUUGGAAAGAAUCAAACCUACUAGACUAACCACCUCAAUCUAAUCGAAGUGCCUUGAUAUGUUUACCCAUUAGGUUAUCCAAUUCUGCCUUAAAUUCAAUGAGUUUAUUCAAGGCAUCAUAUCUCCUAUCUAUAUAUCCAAAACUAAAGUAUUUAUCAAUAAAAUGAUCAAAGACUCACACUUUCAAUAUAUAAACACAAAAAGGUUCACAUACAUUAGUAUGCACUAACUCCAAACAUUCCUUGGUUCCAAGUCUUUUAAAAAUAAAAGGGUCUCUUAGUCAUUUUACCAUCUAUAUAAGAUUUAUAGACUAAAAGAUCUUCUAGAUUAAGAAGGUCCAAACUUAAUUAGUAUUUGGAUCAAUAUGACUUAGGUGUUAGAAGCCAAAUGUUUGAUUCGUUCUAGGUUCUUUCUUUUGGUGAGAUUUAACUAUUCUCAUUACUUGGCAAAGUGAUAAUGGAGUCUCACAUAGAAAAGGUAAUACCUCCCACUAACAUGCACAACUAAUCUUACAACUGAAGCUAAGGUAAGUACAAUCCCAUUAUGUGACCUUCUCACUUGUUGAAAACCUUGUAAAGAACUACAGAUAGUGGGCCUGGAAUCUAUCCACCACUAUGUAUUCAACAACAAGAACAUGAUGUGUACUUGUCUAUUCUUAAACACUCCAAGCAUUCCAUGUUUAAGUGUCCUAAAAGGCCAUAAAGGAAUCAUUGCCCAUGAGCUUGUUCUCUCAUUAUUUUUCUUGAACUUUCCUUAUUUGGUGUUGUUCUUUUCCUUCUUGGUAGAAGAACCUAAAGAACCUUGACUUCCAUAUGAACACCUUUCAACUCUUUGAGAAUCUUCUUAACCAUACUAAAAGAAUCCGGUAAGAUCUUUAGGAUAACAUGAAUCUUGGUGUUCAUAAUAGUCCUAAGGGCAACUUGUUUAGUUGACUUACUCUUAUUACCAAAUAACCCUUUCAACUUUAAAGAGAAUAUCAUAGACUAUGGAAAUAGACAUAUGUUGUUUUUGCAACACUUUAUCUAAAGACCCAAGUAUGAGAGACUUGGCCUUUUGAUUUGUCUUAUGCCAUAUUUGAUAUGUUUCUCUUACUUCAUGAUAGGUUUGUUCAAUGGAAAUAACAAACUCUACCAAAAUCAGCUUCUAUGCAAUUAAUACUAUACCCAGAUUAUUCAUAGUCUAUCAUUAGGUCCAAUUUAAACAAAAGAUAAUAGGCAACAAGUUAAAGACAUGAUAUCUAUAAAAAAUAUAAUAAUUCCAUGCAUUAAUAAAAAGAAAUUGAGCAUUCAAGGCAAGUUGGUAAUUAAUUUAGUAAAAAAGUAGUUCUCUCAAACUACAUAUCCUUUUGUAAGGUAUCCUAGUAUCAUAAGAAUCAAGCCAACUUUAUGUAGGUCACGACUCUUAUUACUAGGGUAGAGACCCUCUCUAAUUGAUCAACUUGCCUUAAACUUUAAAAGUUAUCAUAAGGCAUUGAUCAACAUAGCUUUAUGUUUAGCCCUUAGUCCAUGCAAGUGGGACCACUUUAGGUGAUUUUACCACUUCAUGUCUAAGUUAAGUAUGUAACCAAGAUCCUUGACAUCAAUGUUACCAAGUGAAGAGUUCCAUCUUUAGGGUUGACUAGUCUCACUAUAAACAUAUAUAGUCUUGUCCAUAAAGGAUAGUCUUUAUUCCUUGAUUCCUUGGGCCACCCUAUCUUUAAGAUGGUGAUGCACCCAAAAUCAAGAUGGGCUUGGUCUUGGAGGUUAUGGGCUUGCCUAUGGCCUACUCCUACUUAAUAUUUUGGAAAAGAGGCUUUAAGAUAAUUUUGGUAACUAUCUUAAAAUAAAUUAUCUAUCAUGAGAAUUUCCAAAACUUUUAUUUAUCACUUGAAUUGGGACUCUUGUACCAAAUAGGGAUAUAUUUCAUAUUCCUUAUCCUUGAACUUUCCUUUUCAAACUAAACAUAUUCCUCAUUCUCUUAGAGGAGAAGAUGUUGGAAGACCAAUUUAAUUGUCAUUCUCCUUCUCUCUAGGGAGGAAGGCUUGGAAAACCACUUAAGCCAAAUAAAGAAAAGUCCCAAAAGGAAUUUGAAAUUCCAAAUGAAAACAACCAAUUCCUUAAAUAAAUAAUAAUGGAAAUAAAACUCAUGAAAAUGUAUUCUUUUAAGAAAAUCCAAAAUUACCAUUUUAAUUUAUUUUAUUUGAAACAAUAUCUUGGUAAGCUAUAUUAAUAAUGAAUCAUCUAUCAUAUAUUUUUCUAAAAAUAAUUUAUUUCUUUAAAUUAGAAUCUUGUGCUAAAUAGGAAAGAUUUUAUUUCACAAAGGCUUGGAAAACUAAAACUUCUUCCUUAUAAUAAAAAAAUUCUUAGAGAUCUAAAAUCUAAAAAAAAUUAUUUUGGAAAAGAAAAUCUCUAAGAGUUUAAUUUUGAAAUGGAAGUAGGUUCCUUAUUACUUUCCAACUUAGCUUUUCUUAAAAUAAAAAUUUCUUAAUCCCUAUCACAUUCCAAUUUAAUAAAUUAUCUAAAACAAGAAAAAAAAAAUAUGAAAAUUCAUUUACUUAAGAAUGCCAAAAUAUAUUCUAUGUCAAGAAUAAAAAGGCAUAAAAGAUAUAAAAGGAAAUUAAAUAAAUAAUUUUCAUGGUCUUAUGGAUCUUGCUGCAAAUUUGGAUAAAAUCCAAAUUAUCAAAAUAGUCCUGCAACCAAAGAUAGGGUUAAUGAAAAAAGAAAAACCCAACAAGCCCAAUUGCCACAAAAAAAAAGCCUAAAAAAAAGCCCAAAAAAUUGAGCUCAAACAACCAAAAACAAUUUGGCCCAAACUCAAUCCUGUAAUUGCAUGCCCUUUGAGCAGCCUUGCUUCAAUCAACCGUAUCUCCCUCGUUUCAACUCUGAAUUGUGAUAUUUUUGAAGCAUUAAAUUCCUGUAUUCCUAAGCUUGAAAACCAUAUAUGGUUUUCCCCAAAAAUCUCAUGGGAGGUAGCCCCGAUUUUGAGUUAAAUUCAGCAUCAUUGUGCUGCCAUGGUCUUUGCGCAACCUUACUUCAAUUGAUUAUAACUCCCUUGUUUCAACUCCAAAUUGUGAUCCAUUUUAAGCCUUGGAUUCUUGACUUCCUAAGAUUGAAAACCACAUGUGGUUUGACCUAAAAAAACUCAUGGGAAGUUAUCCCGAUUUUAAUCUUAAGAUGACAAAAUUGUGCUGCCAAGGAUCUCAAAUCAAGAAUUUCCAAGAAUCUUUCUUUUCCCUUAAAUCACCAUAGGAACUUAUGAAAGAAACUUCAAGAAGCCUUAUUUUCUCUUUUCCAAAAAGGGAAUGUGAGGAAAAAUUUUGUGAUGCUUCAGACUGCUUCCAUAAUCUCCAUACGUUGCAAAAAAUGAUAAAAAAAAAAAGGAUUUGGAGUUUACAUAUCAUUCUAAGAUAAAAAUGGGAUUUUUACAAAAGAACAAAAAUCCUAUGCCUGUUUUGAGGCUUACAACCCAUCUAGAAAAAGUAAACAACAAUCCCAGUAAUUAUUACAUCCCUAAUAAAAAAAAUCACAAUAAUAAAGAAUCCACAUUAAUUAUCCCUAGUGUCAUGGGAUAAACACAUACCCUACAAAAUAAAGUUAGCACACCCUAUAAUGGUUCUAGCACGAUUACUAACCUAUGGCUCUAAUACUAGUUGAUGGGAAAAACCUGGAUAUUUCCAUUUCCCAAGCUCGAAUCAGGUUAGGAAUAUGUAUAACUAUCUUAGGCUUUUUCUAAAUCCUAUGCAUAGCGGAAAAAUAACAUUUUUAAACUUUAAAGAGAUUCAAAAGGCGUUAACAAAAACCAUACCUCAAAUUUGGAUGUUCUUGAAUCAAAUCCAUGUGGUAAAGAUGAAGAACGAAAUCGCAGAAGUCUUGUAAACCCGAAGUCUUCUGUUCGAUGACUCAAAUCUUAAUCUUGACACUUCCGGUGGGGAUGGAAGAGAGGUGAAGGCUACUGUUAGGAUAGAGCCCUUAAAAGCAUGAUAUCAUGUAAUAAACUUAAAAUUAAUUAUUUAUUUCAUGAUGUUCUAGUUUCACUUUUAUCUAUCCUUAUUCCAUGUAUUAUACUUUAUGAGCAUUCUUAUCUGCAUCUUUUGCAUUUUAUGUGACUUAGGUGCAUUAGGAGUUGCAUAGAAGAUCUAAGUCAUGGGUUCUUUGCAAAUAAAUGACUUGUUCACAACCAGUUCAUGGGUCUAGGCAACCCAUUAGAGGUUGUAGUGCACCACCUCCAAAUUGGAGGGAUGAUUAGUCUUGAAUACUGGGAUAGGUUUUCCAUGGUGAGUGCACUAGUGUGUAUGGUUACACAUUGGACAGGACCAAUGGUGAGUCAUGACUUAAGGCUAUUGAUUCGAUGCCCAGCCGGGUCUUUUAAUCAAAAACAUUUAUAAAACCUAUGACCUUAUACUGGCGUAGCAAAGCUACUAUAGUAUAGCAGUUCUAGGGUCGAACUCAGGGAUGGGUUUUCACUCUAUCAGUGACAGACUCUAAAUUAGAAAUUGAUUCUGAUGAUUUCCUUUAGCACAAACUUGAAAUUUAAAAGAAAAUAAAAUUGUUUUGAAAGUGGUGAUUUAAACUAAACUCACAUAGAACUAAGUAAAAAGUGGAAGAAAGAAAGUCUCCUGGAGUUAAAGGUUGCUAGGUUCAAGUUCCAGAUGCAAAGUGGAAAAUUCCGGAUUUUUCUCCUCGCAUUGGGGAUUUAACCUAUAGUUAUUUCCCGAACCGGUAUAGGUUUGACAAUGAAGUUUUAAUCCAUAAAAAGUCACUAGAGAUGGUAGUCAAGGUCCAUUAAUGGCUUAAGACACUAUGGGCUAUCACCUUGAAUCACUUUCCAAUGGCUCGUACAUGAUAACUAAUGGACUGAUAUGGAUCUAGCAAUAAGCAUCCACAGAGACCUUAAGCUUACCAUGUAUUGGCCAGUCAAAGUGAUUCUAAGGGAUUUAAGGCAAAACCUUGGCUUUAUAAACCAUUUAUGGACUCCAACUACCUGAAUUUAAUGCACGGAAACUUUCCAUGUUUUAAUCUGGACUUUUCACCUAGCUUCCUUUACUCCAAGAAACUAAAUGUUUAGCCUCUCAUCCUCUGGGAAAACAUCCUCAGAGGGUGUUUGGCUUGCAAGAAAAUAGAAAAUAGAAGAGAGAAAAAGAAAGCAAAAGAGAUCUCUGUAUUUCACUAAGUAUCAAAUUUACAUCAUUUGGUCUCCUGGAGAAAGCUCCCCGAAAGAUUCAUUUUCAGUGAUUACAAGAGAAUUUAUAUAGGAAGGUAAUUUUACCCUUCCUUGGAUACUUCCUAGCUAAGGAAUUACAUGAGUGGUUGAAUACAAGGAGAAAAUGGAAAUUUAGACACAAAAAUAUCAGAAGAAAAAGAGUCGGCAAAAAUAUCCAAUUUUCGCACGCUGGAGUUCCAAUUUCGCACUUUGAUUUGAGGUGUGCGAACUUUUCGCACAGUGGACUGAGGAAUUCGCACCUUGAUUUCCAUCGUGCGAAAUUGUCCCUCAACUUGAUGCAAUUGUCUUCCGAAGGCCAUAUCUUUCUCAUUUCAGCUCCAAAUCGUACAUGGUUUGAACCGUUGGAUUUUUGACUUUCUGAGCUUUGAAAUGGUAUAUAGAAUGUAAAAAAUGGACUUCGGGAAUUGCUCCAAAAGUGCAAUGAAAGACUGCAGCUGUGUCCCCUGUUUUCAUCCCCUGUUUUCCUCUUCUCCAUUGUUUCUUCCUUGUAUACUUUGAACGACUAAGGCAAAGGAUUAUGAGGCUCCAUAGCUUGAUUUCUUCAUAAAUUUAAGCUUUCAAAAGCUUUGCCAUGAACUAUAAAUAGCUCUCCCUCAUUCUUAAAUUGCUUUGGUGAGCAUAAAGCUAUCAAAAAGCACCAAAACUUAACAUAAUUGUUAGAAACGAUUGCAAGGGUCCCUAACAUGUUAAUUGGGUUAAAAGGUAAUAAUUACUACUCAAGGGUGUUUAAAAGAGCUAAUUACAAGCUACAAAAUAGCAUGUUUUGAGUAGUAAUCACUCCCCCCAACCGACAUAUUGCUAGUCCCUUAGCAAUUAAGGAGAGAAAAACUAAGCAAACGUAAUAAUAUACAUAAAAGAGGUCAUGCAAUUCAUUCCAAAAAAUAAUUGAGAGGCAUGACUGAUAUCCAAACACAUCUCCCCUGGUGAACUAAAGAUAUGAAGAUUCAAAAUGCAAUAGGAGUUGUCAAAGCUUAAAACUUAAACAAAAAGUACAAAGAGUGGAGAUUAUGCAAUUAAGUAUCAAAAGAAUCUCUACUCUCAAGGUUCCAAAUCAAACUCUUCCAUAAUAAGCUAAGUGUUAAUGAGAUUAGCUUCCGGAUAUAGUAUAUACAACUAUCCUCACCUUCCAACCUAAGCUUUUCUCGAACAUUGGCAAAAUUAAUCAACUCUUAAUAGGUUAGGAACGCACCUUCUUAUUCACAAUUCUUUUUACUCACUAAUCUUAACCAAUUCACCUAUGUAGCAAGCAGAGGAUCGAUGACUCCCAACCAAUCAAGGUUUAGGGCAUCGGGUUUUAAAGGCUUUCGCCACCCCUUCGGAUCAUGCUUAGGUUUCAAGGAAAGAAUAGAAGCUUAUUCUUUUUUUUUUUUUUUUUUUCAAAGACUCAUUGGUCUUUAUGAGGUGUCCCAACACUAUUAAAGAGAGGUUAAGUAAUGAACCAAGUCAAAAUUUUCCUAAGCUUAGAAGGUGAGAAAGUUUUACAUCAUAUAUCCGGGAUCUAAUGUGCACAGUGGUGUAAAGCUUGAAAUGGAAGAAGAAAGUUCGAAAUCAAAGAGGCUUCAAUAGAUUAUCAACUUUGAAAGCAUAAAACAAACUCUAAGACUUAAAUAAUUAAGUUAAAACUCGACUUAUCCUAUUUUAUUUUUGAGAAAUUAUCUUUAACAACCAUAGAGAAUGAUUCAAAAAACUUUUAAAAAUUUUAAAUUUUAAGCAAAAAUCAACUAAAAUACCAAAAUAACUUAGUAUUAACAACAAAACUUCCUUUCUCAACUCUCCCCCCAACCAAGUUGAACAUUGUCCUCAAUGUUUCAAAAGCGAUUAAAAAUAAAGGGAGGAAGUGGUACCUCCUGAGUGAGACAAAGUCUGAGUGUAAAGGAGGUAUGGAGUACCUUAAACCACAUGUUCCAAGGACAAAAGAGUAAUGAGAAAAGGGAAUAUAAUCAAAAAGGAUAUAUAUAUAUAUAUAUAUAUAUAUAUUACUUGUAAAAGAAAUAUACAAUGUAUGAUUUCAAGUAAUACUUCCAAUCCCAGUUUAUAACACAUGCAAAAGAUGGGAUUUACAAGUCUAAAAUAAAAAACAAGUAAAAUAUAAAAAUAUCAAAUAUGAGGGGUGUCAUGUGAUGGCUCUGCUCUGAUCUCCUCCUCUGGUAUGGGCUGCUCAGCUGGUAAGCUCUCCUUAUCUGGCACUAGAGGCUCGGAUGGUGCAGACCUAUCAUGCCCAAAAGGUGUCUGCAUACUCAAAUGCUGCUGAAUCUGAUGAAGGAUCGUGGUAUGUUGGGCCUGAGUAGCAAUGAUCUGAUCCUGGUGUGCCCGAAUAGUGGUCAUCUGGUGGAUAAUAGAAUCCUGAGCAGUGCUCAGUGUCCGCAAUGAACGCUCUAAGCCUCUGAAUUCCGUAAGAGAAACGGUGACAGUGGGCUCAGAUGAAAGAGGAGGUGCUGGGGUAGCUGGCAUGACUGGUGGAGCACCCGAAGUGAUAGAAGAAAUAGGAUGUAUAGGCUCAGGAAUAUGCUCUGAGGGGUGUUCUGCAGGGGCAGGAGGUGUGGUCUCUAUGAGAAUCUCAUCCUGCUGGGCCUGAGGCAUCUGCUCAUCUUGGGGUAGCUCUGGAGGUGCAGGCACAGCUGGGGCUCCCUGGGGUGCAAAGUAGGCUACCAAGUGAUGCCAUUUGUCGAGAGAGAAGUCCUCUCGGCAAUGGCGGCGCCUCUCAAGACGGGGCUGUUCAGGAUAGCCCAGGUGCUCUAAAAUCUGGCAGAGGAGCCUCGAAAAUAGUAAUGGGAUGCCAUCUGCCUUUUGAAGCUUCUUCUGAUGGACUUUCUCUUCAAAAUGAAGAAGAGAAGUCAUAAUCAAAUGAUGAGGGCCGAAAAAAUAGCCCUCAGAAAUCCUAAAUAACGCCUCAAGUAUAGCUCCUCGCCUCUGAACUUUGUGCUGAAGGGGGAAAAGGUUGGCACGCAGGAGCACAUCAAUAAGGAGCAUCCCAGAUGGAAGCUCUCUCCUAGUCAACACUGAGGCUGUAGAAGUCCCCCUGGACAAAAUGCGGACCAUGUCACUCUGAGAGAAUGAGGACCACUCCCUGAAGUCUGCCUGAAUCACAGGCUCAUAAGGUAUACGGAGGGCCUCAACAAUGUGACGAGCUCCAAUGGCACCCUGGCGUCCAUCUAUGGUAAAUUGGAUGAGGGUAGGAUUACGGAGGCCUCGAGUAGUCAUAGAUUGAUAAAAAUCUAUAACUACUCUGGGAUAGUAGAAUUGCCUAGGAGUGAGAAGAUCCUCCAUGUGAUACCUCUGUAGUAGUCGGAAUGAAUCUCUGAGCUCUGGCUGCUGUCUGAGGGCCUCUAUAUCAAAGUAGGUCUCGGAAUGGAAGGAUCGAUCUCUGCAAUCCAAGUUGCCCUCUAUCGGUGGUCCGGCUAUCAUGGGACGCCUGAUAACAGUCUCAGGAGUAAUCCCCACAGGAAUCCGAGAGUCCUCUGUAGGUGGCUCUGACUGAGGUGCGUGGGAUGGUUCUCCAGGACCCGAGAACUUGGUUCUCUUCGCUGGUGGCCGAGAAACAGAGUUCGUGGCUUGAUCGGCUGGUGGCACAGGGUCCGUGGGUGGUCUCCUGGUGGGGUAUCGGCGCUGAGAAGGGGCUUCCCCCUCAGAUGGGGGAAUGGCCGGGGCCUGAACAGGUGGCGAAGCUGCGGCUCCCAUGGCGGCUCGAUGUGGUCGAGGUGUCGGUGAGGAUGGGGAGCCGGAAAGGCCUCCUCUGGUCUUCGCCAUGGCCGAAAUGGAGGUGGGUGACUGUUUGGGAUUCCAGAGGCUUCUCAGCUGGUUCGUGGGGGAGUCCUUUGAGCUUCUGGACUUCAAGGGAUUAUAUAGGAAUGAGGUUUAGGGGGUUUUUUAUGUUUUAAAAUUUUCCAAGGCAACCGAAAAGUCGUUUUUGGACGUUAGGCACAAUUUCGGGGGUAAAAUUUUAAUUUAAAAGUCCGUUGAAAAUUUUUUUGGAACUUAAAAUUUUACCGUGCGAAAUUUUCGCACCUUGGUCUGCAAAUUUCGCACCUUGAAAUUAGGUGUGCGAAAAUGGCACCCCUUUAACUGAGGAUUUCGCACCUUAAAAUGAGGUGUGCGAAAUUUUCGCACCUUGAAAUCAGGUGUGCGAAAUUUUCGCACCUUGUUUCGCACGGUGCGAAAAGUGGCUUGAGGUGUGCGAAAAUGGCACUCGUGUGCCAGGAGGGGAUUUCGCACAGUGAGAAAAUUUUCGCACCUUGCACAGUGGUGUGCGAAAUUGGUUUUUAGGGAAUUCGCACCUUGAAAUCAUUUUUCGCACCUUGAAAUAAAUUUCGCACCUUGGUUUUGGGGUGUGCGAAAAUGGCUCCCUUUGGACCGAGGAUUUCGCACCUUGGUUUUGGGGUUUGCGAAAUUUUUGCACCUUGGAAUCAGGUGUGCGAAAUUUUCACACCUUGAAAUCAGGUGCUCUGUUUCCUUGGUUUUACUCCCCUUUCUUGCUUUUGAAGAGUUCUCCCCAUCUUUCAUGAUUUUUUUCUGAAAUUUAUCAUCAAAAUUGACUUGAAUUAAGACAAAAUAAACUAAGAUUGAGGAAAAAUUAUAAUAAAAAGAAAUAAAAAUAAUGAUAUAACUAUAAAAUUAUAAAAAAAUUCAUGGACUUAUUUAGCCCAUGAUACCCUGCUUUCCCUCAGAGUUGUGGUGGUUCAAGGAGGUUGAUCUCCUCCUUGUCUGUACUGUAAGGCUCUAUGAAUGGCUUGAGACGAUGGCCAUUAACUUUGAAGGUUUGAUUGCCUGUGGGAUUGAAUACUUCCACCACUCCAUUGGGGUGUACUUCAUGAAUUAUGAAAGGACCCGUCCACCUGGAUUUCAAUUUUCCUGGAAAGAGAUGAAGUUUAGAGUCAUAAAGCAAAACUUUUUGUCCUUUGGUAAAAUUUUUCUGAUUUACCAACUGAUCAUGCCAUUUUUUCAAUCUUGCUUUUGCAAUUUUUGAAUUGAGGUAUGCAUCAUUCCUCAUUUCCUCUAAUUCAUUCAAAUCCAAACAUCUCUUUAACCCGGCUUUUGUCAAAUCCAUGUUAAGCUUUUUGAUUGCCCACCAUGCUUUAUACUCAAUCUCUACUGGAAGAUGACACGCUUUGCCAUAAACAAGGCGAUAGGGAGACAUUCCUAGAAUGGUCUUGUAAGCGGUCCUAUAAGCCCAUAAGGAAUCCAGGAGCUUGAUAGACCAAUCCUUCCUAUUCACAUUGACCACCUUCAUCAAUAUAUUCUUGAUCUCUCGGUUGGCUAACUCAACUUGGCCACUUGUUUGGGGGUGAUAAGGUGUAGCUACCUUGUGCUUAACCUCAUACUUGGCUAGAAGAGUCUCAAAAGGUUUAUUGCAAAAGUGGGUUCCCCCGUCACUUAUAAUGGCUUUUGGCACUCCAAAUCUUGCAAAGAUGUGGUCCUUGAGGAAUUUAAGUACCACUUUAUGAUCAUUGCUCCUACAUGGGAUUGCUUCUACCCACUUAGAGACAUAAUCCACUCCUACCAAGAUGUAGGAAUGUCCAAAUGACAUUGGAAAUGGUCCCAUGAAGUUUAUACCCCAGACAUCAAAGAUAUCCACUAUUAAGAUGGGGUUCAAGGGCAUCAUAUUUCGGCGUGUUAGCUUACCAAGCCUUUGACACCGAUCACAUCCCUUGCACAUAGAAUGGGCAUCCUUGAAAAGAGAGGGCCACCAGAAGCCUGAUUGGAUCACUUUCAUAGCUGUUUUCUGGGAGGCAAAAUGACAUCCACAUGCACUAUCAUGGCAAUGGGAGAGAAUUCCCGAUUGCUCUUGCUCAGGAACACAUUUCCUUAUAAUUUGAUCUGCACAAUAUUUGAAAAGGAAAGGUUCCUCCCAAUAAUAGGCAUGGAUCUUAGCCAAGAAAUGCCUCUUGUCUUGAGCACUCCACUCACUUGGUACUUCUCCAGUAACCAAAAAGUUUGCAAUGUGAGAAUACCAUGGAGCUACAUCUACUGACAUGAGAGACUCCUCAGGGAAGUCAUCAUUGAUAGGCAGACCAUGUGAGUCAUGUGCUAUCACAAGUCUGGACAAGUGGUCAGCUACCACAUUUUCUACCCCCUUUUUAUCCCUGAUUUGGAGAUUGAAUUCUUGGAGCAAAAGAAUCCAUCUUAUCAAUCUUGCCUUGGCAUCCUGCUUGGUUAGCAAGUACUUCAAAGCAGAAUGGUCAGUGAACACCACUAUAGAGGACCCUACCAAAUAAGCACGAAACUUAUCCAAGGCAAAAACUACUGCCAACAGCUCCUUCUCAGUAGUUGUGUAGUUCUUUUGAGCCUCAUUCAAAGUUUUGCUUGCAUAAUAGAUCACAUAGGGCUUUCCAUUCUCUCUUUGCCCCAAAACAGCCCCCAUAGCAAGAUCACUUGAAUCACACAUUACCUCAAAAGGUAAUUUCCAAUUUGGGGCUCUCACUAUUGGUGCAGUUGUGAGGAAUUGUUUCAAUUCCUCAAAACUUCUCUGACACUUCUCAUCCCACACAAAUUUGGCAUCCUUUACCAAAAGGUCACACAGAGGUUUUGAGAUUUUUGAGAAAUCCUUAAUGAACCUCCUAUAGAACCCGGCAUGUCCAAGGAAUUGCCUAAUUCCUUUAACAUUUGUGGGAGGUGGCAACUUAACAAUCAGCUCCACCUUUGCCUUAUCUACCUCAAUGCCAUUUUUGGAGAUGAUAUGUCCUAAGACAAUUUCUUUUUGUACCAUAAAAUGACACUUCUCCCAAUUUAGCACUAGGUCUUUCUCAAUACAUCUAUGGAGAACAGCUUCUAAAUGCAUCAAACACUCCUCAUAAGAACUUCCAUAUACAGUGAUGUCAUCCAUGAAAACUUCCAUGAUGCGUUCCACCAUAUCACUGAAGAUGCUUAGCAUGCAUAUUUGGAAAGUUGCAGGAGCAUUACAUAGACCAAAGGGCAUUCUCCUAUAUGCAAAAGUACCAAAGGGACAAGUGAAGGUCGUCUUUUCUUGAUCUUCCAAAUCAAUUUCUAUUUGGAAGUACCCUGAAUAACCAUCUAGAAAACAAUAGAAAGGAUGUCCUGAGAUUCUCUCAAGGACUUGGUCCAUGAAAGGCAAUGGAAAAUGGUCCUUCCUAGUCACUGAAUUCAACCUCCUAUAGUCUAUAGACACCCUCCAUCCUGAGGUAGGACGUGUAGAGACUUCUUCCCCUUUCUCAUUCUGGAUCACAGUAAUUCCAGAUUUCUUUGGGACUACUUGGGUGGGACUCACCCACAAGCUGUCUGAAAUGGGAUAUAUGAUCCCAGCUUGAAGUAGCUUCAAAACUUCAUUCCUCACCACUUCUUGCAUGUGAGGAUUCAGUCUCCUUUGGGGUUGCCUCACUGGUUUUGCAUCUUCCUCCAUAUAAAUAUGGUGGGUGCACACCAAAGGGCUAAUCCCUUUCAGAUCAGAAAUUUGCCAUCCAAUGGCUUUCUUACAUUUUCUGAGGACUCCUAAAAGACUAUCCUCUUGAUCACUAGUGAGGGUUGAGGAAACUACCACUGGACAUUUCUCAUCAUCCUCCAAGUAUGCAUACUUCAAAUCCACAGGAAGUGGCUUUAAAAUAAGCUUUGGAGGGUCCUCCACAGUAACUCCUUGUGAGUCUUCCUGGUUGAACAGUGGUAAGAUCUCUUCCCGUCUCCUCCAAGGAGACAUUAUGGCUAGCACAUCAAAGGGUUCAGGGAACCCAUCUUCAAGGACUUCCAGGUUUUCAUUCAAGCUCUCCUCUAAACUCUUGUCACAGUGCUCUUCAACCAAAGUGUUGAUCAAGCACAUCUCCUCGAAUCCUUCCUCCUCUUCAGGGUAAAGAUGCCUCUUACAUAAAUGGAAUAUGUUUAAUUCCAAUGUCAUGUUUCCAAAUGUGAGCUGCAUCACCCCAUUCCUACAAUUAACAAUAGCAUUGGAGGUAGCUAGGAAAGGUCUCCCUAGGAUGAUUGGUACAUAAUUUUCUUCCUUGACAGUGGAAUCAGUAUCAAGCACCACAAAAUCCACAGGAUAGUAGAAUUUGUCCACUUGAACUAGAACAUCCUCUAUCACUCCCCUUGGGAUUUUGACAGACCUAUCAGCUAAAGAGAGGGUCAUGGUUGUGGGCUUUAAUCCUCCUAGUCCCAAUUGUUUAUACACAGAGUAUGGGAGCAAAUUCACACUUGCUCCCAAAUCUAAUAAAGCUUUUUCCACAUGUGUCCCUCCAAUGUUGACUGAUAUGGUGGGACAUCCCGGAUCUUUAUACUUAACUGGGGACUUACUCUAGAUGAUAGCACUCACUUGCUCAGUGAGGAAUGCAUUCUUUGUCACCUGUAAACCUCUCUUGACUGUGCACAAGUCCUUUAGAAACUUUGCAUAUGUGGGGACUUGCUUGAUCAUAUCAAGUAAAGGUAUAUUCACCUUCACUUGUCUCAGAACUUCAAGAAUUUCUGAUGAAUUCUUGAUUUCUUUCUUUCCAUGUAAAGCUUGAGGAAAAGGGGGAGGCAUAUGUUUCUUCAUCAUAUCCUCCUUAAUCACUAUCCUUGGUUCUUCUUCAAUGCUUGAUUUGGAUGCACUUUUCUUCCCACUCUGCUCUUCUUGGUUAUUGCCCUCUUUGAUCAAGGGUCUCUUUGAUCUGAGUUCUUCAUUAGGCCCCACGUUAGGCAAGGGUUGAUCAACCUCCUUCCCACUUCUCAAAGUGAUCACAGCUUUGACCUCUCUCAAAUUUGAAGACUCACCAUCUUGGGUUUCAAUUUCAUGAACACCCUUGGGAUUUUGGCUUGGUUGAGAGGGGAACUUUCCCUUCUCAAUCACUGUGUUUAGGUUGGUAAGCCUAGAGAUGGAGUACUGAAUAUUAUCUAUCUUCUGAGAUAGAUCAUUUUGCAUCCCCUCCAUUCUCUUUAUUUGAGAACUCUCAACAUUUUCAAUCUUUUGAUGCAAUUGGGAGUUAAUUGUCUUUUGUUUACCCACAAAGUCACCCAUGACUUUACUCAGGUUUACAAUGGCUUGCUCCACUGAAGAUGGUUGUUGAGGUACUUGGGUUUGGCCUUGUGGUUGGUAUGGAGGUGGCCUUGGUUUCCAAGAAAAAUUUGGGUGGUUUCUCCAGCUUGAAUUAUAGGUGUUUCCAUAAGAUGCACUGUUGUUGGGCCUAAAUUGCCCCACAACAUUUACUUGAUCACCUAACAUCUCUCUCACAGCUGGCAUGGUUGGACACUCAUCUACNNNNNNNNNNNNNNNNNNNNNNNNNNNNNNNNNNNNNNNNNNNNNNNNNNNNNNNNNNNNNNNNNNNNNNNNNNNNNNNNNNNNNNNNNNNNNNNNNNNNCAAAGUGAAAAGAUAGCUGAGUCUCAUCAAGUCUAUGAAGCUCUCCCUCUCUAAAGGUAUUACACACCUCCUCAAACUCCUUGAUGUGAGAAUAUGGAUUCUCACUCUCCAUUCCAUGGAAAGUUGGUAGGAGGGGCACAAUAUGGGGCCUUAUAACCAACUGCUCAAGUGGGGGCAGGAUGCAUGAGGGUGCACUCAUCCUUGGGGGAUGCAUUCUAUCCCUCAUGGAUAGGUAUGCAUUGGGAUUACCCCCUUGACCUUGUUGAGAAUUCUGAUCCUCUGGUGGAGGGUCCAUGAUAUUUACACAGAUAUCCAACUCUGUGUCUUGAGGAUUCUCAAUCCUUACUAAUCUUCCCUCUUGGUCCCUAAUCCAAUAGGGCAUGCACAAAUUCCUGUAAUAGUAAAAACAAAAGGAAACUAAAGAAAAGGAUAAAGUUAGGAAGAAAAUGAAAAUAAAAUUAACAAAAGGAAAAUGAAAGAAAAUGAAAUUAGUGAAAAAGAAAUUCACCCUGGUUGUGAUGAAAAUCACAAGUAGCCUCUAAAAGGUUGUAUCACUGUAUUGUGGCACCAUCCCCGGCAACGACGCCAUUUGAUUCGAUGCCCAGCCGGGUCUUUUAAUCAAAAACAUUUAUAAAACCUAUGACCUUAUACUGGCGUAGCAAAGCUACUAUAGUAUAGCAGUUCUAGGGUCGAACUCAGGGAUGAGUUUUCACUCUAUCAGUGACAGACUCUAAAUUAGAAAUUGAUUCUGAUGAUUUCCUUUAGCACAAACUUGAAAUUUAAAAGAAAAUAAAAUUGUUUUGAAAGUGGUGAUUUAAACUAAACUCACAUAGAACUAAGUAAAAAGUGGAAGAAAGAAAGUCUCCUGGAGUUAAAGGUUGCUAGGUUCAAGUUCCAGAUGCAAAGUGGAAAAUUCCGGAUUUUUCUCCUCGCAUUGGGGAUUUAACCUAUAGUUAUUUCCCGAACCGGUAUAGGUUUGACAAUGAAGUUUUAAUCCAUAAAAAGUCACUAGAGAUGGUAGUCAAGGUCCAUUAAUGGCUUAAGACACUAUGGGCUAUCACCUUGAAUCACUUUCCAAUGGCUCGUACAUGAUAACUAAUGGACUGAUAUNNNNNNNNNNNNNNNNNNNNNNNNNNNNNNNNNNNNNNNNNNNNNNNNNNNNNNNNNNNNNNNNNNNNNNNNNNNNNNNNNNNNNNNNNNNNNNNNNNNNAUCUUUCUCAUUUCAGCUCCAAAUCGUACAUGGUUUGAACCGUUGGAUUCUUGACUUUCUGAGCUUUGAAAUGGUAUAUAGAAUGUAAAAAAUGGACUUCGGGAAUUGCUCCAAAAGUGCAAUGAAAGACUGCAGCUGUGUCCCCUGUUUUCAUCCCCUGUUUUCCUCUUCUCCAUUGUUUCUUCCUUGUAUACUUUGAACGACUAAGGCAAAGGAUUAUGAGGCUCCAUAGCUUGAUUUCUUCAUAAAUUUAAGCUUUCAAAAGCUUUGCCAUGAACUAUAAAUAGCUCUCCCUCAUUCUUAAAUUGCUUUGGUGAGCAUAAAGCUAUCAAAAAGCACCAAAACUUAACAUAAUUGUUAGAAACGAUUGCAAGGGUCCCUAACAUGUUAAUUGGGUUAAAAGGUAAUAAUUACUACUCAAGGGUGUUUAAAAGAGCUAAUUACAAGCUACAAAAUAGCAUGUUUUGAGUAGUAAUCAGCUAUCAAGUAGUCAUGAUCUCGCCAAGUUGCUUCACUGUGUUGUCUCUCAACCUUGAGAGAAUAUUAAGCUUGUGCUAAAGUUAGUGGUGGUUUUGACCUAUGGGUGAGAUCGUAAGCUGAUCAUAUAUUCCCUAUUGAUUAGGUCAUUAUUGAUGAAAGUUGGUAGCAAUAGGUAUUUCCAAUAGAGGUACUAUGAUAUCUCUUGGAAACUAUGGGCAUAGUAGUUCCUUAAGUGGAGCUUAACGUAAGCUCUUUGAGAGUUAAAACAUGUCAGUUGAAUACACAAUAGGAGAAUCUGUAACUUAAGGAUGGUAGAGGUAGUCUUGAAAGGAUGAUAGCUUUCACCUUGUUAGACUAUGGACACCAAUUCAUGAGGAAACUAAACAUUAUAGAUGGCAGGUCAUAGACCUGAGCACGUAAUGUUUCAUUGUUAACAUAGGAUACUAGAGUUUAGUUGAUUCUUUAUAGUGGGAUGUUAAAUCAACUUCAGAAUUAGAUUAUGAGGAAGCUAGUAUUCUAUGAGCCCUAAUGGUUCCCGCUUUGAGCUCAUAUACCUUUUUGGCAUGGAUCAUGAGGGUCGGACUAGCUCUAAGUUCACUUUUGUGCAUAAGGGCACUUUGGUAAUUAUAUAGGUUGCACAAGGGUAAGUGAACAAGGUCUCUAGAUUGGGCUAAUUGAUUAAUUAGUAGGUCUUGUUGGGUUAAUUAAUCAAUUAGGACUUAUUUGGGCUAGAUUAAGUAACCCAAGCCCAUGUGGGCUCAAGUCACUUAAGCCCACUUAGGAACCAUAUAAAUACCCUUUAGGGGUUAGGGUUUCUAUAGUUUUUGUCUUCCACCAUCCAGAAAGAUAGAGAGUCAUAGCCUUCACCAUUUUUUCCUUCCCAUCGGAAGUGUGUCAAGAUCAAGGUUCGAGUCAUCGGGUGGAAAACUUCAGGUUUAUGAGACUUUUGGUAUUUCUUUCUUCAUCUUCACUACAUGGAUUUGAUUUGGGAACAUCCGAAUCUGAGGUAUGGUUUUCUUAGCAUUUUUUUAAUCCCUUAGAAUUUUAAAAAUAAAAAUUUUCUGUUGUAUAUAUCCUUUAGAAAAGGCUUAGGAUAGUUAUGCAUGUUCCUAACUUGAUCUGGGCUUGGGAAACAGAGAGAUUCGGGCUUUUCCCAUCAGCUAUGGCUUUCUAUCUUUCUAGAUGGUGGAAGACAAAAGCUAAUGAAACCCUAACCCUUGGGGUAUUUAUAAGGUUCCUAAGUCAGCUUAAGUGACUUGAACCUACAUGGGCUUGAGUCACUUAAUCUAGCCCAAAAUGGGUCUUAAUCGAUUAAUUAACCCAAUGAGGUCUACUAAUUAAUCAAUUAGCCAAAUCCAGAGACCUUGUUCAGUUAUCCCUAUGUAAUCUUGCGUAAUUACAAAAAUGCCCUUAUCACAAAAGUGAACUUAAAGUGGAUCCGAUCCUCAUAAUCCAUGCCAACAAAAUAUAUGAGCUCAAAGCGAGGACCACUAGGACCCAUAGGAAUACCGGCUCACUCAGAAUACAAUUAUAAAGUUAAUUCAACAUCCCAUUGUAGAAAAUUAAUUGAGCUCCAAUAUCCUAUGUAAAUAAAAAUGAGACAACAAGUCCUCGGGUUUGUGACUUGCCAUCCAUUAUGUUCAGUCUCCUUAUGAACUAGUGUUCGUAGUCUAUCAAGGUGAAAGCUAUCAACCUUUCAAGACUACCACUAUCAUCCUUGAGUUAAAAACCUCCUAUUGUGUGUUCAAUUAACAUAUCUUAGCUCUCAAAGAGCCUAUGUCAAGUUCCACUUAAGGAACUACUAUGCUAUAGUUUCCAUGAAUACACCUCCUUAGGAUCACCCAAGGGGACACACUAUCUCAAUCCCAAGAGAUAUCAUGGUCCCUCUAUUGAGAAUAUCUAUUGCUACCGACUUCCAUCAAUAGUGAUCCAAUCCAUAGGGAAUAUAUAAUCAGCUUAUGAUCUCACACGUAGGUCAAAGCCACUGCUAACUUCAAUACAAGCUCAAUAUUCUCUCAUGGCUGAGAAACAACAUAAUGAGGUAGCUUGGUGAAGUCAUAAAUACUUGAUAGCCUUAAGUCAUAACUCGCCAUAGGUCUUAUCUAAUGUGCAACCAUACACACUAGUGCACUGACCAUGAGAAACCCAUCCCAAUAGCGAAGACCAACCAUCCCUCUAAUUAGGAAGUGGUGCACUAUAACCUCUAAUGGGUUGCAUAGACUGAUGAAUUGGUUGUGAACAAGUCAUCUAUUUGUAAGGAACACAUGACUUAGAUAUUUUGUGAAACUCCUAAUGCAUCUAAGUCAGUUACAAUGCAAAAGAAGCAGACAAGAAUGCUCAUAAAGUAUAAUACAUGAAAUAAGGAUAGAUAAAAGUGAAAUUAAAAUAUCUUUAAAUAAAUAAUGAAUUCCAAAUUCAUUACAUCAUGUCAUACUUGUAAGGGCUCUAUCCUAACAGUUGUCUCUCAACCUUGAGAGAAUAUUGAGCUUGUGUUGAAGUUAGCAGUGACUUUGACCUACAAGUGAGAUCGUAAGUUGAUCAUAUAUUCCCUAUGGAUUGGGUCAUUGUUGAUGGAAGCCAAUAGUAAUAGGUAUUUUCAAUAGAGACACCAUGAUACCUCUUGGGAUUGAGAUAGUGUUUUCCUUUGGGUGAUCAUAAGAAGGUGUGUUCAUGGAAACUAUGAUCAUUGAAGUUUCUUAAGUGAAACUUGAAAGACUGAUAGGUUUCACCUUGUUAGACUAUGAACACUAGUUCAUAGGGAGACUGAACACAAUGGAUAGUAGGUCAUGGACCCGAGCACUUGGUGUCUUGUUGUUAUUUACAUAGGAUACUGAAGUUCAAUCGAUUCUCUGUAGUAGGAUGUUGAAUCAAAUUUAGAAUUGGAUUGUGAAGGAGCUCAUAUUCCUAUGGGUACCAAUGGUCCUUGCUUUGAGCUCACAUACCUUAUUGUCAUGGGUUAUAAGGAUGGGAUUAGCUCUAGGUUCACUUUUGUGAGUAAGGGUGUUUUGGUAAUUAUGUAAGGUUGCACAAGGAUAAUUGAAGAAGGUCUUUAGAUUGGGUUAGUUGAUUAAUUAGUAAGCCUUGUUAGGUUAAUUAAUCAAUUAAGACCCCAUUUUGGGCUAGAUUGAGUGACCCAAGCCCUCAGUGGGCUCAAGUCACUUAAUCCUAGUAGGAAACACUAUAAAUACUCCCUUAAGGGUUAGGGUUCCCGUAGUUUUUUCUAGAGAGCCGUUUUCCAUUUCUAGAAAAAGAGAAAGAGAGAGAGAGAGUCAUAGCUUCCACCCUUCCUUUCAUCUCCAUUGGAAGUGUGUCAAGAUCAAGGUUCGAGUCAUUGGGCAGAAGACUUUGGGUUUACAAGACUUAUACGAUUUUGUUCUUCAUCUUCACCAUGUGGAUUUGAUUCGGGAACAUCUGAAUCUAAGAUAUGGUUUUUGUUAUUACUUUCUGAAUCCCUUUAAAGUUUAAAAAUGUUAUUUUUCCAUUGAGCAUAGGAUUUAGAAAAAGCCUAAGAUAGUCAUGCAUGUUCCUAACCUAAUCUAGGCUUGGGAAAUGGAGAGAUUCAUGUUUUUCCAAUCACACAUAGCAUCACAUACUUAAGACUAUCCAUUUUAGAGUCAUAGGAUACCGCUUUAAUGUGAUUUUUUUCCUAUGAUGUCCAAGGACAUUGAUCUUGAGAAAGAUAGCCCUAAACCCAAAGGGUAACAAACCCUUCUUGGAGUUUUACAUUAUGUCCUUAACCAAAUACUCAUCAAUGUAGGUGACAUGACAUAAGUUUCCUAUUCUUAUAGUCCUAAAGGACCUUAACCCAAGAAUAUAUUAUGUCUUUCUCUAGAUUUUCAUCUAGAAUUGAGUAGGCUAGUAGGUCUUUACUAAUGACAAUAUCCCUACAUCAUAUCCAAUGAGUAGAGUGUCAUCUACUUGUGCUCUAACCAUGCAUCCCUACACCUUAUUGUACACAUAAGGCCCUUUGCUAUGAAAAUAUUUGGUUGUUAUAUCUUAUAAACGAGACACACUACAAUAGAUAGGAGUAACGUAAUGGAUUUAAAUAUGUGUUGAAAAGGUUUUCCAUAGUUGAAACAAAGUUUCAAACUAUAACCUUUAGCGACAGUCUUAGCCACAUAAAACUCAAGUUUUCCAUUUACUCCUAUGUUCCUCUUGUAGACCAACUUACACCUAUAGGUUUUAUCCCUUUAGAUGCUUUUAUAGGAACUCAAACUAUAUUAGAAUAUAAAGAUUCUAACUACCUCUUCAUAGCUCCUUGCCUUAAUGUGAGCAAAACACUGUUCAUUGCUUCAUCAUAAUCUAUGAGAUAUAAAACUCCCACUAUGAUGAGGCAGUAGUAUACUAGAAAUCAUAGGAAAUGUAUGCCUUUAAUCCUUUGGCUCUGUAUUAUCCUAUAUAAUGUGGGACUAUCUUCUAAUAUAUCCUCCAAUCUGUCUCACUUUUUACCUUAUUCUUUAUCAUAUAAUCUUCAUAAAAAAUCUUAUAUUUGUGUUAACAAAUAUCUUCUAAUGAUCUUAACUAUAAAUGUAACAACCAAAAAAUCUUCUUAUAUAUCCUAUAAAUUGAUAUACCCCUUUAGAAAAAAAAAAUUAUACAGUCUAUAAGAAAUAUCUUGAAAAAAAUCUGGGAAAAUAUGAGAAACCUAAUCCACGAUCUCACUAUUUCCAUCAAAGUUUGAUAUCUUCCUUUCACCUCUCUAUUUUAUAAUAGAGACACUAGUGUAUGUUGUUGGGAACAUUGGAUUACUCUGUUCCCAUGCCUAGGAUCAUGUAGGGUGCAUUCAAAUAUAUCAUAGGCUCUCUAAAUCUAUUGCGAUGAAUAAACAAGUAUUAAAAAAAAUAAGGAUACCAUAGAAAAUAUAGAAAUAUAUAAUAAAACAACAUACCUUUGAUCCGGAUGUUCCUGAAUCAAUUCUAAUCGAUGUAGAUAACUCCAAAGUCAUAAUGAAUCUCAUAAACACCAUGAUUUUCUACUCAAUGACUCUUCCUUGUGUCUAGGCACUGAGAUGGUGGAUAUCUCAAGUGUGGAGGUUAGGGUUCUCUCUCUAAAUUGAAGAGGAGAAUAACAAGAAUUAGAAACCCUAACCCCAAAAGGGGUAUUUAUAGGCUUCAUAUUAGGCUGAAGUGACUUAAGCCCACCAUGGGCUUGGGUCACUUAAUCUAGCACAAAAAGGUUACUAAUUGAUUAAUUAACCAUACAAGACCAGAUUAAUCAAUUAGCCCAAUUAAAGGAUAGCACUCACUUAUCCCUGUGCAACCUUAUAUAAUUACCAAAACACCUUUAUGCACAAAAGUGAAUAAAAAACCCAUCCAACCCUUAUAAGUCAUGCCAACAAGGAAUAUGAGCUUAGAGUGGGGACCAUUGAGACCCAUAAGAGCACUAGCUUUCUCAAAAUCAAAUUCUGAAAUUGACUCAACAUCCCACUACAAAGAGUCAACUGCAUUCCAAUACACUAUGUAUAUUACAAUGAGACACCAAGUGCUCAGGUCCAUGACUUACUAUCCACUGCACGUAGACUCCCUAUGAACUAGUGUCCAUAAUCUAACAAGGUAGUGCUAUUACCUAUCAAGAUUACCUCUCAAAUCCUUGAGUUACACAUCCCACUUGUUAUUGGAUCAACUAAUAUAUCCUAACUCCAAGAAGCAUAUGUUAAAUUCCACUAAAGAAAUUACUAUGGCCACAGAUUUCAUGAUCACAUGUCCUUUAGAUCACCCAAGAGGACACACUGUCUCAAUCCCAUGAAAUAUCAUGGUGCCUCUAUUGAGAAUACCUAUUGCUAACAAUCUUCGUCAACAAUGACCCAAUCCAUAGGGAUAUAUGACCACUUUAAGGUCUCACCCAUAGGUUAAAUCCUCCAGUUGAUUUUGGCACAGACUCAAUAUCCUCUAAAGGUUGAGAGUCCAUGCAAUAUAGUAGCUUGGUGAAUCAUGAAAAUUGAUAGUCUUGUGUUAUAAUUCAUCGUAGGUCCUACCUAGUGUGCAUCACAUACACUAGUACACUCAUCAUGGAAAACUCAUCCUGACAACCAAGGCAAUUUAUCUUUCUAAUUAAGAGGUGGUAAACUAUAGUCUCUACUAGAUUGCUCAAAUCUAUGAACCAAUUGUGGACAAUUUAUCUACUUAAAAGAAACCCAUGGCUUGUAUCUUCUGUGCAACUCUUAAUACACCUAAGUCAUGUACAAUGUAAGAGACAUGGGUUGAAUGCUCAAAUCAAUGUCAAUACACCAAAGAGAUAACAUGGGGAUAGUUAAGUCUAACUUUGUUAAAUCAUGUCUUGAUUUUAGGGGCUCAAUCCCAACUAACUUCCACUAGCCCCGAAAGCAGAUUGGGUACUAUAGAAAGAUUCUGCUUCACAAUCAUAUCACUUCUCUGUACUAUCUCACAAUAAGGCUACACUUCUUCUUUGUGAGGUUCUUUUUCUAGUGGUAUUUCAGUUCUUUAGACCAUGCAAUUGUCUCACUGUUAUCACUUAAUAAGAUCUUAGACGAUAUAGCCAAGGAAACUACCUAUAAGCCAAAAGGUUUCCUUUGUUGCUAUAGAAACAACAAAAAACCAUUUAGAGUGUACACAUACCCAGAAGUAGACUUGUGAGAGUCUUUGUCAAACUGAAGUCCAAUUUUCUGGUACAAAAGGAGUACUAACUCAUUACAAAGACUUACAAACAUAUAAUCCCUCAUUCUCAAAGACAUUAGAGUAUAUGUUUGACAUCGAACCAAAGUUCUAAGCAGGAAAUGGACUAAUAUCCACUUAUUAUUCCUAUAACAAAGCUAAUAUUUGGUUUAGCACAUAAUAUUGCAUACUUAAGGCCAUCUAUAGCAGAGGCCUUAGAUACUGCCUUGAUGCGAUCUCUUUUCAUAAAUGUUUAAGGACGUUGAUCCUAAGAAAAAAAACUCCAAAUCCAAAGAGUAACAAACCCUUCUGGGAGUUUUACAUCAUGUAGUUGACCAAAUGCUCAUCUAUGUAGAUGACAUUACACAAUUUUCCUAUUCUUAUAGUUCUAAAGGACCUUAACCCCAAGAAUAUAUUGUGUCUUCCUCUAGAUUUCAUCUAGAACUAAGUAGACUACCAGAUCUUGACUGAUGACAAUAUCCCUACAUCCUAUCCAAUGAGUAGAUUGUCAUCUACCUGCAAGAUCUUAGAGCAUCACCACGCUUCCCUUUGGCUUCUUGUACACACAAGGCCCUUUGCUAUGAAAAUGUUUGGUUGUUAUAUCUCAUAAAUGAGACACACUACAAUAGAUAGGAGUAAUAUGAUGGAUUUGAGUAUGACCACUAUUGAAAAGGUUUUCUUUCGUUGAAACAAAGUUUCAAACUAUAAUCUUUAGCUACAGUCUCAGCAACAUAAACCUCAAGCUUUCCAUCUACUCCUAUGUUCAUAGGUCUUAUCACUUUAGGUGCUUCUAUAGGAACCUAAACUAUGUUAGAAUAUAAAGAUUCUAACUACCUCUUCAUAGCUCCUUGCCUUGAGUGAGCAUAAACAUUGCUUAUUACUUUAUCACAAUCUAUGGGAUAUGAACCUCCCACUAUGAUGAGGCACUAGUGUACUAGAAAUCAUAGGAAUGGUAUGUCUUUAACCCUCUGGAUCCAUAGUAUCCUAUUCAAUAUGAGACAAUCUUCUAAUAUAUCCUUCAAUUUGUAUCACUCUUUGCCAUAUUCCUCAUCAUAUAGUCUCAUAAAAAAAAUCUAACAUUUAUGUCAACAAAUAUAUUUUGAUGAUCCUAACUAUAAAGGUAAUAACCCAAAAAUCCUCUUAGAUAUCCUAUAAACGGAUAUAUCUUUUAGGAAAAAGAGGUAUUACAUAGUCUAUAAGACAUAUCCCUAAAAGAAUCCAGGAAAAGAUGAGAAAUCUAUCCAUGAUCUCACUAUGUCCAACCAAAUUUGAUAUUUCCACCUUUUUGUUUUGCAACGGAGACCCUGGUGCACAUGACUAGGAAAUAAUCUCAUGCUUCAAAGGAAAGAAUCAAACUUACUAGACAUAUCACCUUGAUCUAAUCGAAGUGACUUGGUAUGUAUGUCCAAUAGGUUAUUCAAUCCCGCCUUAAAUUUAAUGAAUGUAUCCAAGGCAUCAAAUCUUCUAUGGACAUAUCCAAACCUAGAGUAAUCAUCACUAAAAGUGAUGAAAUACCCAUACCCUCCCCAUGCAUAGACACUAAAAGUUUCAUACAUGUUAGUAUGCACUAACUCCAAACAUUCCUUGGCUUUAAUCCUCUUAGUCAUUUUACCGUCUAUACAGGAUUCGUAAACUAAAAGAUCUUUUCAAAUUAAAGAGUCUAGACAUUACCAAUCUUUGGAUCCUAUUUAGAUUAAUAUGACCUAGGUCUAGAAACCAAAUAUUUAAUUAAUGCUAGGUUUAAUCCUGAGAUUUGACUAUUCUCAUCACUUGGCAAAGUAAUAAUGGAAUACAUAUAAAGGAAGAGGAUAUUACCUCCCACUAACAUGCAUAAAUAACCUUGCAUUUGAAGUUAAGGUAACUAUAAUCCCAUCAUUUAACCUUCUCAUUUGUUGAAUAUCCUAUAAGGACUUACAGACAGUGGACCUGGAAUCUAUCCACCAUAAAUGGUGAAAUCCACCACUAAAUAUUCAACAGUGAGAAAAUGAUGUAUACUUUCCGUUUUCUUUAGGUAAAUUGGCCAUUUCUUUUCUAAUGCCUAAAAGGUCACAAAGGAAUCACUUGCCCUUGACCUUGCUCUCUUAUUCCUUAUCUUGAACUUUCCUUAUUUGGUAUUGUUCUUCUUCUUCUUGAGAGAAGAACCCGAAGAACCUUUGACUACCAUAUGAACACCCUAUAAUCUUUGAGAGUUAGCCAUCUCAAAGGAAAAUGGUGAGGUCUCUAAGAUCAUAUGUAUACUUGGUGUUCAUAAUAGUCCUAAGAGUAGCUUUUCAAGGCUGAUCUACUCUUAUUACCAAAUAACCAUUGCAAGCUAGAAAGAGAAUAUCAAAGUCUCUAAUAAUAGAAAUGUGUUGCUAUUGCAACACAUUAUCCAAAGUUCCAAGUAUUAGACGCUUGGUCUUUUGAUCCAUCUAAUACCGCUUUGAUAUUCCACUCUUUCCUCUUGCUAGGUUAGUUCAUAAGGAAUAGCUAGCUCUACCUAAACUAGCUUCUGUGCAAUUACUUACUAUAUCUAGAAUACAAUUAGUCCAAUUGAUUAGUUAGGUUUGGCCUAUUAUGAGAAAAAGAGUGAUAAUAAAACCAACAUGAUAUCCAUAACAAAGAAUAUGACCAAGCAUAUGACAUAAUUGAGCAUUCAAGGCAUUUGGUAAUUAAUUUAGCAAAAAUGUAGUGUUCCCAAACUAUAUAUCCUUUUGCAAGGUAUCCUAGUAUUAUAAGAAUCAAGCCUAGGUGGGACAGGUCAUGACCUUAUUACUAGUAAGAGACCCUCUUAGAUUGAUCUCCCCACCUUAUCCAUAAAAGUAUCUUAAGGCAAGAUUAACAUACCUUUUAUUUAGCCCAUAGACUAUGAAAGUGGGACCACGUGGGGCAAUUCUAUCACUUCAUAUCCAAUGUCAAGUGUAUAACCAUUGUCCUUGAAUUAUCAAUGUCACCAAGUAAAGAACUCCACCUAGGGGUAGUCGCUCCCACUACAGACAUAUCUAGUCUCGUCCAUGCAGAGAGUCCAUAUCUCUUGAUUCUUAAGGCUAACCCACCGUAAGGGUGGUGAUGAACCCAAAUCAAGAUGGGCUCAACAAUGGAUGUCUUGGGCAUGCCUAAGGCCUUCUCCCACUUAAUGUUUUGAGAUAAAUAAGAGCAUUUUAAAACCAUUAGUAAUUUCCCUGAUGAAUAAAUUAUCUACUUUGAAAAUUUUCAAAAAUAUUUAUUUUCUAAUUGAAACCUAGUGUAAUAGGAGAAGACCAACAUGAAAAAUUUUAAAUUUCCAUGACAGUAAUUUUCAAAAAGAAUUUUUAUAAAAUAUCCACUUUCAAAAUUUUAAAAUCUAUUUUCAUUACAUUAUCCUUCUAUAUAUAAUUCCAAUUAAUAAAUAUUUUAUCUAGGAAAUGUUUCAAAUAAAUUUAUUUCCAUCAAAUUACUAAGCCUUUUGCUAAUAAUCUUGUAAUGAUAAAUUAUCUUUAAUGAAAAUUUUCAAAAUAUUUUUUUUCCAAAUUGGAAACUCUAGUGUAAUAAGAAAAUUACUAAUUCAUGAUAUUUUGAAUAAUCUUGAGAGCAACUUAUCCAAGAAAGGAACUUUUGCUUCUCAUAUUAAAAAAUCCUCAUAAGAUUUACUUUCCUUAUUCCUUACACUUUUCCAACUUAAUAAAUAUUUCCAUGAAAAUUUCAUAAUAAUUUAUGUCAUUAAAUACUACCAAAAGUAGGACCUUUUAAUAAUUUCUUAAUAGAUAAAAUAUUCUCCAUGAAAAACUCCUAAAAAUGCUUAUUUCUAAAAAGGAAUUAAACAAUCCAUUGUGGAAAGUAUUUUUAAAAUAUUUUGUAUCUUCAUUAAAUUACUAAAACUUUCCAAAGUUAUUUUGGUAACCCUUCUUAUCAUAAAAUCUUUAUCAUGAGAUUUUCAAAACCUUAAUUACUUCUAAACCAGGAUUCCUGUGCUAAAAGAAUUGCUUUCUUAUUCCUUAUCAUUGAAUUAUUCAAACAGAAUGGUUUCCUCCCUUUCUUUGAGGAAGAGAGCCUAGAGGACAAACUGUAGGUAUAGUUUAAAAAAUAGAUAGUUCUAAAGAAAUAACAAUCUUCUUAGCAACAACAAAUUUAAAAAGAUAAUCUUAGAAAAUAUAUUCUCAUGAAAAUUUACUAAGAAUACCAAAAAACUUUUCUUUAGGUUCUAAAACUUAUUUUGGUAACCACUCUUAAUUAUAAGUUAUUUAUCAUGAAUUUUCAAAAUUAACUUUUUUUCUUUCAAUUAGAAAUCCUAUGCAAAAUAGGAAAAAUACUAUUUUAUAAAGAUUUGGAAAAAUAAGAGCUUUUCCUUAAGAGAAAGAUUUUAUUCUUAGAGAUCUCAAAGAUUUGAGAAGAUUUUAAGUAAAGUUUAAAUCUCUAAGAAUUAAUUUUAAAAGGGAAGAAAGCUCUUAGUCCUUUGCCAACUUAUCUUUUUCUUUAAAAUAUAAUUUCCUAACUAUGCACAUUCCAAUUUAAAUAAGUUUUCCAAUUUUGAAAAAAACACGAAAAUUUAUUUUCAAUUAAGAAUACCAAAUCUUGAGGCCACAUAUACAAUCUAUCAAUAUAUAUAUAAGGGAAUAACUAAAUAGAAAAUUUCUCAUGGCUUUCAAGGAUCCAAUUGCAUAUUUGGUAAUUAAAAUUUGGAUAAAAUCCAAAUUACCAAAAAUAGUCCUACAACCAAAAAUAGGGUUAGUAAAAAUAGAAAACUCAAAUGGCCUAAUUGCCACAAAAAAUUGAGCCCAAGAAGAGGCCCAAAAUUCAGCCCAAACAACGAAAAGAAUCGGGCAUGUAUGCAAUCUCGUAACAGCAUGCUCUUUGAGCAGUAUUGCUUCAAUUGGUCAUAUCUUCCUCAUUUAAACUCCAAAUUAUUAUUCGGUUAAAGUAUUGGAUUCCUAACCUCCUAAGCUUCAAAACCAUAUGUGAUUUGCCUCAACAAAAUUAUUGGAAAUGGCUGUGAUUUUGACUCAAAUUUGACAUCACUGUGCUGCCAUGCACUUUGCACAACCUUGCUUCUUUUGACCAUAUCUCCCUCAUUUCAACUCCGAAUUGCAAUCUACUUGAUCCAUUGGAUUCAUGACUUCCCAAGCUUCAAAUCUAUAUAUGGAUUGCCUCAAGAAACUUUUAUGAGGUAGUCCCAAUUUUGAGUUCAAUUCAACAUCAUUGUGUUGCCAUGGAUCUCAAACCAAGAACUUCCAAGAUUGCUUCUUUCUUCUUUAACCACCAUAGAAUCACAAAAAGAACUUUCAAGAUUCCUUCUACAAUAGAAGGAUGUAAAAAAUUAAAAUUUUUACACUAAUAAAAAUUCCUAUGCUCCUUUAAUGGAGCUUAUAGCCCAUCUAUUGAAAAGAAAAUAUUUUUACAUUCAAAUAAAAAUCUUAUACCCCUUAUGUGGUGUACAACCCAAUCUAGAAAACAAAAGGUAAAGAAGAUAUCCAUUCAUAUUCAUUCAUUCAAAUGAAUCAAUAACAAUAAACCAAUCCAAAUAUAUUAAUACAUUAAAAUGAUUCUUCAUUCAUUCAUCCAUUAGGGUCAUGGAAUGAAUAAAACAACCCUGCAAACUAGAGUUAGCACAUCCUAAACAGAUCUAACAAGAUAGAAUCUACCCUAGGGCUCUGAUACCAAUUGUUGGAAACCCUAGGUUACUUCGUUCCCAUGCCUUGGAUCGUGUAGGGUGCAUACAAAUCUAUCAUAAACUCUUUAAAUCUAUCACAACGGAUAAAUAGGUAUUAAAAAAAAAUAAGAAUACCAUAGAAAACAUAGAAAUAGAAAAUAAAGCCACGUAGCUUUGAUCUAGAUGUUCCUAGAUCAAUUCUAAUCAAUGUAGUUAACUCCAAAGUCAUAAUGGAUCUCAUAAACACCAUGAUCUUCCACCCGAUGAUUUUUCCUUAUGUUUAGGCACUGAGAUAGUGGAGAUCUCAAGGAUGGACGCUAAUGUUCUCUUUCUAUACUAAAGGGGAGAAUAGUAAGACUUAGAAACCCUAACCCCAAAAUGGGUAUUUAUAGGUUACCUGUUAGGCUUAAGUGACUUAAGCCCAUCAUGGGCUUGGGUCACUUAAUCUAGCACAAAAAGGUUGCUAAUUAAUUAAUUAACCAUAUAAGGCCUAAUUAAUUAAUUAGCCUAGUCAAGAGAUAUUACUCAUCCAUGUGCAACCUUACGUAAUUACCAAAAUGCCCUUAUGCACAAAAGUGAACGAAAAACCCAUCCAACCCUCAUAAGCCAUGCCAACAAGGAAUAUGAGCUCAGAACGAGGACACUAGGACCCAUAAGAGUACUGGCCACUCAAAACUAAAUUAUGAAAUUGACUUAACAUCCCACUACAAAGAGUCAACUACACUCCAGUACCCUAUGUAUAUUACAAUGAGACACUAAGUGCUCAAGUCUGUGACCUACUAUCCACUGCAUGUAGACUUCCCAUGAAUUGGUGUUUGUAAUCUAACAAGGUAGUGUUAUCACCUAUCAAGAUUAUCUCCCAAAUCCUUGAGUUACAGAUCCCACUUACUAUAUGAUCAAAUGACAUAUCCUAGCUCUAAUAAGCAUAUGUCAAAUUUCACUAAAAGAAUUACUAUGGCCACAGAUUUCAUGAUCACAUGUUCUUUGGAUUACCCAAGGGGAUACACUAUCUCAAUCCCAUAAGGUAUCAUGGUGUCUCUAUUAAGAAUACCUGUUGCCACCAACCUUCAUCAACAGUGACCUAAUCCAUAGGGAUAUAUGACCAUUUUAGGUUCUCACCCAUAGGUUAAAGCCUCUAGUUGAUUUUGGCACAUGCUUAAUAUCCUCUCAAGGUUGAGAGUCUAUGCAGUAUAGUAGCUUGGUGAAUCAUGACAAUGGAUAACCUUGCAUCACGAUUCGUCAUAGGUCCUAUCUAGUGUGCAUUACAUACACUAUUACACUCACCAUAGGUAACCCAUCCCGAUGAUGAAGACAAGUUAUCCCUCCAAUUAAGAGGUGGUGCACUACUGUCUUUACUGGAUUGCCCAAAUCCAUGAACCAAAUAUAGACAACUUAUCUACUUACAAGGAACCCAUGACUUAUAUCUUCUGUGCAACUCCUAAUGCACCCAAGCUAUGUACCAUGCAAGAGAUAUAGAUUGAAUGCUCAAAUCAAUGUUAAUACACCAAAGAGAUAGCAAGGGGAUAGUUAAGUCUAACUUUGUUACAUCAUGUCUUGCUUUUAGGGGCUCAAUCCCAACAUACAUAACUGGGAAAUAAUUCCAUGCUCUAAUAGAAAGAAUCAAACUUAUUAGACAUAUCACCUUAAUCUAAUCGAAGUGACUUGGCAUGUAUACUCGAUAGGUUAUCCAAUCAUGCCUUAAAUUCAAUGAAUGUAUCCAAAACAUCAAAUUUCCUAUGUACAUAUCCAAACCUAGAGUAAUCAUCACUAAAAGUGAUGAAAUACCCAUACUCUUCCCAUGCAUGGACACUAAAAGUCUCAUACAUGUUAGUAUGCACUAACUCCAAACAUUCCUUGACUUUAUUCCUUUUAGUCAUUUUACCAUCUAUACAGAAUUUGUAAGCUGGAUGGUUUUUUGGAAUCAAAUAGUUCAAACUUUAUCAGUCUUUAGAUCUUAUUUAGAUUAUUAUGACCUAAGUUUAGAUACCAAAUGUUUAAUUAGUGCUAGGUUCAAUCCUGAGAUCUGACUAUCUUUCUCACUUGACAAAGUGAUAAUGGAAUACAUAUAAAAGAAGAGGAUAUUACCUCCCACUCACCUGCAUAACUAACCUUACAUUUGAAGCUAAGAUAAGUAUAAUCCCAUCACUUAACCUUCUCACUUGUUGAAUAUCCUAUAAGGACUUACAAACAGUGGGCCUAGAAUUUAUUCACCAUAAAUGGUGAAAUCUACCACAAAUGGUGAAAUUCACCACUAAAUAUUCUACAAUGAGAAAAUGAUGUAUACUUUCCUUUUUUCUUUAGGUAACUAAGCAUUCAUUUUCUAAUGUCCUAAAAGGUCAUAAUGGAAUCACUUGCUUCUGAGCUUGUUCUCUUAUUCCUUCCCUUAAACUUUCCUUAUUUGGUGUUGUUGUUCUUCUUCUUGAUAGAAGAACCUGAAGAACUUUUGACUUCCAUAUGAACACCUUAUAAUCUUUGAGAAUCCCCUUAGCCAUCUCGAAGAAAAAUGGCAAAGUCUCUAAGAUAAUAUGAAUACUGGUGUUUAUAACAGUCCUAAGAGUAGUUUUUCAAAGCUAACCUACCCUUAUCACCAAAUAACCAUUGCAAACUAGAAAGAGAAUAUCAAAGUCUCUAGUAAUAGACAUGUGUUGCUAUUGCAACACAUUAUCCAAAGAUCCAAGUAUUAGAAACUUGGUCAUCUGAUCCAUCUAAUACCACCUCGGCAUACCACUCUUUCUUUUUUCCAAGUUAGUUCAUAAGGAAUAGCCUGUUUUUCCUAAACUAUCUUCUAUGCCAUUAAUUACUAUAUCCAGAAUAAAAUCAAGUCCAAAUGAUUAGUUAGGCUUGGUUCAAAGUGAGAAAGAGAGUGAUUAUAAAUAACAUGAUAUUUGUAACAAAGAAUAUAACCAAACAUAUGACAUAAUUGAGCAUUCAAGACAAUUGGACUUAAUUUAACAAAAAUGUAGCCCUCUCAAACUACAUGUCCUUUUGCAAGAUAUCCUAGUAUCAUAAGAAUCAAGCUUAUGUGGGUAGGUCAUGACCUUAUAACUAGUUAGAGACCCUCUCAGAUUGAUCUCCUUGCCUUAACCAUAAAGGUAUCUAAAAGCAAGAUCAACAUACCUUUUAUUUGGCCCAUAGACUAUGCAAAUGGGACCGCGUGGGGGAAAUUCUAUCACUUCAUAUCCAAUGUCAAUUGUAUAACCAUUGUCCUUGAACUAUCAAUGUCACUAAGUAAAGAACCCACCGUAGAGUGGUCACUUUUAGUACAAACAUAUUUAGUCUUAUCCAUGUGGAGAAUCCAUAUCUCUUGAUUCUUAAGCCUAACCCACUGUGGGGUGGUAAUGAACCCAAAUCAAGAUGGGCUCGACAAUGGAGGUCGUGGGCAUGUCUAAGGCCCUCUCUCACUAAGUCUUUUUAGAUAAAUAGAUGCAUUUUAAAACAUUAGUAAUUACCUUAGUGAAUAAAUUAUCUUCUUUGAGAAUUUCCAAAAAUAUUUAUUUCCUAAUUGGAAACCUAGUGUUAUAGAAGAAUGUCCAUAUGCAAAAUUUAAAAUUUCUAUGAGAGUAUUUUAUCCAAAAAGGAAUUUUGAUAAAAUGUCUACUCUCAAAUUUUAAAAUCUAAUUGCAUAAAAAAUUCUCUUUCUUCACAUAAUUUCAAUUAAUAAAUAUUUUGUCUAAGAAAUAUUUUCAAAGAAAUUUAUUUCCAUCAAAUUACUAAAUAUCUUCUUCGUAAUAACCUUUAAUGAUAAAUUAUUUCUAAUGAAAAUUUCCAUAAGAUAUUUAUUAUCAAAAUUGAAAACUUAGCGUAAUAAGGAAACCUCUGAUUUAUAAAAUUUUGAAAAUUUGAGAGCACCUAAUCCAAUUAGGAAAAAUGUAAUUCUUCAAGGAUUCUCAUAAUUUUUUUUUAAAAAUAUUUUAAAUCCUUAAGAAUAAAUUUAGAAAUGAACUUUAGCUCUCAUACUCAAGAUUCCUUAUAAAUUUAAUUUCCUUAUUCCUACAUCUUUCCAAUUUAAUAAAUAUUCUUAAAUAUGAAAUCUAAUUUUCAUAAUAAUCUAUUCCAUUAAAAUUACUAAAAAUAAAACUUUUAAUAAUUCCCUUAAUGAUGAAUUAUCCAUCUUGAAAAUUUCCAAAAACAAAUAUUUACUCUCCAAAUUAAGGAUUAGUGUAAUAAGAAAGUUUCCAAAAACUUGAAAAAUAAAAACUAGAGAGCUCUUUAUCCAAAAGGGAAACUUUUAUUCUACAAGAAUUCUUACAAAAAAAAUUAAAGAAAAUAAUUUAGAAUCCUUUGAAAUAAUCUAGAAAAGGAAACUUUGCUCUCUAAUUUAUUUCCACAAGUUUUUUUUCUUAAUCUACACUAUUCCAAAAUUAAGUAAACAACAAGCUUUGGAAUUUAAUUUUCAAGAAAAUUUAUAUCCAUUAAGAUUACUAAGAGUUUCAUGGAACUUUCAUAAGAAGCUUUCAAUAAUUUUGGUGACCUUCUUAAAAUAAAUUAUCUAUCAUGAGAAUUUUCAAAAGCUUUGUUUAUUCACUAAAUUGGAAUACUUGUGCUUAUAAGGAAUAUCCAAUUUUAUAAAAAUUUUAAAAUAAAAGUGUAUUCCCUUAAUAUAGAAACUCAAGUCCUUGAAGAUCUCAAAAUUAGAAACUUUGAAAAAAAGAUCUUCUAAGUAUUUUUUGAAAAGGAAACUAGAUUCUCUCACAAAUUUUAAAAUAUCUUUCCAUAUAAAAAUUCCUUAAUAGUGACAUCAUUCUAAUUUUGAAUCAAACUUUCAUUUGUAAAUAGCUUUCUCAUAAAAACUUUUUUUCCAUAAGAAAAUCCAAAAUUAGUAACUUUCAAAGCACUUCUCAUCACAUGCAAUAUAACAAUAUGCAUAAAAAAUAAAAUAAAAAAAGAAAUAUUCAAAAAGAGAUCCCAUGGCCAAGGGAUAUUUUUUACGACUUUCCAAUUGUGAACCAAAGCCAUUUGUCUUCAACUUGGCACCAAUAUUUGGCAUCAAAACUUGCCAAAAGAAGCUCUUGCAUAGCUGCCACAAUUCAAUAACUUUCAAGCCCAACAAGUGGCCUAAGAAAUGAGUCCAAACAAGCAAAAAGAAUCAGACUCGUAUGCAAUCCCGUAAUAGAAUAACCUCUAUGCAACUUUGCGUCAAAUGACUAUAUCUCCCUCGUUUCAACAAUGAAUCACAAGUCGUUUACACCAUUGGAUUCCUGACUUCAUAAGCUUCAAAACCAUAUGCAACUUGCCUAAAGAAAAUCAUAAGAGGCAGCCCCGAUUUGGAGUCAAAUUGAAUGUUGCUAUGCAAUCAUGGAUCUCACAAAAACAAAACUUUUUUAUUAUUAUUAUUCAAUCAAAAGAAGGAUUCAACCUUUCUUCCACAUCCAUUAAAAUCCUUGAAUCUUCAUAAAUGAUGCUUUAAUAAAGAUCCAAUCUUUAUUGACAUCAUUAAGGAAUUCUUCUCUUGUAGCUCUCCAUAGAUAAUAAAAAACAUGACUUUAUAUCAUAAAAGAAAUCAUAUGCUCAUAUAAUGGAGCUAAUAACCCAAUCUCUAGAAAAGAUUAAAACUUUACAAGAGUGUAGACCCUCAAUUUUGUCCCUUUAGCACAUGUCUUUAAAUUCGUUUUCAAUGCCCCAUAGUAACUCUUUGGUGGCCCAUUACUACUCGUACGACUUACCUUUUUCUGAGUCACCCUGGAGAUUUUAGCUGAGGGAUUAUCUGACCUCUUAUUGCAACCUUUGGAAGCCCUAUUUUAGAGUUAGGCUUUUCAUUCAUUUUUAAGAUAGCUUUUAGGGUAGUCUACUUAGGUCUACUUAGGCACCCUAAGCCCACUUAGGCACUUAGGCCCAUUUAUGCACCCUAGGUCCAUUUAGGCACUCUUGGCCCAUUAGGCAACACCCUAGACCCCCUAGAUUCACCUUGACCCCUUUAGAUCCACCUAGACACCUUCUAACUUUCAUACAUUCACCUUAUGUCACUUAGGUCACUUAGACACCUUUUCAGAAUAGGUCCAUUUAGACACUCCAUUAGGCUUAACUUUUUAUAUAAUCUUUUUAUUACUAUUGCAUGAAUUCGAUAAUUACAUUUAUUCUGUUUAUUCAUUUUCAUUUUUACUUUUUAUUUGUUUAUUAUUAUUUUUAUUAUUAUAUUUAUUUAUUUAUUUAUCUAAUGGAAAAUUGCUUAAAUUGCUUAGACUUCAAAUGCGCAUACGACCCCUUAUUAAAUUAUGGAAUUAUAUAAUACGGUCUCUUUUGUUUCCUUUUCUUUUAAUCAUCUUUUAUUUUAUUACCAAUCUCGUAAUUUUCAUGAGUUACUUUUCUUUUAAUUUUUUAACCUUAUUUUAUUCUGUUUUGCAUGAGGAAACAAGCUGUCAUCUAUUUGGAAGGAAGAUCACCAGAAUUUUAGAGAUAAGAAAGUGACAACUACAUUAUUCUAUAAAGUUACCUCCACCAUGCAUAGAAGGAAGACACGACCACAAGGAAGAGGAAGAAGUUGCUGCCCAUAGAAAAAUAUAUGGAAACUUCCAUACAAAAGGGAAUUAUUGGAGAGACGCAAUCUCCAUAGAUGGGCAGAUACAUGGGAAGAAAGAUGAGAUUUUAUUAUUUUCUAAUUAGAGGCACAAAUAGCAAGGAGAUUCGAUACUAAGAUCAGGCACUAAAAGGAAGGCAUGCAUUGUAUCCUUUAAAAGCAUCUCCACGUCUACAGAGGAAGGGGCUCUCUUGGUCGUUUUUGGGGUUUUUUUUUCAAGAAAGAGACUGGCACCAUUCGGAGGGGGAAGGGAGAAGUACCAGAAUUUCAGAGGGAGGAUAAGGGAACACGCAUUCAUGGGGAAUGACGGCUGCCAAUGCGUGCAUUGCUAGGGGUCCUGCAUCAUUGAUAACAGGAACAUGCUGUCACUUUGAGGAUCCACCACGCACAGAUGGGAAAGACGCAUAAGAAGCGGGGAUGAUAAGGGUGAGAGCAGGAGACUUUUGGAGAGGGAACGGGUGCACAGUUUGGGGUAUGAGAAUGAGGUGAUCUUGUUUAUGGAGAGAGAAUCAGUGCAUGGUUCAAGAAAGAAGAAGACAAAAGGAAACUAGAUUUUUUAUUAAUCUCCAUGGGGCGCACUAUGAGUUUGAUGAAAAGACAAGUGACAGCAUUCAAUUUUUUUUGGAACACAACCGUACAGUGGGGAUUCUCCAAGGCUGCCACUUUAGGGUGAAGUUUUUUUUUUGAAAGAAAAGUGGCAGCAGGCUGCUACUUUAAGGUGAGUUUUUCUUGAAAGGAAAGUGGCAGUAGGCUGCCACUUUAGGGUGAAUUUUUUUUGAAAGGAAAGUGGCAGCAAACUGCUACUUUAUGAUGAGAUUUUUUUAAAGAAAAGUGGCAGCAGAUUACCACUUUAGGGUGAGAUUUGUUUUUAAAAAAAGUGGCAGCAAGUUGCAUUUUGAGGGGGGGAGAUUUUUUUGAAAGAAAAAUGGCAGCAAGUUGCACUUUUAGAUGGUGAGAUUUUUUGAAGGAAAAAUGGCAGCAGGUUGCAUUUAAGGGGUCCAUACCUCAAUUUCCAUAAAGAUCUUCAUGGUAUCUUCAAGAGAACCAUGAACGCCAUUGAUCCCCAAAACGAGUAGGCUGCAUCUUCCAAAGGUAAGUGAGUUUCCUUGUUCUUGAGUUUUUGAGAAAAUUGGAGCUUUGUUUGCUAAUUUUUUACUCUAUUAAGUUUUCGAGUCUCUCAAGUUUUAGUCGAUUAAUUUAUUUGGUUUUAUGUCAUCAUCAUCUUGUUUUAUUUAAUUUUAGUUCAUGGGUUCAUCCUAAUUAAUUCGUGUGAUGCUUUAAAAUUUUAAUGGAUUAAUUUAUUUGAUUCUAUGUCAUUAUCAUCAUGUUAUUUUAUUCUUUUUUUUUUUUUUUUUUUUAUCUUAGCUGAUUCAUGUGAUGCUUUAUGUUUUUAGGUGAUUAAUUCAUUUGGUUCUAUAUCAUUAUCACUAUGUUUAUUAAUUUCAGUUAUUUUUAUUUUUACUUAUUUAUUUAUUUUUUGAUUCAUCAUAUUUGGUUUAUGAGUCUUUAGAAUUUUAAUUAUUUAAUUUAUUUGACCCCCUGUCAUUAUAUCCAUGUUUUAAGUGUGUUAAGCUCUAGUUCCUGAUUGAUCCUUACUCAGUUCAAGUGUUUUAGAAUUGUAAGUUCUUAUGGUAUUAUAUUUAACAUUACCUUAAUCAUAGGUUUGUGUGUUCGACUAAUCUAAUUUAAUUAUUGAUUAUAUCCUCAAUUUAUACGCUUGACUAAUCUUCGUUAGCUUUUGAUUGAUAUCUAGUUGACUUUAUUUGAUCUAAGGCCAUUUAGUUAUUUUCUUUGACAUUUGUUCGUUUAUAUUUGAUUCAUGGGGGCCAUCGGAAAAUUGUGAAGAUUGGCCUCCAUUCACACCAUUUUAGUUUGCUUGGUUGCCAAAAAUUUUAUUUUAUGAUUUUGUUUCUAUUUGUUUUGUUUGGUACAAUUUUUCUCAUACGUUUUAUUGUUCUCAAAUUAAUUUCUCUUAUUUUAAAAUAAAAUACUUUUCUCAAAAUGUUCCUCAUAAAAACCUAUUUUAAAAAUUCAUUUAGAGUCCUUAGAAUCAAAAACCCCAUUUUCUUAAAAUAAUAUGCAACCAUUUUUUGAUUAGUUUGCAUCUUUCUCGGUUUUUAACGAAAAUUUUGGUUUGAAAUCAGACACGAAUCAAAGCUUGUGGUCCCACAUAAAUGGGAUAAUUUUGAGCUAAAUUCGUGUAUAUCAAUUGGGGAAUUGGUGAAACCCCUACAUAAGAAAAUCUUUUCAAAAAUUAUUUUUGUUGCCACUUUUGUCACUUGUUGAAAUUAUGUCUAUCUUUUUUUAGAAAUUGUAUACCAGAUGAGUGUGAUAAUUAUUGUUUUCAUAUACUGUGAUCGCUUUUACUAUGCUAAUUAGAUAAUGAGCAUGUUAGGAUUUCUAUAUUUUAUUAUUUAUUAUCUAACCCCUUACAACUUGAGGAAGCACGCUACAAAUUAUCUAUGCUAUCCAGGUAUGUCCUCUAUCAUCUACUUUCUGAAUUCUGUGAAUAUGCUUGUCAUUGUGAAAUAAUACUUAUGUCUAAUAAUGCUUGAGUGUCUUGAUAUGCAUGUUUCAUUGUUUGAUUAUUUCCAAUAAAAUACAUGUUGGAUGAUAUAUUGUUUAAAUUAACCGUUUAUGUUUUAUGAUAGCGCUUGAAGAGCGGUUCAGGUACGCACCCUAACUCUCCUUUAUUGUGAUUUGAUCUUGUUUAGCAUGCAACUUUUUUUGAAAUCACCUAGCCUACUUAGGUAUCCAUGAUCGACCAUUUAAUUGCCAUGCUUCCCUUAACUUAGUCAGUAGAGACCUUUUUAGGGCUUAGAGGGGUGCUACCUUUUAAAGGUACCUUCCCAAUAGGUAACCUGAUCCCCGGACUUAGACUCGGGUUUUUCAAAGACAUACUUUUUCCAAAAAUUAUGGAGUCACAUUUUAGGGUUUUUCUUUCUUGUUUUAUUUUCCCUUUAAAAUAAAAAUAAAAUAAGUGGCGGCUCCAACCUUUUUCCCAAAAAUUAAUUUUUCACAAAUAAAAAGCGAGUCUCGCCGAUCGAGUGGGGACGCACGUGAAAAAUGCGGGUCCACAAAGAGAAGAAGAAAACUUAUGCUCCUUUAAUGGAACUUACAACCAAAUCUAUGAAGAAACGAAGAAAACAAAUUAUCCCAUUUAAUCACCACAAACAAUAAUAAAAAGAAACAUACAUGCUUCUCUUGUCCAUGGGAUAACAUCAAGGUUGCAAAAAAGAUAUUAGCACGCCCUAAAUAGAGAUCUAAGCAUGUUUAUAACAUUAUGCUCUAAUACCAAUUGUUAGUAUCUUAGAUCUAAGCAAUACUAAUUUUUAUAAAAUUGAUCUUUUAGGGUUAAAGUACUAACCUUUAGGUUUGGAUGUUCCCAAACCUUAAAUUCCACUUAUUGAAGACAACCUUGAAGUUGUUGAAAGUCUCAUAAACUUAUGACUCAUUCUAUACUUGAUCAAAGAGGUAGACUUCUUAAGUUGAACUCAUAAAGUUGACUUUGAUUACUUUCAAAGGAUUUUUUGUCAUGCUCAAACCUUAUUAUCCACAUACCUUGUUUGACUAUGAUUAUUAUUUGUUUCCCGGGGUGAGUUAGUACAAAAUAUUGAAUCUUUGGUUAAGCAAAACUCUUUUACUUUUAUCUAAGAUUUAUGCUCUUAAAUGCAUACUGCUCACUUAUAACAUUUGGAAACACCAUCAAAGUGGACACAAAGGCAACCAUGAAUGAAAACAAAAAGAAAAAUCAAUUGACCAUGGUGUACAAUGCCUCCACUUUCAAAAAGAAAAAGAAAAAGAAAAAGAAAAGAAUAGGAGGAUGAUAUCAUACUAAGGGGGAGUCAAGUUAUGUUGUAUGUAGAUCAACGAGGCCAUGUUAAAUAUAAAUCUGAUGAUCUUAGUUCAAAUUGACUGGAUGUGUUCUUUAAUUUGACCAAAGGCAUGAGUAGAUCUCUUCUAAGUAAUUAAUUUUGAAAUAUUGAACUAGACAGUAAGUCAUAUUUCCUUGAAAAUCAAUAUUGAUGUUUCUAUGUUGACUCUCUUAUACAUUUAUAGUUAUGCAUUAGGUUUUCAAAUCUGAAAUUAUGAUUAACUCUGAUCAUUCAUCUUGAAAUUUCAUUCUUGAUGGAUCAACAUAUACUAUAUGAAGUAACAUACUUCAUCUAUUCCUAAUUCAGCUAAUGUUGAAAGUUUAUGACCUUAACUAUCUACUCUUUAUCGUUAAAAUUUGUUUCAAUUGGUGUCAAUUCUUGUUUAUAUGUUAGUUAGUUGAGUAUUCUAUCCAUUGUUAGAACUUUUUUUGGCUUUGGUUGCUCAAGCGCUAUAUUUAGCGUCCUUCAUGCUCAAGCACUCAAGCCUCAUCAAACGUCUCUACUGCUCAAGCGCUCUAAGUUGCAUCUAGUGGCGCAUCCAUUGAGCGUCUUGCUCGAGUGUUAAUCUGUAUCGGUAUGUCUGAGUAUAAAAAUCCAUUCAACGUGUCUUUUUUCUUUUCAAACAUUUUCCUAUUCUCUCAAGAGCUCUGGGACUUUUUUUAUUUUUUAUUUUUUUUUAUCAUUUGAGGUCAAGUUUCCUUGUUUUUCACAUUUUCGACUUCAUGGUAUUGUUCUACACAUUGUUUAGGGCAUUUCUAGCGGUUUAGAUUUUUUCUGAAAUCUUCUUGGUUUUCGAAUCCUUUGGUAUUCUCUUGGAUAUGGCUAAGAUGACCCCAUCUGGGACACCCAAACCCCUUAAAGGAUUUUCACUUCAUUUUUCUUUCGAUUUUGUGGCUCUACCAAUGAAUUUUUACUUUAUCAAAAGCCCCUAGUUCAAUAUUAUUUUUUUAUCCAUUGCUGUCACAUUGUGUUUGUGGGUUCAUUUCCUCAUUUGACCCUAGAACCUCAUAGAAUCAUAUUAUAUAGAGAUGGCGUCAGUGAAGUUCAACUCAUUCCAGUUUUGAUGCAUAAGAUGAAUUCAAUAAGAAAGGCUUGUGCAUCACUAGAGGAUGAGUGUUACUAACUCUUCCCAUACAUAUACUUUAGUACCGCCUUAUCCUUAGUAUUUCCCAUCUUCACAUGCAAAAUUUUUUUGUUGAUCUUAUAAUGGCUAUGUGCGUCAAGUUUUGCUCUGCCGCCACUGAACCUUUAGUGAAUUUGUUUUUUUGUUUUUUUUUUAUUUGGAUGUUUUUUCAUUACUUAUCUUAUGUAUCAAGAAUCAUAUUUUUAAUAUACAUAUUUUGUUCAUCUUUCUUCUUAUCUCUUAUGUGCUUUGGUAGUUAUAUUUCUAAUACUUUGUCAUUUUGUGACAAAAAAAAGAGAUAAUUGCAUAUUUAAUAUUUAACUCUGUUAAAUUAAUAUAAAAGAGAGAUAACAUUAAAUAUUUAGUUCACCUAAAAAUGAGGAGUUAAAAAAUGGUGAAAAUAAAAAGCUCCUUGAUUUAAGGGAAGUUAGUUUUUGAAUUAUUUGAUUCAUUAAUUUAGGUAAUUUAAUUGAAAUAUUGGAAGAAACUAAACAUAAGACAUUGAAGUAAAUCAAAUCAGCCUUAGGAAAUAUGACUUUACGAUUCAAGAGAGAUACCUAACACGGAUGUUUCCUGCAAAUUACUUUUGUUAGAAUUGUCGAUCUCUCUCUAGAACUAAUCCUAGUUGUAGAAGCUUUUUCCCAAGGCUUUCACUACUUACCUUAUUGCUGGAGAAUGCCCCCUGCUCUUUACUAAUAAAUUAUUAGGUCUCAUCUAUCUUCGAAUAUGUUUGGUUGAUUUGCAUACAUUCAAAUUCCUCUCGACCUUUUCUUUGUACCUUGGUGUCAUUAAAGGACUCUGUUUUUUUCAUGCUUUCAUAAGACAUCAAACAAAGUCUCCAACUAUCCUGUUUUGUUUUCAUAAUAUUAUUUUAUCCUUCACACUACUUUGCCUUUGGUAUAAUUUCUUGUAUGUGUUCAGGUUACAAGGUUGGAAGAUAAGUACUUCAAAGCAUUACAAAGUUUUCCCUUAAUUCAAUUUUAGUUGAGUGUUAAUGUGUGUUAUGUGAACUCUAUUAUGAGGAUCGAUAUUGAAAGGCUUAUGGCAUUGUAAAGUGCUUCAUAGGUACAUCUAAAAAAGUUUGGCUUAUGGCAUUGAAAGACUUAUUUGAGGUAUAAAAGGAUCGGUAUCAUUUUUUAACUGGUUAAUCUGCUCAGGCAGUCAACCCAUUCAAGCAGAGAGCUCUCAAGCGGUCUAAGUUUGGUCAAGCGGUCAUGACAACCCUAUCGAGUUUAAAAAUGUAUUUUCAAUGAAUUUCAACCCAACUAUAAUUUGGAAACUUAAGAUAUUGAUAUCCUUAUAGCUUUUGCCUAUAAUUUUUUAAAUCACCCAUUCACUCCUCUCAUCUCCCCCUUUCUAGGUGUUCCCUAUUGGACUUUCAAUUAUUCCAUUUUUUUUUUAUAAUUGUAAGAUUUACUUAUGUGAUAAAAAUUGAGAAAAUAAAAAAUUGAUAAAAUCUAAGGAAAACCAAGGAAAGUGCAUGUCAAAGGAAAAUGACAACAACAAGUAUUUAAAAAACAAAAUUUUAUCAACCUAGGAUGUCUAAGUGGGAAUGUACAAAAGUAGAAAAUUAAAUCAUGUGAAGAAAAACAUUGAAAAUCAUUUUAAAAUCAUGGAAAAUCACAAAGAGAACAUAAGUUAUGCAACCAGAGAGGAAGACAAUAUCUAUGUUUAAGAAAGAGUGUGCAUUAAGGAGAAAAUUGUGCAUUAAGGAUGAAGACACAUGCAAAAGGAAAAUAUGUGCUAAAAGAGUACACAAGAGGAAUUGUGCAUCGAGGGAAACGCCAAGUGUGCAUUAGAAAAUAAAAGAGGAGCACGCACAAAAAGAUAGUGCACUAAAGUAGCUUGCAUGCUUGGGAAUCACAUGCCUAAGAAGCACUACUAUGCGAAUGAAAGUGCGUGUGAAAAUUAUGCACUGAAGAGCUACACUAAUGUGCGCAAUAAUGCACUAAAGAAAGUUAGACUAUGCAUUGAAAAGUGCACACUACAAGACACCAGUGUGUGCACUAGAUUAUGCAUUAGAUGAAAAAGUGCACAUAAUUGCUUGUGUACUGAAGAACAAGUUGUGCACUAAAGGACUUGCACAUAUGAAAUGUGCACCUAAAUGAAGGCUAAGGAGCACAUAAAGAUUGUGCAUUAAAGAGGAGCUAUUGUGACAUGGGAAAAUCCUAAACCUCUCUGGUCCCCAAGCCCGAAUCAAGUUAGGAACAUAUGAAAAUAUCUUAGGCUUUUCUAAAUACUAUGCACAACAAAAAAAAAAAUUACAUUUUAAAACUUUAAAGGGAUUCAAAAAGUGCUAACAAAAGACUUACUUUAGAUUCAAAUGUUCCUAAAUCAAAUCCAUGUGAUGAAAAACGAAGUUGUAGAAGUCCCAUAAACCUAGAGUCUUCCACUCGAAGACUCGAACUUUGAUUUUGACACACUUAUGAUAGUAAUCAAUUAGGGUGGAGGCUAUAGCUCUCUCUCUAAAGGAGAAAGAUGAAUCUUUAGAAAAAGCUAUGAAAACUCUAACCCCUAAAGGGGUAUUUAUGGGGUUCCCCAUUGGGUUAAUUAACUUAAGCCCACUAAGGGCUUGGGUCACUUAAAUUAGCACAAAAUAGGUCAUAAUUGAUUAAUUAACCUAACAGAACCUACUAAGUAAUCAAUUAGAUGUGUAAUCCUGCUUAAUUACCAAAGUGCCCUUAUGCAAAAAAGUGAACCUAGAGCUAAUCUAACCCUCUUAACUCAUGCCAACAAGGUAUAUUAGCUUAGAGUGGGGACCAUUAUGACCCAUAGGACUACUGGCUCCAUUAAAAUCCAAUUCUGAAGUUGAUUUAAUAUCCUACUAUAGCGAAUCAACUAAACUCUAGUAUCCCAUGUAAAUAACAAUGAGUUGGGUCUGUGAUUUGUCAUUAAUUAUGUUCAAUUUCCCAAUGAACUGGUGUUCGUAGUCUAACAAGGUGAAAACUAUCAGCCUUUCAAGACUACCCUACUAUCCUUAAGUUGCAAUCCUUCUAUUAUGUGUAUAACUAACAUGUCUUAGCUUUCUAAGAACUUAUGUCAAGUUCUACUUAAGGAACUACUAUGGUCAUAGUUUCCAUGAACACGUGUCCUUAGAAUGAUCCAAGGGGAUACACUAUCUCAAUACCAAGAGAUAUCAUGGUACCUUUAUUAAGAAUACCUAUUACUACCAACUUUCAUUAAUAGUGACCCAAACCAUAGGGAACAUAUGAUCAGCUUAUGAUCUCACCCAUUAAUCAAAAGUCAUUGUGUGGACCCGCAUUUUUCACGUGCGUCCCCACUCGAUCGGCGAGACUCGCUUUUUUAUUUGUGAAAAAUUGAUUUUUGAAAAAAAGUUGGAGUCGCCACUUAUUUUAUUUUUAUUUUUGAAGGGAAAAUAAAACAAGAAAUAAAACCCUAAAAAAAUGACUCCAUAAUUUUUGGAAAAAACGUGUCUUUGAAAAACCCGAGUCUAAGUCCGGGGAUCAGGUUACUUAUUGGGAAGGUACCUCUAGGAGGUAGCACCCCUCUAAGCCCUAAAGAGGUCUCUACUGACUAAGUUAAGGGAAGCAUGACAAUUAAAUGGUUGAUCAUGGAUACCUAAGUAGGCUAGGUGAUUCCAAAAACAUAACAUAUCAAACAAGGUCAAAUCACAAUUAAGGAGAGUUAAAAGUGCGUACCUGGACGGCUUCCCAAGCGCUAUCAUAAAACAUAAGAGAUUAGUUUGGAGAUACAUCACACAACAUUUGUUUUAUUCAAGCAAAUCAGGCAUAUAUCAAGACAUUCAAGCAUCACGUCAAAUAUGGAUAUGGUCAUCAAUGACAUACAAGUCCAUAGAGUUCUAAAAAAAUAGAUGAGAAGAGACCGUACCUGGAUAGCAAGCUAGUACUCCUCUAUGGGAAACAAGAGCAUCUCAACAAUAAAUAUUAAGUGAAUUCAAGUAUUUCAUCAAGAAGAAUAAAAAAAUCAACAUAUCAAGUAAACGGUAUUGAAGUGAGUGUUAUGAAUGUCGGGCCCCCACCAAAGCCCUAAUUAAUUUUGCAUGAAUUGAUUCCAUAAAUUCCAUGAUUUGGAAUUAUGAAUUUUAUUCAUGCUUGUUGAAAAAUCAAGAAAACCAUGAAAAAUAGUUGAAAAUGGUGAAAAUGCAUGCCGGAAGGGAAAAUGGCAGCAAAUAGUAUGUUAAAAAAAAUCUGGAUUUUAGUGACUAAAAGGGCUCUAAAGAUUGAUUUUUCAAAGCUGGAAAUAUUUAAUUGAGAAAAAGAUUCAAAGAUUCAAUUUAAAAUAGGGAAUUCCUAAUCAAAGAAGCAAAAGGAGGAGGUGUGUGUAGCAAGGUAGGUAUGAUGGAGGGGAGUUGGGAGGUUUGGCUAUGACCGCAUUGCUGGUAAUUGCAGGUGCUGCUGUUAUUCUCUCUAAAUUUUCUCUUUCUACUCUGGUUGCAUGCAUUCAAGCACCAUACAUCGCUGCAUUCCCGGGCCUUUUCCGAUUCCUUGAAGUUCCCUAUAUGCGGACUUACUUCCAAGAGCUUUGGCAUUAAUUCCCCAUAUGAAUCUCUGAAAUUUGCUGAGAAAUUUAGUCUUUCUGGAUUGCCAUUUAUGAUAACUAGAGCAUUGAAAGUUGGGGAAUCACAUCCAAUUGGUUUUAGCUUUAGAGGGUGACCAUCGGUCAUGGUAAAAAAAUGAAAUCAAUUUCUGUUUCCUCAUGCCUGUUUCAAACUAUCCCGUUGUUGCACCAAGGACUUCCCUUUUCUAACUGCAACAUUUAACUUCUUUCUCAAAGAAGCUGACUUCUGCUCCUCUUGAUCAAGUGGAACUUGCGUCUCCUCCCUUUUCUGAUCCAAUGCUUCAACUUCACAUAACAAAGAUUGCAUCUUCCCCAUAUACCUAUCUCUCUCCCCCUUUGCUUCAGUCAGAUCACCCAAAGCCUCCUCUAAUUCUUUCUUCAAAACCACCACAUCUAGAUCCUUGGUAUCUGGUGCAUCUAUGGCUCUUGGUUCAUCACUAGAUGUAUCAGCAUUUUCGGUAUGGCACUCAUCAAUCCCUUCCCUAAGCACAGUUUUUCCCAAGGAAAGUCUAGUGUGAUUCUCUAUAAACUUCCUUAGCAUUGCAGACAGCGUGUAUAGCUGUAGAAGGGUCUCUUAGUGCGUAAGUUACAUCUCCAAUGCAACCAUGUGUGGUAUUGAAAGGUGGCAGCCUUCAAGUUCUGAAUGUUGCGGCUGUCUUCGAAUUUGAGAUGGUGCGUGGUGUAGAUGGAUGCAGCCCAUGAAGAAACCUGUGCAUAGAGUCCUUUGGUGCUCACAACUUCUUAAAAAAAAUUCUGGGGGUUCCUCUAGAAAGUGGACUAUGCAUGUACGUGUGUUCUCUGAAAAUCAAAACUGUGCGUGGGCUUCUUCAUGCGGCUGUGAAGACUUCCCGAGGUGGCGUGUUUCUGUUAGUGCGUGGUCCCCAUGGGAGUGCAGGCUGCCCCUCAAUCCGUGCUCUUGGAUUUCAAGUGUCCAUCCAAAGUGGCAACAUGAGAUGUUUGUUUCUCUCAAAGUGGGUUCAAAUUUUUGUUUCUCUAUAUUGAUGAUGCGACUGUUUCUCAGAAAAUCCUCACUUGGUACCCUCUCCUCCAUAUUCAGGUACGGAGCAAUGAACCCUCAAAGACUCCUUGGGAUCAAAUUUAAGAGACUGAACGUGAAUACCAGAAAUUCUGAUAAGCUAUGACAUUGUGUUUAAGUCUUUUGGAAAGUGACUUUAGAAAAGACUUCAAGGCAGAAUUCUGAACUGCAAUGUAAUGUGCAUGACAACCUUGGAAGUCUCAUCAGAAAAAGUUCAAAUUUCUUCCAUUGGAGGCCUCAAAUUCAACAACUUCUUGAUUCGUCAAAGAGGGUACCCUCAUCACUAGAGUUUUCCAUUACACUUCGAGAAUUUUCUGGUCUGUAUUAACUUUGAAAUUUUUCUGGCCCAUGUUCAGUUGAAUGAAUAUAUCCCCAAGGAGGUAUUCCAUGACUGCCCACAAUGAGAAACACCAAAGAGUAUAUGUGCAUUAAUCCAUAUGAAAUGUACAAAUGACCCAAAUGUUGUUUCAGAAGAGGAGGCAUCAACACUUAAUUCUUUCUCUUCCAGUUCUUCCUAAGUCUAUGUAGACUUCCUCAGAUACUAUAUUUAAUUCACAAACCUCAGACAUCAAUUGAUACUGAUCCAGAAUUCCAUGACACCCUUUCAGUACCUUUUGAAAUGCCCCUUCACCUGUUAGAUUCAAAUAGCUCAUUCGACAAACUUGGCUGCCACACAAACAAACAGAUACCUCAUACUCUUUCUUACUCUCUGUGACUGAGUUAUAAUCAAAGAUGAUCUCCUCACCACAUUGAAUUUGACGUACGGUGUAGAUUCCAAUCUGGUACUGACCUUCUACAGCAGUAAUUUUGGCUUCACGGUUAGGUCUACAUAAAUGACAAAUUCGGCUUGCAUAGUUAGCCUUGUGUAUUGCAUCAACAACUAAAUUCCACGGAUUCGGCUCUUGAUCCAAUUUUAGGUUCAAUAAAAGUUACUUUAUUCUGUGGUUGAAUUUUAACAGCAGCAUCAGGAACAUCUGCAGCAAAGGUAAUUGGAAUCCAAAUUUUAUUAAUUUUUCCUAAAACACUACUAUGCUUCUGAAUUGAAUCUUGAUCAACUAAAGAUUGGAGCUCUGAAAAUGAUGAGGGCCAUUGCUCAUGUCCAGCGCCAUCAAGAUAAUACCAGUCACUAAAAUCACCAAAGGCAAAGGCAUAAUCCUUGUCAGAGAAUGUGCUCAACCUAGAAUCCAAAGCUUCUUUUGACGUGAUUUCUGGGUAUCUGAAAAAUCUAUCUAUUCUUUGAUCAGGCUGUCCUCCAAUACGAAGUUGAUGCCAGGAUAAACCUUCAGCUCCCAAUUUCUCCCACUGUGCAUGCUCAAACGACGCCUGCAAAACUUCCCCCAGAGUCUCCAGCUCCCUGCCAGGAAUGAAGGUAAAACUCUUUAAUAAAGCUCUAACCCUUUCAUCAAUCUGAAGACCCUCUAAUGGCUCGGAUGCAAUGGAAUUGUCAUUGUUGCAAGACAUCGAUUGCAGCAAAAGUGGUAGGUGUUUCCUCUUCUAGCAGUUUGUUGGACUCUGUGGUAUCUCCAGCCCCGGCCAAUGGAUUACCAGGAGCCUCUGGAGGACUCACCAGUUGAGUUACAGUGUCUGAAACAAAGGGUGGGAAGUUCACAGGCACUAACAGAGAAGCUGCGUUUUUAAUAGUUAACCAUCUGUAGUAAACCUUUCUCUAUGAAAUUUCUUUCUCUCACCGAAGAACACAGAUAUUAACAAAACAUCAUUAAGAUCAAACAGAUCCUUGGGUUUGGGAAGAUCUAUGGAGAAUUCAUCAAAAUUCCUUACAAAUCUAGUCUCCUUCAAAAACUUCAACUACCGAAGAAUCUACCUGUAGGUCUUGCCAAUUCAUGUAAAGAUAUAUUAGGAUAUCCUCCUGUUCAGCCUGAGGCUUGCCUUCAAACCCAGGGGAUCCCAAUUUGACCAAGAUCUGUUGAUCUUGCAGCUCAGGGACUACAAGGGCUCUAAAUAAUGAACUUUCCACAGAAUCUGUAGGAUAUGAAAGGCAACACUCACCACAUGGCUUGAGGAAUGAACCAGACGGGAUCAUACACAGAUCUUGAUUUCGCAAUUGAAUGUAUGACUCUGUAACCAUUUUGUAUAUAGGCAGAGCACGUAAAACUUCAAGCUCUUCCCUUCUAUACUUAGAGCCAUUAGAAGAGAAAUCAGAAGCAAAAAGUGUACAGAGUUCCAUACGCUCUGAAGUUAGAAAAGAAUUAAGUUCAGGGAAAAUAGACAACCUGUUUAGCAACAAGCUUUCAAGCAAUAAUCUGCCCUAAUGACUGAUCAAGUGUAGAGAGGUAAUUACAUUAAGCCGCGCAUUCUAUGAAACAGCGUUUCUUUUUGACAUACUCUCAAACAAUUGCCUCGCAAUACCCAUGCAUCCAGAUUUUGAGUACACGUCAACCAAAGCCGUCUCCACAAACACAUUACCUUCAAAACCACCCCGAGCCCAAAAGAAUAGUGCACUGAUUUCGCAAUCUGGGUCAAGCCUAGAAACACUGCCUUCCGACAAGAGGAUCUCCUUUGGUUUUGUAUUCUCUGAUUUUUCCCACUAAUUUUCCUGUGCUUCCUUCCUCUUCUCACCAAAAUGAUCCCCACCCCCUUUUUUUCUUUCUUUUCUUUUCAAUGUCGUUUUCUCCCGUGCUCCCCAAUAUAUUCUCAGUGUAGAUACCCUGGAAUAAUCGAAUUCCAAGGAGCCACAUCUCUAAUCCCCAUAUGAACUCACAAAUUUACGUUAUGGUAACCAAACUUAGCAAGUGCAAUAAACAGCCGACAUACCUUUCGGACAAUCUUCUCUAGAUCCCAUAUUGUGAUAGCAGUUCCAGAAUUUUGAAGUGUUUGACCUCUUUGCUGAAUCUCAUGACUAUAUUCCCAAGCCUUGGAGUCACCCCCAUAUCAACAAUUGAUGGCUAUAUGACGGGUAGGAAGAAAGGCAAAACAGAUAUGGUAGAGAGUAGAGGAAACGAUGGGAAAACAGACAUGGGAGAUUAAAAGAAAAUAAAACCACAUCUCAUGAUUUUUCAAUAGGCUCAAGUUAGUGGGAACAGGCAUGGAGUUAUAUGCUUCCGAAGACAUUAAUGACAUCCAAAAUCAAAACAAGGCAAACAGGCAAGUAGCCAAUCUCAACAAAGCCAAUUGUGGCCCUUUUCGUCUACACAAAAAUCAACAAAACAAUUAAAUAUUCAGGAAUCGAACACACGGAAAAAUCAAAUAUAGGUAAGAAUUCCAAAAGGAACGAGGUGCAUACCUGGACAGCUUUGGUUGCAAUGGCUCGGCUUUUGGCUAUCUUUCCUCUUCCUUCUGAAGACAAUUCCCAGAUAAAAAUCCUCUUUUUGCUUGUUCUUUCUUCUUCCUCCUCCCUCUCUAGACUCCAAUACGUGUUGCUCACCCCCUAUUCUUUUCCUUUUCUCACCUAUAUAUAUCACCUAUUCUCUUCAAGACCUAAAUUUUCUUCCAAAAAGGAAAAUUUUCCUAUUUCCUUUCUUCUUCUCUUCUUUUUUUAAAUCCUCCAAUCAAAAGCAAUCUUCCCAAUUUCAAAUUCUCCUCCAAAACCUUCCAAGGAGAGUCCCACUUUCCUUAAACUCCAAUGGUAAGUUUCCUUGCAAAAACAUGAAAUUUUAGAAGUUAAAUAAUUGCAUGAAUAGAUAAAUAAGUAAAUAAAUUAGAAAAUGGUAAAAAUAAUAAAUAAAUAAAUAAGUUAAGGAAAAUAAUAUAAAGAGGAAAAUAAAAUAAAAUAAAAUAAAAAUAAACAAAUUAACAAAAAAUGGGCCCUAUGAGCCAUGCAAACACGCAAGUCAUAUAAGUCACGCUAAAAAAUGUCCAAAUGGGCCAAGUGUGCCUAAAUGGCCUAUGAUGAGACUAAGUGGGCCUAGGGUGGUGCCUAAUGGGCCAAGUGUAUCUAAAAGCUAUCCUAAAAAAAACAAGAAAAGCCUAAGUCUAAGUUAGGGCUGCCAAGGGUCACAAUAAGGGAUCAAAUAAUCCCUCAACCAAAGUCUCCAAGGUGACUCAAAAAAAGGUAAGUGGUAUGAGUAGCCAUGGGCCACCAAGGAACUAUUGUGGAGCAUUGAAAACGAAUUUUAAAGACAUGUGCUAAAGGGACAAAAUUGAGGGUCUACACAUUGCUAACUUCAACAUAAGUUCAAUAUUCUCUCAAGGUUGAGAGAUAACACAAUGAAGCAGUCUAGUAGGGUGAUGACUACUUGAUAGCAUUAAGUCAUAACUUACCAUAGAUCCUAUCCAGUGUGUAACCAUACAGACUAGUGUUCUCAUCGUGGGAAACCCAUUCGAUAACUAAGACUAGUCAUCCCUCCAAUUAGGAAGUGGUGCACUACAACCUCCAAUAGGUUGCCUAGACCCACAAACCAACAUGAACUAAUCAUUUAUUUACAAGGAACCCAUGACUUAAAUCUUUUAUACAACUCCUAAUAUACCCAAGUCACAUAUAAUGCAAAAGAUGAAACCAAAGUGCUUACAAAGUAUAAUGCAUGGAAGUAAGAUAGAUAAAAGUGAAAUGCAACUUUAUUAAAUAAAUAAUAAAAUCCAAAAGUCUAUUACAUCAUGUCAUGCUUUUAAGGGUUCUAUCAUAACAGCAUGCACAUAAGAACUAUGCAUUGAGAAGAGAUGGUCUAGGUACUAGGUAGCAUGUGGAGGGAAAUGUGCACUAAGAAUAAGAAUGGCAUACCAAGAAGCAUGCACACGUAAGAUAAAAUCACACUAAGAGGACAUAGAAUGUGUGCAAAUAUAUGAAAUUUGCACUUAAAGAACUGCCAAUGUUUGUAUGCAAAGACAUUGUGGACCGAAAAUCGCAUACUAAAGAAAAGUGUGCUCACAUAAGAGAAAAAGAGAGACAUGCAUGCAAGUGUACAAAUUGGAAAACAAUUCAAGAUGUACAUACUAAGAUAAGGAUGCACAAAAUACAACCUAAAUGAAGAGAUGCACACGUGUAAUGCACACCAAGAAGUUAUGUGCAUGAGAAAGACGCACAAAUAUUUCAUCUAAAGAGGAAAGUUGUGCACUAUUCAAUGCACCAAAACAAGACAUGAAGUGGGCAUAAAAAAAUACGCAAAACAAAGCAAGACACCAAGUGCAAGCCUACUACUCAAGAGAAAGAACAAAGUAUGCAAACCAAAAAUGCAAAAUAAGAGGAUGCACUAAUAGGGCAAAUGACUUGUGCAAUUUGACAUGCAAUACAAAACGAACACUAGAAAAAAAACAGACGUGCGCAACCCAAUUCACAAACAUAGUCAAACAUCGGUUGAAUGUACAACUUAGUGCAUAAAAACAAAAUAGAAUGUGUAAUCCUCAGCACAACAUGAAUAGAAUAUAGGGAGCAUGCAAUCUAGGUUCACAGUCAUGAACAUCAAAUACACUAACAAAAACGUGCAAAUCCUAAUAUGUGAACACAAUGAAACAAAGCCUAAGAUAUGCAGUCUUGAUGCACAAUCUUGAGCACUACAGAAGACCAAAGCAAAUAGGUAGCCACAGAGAACCAACUACAAAUGAGUGGCUUCAAAAUGCACACUAACCAAUUCACAAAACAAACAAUAAUCACAAGAAAAUCAAAUGAGCAAAGAAAAAACUCAAAAUACAAUAGGUAAAAAAUAAGAAAAGCCUCAUAUCAUGCGUUAUCAGUGGGCUUAAAAAACAAGUGAGAUAUCCAAACUAGAUUUAAAACAAGAACAAAAACAAGAUUUCAAGAUGUUAUAUGGAAAGAACGAACUAAAUUCAGGUUAAUCUCAAAUAAACUAAAGAAAAAUAGGGUGAACAGAACAAUGACAAGCCUAUAAACAUCCCAGAAUUGAAAAAUUAAUGUGUGGCCUCUAAUAUCCAUAUCCAAUCAACAAGCAACUUUUAACGAUAUCUAAUGAAAGAAAAACAUAACCAAAUAUGGGUCUCAUAAUGAAAAGAGCUUAACUGAGAAGAGAUGUAUUAGUUAACCUUUUCUUCUCUUUGUUUGGUUCUUUACUUUCCUUCUCUUUCAUUUUCUUCUUUCUCUAGUCCUUUUCUUUUUUUCCCUAAGCUCUUUCUCUCUAUCUCUCUUUUUACCCAACAAAUCCCUAAUGACUAGAAUAUUUUUGUGCAUCUCUCUCUCUCACACACAACAAUGUAGAAUGUGCUCUCAUACCUCUUAAAAAUGAGAGAAAAAUCCCCUACAAAAUGCCAAAAGGACCUUCCGAGCAAGGAUCCUACGUUAAGGCUCAUAACCAAAUUAAUGAACGUAGGUUAAACCUAAGGUGCCAUAGAAAGUCAUGCUAGAAUCAACAAAAAUUUCCCUAAUGGUCUCUAAAAAAUGGCUCAAAUAACAACGAACUACCAAGGGACAUGAUAAAUGGAAGGGAUCCUAAGUGCAUGUUAUGAAAGAGUAUAGGGCAAGGGGAAAAUAAACAUGAAAUAACAUAUGCUGGGAGGACAAAAUGGAAGGGAUCCUAAGUGCAUGUUAUGAAAGAGUAUAGGGCAAGGGGAAAAUAAACAUGAAAUAACAUGUGCUGAGAGGACAAAAUGAAGGGUCCGUAGGUUCCACAAUCCAACUGUUAGGAUAUUGCCCUUAAAAACAUGACAUGAUGUAAUAAAUUUGGAAUUCAUUAUUUAUUUAAUGAUGUUCCAAUUUUACUUUUAACCAUUCUUAUUCCAUGUAUUACACUUUAUGAACAUUUUGACCUACAUCUUUUGUAUUGUAUGUGACUUAGGUGCAUUAGGAGUUGCACAAAAGAUCUAAAUCAUGGGUUCCUUGCAAAUAGAUGACUUAUUCACAACUGGUUCAUGGGUCUAGGCAACCAAUUAAAGGUAGUAGUGCAUCACAUCCUAAUUUAAGGGAUGACUUGUCUUGGCUAUCAGGAUAGGUUUCCCAAGGUGAGUGCAAUGUGUGUAUGGUUACACAUUGGACAAGGCCUAUGAUGAGUCAUAACUUAAGGCUAUCAAGUAGUCAUGAUCUCACUAAACUACUCCAUUGUGUUGUCUCUUAACCUUGAGAGAAUAUUAAGUUUGUGCUAAAGUUAGCAGUGGCUUUGACUUAUGGGUGAGAUCGUAAGUUGAUCAUAUAUUCCCUAUGGAUUAGGUCACUACUAAUAAAAUUCGGUAACAAUAAGUAUUUUCAAUAAAGGCACCAUGAUAUCUCAUGGGAUUGAGAUAGUGUGUCCCCUUGGGUGAUUCUAAGAAGGUGUGUCAAUGGAAACUAUGGCCAUAGUAGUUCCUUAAGUGGAACUUGACAUAGGUUCUUAACCAAGAUAUGCCAAUUGAAUACACAAUAGAAAGAUUUGUAACUUAAGGAUAGUAGAGUUAAUCUUGAAAGAUUGAUAGCUUUCACCUUGUUAGACUACGAACACACCAGUUCAUAGGGAGAUUAAAGAUAAUGGAUAACAAGUCGCAAACCCGAGCAUGUAAUGUCUUAUUGUUAUUUACAUAAAAUACUAAAAUUCAGUUAAUUCUCUAUAGUGGGAUAUUGAAUCAACUUUUGAAUUGGAUUCUGAGAUAUCCAACUUAGUGGUCCCUACUCUAAGCUCAUAUACCUUGAUGUCAUAGAUUGUGAAGGUCAAAUUGGUUAUAGGUUCACUUUUUUGCAUAAGAGUGUUUUGGUAAUUAUGCAAGGUUGCACAGGGGUAAGUAAACAAGAUCUUUAGAUUGGGCUAGUUGAUUAAUUAGUAGGCCUUAUUGGAUUAAUUAGUCAAUUAGAACUCAUUUUGGGCUGAAUUAAGUGACCUAAGCUCAUGAGGGCUCAAGUCACUUAAGCUUAAUUAGGAACCUUAUAAAUACCACCUAGGAGUUAGAGUUUCCAUCACUUUUGUCUUCCACCAUUCAAAGAGAAAGAGAGUCAUAACCUCCAACAUUUUUCCUGCUUAUCAAAAGUGUGCUAAGAAUAAGAUUGAGUCAUCGGGCGAAAGAUCAUGGGUUUACGAGACUUCUAACAAUCUUAAGGUCAUCUUCAACACUUGGAAUUUAAGAUUUGGGAACAUCCAAACCUAAAAGGUUAGUACUUUAACCCUAAAAGAUCAAUUUUUUAAAAACUGAUAUUACUUCCCUUGCUUAGAUCUAAGAUGUCAACAUGGAGUGCAAGAUCACGGUUUGAGUCAUCAAGCAAAAAAUCUUAGGUGUACGAGACUUCCAAAUUCAUUGUUCAACACCUUCACUACGUAGAAUUGAUUUGGGAACAUCAAAAUCAAAGGAAAAUUUCUCUAAUGACUUUUCUCUUGAUCCUAGAAUGGUAAAAAAUUGAUUUUGCUUCUGUUGCAUAGGAUCUAGAGCCUUAGGGUAUUUUUGCAUGCACCUAUACGAUAUAGGGUAAGGGAAUGGAGAAAUCCAAGGUUCCUAGCAACGUCUCUUUUCCAUAAUUUUCUUUCUCAUUUCUCAUGUUAUGCAUUCCUUUAUUUGUCUUUGUUGCAUCUUUUCCCCCUCUCAAACUUGAGACUUAUCUCAAAAUAUAUGGAUAGGGUUUUUUUAAAUAAUUCAAGUUAAUUUAGGUAUUAGAAUAGAGCCCUUAAAAGCAUGACAUGAUUUAAAAAAUUUUGAAUUGAUUAUUUAUUUAGUGAUAUUCCAGUUUCACUUUUCUAUAUCCUUAUUCCAUCCAUUAUGCUUUAUAAGCAUUCUUACCUAGAAUGUUUUGCAUUGUACAUGACUUGGAUGCAUCAGGAGUUGUAUAGAAGAUCCAAGUUAUAGGUCUUUUGCAAGUAGAUAACUUGUUCACAACUGAUUCAUGGACUUAAGCAAUUCAUUUGAGGCAAUAGUCUACUACCUCAAAAUUAGAGGGAUGGCUAGCCUUUGCGAUCAGGAUAGGUUUCCCAUGGUAAGUGCACUAAUGUGUAUGGUUACACAUUGAAUAAGACCUACAAUGAGUCAUGACAUAAGACUAUCAAGUUGUCAUGAUUUCACCAAGCUGCUUUAUUAUAUUGUCUCUCAACCUUAAGAGAAUACUAAGCUUCUGGCCAACUUAGUAGUGGCUUUGCCCUAUGGGUGAGAUCUUAAAGUGAUCAUAUAUUCCUCUAUAGAUUAGGUCACUUUUGAUGAAAGCUGAUAGCAAUAAGUAUUCUUAAUAAAGGCAUCAUGAUAUCUCAUGGGAUUGAGAUAAAUUGUUCUUUUGGGUUGUUAGGAUAUUGAGUCUUGUUUAUAUGUUGUUAAUUUUGUUCUUUUUUAUGUUUGGUCAUAGCAGUCUUUUUAGAUAGCAACUUGCUCUACAUUCAAGAUCAAGUGUUGCAAUCUAUCUAAUCGGGAAGUCAUAAGUAUGUCUAAAAAGGUUUAACUUGUGGCAAUUUAGGAUCCAUUGAGGUAUAAAGAGGAUUGGUAAGUUUUUUGAACUUAAAAUUAAUUUUUAUAAAGUUUUUGAAAAAUAGAGGACACUCAAUGAUUCGUGCCCAACUGGUGUAUGCCUUGUUGAUUGGUGUUCAAUCAACUAGUGCACUCUGAUUUCAGUCCUCAGAUGGGAGUAAUCAACAAAAUUUAUAAACCUAUUUCACCAUAUACUAGGGUAGUAUUAGCUAGCAUAGCAUAGUGGCUCUAGGAUCCUCCACAAGGAUGGGCUUUCAAAUUACAACUGAUAUUAGUUCAAAAACUGAAUUGGUGCUUUUUCUUUUCAAGGUUAGCUUUAAAAGAAAACAUAAAUAUGUUUGAAAAGGUUGGUUUUAAGUGAAACCAAAAAUAAAGUAACUAAAAUUACUUACAAAGAAAAGUGCUUCUUGGAGUUUUAGAUCACUAGGCUCAGGUUUGUCAUACAAAAAAGGAGAUUCUGGUCAUUUGGAUCUUUUCAUCGCAUUGGGGAUUUAACAUAUAGUUAUUUCCUGAACCAGUGUGGUACAUAUUCUUCCCCUUAAUGGUUUCAAACACUAAAUCUCUAUCACUGAAUCAUCUUGCAAUGGUUCAUACCUCUCACUUAGUAUUAGCCAUUCAGGGUGAUCCUUAACCUUGGAUUACCCGUCAAAAGCUCGCAAGAGAUAACUAAUGGAUGCCUCUUGGGAGUCCAAAAGCUUACCAAGUGUUGGCUAUUCUAGAUAAUCCUACCUUUAAACCACCUUCCAAAGGCUCGCAAGAGAUAAACUAGUAUAUCUCAAUGGAUGGAGACCACUUGCCUUACCAAGUGUUGGCCUAGGUGAUUUUAAGGGAUUUUAAGUUAACUAAAAAGAUAAAAACUAUUAACGGGUCACACUUUCUCUUUAUUAAAAACUAAAACAACAGAACUUCCACUUUUGCAUUGGGAACCUUACCUAGCUUCCUUCAUUCCAAGAAAUAAAAAUCCUAGCCACUCAUCCUCUGGGAAAACAUCAUGAGAGUUCGAUUUGCUAGAAAUAAAAAUAACGAGAAAAAAAAAUGAGAAGUUAAGGCAGAGCAAAGCUCUGUGUAUUACUUUUUGAAAAACUAUACAAAGUGUCGUCUCCGAGAAAAAAUCCCGAGAGAUCCUUUUAAAAGAAAAAUUACAAUAGAUAUUAUAUAGAGAGAGGCUAUUCACCCCUCCUGCUAACUUCCUAACCAAGAAAACUUGUCAUUGGUGGGUUACAAGGAGAAAAUAGGGAUUUACACACAAAUAUCUAAAGAUAAAUAUCAAACGGAGUCAGUGCACAAAUAUCUCAAAUUAUAGGUGGAUCUCGCAAGUUCAAAUGCAACUUGCGAAAAUUUCACAAGUUGAAAUUAUCCAUUUCGCAAGUUGCGUAAUUGUCCUACAACUUAUCAGCUCUCUGUCCUACAACGAUUCCUUUCCUCUUCCUAUUUUGCAAGUAACGAAAAUUUCGCAAGUUGGAUUCCACAACUUACGAAAUUGCUAGAUGGUUGAUUUCUUUUGUGCUUUUCUUCAUUGCAUACUCGUUUGGUUUUGGCAAAGGGUUAUGAAGCUCCAAAGCUUAGUUUCUUCAGGAGUUUGAGCUUCAACUUGCUUUGCCAUGAACUAUACAAAGAUCUCCCUCAUUCUUGGAUUGUUUUGGUGAUCAAAAAGCUAUCAAAAACACCAAAACUUAACACAAUUUGAUUAGAAACGAUUGAAAGGGUCCUUAACAUGCCAAUUGAGUUAAAAGGUAAUAACUACUACUCAAAAGUGUUUAAAAGAGUUAAUUACAAGCUAUAAAAUAACACUUUUUGAGUAGUAAUCACUCCCCCCAACCGACACAUUACUAGUCCCUUAGCAAUGAAGGAGAGAAAAAUAAAAAUAAAUAGUACUAUAAUUUACAACAUCAUGCUGAUCACUACAAAAAAUUUCAAGUGGCAUGAUGAUCAAACUUUCACAUGAGACAUUAAAGAUAUAAAACUCAAACUUCAACAAGAGUUAUCAAAUAACUUGCCUAAUCACAAUUCAUAAAGAGAAGGCAUUAUGCAAAUUUAAGUUUUAAAAGAAUUUCCAUUCCCAAAGGGUCAAUCCUUACUCUUCUACAAAAAUCUAAGUGUUACUUAUUAGUUUCUGAAUACAAAAAGUAAAUAGAUGAUCAGGUAGUGGUGGGAGGAUCAUGUGGAGACGAUGGCUUUGCUGUGGUCUCCUGAGUGCUUUGGAUAGGAGUCUCGACCUCUGCUGUAGUAGUCUCCUCAUAGGGCAUAGUCUGCUCUGCUGGAGUAGCCUCCUGAGAUGGAAUAGCUUGCUCAGCUAGAGUAGCCUCCUCAGAUGGAGCUGUAGGCUCUAAUGGACUAGGCAUAUCAUGCUCAGAUGGUGGCAGAAUACCUAAAUGCUUCCGUAUUUGACUAAGGAUCGUAGUAUGUUGGGUUUGCAUGGCAAUAAGUUGAUCCUGACAUGCACGUAUGACUGUUAUCUAUUGGGCGAGAACACUUUGAGUAGUGCUCAAUGUCUGCAAUGUAUGACAUAGGCCUCUAAACUCUAAACUACAUAUAGUGAUAGAAGACUCAGAUGGAGGAGGUGCUAAUGUAGCUGGUACAACUAGUAAAGCUUCAAAAGUGGUAGAAGGAGCAGAAGAUGUAGCCUCGGGCGUGGGCACUGUAGAAGGUACUGUAGGGGUAGGUGGUAUGAUCUCUGUAGGUAUCUCAGCUUGUUGUGCCUGUGGUGGCUGCUCAUCUUGUGGUAACUCUGGAGGUGUUGGCACAUCUGGGGCCCUUGGGGGUGCAACAUAGGUUGUCAAAUGAUUCCAUUUGUCGAGAAUGAAUAGCUCUCGAAAAAUACGGCGGCGCUCAAGCUGAGGCUCAGAAGGAUGGCCCAAAUGCUCUAAUAUCUAACAGAGCAGCUUGGAAAAAAGUAAUGGAAUGGCAUCUACUCUUUGGAGCUUCUUCCUGUGGACCUUCUCUUCAAAGUAGAAAAGAGAGGUCAUAAUCAAAAUAUGAGGGCCAAAGUAGAAACCCUCUGAUAUUCGGAAUAAAGCCUCCAAUAUAGCUCAUCUCCUCUGCACCAUAUGCUGAAGUGGAAAUAUGUUGGAACACAACACCACAUCUAGAAGAAGCAUCACAAGUGGAAGCUCCUUCCUAAGAAGAAAUGAGCGUGUAGAGGUCCCCCUGGACAAUAUACGGACCAUGUCUCUCUGAGAGAAAUGGGACCACUCUCUGUAAUCUGCUAGACUCAUAGGCUCAUAUGGCAUGUGCAGGGCCUCUGCAAUGUGUCUAGCUCCUAGGAUACCAUGGCGUCCAUCAAUAGUGAAAUGGAUGACAGUAGGAUCCCAGACGCGACGAGUAGUCAUAGACUGAUAAAAGUCUAGUGCUACUCUGGGAUAGAAGAAGUCCCUAGGAGUCAUCAGGUGCUCCAAAUGGUAUCUCUGCAGUAGGCGGAAUGAAUCUCUAAGUUCCGGCUGCUGUUUGAAAGUCUCCAUAUCAAAACAUAGCUCAGAGUGGAAUGGCCUAGCUCAGCAAUCCAAAUUUCCCUCUAUAGGUGGCUGUGUAACCAUAGGUCGCCUGAUAAUCACUUCUAGAGUCAUCCCAGAAGGAAUCUGAGACUUUGUAGCAAGAGGCUGAGGCUGUGGAGGUGCAGAUGACUCUCCUGGGCCUGAAACUCUGGCUUUCUUUGCAGGAGGGCAAUGAACUGAUUUCUUGGGACGUAAAAUGCUUGCCCUAGGUGUAGUAGGUGGUCUCCUCGUCUCGUGCCUACGCUGAGGAGGGCUAGAUGGCACUCCACCCUCAGAAUGUGGAAUGGCAGAGGCCUGUGGAGCCUCAGAUGUGGAAUCCCGUGCAGGUGAAGCUCUUGGCCUUGGAUUGCAGGUUGAUGAAGACGCGAUGUAGGCUCCUCUUGUCUUGGCCAUGGCUGAAAUGGAGAGGCUUGUGUUCCACAAGGUGCGUGGAGGUGUGCGGAGUGGUUCUUCUUCAAACGCACAACUUUUGGGCUUCCAACUCUAGAAUUUGGGGGACUUUGCAACUUACAAGGUUAUUUUGCAACUUGAAAGGGCUAUGCGACAUGAAAAUGGAAAAAAUAAGAGGUUUAAAUAUGAAUUUAAACGUCGGUUGGCAUUUUCACAAGUUGGCCUGAAUUCGCAAGUUGGUUCGCAAGUUGCCCAUUUUCGCAACUUGAUUCACAGGUUGCGAAACUUGAAAUUGAACUUACGAAAUGGCACAUGUGUGCUUGGAGGUGCUUUCGCAGGCUCCAAAAAUUUUCACAAGUUGAAUAGUGGACUUGUGAAUUUGAGCUUUGAGGAUUUCGCAAGUUGGACCCUAUUUUCACAAGUUGGAAUUUCAGCUUGCGAAAUUUUCGCAAAUUGAAAUAUUGCUCUGUAUUUCAGGCUUUUUCUCCUUCUUUGGUUCUUUAAGGCUUUCCUCCAAUUCCUUUGAAGUUCCUCCUAAUUUUGAUCAUCCAAAAAGUCUAAGUUAAAUCAAAAUAAAAUAAAUUAAAGCUAGAAUUAAAAUUAAAACAAAUAAUAAAGCUUUUAAAUCAACAAAAUUGAAACAAAAAACAUGGACUUUGGUUAGUCUUCAAAAAGACUAAGUCCAUCUACUCCUUUUUGGUUAAGAUUGUUGUGGCUCAAGAAGACUGACUUCCUCCUUAUCUUGAUUGAAAGGCUCCAUGAAUGGCUUGAGACGGUGGCCAUUGACUUUGAAAGUGUUUGUGCUAUUGGAAUUGAGUAGUUCAACUACUCCAUUGGAAUGCACUUGGUGAAUAAUGAAAGGGCCUAUCCACCUUGAUUUUAGCUUUCCUGGAAAGAUGUGGAGCCUAGAGUCAUAGAGUAAGACUCUUUGUCCCUUUUGAAAUUCUUUGUUGGAGAUUAACUGAUCAUGCCAUCUCUUCAUCCUCUGUUUUGCAAUUUUGGAAUUGAUGUAGGCAUCAUUUCUCAAUUCAUCCAUCUCAUUAAGGUCUAAGCAUCUCUUCAUCCCAGCUCUGUUCAAGUCCAUGUUUACCUUCUUAAUUGCCCACCAAGCCUUAUAUUCAACUUCCACAGGGAGAUGGCAUGUUUUGCCAUAGACUAGGCGAUAAGGAGACAUGCCAAGAAUAGUCUUGUAAGUUGUUCUGUAUGCCCAUAGUGAAUCAUGGAGCUUAACAUACCAAUCUCUUCUGCUCGUGUUCACCACCUUCAUCAAUAUAUUCUUGAUUUCCGUAUUUGCUAACUCAACUUGCCCAGAAGUCUGAGGGUGGUAAGGUGUAGCUACCUUGUGCUUCACCCCAUACUUGGCUAAGAGAGUUUCAAAAGGCUUGUUGCAAAAAUGAGUACCUCUAUCACUGAUUAUGACCUUGGGCACCCUAAAUCUUGAGAAGAUGUUCUCGUUGAGAAACUUGAGAACAACUCUGUGGUCAUUUUGUUUACACGGGAUUGCCUCAACCCAUUUAGAAACAUAGUCUACCCCCACCAAAAUGUAAGAGUUACCAAAAGACAUAGGGAAAGGUCCCAUGAAGUCAAUGCCCCAAACAUUGAAAAGAUCAACUAUAAAAUGGGGUUCAUAAGCAUUUGGUUCCUACGUGUUAACUUCCUAAGCCUUUGGCAUCUAUCACAGCUCCUGCACAUGGCGUGAGCAUCUUUGAAAAGUGAUGGCCAACUGAAACUUGAUUGCAACACUUUCAUGGCUAUUUUCUAAUAGGCAAAGUGGCCUCCACAUGAGCUUUCGAGGCAAUGACUGAGGAUCCCCUGUUGCUCUUGUUUAGGGACACACUUCCUUAUUAUUCGAUAUGCACAAUACUUGAAAAGGAAAGGUUAUUCCCAAUAGUAGGCAUGAAUUUUUGUAAAGAAGUGCUUCCUAUCUUGUGCUAUCCACUCACUUGGAAUUUCACCAGUAACUAGAUAGUUAGCAAUAUGAGCAUACCAAGGAGUAUCUUCUAACAACAUGAGUGACUCCUUCAGAAAAUCAUCAUUAAUAGGUAAACCAUGGGAAUUAUGCGAUAUAGCCAGCCUAGAAAGGUGGUCAGCUACCACAUUCUCCACUCAUUUCUUGUCUUUGAUUUGGAGAUUGAACUCUUGCAGUAAGAGAAUCCAUCUAAUCAGCCUUGCUUUUGCAUCUUGCUUUGUCAAUAAGUACUUCAAAGCUGAGUGGUCAGUGAAAACCACAAUGAAAGACCUUACCAGAUAAGCACGAAAUUUGUCCACGGCAAAAACUACAGCCAACAAUUCUUUCUCUAUGGUUGUGUAGUUUCUUUGCGCUUCAUUCAAUGUUUUACUUGCAUAGUAGAUCACAUAGGGCUUUCCAUCAUCUCUUUGACCAAGAACAACUCCUAUAGCAAAGUCACUGGCAUCACACAUCACUUCAAAAAGUAGUUGCCCGUUAGGAGCCCUUACUAUUGGAGCGAUUGUCAAGAACUGCUUCAGUUGCUCAAACCUCUUUCGAUAUCUUUCAUCCCAUACAAAUUUAGCAUCCUUCAGUAAUAGUUCACAAAGAGGCUUUGAAAGUUUAAAGAAAUCUUUAAUAAACCUCCUGUAGAACCCAACAUGGCUAAGGAAUUGCCUCACUCCUUUUACAGUUGUUGGGGAUGGCAAUUGAUUACUACUCAAAAAGUGAUAUUUCAUAGCUUGUAAUUAACUCUUUUAAACACUUUUGAGUAGUAUUUAUUACCUUUUAACUCAAUUGGCAUGUUAAGGACCCUUGCAAUCAAUUCUAAUCAAAUUGUGUUAAGUUUUGGUGUUUUGAUAGCUUUUUUAUCACCAAAGCAAUCCAAGAUUGAGGAGAGUUCUUUGGAAUCCAUGGCAAAGCAAUGGAAAGCUCAGAAACAUGAAUAACCAAAGCUUUGAAGUCCUUUGCCAUAAGCAAAUCCGGAAUGCAAGGAGGGAAAGCAAAGAGAAAUCUGCCAUGAAGCAUUCUUGAUGACAGUCAUGUUAGCCACUUUUGGAGCACUUCCUGGAGUCCAAUUUAUGCAUGCUAUAUGUCGUUUCGAAGCUCAGGAAGUCAACAAUCCAAUGCUUCGAAAUGAAAUGAAGGAGUUAUAGCCAUUGGAAGCCGAUCACUCCAAGCUGAAGGAAGAAUUUUGAACGGCUGCGAAAUCACCCUUUUGCUGCGAAAUGAUUUCGCAACCAUUUUGCACAGUGCAACAAAAUUUCUCCUGAAGUUUCCCGAUAUUUGCGACCGACACUUUUGGAUAUUUUGCUUCAGAUUUUUGAUGUCUAAAUCCCCAUUUUCUCCUUGUAACCCACCAAUUAUAGGAUUCCUUAGUUAUUAAGUUUGGAAAAUGGGUGAAUAACCUCAGAUAUUUUGUUUUGUAAUUUUCUUUAUAUAUAGCUCUCGGGAGCUUGUUCUCAGAGCAUCAUGUAAUCCAACGGGAUAUAGAUAUAUAAAUAUAUAGAAUAUACAGAGCCUUGCUCUGUUUUUCCUUCUUUUUCAUUUUCUUUUUCUUUCUAGCCAACCAAACUCUGAGGAUUUUUCCUCAGAGAAUGAGAGGCUAGGCUUUUCGUCUCUUGGAGUGAGGAAAGCCGGGUAAGUUUCCGAAUGCAAAAUUGGAAGUUUUGUUGUUUUAGUUUUUAAUGAAGAGAAAGUGUGACCCGUUCAUGGUUUUUAUUUUUUUAGUUAACUUAAAACGCCUUUAAAUCACCUAGGCCAACACUUGGUAAGGCAAGUGAUCUCCGUCCAUGGAGAUUCACUAGUUUAUCUCUUGCGAGCCUUUGGGAGGUGGUUUGAAGGUAGGAUUUUCUAGAAUAGCCAACACUUGGUAAGCUUUUGGACUCCAAGGAGACAUCCAUUAGUUAUCUCUUGCGAGCUUUUGACGGGUAAUCCAAGGUUAAAGAUCACCUUGAAUGGCAAGUGCUAGGUGAGAGGUAUGAGCCAUUGCAAGGUGCAUCAGUGAGAGGGAUUUAGUGUUUGAACCCAUUAAUGGGAAGCAUCUGUACAAUACCGGUUGGAGAAGGAACUAUAUGUUAAUUCUCUAAUGCAAGGAAAAGAAACAAGUGACCGGAACUCCCUUUUUGUAUGAGGAAUCUGAGCCUAGUGAUCUGAAACUCCAAGAAAUACUUUUCUUUGUAGUUAAAAUCAGUUACUAUUUUUGGUUAGCUUAAAACCAACCUUUUCAACCAAUGAUUAUGUUUUCUUUUAAAGCUAACCUUGAAAUGAAAAGGCACCAAUUCACUUUGAAUUAAUAUCAUUUGUGAAGUGAAAACCCAUCCCAGUGAACGAUCCUAGAGCCACUAUGCUAUAGUAGCUUUGUCUUUGCUACCCUAGUUCAUGGUGUAAUAGGUUAUAAAUUUUGUUGAUUACUCCCUCAAUCAAGGAGCACCAGCUGGACACGAAUCAGCUGAGACACCAAUUGGGCAUGAAUCAAAUGGCGUCGUUGCCGGGGAUGGUGCCACUUUACAAUGAUAUCACCUUUUCAGAGUACUUGUGAUCUUUAUCACAAGUUUGGUGACUUUUCUUUUCUCUUUACUAACUCUUUUUAUUUGUUUCUUUUUCUUUGUUCAUAUUUUAGUAUAGUUUUUAUUUAGUUUUUAGUUAAUCUUAAGAAUUUUUUUUUUGUUCUCUAUAAUUUUUGUUUCUUUUGUUUUGUUUUGUUUUCUCUGUUUUUUAUGCUCAAAUUGCUAGUUGUGCAUGCCAUAUUGAAUACGAGAUAGCAGAGGAAGCUAUGAAUUUCAUGAAUUAUGUGGCUGAAGUUUCAAGAGGAUGUGAUGAACCAAAUGCUAGAGAUAUGGGAAGAAUGACGUCUCAACCUAAUGCUAAGGGUGAGAUGUAUAUUUUGAAUGAUGACAUAGACAUGAAGGCAAAGAUUGCAGCUAUGGCAAGGAGAUUGGAAGAGCUAGAAAUGAAGAAGAUGCAAGAAGUGCAAGCCAUCUCUCAGACACCAUUGCAAGCUAUGCCUUGUGCCAUUUGUCUAUCUUAUGAGCACUUGGUGGAAGAGUGUCCUAUCAUUCCAACGGUGAGAGAAAUGUUUGGUGAUUGCAACACCUACAAUUCCAAUUGGAGGGACCAUCCAAAUUUCUCUUGGAAACCACAACUGUCUCAGUACAAGCAACAUGUUCAAGCACUUCCGCAAGCCUCAAACCUUGAACAAGCUAUGGUGAAUCUUAGCAAGGUCGUGGGAGACUUUGUUGGAGCUCAAAAAUCUAUCAAUGCUCAUCUCAGUCAAAGAAUUGACAGUGUAGAGAGUUCAUUGAACAAAAAGAUGGAUGGAAUACAAAAUGAUCUAUCUCAGAAGAUAGAUAAUCUCCAAUAUUCAAUCUCAAGGUUUGCCAACCUCAACACAAUGCAAGAGAAAGAAAACUCUCUUUCUCAACCUCAUCAAAAUUCCAAGGGUAUCCAUGAAAUGGAGGCUAAGGAGGGAGAACCUUCACAAAAGAGGGAAGUCAAAGAAGUGAUCACUCUGAGGAGUGGUAAAGAGGUUGAUAUGCCCACAUCCAAGCUAGAGCAUAUGGUAGAGAAUGAAACAGAGAAAGAAAAGAGGGAGGAAAUCAAAGGAAAGAAAAUGGGGAAAAGUAUAGAGAAAGAUGACUAUGAUUUUAAUAUAGAAGGAGAACCACAGAGGAUAGUCAUCAAGGAAGAAUUGAUGAAGAAACACAUGCCUCCACUUUUCCUCCAAGCUUUGUAUGGCAAAAUCAUACAGAGCAAGUCUCAAGUGAGAGAUGCAAACUUCAUAUGGGAUCCGAGCAAGCUGAACCAAGGAUCAGAUUUUUUGAUGGACUUAGUCUUUUUAAAGACUAGCUAGUCCAUAUCUUUUUGUUUUAUUUAUUACUUGUUUUAAUUUUGAUUUCAAUGCUUUAAUUCUAAUUUGUUUUGAUGUAAUAUAGGUUUUUGGAUGAUCAAAAUCAAGAGGAAUGUCAAAAGAAGUGAAAGAAGGAAGUUGGGAAUCAAGAGGAGCUCAAAAGCAUAAAAAUUCAGUGGUUUGUGAAAUUUCGCAACCAAAAAUAGCCCCCUGCGAAAUCGCCACUUUGUUGCGAAAUUAUUUCGCAGCCCCAAGAAGUCGCUGCGAAAACGCCACUUUGCUGCGAAAUGAUUUCGCAGCCCCAUGCUCCCCUCUGCGAAAAUUUUCACAGCUGCGAAACCACCUCUUGGCACACGAGUGCCAUUUCGCAACCUCAUACCCUCAUUUCGCAGCUGCGAAAUGGCCGCAAAAUCUCCAAAGCGUAAAAACUCCCACUUUUCGCAGCCAAAGCCUCAUUCCGCAAGGAGUUUCGCAACUGAGAAACCAUUCUUUGGCACACGAGUGCCAUUUCGAAGCCCCGUACACUCAUUUUGCAGCUGUGAAAUGGUUGCGAAAUCCUCCAUGCCUUAAAAUCCUUCAGCGCGCACACCAUGAAGCCGCACCCCCAUUUCGGCAACUAUUGGACACAUUUAGAUCACUUCCUGAAGUCCAUUUCAUGCAUAAAAUCUGUCAUUUCAAAUCUUGGGAAGUCAGGAGUCCAACGCUUCAAACGGUGCUCAAUUUGGAGUUGAAACGAAGAAGUUAUGGCUGUUUAAGACGAACACGCAAAGCUAAGCGAAAAUUUCGCAGCCAAAGCCCCAUUUCGCAGGGUGUUUCGCACACGAGUGCCUUUGGCACACGAGUGCCAUUUCGCAGCCACCCAACCCCAUUUCGCAGCUAUGAAAUGGGCUGCGAAAAUGGCACCCGGCCGCGAAAAUCCCAUUUGGUUGCGAAAUGUUUUCACAGCCCCAUAGCUACCCCCUGCCAAAUCCUCCAUUUGCUGCGAAAAUGGUUGUUUGUUGCCAAAUGAUUUUCAAACUUCCAAAUGGCUAUGAAAUGAUCUCCAAGCUUUGAAAUGGUUGUGAAAUGAUUUUCAAGCUUCAAAAUGGGUUGCGAAAAUGUUUCUAUUUUUUCCAUGGGCUGCAAAAAUGUUUUUCUUUUUUCCCUUUGGCUGCAAAAUGAUCUCCAAACUAUGAAAUGACCUCCAUGCUAUAAAAAUGACUUGCAAAAUGAAGAGAGGUUUGCAAAAACACUUUGAAAAGCCAAGGGAAGUUCCGAAAAUGCCAACAUAGCCCCGCAACCAUGCAUCUAAAGAGGAGAGCCCUCUCACUAAGAUCACACACAUGAAGCCUCUCACUCCAUUUCUGACCUCCUUAAACCAUUAGAGCCCAUAGCUCCAGCUAAGGAGACUAUGCCACCUAAGGAGACUACCAGAACAGAGGCCAAAGUCCUGAUCCAACCCAUUCAAGAGGCCACCACAGAUGCAUCAGCUCCAUAGGACCUUACCAUUACUUGAUCAUCUCUUUAUUUUUUGUCUUUACAUAUUAUAUUAGUAUAAAUAAUUCCAUAUUUUGAUGUCUUAUAUUCUGAGAUUGGAUGUAUUACUAAUGAUGCAUCAUAUAUAGACAUCAUUUUUGUUAAAACUUAGCGUUUUUCUAUUUCCUCUACUCACUAACUCUUAUGUUUUCUUUGAAACAUGUGGUUUCUCCUAUACGACUCAGACUCCAUGUCACUCAGGAGGUACCACUUCCUCCCUAUUUUUCAAUCGCUUUUGUCACAUUGAGGACAAUGUUCAGCUUGGUUGGGGGGAGAGUUGAGGAAGUAAGUAUUGUUAAUAAUGCUAAGUUAUUUUGGUAAUUUAGUUGUUUUUUGCUUAAUUUUUUUUUAAAAAAAAUUUUAAAGUUUUUAUUCUACUCUCCAUGGUUAUUAAGGAAAAAUUUUCAAAAUAAAAAGGGAGAAAUUGAAUUUUUGUCUUUUUACUUGACUUAGAUUUUGUAUUAUGCUUACUAAAGUUGAUGAAUUGUUGAAACUUCUAUUGAAUUCAACCUUAGUUCUUCCACUUUAAGCUAUUCACACACUGUGCACAAUAGGUUCCGAGUAUAAGAUGAAAAACUAUUUCCCUCUUGACUUAGGAAAAUUUUAGACUUGGUACCUUUGACCUCAUUUAAUAGUGUUGGGACACCUUGUAAAAGGCCAAUGAGUAUUUGAAAAGAAAGAAAGAAAGAAAGAAAAAUGUUUGCUUGCCUUGAAACCCGAGCAAGGUCUGAGGGGUAUAUGGUGAAAAUCUUUAAAACCUGGUGCCCUAAGCCUUAAUUGGUUGGGAGUCACCGACCUCAAUGCUCGUUACAUGGGUGAAUAGGUGGAGUUUAACAUACUGUAGGUGCUUGGGUAUUAAAAAUUCAUUCUCAAAAGUCCGGGGUAAAAUCCGAGGAGUUAGUGGUUUAAAGAUCUUUAAAGCUUGAUGCCCUAAACCUUAAUUGGUUGGGAGUCAUCGAUAGACCCCCGUUACAUGGACAAUUUAGAAAAAAUACCUUUAAGCCUUGUACUCCUACAAUGAAAAAAAUUGUGAAAAAAGAGGUGCGUUCUUAGCCUAUUGGAGGUUCAUCAGUUUGCUAAGCUUUGAAAAAGAACUAGGUUGGGGGGAGAGAUUAGUUCAACAUACUAUAUUCGGAAGCUAAUAAGUAAUACUUAGAUUUUUGUGGAAGAGUAAGGUUUGAUCCUUUGGAAGUGGAAAUGAUUUUAAAGCUUAAAUUUGCAUAAUGCCUUCUCUUUAAGAAUUGUGAUUAGACAAGUUAUUUGAUAACUCUUGUUGAAGUUUGAGUUUUAUUUCUUUAAUGUUCCAUGUGAGAGUUAGAUCAUCAUGCCACUUGGAAAUUGUUUUUUGAUCAGCAUGAUGUUGUAAAUUAUAGUACUUUUUAUUUUUAUUUUUUCUCUCCUUCAUUGCUAAGGGACUAGCAAUAUGUCGGUUGGGGGGAGUGAUUACUACUCAAAAAGUGCUAUUUCAUAGCUUGUAAUUAACUCUUUUAAAUACUUUUGAGUAGUAGUUAUUACCUUUUAACUCAAUUGGCAUGUUAAGGACCCUUGCAAUCAAUUCUAAUCAAAUUGUGUUAAGUUUUGGUGUUUUGAUAGCUUUUUUAUCACCAAAGCAAUCCAAGAUUGAGGAGAGUUCUUUGGAAUCCAUGGCAAAGCAAUGGAAAGCUCAGAAACAUGAAUAACCAAAGCUUUGAAGUCCUUUGCCAUAAGCAAAUCCGGAAUGCAAGGAGGGAAAGCAAAGAGAAAUCUGCCAUGAAGCAUUCUUGAUGACAGUCAUGUUAGCCACUUUUGGAGCACUUCCUGGAGUCCAAUUUAUGCAUGAUAUAUGUCGUUUCGAAGCUCAGGAAGUCAACAAUCUAAUGCUUCGAAAUGAAAUGAAGGAGUUACAGCCAUUGGAAGCCGAUCACUCCAAGCUGAAGGAAGAAUUUUGAACGGCUGCAAAAUCACCCUUUUACUGCGAAAUGAUUUCGCAGCCAUUUUGCACAGUGCAACGAAAUUUCUCCUGAAGUUUCCCGAUAUUUGCGACCGACACUUUUGGAUAUUUUGCUUCAGAUUUUCGAUGUCUAAAUCCCCAUUUUCUCCUUGUAACCCACCAAUUAUAGGAUUCCUUAGUUAUUAAGUUUGGAAAAGGGGUGAAUAACCUCAGAUAUUUUGUUUUCUAAUUUUCUUUAUAUAUAGCUCUCGGGAGCUUGUUCUCAGAGCAUCAUGUAAUCCGACGGGAUAUAGAUAUAUAAAUAUAUAGAAUAUACAUAGCCUUGCUAUAUUUUUCCUUCUUUUUCAUUUUCUUUUUCUUUCUAGCUAACCAAACUCUGAGGAUUUUUCCUUAGAGGAUGAGAGGCUAGACUUUUCGUCUCUUGGAGUGAAGAAAGCCGGGUAAGUUUCCGAAUGCAAAAUUGGAAGUUUUGUUGUUUUAGUUUUUAAUGAAGAGAAAGUGUGACCCGUUAAUGGUUUUUAUUUUUUUAGUUAACUUAAAACACCUUUAAAUCAUCUAGGCCAACACUUGGUAAGGCAAGUGAUCUCCGUCCAUGGAGAUUCACUAGUUUAUCUCUUGCGAGCCUUUGGGAGGUGGUUUGAAGGUAGGAUUUUCUAGAAUAGCCAACACUUGGUAAGCUUUUAGACUCCAAGGAGACAUCCAUUAGUUAUCUCUUGUGAGCUUUUGACGGGUAAUCCAAGGUUAAAGAUCACCUUGAAUGGCAAGUGCUAGGUUAGAGGUAUGAGCCAUUGCAAGGUACAUCAGUGAGAGGGAUUUAGUGUUUGAACCCAUUAAUGGGAAGCAUCUGUACAACACCGGUUGGAGAAGGAACUAUAUGUUAAUUCUCUAAUGCUAGGAAAAGAAACAAGUGAUCGAAACUCCCUUUUUGUAUGAGGAAUCUGAGCCUAGUGAUCUGAAACUCCAAGAAAUACUUUUCUUUGUGGUUAAAAUCAGUUACUAUUUUUUGUUAGCUUAAAACCAACCUUUUCAACCAAUGAUUAUGUUUUCUUUUAAAGCUAACCUUGAAAUGAAAAGGCACCAAUUCACUUUAAAUGAAUAUCAUUUGUGAAGUGAAAACCCAUCCCAGUGAACGAUCCUAAAGCCACUAUGCUAUAGUAGCUUUGUCUUUGCUACCCUAGUUCAUGGUGUAAUAGGUUAUAAAUUUUGUUGAUUACUCUCUCAAUCAAGGAGCACCAGCUAGACACGAAUCAGCUGAGACACCAAUUGGGCACGAAUCAGCAAUUUGACAAUAAGUUCCACCUUUGCUUUAUCAACUUCAAUGCCUUUCUUGGAGAUGAUGUGGCCAAGGACAAUUCCUUGUUGUACCAUAAAAUGGCAUUUCUCCUACUUAAGCACUAAGUCUUUUUCAAUGCAUCGGUUUAGAACAACUUCCAAGUUGACUAAACAUUCCUCAAAUGUGCUUCCAUAUAUGGUUAUAUCAUCUAUAAAAACUACCGUAAUACGCUCCACCAUAUCACUGAAAAUGCUUAACAUACAUCAUUGGAAUGUUGCAGGUGCAUUGCAUAAACCAAAAGACAUUCUUCUAUAGGCAUAUGUUCCAAAUGGACAUGUGAAAGUGGUUUUCUCCUAGUCUUUAACAUCAAUUUCUAUUUGAAAAUACCCGGAGAAGCCAUCUAAGAAACAAUAGAAAGGAUGGCCUGAGACUCUCUCCAACACUUGAUCAAUAAAUGGCAAUGGAAAAUGAUCAUUCCUUGUCACAACAUUCCAUUUUCUAUAAUCAAUACACACCCUCCAACCUGAAGUGAGGUGUGUAGCAACUUCUUCUCCCUUAUCAUUUUGCACCAUUGUGAUCUCUGAUUUCUUUGGCACUACUUGAGUAGGACUCACCCAUGGGCUAUCUUAUAUGGGGUAGAUAAUACCAGCCUGAAGUAGCUUAAGAACUUCAACUUGCACCACCUCUUGCAUAUGAGGAUUCAAUCUUCUUAAAGGUUGACGAAUUGACUUAGUUUCUUCUUCUAUGUAUAUAUGAUGCGUACAGACUAAAGGGUUGAUACCUUUCAAGUCAGAUAUUUGCCAUCCUAUUGCUUUCUUACAUCUCCUGAGAACUUCAAGUAAACACUCCUCCUAAGGAGUGGUAAGAGAUGAAGAUAUAACAACAGGGCACUUCGUAUUCUUUUCUAGGUAUGGAUACUUCAACUCCGUGGGUAAUGGCUUUAAACUAAGCUUUGGGGCCUCCUCUUUAACAGCUUCUUGUAUCUCCUCCUCAUUGAACAAAGGUAGAAUUUCUUCUAUCCUCCUCCAACCUGGUAGAGUAGUAAGCAAAUCUGAGGGUUCAAGCAACCCUUCAUCAAGAUCCCUAAGACUUUCAUUCAAUUUCUUUUGUACUUUCUGAUUACAAUGCUCCUUCACUAAAGUGUCAAUGAUGCACACCUCUUCUAGACCUUCUUCUUCCAACUUGAUUGGCUUCUUGGACAUAUAGUAGAUAUUGAGUUCCAAUGUCAUGUUCCCAAACGUGAGUUGCAUGAGUCCAUUCCUACAAUUGAUGAUUGCAUUUGAUGUAGCUAGGAAUGGUCUUCCAAGUAUGAUAGAAACAUAAUUAGUUUCCUUGACAAUUGGGUCCGUAUCAAGAACAAAAAAAUCCAUUGGAUAGUAGAAAUUGUCAACUUGAACUAAGACAUCUUCAAUCAUCUCUAUUGGAAUCUUCCCUUGUCUAUCUGCUAGAGAUAGAGUGAUUGAUGUUGGCUUCAAUUCACCAAGUUCCAAUUGCUUGUAGACAGAGUAUGGUAGCAAAUUCACACUUGCCCCCAAGUCCAACAAAGCUUUCUCCAAUAAAGUCCCUCCAAUCAUCACUGAGAUGGUAGGGCAGCCCGAAUCUUUGUACUUCACUGGAGACUUGCACUGUAUGAUGGCACUUACUUGCUCAGUCAAGAAGGUUUUCUUAUUCACAUUCAACCCUCUUUUGAUAGUGCACAAGUCCUUCAAGAAAUUUUCAUAAGUCGGCACUUGUUUGAUCAUGUCUAGCAAUGGGAUGUUGACCUUCACUUGCCUCAAUACUUCAAGAAUUUCUGAUGCAUUGCUGAUUCCCUUUUUCCCAUGCAAAGCUUGAGGAAAAUGUGGAGGCAUGUAUUUCUUCAUCACAUCUCCAUUGAUAACUAUCUUCUCUGGAUCUUCAUUCACUGUUGAAUCAUGGUCUUCUUUCCUUCCACUACUUCCUUUCUUAUUUCCUUUUAUUUCCUCCUUCUUCUCUAUCUCUUUUUCACUCUUUGUUUCAUCAUGUGGCUUGGGUGUUGGUAGCUCAACCUCUUUACCACUCCUCAAAGUGAUCAUGGCUUUGAUGUCUCUCACCUGUGAAGAUUCUCCCUCAUGAGCUUCCACUUCAUGGAUACCCUUAGGGUUUUGGUGAGGUUGAGAAGGAAACCUUCCCUUCUCUUGCACUGUGUUAAGGUUGGUGAGCCUUGAGAUUGAGUAUUGGAGAUUAUCUAUCUUCUGAGAUAAAUUUUUUUGCAUUCCAUCCAUCCUUUUAUUCAAUGUAUUCUCUACACUAUCAAUUCUUUGAUUGAGUUGAGCAUUGAUGGAUUUCUGGCCUCCAACAAAAUCUCCCACGACCUUGCUUAGAUUCACUAUUGCUUGCUCAAGAUUGGAAGCUUGUUGAGAUGCUUGGCCUGGUUACAUGUACUGAAGUGCUCUUAGUUUCCAAGAGAAAUUUGGAUGGUUCCUCCAAUUUGAAUUGUAGGUAUUUCCAUAUGAAGCAUUGUUAUUGGGCUUGAAUUGUCCAAUGAUAUUCGCUUGAUCUCCAAACAUUUCUCUAACAACUGGAAUUGUAGGACACUCCUCCACCAAGUGCUCAUAAGAUUGACAAAUGGAACAAGGCAUAACUUGCAUUGGUGUUUCAAAAACAGCUUGCACUUCACGUAUCUUUUUCAGUUUUAGCUCCUCCAAUCUUCUUGUCAUAACUCCAACUUUUGCUUUCAUGUCAAUAUCUUCAUUCAAGGUAUACAUCCCAGCCUUAGCAUUAAGAGCAUUUGGUUGAGACUUCAUUUUUCCCACUUCUCCCUUGUUCGGUUCAUCCCAUCCUCUUGAAACUUCAGCAACAUAAUUCAAGAAAUCCAUGGCUUCCUCUGGAUUCUUACUCAUGAAAUCUCCUCUACACGUAGUCUCUAGGAGUUGCUUCAUUGAGGAAGACAUACCGUCAUAAAAGUAGCUUACCAAUAGCCAUGUAUCAAAGCCAUGGUGAGGAUAAGCAUUGAUAGCUUCCAUGUAUCUCUCCCAACACUCAGAAUUUCUCAUUCUCUUUAGCUAAGAAGUUUGAAAUUUGCCUUUUCAAGCCAUUGGUCCUAUGAGUAGGAAAAAAUUUCUUGAGAAAUUUAGCUUGCAAAUUAGUCCAAGUUCAGAUAUUCCUUGGCCUUAAAGAAUUAAGCCAAAUCUUGGCCUUAUCCUUCAAAGUGAAAGAAAAUAGCUUUAGCCUCAUCAAGUCAAUUGAAGCUUCUGCCUCUUGGAAUGUAUUACAAACAUCUUCAAAUUCUUUGAUAUGCGCGUAGGGAUUCUCACUUUCCAUCCCAUGGAAAGUAGGUAGAAGUGGCACAAUAUGCAGUCUGAUUACUAGCUGCUCUGUAAGAGGCACUAUGCAUGAUGAUGCACUCAUACGAGGUGGACGCAUGCGGUCCCUCAUUGAUCUGAAUGCAUUGGGAUUGUCCUGUUGACCAUGGUGACUAUGCUAAUCUUCAGGUGUAGCUUCCAUGAUGUUCAAGCACAAUUCCAACUCUGUUUAGUGAGGUGUUUCAAUUUUUACAAGUCUUCCUCCACUAUCUCGUAUCCAAUAUGGCAUACACAACUAGUAACAACUGUAACAAAAACAAAGAAAACAAAAGAAAACAAUACUACAAAAAAAAAAAACUAAGAUUAACUAAAAACUAAAUUAAAAGAUAGGCUAAAAUAUGAACAAGUAAAAGAAACAAUUAAAAAUAGUUAGUAAAAGAAAAGAAAAAUCACCAAACUUGUGAUGAAGAUCACAAGUGUUUUGGAAAAGGUUAUAUCACUGUAAAUUUGGCACCAUCCUCGGCAACGGCGCCAUUUGAUUCGUGCCCAGCUGGUGUAUGCCUUGUUGAUUGGUGUUCAAUCAACUGGUGUACUAUGAUUUCGGUCCUCAGAUGGGAGUAAUCAACAAAAUUUGUAAACCUAUUUCCCCAUAUACUAGGGUAGCAUUAGCUAGCAUAGCAUAGUGGCUCUAGGAUCGUCCACAGGGAUGGGUUUUGAAAUUACAACUGAUAUUAGUUCAAAAACUGAAUUGGUGCUUUUUUUUUUUCAAGGUUAGCUUUAAAAGAAAACAUAAAUAUGUUUGAAAAGGUUGGUUUUAAGUGAAACCAAAAAUAAAGUAACUGAAAUUACUUACAAAGAAAACUGCUUCUUGAAGUUUUAGAUCACCAGGCUCAAGUUCGUCAUACAAAAAAGGAUAUUUCGGUCACUUGGAUCUUUUCCUCGCAUUGAGGAUUUAACAUAUAGUUAUUUCUCGAACCGGUGUGGUACAGAUGCUUCCCCUUAAUGGUUUCAAACACUAAAUCCCUGUCACUGAAUCAUCUUGCAAUGGUUCAUACCUCUCACCUAGUAUUGGCCAUUCAGGGUGAUCCUUAACCUUGGCCGUCAAAAGCUCACAAGAGAUAACUAAUGGAUGUCUCCUGGGAGUCCAAAAGCUUACCAAGUGUUGGCUAUUCUAGAUAAUCCUACCUUUAAACCACCUCCCAAAGGCUUGCAAGAGAUAAACUAGUGUAUCUCAAUGGACGGAGACCACUUGCCUUACCAAGUGUUGGCCUAGGUGAUUUUAAGGGAUUUUAAGUUAACUAAAAAGAUAAAAACCAUUAAUGGGUCACACUUUCUCUUCAUUAAAAACUAAAAUAACAAAACUUCCACUUUUGCAUUUGGAACCUUACCUAGCUUCCUUCACUCUAAGAAAUAAAAAGCCUAGCCACUCAUCCUCUGGGAAAACAUCAUCAGAGUUCAAUUUGCUAGAAAUAAAAAUAACAAGAAAACAAAAUGAGAAGGUAAGGUGGAGCAAAGCUCUGUGUAUUACUUUCUAAAAAACUAUACAAAGUGUUGUCUUUGAGAAAAACUCCUAAGAGAUCCUUUUAAAAGAAAAAUUACAAUAGAUAUUAUAUAGAGAGGCUAUUCACCCCUCCUACUAACUUCCCAACCAAGAAAACUUGUCAUUGGUGGGUUACAAGGACAAAAUAGGGAUUUACACACAAAUAUCUGAAGAUAAAUAUCAAACGGAGUCGGUGUGCAAAUAUCUCAAAUUACAGGUGGAUUUCGUAAGUUCAAAUGCAACUUGCGAAAAUUUCGCAAGUUGAAAUUAUCCGUUUCGCAAGUUGCGUAAUUGUCCUGCAACUUAUCAGCUCUAUGUCGUGCAGCGAUUCCUUUCCUCUUUCUAUUUCGCAAGUUGGAUUCCAUAACUUGCGAAAUUGUCCAACUUGCGAAAUUGCUGCAUGGUUGAUUUCUUCUGUGCUUUUCUUCCUUGCAUCCUCAUUUGAUUUUGGAAAAGGGUUAUGAAGCUCCAAAGCUUAGUUUCUUCAGGAAUUUGAGCUUCAACUUGCUUUGCCAUGAACUAUACAAAGAUCUCCCUCAUUCUUGGAUUGCUUUGGUGAUAGAAAAAAGCUAUCAAAAAUACCAAAACUUAACACAAUUUGAUUAGAAACGAUUGAAAGGGUCCUUAACAUGCCAAUUGAGUUAAAAGAUAAUAACUACUACUCAAAAGUGUUUAAAAGAGUUAAUUACAAGCUAUAAAAUAACACUUUUUGAGUAGUAAUCACUCAAGCAAGGAGAAGUGAUCAACCCACCAAAGUGGGCUUGAGAGGUAAUGAAUUUUCAGCCAAGAUUCUUUCACAUAAAUUUGAUUUGGAAGUCUUUUAAAACCAAACCUCUUUGAGAUUUAAUUCUAUAUAUACCUCCUUAUAAUCCCUUAAGGGUUAGAGAUCGAAAAGAGAUCAUAAAGAGUUUAAAGAGAUUUCAAAAUGGAGUCUCCUAGAGUGAAAGCCUAAAGGGCCACAACAUUCAUAAUCUCUCAUUCAAGGAUUUGAUAUUUGAAUCUUGGUUUGAAGACCUUCAUCCCUUCAACAAGGCUGAAGUGUAUUCAUUGGAGCAAUCAGAGGUUGCUACAUCGUGGAUGUGGUUCAAGUUGUAGGUACUGAAGAGCAAGUCUUUAGGGUAAAGGAGCCAGGUAAAUCUGUGUAACUUGAUUUCAUAUAAUGGGUUUAGAUUACUGGGUCUUAGACCUCGUGGUUUUUUAUCUCCAUAGUUAAUGUGGGGGGUUUUCCAUGUAAAAAUUCGAUGCCCAUUGCAUAUCUGUUAAUGUCAUUGCUAUAUCUUUGAAUACUUGAUUAUCAUUGUUAUCCCUAACAACUUGUAGGUUAUCCCUAAUAGAUUAAAAUUAUAUUUUAAUUCUUAAAGAUUUCAAGUAUAAUUCAUUUGGUUAUACAAGGUAUCCUUGGGAUCUCUUAGGAUAAAAUUUGAGGAUCAUAUAUAUAAAUAUUUAUUUUGAAUUUUAAAAACACCCAUUCAUCCACCCUUUGGGUGUUCCCUAUUGGAGUUUCGAUUUUUUAUGGGUGAUCCUAAAUUAAGGAAUUACUAAAAGGUUGUGAUUUUGGUAGUAUUUAAUGGAAUAAAUUCUUAUGAAGUUUUCAUGAGAGUAUUUAUUAAAUUGGAAAGGUGCAUGGACAAGGAGAGUAAAUUUGUGAGGAAUUUUAAAUAUGAGAGAAAUAUUUCCUUUAGUGGAUAAGGUGCUCUCAAGAUUUUCAAAAUCUCAUAAAUUGUUAAUUUCCUUAUUUCACUAGAGUUUCCAAUUUGGAAAUUUUCAUUAGAGAUAAUUUAUCAUUAAAAGAUUAUUACCAAAAGGCUUAGUAAUUUGAUGGAAAUAAUUUUUUUUUGAAACAUUUCCAAGAUAAAAUAUUUAUUAAUUGGAUUUGUGUAAGAGAAAGAGAAUUCAUUCUAUUAUUACACUAGGUUUCCAAUUAUGAAAUAAAUAUUUUUGGAAAUUCUCAAAAAUAGAUAAUUUAUUCAUCAAAGUAAUUACUAAGGAUUUAAAAUGUUUUUAUCUAUCUUAAAAUAUUAAGUGGGAGAGGGUUCUAAGCAAGCCCACGACCUCCAUUGUCAAGCCCAUUUUGAUUUGGGUUCAUCACCACCCUUUCAAGAUGUAUUGGAAAAAAGAACUAGAUUGUGUAAUGAUGCACAAAAAAGAAUACAUGCCUAAAAUAUAUGAUCCUUUCUUGAGUAGACCAUAUCAUGGAACAAUAAAAAAAAAUGUUUUCACCUUCAAUCAUAAAUGACACUUCUAGAGAAAAUUAUAUUAGACAUGUUUGCAGUGGGAGUGACCACCGCUUCAAUGAGGUUCUUUACUUGGUGACAUUGAUAGUUCAAGAACAAUGGUUAUACACUUGACAUUGCAUAUGAAGUAGUAGAAUCACCCCCAUGCGGUCCUGUUUGCAUUGUCCAUAGGCCAAAUUUAGAAAGUAUGUUGAUCUUACCUUUAUAUACCUUCAUGUUUAAGAUAGGAAGAUCGAUUUGAGAGGGUCUCUAACUAGUAAUAAUGUCAUGAUAUGCCCUACGUAAGCUUGAUUCUUAUGAUACUAGGAUACUUUUCAAAAGGACAUGUAGUUUGAGAGCACUAGAUUUUUGCUAAAUUAAUUACCAAUUGCCUUGAAUGCACAAUUAUGUCAUAUGCAUGGUUAUUUUCUUUGUUACAUAUAUCAUAUUGGUUAUUUAUUAUCACUUUGGACAAAACCCAACUAAUCAUUUGGACUUAGUAUUAUUCUAGAUAUAAUAACUAUGUACUUGCAUAGAAGCUAGUUUAAGUAGAGCUAGCUAAUCCUUAUGAAUAACCUAGCAAAAAAAAAGAGUGGCGUAUCAGAGGUGGUAUUAGAAGAGUUAGAAAACCAAGUGUUUAAUACUUUAUCUUUAGAUAAUGUGUUGCAAUAACAACACAUGUCUAUUAGUAGGAACUUUGAUAUUCUAUUUUUAGUCUACAAGGAUUAUUUGGUUAUAAGGGCAGGUUAGCUUAAAGAAGCUACCCUUAGGACUAUUAUGAACAUCGGAUUUUAUAUGAUCUUGAGGACCUUGCCAGUUUCUUCAGGAUGGUUAAAGGGAUUCUUAAAGAACAUAGGGUUAUAUAAAUACUUUCUUACCAAAUCAAGAUGACCCUUUUGGGCUAGAUUAAGUGACCCAAGCCUUGAUGGGCUCAAGUCACUUAAGCCCAGUGGACAAUGCUAUAAAUACCCCCUUAUUCAAUUAGUCGUCUUCCACUUUUAGAAAGAAAAAGAGAGCUAAAGCUUUUUUCUUUCCAUUACCCAUAGUUUGGAAUGCCAAGAUUGUGGUUCAAGUCUUCGGACGAAAGAUCUUGGGUGUACAAGACCUUUAAACUUUUUCUUUUCCACGUGGAAUUGAUCUAGGAACAUCCAGAUCCAAGUAUGAGUACUACAUAUCUAGAUCUAUAAUUAAUGAUGAUUUUUAUUGCCAUUUUACUCACUAUGAUAGAUUUAAAGAUGCCUAGGGAUAGAUGCAUGCACCCCACAAGAUCUAGGGACAAGGAAUAGAGAUAUUUAGGUUUCCCAACACUAUCACCAAUAACACACUAAGAGCCAUAAAUUAUGCACUCAGUGAAAUAUAAUGAGAACAGCACCCUCUAAGGGCGAUAAACAAUAUUUUACACUUAGAGAGCACUUCAAUAGCGCAACUUUAAGUGAUAGUGUAGAUUGCAUGUUUAGGAAGCCACCAUAUUACACACUUAAAGAACUCUUCUCAAAUUGCACUUGGUCAAAUAGUGCACAUUUCUUAGGCAUCCAACAAUGGCACACCCAACAUAGGAGAACCCUUUGUAGGUUGUACACUCCAAAGGUAUCAAUCCACAUUGUACACUUGGAGAAGUGCACUUAAAGUGUGCACCAUUGAGUAAAGGUUUAGAUUGCUCACCUAAGAGUUAGGCUACAUAGUGUACCUCCUAUUAUGCACUAGCGGAACCUUUAUCAAGCUACGCACCAUUCAAGCGCACCUCAUCCCAACAUGUAUAGUGCUCACAAAACUAGUAACCAUUAGUGCAUUAUUCAUUCAACAAUAAAUCAAAUGCAUAUCAAUAUUCAUUAAUGUGCAAUUUUGUCACCAAUAACUUAGUACACUCCCCCUUAAUAAAGCGUCUUCUCUCACUUCAAGAAGUGCACCCCAUAACUCAUCUCACUACAUUAUCUUAAUAGCUUCACCAGGCAUGAGCUCCAAAAAUUACUCUUUCAUCAAGUUGCAUACCAAAUAGUGCCCUUGAGGCUCCUAAAUGUUCGAUCAUCACAUCAUUAUGCUGCCACACUAACAAAACAAGAAGUGCAACCACCAUUCAUACUACACUGACAUGUUUUGACUAAAACGACCACAUUGAUACGUUACUUAUUAGGAUAGAGCCUUUAAAAGGAUGAUGUGAUGUAAUAAAAUUUUGGAUUUUAUUGUUUAUUAAUAAAAUUUCUAGUUCACUUUUAUAUAUCCUAAUUUCGCACAUUAUACUUUGUAAGAAAUCUAGUCUGUAUCUUUUGCAUUGUAUAUGAUUUGGGUGCUUUGGCAGUUGCACGAAAGAUUCAAGUCACGAGUUCCUUGCAAGUAGAUGACUAAUUAACAACCAGUUUGUGGGCUUCCCAUUAGAAGUUCUAGUGCACUACCUCCUAAUUCAAGAGAUGGUUAGUCUUGGUCAUUAGGAUGGGUUUCUCAUGGUGAGUGUACUAGUAUAUAUAGCUACACAUUGGAUAAGACAUACGACGAGUCAUGAUUUAAGGCAAUGAAGUAGUCAUGACAUUACCAAGAUUCUUUAUUAUAUUGUUUCUCACCCUUGAGAGAAUAUUAAGAUUGUGUUAAAGUUAGCAGUAGCUUUGACCAAUAGGUGAGAUCAUAAGUUGAUCAUAUAUUUCUUAUCGAUUAGGUCACUAUUAGUGGAAGUUGGUAGUAAUAUGCAUCUUGAUAGAGGCACCAUGAUAUCUCAUGGGAUUGAAAUAGAGUGUCUCUUUGGUGAUCUUAAGGAGAUGUGUUCAUGUAAAAUAUGAUUAUAAUAAUUCCUUAAGUGGAACUUGGCAUAUGAUCUUAGAGAACUAAGAUAUGUUAGUUGAACACACAAUAGGAAGAUCUAUAACUCAAAGAUAUUAGAGCUAGUAUUGAGACGUUGAUAACUUUCAUCUUAUUAGAUUAUGGACACCAAUUUAUAGGGAGAUUGAAUGCAAUAGAUGGUAGAUCACGAACCCGAGCACUUAAUGUCUCAUUAUUAUUAACAUAAGGUAAAUCUCUAUAAUAGGAUGUUGAAUCAACUUUAGAAUUGGAUCCUAUAAGACCAUUCCAAUGGUCCUUGCUUGAGCUCUUAUAACUUAAUGACACAAUCUAUGAGGUUUGGAUUAACUUCAAGUCCACUUUUGUGCAUAAGGGCAUUUUGGUAAUUACAUAAGGUUACAUAACUGUUAGUGAAUAAAGUCUUUAAAUUGAAUUAUUUAGGACCUAUUUUUUACUAGAUUAAGUAGCGUAAGCCCUUGGUGGGCACAAGUCACUUAAGCUCAAGUAGGGAACCUUAUAAAUACCCCUUAGGGGUUAGGGUUUCCAUCACUUUUUAAAGUGAACCAUCUUCCACCAUCUUGAGAGAAAGAAAAAACAAGAGCCAUAGCCUCCACCCUCCCUUCCUCCCCACUUGUUGUGUGUCAAGAUAAAAAAGAGCCAUUAAGUGGAAGAUCUUAGGUAUUUGAGACUCUAACAACUUUGAUUUUCAUCUUCACUGCAUGGACUAGAUUUAGGAACAUCAAAAUCUUAGAUAAUGUUUUCUAAUGCAUAUUUUGAAUCUUAUUAUUGUUUUAAAAAAUGUAAUUUGGUCUUUGUGCAUUGGAUUUAGCUUUGGAAGAUUCGCAUGUACCUAACUUGAUCCUAAAAUAGGAAAUGAAGAGAUUUGACUUUCCCCACAUCACCUACAUGGGCAAGAGGUGUAGCUUAGAGGAAUAAAUUUGAAGUAAUAAAGAGAAGAGAGAUUUUUCACCUAUAAAUAUGGGAACUGUAGAUAGCAGUCUCUUUUAGAAGGAGACUUUCUUAGAGGUGGCACCUUAUCUCUUAGAGAGGAGAUACGUUCUUUUCUUCUGGAGUAAAGGUGUUAAGAAAAUAAGUUAGUUUUUUUUUCUCUCUUUCCUAUUCUUGUAAUUUAUUUUUUAUUUUAGUAAAGUCUUUUGUUUUUAAUUUCAAUAAAGGUUUUGGUUUUAAAUUUUAAUAAAGUUUUUUGUUUCAACUUUAUGUUUCUAUAUUCAUUGUUGUGUGUUUUCUUUUCUAUCCUUAUGUUUUUGUUUCUUAGUUUGUGAAGGGGACUAAGGUCUCCUAUCUUUGUUUGAUUCACCGUGAUUUAGCUAUCUAUGGUUGAAAAAAGCUCUACUAAGGUCUAUGGUCAUGAGAACCAAAAUGAGUCUCCACAUGCCAGAGUUAAUGGUUAUGAGGACCAAAAAGAGUAACCAUGGUCAUGAAUCUAUUAGACAAGAACAAACUUUUUGACAUAAGAAUAAACCCAUCUAAAUCAUUUGAUUGAGAUGACCAAAAGGAGAAAUUAGAUCUAGUUGAGCCUUUGUUGAGGUGGUUGAUUCUCUUAUUAACUAGAACCAUGUUUUUGGUGCAAAACCCUUUGCUCGAUCUAAAAGCCACAAGCACUAGGCCAGGACCAAGUGAGUGAGUUAAGCUUGAGAGAAGGAAUUUCAAUGACUUUCCUAUCUAGAAGCCUGUGUUCUUUUUCUUUUCAAUUUAUAGAUUUCCUACCUCCUCCCACCCCAAAAAAAAAAAAAAAACUAAAAAUAUGUUUCAUCCUACACACUCACACCCUAGGUUCCCACCUCUGAUAUUGUCAAUCCUAAGUUAUUUAUGGAGACGACCUAAUCUCUACACAACUAUUAGUUCCUCUUUGUUUCUUUAGUUUAAGAACUAAAAGUUUCAAUUACUAAACUAGUUUAAAUUUUGCUUGAAUAAAAUUUUACUAUCAAAUCAUUUUCAUAUUAAUUUUAUUGUUUUAUUUUUAAACCAGCAAAUACAAACCCGAACCAAAUAACACUCUUGUUGUCACAAUACAUAGGAGUAGGACGAGAAAGAGAAACACCCAUAUCAACAAGUAACCAACAUUACAAAACUAUCUUUCUAGUGGUAGAUGGAAUAUUAUGAAACAAUAGUUUGUUUCUUGGUCUUUUAAAAAAAUAAGCAAAUCCCCCAAUAAAAUAUACAAAAUCUAGUAAUAGACUUGAGAUCUUCAAGAUCACAAACCCAUAAUCAGUAUCAAAAUAUGCAUGCAACUCCAAAGAGGAAGUGGAUAGAAGUAGAAGGCUCCAAAAUAGAGUGCCCUUAAUAUACCAUAGAAUAUGAAGAACAACUACCCAAUGAACUAUAGUAAGGGAAGCAACAAAUUGAUUAACAAUGUGAAAAACAUAAAUAAUGUACCAUCAGAAAAAGAAUAAUGAACAUUAACUUCAAGAGGAGUAUCAAUAGUCUUAAUAUCAAUAAGGUGAGUACAAUUGAGAAUACCAACUAUGUAUUUAAACUACGAGAGACGAAACUUUUUACAGAAUAAGCUAUCUCAAUACCCAAAAAGUAUGGUAGAAAGCUCAAAUCCUUCAUUCUAACACAAGAAACUAAGUUUGAUUUCAACAUUACAAUUCCAUCAACAUCAUCACGUAUGAUAAUCAUGUCAUCAACAUGUAGAGAAAGUAGAAUACCCAUUGUAAAUUAGGUGGAAUUAAAACGAAUGAAUGGUUUUUUCUAUUCUCUUUUUAUUUAGCAAAUCCUUUUGAUGCACAUUAUAUGCUUCUUGUGUAGCUAGGGUAUAUAGUUUUCUUUAAAUUUUAUAAUAUGCUCUUCUAGCUUAUUAGAAAAUCAUAAAGAGGACCCCUUUGGCUUUUUUUUAUAUUAUUUUUCUAUACUUAAAUGACAAAAAUGAUGAUUGAGGUUUGGCUUUCUUGCUUAUAUAUACUCUUUUGGUAAAUGCUUCAAAGCAUAUUCAUGAUACUAUCCUCCUAAUCUUGAGGAUGAGGUAGCAAAACUUCACGAAGGUAUUUGCAAAGUAGAAUGUACAACUUCUAGAUUAAAUUUGUUUGGAACUAUUUAUAAAGUUUGGAUUUGAAAUCAUUAUGAACUAUUUUUAAUAAAGUAUGAUUUCUAGAAACCUUAUCAUGUAAUCUCUUUAUACAAAUAAUAAUAAUAAUUUUGAUGUCUUCUACAAUAUGUUUUCACUUCUAUAUUGUCUAAUUAUUUUUUAAUAUGUUGUCAUAUGUAUGUUUUCUAAUAUUAAUUUCUUCCAAUAUUUUACUUGGGAAUGAAAAUGAAAUACUGUAAUAACAACAUUUAGUUUGAACUAAGUUAAUUUAAUUUUGUCCUUUUUUUUCCUACACACACAUAUAUAGAGCCCAUCUAAAAAGGGAUUGAUUGGGGUUCAAUUCUUUGAACAAAUUUGAUCAUAAAUGAAAAUAUCCUAUUAAAAUUGUAACAAUGAAUCAAUUUAAUUAGUAUAAACAUAUUCUACUAAUUUAAUCAUGUAUAGUUUACUAUAAAAUAUUUCUAAUUCUUUCUUAUUUCAAACUAAAAAGUUAAUUUUUUAAUCAAAACUUUUUGUUUUUAAAAAUAAGUGAUACAAAAGGUUGACAAUUUUUUUUUAAAAAAAAAAACAUAGAAGAAGAAUAAAUUUAUGAUAUAUGAAAUAUGUAUAUAUCUCAACUUAGAAUUAUUGUAUUCUAUGUAAAGAGGAUAUAUAAAGAGACUGGGUCAAUAAAUUAUCUUAUUGAAUAUUUGAUUGAACAUGAUAUAUGGCAAUUAAUGGAUGAGAUCAUUUACCCUAUCCUAAAGCUAACCAAUCCUGGGAUAAGAUAUGUUAUCUCAUCUCUUAUCUCAUCCAAUAUUAUGUAUAUCAAGUCAACUAAAUAUUGUCUUACUUUAGUAAGUAAUACAAUUGAGAUGCAGGGGAUGUGGACUACUAUUACUUUAAGAAGAAAUAUAGAAGUGAUAUAAACUAUUAAUAAGUACCAUAUGGGUAACUCUAAGUGAUUCAAUUUAACAUCCACCUAUCUAAAUAUAUUUAUAAUAGAUCAUCUUGGCUUAUGAAAAUUACAAAGUUGAAACAAAAUUUGGAGCACAACUAGUAAUAAUAUGAAAACAAAUCAAAAUUGGUAUCAUCGCUGCAUGCUAGUUACCUAACUAUAUUUCUAGAGCAGUCAAUUGGCAAAGUGAAAUCCAAUUAAAAGGGCCAAGAAAUGGUGAUUGAGUAAGAAGCUUUGAUAAGAUGUGUUGCAUUGUUGGACGAGAUCUCGGAUUAGAAUGUAUGCAUUUGAGUGCCAACCAAACCACAAGAACUACAUCUCUAGCAACUUGUUGAUCUUGAGGAGAUGGGAGACGUGAAUCUAAUAUAUUAGUGAGCAUUAUGUUUUGAGUUGAUGAGGAAGACAAUAAGGUGAAAAGUUCUCCUGGAUGCUUUCCCAUCAUUGUCUCAAGCGCCACCACUCCAAAGCUGUAAACAUCACAUUUUUCUGUCACGACCAUAGUGUAGGCAAGCUCUGUUAAGAAUCAAAACAAGAAAAAAAUAUUACACAAAUGAGAAAGAAACAUUCAUUUAGUUUUCUCAUAUUAUCCAUACUUAUAAAAUGUUGAGAAUAUUUCAUAGCAUUGCAUUGACAUUUGGCUACAUUUUAUUUCUAAAUUAUGAUGAAAUUAUGUUAAUUUUUACAACUUAUAUGAAACCUUCGAAAAACCAUUCUAAGGAGAUUUUAAAAAUAUUUGGGACUUACUAGGAAAAUGAAGACAACUAUUUAGAAAAUGCUUGAGAGACCAUUGAUAAGUAUUUUGUAUAUAAAGUUCUCUUACUCUCAAAUAUCUCAAACCAUUUUUUACAACAUUUUUUAAAUAACCAUUAAGAAUUUCUUUUUUUUUUUUUUUGGAACUUUAGACGAAAUAAUUAAAAAAUAUAUAUUAAAGAUAUUUCAACUUCUAUGAAGGCCCUUUGGGCCCAUAACAAAUAAUAUCUACAUAAUUAGGAGUGGGUCAUUACAAAUUGUAUUAGAGUUAAUCUAUAACCAUUAUGUGGAAAUUUGUUUGACUCUACAAUCUCAUGGGACAUAAAUAAGAUGUUGUGUUUGCAUAAAGGAUGAGUGUGAUAUCCCACUAUAGAUAUGAAACAAAAAGUUCUGACAUUAAAUAUGAAUGAGUUUCCCUUAACCUUAUAGACAAUUUUUAUAAUCAUGUGGGCUCCUUGGACCCAAAGUGAAGAAUAUCUAUAUAGUUGGGAGCUAUUAUUUAGUUUGCAUGAAAAAUAUAAUGAAAAAUAAUAUGUUAAAGAUUUAGAAGAAUUUAUUCACUUUCAAGCUCUUCAUAAUUUUGAAAUAAGUAAUAAUAGUAGAAAAAGUUUGGUUUGGCUAGUAAUAAUAUUUCGUUUCCUUUCAUCCAACAUAAUUUGUGACUUAUAUGAAGUAUAUAAUAAGAAGUAUGAAAGUACUAAAUACUUCGAAUCUCAAAGAUAACAAACUUAUUAAAACGAAAACAACCAAAAGUUCAAAAGAUAUAUCGAAAGAGUAAAAGCUGAAAGAAAAACUGGUGUGUACUUACCUGGUGCUAUGUAACCAUAAGUGCCUGCAAGAAGGGUUUGAUUAGAUGAAUCAGGAUGUAGCAGUCUAGCGGUGCCAAAAUCCGAUAGAAAAGCAUCCAAUUUGGAGUCCAAAAGAAUAUUAUUGCUUGAUAUGUCCCUAUGAAUAAUGGGUGGAGUACAAUCAUGAUGCAUGUAGCAUACGGCAUGGACUAUGCUUUUAACCACAUUCACCCUUUUAAUCCAAUCCAAUUCCAAAGCUUCAACUUCAUUACUCAAUACACAAUACAAGCUUCCUCUUCCCAUGUAAUUGUAAAUCAAAAACAUGCAUCUUUUGUGUAGACAAUAGCCUUGAAGUUUUACAAUAUUUCGAUGGCGUAUCUUUGAUAAUAUUUGCACCUCAUUUUGAAAACUUUUCAAGUAUAUUGCCUCAUCUCUUUCCCAUCCAUGAAGCUUUUUCAGGGCUACCACAUUGCCUGUAGGCAAUUGAGCCUUGUAAACACUGCCAUAGCCUCCUGUACCUAUGCAAUAUUUGAUGUCAAAGUCUUCUGUUGCUUUAAUGAUAUCUUCAUAAGCAAUCUUCCCAUCAUAGUUCCAUACUGAAAAUAUAUCUCCAUUUUUUGUUGGUAUUUCCUUGGUUUGAAUUUUUCUUGUCUUCCGUGAAAGCAGGAGAAACCCAAGGACCACAAAAAAAAGAAACAAGGUUGUAGACAAAGAAAUAACAAUGAUGCGUGUGGUUUUGUAUUCUUCUUUGCAAUGAGGCAAGCCUUUGAUGUCACCACAUAAACCUUUGUUAUUGUCAAAUGAACCUUGGGAAAAUUUAGACUGCAAUUCAAAGGGUAUAUGACCCUCUAAAUCAUUGUGUGAUAAAUCAAGUGAUGGCUUUAUGUGGUCAUAUAUUAAAAGAGUAGGAAUGGAACCAGAGAGUUUAUUGUGGGAGAGAUUCAAGUAUGUUAAGCGCUUCAAGUUUUGGACUUGGGAAGGUAUCUUUCCAUGGAUCAAGUUAGCACUAAGGUCGAGUCUAGUUAGAUUAUUCAAAUUUCCUAUCGUAGAAGGGAUGUGACCAUUGAUUCGAUUUCCACUAAUGUUGAACUCAUUUAAAUGAAUGAGAUAACCCAAAGAUGAAGGAAUAACACCAGUAAGAUUGUUGUGAUCCAACCUAAGAUGGAUUAGAUUCUUCAGAUUCCAAAUUAUAGGAGGGAUAGAACCAUUGAUUUGAUUAUCACAAAGAUUCAAAUCUGUCAAUUUGGUAAGAUGACCAAAUGACAAGGGGAUGCCGCCCUGGAUUUGAUUGUUGAAGAGAUGUAAAUAAGUCAAAUUGGUAAGAUGACCCAAAGAGGGAGGAAUAGUACCAAUGAGAGAGUUAUGACUAAAGCAUAGUUGAACCAAAUUCUUUAAAUUCCCGAUUUCAGAAGGGAUGGAACCAUUAAUUCGAUUGAAAUUAAGGAAUAAGUAUUCUAGAUUGCUUAAAUUGGCAAGGGAGGAAGGGAUGACACCAGAAAGAGAGUUAGAAACCAAAUACAAAUGAGUAAGAUUCUUCAAAUUCCCAAUUUGGUAAGGAAUAGAACCAUUGAUUUCAUUGAUGCUAAGGUCUAAAUAUUUCAGAUUCUUCAAAUAUCCAAGAGAGGAAGGGAUGACACCAGAGAGCCCAUAGUUAAAACUCAAAUCCAAAUGAAUAAGAUUCUUCAAAUAUCCAAGAGAGGAAGGGAUGACACCAGAGAGAUUGUUAUAAGCCAAAUCCAAUUCCUCUAAUAGAGUAAGGUUACCCAGUGAAACAGGUAGCUCACCAUGAACAUCACAUUCAGAUAUACGGAGGUAAGUGAGUUUUGUAAGCAUACCUAUCUCAUCUGGGAUGCGACCAUAGAUGGAAGAAUGGCUAACGUUGAGAUGGAGGAGGCUGGGAAAUGAAGAAAACUUCAACUUGCUAAGCUCAACCAUUUUACCAUCGAUAUAUGAAUAGGUAAUUCGAACGACAUGUCCCUCCGUGUUGCAGGUGAUGCCUUCCCAUGUGCAGUGAUGAGAAGUAGUGUUUUCCAUGUACCACCACCAAGUGGAGUUGCGGAGAGCCUCGGCCUCAGCCUCCACCUGUGCCUCAGUUGUAGCAGCAGCAGCAGGUGGUGAUGAGAUCAAGAGCAUGUUAUAUAAUAACAAUACCAUUGAAACCACCAACGCCCUACAAGUAAUGGAACACCACUCCAUUUUUGCUUGUUUUCGAUUAAUAUUGCUUUGCCCCAGUUUCAGCCUUUAUUAACUCGUGUUUCAGCGGCUGCAACUCAAGCCAGUCAAAGAAGUCGGCUGGAAAUUCAGCGGAAAUGAAGAUAAGAUCAAGAGCAUGUCAUAUAAUAACAAUACCAUUGAAACCAACCAACGCCCUACCAGUAAUGAAACACCACUCCAUUUUUUCUUCUUUUCGAUUAAUAUUGCUUUGCCCCAGUUUCAGCCUUCAUAACUCGUGUUUCAGCGGCUGCAACUCAAGCAAGUCAAAGAAGUCGGCUGCAACUCACGCAAGUCAAAGAAGUCAGCUGGAAAUUCAGCGGAAAUGAAGAUAAUUAAUAUUUUUGAAAUUUUAAAAUAAAAACUCAAACGAUAAUGAUAUUAUAAAAAAUAAUAAUAUUCACAAUUUUUUUUAAAUUAAUUUUAGGAAAUAAUAAAACCUCACCUGUAUUUAGAAAAUGAUAUAAUAUUUUCUAACUCUAAAUAUAUGUAUUAUAAAAAUAUUACAAAGUUUAACGUUAUGUCAAUCAUUGCAAAAUAAAUGUUUUAUUUACCUUAUUAAUUUCAUUAAUUCUAAAAAGGAAAUCAAGACAAAUUCUAUUUUUUCUUUUCUUCUUUUGUCUUUAAAUCAUACCUACUUUACAGGUGUUGAGGAAACUACAUUAAGUCAACCAAGUCUUCGUGGGCUCACGUGGCUGGAAAGUAGGUGGAUGAAGUAUGAACAGAGCAAGAAUGUAUACCUAAAAAAAUAAAAACUUCUUAUAAGAAAAUGGUAGAAAUCUUGUACUGCAAUGAUACUUGAUCAACAACUCAAAUAAAAAAAAAAUUAAUUAACUUUUAGAAACUAAAUCAAAUUUUCAUCUUGAAAAAUUCCCACUUCAGUUUUACAACCACUUAACAACAUUCCGUAGUAUGAUUCAACUCUUUUUAAUUUUUUUUAUUUUAUAAAUAUUUUUUAGUGUAAUAUGUAAUUUGAUAAAUAAGAGAACAAAAAAAGAUGAAAGUCAUAUAUAUUAAAAAAUAAUAAAAAUAUAAAAUAAUUGAGGGGAAAUACAAUUGAAAGUGAGAGUUUGCAUGUGUUUCAAUUAUAUGAAUUACACAAAGUACAAACAUUUCAAUUUUUUUUUAAAUUUUUAUUUAUUAUUUUAUAAAUAUUUUUUUAAUGUAAUAUGCAUGGUUUUAAAAACUAGAUUAGACCAUCGGUCACCGUUUCUGUCCGAUUCGCACCUUUGAGUUGGACAGUUUUUGAAUCGCCUGAAACCGCCAGACUCGAUGGUCAAACUGGUGAAUCGAUUGACCCGACCACUUUUGGACAAAAAGAACGGUUCAAAAAAUAUAUAUCAAUCUCAAAACACCAUCACCAUGAUGAUGCCAUUCUGACGGUCCUAACAUCGACUCUUCCCAUAAGUAAUAAUUCAAUAAUUCAAUAGAUUAUUUUAAAGUUUUGAUAUAGAAAUGUCAAAAUGACUAAAUUUGUGGCUCUAAAUUAAUAAUUUUGUGAAUUUUAAAUUUGGUUAUUAAAUAAGUUAAAAAAAAUCUUGAUAUUUGAAUUGAUUAUCUUUAAAGAGAAAAACUUUAAAAUAUCCAUUUGUGGACCUUGCAUUUUGCUCGAUGCAUUCCUACUCAAUGGUGAAACUCGCUUUUUAUUUUAUUUGAUGAAAAUUUGAUUUUUAGAAAAAAAACUUGGAGUCGCCACUUAUUUUUGUUUUAUUUUUUUUUAAGGGAAAAUCCAAAUAAGAAAGAAAACCCUAAGUAUGACUCCUGAAGGAAAAAAACAGGUUUGUGAAAAACCAAGUCUAGGUCCGGGGGUUAGGUUACUUAUUGGGAAGGUAUGGUGGUAAGUCGUAGCACCCUUCUAAGCCCGCAUACGUAUGACCUCUACUAAACGAAUUGAAGAAAUUGUGACAAUUAAUUAUUUAAUUAUGGAUACCAAGAAAAAUAAUCAAUAUACAAGUCAUGGUGAGAAUUAAUAUGCACAAAAACAAUUAUGAAAUCUAAUUACAAAAAUACACAAUAUAAAUAAUAAGAUAAUUAUGCAAAAUGAUUUAUUGAAUUAAAUAAAUAAAAGAUAUUAAAAAAAGUUUUAAAGAAACUUCAAAAGAUUUUAUUAAAAAUGAUUUUGAAUUAAUGAUUUCCAUUUAUUUACUUAUAAAAAGAAACAAUUUAUUUUCUCAAUUUUAAUUGUAUUCAAUUUAAAAAAAAAAAAAAAACUAUUUACACUUAUUGUAUCAAAAGAAUUCAUUACAAAAUUUCAAUUUGGGCACAAAAAUUAUUUUUUACUUGCUUUUACUAGAAAAUAAUGAAUUUUUGUAAUUUUAUUUACAAAAGUAUUUAGAUUCAUUUUCAUUUAAAAGAGUGAUUUUUACAAAUUAUUUAAAAUGAUAUAACUUCACUUGCAAAAGAAAUUUUAAUUAAAAGGAAAAAAAAUAAAAAUAAAAAUAAAAAUAAAAAUAAAAAUAAAAAUAAAAAUAAAUAAAUUAAUCAUCUAUUUCUAAAAAUGACUUUUAAUCCAAUUUUAAUUAAGUAAAAAGAAUUAAAAAAAACAUUUUUUUGGACGAUUUUAUUAAAAAUUAAUUUUUGGGAUAACUUUAUUUACUUUAUAUUCGGAAAAUUUUUGUUAAACAAAGAAAUUUUUGGACAAAUAUUAUUUAAAAACAAAUUUUCAAAUUCCAUUAAAAACAUUUCUUUUGGAUUUUUCUAAAUGCAUUUUUUUGAAUUUUUAUAAAUAAAAAAUAAAAUAAAAUAAAAACUUUCUUUUAUUAAAAAUAAUAUUUUAAAAUUGUUGUUUUAUUAAAACGCAUUUACUGACUUCUUCCUCUCAUUUAAACAAAAUUUCUAGUUUGUUCGAUGUUAAAUUUUGUACACACUCAAUAAAUACAUGCGAACGAAUAUUUAUACAACUGAUAAAAAUAAAACCAAAUAAAAAGUGAGAAAUAAAAUAUGUACCCAAAUAAACUUACAAUAAGUUUCACGUGUCAUCAAUUCGUACUCAGCCAACAAGAUUGCAGAGUGGGUUCAUGCAAAAAACAAGAAUAGCACAGAUGUAAAUAUCCAGAGAUGUAUAAAAUCCCAGACAAAUAUCAAACCCAAAUUCCAAUUUCAAAUUAGUCCCAUAAAUUUUAUCAAUUAAAAUGAGCCCAAAUUACUAUCAGUCUUAACCCAGAACAUCCAAAUUAAUAACAAAAAAUACAAACACAAUCAACCAAACCUAAAAUUGGAUAAAUUAAAAUAAAUUCUACUAUACCUAAAUUUAAUAUUUCAUAAUCUAAGCCUAGUUUAAUAUACACCACAAUUGUCCCAUGUCCAAAUUAAGCAAUUCAAAUUGGUCAAGCCUAUAUCAAAUAUUCAAAUAAUCCAACAAAUUUCACCCACAUUAUGGGCCCCAAAAUUCACAUCAAUUAACAAGCCCACAUAAAAAAAUACAUAGUCAAGAGAAAUAAUAUUUCAAGCCCAAUCCAAUAAGCCCAAACAAAUAACAACUUAACAAUAGGCCCAAGUCCAAAUAAACAAUAUGCAAUUGAUAUAAUCCAAAUAUGUCCAAAUUAAUCAUCAAAUACAAUAUGCCCACAAAUCCAAAUUAACAAAUUUCAAAUUAAUUCACUAACAAUAAAUUAAAUCAAAUUACAUAUUGAUCUACCAAUAACAGAUUAACCCCAAAUUUCAUAUUAAUUCAACAAUCCAAAUUUCACAAACAACAAUUACUAUUAAAAUAAAAUAAAAUAACAACAUUAACAAUAAUAAUAAUAAUAAUAAUAAUAAUGGGAAACCAAUGAGUGGCUCGCCCGCGGCGAUUGACCGGUGGCUUUAUCAACGACAAUGAGGGUGAACGGGUUUUCAGGAAGCAAAAUAAAAUAAAAUAAAAAUGGGAGGAAGAAAAUGGGGAUGGAGGGAGGAAGAAGAUGGAGAAGGAAAGAAAAAAAGAAAAAGAAAAAGAAAAAAAAAAAGGAAGAUCCCCGAGUGGGGUGUCGGCCGCGUGAGAGGAAGAAGAGCGAAUAGAGGGAUGAAAAAUAAAAAGAAAUGAAUUCGGGCGCUUGCUGAGAAUCGGAGUGGAGUUGCAGAGAGGGGGAAAAGAGAGAAAAAAAAUUGGGGGGCCGCUCGUUCGGAGGUCGGGGGGGAGCUCAGGAAAAAAAAAAAAAAAAAUCUCCCCCAAAGCCUUAGGUCGAGUGCUGGCCGUGUGAGAGUGAAUGGAGGGAGGAGGGAGGAGAGAGAAGAGAGGAGGGAAAAAAAUGGGGGAAAAGAAAAGUGGGGCCGGGGGGGGGGGGGGGGGCCAAAGAGAGUUUUUGAGGAAGAGAGAGAAGAGAGUGGGAGGAAAAAAAAAAUUUGGGGAAAAAUUUAAGUGGCCGGUGGUGAGGAGAGAGAAGAAGUGGGUGGGUGAGGGCAGGUAGAGGAGAAAAAAGAAGAGAGGAGAGAGAAAAAAAAAUAUAAAAAUAUAAUAUAAUAUAAUGUAAUAAUAAUAAUAAUAAGUAAAAUUAAUAAGUAAAAAUAAUAUAAAUAAAUAAAUAAAAAUAAUAAUUUACAAAAUAAUGAAAACUAAAAAUUAAAGGGUGAGGGAGUCUAAAAUAACACAUGUAAUCGGGAUUUAGAAUUGAGCUCAAAAUUAAUGUAGAGAUAAAAUUGGGACAAAUUUUGGGGUCCACACCAUUAUAUACAUAGAAGUUUGUCAUUGAUUGAAAAUAAGAUAUGUGAUAGAGAAAAGUUAUUUUUUUAGUAUCAUAAUUAAAUUAAAAAAAUAAAAUAAAAUAGUGAAUUAAUAAUUCAAUAACAUAUCAAUAUUUUGAUUUUAACAUUUCAUAUCCGUGGUUAAAUAUGAAUUAUUAAAUAAAAAUGUCAUAAAAUAAUAUUUAAAUAUACAAACCCGAGAUUAUGAGUCUUUCACUCACAUUUUUAUAUUUUUUUUAUAUUUUAUAUUUUUAUUUAUUUUAUUAUUUUAUUUCCAUUAUUAUUUAUUUUUAUUUUACAAUUGUAAUUUUUUUAACUUUAUGGUUUCUAAAAUUUUAAUUUUAAUUCAAAUAAAUGAAAAUAUUAUGAUUUUAAAUAAAUUUAUGAAAAUAUUAUGUUACUCAUAAUUUAUCAUUUUUAUUUUUAAAAUUAUUUUUAAUUUUAAUAAUAUAUGAAAAUAUAUAUUUAUGACGCCACCAGUUCCACCGCCGGUCCGACUAGUGAACCGUGAACCGGUAACUUUUUCAUUUUAAUGACCGGUCCGGUUAUGAAAAUAUUGGUAAUAUAUCAAAGAAGAUAAAAAUCAUUUAAAUAUAUUCUAGCCUUUUACCCAUCAUUCAUCAAAAAAAGAAUGAAAUGUUGAAGAUUUUUGUAACUUGACAUGCUGAAGAUAAAUUUAUAUUUUCUGAUGUAAAAAAAUUAUAAAAAUUGAAAAACAAAAUUAGUGAAAUUGAUCAUAUAAUAUAAUGGAUGUCAUUAGCAAAUUCUAAUAAGAAGGUAAAAAAUUUAUUCCAUUCGUAAGUGCAUUUUUAAUUUAAAUUGAUAAUUUUAUCUUUUUUAUUCACAUGUAGGACAACUUAUAUUACUAUAUCAUAUACUUCAUCGAAGAUUUAAUGUUUCUAAUAAUCAAUCAAGGAUGAAAAAGGUUAUUUUAUUUUUUUUUACAUAUAAUGAAAACUAAAAUUAUUUCUUGUUUUUAUUUUUUUUACAUAAUAGUAAAUAUUUCUUAUUUUUUAUUUUAAUAGUAAUAAAUAAUAAAAUUAGAAUUAUUAAACAUUUUAAUAUAAUUAUAAACUAAAACAUACUACAUAACGCAUUAAAACCAUCAACGCAUUAUUUGAUCAUUAUCUUAAUUACUCACUGUGAGUGAAAUUCCAUGGUGAUCCUUGUCCUACAUAUUCGAAAAAAUUAUUCCAAAAGUUAUAUAUAUAUAUAUCAAUGACUUCAGUUGAGUGAAAUUCCAUAGCAAUUGUGUCUUCUAUGUCUUUUUUAAUUUUAAUUUUAUUUUAUUUUCUAAAAAGUUAUUCCAAAAACUAUAUAUAUAUAUUUCAAUUUCAUUGUCAGUGAAAUUCAAGGGUGACCAAGUCUUUCAUGUUGUUUGAAAUCUGGAAUCAAGGUAUAAAGGUAUAAACAAAUGAAAUUAGAAAACAAAUAAUGAAACUUGAAAAUAUGUACUUAAUACCACCACACCUUUUCCAAUAUCCAAUAGGUACUUAAAAAAUAUACUUGAAUACUAUAAUCAAAUCCUAAAUUAUGUCAACACUUUUUCUUUUAUCUUUAAAUGGUAGGUACUUUAUUAAAUUACCCUCUUAUGGUGGAAUAUUAGAGUAUGGGAGGAUUCUCACCACCAUCAUUGCCAGUCAUUUGCUGCCAUGGUGCUUAUGCUGCUUUCACUGCACACAAGUUAUUUUGAGUUUCUAAUUAACCUUAACAGAACAAUAAAAAUUAGACUCCAAAAAGAAUCAAGUGAUUAAAAUUAAGUGAAAAACAUACCUCUUUUAUCCACCAAAAGCUUGAGCACAUGAUAUCUAGUUGCAUAAAGAAAAGUAAGCUCUCAAGCCUUUUGCUACUUGAUUAAAACCAUAGUGAAGAAGACAAUAAUUACAUAAUAAUCAAAUACUGUUCACAUUGAAUGAGACACGAAAGCUCUAAGCAUUUUCAAAAUUCUUCUACUAAGUGAACAGCCGAAUUGUAUCCAUUGUAAAGGUCAAAUAAUCUUCAAGUAACUUACCCGCUUCUCAUGGUGCAUUAUCUAAAAAUCUAAAAAUCUCGUGACGAAUGACUAAGGCUUCCAAGAAUAUUUGAUGUAUUGAGCCAACAAAUAUUAGACAUAGAAUCCACACACAUGAGUAUUGUAGUCCUUUGUCCUACUAAAAAGAAUGAAUAAAUUAUUAGAUCAAUUCUUAGUGUCUGAAUACUGUAAUUUAAGUGUUAUAUUCUCGCUUACUUCACCACAAUAUUAAAGAAGAUCUGACAUUAAAAAAAAGUAAUAAUUAUUCAUAUUCAUGCCAUGAACAAGGAGCUCUUUUAUGUUAUGGAUAUAUAAAAUAUAUUAACAAUCCAUUAUGCCAUGUUUGAGAGCUCACACACAAAACAAAGUAUUGGAAUAAAUUAAUAUAAAUUCAGGACUGAUAGCUCCUAUCCUACUUCCGCCCUUUUUAUCAAAGCAAUUUCCCAUGCUUGGGCCAAACUUGUGAUGGGGAGGAGCAAAUUGGGGUGGGUAAGCACAAUUGAUAUUUAUUCUUGCCCAAUUUUCCCCUCAAUUUCUGUAAUUCGAUUAUAACAAGCUGAAUUAGGUAUCAAUAAUUACUAUGAGAAAAAAAAAACAAGGGAUUAAAGGUAUUUCUCUUCUUAGCAAUCAUACAUUACAAAGAGAAUCAAGAUUGCUUACCUAUCAAUUUUCUUUUCUUCUGCAUCAAGUUAAAAUUAUAGAAUAAAAGAAAUUAAUAAAAUGAAAAUACUAGCAACCAAACUAGUAAAAAGUUUGUUGGACCUUCAAAGAGAUGAUGAAGAGAAUACUAAAAAUGAUGAAAAUAUUGUUGGCAACAACAAUAAGAGUAUAGUAGUGAUGUGACAACAAUAAUGACGAAGAUUACUAGCUAUGACAUUAGAGGGAAAGAGUACCCAUGAUGUGAAUCAUUCAUAGAGAUGUGAACAACGAUAGUGAUAGAGAUGACUAUCAUACUAGAGCUAUAAUUGGAGUGAAGCUAAGAUAAGUUCCUCACAAGCGUUGAGGUUCAUUGAUAAGAAUUGUCACAUCAAUUUCUUGUCUUAAGGAUGCUCAUCUUUGCUAUAGUUUUUUUUUUUUAAUCUUUAAAUUUUGGGAUAAUUGUGUUUUGGAUUCAGUUAGACCCAAAAAUUAAACUUUGGUCCAUAUAAGUUCACUAUUUAAGCCCAAGACCCAAAGGAAGUGUAAAAAUUGAGAAGAAGGAUAUGAAUUUUUUAUCUUUUCGAAAAUGACAUUUGUUAACUAUGAAAAAAAAAAUCAGAAAAAUCCACUCUAAAAUUCCAUUUAUGUUACCCUAAUUUUACUCUCUCUGGCAUUUCAUUUCAGCCCUAGACAGUGGCGUUUUUCAUCUCUCCCGAUUUUCUCCCUCGCUUCCAUUUCAUUUGAGGCCUAAACAUUGCCCUAAUCUCUAUGGCGAUUUCCUUAUCUCUCAAUUUCAUCUCUCCCAACCAUUUGAUUUCAGGCCAGUGGCAUUUGUCAUCUCUACUGAUACAUUGCCCUCGUCGAUCCCCACCGGUGUUACCCUUUGUGUCAUAGUAGUUGGAUAUUUGAGGUUAGUUGGUUCUCCAAUUUCGUUUUCUCCUGAUUUCAUCUCUCUCGACCAUUUGAUUUCAACCCAAAUACAUUGCCCUAAUUUCUCUCCUGAUUUUAGUUCGUUGUUUAUUGUUCCCUCGUCAAUCCCCACCGGCGUUGCCCUCUAUGUCAACCGUAGUUGGAUAUUUGAGGUUAGUAGGUUCUCUAAAUCUAGCCCUAGAUUUGUUUAAUCCUAUAUUUUGUUUAAUCGUCGUUGGUAUGGGGAGAGGGAUUCUUGUUUUCUAUUAACCUUCAGUUUACGAAGUCAAUUUAAGGUGCUAUUAAUAUUUUUUGCAAACCUAUCUGUGAAUGGAAAUAGUUCUUAUUUAUUAUAGUGUUUUUGAUGCUGAGAUACAUAGGUGACUUAUGAAUUUUGGGUGCUUAGGUUUUCUCUUUUUACACUAAUGGAUUUUUUCGACAGUUGAACCAAAUUCUAGGGAUGGAAUGUUUCAAAAUUAUGCACCAUCCCUACUUAAUUUUUAGAUAGUAGUAUUCAUUUGUACCCUGUUUUAUUGGUGAUAGUCACUAGUGGCCCCCGUUUUUUGUUCCAAGAUUAACAGGCUUAGUUUUUAUCUACCUUUUAUGAGUGGUUAUGAAUUGUUCUCCUUAUGACAUAAAUUGAAAUUAUUCAUGCGCUUGAAUAUAAUGAGUAUCUAAAUGGAAUUCUAUGAUGGCACCAAGAAAUGCAAUGUGCCAAUAUUCUUAAAAAAAAAUAAAAAAUUAUUGACCAUGUUACCCUUUAGCCUUGAGGACUAGGGUUAUGGAAUCAAAUUCAAUCAACAUUGGCUCACACUUACCUCAAUAUGAGCAUGAACCUAUGUCCCGUGUGAAGGAAUAGUAGCUUAUAUGACUCAUCAACACCAUUUUGUAACUACACAACACAACAAAUUUCACUGGCAGAAUUGACAUUUCUUCAAUAAAUAAACAGAAUAGUGCAAACUGAAACAAACUUCGAACAACUUUUAGAGACAAACAUGUGAAUAUGAAAAUAAAGUUCUAAUGAAAAAGGAAAUCAUACACUACUAUUUUCCUUAAAGAAAAGAAUUUUGUUCCAAACCUUCGGCUCAGGGUUUGAUUUCCACCUCAAAAAAGGUACUUAUCAAAUAGAAUGUACAGAACAUCACUAUAGUUCCCAUACCAAGUCAAUUUUUAAAUUUUUGUAAGCAUAAAUUGAAAUUAUAUGAACAGUAAAACUCCUAUGCAUUACAGUACCUGAAAACCGAAUCUCUUAUCUUUAUUCACAAAGAAAAAGUGCUUAUUCAAAAGUUGUAUUCAGAUCAUGAUUUAACUUCAAUUAUUUAGAGACCUCCUUAUGGAAUAAAUAAAAGGGUUUGCUUGAACAAUGUCAAGUGUACCAAAUGGACUUGGUUUUCUUAAUCAAGUCUCUGAAUCAGUGUUAAGUUUGCUUUAAUAAUAGAAAGUUUUUUAUUCUGUUAGUAGUUCUGAGUCAUAUGCGCAUGAGCAUAGGUGUAAAUGAUGCUAUGAACAAGCUAUGGAACCUCAAAUUAGUUUAUCAAUGUAAGGUUGAAGACCUAGUCGGGUACUUCAUUCAUAGGAACCUGAAUUGGUUUUAUGAAGAUUAUGGAGCAUAAGAUCACAUAUGUUAUUGAAUAAGCUGGGAUUCAAGGCUUGGCAGUUAAAAGUUGUAGUAGAAGUGAUAUUCUGAUGCCUAGGUUAAAUGUUUCAGCAGGUACUAUGUCUCAUGUAUUUGUUAUUUAUUUGUUUCAGUCCAUUAUUCUGAUUUCAGGGAAUGUUUUAUUUUUUUUCAUGCUUGUCUUUAUGAAAAAAAAAACUUUCAAAAGUGACCAACACUAAGUCAUGCUAGGGUGAGCAUUUCUUAGGGUUAGACAAGGCACCCACUCCACUUUAGCUCAUGUUGUUGCAAUUUUCAAUAUAAUAGAAAGAACACAAAAUACAAAAAAAGUAAACAAAUAUGUUUGUGUUAUUACCUAUUAUUACAUCAAUUGACUGUCAAUAGACUGCAUAAUUAAUAGUUAACAGUUAUCCAUUUUCACAUCUCCAUUUCAGCAUGCUUAUUUGAUGUGGGUAGGCACCAUUACUUUAGGGCCUUUAUCUAGCAAAAUUGCCCUUUAUUCUUCACAACAUAUGUCUUGCUCUAAUCUUGCAGCUAAUGUUUCUUUCAUUCUCCAUAUAUCAGUGAUCUGUUCAAAGAGAACCAAAUAGUCACUUGGGCAUCAAUUCUUACAAUUCCUCCACUUCUACUCCUAUAAAUAUUUUAAAAUUCUACUGUAGGCUUAUUUGUUUUUCUUUUUUUUGGAUAGGAAAACAAGAAUAUAUAAAAGAUGCCAAUCAAAGAACACUGCAAGUACACGAGACAAUUCUACUAUAGUUAGUGAAGUUAUAUUUUAUAAAAUUUAAAUUCUGUUUAAUUUAAAAUCCUUAGAUUCAAAGGCUUGUUUUCACAGUUAUAACUUAAAUAAAAUCUAAACGACAUAAAGACCACAUAGGAAAAAAAAUAAGGCUCUAAUGUGAACCUUAAGAUAACCACGAUUUGGAAUUGAUUUGCUUAUCUCUCUUUCAAUACUCAUGUUUUUCAAUGUAUUAGUUCUUUAUAACAUUAAUAUAUCUUGUGUCCAUACUCUCAUUCAAAACUUGAACUUCUUGUCCUUCCAUCCAUCAAAUCAGUUAUGAAUACAAGUUAAUGAAAUUGGGAUGGAUGGGAGGGAUAAAAGCAUUUCAAAUAGAGCUCUCACUAACAUCAGAUUCCUUGUUUUUGAUAAAAGUCCUUUCCUCUAAGAGACAGUCUAUCUUUUAACCUUUCCUAUCACUUCUACGAUCAAUGCAAAGAAGAUUGAGCAGUUGCUUGUUAGGGAUGUGGAGGGAGAGGGUAUAAAACCUUGCAAAGUUGUUUGGUUGCGGGAAAGUGUCAUUCCAACUGCCUUUUCAGAUUCCUUUGAGGUGAAAGCAACAUGGAGUGUAGAAUUGGGGAGGUUAGCAUAUUAGAAAAACAUGAUGAGGUUCGAACUCAUGACCUUCUAACAAUUAAGGCUCUAAUAGCAUUUUAAGCUAUGGCAUUGCCCCAAAUCAGCUUGAUGUGCAUUAUGGCCCCAUCAUUACCUAACAUCGGCAAACUUUUCAAUCAACUUUGUAGCUUAACUUUGUAUGAAGGGCCAAGUUGUCAAGAAGUCAGAAGUUCAAACCUCACUGUAUUGUUUAUUUUCCCAAUUUAUUGAAGUUAUGUGCAAUUUCAAAAGAAAUAAAGUAAAUGCAUGCUGAUUCGUCCCUAGCAGUGUCUCAGCUGAUUUGUGUUCAGCUGGUGCUCCUUGAUUGAGGAAGUGAUCAACAAAAUUUAUACCUAUAACACCAUACACUAGGGUAGCAAAGACAAAGCUACUAUAGCAUAGUGGCUCUAGGAUCGUUCACUGGGAUGGGUUUUCACUUCACAAAUGAUAUUAAUUCAAAGUUGAAUUGGUGUCUUUUCAUUUCAAGGUUAGCUUUAAAAGAAAACAUAAAGAUGAGUUGGAAAAGGUUUGGUUUUAAACUAACCACAAAUAGUAACUAAUUUUAUUUAUAAAGAAAAGAUGUUUCUUGGAGUUCAGAUCACUAGGCCCGUUCCUCAUACAAAAUGGAGAGUUCCGGUCACUUGUUUAUUUUCCUCGCAUUAGAGAAUUAACAUAUAGUUCCUUCUCCAACCGGUGUUGUACAGAUGUUUCCCAUUAAUGGGUUCAAACACUAAAUCCCUCUCACUGAUGCACCUUGCAAUGGCUCAUACCUCUCACUUAGCACUUGCCAUUCAAGGUGAUCUUUAACCUUGGAUUACCCGUCAAAAGCUCGCAAGAGAUAACUAAUGGAUGUCUCCUUGGAGUCCAAAAGCUUACCAAGUGUUGGCUAUUCUAGAAAAUCCUACCUUCAAGUCACCUCCCAAAGGCUCGCAAGGGGUAAACUAGUGAAUCUCCAUGGACGGAGAUCACUUGCCUUACCAAGUGUUGGCCCAGGUGAUUUAAAGGCGUUUUAAGUUAACUAAAAAUAUGAAAACCAUUAACGGGUCACACUUUCUCUUCAUUAAAAACUAAAACAACAAAACUUCCAAAUUAUACAUGUGGAAACUUACCCGGCUUUCCUUACUCCAAGAGACAAAGAGCCUAGCCUCUCAUCCUCUGAGGAAAAAUCCUCAAAGUUUGGUUGGCUAGAAAAUGAAAAUGAAGGAGAAGACAAGAAUAUAUAUGAAAAACAGAGCAAGUGCUCUGUUCGUUGAUUCUAUAUAUUAGAUUACAUAUAUUUUUACAUUGGAUGCAAGGGAAUAUAUAUAGAGGAGUUUUUCCAACCUUCCUAGCUAAGAAAUCUUAUGGUUGGUGGCUUACAAGGAGAAGAAUGGAAAUUUAUACAAAAAUAUCUGAAGAAAAGAUCUAAAAGAGUCGGUGCACAAAUAUCAGGAAGCACUAAGGACAUUUCGUAGGUGAAAAUGGUGUCUGCGAGAUUUCGCAGACACUCAAGAGGGCUGCGAAAUAUUUUCGCAACAACAAGUUAAACUCGCAGGGCUGCGAAAUUGGCUUCCACCUUGAGGUUCUCAGCGUUCCAGCUUGCGGCAUGUAUCGGGUAGCUUCAGGAGGAAUUCCAUAGCACUGUACAAAAAGGCUGCGAAAUUCUCGCAACAAAAGGCUGAUUUCGCAACACUUUGGAGUGAUCUGCUUGCAGUGGCUGUAACUUCUUCGUUUCAACUCCAAAUCGCGCACCGUUUGAAGAAUUGGAUUCUUGACUUCCUGAGCUUUGAAAUGAUAUAUAGAAUGUAGAAAAUGGACUUCUGGAAGUGCUCCAAAAGUGCACAAGAAGACUGCAGCUGCUGUCCUCUGUUUUCUUCACUCUGUUUUCCUCUUCUCCUUGCUUCUCUCCUUGCAUACUUUGAACGACUAAGGCAAAGGAAUAUGAGGCUCCAAAGCUUGGUUUCUUCAUGAAUUUGAGCUUCCAAAAGCUUUGCCAUAACUUGUUCAAGUAGCUCCUCCAUCAUUUGGCAUGCUUGAAUUGAUUCAUAAGUUGAUAAAAACAUGUAAACUUGCCACAAAAUGGUUAAAACCAAUUACUAAGGACCUUAAUGAAUUAAUUGGGUUAAAUGAAUAUGAUUACUACUCAAAGGUGCUUAAAACCAUUAUAAUUAGGUCUACAAAAUAGCACUUUUUGGUAGUAAUCACACCCCCCAACCGACUCAUUGCUAGUCCCUUAGCAAUGGAGGAGAUAAAAACUAAGUAAACUAUAAUAAUAUACAUAAAAGGGAUCAUGAAAAUCACUCCAAAAAAUGAUAUGAGUGGCAUGAUGGACAUCCAUGGAUCAAUAAAGAUGUGAAACUCAACCUAUAAUAAGAGUUGUCAAAGCAUUCACUUGAUCAUAGAGUACAAAGAACGGAUAUUAUGCAAGUUUAAGCAUCAAAAGAAUUUCCACUCUCAAAGAUCCAAAUCAAAUUCUUCCACUAAAAGCUAANNNNNNNNNNNNNNNNNNNNNNNNNNNNNNNNNNNNNNNNNNNNNNNNNNNNNNNNNNNNNNNNNNNNNNNNNNNNNNNNNNNNNNNNNNNNNNNNNNNNAGAGUUCCGGUCACUUGUUUAUUUUCCUCGCAUUAGAGAAUUAACAUAUAGUUCCUUCUCCAACCGGUGUUGUACAGAUGUUUCCCAUUAAUGGGUUCAAACACUAAAUCCCUCUCACUGAUGCACCUUGCAAUGGCUCAUACCUCUCACUUAGCACUUGCCAUUCAAGGUGAUCUUUAACCUUGGAUUACCCGUCAAAAGCUCGCAAGAGAUAACUAAUGGAUGUCUCCUUGGAGUCCAAAAGCUUACCAAGUGUUGGCUAUUCUAGAAAAUCCUACCUUCAAGUCACCUCCCAAAGGCUCGCAAGGGGUAAACUAGUGAAUCUCCAUGGACGGAGAUCACUUGCCUUACCAAGUGUUGGCCCAGGUGAUUUAAAGGCGUUUUAAGUUAACUAAAAAUAUGAAAACCAUUAACGGGUCACACUUUCUCUUCAUUAAAAACUAAAACAACAAAACUUCCAAAUUAUACAUGUGGAAACUUACCCGGCUUUCCUUACUCCAAGAGACAAAGAGCCUAGCCUCUCAUCCUCUGAGGAAAAAUCCUCAAAGUUUGGUUGGCUAGAAAAUGAAAAUGAAGGAGAAGACAAGAAUAUAUAUGAAAAACAGAGCAAGUGCUCUGUUCGUUGAUUCUAUAUAUUAGAUUACAUAUAUUUUUACAUUGGAUUGCAAGGGAAUAUAUAUAGAGGAGUUUUUCCAACCUUCCUAGCUAAGAAAUCUUAUGGUUGGUGGCUUACAAGGAGAAGAAUGGAAAUUUAUACAAAAAUAUUUGAAGAAAAGAUCUAAAAGAGUCGGUGCACAAAUAUCAGGAAGCACUAAGGACAUUUCGCAGGUGAAAAUGGUGUCUGCGAGAUUUCGCAGACACUCAAGAGGGCUGCGAAAUAUUUUCGCAACAACAAGUUAAACUCGCAGGGCUGCGAAAUUGGCUUCCACCUUGAGGUUCUCAGCGUUCCAGCUUGCGGCAUGUAUCGGGUAGCUUCAGGAGGAAUUCCAUAGCACUGUACAAAAAGGCUGCGAAAUUCUCGCAACAAAAGGCUGAUUUCGCAACACUUUGGAGUGAUCUGCUUGCAGUGGCUGUAACUUCUUCGUUUCAACUCCGAAUCGUGCACCGUUUGAAGAAUUGGAUUCUUGACUUCCUGAGCUUUGAAAUGAUAUAUAGAAUGUAGAAAAUGGACUUCUGGAAGUGCUCCAAAAGUGCACAAGAAGACUGCAGCUGCUGUCCUCUGUUUUCUUCACUCUGUUUUCCUCUUCUCCUUGCUUCUCUCCUUGCAUACUUUGAACGACUAAGGCAAAGGAAUAUGAGGCUCCAAAGCUUGGUUUCUUCAUGAAUUUGAGCUUCCAAAAGCUUUGCCAUAACUUGUUCAAGUAGCUCCUCCAUCAUUUGGCAUGCUUGAAUUGAUUCAUAAGUUGAUAAAAACAUGUAAACUUGCCACAAAAUGGUUAAAACCAAUUACUAAGGACCUUAAUGAAUUAAUUGGGUUAAAUGAAUAUGAUUACUACUCAAAGGUGCUUAAAACCAUUAUAAUUAGGUCUACAAAAUAGCACUUUUUGGUAGUAAUCACACCCCCCAACCGACUCAUUGCUAGUCCCUUAGCAAUGGAGGAGAUAAAAACUAAGUAAACUAUAAUAAUAUACAUAAAAGGGAUCAUGAAAAUCACUCCAAAAAAUGAUAUGAGUGGCAUGAUGGACAUCCAUGGAUCAAUAAAGAUGUGAAACUCAACCUAUAAUAAGAGUUGUCAAAGCAUUCACUUGAUCAUAGAGUACAAAGAACGGAUAUUAUGCAAGUUUAAGCAUCAAAAGAAUUUCCACUCUCAAAAGAUCCAAAUCAAAUUCUUCCACUAAAAGCUAAGUGUUAAUGUGAUUAGCUUCCAAGAAUAGUAUGGAUAACUAUCAUCUCCCCCCAACCUAAGUCUUUCUUUAAGCUUAGCAAAAUUAACCAUCUCUUGAUAGGCUAGGAACGCACCUCUUAUUCACAAUUCUUUUCACUUACUAAACUUAACCAAUUCACCCAUGUAACAAGCAGAGGAUCGGUGACUCCCAACCAAUAAAGGCUUAGGGCACCAGGCUUUAAAGGCUUUCGCCACCCCUUUGGACCAUGCUCAGGUUUCAAGGCAAGUAAAGAAGUUUAUUCUAUUUAUUUAUUUUUAUUUUUUUUUUUUUUUCUAUUUUUUCAAAGACUCAUUGGUCUUUAUGAGGUGUCCCAACACUAUUAAAGAGAGGUUAAAGGUGUCAAAUUAUGAUUUCUCAAGCUUAGAGGGUGAGAUAGUUUCACAUCUUAUAACCGGAAUCUAAUGUAUGUGUGUGCGAAUAGCUUAAGGUGGAAGAGAUAAGUUUGCAUGCAAUGGGAGUUUCAACAAUUCAUCAACUUUUAGAAGAGCAUAAUACAAACUCUAAGACUCAUGUGAUCAAGUUGAAACUCGACUUCUCUCAUUUAAUUUUGAGAGUUAAUCCUUAAUAUCCAUGGAGUUUAAAGCAAAAAUUUUAAAAUUUAAACAAAAAGUAGCUAAUUUACCAAAAUAACUUAGCAUUAAUAACAAAACUUACUUCCUCAACUCUCCCCCCAACCAAGCUGAACAUUGUCCUCAAUGUGACAAAAGCGAUUAAAAAAUAGGGAGGAAGUGGUACCUCUUUAGUGACAUGGAGUUUAAGUCGUAUAGGAGAAACCACAUGUUUCAAAGAAAACAUAAGAGUUAGUGAGUAGAGGAAAUAGAAAAAUGCUAAGUUUAAACAAAAAUGAUGUCUAUGUAUGAUGUAUCAUCAGUAAUACAUCCAAUCUCAAAAUGUAAGACAUCAAAAUAUGGAAUUAUGUAUAAUAUAUAAAGACAAAAAAUAAAGAGAUGAUCAAGUAAUGGUAGGGUCCUGUGGAGCUGAUGUGUCUGUGGUGGCCUCUUGAAUGGGUUGGAUCAGGACUUUGGCCUCUGUUCUGGUAGUCUCCUUAGGUGGCAUAGUCUCCUCAGCUGGAGCUCUCAGCGGGAGCUAUGGGCUCUGAUGGUUUUAGGAGGUUAGAAAUGGAGUGAGAGGCUUGGUGUGUGUGAUCCCAGGGUGUGCGGGGCUCUCAUCUUCAUAUUCAUGGUUGCAGGGCUCUGAUGGCAUUUUAACAACUUCCCUUGGCUUUGCAAGGUGUUUUUGCAAACCUUCCUCCAUUUCGCAAGUCAAUUUCUCAACUUGAAGGCCAUUUCAACUUUUGGAGGUGAUUUCGCAGCCAUUUCGAUGCUCAAAAGUGAUUUCGCAGCUCUAAAAUGAGUGUACGGGGCUGCAAAAUGGCUCUCAUGUGCCAAAAAGUGGUUUCGCAGCUCAAAGGUGAUUUCGCAGCUGUAUCGCAGCUUCGAAAUGAAGGGAACUAUGCUGCAAAAUGGCACUUGUGUGCCAAAAGUAGUUUCGCAGCUGCAAAACACCCUUCCAAAUGGCGUCUCGGCUGCGAAAUUCCCGCUUAGCUUUGCGCGCUUGUCUUCAAACGACCAUAUCUUCUUCAUUUCACCUCCAAAUCGCAUACCGUUUGAAGCGCUGGACUCCUGACUUCCCAAGCUUUGAAACGAGAUAUCGUAUGUAUAAUUUGAGCUCCAGGAAGUGCUUCAAAAAUGUGUCCAACAGUAGCAAAAUGGAGGUGCGACAUUUCCGUUCAUGGUUUGCACAGUCAUCUUCAAACAGCCAUAACUUUUCCGUUUCAAAUCCAAAUCUAGCACCGUUUGAAGCUAUGGACUCCUGACUUCCCAAGCUUUCAAAAAAGAUAUCGUAUGUAUAAUUUGAACUUCGGGAAGUGAUUGAAAUGUGUCCAACAAUUGCCGAAAUGGGGGUGUGGCUGUGAAAUUGGGAUUUUUCACGUUUUGGGACUUCGCAGCCGUUUUGCAACUGCGAAAUUGGGGUCACUGUGCUGCGAAAUGGCACUCGUGUGCCAAAAGUGCUUUCGCAGCCGCGAAAUCCUCUGCGGAAUGGGGCUUUGGCUGCCAAAAAAAAUGAAUUUUUUUUUUUUUUUUUUUUUUUUUGGGUUUCGCAGCCAUUUUCGCAGCUGCGAAAUGAGGGUACUGUGCUGCGAAAUGGCACUCGUGUGCCAAAAGUUGGCUUCGCAGCUGCGAAACACCCUUCCAAAUGGAGCUUUCCUUGCGAAAUGGAGGAUUUCAUGCUUUGGUGGUUCGCAGCCGCUUUCGUAGUUGCGAAAUGGGGGCUCCUGUCCUGCGAAGUGGCACUCGUGUGCCAAAAGUGGUUUCGCAGCUGCGAAAAUUUUCGCAGAGAGGGCAUUUGGGCUGCGAACUGGUUUCGCAGCAAAGUGCCGAUUUCGCAGAGGCUGCGAAAUUUCGCAGACCCCUGUUUUUCCCCUGUUUUUGCUCUGUUUGACUCCGAUUUUGCUCCGAUUUUUCUCCGAAAGACUUCCUUCAAUUUCUUUACAAUUCCUCUUGAUUUUGAUCAUCCAAAAACCUAUAUUACAUCAAAACAAACUAGAAUUAAAGCAUUGAAAUCAAAAUUAAAGCAUUGAAAUCCAAAUUAAAACAUUGAAAUCAAAAUUAAAACAAGUAAAAAGUAAAAUAAAAAGAUAUGGACUAGCUAGUCUUUAGAAAGACUAAGUCCAUCAAAAAAUUUGCUCCUGAUUUAGCUUGCCCGGAUCCCAUAUGAAGUUUGCAUCCUUCAAUUGAGACUUGGUUUGUAUGAUUUUCCCAUACAAAGCUUGGAGAAAAGGUGGAGGCAUGUGUUUCUUCAUCAAUUCUUCCUUGAUGACUAUCUUCUGUGGUUUUCUUUGUACAUUAACAUCAUAACCAUCUUUCUCUAUGCUUUUCCCCUUUUUCUUUCCUUUGAUUUCCUCCCUCUUUUCUUUCUCUGUUUCAUUCUCUACCUUAUGCUCUAGCUUGCAUGUGGGCAGAUCAACCUCUUUACCACUCCUCAGAGUGAUCACUUCUUCAAUUUCCUUCACCAUUGAAGAUUCUCCCUCUUGAGCCUCCAUUUCAUGGAUACUCAUGGAAUUUUGAUAAGGUUGAGAAGGAGAGUUUUCUUUCUCUUGCACUGUGUUCAAAUUUAUGAGCCUUGAAAUUGAAUAUUGGAUGUUGUCAAAAUUUUGGGCCAUAUCAUUUUGCAUUCCAUCCAUCCUUUGAUCAAGUCGAGCAUUGGUGGCUUCUUGCUUUCCAAUAAAAUCUCCCACGACCUUGCAAAGAUUCACCAUAGCUUGUUCAAGGAUUGAGGCUUGCUGUGGUGCUUGAGCAGGUUGCUGAUACUGAGGUGGCUGUGGUUUCCAAGAGAAAUUUGGAUGGUCCCUCCAAUUGGAAUUGUAGGUGUUGCAAUCACCAAACAUUUCCCUCUCGGCUGGAAUGGUAGGACACUUAUCCACCAAGUGCUCAUAAGAUAGACAAAUGGCACAAGGCAUUGGUAGCAAUGGUGUUUGAGAGAUGGCUUGCACUGGUUGCAUAUUCGUCAUUUCUAGCUUUUCCAAUCUCCUUUCCAUAGCUGCAAUUUCUGCCUUCAUGUUCAUACCAUCAUUCAAAAUAUACAUCUCACCCUUAGCUUUAGGUUGAGACAUCAUUCUUUCCAUAUCUCUAGCAUUUGGUUCAUCCCAUCCUCUUGAGACUUCAGCCACAUAACUCAUGAAGUUCAUAGCUUCCUCUGCUAUCUCUUAAUCAAUAUAGCAUGCACAACUAGCAAUUUGUGAAUUAAAUACAGAGAACACAAAAGAAAACAAAAGAAAAACAAUUCAAAGAAAGAAAAUUAAGGUAAACUAAAAACUAAAUAAAAGGUAUACUAAAAUAUGAACAAUAAAGAAAUAAAAAGAGUUAGUAAAAGAAAAAGAGUUAGUAAAAGGAAAAGAAAAGUCACCAAACUUGUGAUGAAGAUCACAAGUACUCUAGAAAGGUGAUAUCACAAGUACUCUAGUAUAGUGGUGAGUGUCCCCGGCAACGGCGCCAUUUGAUUCGUCCCUAGCAGUGUCUCAGCUGAUUUGUGUUCAGCUGGUGCUCCUUGAUUGAGGAAGUGAUCAACAAAAUUUAUACCUAUAACACCAUACACUAGGGUAGCAAAGACAAAGCUACUAUAGCAUAGUGGCUCUAGGAUCGUUCACUGGGAUGGGUUUUCACUUCACAAAUGAUAUUAAUUCAAAGUUGAAUUGGUGUCUUUUCAUUUCAAGGUUAGCUUUAAAAGAAAACAUAAAGAUGAGUUGGAAAAGGUUUGGUUUUAAACUAACCACAAAUAGUAACUAAUUUUACUUAUAAAGAAAAGAUGUUUCUUGGAGUUCAGAUCACUAGGCCCGUUCCUCAUACAAAAUGGAGAGUUCCGGUCACUUGUUUAUUUUCCUCGCAUUAGAGAAUUAACAUAUAGUUCCUUCUCCAACCGGUGUUGUACAGAUGUUUCCCAUUAAUGGGUUCAAACACUAAAUCCCUCUCACUGAUGCACCUUGCAAUGGCUCAUACCUCUCACUUAGCACUUGCCAUUCAAGGUGAUCUUUAACCUUGGAUUACCCGUCAAAAGCUCGCAAGAGAUAACUAAUGGAUGUCUCCUUGGAGUCCAAAAGCUUACCAAGUGUUGGCUAUUCUAGAAAAUCCUACCUUCAAGUCACCUCCCAANNNNNNNNNNNNNNNNNNNNNNNNNNNNNNNNNNNNNNNNNNNNNNNNNNNNNNNNNNNNNNNNNNNNNNNNNNNNNNNNNNNNNNNNNNNNNNNNNNNNCAGCUUGCGGCAUGUAUCGGGUAGCUUCAGGAGGAAUUCCAUAGCACUGUACAAAAAGGCUGCGAAAUUCUCGCAACAAAAGGCUGAUUUCGCAACACUUUGGAGUGAUCUGCUUGCAGUGGCUGUAACUUCUUCGUUUCAACUCCAAAUCGCGCACCGUUUGAAGAAUUGGAUUCUUGACUUCCUGAGCUUUGAAAUGAUAUAUAGAAUGUAGAAAAUGGACUUCUGGAAGUGCUCCAAAAGUGCACAAGAAGACUGCAGCUGCUGUCCUCUGUUUUCUUCACUCUGUUUUCCUCUUCUCCUUGCUUCUCUCCUUGCAUACUUUGAACGACUAAGGCAAAGGAAUAUGAGGCUCCAAAGCUUGGUUUCUUCAUGAAUUUGAGCUUCCAAAAGCUUUGCCAUAACUUGUUCAAGUAGCUCCUCCAUCAUUUGGCAUGCUUGAAUUGAUUCAUAAGUUGAUAAAAACAUGUAAACUUGCCACAAAAUGGUUAAAACCAAUUACUAAGGACCUUAAUGAAUUAAUUGGGUUAAAUGAAUAUGAUUACUACUCAAAGGUGCUUAAAACCAUUAUAAUUAGGUCUACAAAAUAGCACUUUUUGGUAGUAAUCACAUGCAUUUUUCCUAACUUUCAUAAUUUAUGGUUGAUAUGCAUAAAUGUUGAUUACUUGGGGUUUGUUUGGAUAUAUUUAUUAGCUAUUUUUUGUGUCUAAAAUCAUAAAUCAGAGCAUAGUAGGUAUUUUUAUAAAAUAUGUAAAAACUCUUUAAGGUUGAUAAAUAAAUAUUUGUGGGAAAAAUUAAGGUAUUAUAAAACUUUAAGUAGUUUAAAAUUUCUCAUCAUUAAAAAAUGAUUUUUCAUGCUAAAGUUAAAUUUUUGUAUAUAUAAAUUGUUGUUUUUAAUAUAAAAUGUUUUAUGUAUUAUUCAUCAAUUUUUAGAAAUAGAGCGUGGGAAAUGUAUUUAUAUCAAUUUACAUGAUGCAUUUUAAGGAAUGUACAUUGUGAGGCAUUGGGAGUGUUAUGUUACUUAGGGCUAUAAAUUAUGCAAUUGGCAAGACUAGAAAAUUGUCUUAGUCAAUGAAUUAGGCUUGCAAUAUGCAUUAUGCAGUUAUGUUAUUUUAUUUUAUUUUCUAUUGAGAACAUUAGAAGGUCAAAAAGAGUUAUACAUCCAAAUGACUUAAGAUAAAUGCAUAUGAUAAUCAAUGAACAUGACUCAAACUCAACAAUUUUUUCACAGGUUUGGUUUAAGUAUAAAUGAGUUUGAGUUAAAUUCAUACCGCUUUGUUUAAACCUAUUUAAUAAGUAGGUAGUUUAUUUUGUCAAUCGACAUAAUAUAAAUGUUAAUAUUGUGAGUUGGUAGCUAGGUAAAGAUGGGUGUCAAGUGUUUUUAGAAUCACUUUGUAAUUGGGAAUGUCCAAACCAAUCUUUGCAGUGGUCCAUCUACCAACUGAAAUUGGUGAGGGCAGAGGCUAGACUACUCAAGGUAGGGUGCAUGUGGUGUUUGUGGUGAUACCCCUACGUGAAAAAAAAGAAAACUCCAUCCUCAUCCACUUCAUUCUACAACCCAUUCUCUUUUCCCAAAUACCGAAUAAAUACCACCAUCAUCAGAAUAUGUUUUAUGUUUCCAAAUGAUGUUCAAAUUGAUUACCUCCACUAUUAAAAUUUAAGCCCAGUUGUACUUGAGGUGGAGACAUAAUCGCCCACGUGUCAAUUCCCAUUGUGGCCGCCUAAUUUCUCUCCCAAGCUCUCAACUAGAUAGGCCUGCUUGCCUGCUAUGUGAGAGUGACUCUACUCUUUAUAGUCUCUACUCUCUCCUCUAUAUAAAAAGGUUAUGGUCUGUGGCAGAAGGUGCUGACAUUCAAGAUUGAAGUUUCUCAUUUCUCUGCAUUUUCGCUACAUCUUACCCAUUUUCCUUUUUACUGCCACUACUUGCUUCAUCGUCCUCCCAGAAAACCCUAUAAACUCAAAUUAAGGAUAGGUUCAGAUGCAAGUGCAGACAAAUGACAUAUUCAUUUUAUCAUGAUCACUAGCAGCAUCCCCACUUGACUUGGCUCAUUUCCCCUUCUACCUUCCAUUUCACAUGCUUCUUUUUAAUUACUUGUUGUUGGCUUCAAGUUAAAGGAAUGAAAAAAUAGGCCUCACACUCUGUUUGAACAAUAAAUCUUGGUGAUAAAAUGUUGGUGAUAUUAAUUUGUAUGGGAACAUUACCUAUUAUGAGACGAAAAAACUUUUCGGAUGACAUUGAAUAUGCAUAAUUGUUUGUUCAACAAUAUGAAUUUUUUACUUUGUUUGAAUAGGUUGAUGGACGCUACAAAUAGGAUAUACUGUUACAUUUUUGUGGGAGGCAAACUUGUCUAAAAAAAUUAUGGGCAAUGGGAAUACGUGUGUGGAAUAAGCAAAGGUAUUCACAAAUAUAAAGGAAUACCAUUUGAAGAAUUCACUAAAAAAGUCUUAGAGAAAUUCGACAUCUUCCUUGAUGUGAUGAAGAUGCACUACACCCUCAAGUUUAACCCUAGAGUCAUCCAAGAUUUAGAAGAUGAGGAUGACUUGGAUAAUGUGGUUUCCCACAGUGAUGACUUUGCAAAUGUGUACAUAAUAGAGUCACCCCGUGUGGAAGCCAUUGAGGCAAAUGUACCAAAUACACAGUUGGCAUUUGGGUAAUGCGUUUUGACAUGAAUGUCCAUUUAAAAUAAUGUGAAUAUCAAUUUUACGCAUGAUGUAGUCUAAUGUUGUUUAUGUAUGUAAAUGCAGAGGUCUACCUCCCACGUUUCCUUCCUCUAAUGCAUCAUGCGAUGCAAUUCCUAAUACUAUGAUGCUAUCAAGAGGUUUUGCAUCGCGUUGUGCAUAUAAUGAGUACACCCCUUUGGAAUUGAAUUAGUUUCAUGAGGCAAUAUUAAGGGCAGGACAUACAUUUAAAAAUAUUGAGGAGUUUUGAAAUGCAAUAUACUAGAUGUCAUUAGGUGAGAGGUUUCAAUAGAAGUACAAGAAAAAUUCACCUACUCAUAUGUCCAUAAAGUGUUCGGUUGAGGGUUGUCCUUGGAAGAUAACAGUUCACGCUGUAGAAGGGAAUGUAAUCUUGUGAGUUCAUACUUACCAAGUGAAUCGUAAUCAUAUAGCUCAAGAUGAGUGUUCAUCUAAGGUGAGGGUUACUUCAAAGAGAGGCAUUGUUAUUGUUGAAGAUGUGUUUAGAACCACUCCAGAAUAUCUUCCUUGUCAAAUAUGCAAGGAUUUGAAUGUGAUCAUGGAGUUGAAUUGACAUAUAACCAAGCAUGGCACCUUAAAGAGAAGGAAAAAUAGCACAUAUAUGGAGCUCCACGUGAGUCCUACGUGUUUUUGCCUUGGUUAUGCCAUAGACUAAGGGAAAUAAACCUUGGAACUAUUGUGGAGUACACUUCUCAUAAAGGUCAUUUCAUGCAAUUGUUCAUUGACCAUGCAUUUUCAAUUCAAGGGUUCAUCAUGGGGUGUCGAUCGAUAUUGGCAAUUGAUUCUUGCCACCUAAGCGGUCCAUAUAAGGGAGCUCUUUUGUCUACCAUUGCAUAUAAUGUAAACGAUAGAAUGUUCCCUCUAGCUCUUGGUGUGGUCAGUUUAGAAAAUUAUGAAGACUAGUAUUUAUUCUUGGAGAAAUUAAAGGGGGUCCUAGAUGGUAAAGAAGUAAUUAUUAUAUCAGAUAGACAUCAGGGGAUAUUCUAUAAUGUUUCCAAGUUGUUUGGGACAGAAAAUCAUGCAUAUUGUUAUCGACAUGUGAAGAAAAACUUUUCUAGCUUUUUCAAUAGGCAAAACAUUAGAGGAAAGAAAGGGAAAGAAGAUGCUUUGUUGCUUUUGGACAACAUUGUGUAUGCUAGGUUGGGUAUAGACUACAAUGAGCCAUUUGAAAAACUUGUGCACUUCAAUGACAACCUAGCAAAAUGGGUUAUGGAAAACAAUCCCAAGCAUUAGGCGAUGUCAAAGUUCCUUAAAAAAUUUUGGGAUAAAAAGACAACUAAUAUUGUAGAGUCCUUCAAUGCAUGGUUAAGAGAUGAGCGCCACCAAACAAUUUAUACGUUGUUGUUGAUGCACAUGGAUAAGCUUGUAGGCAUAUUGGACACCCAUAUUCGUGGCUACCUUAUUUGGGGGAGGGGAGGGGAGGGGGGGGAGGGGGGGGGGGGGGACAUUUAAGGGGUUUAUUGGGGAGGUUUAUUUGGUUGUGGAUAUGCAUCAACGUAUGUGUACUUGUAUGACAUGGAAAAUGUCCGGAUUGCCCUGUGCCCCUGUAUGUGCUGUCAUCCCCCCAAUGGGACCCCACGUGUAUGAGUUUAUCGACCCCUGUUUUCAUGUUUCCCCUCCACCUUUGAUUUACUCGGGAUAAUUUCAACCCUUNNNNNNNNNNNNNNNNNNNNNNNNNNNNNNNNNNNNNNNNNNNNNNNNNNNNNNNNNNNNNNNNNNNNNNNNNNNNNNNNNNNNNNNNNNNNNNNNNNNNUAGGUUGGGUAUAGACUACAAUGAGCCAUUUGAAAAACUUGUGCACUUCAAUGACAACCUAGCAAAAUGGGUUAUGGAAAACAAUCCCAAGCAUUAGGCGAUGUCAAAGUUCCUUAAAAAAUUUUGGGAUAAAAAGACAACUAAUAUUGUAGAGUCCUUCAAUGCAUGGUUAAGAGAUGAGCGCCACCAAACAAUUUAUACGUUGUUGUUGAUGCACAUGGAUAAGCUUGUAGGCAUAUUGGACACCCAUAUUCGUGGCUACCUUAUUUGGGGGAGGGGAGGGGAGGGGGGGGAGGGGGGGGGGGGGGACCUUUUAAGGGUUUUUUGGGGAGGGUUUUUUUGUUGUGGAUAUGCCUCCACCUAUGUGUACUUUUUUUAAAUGGAAAAUGUCCCGAUUGCCCUGUGCCCCUGUUUUUGCCGUCCUCCCCCCCAUGAGACCCCACCUGUAUGAAUAUAUCCACCCCUGUUUUCCUGUCCCCCCCCCACAUUUUAUUUUCCCCGGAUAAUUUCCACCCUUUCCCAUGCCCCACAUGCCCCAAGUUUGUGAGGAUGGGAGUUUGCCACCCCCCCCUGUGUGACCUCCCCCCGGAAGAUCCCCACCAAAGCCCCUUUAGUCCUAAUUUUGUCCUAAAAAAACAAUUCCUUUCUCCCCAUGUAAUGGCCAAAGUAAAAACCACCCCAAAAAUAAAAAUUCCUUGUUGUGACAUGUCCCCUUUUUUGCUUGUAAGGUUUUCUUAUUUUUUACCCUCCCNNNNNNNNNNNNNNNNNNNNNNNNNNNNNNNNNNNNNNNNNNNNNNNNNNNNNNNNNNNNNNNNNNNNNNNNNNNNNNNNNNNNNNNNNNNNNNNNNNNNAGACUAUAAAGAGUAGAGUCACUCUCACUUAGCAGGCAAGCAGGCCUAUCUAGUUGAGAGCUUGGGAGAGAAAUUAGGCGGCCACAAUGGGAAUUGACACGUGGGCGAUUAUGUCUCCACCUCAAGUACAACUGGGCUUAAAUUUUAAUAGUGGAGGUAAUCAAUUUGAACAUCAUUUGGAAACAUAAAACAUAUUCUGAUGAUGGUGGUAUUUAUUCGGUAUUUGGGAAAAGAGAAUGGGUUGUAGAAUGAAGUGGAUGAGGAUGGAGUUUUCUUUUUGGGGGGGGGGGGGGGGGACAUUUAAGGUGUUUAUUGGGGAGGUUUAUUUGGUUGUGGAUAUGCAUCAACGUAUGUGUACUUGUAUGACAUGGAAAAUGUCCGGAUUGCCAUGUGCACAUGUAUGUGCUGUCAUCCGCACAAUGAGACACGACGUGUAUGAGUAUAUCGACCCAUGUUUUCAUGUCUCCACUCAACAUUUGAUUUACUCGGGAUAGUUUCAACCAUUACCAAUGCACAACAUGCCCAAAGUUUGUGAGGAUGGGAGUUUGCAACCUCCACAUGUGUGACGUCCUCCAGGAAGAUCCCGACAAAGGCGCAUUGAGUCAUAAUUUAGUCAUAAGAGAACAAUUCAUUGCUCUCGAUGUAAUGGCAUAGGUAAUAACUACUCUAAAUAUAAUAAUUCAUUGUUGUGACAUGUCCCUUUUUGUGCUUGUAAGGUUUUCUUAUUUUGUACCAUCCCUCAUUAUUCCAUUCUAUGGUAUAUGGUAGGGGGGGUUAAUUGAUUUUGGUUCUUAUGUAUUGGUCUUGUUAUAGGCACGAUGAACUAUCUUUUUAUUUUUACAAUUCAGUGUUGGUUUGAUUAAUCACUUUAAUUGAAAGUACAAUUUGAAUGUGGUAUCUUUUCACUUGUUGUUUAAUUUCAUAAAGGUGUCUACAUUAUGAUGUAUUUCUUGUUUUGCAUUAUCAAAAUAAUGUUGAAUAUUAAGAGGGAGUAGGGUUGUUGAGGUUAUCGAUCUCAAUCUUGAUUAAUUUCAAGGUGUAAUUGUUCUCAUAGAUUUCAUCAAUGAAGAUCUCUAUUUAGCCAGAAUCACUAACUUUUAGUUAAUGAAAACAAUAGAAUACCUACAUUGUCACAUUUACAUUUACUUCUAUGCACUCUGGUAUGGCCAUUUUUUCACAUCUUGAAUGGUUAGAUGGACAAAACAUCAUUGUUAGUCCAACAACUUUUAGUUGGACAUGUUCUUACAAAUAUUGGGGCUGAAUAAAGUGCAUAUAGCAUCUCUUUCUCGUUGAAUUAACUGUGCUUUAUAUGUACGUACUUUUCUUGCUACUAAACUACAAAAGCAGUUGCAACAAUUGUCUUGUUGUGUGAAGCAUUAUUCAUGCCAGAAAAUAAGUCCACCAUUGUAUAAUAUUUUAGAGUGAACCAUGUAAUUGAUUGGCAUGUCACUAUAGAAUCAAUUUUUUAACAAUGUUUAAACUUCUCUUCAUUUUAAUAUGAUAUUGUUAUGCUCUUCUCAUCCUUAAGGUUCAUUAUAUUGAACUAAUACAUAUUAGACAAUGUCAAAUUUGUAAUAUAAUUUAUUAUUGAGUUGCAACUCUCAUCCUCAAACAAUUUUUGCAGUUUGACUGGUUUUUUAACAAUUUUUUUGCUUUGGGAUGUCAAUUAUUUAGAACCAGAUUCCAUUGGUUUAGUGAUGUCUUUGAUAAAUAUCUUCAUGUUCAGUAGUUGUUGUAUUUAAAGUUGAGGGUCUACUCUAAUGUAAUGUAAACUUGAGAUAAAUCUAUCCCAAGGAUAAAUGAAUUUUUGAAUUGCUAAUUUGCUAAAAAUGUUAGUAGUUUGAUUGGUUCAUGGUUGAAUUAGUGUGUUGCAAUGUGUUUUAGAUUUGUUAGAGAUUUUUUUGUGUUUCACAUUUGAGAAACUAACUAUCAAUUAAAUAUAGAUUGUCCCCAGUAAACUUGUCUCUUCUCCGCAUAUCACUAUCCACAUGGUUGAGGUGUUCAGAUGCAUGGAUAGUUGUUGUCAGCUCUUGAUGUUGUAUCUCUUUGAAGCCUAAAUGAGAAAGAAAGUUUGUUAUUAAAUUAUGCCACUUAUUGGUCUUGGUCUUUUUUUUUUUUUUUUGGGAGAGAGAGGGGGAGGGUUUGUCCUUUAUUAUUUCCACUUUUUGGUCUUUUCUUCUUAUCGCAUCACAUUAUGCUUGCACCUAUUUGAAGUCGUGAUGAACUCCGAACAUGUAAGAAAAUCUGUCUUUCAAGGUCUCUCCAAUGAGAUAUACUUGUUACGUAGCUUGACCCUAGGGUUAUUCUAUAUUAAAUUCUUCAUUAUGUGAAUUCUGGUAAGUUGGCAAAAGAAUAGUAGUUCAUAUAAGUACUUGCUUCCGAAGUGGAAGUUCUAUCCUAAAUUGCCAUUUUUUGGGUUUAAUUCAUUGAUUUUUUCCUUAUAAAUCUGAAUAUGGUGUGCCAUUACCAAAUUUAUCAGUCUGAUGAAUGGUAUGGCUGUUUAAAUGACCAUUCACUUUAUUAUGAGUUAUUCUAGGUGGGAAAUAACUACUAUAAACCAGAUUUCAAGUAAGCAGUUGCUGCAAGGUUGAAGCCUACAAGGAUAUUUUCAUUCUUCAAUGGCCUCUGUGGAGGUAAUGUAUUAUUUCAUGUAUUUUAUUUUCAUCAAUUUUCUCUAGAACUUAAGAUUUUAGCCUACUUGAGACAAUUAAUUGUGUUAUGUGUUAAGGAUUGUUUAUUGCAUGAGCAUUCACUUUCAAAUUAUUGAUCCACAUGAGCUCAUUGUCAGGACAAACUAUAACUAGGCAGCUAUUAUGCAAUUUGUUAGAACAUCUAGUACAAAAUUUAAUUCCGCGUUCAAUGGCAACAGUUAUAUACUCUUUUUUAGGCUACAUGAGAUUGAACCUAAGACUUCUUUAUAUUAACCAUUCCUUAAUCUCUAACUUCUUCCAUCUUUAUUCCCUUAAGUUUUCAAAUCCAAUCAUUAGGGACAUUGCAUUAGGCCCUAUUCAGAUUUGAACUAUUAUUGGCUACAAAAUAAUACACCCAUAUUACUAAUUCAAAUCAUUUAUACUAGAAAUAGAGAAUGUAAAAUUUAUGACAUAUGAAAUAGAUUACACUAAAUUUUAUAGAAAACAUUCAGGAAUUUGUAGCACUAGUUAAGAAAGGAACCUUACCUCGUGAAAUUGAUGCUCUAGCUCCAACUUUGACCAACCACGUCAUGAAAUUAGAUUAAAAUCCAUGGCAGUGGCGAUUAAUUAGAUAAAAAGGCAUAGAUCAUGAACAGUAAGAAGCUUCAAUGCACAGUCCAUUUUUCUCAUGUCCACUACAAUUUAGACCUAUACUAUUUCUCCACAAUACUUAAUUAGCAGCUGUAUUUAUGUUAAUGGUUUUUGAGACUAUUGAUCUCCAACAAUUUUAAAGCAGGCCACCAGAUUGUCGACACACUGCUCAACUUCAAGAUUCCUAAAACUAUGCAAUAGGUUACCGAAUGAUAAAUUGGAAGUGGUUCAAGACCUCCAGUUUGGAGGUCUUCUUAACAUAAACUAUAAGGAGAUAUGCCACAAUAUGUCUUUGGCUAAUCCACCAUUUUAAUGUUGGAUUCGGAUGCAUAGACAUCUCAGCCGACAAAAAAAUAUGAUGUUAUAGCUGUUGAUGUGGGGCUUGUCUUUGGCCUUCCGAAAAAUCGGAUGAAUUCUACCAAUUGCAUCAACCCCAUUUGAUCUUCCGUUCGGUACAAUCUGCACAUGUGAGGAGAGGCUCCUUAACUUACUUGUUGGAGAGGAGUUCUGAAUAUGCUUCAUUUACUACAUUUGUGCGACAAUAUUGGCCCCCACCUCAAGAAUUGAUGGAUGUCGAAACUUAUGGCAUACCAUCCAUGAAGAUGGUUUCAUAAAUGAUGUUAACUGGGGCCAAUUUGUUAUUAACAUGCUUGUAGAGGGUAUAAAAUGAUACAAGCAAAGUAAUAGUGCUUGGGUACAUGGUUGCAUCCUCUUUCUACAGGUAUUGCAUUUUUUUUACAUGUGUUACUUGAUAAUUUUUGAAUUGUUAACAUCAAUAGCCCCAACUAACCAUUGCACAUAUGUUUAUUUGCAUGGUGCAACUCCAUUAUGUCAUGAAAUUCAAGAUUCCUUCCAUCCAUAUUCCCAUUACAGUGCCCUAACUGUCAGCAUAGACAAAUAAGUUGAUAAAUCAGCAACUAGCUGUUGAGAUCAAGGAGUUUGGAACUUUUGGACAUGGCGAGGUAGUCAUAUAGUCUAUAUGCAUGUAGAAAUGUAAUUUGAUGACAUGCCAAUUGAACACUUUAAAGGUCUAUGUGUUCUAAACAAGCGUCAUGUUCUUAAUUGUAGGGGUUCGAUGAAUCGCCACCACCACCUACACAUGUGAAGGCCGAGAGUAGGCCCAUGAGUAGUGAUGUACGCAUGAUUUGUUGUUAUUUUACGACUUCAAUCCAUUUCAAUGGGAUUAUAAUUGGGCUUACUUAUCAAAAUAUUGUAAAAUAAGGGUUUUAAAUUUCUUUUAAAAGAUUUUUAUACUGAAUAGACUUGUGCACUUCGGUUGACAUGUGAUAGGAAAUCUAGGAGCAAUACCAUAAAGUAGAACACACAAUAACGAACUAUCAGAAGGGCAUACAAUAGCAACCUGGCGUCAUACGUGGGCUAAUGCAAAGAUUGGGGGCUCGAAGAGAAAUAGGUGUACCUUCGAGUGUUACUGGUCACUCUGGGUAUUCAUCUGAUGUCUUUCUCGUGCCCGAGUAGCAUCCAAACUCUGCCUAAGAUGACAUGGCAUGGCAUGGUACACAAGACGUACCUGACACACCACUUAGGUAGCUAACCCUAGAUUUUCAUACGGAGGUCGAAGAGUCAAAGUCAAAACUUAAUGGUAACAUUCUAGGGGACAUUCAUUACUGCAAUAGUUCCUACAAAAUAACUAAUGUAAUAGUGUCCUUUAUUAAACUGAUUAGUUGUUAGUCCAAACCAACAAAUGAUGAAGUAGUUGUCCAUGACAUAAUUCCUUUGCGUUCUGUGAUUUUGGCCCCGUCCGAGAGGGGAGGGAGGAGAUAGAGAGUGCAUUAGAUGGCUCCCAAUCUAUUGUCACCAUUCAUAGCGCAGCCACAAAUACGACAGUCUACCAUAAAGAUGGACCUGAAACAAGCAGUUGUAGUUGUAUUUGAUGGGGAUUUGGACCCAAGGUAUGUAGAACCAUAUUCUACUCCAAUUUCAAUUAUAUGAACUUGAAAAAAUUUGUAUUACCCUAACAUAUAUGUUUAUGGUGACAGUGAGGAACUAGUGGCAAUGCAUGACACAAGUUUAAGUAGAGGCAAUCUCGCCUUUUUAGAAUGAGACAAUUGGAUUAGGAAUGAUGUUAAUAUCACAAUUGAUCCAUGAUCUUCCAUUAUUUUAAGUUUCAAUUCAAGUAACAACUGGUCAUUAGUGAUUGUUAAUCUUGCUUACACAUUAAUCAUUUUUUGCCUUAGGUCGUGGAUGCAUAUUGUAGGAUGCUGCAGUUUGAAGAUGUAUCAAAGAUAAAACUGUUUUUUUUUUUUUUUUUUGAUAUACAUAGUUGUAAUGAAGAACUUUUAUAGAGAUUGAAUUUCAAUGAUUAGUUGUUAUAACAUGUACAAAAGUUUUGCUAAAUUUGAAAGCUUUAAUUGUUUCCAUAUGAUAUGUAGGAAAUGGUCAUGUGCUCCAACACUAAACACUUGACGAGAGAAGCACUAAUAGCCCGUUUUGAACCACAUUUGUAUCCCAUGGAUGUUUCAUAUCGGAAUGUGAAUGAGGUGAGGUGGACUGCAUUGUUUUAUGUUUGUAAUAUUAUAAUCUCAUUAACCCAAUAUUGGUUGUAAUUGAUUGUAAGUCGAAUAAUACAGGUCUACUUACCGGUUAGUGUAAAGAACCAUUGGACACUAUAUGUUUAUGACUUGCAGAACAAGAGAAUCCAACUCCUGGAUUCUCGUUUGAGAAGGAGGAGGAGUUGUAUGAGUGGAAUACAACAUAAUUUGGUAAAGUAGCUUGUAGUUGGGUAUACUUUUUUGCAUUGUACAUAAGAAUGGAAGUUUAAAUUUGUGAAAGAAUUGAUUGUUUCAGGCGAAGGUUGUACUAUGGCUUGCUACCCACAAGAAGGAAGUAUUGGAUAUAGAUUUGAAGAUGUUCAGUUUCAUGACGCCAAAUGUACUGGCCCAGCCAAAUGAGUGAGUGUUUAGGUUGCAGUCCAAAAUAAUGUUUAAAUUGAUUGAAACUUAUUUUAAGUAUAUUAUAAUUGUCAUUCCACAAAUAAUGAAUAAUCUGUCGUAAUAUUCUAUGUUAGCCAUAACUACAGAAUAUUUAUUAUGAAAUUCAUGGACUACUGGUCAAUGGGAGGAUUCUCCAAAUCCAUUGAUGUGGUAUGUACAUGCACCAAAGUAUUAUAAUCUCAUUUAUAUGAAAUUAGCAUUACAUAGGCAACUUAAUUAACAUUUUCUUAUAUGUCUUUUAAACUUGAAUGAAUAUAGGGCAAGUUGAAGAAGUAUAGACUGAAGAUUAUGGGCAUAUUGUUGUUUUCCACAUAGAAUCAACAUCGACAUUGAUUUAUGGCAGAAUGAUGGGGAUUGUUGAAUUGGAUGUGACGAGGUUAAAUUGAGAUGGUUGUACAUUAUUUGAGAAAAACAAAUUGAUGUAAAUGUAUGCAUAUGUUAUUUGGUAGUAUUUGGGGCAGAAUACAUAGAUAGAUUACAAGUUAAGACCGAUUUAAAUUAAAACUGACCACAAUGAAAUGGUGAAGACUUCAGACUGAUUUUGGACAUAAUCACAAGUGAAAUGAAGUUGUAUAAUAGAACUAUGUCAUAUAUUACUACCUCAGCUAUGGUGACUUGAUUUUUCAAGUAACACGGUGUUAUUGGGAAUGUGGAAAUAGGUGUGGAGGUUGAUUUUGGACAUGUAGAUUACGAUGAUAGUGACAAUUACACAAUGUGAUCUUAUAGGAAAGCUAUUGUUCAAAACUGAAUGUAAUUGUAUGGCAAUUGUACAAGGACUUUGGUUAAAGUGUUUUUUUUUUUUUUGUUUAAAAGUAUAUUGAUUGUAUAAGAGAGUAUUGUCAUUUGAAUUAUGUAAGGAGUUUAAUUAAGGUUGAUAUUACAAUUGAUAAGAAGGUAUUAGGUGGUGGGUGUUUAAUUGAAUUAAUUGUCUUCUAGUUUUAAUAUAUUAUGUCUACCAUAUUAGUUACACUAAACUUUAUGCCCAAGUAUGUUGGGUUUAAUAAUAUUUGUGUACUUCUAGUGGGAAAACUAGAUAGGUAUAUGGAUUUACCUUAGGGAUUAAAUAUCUCCAUUUAAUUGAGGUAUUACUUCCAGGUAAUAGGUAGAGAAUUGUAAUGAAAACCCAAAAACUCCUUUAACUGCUUGUUUCAUGUCAAAAAUUAUAUUGUUCCAACCCAUCUACAUUUUCACUGUAAAGAGCAGCAAAAGGUUCCUUUUCAGUGGGACCAAACCAAAUAGGAAAGCUGUAAAUUGAAGUUUGAAUCAAAGUUGAAAAUGAUACAAAUAGAUUAAGGAAAAUUAAGGUUAGACUUGAGAGUAGGGAUUUAGGAUGUCCAAGCGGACAAGUAGAAUGAAUUUGAUGUAUCUUUAUGGGACAUAAGAUACAGUAGAUAUCAUUGAAGUCAUGUGACAUUCAUCAUUAGGAGGAACAUAAACAAAAGUCAAUAAAGAUGAAUCAAGUCCAUUGCAAGAAUGGUUAAUUUGAUCAAUUUAAUGAAUGUGCCAUUGCAAUGCAGUGUUGAAGUAGGAUGGUAACUUGUUUAGCAUCAUAUGCCAUGAGGCGUGUGUCCUUAGGAUUCUAAUUUACUAUCUAACUUUAUUGAAUAUAAUUGCAUGGUUUGUUGUACCAAACUCCCAAUCAAAAGACAACAAACAAUAAAAGAGUCAAAACAUUUUAUCCCAUUUGGAGGCUUAUUGAAUAUAUGAUGACCAUUCCCACUUGGUGAACCAUCUUAUGUAUCAUGCCCCCUGCACAUAUGGAUGCUUCAAAUUUCCUACUUUUCUAUAAUAAUAAUAUAUCUUAAUAGGUUUAUAAUUAUCACAAUCAGAAUGGUUUGACAAGAUUUAUAUCUUAUAAUGGAAAAGAGAAUAUAACAUAGAACUGGUUACAUGGAAGGACAUAAAUAGUGUAACUCGAAUCUAAUCGGACAUGUAUUCAAGUAUGCGCAAAAUGUUUUCAUACUCCCACAUUGACAAAUCCUGACCAUUGUCUUAUGCAAAUUGGAUGCAAAUACGCAAUAAUGACUCACGAGCUCUAUGAUGCAUCAUUCGAUUAUUUGCUAUGUGUAUCUCAACUAAUGCAUAUUCAAAUGCAAACAUUCUUUCAUGAUGCAUGUGAACAACAAUUAAUGGGGGAACCUCGACAAGUAGCUGUUGUAAUUCCAUGACUAAAUCAAUUUGUUGUUGCAUAUUAUAAGCCCACUCUCUACGCAUUAUUCGUAAUUGAUCAUUGAAGCUAGCACCAUGUGGAACGCUUAAGAUGUCUUCAACUAGGAUCUAAUUCCUUCUUGAAUCCAUCCUCUUAUGAACAAAUAAAUUGAAUGAUGGCAAAAGAAAUUCGUAUAACACAAGAAACCCUUAUUGUAAGGCGAUAUUGUAAAUGUCAUGGAUAGAGUUCUAUAUAUAUAUAUAUAACAAAUGCAGUAAGAAACAUUCAUUUCAUUGAAUAUUUAGUGUAAUGAAAAUAAGAAGAAAAAAAAAUGAGGUUGGAUUUUGAUAGUGCUCUAUUAGAUGUGACUAGACAUACAUAUUUUAAUGACAAGACAAUGAUGUUCUCCAUUUCCCAAUGGCAUUACAAAUUUUAAAUGUUACCAUUGUAAUGGAAGUUGGUGCACAUGAGUGUUAAUAUGAAAAGACAACAAAAAGUAUUGUCACAAGUUGGCAUAGAUGCAUGUGCCAGUCUGAAAUUGAGAAGACAAUAAAAAAGACUCAUCUAAAGUUGACAAGAUUAGACUAAAGUACUUUGAAUGGCCCACAAAUCACUAUCGAGAUUCAUUGUAUGCAAUUGUCAUAGGAAACAGUGAAAAUAUGACAUGAUAUGUACACAACAGAGACACUAUAGCAUAUAUUUAUUUGAAAGUAAGGAAAUUGAAAUUUUAACUGUCUUCAGUUGUUAAUCAAAAUUUUGGGCAUAUGCACACUUCUUUGGCAGGUUCAACUGUUAUUGUAAGUGAUAGACGAUAGAAGGGGUAGACGAUAUCUUCACUUAGGGAAGUACUAUUGGCCAAGGGAUAUAUUUGAGCUAUCAAGCCCAUAUUGGGCAUUAGGAGAUGAUAAUUUCAUGUACUUACUAAAGCCAUUGGAGAAGUAUUUGGAUGUGACCAUGUGCACCAUGGAAAAUGAGUAGAUGCAUUUGGGGGAGGAAUCAACAAUUCUAGUCCAACAACUGACUAUUUUAAGUGUACAUGUACCACGUAGAAAUUCGUUGUCUGUUCGUCAAUACAAUCAAAUUAGUUUAUCCGAAGCACUUAAUAAGAUCAGGGAGGAAAACAACAUGAUGGCUAUUAAAAAAAAUAGGGUAAUAAUGUUGGAAGAGGCAUGGAACAAGGCAUUGGCAAAUGGUAAAGAACUCAAUGAAGAGGAAGAAGCAAAAAUUUUGUCUCUACUAUAAUGCAAAUUGGAUUUUGAAAUCUCUGGUGAGGAGUAGUAACAUAUAUGAAUGACCUUACCUGAAUGAACCUUAUGUAACGUAUGUAAUAUUGUACUCCGAAUUUUGGGAUAUUUGUUGCAACUUAAGUAAGCAAAUGGCUAAUAAUUAAUGAUCAACUUUGAUUCCAAAUGUCCCAUUAUUAACUGACCACCCCAUGGUAUAACAUUCAAAUUAACGUCACAUAUUGUUAGUCUUACAAUCAAUUUUAAAUAACAUUGGCAUAUUACAUGUCAUGGCGUAUCGAAUAUAUUCAUUCUGUACACAUUAUAGGUGAAGUACAAUUUGGUUAAGAAAAAUUAAUAACUAUCUUUUUGAAUUUACCAAUGAUUCACAUUUUGCCACUUUUUGUCAAUAUGUGAUAGCAAAAUAAAAUAAUAAUAAUAAUAAUAAUAAUAUAUAUGUUAUAGCAAACCGAAUCGAAUAUAUUCGUUCUAAAGAUCUUUCCGGGAGCCAGAUAUGACGUUAUAAUGUAGGUGAAGAACACUUUGAUCAUAGGAUAUUAUUAACUUUUACCAAUGACUGAAAGUGAGGGUUCACGAGAACACUAUUCAUCUUAAAAUUGACUACACAAUGACACUUUUAAAAAGCACACGUAUUUAUAUUUAAAAUUUUAAUGUAGGUCUUGUACUUUUAUGUGUGUAUUGCAGAUAGGCCCUCAUGCCAAUAUUAUGACUAGGCCCUCCAACCAUUCUUAAAACUAUAUAAAUGCUAUAACCUCAACUUUAACACCAUUGUCUGGUUCAAAGCACCAUGUAAAGAACCUUGAUUCCAAACGGAUAACAACCAUAUUGUUCAAGUAUGUUUGAAGACAUAAAUUUAUAUUUCAUUUCUUCAAUUAAGCAUAUUAUCAAUGUUAUUGGCAAAUAUGAAAGAAAUACUCAUGCAAAGAUUGUGUGAACCCGCAUUUUUCACGUGUACCCCCACUCGAUCGGCGAGACUUGCUUUCAUUUGGUGAAGAUUUUGUUUUUGGAAAAGUCGGAGUCGCCACUUAUUUUACUUUAUUUUUAAAGGGAAAAUAAAACAAGAAAUAAAACCCUAAAAAAUGACUCCAUAGUUUUUGGAAAAGCAUGUCUUUGAAAAACCCGAGUCUAGGUCUAGGGAUCGGGUUACUUAUUGAGAAGGUGCCUCUAGGAGAUAGCACCCCUCUAAGCCCUAGAAAGGUCUCUACUGACUACGUUGAAGGAAAUGUGGCAAUCAACUGAUUAAUUGAGGGUACCUAGGUAGGCUAAGGUGAUAUCAAAACUAGCAUGCCAAACAAGAAAAACCAAUCACACCCAUAAAGGAAAGUUAGGAUGCGUACCUAGACCAUUUCUUAAGCGCUAUCAUAAAACAUCAAUGGUUAGUUUAGAUAAUAUAUCACUCAACAUGAAUUUUAUCAUGAAUGAUCAAACAAUGUAGCAAAUAUCAAGAUAUCCCAAGCAUUCUCAAACAUAGGUAUAAUUCAUAAUGACAAUCAUAUUUACAGAAUUUAGAAGGUAGGUGACAAGAGACGUACUUGGAUAGCAUAGAUAACUUGUAACAUGCUUCCACAAGACAUGAAAGGUUAGAUAACAAACAAUAAAAUAAGAAGUCCUAGCAUGCUUGUUAUCUAAUUAGCAUAGAAAAAAAUUAUCACAAUAUACGAAACCAUCAAUUAUCACUUAUAUCUUCUAUAUAAUUCCUAAAAAUUAAAUAGACAUGAGUUCAUCAAAUAGCAAAGGGGGCAACAAAGAUGAGUUUUGAAAAUUUUCCUUAUGUAGGGGUUUCACCAAUUCCCCGAUUGAUAUACAAAAAUCUAGCCUAGAAUUAUCCCAUUUGUUUGGGACCACAAGCUUGGAUUCAUGUCUUACUCAAAACUUUAAUUUUAUUUGCAAUUUAAGAAAGAUGCGAACUGAUCAAAACAUGGUUGCACAUUAUUUGAGAAAAUGAGAUUUCGAUUCUAAGAACUCUAAAUGAAUUUUUGAAAUGGAUUUUUAAAGGGGUCUUUUGAGAAUAGUGUUAUGUUUUAAAAAUAAAAGAAAUUAAUUUGAAAACAUAUAAAACAUAUGAAUCAAAAUACCAAGCAAAACAAAAGAAAACAAAAUCACAAAGUAGAAUUUUUUAUAACCGAGAAAAUUGAAGUGGUGAGAAUGGAGGCCAAUCUUCACUAUUUUCUGAUGGCCUCCUAAAAUUAAAUUUUACCAAAUACUACCAAAGCAAUAAACUAUUCAAACUUAGAUCAAAUAAGCUAACGAGAUACCCACCAAGAAUUAAUGACGAAUAUUCAAGAAACACAUCCAUUAAGAAUAACAAUCAAGAAUUAGCAUGAGAUCAAUUAAACACACAAACACAUCUAGAUUGAUUAAAAUGAACCAAAUUAAAUCAAAGCAAACAAUAAUUUUCAAACAUAGAAUUAACUUUAUUAAUGAACUAAUAUUAUAUAAAAUACCUAAAUCGAAAAGAUGUGUGAAACUAAAUUAGAGUAAACUAAAGGCAUGAAUUUUCAAAUAUAGAUUGAUUUUAUUAAUGACCUAAAAUUAUACAAACUCCUAAAAUAAUUAAAAUGAAUCAAUUUAAACGAAAGGAAACUAAAACAAAAUAUGAAUUCAAGGAAUCUAAUUUCGAAAUAAACUUACAUUAUUAAAAUGAAAUAUAGGCUUAAAAAAAAUAUAUUCAAACAUAGAAUUAACUUUAUUAAUGAACUAAUAUUAUAUAAAAUCACUAAAUCGAAUAGAUGCAUGAAACUAAAUCGGAGUAAACUAAAGGCAUGAAUUUUCAAAUAUAGAAUUGAUUUUAUUAAUGACCUAAAAUUAUACAAACUCCUAAAAUAAUUAAAAUGAAUCAAUUUAAAUGAAAGGAAACUAAAACAAAAUAUGAAUUUAGGGAAUCUAAUUUCGAAAUAAACUUACAUUAUUAAAAUGAAAUCUAGGCUUAAAAAAAAAUUUCAAACAUAGAAUUAACUUUAUUAAUGAACUAAUACUAUAUAAAAUACCUAAAUCGAAUAGAUGUGUGAAACUAAAUAAGAGUAAACUAAAGGCAUGAAUUUUCAAAUAUAGAAUUGAUUUUAUUAAUGACCUAAAAUUAUACAAACUCCUAAAAUAAUUAAAAUGAAUCAAUUUAAACGAAAAGAAACUAAAACAAAAUAUGAAUUCAGGGAAUCUAAUUUCGAAAUAAACUUACAUUAUUAAAAUGUAAUCUAGGCUUAAAAAAAAAAUUCAAACAUAGAAUUAACUUUAUUAAUGAACUAAUAUUAUAUAAAAUACCUAAAUCAAAUAGAUGUGUAAAGCUAAAUAAGAGUAAACUAAAGGCAUGAAUUUUCAAAUAUAGAAUUGAUUUUAUUAAUGACCUAAAAUUAUACAAACUCCUAAAAUAAUUAAAAUGAAUUAAUUUAAAUGAAAGGAAACUAAAACAAAAUAUGAAUUCAGGGAAUCUAAUUUUGAAAUAAACUUACAUUAUUAAAAUGAAAUCUAGGCUUAAAAAAAAAUUUUCAAACAUAGAAUUAACUUUAUUAAUGAACUAAUAUUAUAUAAAAUACCUAAAUCGAAUAGAUGUGUGAAACUAAAUCAGAGUAAACUAAAGGCAUGAAUUUUCAAAUAUAGAAUUGAUUUUAUUAAUGACCUAAAAUUAUACAAACUCGUAAAAUAAUUAAAAUGAAUCAAUUUAAAUGAAAGGAAACUAAAACAAAAUAUGAAUUCAGAGAAUCUAAUUUCGAAAUAAACUUACAUAAUUAAAAUGAAAUCUAGGCCUAAAAUAUAUAUAUAUAUAUAUUUAACACUAAUAAAGGCAAGUCUAAAAUCAAAUAUUUAACACCUAAUAUUAAUUAUUUUAACGAACAAAAAUUUUACAAGAGCACCUAAACCUGAAGUUAAACAAAAACACUAACCAUAAUAUAUUUUAAAACAAGAUCUCUAACCUAUAGAAUUAAUUUUAUUGACAUAUGGAUAAAUAGACAACACAAAAAUAAAUAAUAUAAUUAAAAAAAACAUGAAUUAAUGGAAUCAAUUUUCUAAAUAAACUUACAUUAUAAAAAUGAAAUCCAAGCUUAAAAUGAAUUAAACACUAAUUAAAGCCAAUCUAAACUUAAAUUCUUAAUACACAUGAUCAAUUAUUUUAACAAACUAAAAUUUUACGUUAACCACAAAUUAAAUUAAUGGAAUCAAUUUUCUAAAUAAACUUACAUUAUAAAAAUGAAAUCUAAGCUUAAAAUGAAUUAAACACUAAUUAAAGCCAAUUUAAACUUAAAUUCUUAAUACACAUGAUCAGUUAUUUUAACAAACUAAAAUUUUACCUUAACCACAAAUUAAAUUAAAAAACUACUUGAGAUAAAUUUCUAACCUAUAAAAUUAAACUCAUAAUCAAAUGGUUAAGUUGAUGACACAGACAAAAAAAUAUGAAUGAACUAAAAUAUGAAUGAAAUAAAAUAUGAAUGAAAUGAAAUACAAACUCAAGGAAUUAAAUAUUUUUUUUAAUAAACUUAUGUUAGUAAAAUAAAUUUGAGCUUAACAAACAUUUUUAUCACUAAUUAAGGCAAUUUUAAAAUAUAAUACUUAACACAUAAAAAUCAAUCAUUUCAACAAACUAUAAUUUUAACUAAACCUAAAACCAAUUCAAACCACCUUCAAUAGAUUUUAUUUUAUUUUAUUUUAAACUGAAUUUUUAACCCAUAGGUUCAAUCUCAUUAAUAAAUAAAUAAAUAAAUAAGUUACAAAGCAUUAGAUUAGUAGCAAAUAAAUAAAUAAACAACUAAUAAUUAAAUGAAUCAAAACUAAAUUAAAUAAAGAUCAAACUAUAUGUUUUUUCUUAAAGUAAAACUACAUAAAAAAAAUUAUGUUUUCCAAAUUUAAUAUAAUAAAUCAAAAACUAACCCUAAACACAAUUCUCAUGUUGCCAUAUUAAAACGAAACAAAUACAUGUUGGCACUAGUAAUAAAAGUCAAUCCACUUACCUAUUAUAAUAAUAAUUCCACUAAAGAAAAAUAUCCAAACUUGCACUGUUACAUAAACCUAAAUAACAAUUCUAGUCUUUAAACUCAUGCUACCAUAUUCAAAAUCAAUACACGCCGGAACUUGUAAAAGUCAAACCACUUACCUUUAUAAUAAUAUUUCCACUAAAAACAUAUCCAAACUUGCAUUGUUACAUGAAACACAUGCUGCCAUAUAUAUAUAAAAAAUGACUCACCUAGCUUACCAAAACAACAAUAUGUAGAUAUUUUCUCCAAUAUGCUCGGGAACCAAGGUGUUUUGGUAUGUGUGUUCAACCAAAUGGUUUCGUUGGUGAGUUCAAACGGCCGCUCCUCUAUUCUCAAAUCUCCUUACACCGAUCCUUUCACACAAUCUCUCUUGCUUGUGAUGAUCUCUGGAAGCAGUAGUAGUCCCCUGAUCUAAAUAAAAAUCAGCAGCAGCAGCAACCCGCUCCUCCAUUUUCUUCUUUCUUAAUGACGCCCUUUCGCUCUGAAAAAUUCCUUGCAUAGAUCCAAAACGACAACUCCCUCUCACGCUCUCAAAGCUCACUCUUUCGAUCCCUUCAAACAACCCAUCUCACGCUCUCAAAACUCUCUCUUCAGAUCGUCUCAAACAACAACUUCUCACGUUCUGAAAACGUGGACUGAUCUUUGUUCGAAUAGCAGCCUAUGAUCUUUUCAACAUGCCUACUGAUCUCUUUCCAAAUGGUCGUCUCUAGUCCCCUCCAUUUUUCAUUCGAUGAUCCCCCUUCCAGAAUGAUAAAAAAAAUUGAAUUCACAACCGUCAGAGGAUCAAAAAGCUCUCUUCUUCCCCUUUGGUGAUGAGAAAAUAUAUCCCUCCCCAUGUCAGCAACCCGCUCAUUUUUUUCUUUCUUUUAUUUUUUUCCUUUUUCUGAAAAUUUCCUUUCCCUAAAAAAAAAAAAAAAAACAACUCAAGUGGUUAAAAGUCAACAUUGGUUUCACUAAAGUUUGAAGAAGUGAUUAAAUAAGUAAAUAAGAAAAUAUGAAUAAAUAGAUGAAAAGGAUAAUAAAUAAAUAUUAGACAUAUUCAAUAAAAAAGAAAUUAAACUAAUGCAACAUAUAAUAAUAAUCAAAGCGUCAAACUCGAACCACCAAAAAUUUAAAAAUUCCUUUCAUGCAAUCAUAAAAUAAAAUAAAUAAACAAAAAAAUAUAAAUGAUAAUGAUAUAAAAUAAAUCAAAACUCACUUAAUCCUAAAAUUAAUCAAUAAAAUAAAUGAAUAAAGAAAAAAAUGAGAAAACAAAUCUAAGUGAAACUAAACCUAGAAAAGUGUCUAAGUGGACUUAAGGUUCUGCCUAAUGGGCCAAGUGCACCUAGAUGAGCCUAAAGUACCUAAGUGAACCUAGGAUGGUGCCUAAUGGGCCUAAAGUGCCUAAGUGGGCCUAGGGUGGUGCCUAAGUGUAUCUAAGUGAACCUAAAGUGCCUAAGUGGGUCUAGGAUGGCUAAGUGAGCCUUGGGUGCCUAAAUAGCCCUCGGGUGCCUAAGUGAGCCUAAGUCUAAAUUAGGGUUGCCAAGAGUCACAAUGGGGUUAAAUGAACCCCUCAACCCAAGUCCCCGAGGUGGCUUAAAAAAGAUAGGCCACACGAGUAGUAAUGGGCCACCAGGGAAUUGCUGUAAAGGACAUGUGCUAGGAGGACAAAAUGGAGGGUCUACAAAUAUGCCCCUCUUCGGUAGAGAUCACGAGUGUAAGGAAUGUGAGUAAAAUAUGAAUAAUGAGUGGAACGAAGUGAACUAUACCGAAGAAAAAAAAUAAAAGGACCAAAGAUUUUGUCCUAGCACAUGACGAGAGUAAGCUCGGAACACAAGGUCGCAAUCACAAAAAUGGAACAACUCUAGGUCGUGAGCUCAAGGCUCUACGUGGAAAGAAUGACUCUGGGUCAUAGAUGAGAAAACGACUCUGGGUCAAGAGAUUUACGCUCUAAAUGGAAAAGAAAUGACUCUGGGUCAUAGAUGAAAAAACACGACUCCGGGUCGAGAGCUCUGGGCUCUAAAUGAAAAAUAAAUUACUCUGGGUCAUAAAUGAAAAAAAAAACGACCCUAGGUCGAGAGCUCUGGGCUCUAAAUGGAAAAGAAAAGACUCUGGGUCAUGAAUGUAAAACGACUCUGGGUCGAGAGCUCCGGGCUCUAAAUGGAAAAGAAAUGACCUUGGGUCAUAAAUGAAAAUCGACUCUGGGUCGAGAGCUCUGGACUCUAAAUGAAAAAUAAAUUACUCUGGGUCAUAAAUGAAAAAAAAUGACUCUGGGUCGAGAGCUCUAGGCUCUAAAUGGAAAAGAAAGGACUUUGGGUCAUGAAUGAAAAACGACUCUAGGUCGAGAACUCUGGGCUCUAGAUGGAAAAGAAAUGACCCUGGGUCAUAAAUGAAAAUUGACUCUAGGUCAAGAGCUCUGGGCUCUAAAUGGAAAAGAAAUGACUCUGGAUCAUAAAUGGAAAAUCGACUCUGGGUCGAGAGCUCUGGGCUCUAAAUGGAAAAGAAAUGACUCUGGGUCAUAAAUGAAAAACGACUCUAGGUCGAGAGCUCCGGGCUCUAAAUGGAAAAGAAAUGACUCUAGGUCAUAAAUGAAAAACGACUCUAGGUCGAGAGCUCUCGGCUUUAAAUGAAAAAUAAAUGACUCUGGGUCAUAAAUGAAAAUCGACUCUGGGUCGAGAGCUCUGGGCUCUAAAUGGAAAAUAAAUGACUCUGGGUCAUAUAUGAAAAUCGACUCUAAGUCGAGAGCUUUAGGCUCUAAAUGGAAAAGAAAUGACCUUGGGUCAUAAAUGAAAAUUGACUCUAAGUCAAGAGCUCUGGGCUCUAAAUGGAAAAGAAAUGACUCUGGAUCAUAAAUGGAAAAUCGACUUUGGGUCGAGAGCUCUGGGCUCUAAAUGGAAAAGAAAUGACUCUGGAUCAUAAAUGAAAAACGACUCUAGGUCGAGAGCUCCGGGCUCUAAAUGGAAAAGAAAUGACUCUAGGUCAUAAAUGAAAAAUCGACUCUGGGUCGAGAGCUCUGGGCUCUAAAUGGAAAAGAAAUGACUCUGGGUCAUAAAUGAAAAACGACUCUAGGUCGAGAGGUCCGGGCUCUAAAUGGAAAAGAAAUGACUCUAGUUCAUAAAUGAAAAACGACUCUAGGUUGAGAGCUCUAGGCUCUAAAUGGAAAAGAAAUUACUCUGGUUCAUAAAUGAAAAUCGACUCUAGGUCGAAAGCUUUGGGCUCUAAAUGGAAAAAAAAUGAAGACUAACUCGAAAGUGGAUAUGAAGCAAAUGAGCUCAAAGUCGUAUACUCGAAAUGCCAAGGGUCAGACUAUUGAACUUGGGAAAUGAAAUAUGCCCCAGUAUCCAGGGUGCUCACAAUGCUGAAACAACCAAUAAACCAAUCAUCCACUGAAAUCAAUGAGUCAGAAACUGAUGCAGCAUGACAAACCUCUAAAAAAAAACUAAACCGAAAGAACUCUCUAUGUCUCACAAGCUGCUCUAGCAACAAACCCUCUAAAUGUAAAUCUCACAGUGUGUAUCGCAACUUAUCCAAAAGCAGAUCUCGAAGUGUACAAAGAAUACUGCUCAUCUAGAUAACCCAAUCUGUAAUGUAACAAUGACGAAAGCAAUCUAUCUCAUGAGCAUCCGACUAAAGAAUCCACCCAUGCUCAUACCGCCACGCAAACAAAAUCUCAUCAAGAGAGCAGUAUGCCCCAGUAUAGUAUCUAAUGUCAGAGUCUUGAGGCAAAUAACCAACAAUGUUCAUCCAUCUAUGUAUAACCCCAUCGAGGAGAGAGAAAUAUGCCCCAGUAUGGAUAUCUGGUGCACAAUAAAGAACAUGACAUCGUCAACCAAACAUCUGUCAACGUCAAUCAAUCACCUGAUAACAUCAAUCAAACAUCUCAAUGAUCAAGAUCAAGGAUAGCCACACAACCCAACCACGAUUAAGGAUAUUGGAGCAAAGGGAAAAUAUGCCCCAGUGUGGAUAUCUGAUGCACAAUAAAAGGAUUAAUCUAACAUCAUCAAAGGACUGUCUCCAAAUAAAAAAUCCAGUAAACAUUGAUAUACCAAGCAAGAGAGAGAAAUGAAAUGCUUCCAAAAGUAUCUCCCAUAAAAGAAAGCAUAGUAACGACUAUACUUCAACCAAUCUACAUAAGCCCACCCAAGUGAAAACUGUCUAAGAUAGCGUCUGAUCUCAUGGCCUCAGGGUGGUCUUAAGACACGGGAUGUAAUGUAGGCCAAGGUGAUAGGGUGAAAGAAAUGAAAGGAAACUAGGUUCAAAUACCCAAUAAUCAAACCCAUACCCUCAUGUACAAGAUGUAAUGCAUAGAAGAAUUCUCAUGAGCCAUGGACCUAAAGGUCGUCAAAAGAAAUGUCGAUGGAGAAAUAAGAGAAAGAAUAAGUGGUCAAAACAUGAAUGAAACAUGUGAAAGAUGUGAAGAAGGUAUCAAAUAAAAAAUGUGUAUCAAUAUGUAGGAAAUGGACAAAAGGUGGAAAACAAAAGAUCUGGAAAGAGGUGAUGACACCCAAAAUAAGGCAAUGAGAAAAUGGAAUGAAUGAUGAUCAAUGCAUAUUAAUGCAAUAAAGGAAAGUCAUAUAACCAAUGAUCGAAUUGUGGGUAAGACAAUGAUCCGGAGACCCUAGUAAAAGGUUACUCAUCUCUCAUACCUAAUACAUAUCAACCGUGAUCCAAGAAGCAUAAGAUCUCAUAGACCUUACAUAUGAACUCUCAACACUCCAAAUGCAUAACAAAAGUGGCUUAAAGAACACAAAAAAAAGUCAUCAUGGAAAACUCGCACAAACUCUCAGUGACAAACCCAAUAAACCCUUAAAUAACAACACAUGCUCAAUGGAGUAGGAUGUUAAAUACAAACAUAUUUUUUUUUCUUUUUUUUUUGUUUUGUUUUUGUUUUUGUUUUUUGUUUUUGUUUUUUUUCUUUUUUUUUUUUGUGCGCAUAUUCUAGUCAUCAAUAAGUCAUACUCCAAUGAGAAACUACAAGGAAUGAAUAAACUCUCUCAAAUCAUUGAUGAACACACGAAACCCUAUCCUAUGAGACAACCUCUCAAGCUAAAGUCUCCAAAUCAAUGCCAAAUGAUGGAAUAAAGAGAGUGAUACAACUACCCAAUAUGCAUCAAUAUGUGAAGAAUCAACAUUCCAUGUGAAGAAAAUAUGAAGUGUAACAACAAAUGAUAAGAUUCGAGAUCAAGAUAAAAAUGUGGAAAUAAUGGAGUGCAACAGACAGGGUGAUGAAGUGAUAAUAGAAAAGAUGAGAAAGAUAAACCUAUAAGUCCACAACUCAUGAGGCUUUACUAGCAAAUCAUAACUAUACAUCAAAGGGCCCCAACCCGGGUAUAGAAAUGAUAAGCAAGGCUAUAGAAAAGAAAAAGUUAUAACAUACCACGCGAGGCUCAAUAGGCUAGCAAUGGUCUAAUAUAUCAAUAAAGGUGACAAGGUGUAAGGCUAACCGAUAUGACGACCACCCAUCCUGCGACCAUAAUCUCAAACGUAAUACUUCUUCAACUGAUCCACAUUGGUAGGCUCUGAAAAUUGGUUUCCAUCUAAGUCAGUCAACCAUGCAACCUCUUCUAGAGUUAACUCUUGAAUAACAUAAGGCCCACUCCAACUAGGUCUGAACUUCCUCUAGGGUCUCCAACUAAGCCUCUAAGAAUCCUCAAAACCAAAUCUCCUUUCUGUAAUGGUCUCGGCUUAACUCGUUUCCUGAAAGCACGAGCCAUCUUUCUUUGAUAGGAUUGAACAUGAUUAGUUGCUUUCAAUCUCUUCUCAUCUAAAAGGUUAAGUUGAUCAAAUCGAGCUUGAGCCCACUCUGUCUCAGAGAUUUUCUGCUCGAGAGCUACUCUCAAUGAACCCAUCUUUGUCUCAACUGGUAAAACAGCCUCCAUACCAUACAUCAGAGAAUAAGGCGUAGCUCCUGUAGAGGUGCAAAAAGAGGUAUGAUAUGCCCACAAUGUAAAAGAGAGUUUCUCUGAUCAAUGUUGAGAGGUUUCAACCAUCUUCCUCAAAAUCUUCUUAAUAUUUUUAUUUGCGGCCUCUACUGCCCCAUUAAUCUGUGGCCUGUAUGCAGAAGAUCUAUGAUGUCGGAUGCCAUAUUUCUGCAACAAAGUGUCAACCUCAGCUCGAAUGUGUACCCCUCUGUCAGAAAUCAACUCAUGUGGCACCCUAUAAUGACAAAUGAUGUGUGAUUUGAUUAAAUUGGCGACUCUAGCAGAUGUUAACUUUCCAUAUGAUGCAGCUUCCACCCACUUGGUGAAAUAAUCUAUGGCAACUAAGAUAAACUCAUGACCACUAGAAGAUUUCGAUGAAAUCUUCCCAAUAAUAUCAAUACCCCAUAUUGAAAAUGGCCAUGGCAAAGUCAAAGCAUGUAACUCUGAUAGUGGUGCAUGAAUGAGAUCACCAUGAGUCUGGCACUCGGGACAUCUCUGAACAAACUGACAACAAUCUAUCUCCAUAGUCAUCUAGAAGUAACUAGUCCUCAUAAUCUUAUGGGCCAGCAUGUGUCUUCCCAUGUGUGAACCAUAAACUCCAGUAUAAACCUCUCUCAUCACUCGAUUUGCAGAGGUUCGAUCUAAACAUAAUAAAAGCAUACCAUCAUUUGAUCGCCUAUAUAGAGUCUCUCCACAAAUAAAAAAUCUUAUGGCCAACUACCUCAAUGCCCUUCGAUCCUUGGUUGUGGUUGCCACUGGGUAUGUGCUAGAUCUAAGGAGCUGAUAAAUGUCAUGAUACCAAGGUAGAUCAUCCUGAGUCUCCGUCUCUCCAACCAGACAAUAGUAAACGGGUGCAAACCUCAACUCAAUCAGCAAUAGACGUAUAACCACAUUCAUUGGAAUGUCCACGGAAGAAGUUAAGAUAGCUAAGGCAUUAGCAAACUGGUUUUGCGCUCUAGGUAGACGAGUGUAUCUCAAGUCAUCAAACCUCUCAACCAGUAACUCUAAAUAAGCAUGUAAGCUUUACAUCCCUAGUCCUCCAAUCACCCUGAAUCUGUCUAAGUACGAGAUUGGAGUCACCAAAUACUUCCAUCUGUCUAAUGCCAAGCUCCAAUGCAGUCUCUAAACCAAGGAUACAAGCCUCAUACUCAACUAUGUUGUUCGUGGUGGGAUAUUGAUCUGAAAACGUCAAGCGAACUGACUUCAGAAUAUAAUCACCCUAGGGGGAUAUCAACAAAACACCUAUCCCAAACCCUGAGUGGUUAGCUGCACCAUCAAAGUACAUACACCAACCGGAUAAGCUAGUCAUAGCAAUGAACUCUUCAUCUGGAAAAUCAUCAUCAACUGGUUUACUAUCAGAUAUCGGUAAUGAGGCCAAGUGAUCGGCGACAAUACUUCCCUUAAUAGACUUUUGAGAAACGUAUUGAAUAUCAAACUCUGUCAAAAGUACGAACCAUCUCAUCAAUCUACCAGUCAAUGCGGGUCUGUCAAACAAAUACUUCAAUGGAUCUAGCCGAGAAAUCAAACACACUGAAUACUAGAUCAUGUAAUGCCUCAAUCUCUUGGUGGCCCAAACUAACGCUAAGCAAAGGUGCUCAAUCAUAACAUAUCUCAUCUCAUACUCCAACAUCCUCUUACUCAAAUAGUAAAUAGCUCACUCCUUCCCAGAGUCAUCGAGCUGAGCUAGCAUGCAUCCCAAGGCCAUGUCUGAAACUGACAAGUACAGAAGAAAUGGACGUCCUGGCAUAAAAGGCACUAAAACAAGAGGAGAAAGCAAGUACUCCUUGAUCUUCUCGAAUGCAAUCUGGCAAUCAUCAUUCCAAACCGUUGGCUGAUUCUUCCUCAAAAGACGAAAGAUGGGCUCACAUAUGUCUGUCAAUCUUGCUAUGAAACGACUUAUAUAUUGUAACCUGCCUAGAAAACCCCUGAUCUCUUUCUCAGUCCUGGGCAAUGUCAAGUAUGGCUUUGAUCUUAUCUGGGUCAACCUCUAUACCCUGCUUACUGACCAUAUGCCCCAAUAAUUUCCCAGAAGUCAUUGUAAAUGUGCACUUCUUGGGAUUCAACCUCAAUCUGAAUUUUUGAAUCCUUUCAAAGAAUCUCUCUAGAACCGCUAGGUGAUCUGCUCUGCUUCAGGAUUUCACAAUCAUAUCAUCUACAUAAACUUCCACAUCCCUAUGCAUCAUGUCAUGACACAAAGUGGUAGCGGCUCUCUGAUAAGUAGCUCCUGUAUUCUUCAACCUAAAUGGCGUAACUCUGUAACAAUAGGUACCCUUCUCGGUAAUGAAGUCUGUCUUCUCCAUAUCCUCUAGAGCCAUCAAAAUCUAAUUGUACCCCGAAAAUCCAUCCAUGAAAGACAACAUCGAAUGACCUAUAGUGCUAUCGACCAACAAAUCAAUAUAUGGGAAAUGAAAAUCAUCCUUAGGGCUGGCUUUAUUAAGGUCUCUGAAAUUGACACAAACUCUAACCUUGCCAUCCUUUUUAGGAACUGGGACGACAUUAGCCAAACACUUUGGAUACUCAACCAUUGAUAUAAACCCAACACUAAGUUGUUUCUGAAUCUCCUCUUUCACCUGUAGACUCUAAUGUGGGUGCAAUCGUCUCAAUUUCUGCUUAACUGGUUUGACAUUUGGCAAGAUAGACAAAUGGUGUUGGAUGAUAGAAGGAUAUAGACCUGGCAUGUCCUCAUAAGACCAUGCAAAAACAUCCAAGUAUGACCUAAGUAAAUGAAUAAGUCUAUCUCUCUCGUCUGUAGAUAGUGGUGAACCAAUCUUCAGCUCUCUAGGCUAAUCCUUUGUGCUAAAAUCAAUAGUCUCAACAUCCCCUACAGUAGGUGAAACUCUCUCAUCUAUCGGAUCUGAAUCACGAUCAAAAGAACCUCUAUCUGAAUCAGGCUGCAUGAUCUCAUCAUCUAUAUCCAGUAUCUGUGGACUGAGUGAGUAUGGUGUAGAUAUAUAAAUACUAUCACAAGAGACAGGUAAAUACUCGAAAAUACUCAAAUCCAUAGAUAUGGAAUCAUAAACAUCGUCAGAGCGGGAAAUAAAUCCCGAUAAAAUGUCAAAUGAAAGAGGUAGGUCCAUAAAGUCGGACGUUCCUUCAAUAAAGCCAAAAAUAUCCUCAAACUCAUCAUCACCAAUUGUAACAUCCUCCAUAAGCUCUAGAAAGAGAAUUGUCUGGGUCUCCUUUGCAACCUCAAUAGCAGACACCCCGAACAGAUCGAACGAUGAAGCAAACUCAGGCUGAACCACCUCGGCAAUCUGACUCAUACUCAUAUCCACCUCAUCCCAAUACUCGUCCUGAGGAACAACUCCAUUAGUCACCCCACUAGACUCAAUGUCUACUCCAUAAUCAGUAGUCUCCUCUAGAAAGCAUAAUGAUAAGAAACUGGCUCGAUCUGGUGACGAAUGAGCAAUCAUCACUGAAACUGGUGCACCAGAAGUCUCAUCUCCUAACUAUAAAUGAUGAAACUGAUGCUGAAGCUCAUCCACUCCCUUUAUAUCAGUUGCAGCGUCAAAAUCCCCCAUAUGAGGAUGGGCCUCUGAUCCUCUAACAAAAUAGUCUGCCAAGCUCAUCCCAUAAGGACAAACAAGAUAAUCGAAUGGUGUGUAUGUCAGACGGGCUCUCACUCUCUCCCAGUGCAGACGUGCCAUAUACUUAUAGUUAGCCUCUAUAGGAACAAACCCAAGCCCAAAUGGUGUAUCAUGAUCGACAGUAGCCACAAACUCCAUGGGUCCAUGCUAAUGUCACCCUAACCCUAAACCAGGCAUAAAAGACAUACCCUUCAUCAUGUCAAUUACCACCAUACUGCUAUGCUGAUCAAAUGACAUAGCUACGAGAUCUCUACAGAAGUCCUCAACCUCGAGAGUCUGCACCUCAUCAAAUGUAAACCAGGACAAAAAUAGGUCCUCCUCACUAUGACUGAUCUAAAACACCUGCUUGGAUGAGGCAAACAUAUCUUUAGGAGACUGUACCGUGAUGACCUGCCCGUCAUGUAUAAACUUCACCUUCUGAUGAAGAGAAGAUGGAAUAGCCCCGACCUUAUGAAUUCAUGGUUGGCCCAGAAGCAAGUUAAAGGACGUGGGAAUCCUCAAAACCUGGAAUAGGACAUCAAAGUAUCCAUGACCUCUCUCUUAGUACUAUCAUAUGCUCUGACCAUCUGUGUAGAGGGACCGAAGUCUGAAGGUGCAUAACUAAAGGCAAUAGCAGUAGUCAAUGGGCAAACGUUCAAGGCUUAGCCAUUGUCCAAUAGGACGGAUGGAACUCUGUGGCCUGAAUUACCAACUGUAAUAUAUAGAGGGCGUGUAUGGUCUGAACCCUCUGGUGGCAAGUCAUCAUCUGAAAACACAAUACAUGUGGCCCUGUCGGCCGUCAUCAUAUGAAUCAACCCUUUCGGGGUAGUGGUGGUCUCCACGUGGAUCUGGCUCAAAGCCCAAAUCAAUGCAUCUCUAUGAGUACUAGAAGAUGCUAGCAAACUCCAGAUAGAUAUGCGGGCUUGUGUACUCUGUAACUGCCUCAGUAUCUCAUCAUCCUCUCUCUUAACCUCCUCAUGAGAAACUGCGCCAUCAAAUGGCCUAGCUACUAGAGGUGGGGGUUGAGCUACUCUCCCACUACAGGUCACAAUCUAUACAUCUCUCCCUUCUAAAUCAUCAUCAUCUAUGAUUCGUGCCCAAUUGGUGUCUCAGCUGAUUCAUGUCCAGCUGGUGCUCCUUGAUUGAGGGAGUAAUCAACAAAAUUUAUAACCUAUAACACCAUACACUAGGGUAGCAAAGAAAAAGCUACUAUAGUAUAGUGGCUCUAGAAUCGUUCACUGGGAAUGAUUAACAAGCUAUCAAUGAUACCAAUUCAAAGUGAAUUGGUCUUGUUUCAUUUCAAGGUUAGCUUAAGAAAUAAAACACAAACUUUGAUUGGUAAAGGUUUAGACUUAAACUAACUAACACAACAAGUAAUAGGAAUAACUUAGGAAGAAAAACAUUCCUUGGAGAAUUAGGUUCACUGGGGUGGUUCCUCAUGCAAAAGACAUAGCUCCGGUCAGAUGGUUCAUUUCCUCGCGUUAGAGAUUCAACAUAUAGUCAAUUCUCUAACCGGUGUUGUACAAAUACAUCCUUCAAUUUGAUUUCACUUUAAUUCUCUCACUGAUGCAACUUGCAAUGGUUUAAGCCUCUCACUAAGCCUUAACCAUUCAAGGUGAUCUUUAACCUUGGAUUACCCGUCAAAAGCUCGCAAGAGAUAACUAAUGGAUGUCUCCUAGGAGUCCAAAAGCUUACCAAGUGUUGGCUAUUCUAGAAAAUCCUACCUUAAAGUCACCUCCCAGAGGCUCGCAAGGGGUAAACUAGUGCAUUUCCAUGGUUGGAAAUCACUUGCCUUACCAAGUGUUGGCCCAGGUGACUCUAAGGUGUUUUAAGUUAACUAAAAACAUAGAAAUCACUAAAGGAUUUCACUUCCUCUUCAUUACUAGCUAAAACCACAAAGCUUUGCAUUCUUGCACUUGGAACCUUCCCCAGCAACCUUAGCUCCAAGGAAUUAGAGGUUUAGUUACUCAUUCUUUGGGGAAAACUCCUCAGAGAGUUCAUAACUUAGUAAUAAAUAAAAAAUACAAAGUGAUAAGAUAAGGCAAUACAAAGAACUGAACUUUACUUGCUUACCCAAAACUUUACAAAAGGAUCUCCUCCCUGAGAACAGGCUCCCGAGAGGUAUAUAUAUGAACAUAAUAUAAAACUAAUUAUUACAUAGAUAUUUUCUCUUUUUUACUAACUUAAAAGCUAAGGAAUCUUGUAAUUGGUGGCUUACAAGGAGUAUUUUGGGAUUUAGACAACAAAAAUCUGAUGUAAAAUAUCUCCCAAUGUCGGUAGCAAAUAUCGGGAGGCUCCAGGAACCAUUUCGCAAGAGAAAAUGGUGUCUGCGAGAUUUCGCAGAUACUCAAGAGGGCUGCGAAAUCAUUUCGCAACAACAUGCUAUCUUCGCAGGGCUGCGAAGUUGGCUUCCACCUUGAGGUUCCCAGCUUCCCUCUCGCGGUAUAUGUCGGGCAACUUUAGAAGGAAAUACACCCUACUGUACAAAAAGGCUGCGGAAUCACUUCGCAACAAAAGGGUUAUUUCGCAGCACUUUGCAAAAUGCUUCCUUCAGCUCGGAGUGAUUGGCUUGCAAUGGCUGCAACUUCUUCGUUUCAACUCCGAAUUGCUCACCGUUUGAAGCAUUGGAUUGUUGACUUCCUGAGCAUUGAAAUGGUAUAUAGCAUACAUCAAUUGAACUUCAAAAAGUGCUCCAAAAGUGGCUGCUACGACUGUCAUCAAGAAUAUGCUUCAUGGCAGAUUCUCUUUACUUUUUCUCCUUGCAAUCCGGAUUUACUCUUGGCAAAUGACUCUUAAGCUUUGCCCAAGAUUCCUCAUAACUCUCCUCAGUCUUGACUUGCUUUGGUGAUCAAAUUACUAACAAAAACACCAAAACUUACAUAAAGUGAUUAAAAUCCCUUUCAAGGGUCCUUAACAUGCCAACUGAGUUAAAAGGCCUAAACUACUACUCAAAAGUGUUUAAAAGGAUUAAUUAUAGGCUAUCAAAUAGCACUUUUUGAGUAGUAAUCAAUCUAGUCGUAGGAUAAAUGGGACUGGUGGGCCCUAACGUGCUAUAGUCGACAGUGCAGUAGGAGUCAACUCAAAUGGUAACGGCACCAUUUGAUUCGAGGUUCGAUCCCCGGCAACGGCGCCAUUUGAUUCAUGCCCAAUUGGUGUCUCAGCUGAUUCGUGUCCAGCUGGUGCUCCUUGAUUGAGGGAGUAAUCAACAAAAUUUAUUACCUAUAACACCAUACACUAGGGUAGCAAAGAAAAAGCUACUAUAGUAUAGUGGCUCUAGGAUCGUUCACUGGGAAUGAUUAACAAGCAAUCAAUGAUACCAAUUCCAAGUGAAUUGGUCUUGUUUCAUUUCAAGGUUAGCUUAAGAAGUAAAACACAAAAUUUGAUUGGUAAAGGUUUAGACUUAAACUAACUAACAUAACAGAAGUUUGGAAUAAUUUAGGAAGAGAAGCAUUCCUUGGAGAAUUAGGUUCACUGGGGUGGUUCCUCAUGCAAAAGACAUAGCUCCGGUCAGAUGGUUCAUUUCCUCGCGUUAGAGAUUCAACAUAUAGUCAAUUCUCUAACCGGUGUUGUACAGAGACUCCUUCAAUUAGAUUUCACUUUAAUUCUCUCACUGAUGCACUUUGCAAUGGUUUAAGCCUCUCACUAAGCCUUAACCAUUCAAGGUGAUCUUUAACCUUGGAUUACCCGUCAAAAGCUCGCAAGAGAUAACUAAUGGAUGCCUCCUAGGAGUCCAAAAGCUUACCAAGUGUUGGCUAUUCUAGAAAAUCCUACCCUGAAGUCACCUACCAGAGGCUCGCAAGGGGUAAACUAGUGCAUUUCCAUGGUUGGAAAUCACUUGCCUUACCAAGUGUUGGCCCAGGUGACUCUAAGGUGUUUUAAGUUAACUAAAAACAAAGAACUCUUCAUUAAUAGCUAAAACCACAAAGCUUUGCAUUCUUGCACUUGGAACCUCCCCCGGCAAACUUAGCUCCAAGGAAUUGGAGGUUUAGUUACUCAUUCUCUGGGGAAAACUCCUCAGAGAAUUCAAAACUUAGAAAUAAAAUGAAAAUACAAAGUGAGAAGGUAAGGUAGUAGAAAGAAAAUAGACUUUACUUGCUUACCCAAACGUUUACAGAAGGAACUCCUCUUUGAGAAUAGGCUCCCGAGAGGUAUAUAUAUGAACAUAAUAUAAAACUAAUUAUUACAUAGAUAUUUAGUCUUUUUACUAACUUAAAAACUAAGGAAUCAUGUAAUUGGUGGUUUACAAGGAGUAUUUUGGGAUUUAGACAACAAAAAUCUAAUGGAAAAUAUCUCUCAAUGUCAGUAGCAAAUAUCGGGAGGCUUCAGGAACCAUUUCGCAGGAGAAAAAUGGUGUCUGCGAGAUUUCGCAGACACUCAAGAGGGUUGCGAAAUAUUUUCGCAACACCAAGCUAUCUUCACAAGGCUGCAAAGUUGGCUUCUACCUUGAGGUUCCUAGCUUCCUUCUCGCGGCAUAAAUCGUGCAUCAUCAGAAGGAGAACCACCUUACUGUACAAAAAUGCUGCGAAAUCACUUCGCAACAAAAGGGUGAUUUCGCAACACUUUGCAAAAUGCUUCCUUCAGCUCAGAGUGACUGGCUUGUAAUGGCUGCAACUUCUUCGUUUCAACUCCGAAUUGCACACCAUUUGAAGCAUUGGAUUGUUGACUUCCUGAGCUUUGAAAUGGUAUAUAGCAUGCAUCAUUUGGACUUCACAAAGUGCUCCAAAAGUGGCUGCUACGACUGUCAUCAAGAAUAUGCUUUAUGGCAGAUUCUCUUUGCUUUUUCUCCUUGCAAUCCGGAUUUACUCUUGGCAAAUGACUUCUAAGCUUUGCCCAAGAUUCCUCAUAGCUCUCCUCAGUCUUGACUUGCUUUGGUGAUCAAAAUACUAACAAAAACACCAAAACUUACACAAAGUGAUCAAAAUUGCUUUCAAGGGUCCUUAACAUGCCAAUUGAGUUAAAAGGCCAAAACUACUACUCAAAAGUGUUUAAAAGGAUUAAUUAUAGGCUAUCAAAUAACACUUUUUGAGUAGUAAUCAACUACUACUCAAAAGUGUUUAAAAGGAUUAAUUAUAGGCUAUCAAAUAGCACUUUUUGAGUAGUAAUCACUCCCCCCAACCGACAUAUUGCUAGUCCCUUAGCAAUAUAGGAGAGAAAAAAUGAAAAUAAAAAGCAACCUAUACUAAAAUUUACAACAUCAUGCUGAUCAAAAACAAUUCUCAAGCAGCAUGAUGAUCUAAUUCUCUCAUGAAACAUUAAAGAAAUACAAAUCCAAAUUUCAACAAGAGUUAUAACAAACUAUGCUAAACACUUUCAAUCAAGGGAGUGCAUUAUGCAAACUGAAGUUUUAAAAUCAUUUCCACUUUCAAAGAACCAAACUUUAAUCUUCCACAAAAAUCUAUGUGUAUUGGUUCCUUAGGUUCCGAGAAUAAUAUGCUAAACUAAUCUCUCCCCCCAACCUAUCUCUUUUCAACACUUAGCAAAUUGACCAAAAUCAAUAAAGAAAGAACACACCUUUUUUUUUUUUUUUUUUUUUUUUUUUUUUACAGAGGCUUUAUGGGAUACUCUUUCUGAAUUGUCCAUGUAAUGGGGGUCCAUCGAUGACUCCCAACCAAUUAAGGUUUAGGGCACCAAGAUUUAAGGAUCUUCCAACCACUAACUCCUCGGAUUUUACCCCGGACUUUUAAGAAUGAAUUUCUAAUACCCAAGCAUCUACCAUAUGCUAGCUCUACCUAUUCACCCUUAUAACGAGCAUUGAGGUCAGUGACUCCCAACCAAUUAAGGCUUAGGGCACCAAGCUUUAAAGAUUUUCACCAUAUACCCCUCAGACCUUGCUCGGGUUUCAAGGCAAGCAAACAACUUUCUUUAUUUCAAAGGCUCAUUGGCCUUUUGCAGGGUGUUUCAAUUUUUAUCAAAUGAGGUCAAAUAUACCAAGUCCCAAAAUUAUCCUAAGUCAAGAGGGAAAUAGCUUUUCAUCUUAUAAUCGGAAUCUAAUGUGCACAGUGUGUGAAUAGCUUAAAGUGGAAGAACUAAAUUCAAUUUCAAUAGAAGCUUCAACAAUUGAACCACUUUAGUGAGCAUAAUCCAUACUCUAAGUCAAGUGAAAAACAACAGUUCAAUUUCUCCUAGUUUAAUUUGAAAAUUUUUCCUCAAAAUUCAUGGAGAUUAGAGUAAAAAGAGUAAAAAGUAAAAAUUACAACUAAUUUACCAAAAUAAUUGCAUUACCAAAAAGAUUUAGCAUACUUCCUUCCUCAUUCCCCCCCAACCGAAUUGAGCAUUGUCCUCAAUGUGAUAUGAGUGACUGUAAUUAAAGGGAGGAAGUGGUACCUCCUGAGUGAUAUCAAAUUCGAAUAUUGAUUGGAGAAACCACAUGUUUCAAAAAGAAUAGAAUAUGUGAGAAAAGGAAAUAAGGAUAACUUAAUGCUAACUGUUAACAAGAAAUAUUAAACUUGUAUUACUUUAAAUCCAUUCAAGUACAAUGCAAAAGAAAAGUAAUACAAGCAAUCCCAAAUAUAGUACCAAAAUAAUGGGAUUUCUUUCCAACUAAACAAAACAAAAUACAUAAAACAAAAAUAGUAGAUAUAUAAUAGUCUGAUGAGUGGGUGGUGCUGGGGCUAGGCAGAUGGGUCUGCCUCUUCAGUAGGUGCUUCAGCUGGGGCUUGGGGCUCUGGAGGAUGAGACUCUGAGGGAUGAGAGUGUGGCACUGCUGGAGUAGAAGUGGAGGGCUCUACAGCUGGUGGCAAAUCGAAAUGAAGCUGGAGCUGCCUUAAAAUGGCAGUGUGUUGAGCCUGAGUAGCCAACAUCUGCUCUUGGCAUGCUCUAAUGGCUGCCAUCUCUUGAGCAAGACUGCUCUGAGAAGCUGUGAGAGUGUCCAAUGAACGGCACAACACUCUAUAUUCUGAUAUAGGAAUGGCCAUCCUCGGUUCAGCUGAAGUGGAUGGCUGAGAUGAAGCUGGUGCAGCUGGUGGAGCACUAGGAAUGGCAGGAGCUGCAACUGUUAUACCCUCAGGUAUGUGUCGUGGGGAUGCUCUCCUUGCAACAAGCUGAGGCUGCUCAGGCUGAUAAACUUUGUAAGCUGUCAUGUUGUUCCAUUUGUCGAGAGUAAAAAGCUCACGGCAAAUGCGCUUUCGCUCCAGCUGAGGCUCAGAAGGAUAUCCCAAGUGCUCCAGAAUUUGGCAUAGCAGCCUUGGAAAGAGGAGGGGAAUGCAAUCAGCUCUCUGAAGCUUCUUUUUGUGUACCUUCUCUUCGAAAUAGAGAAGGGCUGCCAAAAUCAGAUGAUGAGGCCCAAAGAAAAAUCCCUCUGACAUCUUGUACAAGGCUUCUAAGAGGACUCCUCUUCUUUGAGUCCAAUGCUGCAAUGGGUAGAGAUUAUGACGCAAAAAUGCAUCAAUCAAAAACAUAAUUGGAGGAAGCUCCCCCCUCAAUAGAUGUGAUCGAUUGGCAGCUCCUCUAGAAAGGGUGCGCACAUCUCCAGCUCAGUAGGAUUGGUCCAAGCUCUAAAAUUAUCGAAUUGGGUCGGCUCAUAGGGAAUUUGCAAGGCUUCAGCUAUAUGGCGUGCUCCCAAUAUGCCAUGCCUCCCAUCAAUAGUGAAAUGAAUUAAAGUUGGAUCCCUGACCUGGUUGGUUGUCAUGGAUUGAUAGAAAUCCAUGGCCACCCUUGGGUAGAAAAAGUCUCUCGGAGUCAGCAAGUGCUCCAUGUGGUACCUUCUCAGCAGGUUGAAUGACUGUGUAAGCUCCGGCUGCAAUCGGAAUGCGGCUAUGUCAAAGCAUAGCUCAGAGUGGAAUGGCCGAGCUCUACAGUCCAAAUUUCCCUCAAUUGGGGGCUGAGUUAGCAUUGGCCUCCUGAUUACUUCUUCCGGAGCUAUUUCAACUGGAAUUUGGGGCUCGAGAAGUGGCGCUUGAGGCUCCUGAGAUUUUGCUUGCGGUGCCAGAGAUGGCACCGGCGACAGAAGUGGCAUGGGAAUCGGCGAGGGAACUGGAGUUGGAACCGGUGAUGGAAUUGGUGAAGGCUCUGGAGAUUGCUCCGUCAAGUCGAUGGGUUCUGAGCUUUCAACCCUGGGUCUCUUUUGUAGUGGUCGACCCCCUGACCUGGUAAGGUAACGCCUCGCCGGAGGCUUUGUCGGCGCUGGCUUCACCGGAGGAGGAAUUGCUUUCGGCUACGAAGGCUCAGAAGCAGAAUCUGGAACUGGCUCAUUUCGCAGGCUUUUCUUGCGGUUUGAAGGGGAGGAAGACUUAGUCCCUCUGGUUCGCGCCAUUUCGGGUUGCCGAAAUUUUGCCGGAACGGAUAAUCGGAGAAGAUAACCGGAGGCUUGCGCGGUGAGGCUUGAGGAAGGAGAUGGACGGUCUGCGAGAAUGGCGCGCUCUGAUUUUGAAACCCUUUUCGCAGCAAAAAAUGACCGGUAUAAAUAGGAAUAACGGAAGACUAAGGGUCAGUUUGAGUUUCGCAACAAAACGCCAAUUUCGCAGCAAAAUGCCAAUUUCGCAGCCACUUCGCAAUGCGUUUCGCAGCUGCGAAAUUAAUGUUACUGUGUUGCGAAGUGGCACACGUGUGCCAAAAUCACUUUCGCAAUUGCGAAAUACCCUGCGGAAUGGGACUUUUGUUGCGAAAUCAGGCUUUACCACUUCGCAAUGCAUUUCGCAGCUGCCAAAUGAGGGCUCCUGUGUUGCGAAGUGGCACUCGUGUGCCAAACUCGCCUUCGCAGCUGCGAAAAUUCUCGUAGAGAAUCCCAAAGUGUUGCGGAAUGGUUUGGCAACAAAAUGCUCAUUUCGCAGAAGUUUUCUUCAGCCUGCGAAAUCUCGUAGAGCUCUGUUUUUCCUCUGUUUUCACUCUGUUUUUGCUCCGAUUUCGAUCCGAUUUUUUUUCUUUCAAUUUCCUUGUAAUUUCUUUCACCUAGGAUCAUUCAAAAAGAUUAAAAUAUACAUAAAAACAUGAUUUAAGAUCAAAAACUAAGAUCAAAAGUAUGGAAAAAACUUGAAAAUUUACAAAAUUUACAAAAAUUUUGGACUGUGGUAAAACCACGUCCAGCAAACCCUUCUUUGCUUAGGCUUUUUGAGGCUCAAGGAGGUUGAUCUACUCCUUUUCUGGUUUGAAUGGCUCCAUGAAUGGCUUGAGACGAUAUCCAUUGACUUUGAAGGUGUCCUUGCCAUUGGAAUUCAAUAAUUCCACCACUCCAUUGGAACAUACUCGGUGAAUUAUGAACGGGCCUAUCCACCUUGACUUGAGCUUCCCAGGAAAGAUAUGGAGUCUUGUGUCAUACAGUAAAAAUCUUUGCCCUUCCUGAAAUUCCUUGUUGGAGAUGAGUUGGUCAUGCCACUUCUUCAUCCUCUGUUUUGCAACUUUGGAAUUGAUAUAAGCAUUAUUUCUUAAUUCCUCCAUCUCAUUAAGGUCUAGAUAUCUCUUUUCUCCUGCCUUGAUCAAGUCCAUAUUCAACUUCUUUAUUGCCCACCAAGCUUUGUAUUCAACUUCCACAGGGAGAUGACAUGCUUUGCCAUAGACAAGACGAUAAGGAGACAUCCCAAGAAUAGUCUUAUAAGCUGUUCUAUAUGCCCACAAUGAAUCAUGAAGCCUAAUAGACUAAUCCUUUCUGUUGGAAUUCACCACUUUCAUCAAUAUGUUCUUUAUUUCCCUGUUAGCUAGCUCAACUUGCCCGGAAGUCUGAGGAUGAUAAGGUGUAGCCACCUUAUGCUUCACUCCAUACUUGGAUAACAGAGCUUCAAAAGGUUUGUUGCAAAAAUGAGCACCUCCAUCACUGAUUAUGGCUUUGGGCACCCCAAAUCUUGAGAAAAUGUUCUCUUUAAGAAACUUGAGAACCACCCUGUGAUCAUUUUGUUUACAGGGGAUUGCCUCAACCCAUUUGGAAACAUAAUCCACCCCCACCAGGAUGUAAGAAUUACCAAAAGACAUUGGGAAAGGUCUCAUGAAGUCAAUGCCCCAUACAUCAAAUAACUCAACUAUUAGAAUGGGGUUCAUAGACAUUUGAUUUCGUUUUGUUAGCUUUCCAAGCCUUUGGCAUCUAUCACAACUUCUACACAUGAUGUGGGCAUCUUUGAAAAGAGAUGGCCAAGUAAACCCUGAUUGCAAUACCUUCAUAGCUGUUUUCUGAGAGGCAAAGUGGCCUCCACAUGCAUUCUCAUGACAAUGAGAUAAAAUCCCUUGCUGCUCAUCUUCAGGGACACACUUCCUAAUUAUCUGAUCUGCACAAUACUUAAAAAGAAAGGACUCUUCCCAAUAAUAAGCAUGAAUUUUGGCAAAGAAGUGCUUCUUGUCCUGUGCAUUCCAUUCACUUGGAAUUUCACCAGUUACUAAAUAAUUAGCAAUAUGAGCAUACCAAGGAGUUUUCACUAGGAACAUGAGUGAUUCUUCAGGAAAAUCAUCAUUGAUAGGCAAGGGAUGGGAAUUAUGUGCUAUAACUAACCUUGAAAGGUGGUCAGCUACUACAUUCUCCACUCAUUUCUUAUCUUUGAUUUGGAGAUCGAAUUCAUGUAACAAAAGAAUCCAUCUAAUCAACCUUGCUUUUGCAUCUUGCUUUGUCAAUAAAUACUUCAAGGCUGAAUGGUCAGUAAAGACAAUGAUGAAAGACCCCACUAAAUAAGCACGAAAUUUGUCCAAAGCAAAUACCACAGCUAACAAUUCUUUCUCUAUAGUUGUGUAGUUCCUUUGAGCUUCAUUCAGUGUUUUGCUUGCAUAGUAAAUCACAUAGGGCUUCCCAUCUUCCCUUUGGCCAAGCACAGCUCCUAUAGCAAAGUCACUGGCAUCACACAUCAGUUCAAAAGGUAAUUGCCAGUUAGGGGCUCUCACUAUUGGAGUUGUUGUUAAAAAUUUCUUCAGUUGAUCAAAGCUACUUUGACACCUUUCAUCCCAUAUAAACUUAGCAUCCUUAGCUAACAGCUCACAAAGGGGUUUUGAAAGACUUGAAAAACCUUUUAUAAACCGCCUAUAGAACCCUGCAUGGCCAAGGAACUGUCUUACUCCUUUCACAGUUGUUGGAGAUGGUAAUUUGACAAUGAGCUCCACCUUUGCUUUAUCAACUUCAAUGCCUUUUCAGAGAUGAUAUAGCCAAGGACAAUUCCUUGACGUACCAUAAAAUGGCAUUUCUCCCAGUUGAGCACCAGGUCUUUUUCAAUGCAUCUGUGAAGAACUGCUUCCAAAUUAACUAAGCAUUCCUCAAAUGUACCUCCAUAUACGGUGAUGUCAUCCAUGAAAACCUCCAUAAUUCACUCCACCAUAUCACUGAAAAUACUCAACAUACAUCUUUGAAAUGUAGCAGGUGCAUUGCAUAAACCAAAAGGCAUUCUCCUAUAAGCAUAUGUUCCAAAUGGACAUGUAAAAGUGGUCUUUUCCUGAUCUGCCAAAUCAAUUUCAAUCUGAAAAUACCCUGAAUACCCAUCCAAGAAAUAAUAGAAUGGAUGUCCAGAGACUCUCUCCAGCACUUGGUCAAUAAAUGGCAAUGGAAAAUGAUCUUUCUUGGUUACAGCAUUCAGCUUUCUAUAAUCAAUACACACCCUCCAACCUGAAGUGAGGCGUGUAGUAAUUUAUUCCCCUUUUUCAUUCUGAACCACUGUGAUCCCUGACUUCUUUGGUACCACUUGAGUAGGACUCAUCCAAGGGCUAUCAGAUAUAGGGUAGAUGAUUCCUGCUUGAAGUAGCUUCAGCACUUCAGCUCGCACCACCUCUUGUAGAUGAGGAUUCAACCUUCUUUGAAAUUGACGAAUUGGCUUUGCUUCCUCCUCCAUAUAGAUAUGAUGAGUACAAACUAAAGGACUAAUGCCUUUCAAGUCAGAUAUUUGCCAUCCUAUUGCCUUCUUACACCUCUUGAGAACUUCCAUUAAACAAUUCUCUUGAUGACUGGUCAGAGAUGAAGAUAUCACAACAGGACAUUGAUUAUUUUCUUCAAGAUAUGUAUAUUUCAGCUCCACGGGUAAAGGCUUCAGAUUGAGUUUUGGAAUUUCUUUUUCAGCAGCUGCCUCCGCUUCUUUAUUGAACAAAGGUAGAAUCACUUCUAUCUUUCUCCAACUUUGUAGAGUAGCAAGCCCAAUAGGAGAUUCAGACAAACCGUCUCAAAAUCCACAAGACUUUCAUUCAACUUGUCUUGCAUAUUUUGAUUACAAUGCUCCUCCACCAAAGUAUCAAUAAUGCACAGCUCUUCUGGACCCUCUUCUUCUUCCGGAAUGAUUUGCUUUUUAGACAUAUAGAAAAUAUUGAGAUCCAAUGUCAUGUUGCCAAAAGUGAGUUGCAUCAGCCCAUUCCUGCAGUUGAUGAUUGCAUUUGAGGUAGCAAGAAAUGGCCUUCCAAGGAUGAUAGGAACUAAAUUAGCUUCCUUUACAGUAGGAUCUGUAUCAAGAACUAUAAAAUCUACUGGAUAGUAGAAAUUAUCCACUUGAACCAAUACAUCCUCAAUUACCCCUCUUGGAAUUUUCACUGAUCUAUCUGCCAGAGAUAGAGUGAUUGCUGUUGGCUUCAACUCCCCAAGUCCCAAUUGCUUGUAGACGGAAUAUGGAAGCAAAUUCACACUUGCUCCUAAAUCUAACAAGGCUUUCUCCACUACCUUUCCUCCAAUCAUGACUGAAAUGGUAGGACUUCCCGGGUCUUUGUACUUCAAAGGAGACUUACAUUGUAAGAUUGCACUUACUUGCUCAGUCAAGAAGGCUUUCUUAUUUACAGUCAACCCUCUUUUGAUAGUACAUAAGUCCUUUAGGAAUUUUGCAUACGUUGGAACUUGUUUAAUCAUAUCCAGCAGUGGAAUAUUGACUUUCACUUGUCUCAAUACUUCAAGGAUUUCAGCUGCAUUUCUAAUCCCUUUUUCCCAUGUAAUGCUUGAGGAAAAGGUGGAGAGGUUGAUUUUUUCAGCAUUUCUUCCUUCAUAAGUUCCUUCUCUGGAAUUGCAUUGAUUGUUGAAUCAGAGUCCUUCUUUUCUUCACUGAUCUCACUCUCUUUAUCUUCCAUUUCCUUCCCUUUCUUUAUCUCUUCUUCUUUCUCAACAUGUGGCUUGGGUGUUGGCUGCUCAAUUUUUUUACCACUCCUUAUAGUGAUCAAGGCUUUGACAUCUUUCACCUGUGAUGAUUCUUCCUCCUAGCUUUCCACUUCAUGGACACCUUUGGGGUUUUGGUGGGGUUGAGAAGGAAAUCUUACCUUUUCUUGCAGUGUAUUCAAAUUUGUAAGCCUUGAAAUUGAAUAUUGGAUGUUAUCAAACUUUUGGUUCAUAUCAUUUUUCAUUCCAUCCAUCCUUUUAUUCAACAUACUCUCCACUCUAUCAAUUCUUUGAUUGAUUUGAGCAUUGGUGGCUUCUUGCUUUCCAACAAAAUCUCCCACUACCUUGCUGAGAUUAGCCGUUGCUUGUUCAAGACUUGAAGAUUGUUGAGAUGGUGGAUCCAGCUAUUGGUACUGAGUUGCUCUGGCUUUCCAUGAGAAAUUUGGAUGAUUCCUCCAACUCGAGUUGUAGGUAUUUCCAUAAGGCACAUUGUUAUUGGGCUUGAAUUGUCCAACAACAUUUGCUUGAUCUCUAAACAUUUCCCUUUCAGCUGAAAUUGCAGGGCAUUCUUCCACCAAAUGUUCAUAUGAUUGACAAUUAGGACACAACUUCACUUGUACUGGUGCUUCAGCAACAGCUUGCACUUCAUGUAUUCUUUUCAGCUCCAGCUCCUCCAAUCUUCUUGUCAUAGCUGCCAACUUUGCUUUCAUAUCAUCAUCUUCUUUCAAGGUAUACAUCCCAGCCUUUGUAUUGAAAGCAUUCAGUUGAGACUUCAUCUUACCCACUUCUCCUUUGGUUGGUUCAUCCCAUCCCCUUGAAACUUCAGCCACAUAGCUCAAGAAAUCCAUAGCUUCCUCUGGAUUUUUGCUCAUGAAGUCUUCUCCACACAUUGUCUCGAGGAGUUGCUUCAUUGAGGAGGACAUACCAUCAUAGAAAUAACUCACUAGUAGCCAAGUAUCAAAGCCAUGGUGAGGACAAGCAUUUAUAGCUUCCAUGUAUCUUUCCCAACACUCAUAGAAUUUCUCAUUCUCUUUAGCUGAGAAGUUUGAAAUUUGCCUUUUCAAGCCAUUUGUUCUAUGAGUGGGAAAAAAUUUCUUGAGGAAUUCAGCUUGUAAAUCAGUCCAAGAACGGAUACUCCUUGGCCUUAAAGAAUUAAGCCAAACUUUGGCCUUAUCCUUUAAAGUAAAAGGAAAUAACUUAAGCCUCAUCAAAUCAAUUGAAGCUCCUCCCUCUUGGAAUGUAUUACAAACAUCUUCAAAUUCCUUGAUGUGUGCAUACGGAUUCUCACUCUCCAUCCCAUGGAAAGUUGGUAGAAGUGGAACAAGAUACGGUCUGAUCACUAGCUGCUCUGUAGGGGGCACUAUACAUGAUGGUGCACUCAUACGAGGUGGAUGCAUACGAUCCCUCAUUGAUCUGAAUUCAUUGAGAUUAUCUUGAUGACCUUGGUGACUAUGCUGAUAUUCAGGUGUAGCUUCCAUGAUAUUCAAGCUCAAUUCAAAUUCUUUGUUCUGAGGUGUAUCACACUUAACAAGCCUUCCUCCACUGUCUCGUAUCCACUUUGGCAUACACAACUAGUAUCUAUCUGCAACUUAAAUGAAAAUAAAGAACAACAACAGAAACAGGGCUACAACAACAAAAUUAAACUAGGCUAAAUUUUAAAAUAUAAACUUAGAUUAUGAAUAAAUAAAGAAAGAAUGAGAAUUAGUAAAGUGAAAGAAACUUUACCAACUUGUGAUGAAAAUCACAAGUGCUCAAAAAUGGUAUCACUAUAAACUUGACACAGUCCCCGGCAACGGCGCCAUUUGAUUCGUGCCCAAUUGGUGUCUCAGCUGAUUCAUGUCCAGCUGGUGCUCCUUGAUUGAGGGAGUAAUCAACAAAAUUUAUAACCUAUAACACCAUACACUAGGGUAGCAAAGAAAAAGCUACUAUAGUAUAGUGGCUCUAGGAUCGUUCACUGGGAAUGAUUAACAAGCUAUCAAUGAUACCAAUUCAAAGUGAAUUGGUCUUGUUUCAUUUCAAGGUUAGCUUAAGAAAUAAAACACAAACUUUGAUUGGUAAAGGUUUAGACUUAAACUAACUAACACAACAAGUAAUAGGAAUAACUUAGGAAGAAAAACAUUCCUUGGAGAAUUAGGUUCACUGGGGUGGUUCCUCAUGCAAAAGACAUAGCUCCGGUCAGAUGGUUCAUUUCCUCGCGUUAGAGAUUCAACAUAUAGUCAAUUCUCUAACCGGUGUUGUACAAAUACAUCCUUCAAUUUGAUUGCACUUUAAUUCUCUCACUGAUGCAACUUGCAAUGGUUUAAGCCUCUCACUAAGCCUUAACCAUUCAAGGUGAUCUUUAACCUUGGAUUACCCGUCAAAAGCUCGCAAGAGAUAACUAAUGGAUGUCUCCUAGGAGUCCAAAAGCUUACCAAGUGUUGGCUAUUCUAGAAAAUCCUACCUUGAAGUCACCUCCCAGAGGCUCGCAAGGGGUAAACUAGUGCAUUUCCAUGGUUGGAAAUCACUUGCCUUACCAAGUGUUGGCCCAGGUGACUCUAAGGUGUUUUAAGUUAACUAAAAACAUAGAAAUCACUAAAGGAUUUCACUUCCUCUUCAUUACUAGCUAAAACCACAAAGCUUUGCAUUCUUGCACUUGGAACCUUCCCCGGCAACCUUAGCUCCAAGGAAUUAGAGGUUUAGUUACUCAUUCUUUGGGGAAAACUCCUCAGAGAGUUCAUAAUUUAGUAAUAAAUAAAAAAUACAAAGUGAUAAGGUAAGGCAAUACAAAGAACUGAACUUUACUUGCUUACCCAAAACUUUACAAAAGGAUCUCCUCCCUGAGAACAGGCUCCCGAGAGGUAUAUAUAUGAACAUAAUAUAAAACUAAUUAUUACAUAGAUAUUUUCUCUUUUUUACUAACUUAAAAGCUAAGGAAUCUUGUAAUUGGUGGCUUACAAGGAGUAUUUUGGGAUUUAGACAACAAAAAUCUGAUGUAAAAUAUCUCCCAAUGUCGGUAGCAAAUAUCGGGAGGCUCCAGGAACCAUUUCGCAAGAGAAAAUGGUGUCUACGAGAUUUCGCAGAUACUCAAGAAGGCUGCGAAAUCAUUUCGCAACAACAUGCUAUCUUCGCAGGGCUGCGAAGUUGGCUUCCACCUUGAGGUUCCCAGCUUCCCUCUCGCGGUAUAUGUCAGGCAACUUCAGAAGGAAAUACACCCUACUAUACAAAAAGGCUGCGGAAUCACUUCGCAACAACAGGGUAAUUUCGCAGCACUUUGCAAAAUGCUUCCUUCAGCUCGGAGUGAUUGGCUUGCAAUGGCUGCAACUUCUUCGUUUCAACUCCGAAUUGCACACCGUUUGAAGCAUUGGAUUGUUGACUUCCUGAGCUUUGAAAUGGUAUAUAGCAUGCAUCAAUUGAACUUCAUAAAGUUCUCCAAAAGUGGCUGCUACGACUGUCAUCAAGAAUAUGCUUCAUGGCAGAUUCUCUUUACUUUUUCUCCUUGCAAUCCGGAUUUACUCUUGGCAAAUGACUCUUAAGCUUUGCCCAAGAUUCCUCAUAACUCUCCUCAGUCUUGACUUGCUUUGGUGAUCAAAUUACUAACAAAAACACCAAAACUUACAUAAAGUGAUUAAAAUCCCUUUCAAGGGUCCUUAACAUGCCAACUGAGUUAAAAGGCCUAAACUACUACUCAAAAGUGUUUAAAAGGAUUAAUUAUAGGCUAUCAAAUAGCACUUUUUGAGUAGUAAUCAAUCUAGUCGUAGGAUAAAUGGGACUGGUGGGCCCUAACGUGCUAUAGUCGACAGUGCAGUAGGAGUCAACUCAAAUGGUAUCCAAUCUGAAAUCAAACUUAAUGGAGUAGAAGUCUAUGAACACACUGUGUCAACCUCAUAACUAUCAUCUAAAACAAUCAGCUCUGGCAAUCCAUCAUCCCAACUCAUCAUGUGUAUGUUGUCAUCCUCUACAAAAUCUAUGUGAUGGAUACCGCCCGGGGGUGGUGGCACUGCAUGCAUAAAGUGAGCCGGUAGAGGGUUCAUGGUUACACUUGGCUACCCCAAGUUAACCAGACCCUGAUCUAUCAAGUCCUGUAUAGCAUGUCUCAAGGCGGCUCAAUGAUCCGUGUCAUGCCCUGGACCCUGAUGGUAGGAACAAUGCAGAUCCAUCCUGAAGCACGAUGGCACGGGUUGAGGUAUAGGCCUAGGUGCCAACUAAGUCAACAAACCACCCUCUACAAGAUUUUGGAAAGCUCGACUCAAAGGCAUACCUAGAUGGGAGAACUGUCAUGUUAGCCUCUGUACAAGAGGAAUAGUAGUAUGUGGGGCUCUAGGCCGAGAGUAUAAAGUAGGAGGCCUCUUAGAGACCUAUGCAGUAAAAACAGGCUUUGAGGUGUGGUGUAGGUAUGUAGGAGCCAUGGGCCUGGGCAGUCUAUACUGAACAUAAUGUUGUGGGUAAUAGGCUCCUGAAGUCUGCCUAAAUGUCUGAUAGUGCCUGGGAGAUCUUGAUCCUACUGAAUUGAUAGUACCCACAUCUCCUGGUCUCUGUCCUCCUGAGGGCUUCUUCCCCUUUGAAUCAGAAGGGGAAGACUUGGGUCACAAUCCUCUAGCAAUGUCCUCCUCUAUACUGUACAAGGCCUGUACCAAGGAUCCAAAAUCCGUAUAAGGAAAUCCCAUCAAAUGUCUAGCAAAUCUGGGCUAUAAGUUCUUUAAAAUCAUACUAAUCCGGUCCUUCUCUGAAGGACGAUCAACAAUCUGGGCGAUCUUCUCCCUCCAUCGGGAGAUAAAUGAAGUCACUGACUCAUCUGGUCCUUGUCUCAAGGCCUCUAACUCUCUCUUCAAGACAUCAAUGACAAUAUUAAAGGGGAACUGUCUCAAAAAUUCUUGGGCCAAGUCAUCCCAAGUCCUACGACGUGAAGCGACUAAAGAAACAAACCAACGCUGUGCUGCACCACUCAAGGACAUGGGAAAAAGCAUAAUCAAGUGGGCCUCAUCCAACCCGUGGGCCCUCAUCACACUACUGUAUAGCCUCAAAUGAAUCUUAGGGCAACUUAUGCCCGUGUACCUCUCAAUCUCUGGCAUCAUGAACUGGGCCGGUAAACUGGCUAUCGGUGCUCCAUCAAAAUCAUCCCAACUGAUAGCUCCAUCCGAAACCCUGAUCUGUCUCAUCCUUUGCUUGAGUCUAUCCAUACGAGCAUGUGCACCCUUUAAGGCCUAAAUGGGUGUUACGACAGGAAGUGGGGUAGCAUCAGUCUAACUAUGUAAAACAUACGGUGCCAGGUGUGGAACCGACUGACUGAGUGGAGGGGGUGGUGGUGCCGCAGAGUCAUACCGUGCACUAUCCUGAGGCUGGGCCUGCUGCCCAUCUAUCUUUUGGCCAAGGCCGGUUAUAGCCUCCUGAAUCGAAGCCAUGGCCGCGGCAAACUGGUCGACAAUGACUACUUGGGAAUCCAUAUCUCUUUGAUCUACUCUCUAGUCUGGCUGAUCUGAUACUCUAGUCAACCUGCCUCUAACUCUAGCCCACGAAGGCGAAUCCAGACUGGCCAUAAAAAAUACUCCUAUAAACACGGAACCACUAGAUGAGACAUUGUACAAGGGUAGCUCUGUAGGAAUUGACUAAAAGGUAAUCAAGCAUAUAACCCAUGUAUACUCAAACUGAUACCCGUAUUUGAUCAUGCCAAAAUGAGACUAUGGAGAGGGUAACAAAACCCAAUAGUAACCAAGGCAGCUCUGAAGGUCCACAGAUGCACCUACGUGUAGGAAUGAAAUCCUAAUUAGGUCUAGCCUAGCCUACAAGGUUGUGGUGGUUAUAUAAAAUAAAAAUGGGUGGGUUAAAGGAAUCCUAGUAGAAGCGAUCAUACCCUCUGGUGGUACACAACCCUCUGCACACCUCCAAGAAGAUGGGGUGCUUCCAUGCAAGGUGGUCAUCACCUCCACACAUGCACUUCCUCGCGUUCCCAGGGGGUUUCCUAACGGUGAAGACUCUCCCAUCUCUCAACACUUAGGGAUAAUCUAAAGUGCAUAGUGAAGGAUGUGGGUGCAUCCGAAAAAUCUAAGAUCUAAAGUGAGUGAACAAAGACAAUCAUACAAUCAUGCAAGAGAAAUGGUUGUCAUGCAACAGGUAGUCAUACGAAGCAGAUAAAUAUCAAAUGAUCAAAGACCUAUCUAUCAUAUGUGAGAGUGAAUCAUGCCAAAGUAAACAAAGCAGUCAAGGAAUCAUUCAAGGCAAUCAAACAUGUUAGGAUAGCAAAGCAAUCAAGCAAGCUAACUAAAUCACCUUCCCUAAAAGAUGAGGUACCCUCUAAUUGACCAAUUAAACGCCACAUUUUCCUCAAAUAGUGUUCAAGUUUGAUCCUCAAUAUCCGCAGCAGAGUCACCAAUUUGUGGACCCGCAUUUUUCACGUGUGCCCCCACUCAAUCGAUGAGACUCGUUUUUAUUUGGUGAAGAUUUUGUUUUUGGAAAAGUCAGAAUCGCCACUUAUUUUAUUUUAUUUUAAAGGGAAAAUAAAACAAAAAAUAAAACCCUAAAAAAUGACUCCAUAGUUUUUGGAAAAACAUGUCUUUGAAAAACCUGACUCUAGGUCCAGGGAUCAGGUUACCUAUUGGGAAGGUACCUCUAGGAGAUAGCACCCCUCGAAGCCUUACAAAGGUCUCUAUUGACUACGUUGAAGGAAAUGUGGCAAUCAACUGAUUAAUUGAGGGUACCUAGGUAGGCUAAGGUGAUCUCAAAACUAGCAUGCCAAACAAGAAAAACCAAUCACGCCCAUAAAGGAAAGUUAGGAUGCUCACCUAGACCAUUUCUUAAGCGCUAUCAUAAAACAUCAAUGGUUAGUUUAGAUAAUAUAUCACUCAACAUGCAUUUUAUCAUGAAUGAUCAAACAAUGUAGCAAAUAUCAAGACAUCCCAAGCGUUCUCAAACAUAGGUAUAAUUCAUAAUGACAAUCAUAUUUACAGAAUUUAGAAGGUAGGUGACAGAAGACGUACUUGGAUAGCAUAGAUAACUUGUAACGUGCUUCCACAAGACAUGAAAGGUUAGAUAAAAAACAAUAAAAUAAGAAGUCCUAGCAUGCUUGUUAUCUAAUUAGCAUAGAAAAAAAAUUAUCACAAUAUACGAAAGCAUCAAUUAUCACUUAUAUCUUCUAUAUAAUUCCUAAAAAAUAAAAAGACAUGAGUUCAUCAAAUAGCAAAGGGGGCAACAAAGAUGAGUUUUGAAAAAUUUCCUUAUGGGCCUAAGUGGACCUAAAGUUCUGCCUAAUGGGCUAAGUGCACCUAGAUGAGCCUAAAGUGCCUAAGUGGGCCUAGGAUGGUGCCUAAUGGGCCUAAAGUGCCUAAGUGGGCCUAGGAUGGCUAAGUGAGCCUUGGGUGCCUAAAUGGGCCUAGGGUGCCUAAGUGGGUCUAGGGUGCCUAAGUGAGCCUAAGUCUAAAUUAGGACUGCCAAGAGUCACAAUGGGGUUAAAUGAACCCCUCAACCCAAGUCCCCGAGGUGGCUUAAAAAAGAUAGGCCACGCAAGUAGUAAUUGGCCACCAGGGAAUUGCUGUAAAGGACACAUGCCAGGAGGACAAAAUGAAGGGUCUACAGAUUAUUUAUUUGUUUGCAUCAGUAUAAACAAGUACAUGACAAAUGAAGACAAGUUCUACGUUGUUUUUGUUGGAAGGAGAUCUGGUGUAUACACAACUUAGCCUGAAUGUCAAGCUCAAGUCAUUGGUUAUAAGGGUAACGUUUAUAAAUCCGACAAAACUCAUCGUGAGGUUGUAUCGACAUGGGUGAUGUACGAGCCUCGAUGGAAAUACCUUAUGCACUUAUUGAAUCCUCCGAGCCAAAAGAGGUUAACUAGGUUAUUGGCCAACUAGUAGAUGACCAAGUAUUAAAGAAGACUACAGAUCGAAAACAAAAUUUCCUUGCUCCUUUUGUCCUCGGAUGUAUUGUAACAUUCACGAUUAUGUUUGUUGUUCAGAAUUUCUUUUAGGUAUGCUCAAAUGUGGUGUGACUAAGCUACACGUUGUACUUGUUUUACAUCUCUUGAAUGCAAUGGUGCUUUGGCCUUUCAUCCUUCAUUAUUUAUUUUAGUUUUAAAACAAUACUAAAAUGACAUAAAACAAAAUAAGAAGUUAUAAAUUGUCGAUGAUGAAAUUUAAGAGGGAAAUGACUAAAUGAGUUCUUCAAAAUUCUAUAUAAUCCUUUAGGAUAGGCUACCUUGUACACCUUGUACAAUUAGCACAUGUACCUUGUACAGUUAGUGUAACUGCCUUGUAUAGUUGCACAAUUCACAUAAACCUAUAAUGCAAUGUGUGCAUAUGGGUGGGUUAACUAUGUUUCCAUUGUCAUGGCUCAGGAAAAUAGGUAAAAAAAAUAAAAAUGAAAUCAAACCCAACCAUGUAUCCCUAAUCAUCAUUUAUGAAUACAAGGUGAUGAAAUAAACAUAUAUGAGGUCAAAUAAAUGGAAAAGCUAGACGUGAUCAAUCAAUAUGUGUGAGGAAUGUCUCUCAUCGUCAAAAGAGGGAAAUGACAAAGCUAGUUCCUCAAAAUCAUUUCAAAUACAUCGAGACAAGUACCCUUGUACAUCCUUGUACAGUUAGCAUAUUUUACUUGUACACUUAGUGUAAAUGCCUUGUACAAUGGCAUAAAUUCCAUACACUAACAACAUGUGAAUCCAUAUGGGUGGGCGAACCAUGUUCCAAUGUCAUGAGUGAACAAAAUUUGAAAAAAUUGAUGCCAAAUUACGUUUCUAUUCAUCAUUACUAUGGUAAGUAAUAUGAUGAACAUGUACGAACUCACAAAAAUGAAUGGUAUGAGUGUGUGAUCAAGUAAUGUGUGUGAAAAAUGACCCUCAUCAUUGGAAUAUGGAAAUGAGCAAGCGAGUUCUUCAUAUACCUUUGAAAUCCUUAUGGAUAGCUACCUUGUACACUUAGUGUAAAUGCCUUAUACACUUGCACAUUUACAUACACCCAUAAUGCAAUGUGUGCAUAUGGGUGGUUUAACUAUAAUUCCAUUCUCACGCCUCAGGAAAAGAGGUAAAAAAAAUUUAAAUCGAACCCAACCAUAUAUCUUUAAUCAUCAUUUAUGAAUACAAGGUUUAAAUAGUGAACAUGUAUGGGGUUAAAUAAAUGCAUAGGUUGCACGUGAUCAACCAAUAUGUGUGACGAAUGUCUCUCAUCUUUAAAAAGGAAAUGAGCGAGUCAUUUCCUCAAAAUCAUUUGAAAUCCUUUAAGACAGGUACCCUUGUACACCCUUGUACAAUUAGCAUAUUUUUCUUAUACACUUAGUAUAAAUGCCUUGUAUAGUGGCAAAAAUUCGACAUAGCUAAAGCUGAACAUGUGCAUAUGGGUGGGUUAACCAUGUUCCAAUGUCAUGCUUGAGGGAAAAGGGGGAAAAUUAAACCCAAAUUAGCUUCGUAUUCAUCAUUAGUAAAGGUGGGUCAUCUAAUGAACAUGUAUAAGGUAAUAAAAAUUGAAUGGGAUGAGAGAGUGAUCAAGAAAUGUUUGUAAGGAAUGUCCCCCAUCCUUACAAAAGAGAAAUGAGCAAGCCAGCUUUUAAUUAAAAAAGAUUUGAAAUCCUUUAACAUCAGUACACUUGUACACCCUUGUAUAGUUACCAUAUUUGUCUUGUACACUUAGUGUAAGUACCUUGUAUAAUGGUAAAAAUUAAACUUAGCUACACCUGAACAUUUGCUCAUACACGGGUUAACCAUAUUUGCAAUGUUUUGGUUCAUAAAAUGAGGAAAAAGUGAAGUCUAAAUUUGUUCCCCAACUACUAGUCAUCAUAUAAUUAAAAAACAACUACUAGUUCACGAGUCUUACACAAUAAUCAUACAAACAAAUCAGUGAAUGAUGCAUAUGAAAAACCUUUCUACUGACUUCCUACAUGCACAACAUUUGAUAUUCAAAAAAAAAAUUCCCUAUUAUUAUUCUCCUUCCUAAUACAUAAAGGUGUUUCAAUCAUACAAUUAAUGGGGUCCCAAACAUAAAGAAUUUUAACAAAUAUGUAUGUGACAAUUCAUCCCUAAACCUAAUAAAAACACCCUCAAUCCUCCACAAACCUCGGUUCCAAUUCCAAAAACUAUACUAACCCGAAAACCACUUCAAUAUAUGGAACAUAUUUUCAUGUUCAAAGGAGGUCAUUAGGCAUAUACCCCACUACCAGUGCUGCAGCAACUUUAGAUCUUCAAGGGAAUUCUUGUUUUUCAAAUUCGUUUGACCCAAAGGAAUUGUGGAGGAAUUACAUGAUCUUCACACAAUUGUUUUUCCCAAACUUCACCAUCUCUCUCUGCGAACCAUACUCUAAUUCUCUCUCUAAAUUUAUUUUAUUGGACAAUAGACCCAGGUCAUAGCCACAUACACAUUUUAAAGACAUCUAGCAUGGCAAAUUCAAUUGAUCACAUAUGAAACCCAAAUUUUACAAACAUCUCCUAUGGAAAUUUGAAGGGUAUAUUUGUCUAAUGAUAUUCUACAUCCUCUCUCUCAAUUAUGCAACUUAUAUGGCCGAAAGGUUAAUUUUUCAUUGGAAAUGAGUGUGUAAGUUCUUCAAAAGCAUUUGAAAUCCAUCAAGAUAGGUAGCCUUGUACACCCUUGUACAGUUAACACAUUUGCCUUGUACACUUAGUGUAAAUGCCUUGUACAGUCAUAGAAAUUCCACAUAGGUACAAGUGAACGAGUGCUUAAGGGUGGGUAAACAAUGUUUCCAUUCUCAUGGAUUAGGGAAAAGGAAGAAAAAUUUUACCCUAAUUUCAGUUCAUAUUCAUGAUUAGUGGAUGAGCUAAUAGAAUGAAUGAACAUGGCAGACAUCAAAUAAAAUGCAUGUAAUGGGUGUGUGGUCAAGCAAUGUGUGUGAGGAAUGUCCCCCAUGAUUGGAAAAAGCAAAUAAGUUCUUCAAAAUCAUUUCAAAUCCCUUAAGAUAGACACCCUUGUACACUUUUGUAUAGUUAGUACAUUUGCCUAGUACACUUAGUGUAAAUGCCUUGUAAAGUGGUAGAAAGUUGACAUAACUACAAUUGAAAAUGAGUGCAUAUGGGUAGGUUAACCACAUUCCAAUGUCAUGGCUGAGCAAAAAAGGGGAAAAUGAAACCCAAUUUAGGUACCUAUUCAUCAUUACUACGGUAGCUCAUCCAAUGAAUGUGUACGAAGAGGAAUGAGGAAUGUCCCCCAUAUUUAGAAAAGGGAAAUGAGCAAGCCAGUUUUUUAAAAGGAUAUGAAAUCCUUUAACAUAGGUACCCUUGUACACCUUUGUACAGUAAGCACAUUUGUCUUGUACACUUAGUGUAAAUGCCUUAUACAGUGACAAAAAAUUGACAUAGCUACAACUGAACACAUACAUAUGAGUGGGCUAACCAUGUUCCAAUGUGAUGCCUAAGGGAAAAAGGGGAAAUGAAACCUAAUAUAGGUUCAUAUUCAUCAUUAGUGCGGGAGGUCAUCAAAUGAACAUGUAUGAAGUGAUAAAAUUGAAUGGGAUGAGUGCGUGAUCAAGGAAUGUGUGUGACAAAUGUCCCUCAUCCUUACAAAAUGGAAAUGAUUUUAAACGGAUUUGAAAUCCUUUAAUAUAGGUACCUUUGUACACCCUUGUGCAGUUAACACAUUUACCUUGCACAAUUAGUGUAAAUGUCUUGCACAGAGGAAGAAAUUCCAUACAACUACUACUGAAUAUCUGCUCAUACAUAGGUUAAUCAUGUUUGUAAUUUUUUAGUUCAUAAAAUAAGGAAAAAAUGAAGUAUCAAUUUCUUCCCCAACUACUAGUCAUCAAACAUAAAGGAGUUUUAAUCAUACAAUUAAUGGGGUUGUGCUUUGGAUCAUAGUAUAAUCAUUUUCACAAAUAUGAAUGUCACAAUUCAUCCCUAAACCUAAUAAAAACACACUCAAUUCUCCAUAAACCUAGGUUGGAAUGCCAUAAAAUAUACUUACCCCACAAUUCUACUCCAAAAGGCCAUAUACCUUAUUUAAUGUAUUUUCAUCUUCACAAGAGGUUGCUGAGCCACUGUCAUCAUCAUGACCACACCUAUAGUUGCUUUAGAUCUUCAUUGGAGUUAUUCAUUUUCUCUAUUUUGUGUAGUGGACCAACCUCACAAUCAUGACAACCAUCUUCUUUGCUUUUAAUAUACGUUUGAUUCGAAGGAUAGCUAUUAUGGAGGAAUUGCAUCAUCAUCAGAGAAUCUUCUUUCCCAAACUCACCGUCUCUCUCCGUCAACCAUGCCCAUUUCUUUUCUUUGGACGAUUGACCCAACAAGCAUAUUUUAAAGUCAAAAUUUUAAGACAGGUGACAUGCCAAACUUGAGGAGAUCUUCUCCAUUUUUGAGUUGCUCACAAUCCUCAGCUGCUGAAGGAAUUGAUUGGGGGACGUCAUAGUUGAGGGAAAUAAAGAGAUAAGGGGUGGUGACCGACCUUUAUUUCAAAUUUUUAAGAUAGGUGACAUGACAUUUUUUUUAUUGGUCUCUUAAUAUUUUAUAUCCUCCCCAUCAAUUAUGCAACUUAUAUGAACCAAAGCUUAAUUUUUGGGUCCAGUUGGGUCCAAAACCAAUUGUCCCUUAAACUUUUGCUACUUUUGUAUGUUACUAAUGGAAAUGUUCAUAAUUGAGAGUAGGAAUGACUCUGCUAAAUAUUAAAACUCAUUAUUUCAUGUCGGAGAAAAUGAAGAUGACUUCAAUGGUGGAUAGUGUGAUAAGAUUUAGGGUUUGAGAUUUGAUAGAGAGAGAGUUGUUAAUGGAAAUGGGGCUAUCUUUUUCCACUUUUCACUUUAUAUGGGGAGUAUUUUGAAAUAUUAAGAAUAUGAAAAACAAAUUAAUUUGUCUUUUUCAUUGAUAAGAGGGGCAAGUGAGGAUGGGUUAACACAACCUAAACUUGUCCAAGAUAUAUAAUCCAUGCUUGACUUGCUUCAGUUAGGAUUUUUUCAAAUCCAUUCCAUUAGAAGUGGUAAUGAUAGCUAAUGCCACAUAUUAAAAACAAAACCAAAAUUAAGUACUAUUUAAUAUUUUAAAAAAGAAAAAUAUGAAGAUGAUGUAAAAUUAUUAGCAACAUGUGUUCAAAAAUCAUUUUUGAAACUUUUUGUUCUCUUUGAAAAUGAAUAAUUUUUUUAAAAAAAAAUUCGAUUUGUGUUUUAAAUAUGGUAAGUUUUCAACAGUUGAAAAUGAUUAAUUAGUUUUGCAGGUACACUGGAAACUAUUGGUUAGUCGCAAAAUAAGAAUUUUCUAUAAAGUUAAACAAAUGUUUUCCUAAUGAAAUUCAUAAUUUCCCUAUAGAUGAUCAAUAUAUCAAAUGCCACAAUAUUGAAGGUCCAACAAUAAAAAUGAGAAAGAUUAAGUUAGUCUAAUUGUUACGCCUACAAAUAAAAGAAAUUGCAAAAUAGCUUAUUCAAAAACCAACUAUAUAGACCGAGAUGCAAUAAUACUAUCAAGACUAAGAUUUGUGUCUUUGAUAAUGUUUAUAUUCAAAGUACUUUAAAUGAAAGUCUUGAUGAAAAAAUAACUUAUUAAGCAUUUCUCCAGUAAAUACCAUAAGUGAUUUUUCAACUUUUUAAACAUAUUUUUUAAAUUUUACUAAACGCUUAUUUUUUUCUUUAAAAAUACUUUUUAAAAUUGUUACCAAAUAGGCUCAAAGAUGAAAAUAUUUCUCAUCUCCAUAUGUCAAUGCAAAUAUAAAUACAUGAACAUUUCAUUUAGUUUCAUAUAAUAUAGAUGGUAAAUAAUUUAAUUGGUGCAUAUUAUUUUAAAAUUAACUCUUAUAACACUAGUCAACAAUAAGGUCAUCCAAUUCUCUAGUGUGGGAUGCUCACGUCCGUCUAGCAUGACUCUUAUUUUGUGUAGCCGUAUCUUCGUCCAUCCGUUCAAGGAUUUGGACGGAUAAAGACUAUCCGAGCACUACUUAUUACUACCUGUCAAACACUAAAUAUGAAACACAUUAAGAACAUUGAGUGUCACAACCAUUACUAAGCAUAAAUGACAGACUUUAGAGCUUAAAAACUGUUAUGCAAGCCAAUUAAAAGGCAUUAAAGACAAUUGAAACACAUGGGACAUGUUAUGGCUUGGCUGAAGAUAAAUAGCCAUCAAACGUCAGAAUGAAGGUAGGCAAUUAGAACCCAGUGACCUCUUACCCAACUCCCCUUUGUCUAAUUUAAGCUUCAGAGGGUUGUGCCCGGAAAAACCAUCCGAACACUCCUUAUUGUAGGUGUACUCGUCGUCCAAACCAAGAGGAGGCCAGCCGGAUGCAAACAUUGUUGGUCAUGCACCAACAUCUAGGACUUAAAAAAAAAAAGUGGCAAGCCCCAUGUUGCUUCAACUAGUAGUUGUCAAUUCUAAAUACCCCGCACUCCAAAUAACACCCUAAUUAGUUAGGGUUGUUCCAAAUCAUCACUACUCACUCUUAGAAAUUUCACGCCUAUUCCUUUAAGUUCUUGCCCAUACAAUCAAAAUUCAAAUAAAUUUACUAUAUAACAAAAUUAUUUACACAUGUAUAAAACUAUUAUAUUUUAAAUAUGAGUCUUUUAUUACGAAUUUUUUUUACAAACUGAUAAAUAAAUACAACAUUAAUUUCAUUUGACAUUUGCUUCAAUUUAUCAUAUAAUGCAUUUCCUAAAUUCCUAAAUAAUUUUGUCUCAUUUAGAGUAAUUAAAUUGUCUUAUGCAUUUCUAAGCUUCCUUAGUAAUUUUAUUUUCGUUUAGAAAAUAGUAACUAAUGUUAUUUCAAUUAGGAAGGUAACUUUACUCUCAUGUGGCUACUUUAUUCAGCAUUUUACUAUUAAGGAGUAUUAUAUAUAUAUACCAAAAUCUUGCAAGUUUAAGCUUUUAGGAAAAUUGGUAAUUCAAAAUCAUAUCAUAACUUUAUUUCAAAUUUUAUUUAAUGAGUGGAAUUAUGAAAAAUGGAAAUGCAUGUAGAUUGAAUUCUGACGUUAAGAUCUCAAAAAUUACUUGAAGAGAUUUAAAGUUCUUCCUCAACUCUCUAGAUUUAAAGAGAUUUAAGUAUGGAUCUUAAAUAACAAGUUUAUUGCUUAAGAUUAAUGAAAAUAAAUAUUAAUUAAAAUUUUUAAUAAUAAACAUGAAUUAAAACUAAUAGGAUAAAUAUGUCAAUUCAAUAACUUAAAAUAAAUUCCAAGUUAAUUUUAUACCUUACUACUUAAAAUAAAAAAAUAAGUAAUAAGUUUUAAGUUAAUGACUUAAAACCAAUUUAACUUAAAGUCAACUUAAGUCAUUAAAUAAUAAGUAUUAAGUUUUACCAAACAUCCAAGUUGACUUUAAGUUAAAUUAUUCUUAAGUUGUUAACUUAAGACUUAUUACUUAAUUGUUACUUCAAGCAUUAAGGUUGUUUUGUAAACUUAGCUUAAAGUUUAUUCUAAAUCAUCAAAUUAACUCAUUUUCCCUCAUUAAUUUUAACUAAUAUUUAUCCUUAUUGAUUUUAACUCAUAUUUAUUUUCAUUAGUUUUAAGCAAUAAAUUUAUUUAUAUAACAUUCAUACUUAAAGUAUUGUAGAUAUAUAAUACAACCAUAAAAUGUUUAUUACAAAAAAUGAGUUAUGGAUGUGAAGUCACAGUUUUAAAAUGCAUUUACUGUGAGCAAAUGAGACAAAAAGAAUUUUACAUUAAGAAUAAGUUAACUAUUUUAACUUAAUACUUAAAGUUCAAAGUGAUUUUAAGUUAUAAUAUUAAGUUAUUUUACUAAUUUAAUCUAUUUAAUGACUUAAGUUAUUAAGUCAUUAAGUUUAUUUACCAAACAUCCCCUAUGUCUAUUACUUUUUCUUGACCAAGCAAAUUUAUAUUUUUUAGUAUAGAAAUAACUAUUGAUAUGUAAAGCUUAAUUAAAUGAAGGUGACCAUACAUCCUAUAAUUUAGAACUAAAAUGACAACCAAGUCAGACCACAUAUUUUUAUCUUCCUAAUCGAUUUAUACACACAUCUUUAAGCUUAGACUAGCUUAUAAUACCCAAACACCCAAAACUAAACAUUAAUAAAAAUAUUUUCAUAAUUAUGUACCGAAUACUAUUUUUUUUUCCAAUAGAAAGCUUAGUAAUUUAUGAAACCUCAAAUACUAAGAUCAUAUUUGGCAUGUGUGAAUCACGAGUGAAUAGAUAUCUAAUUCAUCUUCUCAUCCAUUUUCAUAGUUGGAUAACUCAAGUGAUGAUGGAAUAAAAUUAAUAACGAUUUCAAAGGAAAUGAAAUCUCACUUAUAAGUGAGAUUUCAAUUUAUUUCUAGUAGGAGGCAUUUUUGAUUCCCUAUGUUGAUUCCUACAAGUUAUUUUUAAAAGCACUUUUCAAAAAAAAAAAUAAAAAAAAAAAACCUUUUUAGAUAAGUUGUUUUUUAAAAUAAUUUUUGUAUUUUGAUUUUAUAAAAAAUAAAUUGUAAUUUAGUUUAUAUAAUAUGAACUAAAUUUAAUUCAAGUCUUAAUAAAAAUAAAAAUAAUUUUAUAAUUAAAUAAAUAAAUAAUAAAUAGUGUUUAAUAAAAUAUGAAUAGUAAUAUUAUAAUAAAAUCAUAAAUUACAUAUAUGUUUUUAUAAAUAUUAUAAAAAUAUAGAUUUUAUUUUGUUAAAAAUAAAUCAAAUUCAAAAUUAAUAAUUACUAAUGCUAUUUUAUGUUAAAUGAAUUUAUAAACAAACAAAAUUAAAUUUUUUUAGUAUAUAAAUGAGUCAAAAUUUUCAUUACAUGCAUACAUUUAGUACUCAAUAUAUGGUAUUAUGAAAGUUUUAAUUUAACCUAUAAUUAAUUAAUUGAUUUUUUGAAUUUCAAAUUAUUCUUAGAAAUUAGAGGAUUCAUUAAAGAAUUUAAAGCAUUAAUUAUAUCUAUUAUCUUUUAUAGUCAUUAUAUAUAUAUAUAUAUAUAUAUAUAUAUAGUUUCAAUUUUAAUUAGAAGUUUCAUAUUUUUAAAAUUAUUUUUAGUCAUCAUAGAUAAUUAAUUGAAACUUCUUAAUAAAUUUAUUACAAAGUCUUGUUUGAUUUGAAAUUCAUUUUUUCUAGUAAAAAAAUUGGAAAAACAAUAUUCUAUUUUACUUUAAUUUUAAAAAUUAUUUUGCAGCCACUCCUCACAAGAAGCUAUCUCAGGUACUUAAAAAUAUAUUCAAAAAUUAAGGGGAACGAGCAAAAUACUUGGCUAACAUAUAAAAGCCAUACACUUUUUGUGGAGGAGGUUGAGAUGUUAAUGAGAGAGUGCCCCUUGCGUCUAAAAUAAUUUAAAAUAAAAUUUGUUUUAAACUAUAGAUACAAAUAUUAUUGUUAAUUUAUUUCUUUUUUCAUUUUCAUUCCAAAUAUUACUUAAGAUUGAAAUGAAAACUAAUAAUCAUUCCGACCGUACAUUCCUAUAUAUAUAUCCAAGCAUAAGAAUUAGAAUCACUAAAUUCAUUAAUGUAAAAUGAGAAAUAGGAAUGGAUCGAAAUAAAAUACUCACUUUCAUUCCUCAUUCCAAUGUACCAAAAAUGACCUAAGGUUUUUUUUUAUUUGUUGGAAUCAUGAUCUGAAAUGGUUGAAAAUAUUAAAAGAAUUGAUUUUUUUUGUCCUAGACAAGUAUGUCCAUACUUUCUGUGUAGCCUCGUCAAUAACAAAACUAUCAAAAUGUACGUGUUUUCUUUAAUGGACUUGACAUCUAUGGGUUCCAAUAUCGUAGUAGAAUAAUUCUAAUUUCUCAUACUUGGUUGCAAAAGCCUAAUGAUAGGAACUCUUUCUUAUUAUACAAAUAAUGAUCACAUGAAAGAGAGUCAUGAUUUUCUUUCAAAACUUGCACAGUUAUUUCUCACCCAUUUCUAAUGUCUUAUUCCAUAACUUUAGGAAAGUGUAUUGUCACGGACUUAGUCUUUUCCUAAGCUCGUGCGAUACCUAGAUAAGUCAAGACACUUGAUCUUACUAAGUCAGCCUUACUCCCAAUGCUUAGCUUACUAAGCUUAGAUGCUCACGACUUGGAAACUUUAGAAGGUAUAGUAGGCAACUCUUAAAGAAUGGAAGCUUUUAUUGCUCAAAGGAAGCUUUACAAGUGCUUUGGGAACUCACUUGCUUGGUUAGGAAUUGAUUUGGGUGGUGCCUUGGCCAAAUGAGGCCUUAACCUAUUUAUAGGCACCAAUGGAACUCUUUGAAACCUUGGAGGGUUCCUUACAAAUCAAGAAUAAUCUAGAAGCUCCUACACUAGUCUAUGUACAAGGGUAUGUACAAGAUGACUUUGGAAGAUUCUAGAACACCCCACACUAUUCCAAUGCUCUCCUAGCCAAGUGUAGAGAUGUGUGGACAUCUCUAGCCCUCUCUAGAAGCUUCCAUGCUCUUCCACUUUGUAGCUAAGUGUAGAUGUCUCCAGGGUUUCUAGAAGCUUCUCACCUCCUAUAUAAGCCCGUGGGGAGGGUCAUUUGAAGCAUCUUGUGAUAGUAUGGUCUCGAUAGCAUUCAAAUUGCCCUUUUACACUUCCUCUUGGUAUAUGUAGCAAACCUCUUCUUUUGCAACAAAUAACCUCUUCACCACUACCAAAAUAACUUUUAUAUCCUUGUUUAACUUGUGCAAAUCUAGACAUUAGUUUGAGGUUGGAACGUUGGUCUCCAAACAUAUAUUAUUUAUGCAUAUAUUCUUAGAGCCACUAGACUUUCUCAUCCUAAUUGCACCAAUGUCUCUAUCUUUGUAAUUUGAAAACAACUUCAAUUAAGGGAUAACAUGCAUGAUAUAAGGUUAUGGUCUCUACAAUGCACUCAAUUCUAUGAUCACUAAUAGGGAUUUAAUCCAAGUGUUAAUUUGACAUGAUAUAUAUAACUGAUUCAUUACCAAAUAGCUUAAACAUUUAUAUCAUAUAUAUUGAUAGCUUAACAUGUUUUUAAAGCCUUAGUUCAAGGGAGAUCAUGAUCUUGAGCUUCACACAUGGUUAUUUCUCAUACUUAUUGAACCUGCAUACAAACUGAAAGAAGGUUUUCUCUUAUACAAGGUAUUGAGGGUUUAGUCCAAGUGCUACCUCAUUACCAAAUAAUUUAAUUAGGGAUGACAAUACAAUAAGUUUUUUUAGGUACUCAUCUCAUCCUACCGUGAAUAGAAUAGGUUUGAAAUGAAGAUAAAUAGGUUAGGGAUAGAGAUUUUUUUACAUAUAUAAACCAAUGGUGGGUUUAGGUAUUACCUUGUACCCUCCUAUCCUAUCGCAUCCCAAGUAUAUGCAUAAUUAAAUUUAAAAAUAGUUUUAUUUUUUAUUUACUCAUUUUUAACACAAAAUAAUAAUAAUAAAAUCUACUUCUUGAAUAAAAUAAAUUAUAAAAAUUUAUAAUAUUUAUUUAUAUAUAAAAUAUAUUUACUUUUAAUAUUUUAAAAUUUUAAAAAUAAAUAGGGUUGGGUGGGGCCUGUGCAACACAAGUAAUAAGAAAUUUUCAUACCGGUAGCCUUGCCCUACCUUACACCGCCCUGUUUAAUUUUUUUUAUUGGGUGGGGGUAGCAAUAGAUUUAUAUAAAUGUGACAAGAUUGGAAUAUGGGUGAUGCAUUCCAAACCCGUCCCAUUGUCAUCCCUAAGUUUAGCUUUUAGAUUAUGUUGGUAGCUUAACAAUCACCAACAUUCAAAAGUUCAUGUUGUAGUAUCCUUGUUCUAUUCCAUUACCUGAGGCUGCCUCUUCUUUUCCUUUCUGUAAACACAGUAGUUCUAUUUCAUAUGGCCUUUUUUGCCACAAUAUCCAGACAUCUAUCCACUAUUGAUACCAAACUCUCAUCAUGCUUAUAUGCAGCGGAUGUAGUAUUCUUUUUCUCUCUCCUUUUUCUUUCUUAGGUUUGCCUCCUUUAUUUCCUUUCCCAAACAACAUAGUUCUUUUCUAAAUUGCUUUCUGCCACAAUGAGCAUUUCAUUUUCUCCUUGGAUUGAAAUCUUUCAUUGGACUUAUUAUAAUAAUUCUAUCCUCUGCCUUUAUUCCUCCCUCUAUUUUCUAUCUAUUUAUAAUAUGAGUGUUCCUUCUUGUCUCUACAUCAAACAAAUACUAUUCACAAUAGAUGUCUUGCAACGAACACAACAACAAAGAGACUUGCAUCUCAUCAUCAAUUGCCAUUUUCGUAGUAACUAAUUGAUUUACCGUGCUUUGAAAAGCACUUCACAUGGUUGGCCACUGAAGUGUUUCCUUCGACUUCAAUCUAGUUAAGUUAACACACCUCAAUGUGGUAACUAAAAUGUAACUCACUUUUUUCAGUUGCCUAACUAGACACCUCAGCCAAGUUAUUAGUUUAUUGAAUUAGAAUUUUUUUUAAAGUAAUUUUAAAAAGCGUUUCUAACAUUUGAAAUUUUUUAUCUUUCAAAGUAUUAGAAAGGUUAAAAAUAUUUUCUAAAAUCACUAUCAAACACACUCUUAAAUUACUAGUCUUGUGAAUAUGACCUUUCACCCCGUCACCUAGACAAAUACUUUAGUAGAGUUGCUAAAACUUAAUUGGACUGGCCUCUCCUGUUGGAGAAAAUAGCCCUUAAAUAGAUUAGAAACAAGCAAAAAGCAAAAAAAAGCUUUCUAUAGCAAGAAUUGAACAAGGACCUACAACAAUGUAGAAUAGAUCUCAACUAGAAAUUAGAAAUUAGAUUGUAAACCAACAACACAUUAUGAAACGCAUGAGUAUCCAUCCAAGAUAAACACCAAUGACCUUACUUGGAAAAAACCCUUCGAGGAGGUGAAAGAAGCCAUUCAAAAAUGAAUGUCCAUCAUAUAAAAUAGGAAUUAAUCGGUGUUCGUGCAAGUCUUUUUCCAAAGAUAUGGGAAGGGAACUAGAAAUGGUGUUAUUCUCAAGCUUACAAAACCAGCACACAGAGUGGAAAGGAUCUCACCAAAUACAAUUGCCACAUUUGAUAUGGAGAAAACCCUUGGUUCAACCAAAACCAAGAAUGGUGAAGAAUCCCUAUUCUAGCAUAAAAGCCUAACAUAAUUAGGCUCAAGUUGCUACUGGAAGAAUCAGCCCACACAUUGGGUUUCUUGAGAUAACACAGAGACAGAGGUUCACUAAAUGAUCCCCAAGGACUAGACCCCCCAUCAGAAAAAGGAAAUGUAAUGAGUGGGAAUUGCCAUCAGUAAGGCAUAUGCAGGAGACUCAACUCUCUAGCCAUUGCUCUAUGGAAAUUUAAAAUGCCUUUUGUUAGCUAAUAAUAAAUUUAUGAUUUAUGACAAUAUUCUUUGGAAGAUCUAUUACUGGGAUACAAGUUUCAGAUUUGGGUGAUUUAGCCCUAUGGCAAGAACAUGAUUCUUAAAUGUAAGACUAAAGAGUAUAUUUGUAGUGAUUCUAUGAAGGCCAAAAGUGCUCUCUAAUACUUGAAGCAUUUUCUUAUAAAAAUUAGGGUCGUAUUCAGUUUAACUUGUUUUUUUCUUACAUUUUUAAAGAAAAUAAAGAACAAUUUGGAAAAUAUGUUUGGAUAUUUCUAUUUCUAUUUUCCCAAGAAUUGAGUUUAGAAAAUGGAAAAGGGGAAAAAUGCCAAAUUGGUAUUUUCAAAAUUUAAUUAAAAAAGUGAAAAGAGUUUCUAAAACGUAAAAAUACAAAAGUAAAUAAUACAUGAAAGAAAUGCAAAUAUGAAUUUGAUAAUAAUAUUACAAUAUUAUAAUCAUCUUCCUCUUUUUUACUAAUAAUAUUACAUUUUUAUAUUAAAAAAUAAAUUAUUUUAAUAAGCCAAAUAUCCCCAAUUGAUCAAUUGCUUCGUUAAUUAUAAAUAUAUUAGAGUAUCAAAAUAAAAUUUUUUAUUAAAGUAUCAAAAUAACUAAUAAAACAAAUAAAAUAAAAAAUAAUGAAAAAUAUAAUUUCAUUAUUUUUCAUGUACAAAAAUUAGUACCUAACAAAACAACACAACAAUUGGUCAAUUCCUUUAUUAACUAUUAAUAUACUAUAUUUUUUAUUAUAUAUUAAAAUAACUAUAAGAGAUGAUAAUUGAAAGAGAAUAAUCAAUAAAUACAAUUUAAUUAUUUUCAUUGUGUUUGAUUUAAAAAUAUAUAUAUCCAGUACCAAACAAGGUUUCCAAAUUUUUAUUUUUUGAAAACCAGUUUUUAUUUUUAUUUUUAAACAAAAAUAUUAAUUACAAGAAAUGAAAACAAAGAAAACAAAAACAAUUUUUAGAAAAAAUUAAAAGUAGAAAAUAAAAACUAAAAAUAUUUUCCAAACCAAAGGCAACUUAAAUUACUGUGUAAUAUUUUAGAAAAUAUUUUUUUUUUAAAUCUCUAGAAUAAAAUAGAUAAAACAUGGAUCUAAACAUCCUUGCAUCCAUGAAAAUAUUUUUGGAGAUAAAAUCGGAAAUGAGAAUAGAAAAUUAUUUCAUUUUUUAUUCAUUUUGAUGUUUAGAUCAUUUAUUAAAUAUAAAAAUAGGAAUAAAAAGUUAUUAUUAUUGUUUUUUUUUAAUAUUUGUUUAAACAAAAAUAUGUAAAGAUACAUCAACCGAACCCAAUAGGCUUCGGAGAAUUAAAAACAAUGGCUAGUUUGAACUAGCAGACUAAUAAUAGAGACAAUUAUCCAACUUCUCAUACCAAUGUUAUCAUAAGAUAAAAGUUGAAUCAUAAAUACUUGUACAAGACAUUCAUUACUUGAAUUACAAUCUCUGUUUCCUUCUUCAAAAACACAUAAUAUCAUAAUUAAAGCAAAAAAGUGUUAUACACCAAGUAUACAUACCAUGCAGGAAGGGUAAAAAAAACCCGAAGGGAAAGAACAACCAAAAAACAAUCACUCCCUCCCUCAUCAAGAACCUACCCAAUCUACAAAUUUAAUAAGAGACGUUGAUCUACCUCUAUAUACAUGUUACCUCGAGACAUUGAUCCUACCUGUAUAUACAUUUUACCUCAUGACAAUAGAUUACUAAGGAAUAAGUGUUUCAGUGAUUGAAUCGGCUGCUCCUUGCUUUCCAAUACUCUGUGGUUUCUUUCCUUCCGAAUUGUUCAAAAAAUACAGAGGGAAGUUUCUCUCUAAACUCUCUUCCUAUGUCUUCCCAUAAAAGAACCAUACCACCCUGAUAUAGUAUCUCUUACCAAAGAAAGGACCUAAGCAAGGACGAACAAAUUAAAUCAAGAUAACAAUGUCUUUGUUCAACCCAGAGAGGUAGGUUUUUCAUUUUUGAAAUUUUAAUUUGAGUGAUAGAUUGGUUAAUUCAAAGGGGGUUGUUGCUCCAACCUAAUGUCGCCUUGCAUCAUGGAGUGGAAGAACAUCCAGCCGAGUGAAGAGGGUCGUGCAUAAACUCAUCACAGGUAACAGAGUGUAUGUAUCAAGGAUGUUCUUUUUCUGACUAUAAUAUCCAUUCUUAGAUUAAUAGGUCUGUCUGCUGCAACAUUCUCAACGCUUGAAAUCAGGAAAUUUCCUACUCCGAAAACCGGUGGUAAGAGGAUGCGGGGGAGGUGACAUCUCUUACUAUAUAAUCCAUUAGAAUGCCUUGGCGGCCUUGAAAGUAAGGAGCACUGCCAUGGACUUGUAUCCUUGGAGGAGUAAGAGCUGCCUGGCAAUCCUAAAUUUUGAAAUUAGAAGACUGCUAAUCAGGAGAAGCGGAAGACUCUGCAGUUUAGUCUCCAACCUUGCAUCACUUUCUAUCAGAGAUAGUGGAUCUAAAGUUGCCAUUAUCGGAGUUGGGCCUCCACAGGCUUACUUCUAUUUCAUCAUUGUACAUUUCUGGUGUAUUUCUAGAUAUUCCUUGGCUUCUCUGGCUCUCAAAAACCUCCCUUCCUUUGAAAGUAAAUCCAUCUAUGGGUGCCCUAAAAUCUGGUUCAUAACCUGAAACAUCUUCAGGACUUGAGACAAGUGAAAAGUAUUUUUGUUUUUAAAAACUCAAUCAGGUAUGGCUAUUUGCAACUCAAUCCCAGCUCCAGAUUGUCCUCUCCAUGGACCUAUUUGUUGAAAAUCUGAUUAAUUUCAACUUUAAAUUCAGAUGGGAGCUGCUUUAUUCCUUUGACAAAUAGAUGGCUUUAGCAGCAGUUGCAAAGUGACAUUUUCUCUAAACUUGCCGGCCUCAGUUAUACUGUUCUAUUGAAUUUGCAUGCGGUUUUAUGGUUUUAAUAAAUAAAAUAAAUAUAAAGCUAAAACUAUGUGUAAGCUCUCUUGCCAUGUUUAAUUGGACUGCUAUUAUUUAUUUAAGAUCAAGAGAUAGAAAGUUUUUCUGCAUUUCCAGUUAUAAUUGAGUUUGUUUUAUAAACAUAUUCAAGUUUAUUCUCUGUUUUUUCUUUCCUUCCUUUUAUUUUUAUGAUUUUCUAUUAUCAUUUGUGUUAUUAAAGAUGAAAGCUCAUUUUUUACUCGCUUUUAUAGAAGUACUUCUACAAUGAAGAAAUUCAGGUUAGGAUUUUGCUAACACAAUAAAAUCUUUGGCCUGCUUGAUAUCUAGUAUCAAGUUUUGCCAAAGGCCAUAACUUCUAUUGGUUAUCUAUGAGUCAACCAUUGCUGGAUGGAUAUGAAUAGGAGCUUGUCCUGCCUAUGGGCAGGGAUAUGCGCGCAAUCACCUGUUUUCUGCUUUUUAAGUAAUGAAGUACCAACUAACUGCUUCUACAAUAUCAUUUCCAUUUUAAUCAGCAUUGAGUGUGUCCUGUCAUGGUUGGUUGGACCACUUAACAAAAAAAACAGCAAGGGCUUUUCUUCAAAAUCUGCAUUCGACAGGUUCUCUGUUAAUUCUUUGCUUUUGCUUUUACGAUAACUUGUUGCAAACUUAUUUAAAAAAAUUGUGCCCUUCUCUUGUUGACUAGGUAUUUAACUUAUGCAUAAUCUUGUGAUGCAGCUAUGGCUAGAGAUACUGUACUUGUCACGCUCUUUUCUAAUUGGGCAUGUAAAGGGCUCUAGGGAUGUCCACUUGUCUUCAAGUACAGUUGAUUUCUUUGGUACAAAAAUGCUGACUACAACUACAGAAGAUAAACUUGAACUAGUUGUUAAGCGAACUCUUUUAUGUUAUAUUAAAAAAUUUCUAAAGAAAAUUUCUAUUGAGAAAACUAGGGAUGUUUUAACCAUCAACCUUAACUUAAUUUGUGUUUAAUGUGUGAUACUGUCCUCUUUACUUGGAAUAUGUCUAUGAUGGUGCUUGUCUAUGCUUCAUCAUUGCUUAUUUAUUUUAUGACGUCUUUGUUGAGCGUUUUAGCUCCAGGUGGAAGAGCUGUGUUGUCUGAGAUGCAUAGGGAACUGUCUCAUCAGUGACUAUGCCAAUUGGAUGAGGAUUCUGGAGAGAACUCUCUAUCUGAUCCAAGUGUCUCCUGACUUCUACCAUAAACUCCUGAAUAGAAGCAAGCUUGUUUGACGUCUCAACUAAACUGUCUGAACUAUUUGAACUUUGAUAUGAAUCUGAUAUGAUCAAUCGACCUCCAACUCUCCUCUAAGAAUGUGACUCCCUAUAAUGCAAACAAAAUGGAUGAAGGACAUAAGAUAAGACCCUAAAAGACAACAGUGCAACAUGCAAACACAUGGUCCUGAGGUGGCAAUCUGAAAUCUGGAUGUAUGAUGAGAGCUCUAGAGACAUAAAGGUGUCCACUGUGAGAUGGCUACAAAUGUGACUAAAGAAUUCCUAUCAAUAAUCCAAGAUGAAAGAGGUGUGAGAAACACACUAUCAUGAGAUUGAUACUCCAUCUAUAACCACAUAUCCUUGACUCAACCUUCAACCCAAGCUCCAUAAGAGAAAAGAUAAGGUGAUCAAGGCGACUCUCAAAAAAGGUGUGAAUGUGAAAACGUGCCUUUCACCUUUCCGUAAUGAAAAUGUGAGCAUCGAGUUGAAAAUUGAAUCAAGGAUCAAACAAAGAAUAGGAUACUAGGCUCAUGAUAAGUGUACGGUAUAAAGAGAUGAUCAUAAUCAAUGAACAUAUCCUAAAGCAUCAAGCAAGUGACAACAAAGUGAAAGGAUGUGCCAAGCCAAGAGAGGGAGACGAAAGCUCUAUGGAGAAAGCAUGCUAAACUCAUCAAGUGAAAAGAAUAAUCUAAAGCGACAUGACAAAAGGUGAUCCAACUGAUACUGAAACUUGUACCGAUCUCUGAGCACUCUCAACUGGAAACCAAAGGUAAAAGCACUGGGUCCAGGUGGUGAGUAAGACGGCCCUGAAGGCUCUCAGAUGCACCCACGUGUGAGGAAGGAAUCCUAAUCAAAGGAUCUAAGCUCAUCCUAUAAGGUUAAGGUGGCUUUAAAAAGAGAAAGGUAGGCUUUCAAGGGUCCUUAGAAGAAGCGAUCAUACCCUUUGGUGGUAUGCAACCCUCUGCACGCCUCUAAAGAGAUGGGGCGCUUCUCAUCACCUCCACACAUGCACUACCUCGCAUCCCAAGGGGCUCCUAUGGUGAAGGCUCUUCUAAUGGCUGGCAUAUCUCAUAACUUUGGUCACUCAUCAACAAUCUAAGGUGCAUAGUGAGUUGUGUGGGUGCAUCCGAAAAUCCUAUGAAACUAAAAAGAAAACACAUUGGUCACACAAAUAUCCUAAAAUCCAGCUUUGGGCUAUACAAGUCUUCAAAGAUCGGACCCCAAUCAACAUCAAUGUGUCGGCCAUCUCCAAAAUGCUCCCAAACAUAGAUAUAAUCCAUCAUUAGACCUUACUUCAAAUCACUAGCUUGGUCGAAGAACAAUCAAGGUGAUAAGUCUCAUGUCAAAUAAGAGAUCAAGGGAAACAAAGUCGAUUGAGACUAGGGAAUUGGAAAUAAGGGGAUAGGUGUGAGACCCACAUGGACAAACAAUACAUGCAUCAUGUAGAAGGAGAGUAGUCAUAUAACAAACAGUUAUGCAAAGCAGGUAUAUAUCAUACAAAUCUACACAUAAGCUAAGUAAGAAGAUAAUCGAGAUGAAUAUCUAGCAAGAAUAAAUGGCAUGCUCAGAGUUAAUCGAGGUAAUAUGUAACAAAGAGAAUAAACAUGUCAAGAUGAGCAACAAUGAGAAUAUACAAGUCAGGGUGAGCAGAGCAAUCACACAGUAAGGAGAGUUGAUAUGUGAACACAAACAAGAGGAUCAAAUGAUAUAAUCAAGAUGUCAAUGUCUCAAACAAAUACACAAAUCAAGCAUGCAUCAGAGAUAAACAUAUCAAAAGUUCUCAAUGUGCAAUCAAUAGUCAAACAUACAAAAGCACAGAGAGAGAAGGGUACCCACUGAUCAACCAAUCAAACAUCACAUUUGCCUUAAUCUAAGUUCAAGCUUGACUAUCUAGUGAUCCCCAAUGGAGUCACCAUUUUGCGGAACCCGUAUUUCUCCACAAUGCGUUCCCACUCGAAUGGUGAUACUCACUUUUUAUUUUGAAAAAAUGACUUUUGAAAAGUUUUUGGAGUCGCCACUUAUUUUUCUUUUAUUUUUAAAGGGAAAAACAGGUCUGUGAAAAACCAAGUCUAGGUUCGGGAGUGAGGUUACCUAUUGAGAAGGUACGAUGAUAAGCUGUAACACCCCUCUAAGCACCUAAAAAUGGGUCUCUAGUAAUCAGAUAAGACAAGCGUAGCAAUUGAUUGAUUAAUUGUGGAUACCAAAUAGUGAUCAAGGGUGUACUAGCAAGUCAUGCAUGAUAAUGGAUAAAUAAAUAAGUAUGAUUAUGUAUGAGAUGCACCUUAGCAGCGAAUAAUGAUGUGCUAUCAUAAAACGGGGUUAGCUCAAAUAUAAAGUAAUGCGUGUCACAUAUUAGAGCCAAAAAUCAAUCAAUAAACAAUCAAACAAAAUCAACAAUCAGAUGACGAAUGUCUCAUAUGUUAGGCCACACCAAUGCCCAAAUUAUUUUCGGCAUGAAUUACUUCUACAAAUUCCAUGAUUUUUGGAAUUAUAGACUUGUAUUCAUGGUUAUUUAAAAACAUUUAAAAAAUCAAGAAAAAAAAAAGUGAAAAAUGCUUGCCCAAAAGAAAAAUGGCAGCAAGUUUAUCAAAAAAUGGAUUUUUGAUGACCCAAAACUCUAUGGAUGAAUAAUAAUAAAAAAAACUGAAUAGUUAAAAUUAUUUGAAAAUUGGAAUUAAAAAAAAAAAACAAUUUUUGAAAGCAAAGGUGAAUAAUUAAGAGAACAUGGCCUAUGGGAUUGCAUGUCAAAGUUGGCCCAGGGUAGGUAGUGAAUUGGCCAUUGAAUCACUUUAUUGGACAUGCAACUUGCUGUAGUGGUUUGCAUCCAUGGAUAUUGACUGUACCGAAACUUGGAAUGUCGACCAUGUCGUUCAUUGGAGAUGUACCAAGUGACAUGCUUCAUGGUGGCGGGAUUUAUAUGCUGCAUCACUUUCUUCUUAUAUAAAUACUCAGCACCUUUGGCAAUGCCAUUGCACUAGAACCACUACAAAGACCUCUAACAAUGAAUGAUGAUCUAGCCAUACAGCAUUAACGAGCUUCUCACCAAACUGCUACUUGCUGAAACCGUUCUUUAUCGUGUUAUACCCAUAUCUUGCACCGUCCAUUCCAUGCAUGACUUGAUUAAGUCCUUCAAGUAAGUAUUCAGGCCAUAGCUUAGCAAAAAUAGAGUCCCCUGACAUCCCUUUAAGACUAGGUCUGCUGAAGUGAUUUAAGUGUCAUGAAGGAGAGGUGAAGGACGGGUAUUGCACAAUUGGAAUCGCAGCACAUGCAACCGUUCUUCUCAACCAUGGUAACAUGAAUUCUACACGUUCAUCCUUAGUUUAAGGGACAAUGGGGGUCAGUCGACAUGGCAACAAUGACAUUCAGAAAUGCAUCCCUGCAAAUCUUUCCAAUAAUCUUUCCCAGAACCACCCAACAAGCCACCUGAAGGAAAUGGAUGUCCUGAAUUAAUGUCAGAAUCCUUAUAUCUGAUAUGGACGUUACUAAUGGGAAAUCUUAAGGAUUCCAAUUAUGGUUGCAAACAGAGAACCCAACCAUGAAUUUGCAUCAGCUGGACUUCCUUCUUGAUAUUGAUGAAGUUCCAACUUCAGUUGCAGUAAAUGGUAUCCCCAACUCCGGACUACUGUCAUUUCUUGAUGGGAUUCAAGGCAUUGAACUUACAAAAUCAUCGUAGCCUUAGUCUUCGUGCACAGAAGACCUCUUUCUCUCAAACUCCUGGACACGACUUUUUCAAUAGGGGUAAGCAUCGGGAUAUCUAGCCCAUUUUCUGACCUUGUAUGAGACGCUCCCAGAAAACCCUUCAGAAUUGUUUAGUGAGUUGCAUCUUUAGGACCACCAGAAGCAUUAAAAAGCUCAUAGUUUUUGGUUGUCAAAGCACAAGGGUGGCAUUUGGUUUUGUCGAAUGGCACAGCUAGCUCAUCACCUAAUUUCUGACCAAUAUGAAAUGAUUGAGACACUUCAGCGAGUUCCUUGACAUCACUUCUUGUAUGAUUCAGCCACUCAUUUCCUUUUUGGACAUUUGGAAUCCAUGAAUUCAAAGAACUCGUACGCAUUUUCACAGGGACCUUGAUACAUGAUUUUCCCAUAAGAGAGGAGAAUCUUAUCAUUAAAUAGGUUGCAGGUUUCUGGUACUGGUUGGAGGAGGGAGAUCAAAGCAGUUCCAUUAAGAAUGAGGAUGAACUGCCUGAGUGAACUUACAAUCUGAAAAGCUGUUGAACUAUCCAAACGAAUUACCAUUUCAUCCAUGGAAAAAAGCUCUGUUUGUUUCUCCAUCGACUAGUGCACCAAUUAUCACCCCAUCUCCUCAUUGACCAAGAGCUUUCCUGACUCCAUCUUAUCAUCAUCAAUAAUCUCCAGUAAUAGCUCUUUCCAUUCUGUCUCUAGACAUUUCAAUGUGGUCCAUAUGGCUUACAGGUGUCUAGAAAUUUCCAACAGUAUGUAAAGUGGUUCACAUGGGGCUCUCUCAAAAGCACCCCAACCAAAAUGGCCAGCCCAAAUGGGGAUACUCAACACCCCGAACUUACCAGAAUCAGGCGAAUAAGAGGAAAAAAAAAAAAGAAAAGAAAAAAUAGGAGCAGAGCGAGGACUGAAGAAAUAGCAAAAGGAAAUUAAGCAGAUAACAAAUAUACAAAGCCUCAUUUCAGGUGACAUCCAUGGACUAAUAACAUGUGGAAUUAACAAAGAAUGCAAGCAUGAUUCUUAUAUAUCAAGUCCAGGGAUGAAGCCAUGCAUCAACUACUUACAGGAGGAGUCAAGUAAACCAAGAUAAAAUCAAACAAAGCAUGUAUGCAAACAAACAGAUUCGGUCAAACAGACUAAUAAUCCUUCAAGUCCAAGCCAAUCAAUAAAAUAACACCCAAGAAUCUACAGAAAAAUGUAGAAGAAUAAUAUGAAAAUGAGAAAUGUGAGGUUCAGAUAGACCUUACCUGGAAGACUUCCUUUCGAGCAAGAUUUUUGUCCAACUUCCCAACUAUUCUUCCUCUGCUCCAACUCUCUUUAUCUCACAACUUUUCUUGCUUUCUCUGCUCCUCUAGACACUCUUUAUAGCUCCCCUUCCUUCAGCUCCCUGUUUUUCCUAUUGUCCUCCUUCUCCUCCAUUCCUCUUCUCAACGGUCUCUGAAUCCUCUCCUUACAUGUCACCUGCUGGUUUCCCACAGAAAAAAGUCCUUGCCAGCCCACUAUCUCAUACACCUGCUGCCAAAACCUCUUAAAGGGUGGUAAAAAUAUGGCCCCUAAAAUAUCCCAAAACUUCUAGAUCAAAAUGAGGGUCUACACCUUAUAUUCCACAAGCUAAACCUUUUUAGACAUACCUAUGACUUCCUAAUUGGAUGAACAACAACCCUAAUUCUUAAAUGGAGAGCAAGUUACUAUCUAAACAAACUUUUAUGACCAAACAUUAAUUGGAACAAAAUUGCCAACAAUUACAUAAGACUCAAUGUCCUAACAAUCUCCCAUUUUGGUAAUUUUAUGACAAAACGUCAUUAAUAAACCCACCUAAACUCUCAUAAUGAAGUUUACAUAAUACACAUUAAUGCUUAAUUAAAAAUAAACUAAGGGAAUGCUUUGCAAUGCUUUGUAGUACUUAUCUUCCAACCCUUUAACCUACACACAUACAAAAAAACUAUACCAAAAUUAAAGCAAUGUGAGAGAUAAAAUAAUAUCAUGAAAGCAAAAUAGGAUAGUUAGAGGUUUUUCUUGACACCUUGUGAAAGCAUGCUAAAUGAACAGAUUCCUAUAGCGCCAUCAAGGUAUAAUGCUAAGCUCAAGAGGAAUAUAGAUGCAUGCAAAUCAACCAAAUAGAAUAUAAGCUAAAUAAGACCUAAUUAUUUAAUAGUAAAGUGAAGGGGGCGUUCACCAACCAUAUUACUAGCAAUGAAAGCCUUAGGAAGAAGCUUCUAUGACAAUGAUUAGUUAUAGAAAGAUAGAACAUUCAAAUAGUAAUAUUUUGCAGGGAACAUCCGUGUUAGGUAUCUCUCUAAACUAUCUAAGUCAUUCUUCCAAAGGUUUAUUUAGUUUACUCCAAUGUCUCAUGUUCAAUUUCCUCCAAUAUUUCAAUUAAGUUCCCUUAAUAAAUGAAUUAAAGAAUUCAAAUAAUUCAAAAAUUAACUAACUCCCCCUAAAUUCAGGAGUUUCUAUGAUCACUUUAUCUCCCUAUUUAUAACUCUCUCCCCAUUUUUAAAUGAAUUAAAUACUAACUCCCCCUAAAUUAAGAAGUUUCUAUGAUCACCAUAUCUCUCUAUUUAUAACUCCUCCUUUUUAAAUGAAUUAAAUAUUCAAUGUGCUCCUCCUGUUUCUUUAUUUAAGAGAGUUAACUAUUCAAUUUUCUUUCCCUUUUUGUCACAAAAAUGGUAAAGUAACAUAAAUAUAAACACGAAAAAGCACAUAAGAAAUAAAGAGAAAGAUGAACAACAUAUAUAUAUAUAUCAAAAACCUGAUUUUGGAUACAAGAUAAGCAAUUAAUAAACAUCCAUAUCAACAAAAAUAGAUAGAAAGAUAAACUAAAUAUCUAAACAUCAAGAGGAAGUGGAGAAGGGAAUGAGCUUGAACUGCUUUGAGCAUGGAUCCACAAAAUAAUGUAAGUCAAUUGACCUUAGAUCUCAUGAAGUUGAAUGUCCUGUGAGUCUAACCUUUGAAGCACUAUAGUCAUGGGAUCCAUUUCUUGUGUAGUUGGGCCUAUAGAAGUUGAUGCCCCAUGAGAAGCUCUAGAUUUGCGAGCACGACCUUGAUUGGAGCAAGUCCUAGGUGCAACCUCAAGAACAGGUGCAUCCUGCUCCAUAGCUCGGAUCUCAUCCUCUUCUACAAGUGCCUAUUGACCAGCCUAUUGACCUGGUGCAACAUCUUGGGGGCCAUCAGGAACCAAAGGAGCCAUGGGACCAUACACAUGGUUGUAAUGUUUGGCCCAAGAGCUCUCUUCCAACAAGGUAUGAACAGCUUGGACCCUCUAUGCAAUAAUAUUCUUAAAGCUAAUAUGCUUUAACAGUCUAAAGAUGAGGAGUCUGAAAGGAAGUGCACCACAUCAGAAAGAGAAGUCUCAGUAUGGGGUGAUGGUAUCGAUAAUGACUUGUCCUAUGUCGAACUGUUGUCCCGAGAGUAUGGUGUGGAAGAAAUGAGCAGUCGAUCGACGAAUCUUGGUAAGAUUGGAUGAGAGAUAGAAAGAAUAUGUAAGGAAAGUAGUAAGAAUCCAAGAUGGCUUAGAGAAGCUAGCUAAAGGAAUAUAUGCAAGAAACUCACAAGAAGCACCAUACAAAAAAACCAGAAUUGAAAUGAGCUUUCCAUGAUUGAGAAACUAAACCCCUGGAAGGAAAGAAGGAAGACAAGCAUCAAGUUUUGGUAUGUCGAGUACAUGCUUGAUUGAUAAAGAGGUGAUAUGAAAGGACUAACUAAACAUGUUUGCAUAGAACAUGAGAACUAGAAGAGGAUAACAAGAACCUUGCAAAGUGAACAAGGAUUCCCAUUCUUUUUCUCCGAGAAUGGCGGAAGAAGAGUGUCCUAAAAGGCACAAAGGUUAAUCGAGCAUUCAACCUUAAUAAGACAGAUCUAAAAAUGAGCAUAGAAACGAUCACAUGACUUUUGAGAGUAGAAGCACUCUAUGGGAAGACCAGAAGGAUAAAAAGGACUCUAAAGAGUGAUGCCUUAAAUGGGCUCAGGUGACUUAGGAGGAGUCACCUCUUGUUGAUGCCUACAACUAGACAUAACUAGUGGAAUAUAAAAAGACACAAAAACCAAGAAAAAUAUGAAAAAAAAAUCUAAACCACUAGGCAUGUCCUAAAUGAGGUGUAGAAUAAUACUAUAAAGUCAAAAACACAAAAAAACAAAGAAAACUAACCUUAAAUGACAAAGUAACAAAGUGUUAGAGCACUUGAGAGAAUAGGAAAAUGUUUGAAAUGUCAAAAGUCUUGUCAGAUAGGUUUUUAUACUCAGAUGUACCACUAGAUUCAAAUUAGUGCUCGAGCAGGGCACUCGAUGGAUGCACCACUUGAUGUAACUUAUAGUGCUUGAGUGGUAGAGUCGUUGGUUGUGGCUUGAGUACUUGAGCGUUAAGGACAUUGGAUGCAACACUCAAGCAAUUAGAGCCUAAUUUCAAUUCUAAUAGGGAUAAAAUACUCAACUAACUAACAUAUAAAUAAGGAUUGACACCAAUUAAAACAAAUAUUUAACAACAAACUAAAAAAAGCAGAUAACUAAAUUCAUAAACUCUUAGAUCAAUCGGUAACAACUUAAGUAAGUUACUUCAGAUAGUACACAUCAAUCCAUUAAGAAAGAAGUUUUGAGUUCACAAGUUAGAGUUAAUCAUAAUCUCAAAUUCAAGAACCCAAUGGAUAACUAUCAAUGUAUAAGAUAGUCAGCAUAGAAACAUAAAUAUUGAUGUUCAAGGGAAUACGAUUUACUAUCUAGUUCUAUAUUUCAAAAUUGAUCACUUAGAAGAGAUCCAAUCAUGCCUUUGGUCAAAUUAAAGAAUACAUCCAGUCAAUUUGAACUAAGAUUGUCAAAUUUCUAUUUAACACAACCUCAUUGAUCUACAUACAACACAACUUAACUCCCCCUUAAUUUGAUAUCUUUUUCUUUUCUUUUCUUUUCUUUUUUGAAAUUUGAGUCAUUAUACACCAUGAUCAAUUGAUUUUUCUUUUUAUAUUCAUUAUUGGUUGCCUUUGUAUCCACUUUGGGGGUGUUUCCAAAUGUUGCAAGUGAGCAAUAUACAUUUAAAAGCAUGAAUCUUGGACAAGAGUAUAAGAGCUAUGCUUAACCAAAGAUUCAAUGUUUUGUAUCAACUCACCUCAAGAAACAAAUAAUGAUCAUAGUCAAACAAGAUAUGUGGAUAAUAAGAUUUGAGCAUAACAACGGAUCCUUCCAAAGCAACCAAAGUCUACUUUAUGAGUUAAACUUAAGAAGUCUCCCUUGUGAUCAAUUACAAGAUGUAACUAAUAUUGAUAUUCCCACAUACAAGGACAUUUAAUUAUCAAGAAUCAAAUACAUCAAUAGUGAUUAACAAAUAUCUAUGAAUCCAUCCUCAUCAAAUCUUAUAGAUAUAGUAUUGUAGAUCCUCUAUUUUGUCCCUAGUACACACGUAUUUUUUAUUUUUUAUUUUUUGUCUCACUUUGCUCCUUUUUAACGUAUGUUUAGGAUCCCUUUUUACUCAAUUUUUCAUCGUCCCUUAGUGGUCCAUGUCUACUCGGCUCAUUAUUGAUUUUUGAGCUACAUUUUGGAGACCAUCAGGAGAUUAUUUUGGGUUCAAGCACGAUUAUUGGAGGCCUCAAGAUUGUUUUUUUAGAGUAUGUUUUUAGAGCUUUAGAGCUCUUUUGGGCAGUUUGGUUGGGAUUAGGACACAUGUCCUCAUCCUAGCCGUCACUUUCUCUUCUAAUUUUGCCUUUUACAAGGGGCCUUUUUAGGCCUACCUUUUUGGAGCACGUUUUGGAGAGGAGAGUGGGGAGACAAUUUUUGUAGGGAGUAGGAGGUUGGUUAGGACAGGGGAGGGAUAUUCUCUACAGUGGUGACACGUAGCAGAGAGACAGGAGGUUUUUUUUUUUUGGGUUUGUUAGAGAGGAGAUGAACUGCAGGUCACUUGAGGUGGAGUGCAGAGAAUAUUCAGGUGGCCGGAGCUGAGAGAAAGAAAAAGAAGGAGCUAUGAACGAGAGUGAGAGGGUGAGGUAGCUGUUUUGAGAAAGCCAUUUUGAGAGAGAGAGAGCUGUGAGCUGAGGAGGUGAGCCUAAUGAUUUUCCUGGAUUUUAGAGAGUGAGUUGAGUGGAGAUUUUGAAAAAAAAAAUGAGAGUGAGUGGAAGAAAAAGUAUUCGGUAGGGAGGUUUUUGGGGGAGAGCUUGAGAUAGAAUGGACUGAGUUGUGAGAACAGAGAGAUUCAACAGGAAGGUUUUUGGGGGGAGUAGGAGGCUUUCCAUGUAGCUGUUGGAAGAAGGAACAAAACAGUGAGAGAGAAAAAAAAUGAGAGGAAAAACAGAGAGAAGUUUAGAGGGGGUGAGCUAGGCAUGGAGGUGGAUUCUUGUCUAGGUUUGAGUGUGAGAGGCUUCUGAAAGAAGGUUUUAGAGAGACUGUUAGUAGGAGAGAGGGGAUUGACGAUUAUGGAGAAAGCUUGAAAGGAAGAGGGAAGGUGGUGUCUGAAGGAAGAAAGUCUACCAGAGGGCUUUUUCAGGUAAGUUUGCUGGAUACUUCUCUUGUUCGUUCUCACUUCCUCUGCUCUUCAUCAUCUGUUUUUGCUACUUGAGCAUCAUUAGUUUGUGUGGUUAUGGAUUGAGUUUGGCUGAAUCUGAGUUUGUUUUCAUGGUUGCUCUGUUUUGGUUGUUUCAUGCUUUCUUUGAUUUCUCUCAUAAAUAAUUGAAGUGUGGAUUGUUUUUUUAACUUAUUACUUGAUCAAUCAAGUCAUUGCUCUCUACUUGUCUCACCCGUUUAUACCCGUUGAGUGCAGCAUGAAAUGGGGUCUUGAUAGUGGAUUGCUUAUUUUGUUUGAACAUGCUCUGCUUCUUGAGUCCUCCCCUUUUGCUUUUGAAAAAUACCAACCAUUACUUUUGUAAACUAUCUGGAAGCUCCAGAAUGAUGGGAAAAAAAAAAUGCUUUUAAUUCCCAAUGGUUUCUAGAUGUGAUGAACCGGGAAAGUCAAAAGAUCAAGUUAUUGGUCUGGUCAUCGUUGCUGCUGGAAUAGGUGGAGGAACGGGUACUAGUGGGGCUCCUGUGAUUGUAGCUGCAGAAUCAUUGGGGAAGGGUCCUACAUCUUGGCUGAGAAAUAGAGUUAUUGAAUCAAUAUAUAGCCUUGAGGCUCUCUUAUUGUUUCCAUUGGAAUUGUUGAUAACUAAGGAAUGGAAGAGUAUAAAGCUUGAACUUCAGCUUCUGACAUCAGGUUCACUUGACGGCUAAGCACCCAUUGCUUGAAUGGGUUGGUUAGGAAAAUCACUACCAGAAUCACCAUCACUUAGGUGGUGUUUGUUUUUUUGGCUUUUUGCUGAAAAUAAUUUAUUUUUAGAAUUUAAGUUGUUUGUUUUUUUACUUUUUCAUGACUUAUUAUAAACUUUUUACUAAAUAGAAAAAACCAAAAUAUGUAGUUUUUUCUUAAUAGAAAAAAUAACAUUGAUUUUUCUUUACUUUUUAAUACUUAAUAGAAAUAAAAUAUUACAAAAACAAACAACUUAAUAUUUAACACUAUUAAGCAUUAAGAUUCUAUUUAGAAUUAAGUAAAAAAACAAACACUACCUUAGGUGGUGUUUGUUUUUUUACUUAGUGUUUCCUAUUAUACAAACUCUGUAGCAUGGAGGUGUAAUGGGUCUAAUAAUGGUGUUUGGAGUGCUAAUAAGCCUGCUCGGUACACUGGUGCUCAUGCAAUUGCUGGAAGCAAGGCACAUGCCAGAUUUUCAAUGAAACUGAACCUCUAUUUCACUGCACUGCUUUAAGCUUAGAUCCUGGCAGUCUGUGAUAUCUUUGUUGGGGAAAGAAGUAUGAGCAAGAUGAAAUCACAACUUGGUAGAGGAGAAUAAAUGUCAAUGCAUGAAAUGGCAAACAAGAUGAUGUUUGAGCUAUAUUUUGUCAGCCUGAAGAAGCAGAGAUGCUUGGUAAAACAAUAUUGGAGACUUGCACAGAUCCCUACUCUGCUGUUAACAAACCAAAAUGAAGUUUCUGGUGAAGAACUGAAACCAUUUCCAGAGAGGCUUUAUGUGGUUCUUUCUAGAGAAACCAUUGAAGAAAUCAUUGGAACGCCAAGGGAGCUACCAUCCUUCUGAAUUUUCAUCUGGAGAGCAUCUUCUUUUGCUUAAUCCACCAAAGAAGCAAUUCAGUGGCCAAUUGCCAUCUCUCAACGCCUCACUGGAACUGCAUUGCAAAAAUUCAGCUCAGCUGAGAAGUUUGCCAUUGGAAAAUUGCAAUUUGGUUGGUCCUGUGCCAAAAUCUUCGGGGAUUGGUAAUAUUAAGACUGUCAAUGAAUGGCAAGAACACAACAGCCCAGGAUCUGCUCUCAUAGCCAGCUUCGUACCAAAUCUUUCUCAUUGGAAACAGUUCAGAUGGGUUUGAGCUGAAUCAUUUGGGAAAUGAAUAACUUAUGAUUGAUUGCAUAAAUGGUGGGGCCUACAAUCCAGAAGAAAACCCUCUCAGAAGACACAAACUCCUUCCCAUUCUUUCCCAUUCUGUUUGUUCCCAGCCUUGAUACCUUCAAUACCUGGCAGUCUCCACACAACUCAUCCAAAAUCCCUCCAUCAAAUUUGAACCCAAAGCCAAACAACUCCGUGUCUAAAACCUUGGGACUAGCUCACCACCUUGUUUUUCUUCAUACCCACCACCUUCAGCUUCACUCAUCACCAAGCCAACUUCUCUCACAUCCUCCACUACUCAUUUCCUACCCAACCUAGCUCUAUCUUUCUCACCUAACAAGUGCUGGUGAUGACAGUGAAGACUGGUCACGCUCUCUUUACUCAGCUCCAGCGAUAAGACUAAUGCCUUCGAUGAUUCCGAUACUUUUGUUUCUCCAGUUCAGGGGUUUGCCUGUAUUAGAUGAAUGGCUCCAAGAGUACAUGAAGGAAAGAUUGGUGAUGUUAGUAGCCCCAAGGAUGGUGAUAAAUCUGCUGAGGAAUCCCUAUUGGUUUUACUUCAUGCACUUGAUAAGCUGCCUGUGAAUCUUCAAGCCCUUCAAAUGUGUAACAUUGGCAAAUCUGUUAAUCAUUUACGUACUCAUAAAAACUUAGAAAUUCAGAAGAAAGCAAGGAAUUUAGUUGAUACAUGGAAGAAACGUGUUGAGGCAGAAAUGAAUAUUAAUGAUGCAAAGUCUGGUUUAAGUCAGGCUGUUCCAUGGUUCUCGAGGCCACGUCUUUCUGAAGUUUCUCAUGAUGGGAACAGACACUCUGGAGGCUCCUCUGAGAUUGCCAUGAAGAGCUCAGUCAUGCAGCUUUCUUCAUCUAAAACAGCUCCAGUUAAUAAGAUUAUACUGGGGGUUGUCUUCAAUUAACUAGAUUCAAUACUAACCAUUGUUGCCCGACUAAGUGUUUAGAGAUCCAUUCUUAACACCAUUGGACAAAGAGGAUCUUGCAGAGGCUGGAAAAGCUCAAUUUUCUCAUGACUACAGUGAUCAUCUUGCACUUGUUCGGGCUGGAAAGAUGCUGAAAAGGACCAAAUUGGAUAUGAAUAUUGAUGGAAAAAUUUUCUUUCGGCACAUUCAAUGAAAGCUAUUGAUUCUCUUCGGAAGGAGUUCUUCUCUUUGCUAAAGGAUACUGACCUGGUUGAUGACAACAUGAACACCUACAAUGCAUGGAGCUAUGAUGAGCAUCUCAUUUGAGCAGCUAUUUGUUGUUGUUGUAGUAUGUGGCUCAUAUUUGAGCAAACAGAAAUAUGGAGAGAAAGGGGCAAAAUGUCGGAGCAAAGCAGAGCAAUGGCAUUUGCCAUUUAGGGUUGUACUUCUUUGUUGUGGGGCAAACGAUAGGUUGGGGGGNNNNNNNNNNNNNNNNNNNNNNNNNNNNNNNNNNNNNNNNNNNNNNNNNNNNNNNNNNNNNNNNNNNNNNNNNNNNNNNNNNNNNNNNNNNNNNNNNNNNGGGGGGGGGGGGGGGGGGGGGGGGUUGGAGGGGGCAUUGCCCCCCACAGUACAAUUCAGGGGUAUUUUUUGAAUUUCAUUCCUAAGGGUUAGUAUAUAUACCCUUUUUAUGUAACCCUAAUUGUAACAUAGUGAAAAUCCUCUUUUCCCUGUUCCCGAUGACAUAGGCUAGCCAAACCACGUUAAAUCUGUGUUCUUCUUUCUCGCUUUUUCUAUUAUUUUUGCCAUAAAUCGUUGCACAGAUUUCAACAAUUGUGGCAUGUAUCCUGAAAUUUGCUCUGUUGUGCAAAAUGAAAUGUCAUUCUCAUUGAAAACAAUGGAGGAUGGUCAAGUGAUCUUGCAUUCGAAUUCAAUUAAUGCUCAAGAGUGUAAACUAUGUUUUCCUCCAGGAUUCAAUAGUUAUGUCUGAUUUAGUGUUUCUUCUAUUUGGGGGCGACAUCUUGAGAGAGAAUAUGAUGGGUACCUUGAAGAAUCUUGGAUAGUCAGUGCUUGAAAAUAUAUCAAUGACUAAGCAUUCCAGCAAGAUUUUGGGACCAAAAUGCAAUUGGAAAGGAGCAGUUUGUAAUAAGAUUGCUGGUUUGACUGCUAUUUCAGUUGAUCUUUCAUUUGUUCCUUUGGUUGAAUCUAUUGGGAUGGAAGGAAGGGACAUGGCGUUUUCUUCCAAAAGUAGCUUAUCAUCAUAAUCAAAUGCUGGAAACAUCCUCAUGGACAAUGCGGUGGGUUCACUAAUGGGGUCUCCUUUGAGAGAUAUCCAAUGAAACUGUAUAAACUGAGGAUCUUUUGUCUCAUUCAGAAAGGUUCAGACGACUGGAACAUAGAUGCUAUUGUGGUAAAUGAUGUCACUGAGCAAGGAAUUGAAACCACUAGCAUCCAUAGAGUAGACACAAUUGCACCCUGACCCCCACGUGUGCAUGGUCAUGCAUGGCCACCUUGGUGCACACUCUCCUCCACCAUAUGCUUCUUUUUGGUGACUUACACUUUUUUUUUAAUCAGAUUUUCAAACCUAUUUUCAAUUGAAUAAUCCUUGCUGUCAAAAUUUGAUUUUCAAAACUUCAGCUUUCAAAUAAUUUUAAUUCUACUCUAGUUUUCAAAUAAUUGUAAUUCCCCAAUUUUUCUCCCUUCCUUAGAGUUUUAGGUCACCAAAAAUCCAUUUUCAAUAAACAUUUGCUAUCAUUUUUUCUCUGGCAAGCAUCUUUCACCUUUUUUCCUUGAUUUUAAAUAAGUUUAUCUAUUUUCACGUUUUUAAUGAGCAUGAAUGCAAUUUUCAUAAUUCCAAAAUAAUGAAAUUUAUGGGCUUAAUUCAUGCAAAAUCAAUUAGGCAAUGGUGGGGCCCAACAUCUGUGAUUGAUAUUGAUUAACUUAUCCCCUACUCUUACAUGCAUGUGAUUAUUUUAUACAUAAGCUAACCUUUUUUUUCAUGAUAGCACAUUAUUAUUUGUUGCUAAGGUAUGCUCCCACUCCCACUUUGCUUAUUUAACCUCUAUGAAUGACUUGCUUCCAUUAUGUGAUUAUUCCUUGGUAUCCAUUGAUCUCCUUAUCAAUUGCCACACUUACCUCACCUUAUUUAGUAUAGACCAAUUUUUAGGGGGCUUAGAGGGGUGCUAUAACUUGUUGUUGUACCUUUCCAAUAGGUAACCUGACCCUCAGACCUAGACUUGGUUUUCACAGACCGUCUUUUCAUAUUAGAUCUCAUAUUUAGGGUUUUUCUUUCCUAUUUUGUUUGCCCUUUAAAAAAUAAAAUAAAAUAAAACUAAGUUGCGACUCCAAUUCUUUUUUCUAAAAAUCAAUUUUCUUCACAAAUAAAAAAAUGAGUCUCGCCAUCGAGUGGGAACUCAUUGUGAAAAAUGUUGGUCCACAAGUAUAUUUCUUUAAAACACAAACUCAAGGUAUUACAAAUCAUGCUAAUAUAUCAAGUAAAUAAACAAUCAUAUGCCCAAAAUAAAAUAAGGCUAAAGGUAACAAAAAGAUAUAAACACUAAGCUUAACAUCUUUGAACCUAUACCUAUGAUGAGCAAUCAAUUAGGCAUAUGCCCAAGGAUUUCCUAUGGUACUUAAACCUAAGAAAUCCAAGGGUUUGGUAAGAAUAUCUGGUUAUUGAUGUUCAGUGAGGACAAACUCUAGAGAAAUUACCUUUUCUUCUACAAGAUCCCUAAUGAAAUGAUGAAGAAUUUCAAUGGGUUUACUAUAGGAAUGAAAAAUAGGAUUCUUUGAGAUAUUUGUAGUACUAGAGUUGUCAUAGUGUAUGUUUAUAGUCCCUUGUUCAAUUCCAUAGUCUUUAAGCAUUUGCUUCAUCCAAAAGAGUUGUGUACCAUAGCUCCCAGUAGCGAUAUACUCAGCUUCAAAAAUAGAUAAGGAUAUAGAGUUUUGUUUCUUACUAAGCCAAGCCACAAGACAAUCACCAAUAAAAAAACAAGCAUCAGAUGUGUUUUUUCUAUCCUCAACAUUUUCGGCCUAAUCAACAUCGGAAUAUCCAACAAUCAUAAGAGAAAUUCAUACGGAUACCACAAACCAUAAUCCAGAGUAUCAUUUAUAUAAUGAAUAAUUCUUUUAACAAACAUUAAGUGUGACUCUUUGGGGUUUGCUUAAUACCUAACAUAGGCUCUAACACUAAAAGAUAUGUUAGGACGACUUGCAGUGAGGUAAACUAAGCUUCCUAUCAUACUUCUAUAAAGCUUUUGCUCAACAUCCUUUCUAGAUGCAUCCUUGCUAAGCUUAGCAAUAGUGCCCGUAGGUGUCCUAGAGUGUUUAAUUUGGAGGAUUCUAGACCAAAUUUUUUAACUAAUUCCCUAGCAUACUUGGAUUGAGAAAUAAAGAUCCCAUCUUUUAGUUGCCUAAUCUGCAAUCCUAGGAAGAAUGAUAAUUCACUUACCAUGCUCAUCUCGAAUUUAGUCUUCAUCUCUUUGAAAAAACUAAGGGCAAGGCCACUAGAUGUAACUCCAAAAACUAUAUCAUCUACAUAAAUUUGAACUACUAGCAACUCAUAAUUGGAGCUAUUUAUAAACAAGGUUUUGUCAACUCCCCCUAUUUCAAACUUUUUAUCCAAGAGAUAGGUUUGCCUCUCAUACCAUGCUCUAAAAGCUUGCUUUAAACCAUAAAGGGCUUUCUUUAACCUAUAGACAUAAUUAGGGAAUUUCGAAUCCUCAAAUCCCUUAAGUUGCUAAACAUAAACCUCUUCACCUAGAAUCCCAUUUAGAAAUGAACUCUUAACAUCCAUUUGGUAAAGCUUUAUCCUCAAGGAGCAUGCUAUUGCCAAAAGUAUCCUAAUUGAUUCUAGUCUAUCUAUAGGUGCAAAUGUUUCUUCACAGUCAAUCUCCUCUAUCAUUGAGUAUCCUUGGGCAACUAGUCUUGUUUUGUUUCUCAUAAUAACCUCAUUCUCAUUUUGCUUGUUCUUGACUAUCCAUUUUGUACCUAUUACAUGUUUAUCUUUUGGCCUAGGGACUAAAUACCACACAUCAUUCCUAGUUAAUUGAUUUAACUUUUCCUGGAGUGUAGUACUCCAAGAUUCAUCUCCUAAAGCUUCCCCACAUUCUUUGGCUCCAAUUGGGAGGUAUAGCAUACAAGACCCAUCUCAUUUAAUCUUGAUUGUCUCUUAGUAACCACUCAUUCAUUUACAUUACCUAUAACAUUUGAGAUUGGGUGGUUCUUAGGUAUCUUGGAUCUAUGUUUAUCCUUUAUUUCUUUAGGAGUGUCAUCUAAAGGUACAACUUCAUCAUUAUUAGGGUCAAUGUUUCUAUCAAGGAUGUCAUUAGGGUUUUCUUUUGUGGUCUCCAAGUCUUUAGGGUCAUUCCCAAUUGAUUCCUAGAUUAAAAUUUGAUUAUCAAUUAUAUCCUGAUCAUACCCAAUAUCAUUUAUACUACAUUAGAAGGUUCCUAGAUGAUGUGAGAAUUUUGAUUAUACACCUUAUAGGCUUAGCUAGAAGUAGAAUAGCCUAGGAAGAUACCUAAAUUAGAUUUAGCAUCAAAUUUACCAAGGUUCUCUCCAUCCCUAAGUAUAUAGCAUUCACUGCCAAAAUUCAUAAAAUAUUUAAGAUUAGGUUUUCUCUUAGUCCAUAAUUCAUAAGAUGUAUUCUUUGUUCCUAACCUAAGAAAAAUCCUAUUGGCAGAAUAACAUGUAGUAUUAAUUGCUUCUACCCAAAAUUGCAUAGGGGUAUUAUACAUAUGAAUUAUGGACUUUGUUCUCUUUUUCUGCUACUUCAUUUUUUUUAGGAGUUCUAGGGGUUGAAAACUCAUGUUUAAUUACUUUUGAUUCACAAAAGAGGUCAACAUCCAUCCACAUUGUUGAACUCUCUCUCUCUCUCUCUCUCUCUCUCCCCUAUUACUCCUAAUCCUUACAAUUGGAUGGCUAAUUUCCACUAGUAUUCUAUUAAAUAAAGACAUUAAAUGUUCUAUGGCCUCAUAUUUCUCCUUAAGAAAACUCACAAAGGAGUAUCUUGAAAAAUCAUCUACAAUCAUAAGGACAUAUCUCUUGCCACCUCUACUUUUAGUGUGCAUUGGACCCAUAAGAUCUAUGUGAAGAAGCUCUAAAGGUCUAAUGGUCCUUAUCUCCUUAACCUUUUUGUGUGAACUCUUAGUUUGUCUUCCUUUCAUGUACUCACCACAAAUGGGUUUAGGUUCACCACUAAGUCUAAGGAUACCUCUAACCUUUUCAAUAUUCACUAAGUGCACAAAGUCCCUAUAAUUUAUAUGACCAAACCUUCUAUGCCAAAGCUCAGUAGGAUCAAGCUUAGCCCUACUACACAUAAGAGGUGUUCUAGAGUUAGGAUUUAUGGCAUAAUAGUUAUCAUCUGUCCUAUGUCCUAUGAUGACUAUUUUUCCUUCUUUAUUAACUACCUCGAAUAAGUCUUGGUGAAAAUUCACUUUAUGAUCUUUAUCGCACAUUUGACUAAUGCUUAGGAGGUUUGCUUUGAGUCCUUCAACAUAUAGAACUCCAUCUAGUUUGGGACAACCAGGGAUAACUAUACUAUCUUUGCCUUUUACUCAAGUUAGGCUUCCAUCUCCAAAAGUAACAACUCCACCAUCAUAGUUUUCUAGAGAAGUAAAGGAGGAUUUGUCUCUUGUCAUGUGUCUAGAGUACCCACUAUCAAGGCACCACUUACUAGAAGAUUUAGCUUUAAGAGCAUUGAACACAACUUGACAUUUAGACCUAUCAUUUCUUAACCAAACUUGUUAUGUCUUGGGUGGUGACUUGGAGAAACUAGAUUGACUUCUAGGUUUUUGAUUAGUUUUGUUCCCUUUCCCAUUGUUCAAGAUGUUAUUUUUAAGGGAAUUAAAUUCAUUCAUAAGUCUGUUCAUUUGAGAUUCAAACCUUUCAAGAAACCUAGUGUAGCAUCUAAAUUGAGUGUGUCCAGUUUUCUUAUAGUGUGUGCAUAGUGAUGUCUUUUUAGGAGAUUUUACUUUUUGUUAGGGGCACCGUACUUACCUUUGACAAACAUAGUUUCUCCACUAUAGGGAGUUUCAUUUUUAUUAGUGUACCCUAACCCUCUUUUAUCUCCAUGGGUUUUGCAUUCAUUAAGAAUUUCAUUAAGCACUUUAGUUCCAGGGUGAAAAUUUUCAUUCACAAAUGAAGAAGUCUUAUUAUUCUUGAUAUCUUGAGUGCGAGCAUUAUUCUUCUCAAGGAGAAAAUGAUGCUCAUAUUUAAGAAAGCUGGCUUUCUCAAGCAAAUUAGACUUUUCAACAUUUAGCACAUCAAUAUUUUUUUUAUGAGCUUUAAGAACAUCAUGAUUUUUCAUAGAACUUUGGAUCAAUCUUUCAUGCUCAACAAUAAGAUUACUCACAAAUUAAACCUUUUGUUCAUUAGUAAACUCAUCAUCAUCACUAUCACUAUCACAAUCAGUAUCAUUCACAGGUUCCAUAAACGCAACAAAAGCUAACAUGUCAUUAGAAUCAUACCUUGCAUCUUCAGAAGUUGUGGAAGCACUCUCUUUAGAGUUUGAAUCACUCCAUGUUGCCUACAUAGACUUUUUGAUAUUUUUUUUGGGCUAGGACAAUCUUGAGCAUAGUGUCUUAGACCUCUACAAUGAAAGCAUUCAACUUUCUUACCUUUGAGGAACAUUUUACUUUCUCAUUGGAUGAUUAUCCAUUAGGUUUUUUUCCUUUUCCAUAUUCUCGAUUAUUGUGGAACCUUUUAUUGAAUUUCAUGACGCUUUUAAUCCUUUUGGCCAUAUGGGCAAAUUCAUCCCUAGUUAUAUCAUAUGACAUUUCAAUAUAUUUUUUUCUCAUCCUCAGAAGCCUUAAAGGUAAAGUCUUUAGGCUUUUGGAAACUAGGCAGGGUCAUCUCUUAUGUCUAAAAGGAGCCAACGAGUUCAUCAACUCUCAUGGAAUUGAUGUCCUUGCUCUCCUCUAUGGUAGUUACUUUGGGUCUAAAUCUCUCUAGAAGAGAUCUCAAUAUUUUCCUAACUACAUUAGAAUAUGGAAUAGGUUCUCCAAGGUUGAAUGAAGAAUUUACAAUAUGACUUAAUUCAAAAUAAAAAGAAGAAAAAGAUUGAUUUUCAUGCAUCCUAAUAAUCUCAAACUUAGUAGCAAAUAUUUGUAACUUAGAAACCUUUACAGCAGACGUACCUUCAUGAGUGACUUGAAGAAUAUCCCAUGCUUCCUUUACACGCUUGCAAUUUGCAAUCCUAGAAAACUUGUCUAGACAAACUCCAUUAAAAAUACUAAAUAAAGCCCUAGCAUUGGCUUAACUACCUUCAUUAUCGGCUUUGUCCCAUUCAUGUUUAGGUUUAAGUUCUCCUGUUGAUCUUCCUUGAGCAUCAAGGAUCAAUGGUGGUCCCCAACCAUAUUCAACUGAAUUGCAUACCCUUUUGCCUUGAAUUUUAAGGGAAAACAUCAUUCGUGCUUUCCAAUGAGAGUAAUUAUUCCCAUCAAAAUAGAGUGGACUAUUCAAAGAGGCACCACUUUUUUACUGUUCCAUAUCAGACUUAUAAGAUCAAUAAAAUUUUGAUUUUUAUCCUAUAUGAUCAAUAAAAAUUUGAUUUUUAAACAAUGAAAGCUAAAUCUUUAAUCAAUAGGAUAGAGAAUCGGUUUUUUAUCUUGUUCUAAUACCAAUUGAAAAAUGGGUAUUGCUCAAAUACCUCUUGAAUAAUAAUUGAAAGUCCAAUAGGAAACACCCAAAGGGGGAGGAGAGAAUGGGUGAUUUAAAAAAUUUAAAUUAAUAUUUAUAAGUAAUAACUAACUUUUUCUUACUCUAAUAGAUAAUAGGGAUAUCGCAAAUAACUAAAUAGAUUAUACCCAAAAUAUUUAGGUUUAUAAAAAUAUCUUGUGUCCUUAAGUUUAUUGAGAAUCUGUUGAACAUUGAUAACGAAUUGGAUGAUGAAGACAUCACUAUCGAAAAGGAAAGAAAGUUCAGAAUUCUAAUGCAUGUGUAGAAGCUUUGCAACUUAUUCGAGAUAUUAUGCCAGUUUCAGGGAGUGGAACUUCUCCAAAAAAAAAUCUUGAAUGCCAUUUCUCCUCUGCUAAUUUCUGCUAGACUGGAUAUACGUUUGUUUAUUUGUGGCCUUCUUGGUGAUCUUGCUGAAACUGACCCUUAGGUACUCUCUGUGGAAAAUCUCAUAAAUGAAUUGAAUGUGACCUCUGUUAUGGAAACGAGUGGCCUGGAUCAUGACACCAUAGUUUAUGCUUAUGAAAAGAUUAGCAUGGAGUUCUUUAAUAAUAUCUCAGAGAAUCAGGCACUGGUCAUUUUGUCGCGUUGUAUAUAUGAUAUGUCAUCCAAUGAACUGAUCUUAAGGCAUAAUGCAUAUAGGUUAUUAGUCUCUUCUGCUGAACUCUCCGUCCAAAUUCCUAAACUUGAAGUGAAGAGUGACCAUGAAACGCCUGAAGCAACGAUAACAUUCAUAGCUGAUGGUUGGUAGAUUUAAGCAUGUAUUCAGCGCAUGAUAAACAAAUUCCUUUUGAAGCAUAUGGCAGAUGUAGUGAGCAAGGAAAAUUUUGUUCAGAAGGAAUGGGUUGAUUUACUCUGAGAAAUGGUGCUGAAGCUUCCAGAUGUGCUAAGUCUUCACUCAUUCAGGAUCCUGUAUUGUCUGAAUGUGUUAAUAAAAUUGGACCAAUGGAAGAUGCUGUGAAGGCUCUAUUUGCCUAUGGGCUCCAUCUAACUGGCCGGUAUAGGUUUUCUGAAUGAGAUGAUCAUGGGAAUGGCCAAAUUUGGGAUUUCCGCAAGGUAAGAUUACAGUUAUUGCAGUUUAGGGACAGGCUGGAGACAUUCCUUGGGAACAAUGGGAUGAUAAUUUAGAGUCACCAAGAAGACUUAAUGAGGCUGCUGCAAUGGAAAUGGAUCUUGAAGACAAAGAAAAGGAUGGCCUUUGCUGUAGUUGCUUUGAUGAGUUCAGUUGUAGUAGACAUCAAUAAUAAGCAGCUCGUUCAACUCUCCAUCUUUCAUGUGACCACACUGGUUAAUAGAACUUUGGAAAAUUCUGAAAUUUGUCGACUAUUUGUGGAAAAUCAGGGAUUGAAGUUCUAUUCGAACUACUGUCGUGACUUAAUUUUUCCUGUUUUUCUGAAGUAAUGCCUAUUGCUCUACACAAUAUCCCGGUUGGCAAAAGGCUUUACUCAUCAUCAUCCAGCAUUAGUACUACGUAAAACCGGCCAACAAUUCUACAAGUCUCCAAGGCUUCCUCGUUCUCAAUACUAAUGGUGGUGGUGUUUUCUCUGGUUUGGGUUCACUUUUUUUAGCAUCUCUCUAUUGAGUAUUCCAAGAAAGACGGAAAUUUCAUAUAGGCCAUGUCCUCGCAGGUUUCCCUGAGAUUAAAAAUCCAUGAACAAGGAUUUUCUGGAUCAUCUAAAUUUUCCUAGUCAUAUUCUUAAAGAUUCUAGUGAAAUGAAAAGAGGAUUUUUCCCCAGAUCAGUUGAUAUCUAUAUCUAAAACAAGACUGCUCAAUCAAGUCAGAAUUGCUUGAACUUCUUCGUAAGAUGGAUCAAUCAAGGGAUCGAAGUGCAGCAUGCUCAGUCCAGUUCUUCAGAGAGGAAUUCAUUAUUUGAAAUACCAGAACCAGAAAUUUUUAUGGGACCGUAGAUCACUUUCAGUGAAAUCAACCCUCUGCUUCUCAAGAUUUGUUAACAACCUUUGGCUCCUCUUUGGCAUCAGUUAUGGAGAUGCACAAAUUAAGAUUUGGGGUAUUUUGAAUGGUCAGAUUCAGAUUGAAUUUGCAGACAUCAUAUCAACAGACGCAACUAAUUUAUACAACAAACCUGAAAGAGGCCACCUUUCAGUCGAUUAUACUUGUUUAAAAAUGGUUGUUUCUGGACAGCAAGACAAAGAAAAGGGAAGCUUCAAUGUUCGUUAUUAGUGUUGGGAACAGGCAGCGGUGAUGCUUUAACACUUGAUGUAGCUGUUGGUGAGUUGAUGGUGGAGAAAUUAGGGAAGUAUGUUUCACUGCUGUAGCUGAUCAACUCUACAAUCAGAUUGAAACUAGUAAAGUGUAUUUAAUUUCCAAAGGGAGCCUGGAACCUGCUCGUCACUUUCAAUCACCCUCGCAACGAUCACAGGGGUCCAGAAGAUGGUGAUGAUGGUUCUGAGCAUGAAGGUGGCAACACAGAUGGCUCAGAUGCUGGAAAUAAUUUUUACAAGGAUGAAGAUGAUAGUUCAAAAAUUUAUCAGGGAGUCAGAUUGAAUGGAUUGGACUCGUUAUCAUAUUGAACUCAUGAUGUUUGAUAUGAGGGUUCAGCUACAAUUCUAGGUGCAGCAAAAACCAUUGUUCAAAUUAAACCUUCUGGAGUGGAAGUUCAUUGCACUGUCAUAGCUUUAAAUGGAAAGACAAUUGAGGCCAAUAAUUUUUCAGAGGGCAAAGGUUCAUAAAUCCAUUACGAAAACAGACAGCUUGGAAAGAGUAGGGUGUAUUUGAUAUCAAACAGGUUGGUAAGUCCGAUAGAGGGAACGAUGAAGCUGCUGAUACUAUUGCCUCAAAAUAAGAACAAACUUUGUUGGAGGUGAUCUUCAUAAUGAGAUCCAAAUAGAAGAACAAGGACUGUCAUACCUAGAAAAUCCUGAUAUUCACUUUGAGUAGGUUGUCGAUGUCCAGCUUGAAUCACAGGAAACUAAUAAAAUGCGAGAAGAGAAUUUUUGUGAAAUAUUGAAAAACCUCUCAACGUUUAUUCAUAUGCUGCUAAGUGCUGACUAUCAUUUCAAAGUGGGGACUUGAUUGUUCUCAAUGGAUUCGGCUACUCCAAAAUAAUGAAAGGAACUAGUUCAGUCUAGUCAUGGGAUAAUGCUUACUGUGUUCUGGGAAAAGAUCAGUCGCCUAUGGGCUUUGCUUUAGAAAAUGCUGGUGCAAUUGCAAACGACAAGGUCUUCAUGAUGGAUUUUCUCUUCAUUUUUUUUAUUUUUUUUUCUGCUCCUUCAAUCUGUGAAUUCUCCAAGGAUCCCUGGUUAGAUCAGUCCAAGAAUCAGUACUAAUCAAGGAAACGAUCAAGAAAUUGCACUCAGGGAGGAAUAUUGAAGUAUUUGGGAUUCAAGGAAACUCAACCAACUAGCAAACCAAGGGGCUUAGGAUAUAUGACGAAGAUCGUGGUUAUCCAAUCUGAAGAUGACUCGGACUCAUCAAAUGGAAGAGCCCAGGGUAUGGAGGGGGCCCUAGAAUAUCAAGCACAGCUCAUAGACCAAUAUGGGACAAAGAAAGAAAACACAAGAAGGAAGAAGGAGAAAAUCCAGAGAGAAUAACACCAGUGAUUUGCAGAGGUCUUCUCGAAUCUGUUUCAGCAAUGCAGUCUCAAGUGCACCUCCAAACCUCACUCACAUAGUGGCCACCUUGCCACGCAUCAUACUCCUCCUAAUGCUUCUUCCUUUUCUUUUUUUUUUUCUUUUUUUUUUUGUGAUCUUACACAUCUUAAAUAUGAAUUUCAAAACCGUUUUCCUUAAAAAAUAACUCUAGUUUUCUUUAAAAUUCCUUAAGAGUUUCUAGGCAUAAAAUUUAGAUUUUUUUUUAAUAAACUCUUUGCCGCCAUUUCUCUCCCGGCAUGCCUUCUCAUCUUUUUCAACUAAUUUUAACAGCUUUUCUCGUUUUUUUACAAGCAUGAACAAACUUCGUGAUUCCAAAUAAUAGAAUUCGUAGAAUAAAUUCAUGCAAAAUUAAUUAGGGCAUUAGAGGGGGGCCCGACAUUCAUGAUAUUCUCUUCGAUAGUGUUUGUUUGAUAAUUGAUUGAUUGUGCUUCCUCUUUGUGUUAUAUAUGAGAUUAUUUUGAAUUAGUUAUUGAGCUAACUUUGUUUCCCAUAGAGGAGUAUUAACUCGCUAAUCAGGUACGCUCUUCCCACCCUACAACUCUAAAAUUCUAUGAAUGUGUACGUUAUCAUGAGCCAUGACUAUGUUUGAUGCCAUAAUUGAUUGCCUUGAUGUUUGUUUGAUCAUCUUUGAUAAAAUACAUAUUAUGUGUCAUAUUUUCAAGCUAAUCUCUCAUGUUUUAUGAUAGCGCUUGAGAAGCCGUUCAGGUACGCACUUCGACUCUUUCUUAUGGUUGGUUUUCUUGUUAGGCAUGCAAUAUUCGAAAUCACCUAGCCUACUUAGGUAUCCAUAAUUAACUGACUAAUGGCCACACUUCCCUUAACUUUGUCAGUAGAGACCUUUAUAGGGCUUAGAGGGGUGCUACCUCCUAGAGGUACCUUCCCAAUAAGUAACCUGAUUCCCGGACUUAGACUCGGGUUUUUCAAAGACAUGCUUUUCCAAAAAUUAUGGAGUCACUUUUUUUUUAGGGUUUUAUUUCUUGUUUUAUUUUCCCUUUAAAAUAAAAAUAAAAUAAGUGGCGGCUCCAACUUUUCCAAAACUAAAUAAUUUUUCACAAAUAAAAAAGCGAGUCUCGCCGAUCGAGUGGGGACGCACGUGAAAAAUGCGGGUCCACAGAGGCAUAACUUUUUUACAUGGAAAACCCCCCACAAAUUGUGGAGAUAAAAAAACACAAGGUCUAAGACCUAUCAAUCUAAACCCACUAUUCAAAAUCAAGUUACAUAGAUUUACAUUACAUAGAUUUACAUAGUUACUUUACCCUAAAUACUUACUCUACAACACCUGCAACUUGAUCUACGUCUGUGAUGCAACAACUCCUUAUUUCUCCCUAGUAGAUCCUUCGACCACUCUAAAGGGAUUAAGGUCUUCAACCAACAAUUCAAAUAUCCAAAUCCUUGAAUAAGAGAUUGCGAAUGGUGUGACAAUAAGGAUUUCUCUCAAUAACUCCCUCCCUCAUGAAUGAAAGGUCUCAACGAUAUAUUUUCAAUCUCCCCAAAAAUUUCUACACAAUCUUUUAUCCUUAAUGGGUUAUAAGAGAUGUAUUUAUAGGCAAAAGUCGUAAGAAUUUCGAUAUCUCAAGUUUCCAAAUUUGAGUUUGAAUGAAAUUCAUCCAAAAUAUGUUUCUAAACUCGGCAAGAAUAACAUGAUUGCUUAAGUGGACUUAGACAUCUUGAGCGGUUCAUACAAUUUGAGCGGGUUGACUGCUUGAGCAAGAUUAACCACUUGAGCCCCUAUUUUUUGAAAAAAAAAAUAACAUUAUAAGUCCAAAAAUGAAACCGAACCUUUUAUACCUUAAAUAAGUCUUAUAUGCCACAAGACAAACCUUUUUAGAUGUAUCUGUGACUUCUUGGUUAGAUGAACAAGAACCAUUGAUCUUCAAUGGAGAGCAAGCCACUAUAUACAAAGACUUCUAUGUCCAAACAUUGAUUGGAACAAAAUUGCCAACAAUUUCACAAGACUCAAUGUCCUAAUAAACAAGAUCUCUAGUUUGGGUUAAUUGAUUAAUUAGAUGACCCUAUCUAGUUAAUUAAUCAAUUAGGACCCAUUUUAGGCUAGAUUAAGUGACCCAAGCCUUAAUGAGCUUAAGUCACUUAAGCCUAAUGGUUAACCUUAUAAAUACCACUUUUAGAGUUAGGGUCUCAUAUAACUUUUUGAUAAGAAUUGUCUUCCACCUCUAGAGAAAGAGAGAGUCAUUGCUUCAUUUCUUCCAUUAUCCACACUUUAGAGUGUCAAGAUCAUGGUUUGAGUCAUCUUCCGGAAGAUCUUAGGUGUACAAGACCUCCAGACUCUUUAGGCUUCUUCUUGAUUAGAUGGAUUUUGAUUUGGGAACAUCCAAAUCACAAGUAUGAAUACUAUAUCUCUAGAUCUAUGGUUAUUAAUAGUUUUUAUUGUCAUUUUAUUUCAUUAUGAUAGAUUUAGAGAUGCCUAGGGAUAAAGAACAUAGUACUAAGGCAUGAGAAUAGAGUACUCUAGGGUUCCCAACACCAAGAUCAUCGUUUAAGUCAUCGAUCAGAAGAUCUUAGGUGUACGAGACCUUUGGUUCAUCGAGUGGAAUUGACUUGGGAACGUCUCAGUCAAAAGUAAAAUUUAGUAAUGACUUUUCUCUAGAUCGUAUAAUGUUAAAAUUUAUUUUUUACUUUCGUUACAUAAGAUCUAGAGGCGUAGAGAAGUUUACAUGCACCUAUACAAUCUAGGGCUUGGGAACAAAGAGAUCUAGGGUUCCUAGAAAUUGGUAUCGAUGCCCUAUGAUAAGAUUUUGUAUGUUAGAUAUGCUCUAAGGUGUGUUAACUCUAUUUUGAAAGGCUUGUUUUUCAUUUGAUGGCCCUAGGGAUGAAUAUAUGUGGGUUUUCAAUAUAAUAUGAUGGUUAUAAUUAUGAUUGGAUUGUUUUAUUUUUGCUAGAAUAGGUUGUAAGCUUCAUGUUUAGGAGCAUAGGAUUUUUCUUGGUUGUAAAAAUCUCUCUUUUAUUAGAUUGGUUGUAAACUCCAUUAAUGGAGUAUAAUAUUUUUGUGAUGUAAAAGAUCUUUUUUUUUUUUUAACAAUCUAGUAACUCAUGAAAGACAAGAAAGCAAUCUAAGAUGUCAUUUUUAACCAUCAUGACUCCCACACCAGCCAAGGUAAGUUUUCUAUGGAGAAAACAAUCAAAAUCUACAAAAGAAAUAGUCUCAAGUGCUUAGGAAAGGUGACUUGGGUGCUCGAGCAAUCACUUAUAAUGCUCGAGAGAUAUGAUUGAUCGAGUGGUGCUUCCAAUGAUGGUAAGUUGCUUCUAGCAUCCUCAAAAAAUUUUGAGCGCUCUAGUGUAGGUGACAAUAGAUGUAUAAUAAGGAAAGACAACAACAUAAAAAUUGCAAUUCGGGAUUUUUGUAAUAGAUUAGGGUAUUUAUGUAACUAACCCUAUUUUCUGUUACAAAUAUAACUUGGGUAAAUUUGGAUUUUUUAUCCAAAUGGGUUACCAACUUUAUGUAACAAGAUCCCCAAGGUGAUGGAAACCAGUUCAUUAAUUUAUUUAUUUUUUUCUGCUUAGCAUGUGUUAAAUAAAGAAUAAAUUGGAAAAAUGAUUUUGGAUUUUUCUUAAGGAAAAUAGAUUAUCAUGAGAAACUUUUUCCAAUAUUAUUUUUCUUUUGAACUAGUUGUUGUUAAAGACAUUGUUAUUCCUUUUUGGAUUAUCCACUUGGUUAAUAGGUGGUUCUCUAAGAUCAACCCCUUAGAAAAGGAGGAAAUUGUUUUGUAUAUGGAUAGUCUAAGGAUAAAGGAAUAAGAGAGAAAUUCUUUUAGCACAAGACUCCUAAUUUAAGAAGUAAAUAACAGAAUUGGAAAAUCUCAUGAUAGAGAAUUUAUUUUAAGAAAGGUUAUCAAAAUUACUAAAAGUCACUCUUUUCAAAAUAUUAAUUAGGAGAGGGCCUUAGCAAAGACGAUAACCUCCAUUGUCAAGCCCAUCUUGAUUUGGGUUCAUCACCAUCCUCACAGUGGAUUGUAAGCCCUAGGAAUCAAGGGAUAUGGACUCUCCUUAUGGACAAGGCUUCACAUGUCUGUAGUAGGAGCAACCACCCCCAUGGUGGGUUUCCUUGCCAGGUGAUAUUGAUAGCUUAAGGACAAUGGUUAUACACUUAACAUUGGAUAUUAAGUGGUUGAAUCACCCCACACAAUCCCACUUGCAUAGUUCAUAGGUCAAAUAAAAAGGUAUGUUGUUCUUUCCUUUAGGUAACAUUCAUGGUUAAGGUAGGGAGAUCAGUCUGAGAGAGUCACUAACUAAUAAUAAGGUCAUGACCUAACUUAUGUAUUCCUAAACAUAACUAAGGCUAAUAAUAAGGUCACUAACUAAUAAACUGUGUUGGAAGAAGGAAUGCCCUAAAUUCCUAAAGAGAUAGUUAGUAAUGCAUUUUUCUUUUCUAGUUGAAUCAUGUUUAGUGUUGGAUUCUACUAAUUCUUAGUGGAUAGAUUCCAAAGCUUUUGAUCAUGUCUAUAAUUCAUUACAGGGGUUUCAACUAAGCCGAAGGCUAAAUGAUUGAGAUAUGUAUCUAACAUUAGCUUCUAAAGCGAGACUUGUUGUGCAGGCAAUGGAAGAUGUUACCUUUAUAUUUUCUUAUAAUAGUCUUUUAGUAUUAAAGGAUUUUCUUUAUGUUCCCGAGAUUAUGAAGAAUUUGAUUUCAAUUUCUAAUAUAUGUAAACUGAAUUAUUCAUUUUUUUUUCUAUUAAACAGGUUUGUAUUAGAUUGAAUGAUUCAUUUAUAUGCUCAAGAUGAUUGAUAGAUAAUCUUUAUCGUGUUUCUCUAUUAUGUAUUUUGUGAAGUAAUGAGAGUUAUCUUAUUUCAUAGAAAAUGAAGAAAUCUAGCAAUAAUCAAAUACAACUUUAGCACUUAUACGUAGGUCAUAUAAUCUAAACAAGGCCUAAAGAUUGGUUAAGUUUAUAACUUUACCAUUCUUGAUUCAAAAGAUCUUACAGUUUGUGAAUCUUGUAUAGAACGUAAAAUGACCAAGAAGCCUUUUACUGCUUGAUUACUACUCAAAAAGUGCUCUUUGAUAGCUUGUAAUAAACUCUUUUAAACACUUUUGAGUAGUAGUUAUUGCCUUUUAACCCAAUUAACAUGUUAAGGAUCCUUGCAAUCAAUUUUAAUCAAAUUGUGUUAAGUUUUGGUGUUUUGAUAGCUUUUGAUCACCAAAGCAAUCCGAGAUUGAGGAGAGUUAUAUGGAAUCUUGGGCAAAGCAAUUGGAAGCUCAGAAACAUGAAUAACUAAAGCUUUGAAGCCCUUUGCCAAGAGUAAAUCCGGAAUGCAAGGAGAAGAAAGAAAGAGAAUCUGCCAUGAAGCAUAUUCUUGAUGACAGUCGUGUCAGCCACUUUUGGAGCACUUUCUGAAGUCCAAUUGAUGCAUGCUAUAUACCAUUUCAAAUCUCAGGAAGUCAACAAUCCAAUGCUUCAAACGGUGCACAAUUUAGAGUUGAAACGAAGAAGUUACAGCCACUGCAAGUCAAUCACUCUAAGCUGAAGGAAGCAUUUUGCAAAGUGUUGCGAAAUCACCCUUUUGUUGCGAAAUGAUUUCGAAGCCUUUUUGUACAGUGUCGUGGAUUUCCUCCUGAAGUUGCCCGAUAUAUGCCGCAAGUUGGAAGCUGAGAACCUCAAGAUGAAAGCCAACUUCGCAGCCCUGCGAGAAUAGCCUUUUGUUGCGAAGUGAUUUCGCAGCCCUUUUUGUAUGUCUGCGAAAUCUCGCAGACAUCAUUUUCUCUUUCGAAAUGGUCCGUAGUGCUUCCCGAUAUUUGCUACUGACAUUGGGAGAUAUUUUCCAUCAGAUUUUUGUUGUCUAAAUCCCAAAAUUCUCCUUGUAAGCCACCAAUUACAAGAUUCCUUAGCUUUUAAGUUAGUAAAAAGAAUGAAUAUCCAUGUAAUAAUUAGUUUUGUAUUAUGUUCAUAUAUAUACCCCUCGAGAGUCUGUUCUCAGAGGAGGAGACCCUUUGUAAAGUUUUGGGAAAGCAAGUAAAGUUCAGGUCCUUUGUUUUGCCUUACCUUCUCACUUUUUAUUUUUUAUUUCUUACUAAGUUAUGAACUCUCUGAGGAAUUUUCCCCAGAGAAUGAGUAACUAAACCUUUAGUUCCUUGGAGCUAAGGUUGCCGGGGAAGGUUCCAAGUGCAAGAAUGCAAAGCUUUGUGGUUUCAGCCAUUAAUGAAGAGGAAGUGAAAUCCUUCAGUGAUUUCUAUGUUUUUAGUUAACUUAAAACACCUUAGAGUCACUUGGGCCAACACUUGGUAAGGCAAGUGAUCUCCAACCAAGGAGAUGCACUAGUUUACCCCUUGCGAGCCUCUGGGAGGUGACUUUAAGGUAGGAUUUUCUGGAAUUGCCAACACUUGGUAAGCUUUUGGACUCCAAGGAGACAUCCAUUAGUUAUCUCUUGCGAGCUUGAGAAGGGAAGUCCAAGGUUAAAGAUCACCUUGAAUGUUUAAGGCUUAGUGAGAGGCUUGAACCAUUGCAAGUUGUAUCAGUGAGAGAAUUAAAGUUGAAAUCUAAUUAAAGGAUGUAUCUGUACAACACCGGUUAGAGAAUUGACUAUAUGUUGAAUCUCUAACGCGAGGAAAUGAACCAUCUGACCGGAGCUAUGUCUUUUGCAUGAGGAACCACCCCAAUGAACCUGACCCUCCAAGGAAUGUUUUUCUUCCUAAGUUAUUCCCAUUACUUGUUUUGUAGUUAGUUUAAAUCUAAAUCUUUACCAAUUAAAGUUUGUGUUUUAUUUCUUAAGCUAACCUUGAAAUGAAACAAGACCAAUUCACUUUGAAUUGGUAUCAUUGAUAAUUUGCUAAUCCUUCCCAGUGAACGAUCCUAGAGCCGCUAUCUUAUAGUAGCUUUUUCUUUGCUACCCUAGUAUAUGGUGUAAUAGGUUAUAAAUUUUGUUGAUUACUCCCUCAUCCAAGGAGCACCAGCUGGACACGAAUCAGCUGAGACACCAAUUGGGCAUGAAUCACUGCUAAAGAAUAUAAAGCCAAGGAAUGUUUGGAGUUAGUCAAUCUUGACAUUUGUGCAUCUUUCAAUGUCCAUGCACAAGAAGGAUAUGAGUAUUUCGUCACGUUUACAAAUGAUUACUCCAUGUUUUGAUAUGUUUACCUGAUGCAUAGGAAGUCUGAUGCCUUGAACAAAUUCAUUGAAUUUAAGACAAAAUCAGAAAACUAAUUGGGUAAAUGUAUCAAGGCACUUCAAUCUGAUCGAGAUGGUGAGUAUAUGUCUACUCAAUUUGAUUCUUUCCUUAAGGAGCACAAGAUUAUAUCCUACUUGAGUGCACUAGGAACUCCACAAUAAAAUGGAGUAAUAGAAAGAAGAAAUCAAAUGUUGAUGGACAUGAUGAGAUAUAUGAUGAGUUUCUCAUCACUCUUGUAUCCUUUUGGGGAUAUGACUUAGAUAUUUCAUCUUACCUUCUCAUUUUCACAUUUAGGGGUGCCUAGGACAUGUGCUGAAGCUAAAGGUAGACAAAUUGAAAGCAAGGCUUGAUGUAUAUCAGUUUGUAGGUUAUACAAGAGGAAUGAGAGGCCUUUACUUUCACAUCCAGGUCAACCAAAAGGUAUUUUUCAGUACAAAUGCCAAAUUUCUGGAAGAAGGUUAUAUGAUGAAUGAUAGGGUAAAACAUGAUAUAGAUUAGAGGACACUUGAAGACACUCCCACAUUAGCACAAAGAACUAUGAGCCAACAAGUUCCUACACCUACCAUUCUAGUCAAUUCUAGUACAUUUAUGCCUCAUUGUAGUGGAAGGAUUGUUAUACAACCAGACAAGUUCAUGUAUUUGAGAGAGUUUAUCAAGGCAAUUCCAAAGGAACAUGAAACCGAUCUCAUAGAUUAUAAUAACGCAAUGAGUAGUAAUGAUGUUAUUCUUUGGCAAAGAGCUAUGGAGGUAAAGUUAGAAUCUAUGUAUUCUAAUGGAAUUUGGGAUCUUGUAGAAGUACCUGAACUGCUAAAACUCAUAGGCGGUUUAAAAAAAUGAAGAGAAGUAAAUGGAAAGAUUGAGACAUACAAGGCUAGGCUGGUAACGAAGAGUUAUAGUCAAAAACUUGGUUUUAACUAUAAGGAGACCUUCUCACCAAUAGCCAUGCUAAAAUUCGUCUAAAUACUCCUAUCAAUUACAAUGCACCUUGAUUGUGAAAUAUGAAAAAUAGAUCUCAGGACAAUGCUCUUGAAUGGUGAUCUUAAAAAGAGCAUCUAUAUGAUGUAACUAGAUGGAUUCAUAGCAAAAUGAUAAGAACAUCUUAUGUGCAAGUUGCAUAAAUCCAUUUAUAGAUUAAAUUGGGCAUCUUGCACAUGGAAUAGGCAUUUUGAUUAGGCUAUCAAGACUAUUGAUUUUGAUCAAAAUCAGGAUGAGUCUUAGGUGUACAAGAAGAUGCAGGAAAGCAUGGUGGUGUUUUUGGUCUUAUAUGUUGAUGACAUUCUAUUCAUUGGGAAUGAUGUAGGGUUAUUGUCAUCAAUUAAGAUCUGGCUAUCUACUUAAUUCUAAAUGAAAGGUCUAAGUGAGACACAAUAUAUUCUUAGAAUUAAGGUCCUUUGGGAUUGUACGAAUAGGAAGAUUGCGUUGUCAUAGGCCACCUACAUUGACAAGGUUUUGGUCAAGUAUGUGAUAAAGGACUCCAAGAAAGGUUUCUACCCUAUGCUUUUGCAAUGGGUAGCCUUAUGUAUGUGAUGCUAGGUACCAGACUAGAUGUUUUCUUUGCUAUAGGAUGGUGAGUAAAUAUUAGUCCAAUCUAGGUAUGGAGCAUUGGACAAUAGUCAAAUAUACUCAAGUAUCUUUGAACAACGAGGGAUUAUAUGUUGGUAUAUCAUUACGAUAAGUUGUUACUUCUUGGGUAUAUGGAUUCAUACUUUCAGUCAAAUAAAGACUCUCACAAGUUUACCUUUGAUUUUGUGUUCACUCUAGGUGGUGGGAAUAUUAUUUAGAAAAGGUUGAAGCAAUCUUGUAUUGCUAACGCUACUAUGGACAAUGAGUAUAUUGCUACUUCUAAAGCAGCAAAGGAAGUUGUUUGGCUUCAAAGGUUCCUGUUAGGACUUGGGCUAGUGCUCUUGGCUAUAUCACCCCUGGUACUAUUUUGUGAUAAUAGUGGGAUGGUGGCAUAGUCUAAAGAACUAAAACAACAACCUGAAGAGUAUUACUUGAUACGUGAGAUAGUAAUGAAGGGAGAUGUAGUUGUGGAGAAAAUCACUUCUACUGAGAACUUGAUAGAUCCCUUCACAAAGACUUUAUUUACUAGAGUCUUUAAUGGUCAUAGGGAUAGCUUUUGUGUCAAAUGUGUUCCCAACAUGCUCUAAGGCUAGUAGGAGUUUGUUGGGAUUAAGCCCUAGAAAGCAUGACAAGAUGUAACAGAUAGAGAUUCAUUUAUAAUUUUAUUUAUUUGUGUUUCUUUAUUGUGUUAUUAUCCUAUUUGUAUUAAUUGGUUAUUUAAGCAUACACACCUCACAUUAAUUGCAUUGUACAUGACUUGGGUGCAUUAGGGGUUACAUAGACCAUCUAAGUCAUUGGUUUCUUAUAGAGUGAUGAGUUGUCCAUAGUUGGUUCAUGGAUUUAGGAAAUCCAUCUGAGACUAUAGUGCACUACCUCCUAAUUGGAGGAAUAACUUGUCUUAGUCGUCAAGAUGGUUUUCCCAUGGUGAGUGCACUAGUGCAUGUGAUGAACACUGCAUUAGGCCUACGGUGAAUCAUGACAUAAGGCUAUCAAUUGUCAUGAUUCACUAAGCUACUAACUAGAUGAACUCUUAAGCUUGAGAGGAUAUUGAGCCUAUGCCAAAGUCAAUAGGAGGCUUUAACCUACGAGUGAGUUCCUAAGGUGAUCAUAUAUCUCUAUGAAUUAUGUCACUAUUGAUUAAGACUGGUGACAAUAGGUAUUCUUAAUAGAGGCACCAUGAUAUCUCAUGGAUUGAGAUAGUGUGUCCCCUUCGAUGAUCCAAAGGACAUGUGAUCUAGAAGAUUUGACAUUUUCUUUAAUGGAAAUUUGACAUAUGCUCCUUGGAGUUAGAGUAUGUCAAUUGAUCACAUAAUAAGUAGGAUUUGUAAUCCAAGGACUAAAGACAUAAUCUUAAUAGGUGAUAACACUAUCUUAUUAGAUUGCAGACACCAGUUCAUGGGAAGUCUGCAUGUAGUGGAUAUUAGGUAACAAAUUUGAGCUUUAUAUCAUUGUUAUUUACAUAAGUAUUGGAAUGUAGUUGAUUCUCUUAAAUGAAAUGUUGAAUCAACUUCAAAAUUAAAUUUUAAGGGAUCCAUUACUCCUAUGGGCCUAGUGAUCCCCACUCUAAGCUCAUAUAACAUGAUGACAUGAUUUUUAAGGGUUAGAUUGGCUCUAGGUUCACUCUUGUGCAUAAGAGUAUUUUGGUAAUUAUGUAAGGUUGCAUAGGAGAUAGUGAACAAGGUCUCUAGAUUUGACUAAUUGAUUAAUAAGAUGGCCCUAUGUGGUUAAUUAAUUAAGACAUGUUUUAGGCUAGAUGAAGUGACUCGAGCCUUUGUAGGCUCAAGUCACUUUAGCCUAGUAGGGAGACCUUAUAAAUACCCUUUUAGGGGUCAGUGUUUCCAUCACUUUUCAAAGACGGUCGUUGAUUACUACCAAAAAGUGCUAUUUUGUAGACCUAAUAAUAAUGGUUUUAAGCACCUUUGAGUAGUAAUCAUAUUCAUUUAACCCAAUUAAUUCAUUAAGGUCCUUAGUAAUUGGUUUUAACCAUUUUGUGGCAAGUUUACAUGUUUUUAUCAGCUUAUGAAUCGAUUCAAGCAUGCCAAUUGAUGGAGGAGCUACUUGGGCGAGUUAAGCAAGGAUUUUGUACGUUUAUAGGCUUGAAUUUCAAGUGGAAACACGAGCACAAGCAAUGGAGAAGAGGAAAACAGAGUGAAGAAAACAGAGUGAAGAAAACAGCUGCAGUCUUCCUUUGAACUUUUUGAGCACUUUCCGAAGUCCAUUUUUUUCAUACUAUAUACCAUUUGAAAGCUUAGGAAGUCAAGAAUCCAACGCUUCAAACCGUGUAUGAUUUGGAGCUGAAAUGAGGAAGAUAUGGCCUUUGGAAGGCAACUGCAUCAUGUCAAAUGCCCAAUUUCGCAAUGUGAAUUUCACAUUGCGAAAAUUUCGCAAGGAGAUUUUCUUCAUGGUGCGAAAUUUUGCCAUUUCGCAAUGUGAAUUUCACAUUGCGAAAAUUUCGCAAGGGGAUUUUCAUGGUGCGAAAUUUUGCCAUUUCGCAAUGUGAAUUUCACAUUGCGAAAAUUUCGCAAGGAGGAUUUAGUCACAUUGCGAAAUUCCUUUGAAUCCCCUGUUUUGAGACGUUGUUGAUGUUAUUCCACUACCGGUUCUCCAAGAUAUUUUGCUUGAUUUUUAGCUUUGUAAAUACCUAUUUUACCCUUGUAAUCAACCAAUGAAUAGGUUGCUUUUGUAAUAGCUCUUGUAAUUUAGCUUGUUAUUGUCUUUAAAUAGAGGUGAAGAGCCUCAGAUGAUCGAAUCUUGUAACCUGUAACUUUAUAAGUUAUAAGAGCACUUUUGUUCAUACGCUUCUUUUCUCUUUUCUUUCUCAUUUUCUUAGUAGCCAAACAUCCUUGGAGGAUGAAAUCCCCAAGGAUGAGAGGCUAAAACCUUUUAGUUUCUUGAAGUAAUGGAUGCCAUGUGAAGCUCCCGUGUCAGGAUGGAGAUUUCCAAGCCAUGAAUGUAAGUAGCUGAGCGUCAUAAAUGUUUUCAUUCAAAGUAAAGCUUUUAAUCCCUCUGACUUGCUUUGAAUGGCCAAUACUUGAUAAUCUUUUGGUCUCAGUGGAUUCUUAUUGUUAGAUCCACUGAUGUUCAUUAGUUAUCCCCUACGAGCCAUUGUAUUGCAAGUCGAGGAGAUGACCUAUAUCAUUAAAAGAGCAUUUAUGAGGUUCAACUACCCUUUUUGUAAGUUUUCAAGGACUAAAACUCAGUUGUUAAACUCAUACCGGUUCGGGAAGUAAGCAUCACCUUAGUUGCUUCCCCAACUCGAGGUGAAAAGUCCCAAAAUCUCCAUUUUUACAUAGUGAGUUAAGCAUGGCUAUCCAAAGCUUUGAGAAACUUCUUUUUCCAUAUUUUAACCUAUUUUCAUGUUAGUUUAGUUUACACACCUUCAUCUUUAUAUGUUUUCAUCUUAACUUAAUUUUUAUUAAGAAAAGUUCACUCCAUCCUCCGAACUUCACCAGUUAAAGUAAAAACCCUUCCCAGUGUUCGAUCCUAGAGCCACUAUGCUAUAGUAGCUUUGCUACUUUAGUGUAAGGACGUUAGGUAUAAAUUUUGUUGAUACCCUUACAUGCCAAGCUACCAAGAGUCGGGUUAUCAAAUGGCGCCGUUGCCUGGGAAGGUGCUACUUCACUGUGAAUACAUCAGCCGGAGGUAACUUGUGAGACUUCUCAUGAGUGAGGUGAAUUCUAUCUCAUUUUCCUUUUACUAACUUUUUAUUUUAUUUUAUUUUUCUUUGUUCAUGUGUUAGUAUAUCUUUUAUUUAGUUUUUAGUUAAUCUUAAUAAUUUUUUUUUUUCUUUAGAAUUUUAUUUUCUUUUAUUUUCUUUUGUUUUCUCUGUUUUUAAUUCACAAAUUGCUAGUUGUGCAUGCCAUAUUGAAUAUGAGAUAGCAGAGGAAGCCAUGAACUUCAGUUAUGUGGCUGAAUUUUCAAGAGAAUGGGGUGAACCAAAUGCUAGAGAUAUGGGAAGAAUGACGUCUCAACCUAAAGCUAAGGGUGAGAUGUAUAUUUUGAAUGAUGGCAUGGACAUGAAGGCAAAGAUUGCAGCUAUGGAAAGGAGAUUGGAAGAGCUAGAAAAGAACCAGAUGCAAGAAGUGCAAGCCAUCUCUCAGACACCAUUGCAAGCUAUGCUUUGUGCCAUUUGUCAGUCUUUUGAGCACUUAGUGGAGGAGUGUCCUACCAUUCCAGUGGUGAGGAAAAUGUUUGGUGAUUGCAACACCUACAAUUCCAAUUGGAGGAAACAUCCAAAGUUCUCUUGGAAACCACAGCCACCUCAGUACCAGCAACCUGCUCAAGCACCACAGCAAGCCUUAAACCUUGAACAAGCUAUGAUGAAUCUUAACAAAGUCAUGGAAGACUUUGUUGAACCUCAGAAAUCCAUCAAUGCUCAGCUCAGUCAAAAAAUAUCACUCCCUGACAGAGUAGAGAGUUCAUUGAAUAAAAAGAUGGAUGGAGUGCAACAUGAUCUAUCUCAAAAGAUAGAUAAUAUCCAAGAUUCAAUCUCAAGGUUUUCCAACCUCAACACAAUGCAAGAGAAAGAAAACUCUCCUUCUCAACCUCAUCAAAAUCAAAAGGGUAUCCAUGAAAUGGAGGCUAAGGAGGGAGAUAAAGAGGUUGAUCUGCCCACAUGCAAACUAGAGCAUGAGGUAGAGAGUGAAACAGAGAAAGAAAAGAGGGAGGAAAUCAAAGGAAAGAAAAAGGGGAAAAGCAUAGAGAAAGAUGACUAUAUAGACGAAGAACCUCAGAAGAUAGUCAUCAAAGAAGAAAUAAUGAAGAAACAGAUGCAUCCAUUUUUCCCCCAAGCUUUGUAUGGCAAGAUCAUACAAAGCAAGUCUCAAGUGAGGGAUGCCAAUUUUGUUUGGGAUCCAGGGGGAAUUCAGCAUGAAGUGGGUGUGUGAGUGAGGAUGAGCUAAAUAGUUCAUCUUCUUUUUGGGGUACAUGCUAUCAGCUUCAUUUAAAUUCUAUGCUUUCUUUAAAUUUAUGCAUGUUUUAGUUUGAAUUUUUAGCUUUAAUUUAGUUUUAAUAUGUUUUUAAGAUGAGUUUUGAAGUGUUCAUGCAGGUACAAUGCAUGCAAAAAUCGAAAUGGAGGUGAAACAGAGGAAACAGGGGAGCCAAAAUGCAUAAGCAAAGCUCUCAGUGGAAUUUCGCACCAUAAACACACUCAGUGCGAAUUUUUCGCACAGUGACAGUGCAUGGUGCGAAAAGGAAUUUCUAUACAUUUUGGAAAGCCAAGCCUCUCGGGAUGCUAUCUUCGCACCUCAAUUACCAGUGCGAAAACUUUAGCACCUUGUUUAUCUUGGUGCGAAAUGAUUUUCAAACUAAUUUCUAAAAACAAAGCUCUCGGGAAGGCCUUUUUCUUGAAUUCCAUGUUUUUCCAAGUUUAAAAAUUCAUGAAUGCAUUUCCAAACCUUUUGUUUUCAAAUCCCAUCCAUCCAAAACUUUUUAAAAAUCAAAUUUCAAAACCAUUCCAUGCAUGGCCAUCCACUUUGAUUUUCAUUUUCCAUCAUUUAAUUUUGUUUUCCAUCAUUUAAAAACUACCCAAACACCUUAGGAAUCUUGUUUAGAGCCUAACCAUACCUUUUAAAAAACCAUUUUUGAAUUUUUUCCCAAAACUUGGAAAACGCACAGUCGGGCUUCAAAGGAGGUGAACAGUGACUGUGCCAAUUUUGGCACUCACUGUUCACUCCUCCUUUGUUUUCCCCUGUUUGAGCCAAAAAUCUCCAAUUUUAACACCCUGCAAGCUACAUUCAAAUGUCAUUGCAACUUAUAUGAAUAUACCAUCAUGGCAUGGACCCUUUGAGCCUUGUCCUCAGCUGCUCAAAGUGGGGCCCACUCAUCAUUUUUGUAAAUAUUUAGUAUAAAUUCCUCUCUCAUUCAAUUUUUGAAUUUUGAAACAGGUGGUUCAACCUUCUCAACUCCAAGUCCACAUCACAUGAGGUACCACUUCCUUCCUCCUUAUUUUCGAUUCAAACAUUGAGGACAAUGUUCAUCUCGGUUGGGGGGAGAGAUGAGGAAGUAAGUAUUAGUUUAAAUUUUUAUCAUACUUAGUUAAAUUAGCUACUUUUUGUUUAAAUUUAGAAAUUUUUGCUUUAAACUCCAUGGAUAUUAAGGAUUAACUCUCAAAAUUAAAUGAGAGAAGUCGAGUUGCAACUUGAUUACAUGAGUCUUAGAGUUUGUAUUAUGCUCUUCUAAAAGUUGAUGAAUUGUUGAAACUCCCAUUGCAUGCAAACUUAUCUCUUCCACCUUAAGCUAUUCGCACACACAUACAUUAGAUUCCGGUAAUAAGAUGUGAAACUAUCUCACCCUCUAAGCUUGAGAAAUCAUAAUUUGACACCUUUAAUCUCUCUUUAAUAGUGUUGGGACACCUCAUAAAGACCAAUGAGUCUUUGAAAAAAAAUAGAAAAAAAGAAAAAGAAAAAGAAAAAAUAUAUAUAUAUAUAAUAAACUUCUUUACUUGCCUUGAAACCUGAGCAUGGUCCGAAGGGGUGGCGAAAGCCUUUAAAGCCUGGUGCCCUAAGCCUUUAUUGGUUGGGAGUCAUCGAUCCUCUGCUUGUUACAUGGGUGAAUUGGUUAAGUUUAGUAAGUGAAAAGAAUUGUGAAUAAGAGGUGCGUUCCUAGCCUAUCAAGAGAUGGUUAAUUUUGCUAAGCUUAAAGAAAGACUUAGGUUGGGGGGAGAUGAUAGUUAUCCAUACUAUACUCGGAAGCUAAUCACAUUAACACUUAGCUUGUAGUGGAAGAAUUUGAUUUGGAUCUUUUGAGAGUGGAAAUUCUUUUGAUGCUUAAACUUGCAUAAUAUCCAUUCUUUGUACUCUAUGAUCAAGUGAAUGCUUUGACAACUCUUAUUAUAGGUUGAGUUUCACAUCUUUAUUGAUCCAUGGAUGUCCAUCAUGCCACUCAUGUCAUUUUUUGGAGUGAUUUGCAUGAUCCCUUUUAUGUAUAUUAUUAUAGUUUAUUUAGUUUUUAUCUCCUCCAUUGCUAAGGGACUAGCAAUGAGUCGGUUGGGGGGUGUGAUUACUACCAAAAAGUGCUAUUUUGUAGACCUAAUUAUAAUGGUUUUAAGCACCUUUGAGUAGUAAUCAUAUUCAUUUAACCCAAUUAAUUCAUUAAGGUCCUUAGUAAUUGGUUUUAACCUUUUUGUGGCAAAGUUGACAUGUUUUUAUCAGCUUAUGAAUCGAUUCAAGCAUGCCAAUUGAUGGAGGAGCUACUUGGACGAGUUAAGCAAGGAUUUUGUACGUUUAUAGGCUUGAAUUUCAAGUGGAAACACGAGCACAAGCAAUGGAGAAGAGGAAAACAGAGUGAAGAAAACAGAGUGAAGAAAACAGCUGCAGUCUUCCUUUGAACUUUUGGAGCACUUCCCGAAGUCCAUUUUUUGCAUGCUAUAUACCAUUUGAAAGCUUAGGAAGUUAAGAAUCCAACGCUUCAAACCGUGUAUGAUUUGGAGCUGAAAUGAGGAAGAUAUGGCCUUUGGAAGGCAACUGCAUCAUGUCAAAUGACCAAUUUCGCAACGAGAUUUUCUUCAUGGUGCGAAAUUUUGCCAUUUCGCAAGGGGAUUUUUCUUCAUGGUGCGAAAUUUUGCCAUUUCGCAAUGUGAAUUUCACAUUGCGAAAAUUUCGCAAGGAGGAUUUAGGCACAUUGCGAAAUUCCUUUGAAUCCCCUGUUUUGAGACGUUGUUGAUGUUAUUCCACUACCGGUUCUCCAAGAUAUUUUGCUUGAUUUUUAGCUUUGUAAAUACCUAUUUUACCCUUGUAAUCAACCAAUGAAUAGGUUGCUUUUGUAAUAGCUCUUGUAAUUUAGCUUGUUAUUGUCUUUAAAUAGAGGUGAAGAGCCUCAGAUCAUAAAAUCUUGUAACCUGUAACUUUAUAAGUUAUAAGAGCACUUUUGUUCAUACGCUUCUUUUCUCUUUUCUUUCUCAUUUUCUUAGUAGCCAAACAUCCUUGGAGGAUGAAAUCCCCAAGGAUGAGAGGCUAAAACCUUUUAGUUUCUUGAAGUAAUGGAUGCCAUGUGAAGCUCCCGUGUCAGGAUGGAGAUUUCCAAGCCAUGAAUGUAAGUAGCUGAGCGUCAUAAAUGUUUUCAUUCAAAGUAAAGCUUUUAAUCCCUCUGACUUGCUUUGAAUGGCCAAUACUUGAUAAUCUUUUGGUCUCAGUGGAUUCUUAUUGUUAGAUCCACUGAUGUUCAUUAGUUAUCCCCUACGAGCCAUUGUAUUGCAAGUCGAGGAGAUGACCUAUAUCAUUAAAAGAGCAUUUAUGAGGUUCAACUACCCUUUUUGUAAGUUUUCAAGGACUAAAACUCAGUUGUUAAACUCAUACCGGUUCGGGAAGUAAGCAUCACCUUAGUUGCUUCCCCAACUCGAGGUGAAAAGUCCCAAAAUCUCCAUUUUUACAUAGUGAGUUAAGCAUGGCUAUCCAAAGCUUUGAGAAACUUCUUUUUCCAUAUUUUAACCUAUUUUCAUGUUAGUUUAGUUUACACACCUUCAUCUUUAUAUGUUUUCAUCUUAACUUAAUUUUUAUUAAGAAAAGUUCACUCCAUCCUCCGAACUUCACCAGUUAAAGUAAAAACCCUUCCCAGUGUUCGAUCCUAGAGCCACUAUGCUAUAGUAGCUUUGCUACUUUAGUGUAUGGACGUUAGGUAUAAAUUUUGUUGAUACCCUUACAUGCCAAGCUACCAAGAGUCGGGUUAUCAGUCGUCUUCCACUUCAGAGAGAGAGGGAGAGAGCUAGGAUUCUUCCCUUCCAAAGUCCACACUUUGGAGUACAAAGAUCGUGGUUCAAGUCAUAGGGCAAAAGAUCUUCGGUGCACGAGACCUCCAAACUCUUCAAGCUUCAUCUUUAACUAGUGAAAUUGAUUUGGGAUGUCUAAAUUAAAUUUAAAGUUUUCUAAUGACUUUUCUUUGGAUCCUAGAAUGUUAAAAAAAAAAAAAAAAAAAUUCAUUUCCGUUGCAUAAGAUCUAGAGGCAUAAGGUAGUUUGCAUGCACCUAUAUGAUCCAAAGCUUGGGAACAAGGAAACCUACCCAAAAUAAAAGGUACUCGAUAUGAUGAUUUGAAAUUUUUGCAAGGAAUUACAAUUGCAAUGAAUGUAGCAACAACCUCAUAUGAAAUUCUCGGUGAAGUUUCUAAUUCUUCAAAGCUAGUGAAAAGGCAUUACAAAGUCUUGCAAAGCCAUGUUUGUUGAAAGGUAUUUCUACAUCCAAGUUGGAAUUUUGUGAGCACUAUCUAUUAAGAAAAAACACCAGGGUAAAGUUUGGUAUUGCAGUCCAUCGCACCAAGGAAACAUUAGAUUAUGUGUAUACAAAUGUCUAGGGACAUACAAAAACAACUUCUUUAUGAGGUAAGCAUUGGUUUGUGAUUUUUUUUUGUGAUUACUUAAGAUAUGUGUAGGUGCAUUUAAUGUGAUAUAAAAGUUAUGCUCUUAAUGUGUUUCUCAAAAGACAAUGGUAGAAAAUAAAGUUAUUAAAAAAAAUAUUAAGAAGCAUAUAUUAAACAAUUAUGGGGAAUAUAAGUUAAAUCCUUUUACGCAAAUUAGAGAAAAAAAAAUGAUUGUGUGACAUUUGCCAAUCAUGAAUAUUCUACAAGAAAACGGGGUAGUAGAGAAGACAAAUCACAAAUUGUUUGAGAAGUUGAGGUGCAUGUUGUCUAAGAGCAUAUUGAGGAAAAGAGUUUUAGGUUGAGGUUGUAACAUAUACAUGCCAUCUUAUUAAUAGAUUACCUUCUAUAAUACUUGAGAUCAAGACUCCCAUGGAGAUACGAUAUGGUACUCCAGUUUCUGAUUAUGAUUCAUUACAUAUAUUCAGUUGUUCUUCUUACUACCAUGUUUUAGAGAAUAAGUUAAAGCUUAGAUCCAAGAAAAUAAUUUUCUUAGGUUUUAGUAGUGGUGUUAAAGGCUAUUGUUUAUGGUACUCUUUGCAAAGGAAAAUCAUUGUGAGCAUGGAUGUUGUGUUGAGUGACGAUGUUAUGUUAAAAAAGAGUUUCACAGAAGAUGGAGUUUGGAAGUCAAGUUGAAACUACUAAGAUGUCUCCUCUAGAUCAUUUAGGUAUGGAUUUAGAUGUCAUAGUAGAUGAACUAGAGUUUACUUCCCCAAGGUCCAAUGAAUAUUUUAAGUCAAUUGCAGUAAGUAGACCACAUAAAGAGAUAUUGUCACCUGCAUGAGAUGUUGAAUUGGUUGCAUAUGCAUCACCCAUUGUUACUAAAGAUAUUCCAUACACUUAUAGGGAUGCAAUUCAAAGUCCUUAAAGUGAAGAUUGGAAAUUGGAAAUAUAGAAUAGAUGAACUCUCUCCACAAAAUUAAGACAUGGAAAUUAGUUCCAUUUCCUCCAUGAAGAAAGUUGUUGGAUGUAAAUGGGUGAUUACUACUCAAAAAGUGCUUGUAAUUAACUCUUUUAAACACUUUUGAGUAUUAGUUAUUACCUUUUAACUCAAUUAGCAUAUUAAGUACCUUUGCAAUCGUUUCUAAUCAAAUUGUGUAAGUUUUGGUGCUUUUGAUAGUAAUUUGAUCACCAAAGCAAUCCAAGAUUAAGGAGAACUCUAUGGAAUCCUUGGCAAAGAAAUUGGAAGCUCAUUUACAUGAAUAAUUCAAGCUUUGGAGCUUUAUAGUCCUUUGCCAUAAACAAAUCAUGAAUGCAAGGAUGAAAGCAAAGAGAGAAAUCUAACAUGAAGAAUCCAAGAAUACAUCAACUGUUUGACACUUUUGGAGCACUUCCUGGAGUCCAUUUGAUGCAUAAUAUAUGUCUUUUUGAAGCUCGAGAAGUCAGCAAUCCAACACUUCAAACGAUACAUGAAUCGGAGUUGAAAUGAAGAAGUUAGAGCCAUUGGAAGCCGAUCACACCAAGCUGAAGGCCAAUUUCGCAAGCUGCGAAAUCAACCUUUGGCUGCGAAAUGAUUUCGCAGUCAUCUCGUGCGUCUGCGAAAUUUUGCAGCCAUCUUGUGCACCUACGAAAUGCUCCUGAAUGCUUCCAAAUAUUUGCGACCGACAUUUUUAGAUAUUUUUGCUUCAGAUUUUUGAUGUCUAAAUCCUCAUUUUCUCCUUGUAAUCCACCAAUUAUAGGAUUCCUUAGUUAUUAAGUAAGAGAAAAGGGUGAAUAACCUCAUAUAUAUUGUUUUGUAAUUUUCAUUACAGAGAUUUAUCGGGAGCUUGUUCUCAGAGACGAACAUCUUUUUGUAUAGUUUUGAAGGAAGUAAAAUACAAAGCUUUGCUCUGCCUUACCUACUCAAUUUGAUUGUAUUUUUCUUACUAGCCAAACAAGCUCUAAGGAUGUUUCCUCAUAGAAUGGGUGGCUAGGAUUUUUGUCUCUUGGAGCUAAGGUAGCUGGGUAAGGUGCCGAAUGCAAGAAUUGGUAAUUUUGUUAUUUCAGCUAUUAAUGAAGAGAAAGUGUAACCCGUUUAUGGUUUCUAUGUUUUUAGUUAACUUAAAACGCCUUCAAUUCACCUAGGCCAACACUUGGUAAGGCAAGUGAUCUCCGUCCAUUGAGAUGCAUUAGUUUACCUCUUGCGAGCCUUUGGGAGGUGACUUGAAGGUAGGAUUUUCUAGAAUUGCCAACACUUGGUAAGCUUUUGGAUUCUAAGGAGACAUCUAUUAGUUAUCUCUUGCGAGCUUGAGAAGGGAAGUCCAAGGUUAAUGAUCACCUUGAAUGGAAAAUGCUAGGUGAGAGGCAUGAGCCAUUGCAAGAUGCAUCAGUGAGAGGGAAUUAGUGCUGAAAUCCAUGGAAGGGAUAUAUCUGUACAACACCGGUUGGAGAAUGAACUAUAUGUUAAUUCUCUAAUGCGAGGAAGAGAACCAAAGUGAUCGAAACUCUGUUUUUGCAUGAGGAUCCUGACCCCAGUGAUCCUAAAACUCCAAGAAAUGCUUUUCUUUAUAAGUAAUUCCCAUUGCUUUCUUUUUCGUUAGCUUGAAACCAAACCUUUUUCAACCAAAGUUUAUGUUUUCUUUUGAAGCUAACCUCGAAAUGAAAAAGACCAAUUCAACUUUGAAUUGGUAUCAGUUGUAAGUUGAAAACCCUUCCCAGUGAACGAUCCUAGAGCCACUAUGCUAUACUAGCUUAUGUUAUCCUAGUGCAUGGUGAUAUAGGUUAUAAAUUUUGUUGAUUACUCCUGUCUGAGGACCAAACUCAAGGUACACCAAUUGGGCAUGAAUCAAAUGGCGCCGUUGCCGGGGAAGGUGCUAAUUUUACAGUGAUAUUAUUUCAGAGUACUUGUGAUUUUCAUCACAAGUUUGGUGACUUUUCUUUCAUUUUACUAAUUUUUGUUUUUAAUUGUUUCUUUACUUGUUCAUAUUCUAAUAUAUCUUUUAAUUCAGUUUUAGUUCAUUUUAGUCUUUUUGUAGUCUUGUUUUCUUUUGUUUUCUUUUGUUUUUGUUUUAGUUACAGUUGAUACUAGUUGUGUAUGACAAAUUGGAUACGAGAUAGUGGAGAAAGGCUUGUUAAACGUGAUACACCUCAUAACAAGGAAUUGGAAUUGAGCUUGAAUAUCAUGGAAGCUACGCCUGAAGAUCAGCAUAGUCACCAUAGUCACUAGGACAAUCCCAAUGCUUUCAGAUCAAUGAGGGACAACAUGCAUCCACCUCGUAUGAGUGCACCAUCAUGUAUAGUGGCCCCUACAGAGCAACUAGUGAUCAGACCGCAUAUUGUUCCACUUCUACAAACUUUCCAUGGGAUGGAAAGUGAGAAUCCCUAUGCACAUAUCAAGGAAUUUGAAGAUGUUUGUAAUACAUUCCAAGAAGGAGGAGCUUCAAUCGACUUGAUGAGGCUUAAGUUAUUUCCUUUCACUUUAAAGGAUAAGGCCAAGAUUUGGCUUAAUUCUUUAAGGCCAAGGAGUAUCCGUACUUGGACUGAUUUACAAGCUGAAUCCCUCAAGAAGUUUUUUCCUACUCAUAGAACAAAUGGCUUGAAAAGGAAAAUUUCAAACUUCUCAGCUAAAGAGAAUGAGAAAUUCUAUGAGUGUUGGGAAAGAUACAUGGAAGCCAUCAAUGCUUGUCCUCACCAUGGUUUUGAUACGUGGCUAUUGGUGAGUUAUUUCUAUGAUGGGAUGUCUUCCUCAAUGAAGCAACUCCUCGAGACAAUGUGUGGAGGAGAUUUCAUGAGUAAGAAUCCGGAGGAAGCUAUGGAUUUCUUGAGUUAUGUGGCUGAAGUUUCAAGGGGAUGGGAUGAACCAAACAAAGGAGAAGUGGGAAAGAUGAAGUCUCAACUGAGUGCUUUUAAUGCUAAGGUUGGGAUGUACACCUUGAAUGAAGAUGUUGAUAUGAAAGCAAAGUUUGCAGCUAUGACAAGAAGAUUGGAGGAGCUAGAACUGAAAAAAAUGCAUGAAGUGCAAGCUGUUGCUGAAACACCAGUGCAAGUACAGCCAUGUCCUAUUUGUCAAUCUUAUGAACACUUGGUGGAGGAGUGCCCUACAAUUCCAGCUGCUAGGGAAAUGUUUGGAGAUCAAGCAAAUGUCAUUGGACAAUUCAAGCCCAAUAACAAUGCUCCGUAUGGAAAUACUUACAACUCAAGUUGGAGGAAUCAUCCAAAUUUCUCAUGGAAGCAAAGAGCACCUCAGUACCAACAGCCGGCUCAACCAUCUCAACAAGCUUCAAGCCUUGAACAAGCAAUAGUGAAUCUCAGCAAGGUUGUGGGAGAUUUUGUUAGAGACCAAAAAGCCAUCAAUGCUCAACUCAGUCAAAAAAUUGACAGUGUAGAGAAUACUUUGAAUAAAAUGAUGGAUGGGCUGCAAAAUGACUUAUCUCAAAAGAUAGAUAACCUCCAAUACUCAAUCUCAAGGCUCACUAACUUGAACACAGUACAAGAGAAGGGUAGAUUUCAUUCUCAACCUCACCAAAACCCUAAGGGUAUCCAUGAAGUGGAAACUCAUGAAGGAGAAUCUUCACAGGUGAGAGAUGUCAAAGCCUUGAUCACUCUAUGGAGUGGUAAAAAAGUUGAGCUGCCAACACCCAAGCCACAUGUUGAAGAGGAAGAAGAAGAAGAGACAAAGAAGAGGGAGGAAAUCAAAGGAAAGAAGAAAGAUAUCAGUGAAGGAAAGAGGACCAUGAUUCAAUAGUAAAUGCAAAUCCAGAGAAAGUACUUAUUAAGGAAGAAAUGUUGAAGAAACACACCUCUCCACCUUUUCCUCAAGCUUUGCAUGGGAAAAAGGGGAUUAGAAAUGCAUCAGAAAUUCUUGAAGUAUUGAGACAAGUGAAAGUCAAUAUUCCAUUGCUGGAUAUGAUUAAACAAGUCCCAACAUAUGCAAAAUUCCUAAAGGACUUGUGUACUAUCAAAAGAGAGUUAAAUGUGAACAAGAAAGCCUUCAUGACUAAGCAAGUGAGUGCUAUCAUACAAUGCAAGUCUCCUUUGAAGUACAAAGAUCCGGGAUGUCCUACCAUUUCAGUCAUGAUUGGAGGAAAGGUAGUGGAGAAAGCCUUGUUAGACUUGGGAGCAAGUGUGAAUUUGCUACCAUACUCUGUCUACAAGCAAUUGGGACUUGGUGAAUUGAAGCCAACAUCAAUCACUCUAUCUCUAGCAGAUAGAUCAGUGAAAAUUCCAAGGGGGAUAAUUGAAGAUGUCUUAGUUCAAGUUGAUAAUUUCUACUAUCCAAUAGAUUUUGUUGUUCUUGAUACGGACCCCAUUGUCAAGAAAGCUAAUUAUGUUCCUAUCAUCCUUGGAAGGCCAUUCCUUGCUACCUCAAAUGCAGUCAUCAACUGUAGGAAUGGACUUAUGCAACUCACUUUUGGCAACACGACACUUGAGCUCAAUAUCUUUUAUAUGUCUGAAAAGCAAAUCACUCCGGAAGAAGAAGAAGGUCCAGAGGAGGUAUGCAUUAUUGACACUCUAGUGGAGGAACACUGUAAUCAAAAUAUGCAAGACAAGUUGAAUGAAAGUCUUGGGGAUCUUUAAGAAGGGUUACCUGAACCCUCUGAUGUGCUUGCUACUCUACAAGGUUGGAGGAGGAGAGAAGAGAUUCUACCUUUGUUCAAUAAAGAGGAGGCACAAGAAGCUGCUAAAGAAGAGACCCCAAAGCUCAAUUUGAAGCCUCUGCCCAUGGAGUUGAAAUACACAUACCUAGAAGAGAAUAAACAAUGCCCUGUUGUUAUAUCUUCAUCUCUUACUAGUCAUUAGGAAAAGUGUCUACUUGAAGUUCUCAAGAGGUGUAAGAAAGCAAUAGGAUGGAAAAUAUCUGACUUGAAAGGCAUUAGUCCUUUGGUUUGUACACAUCAUAUAUACAUGGAGGAAGAAGCUAAACCAAUUCGUUAACCUCAAAGAAGAUUGAAUCCUCAUUUGCAAGAGGUGGUGCGAGUUGAAGUGUUGAAGCUACUUCAAGCAGGUAUUAUCUACCCCAUAUCUGACAGCCCUUGGGUGAGUCCUACUCAAGUGGUACCAAAGAAGUCAGGGAUCACUGUGGUUCAAAAUGAAAAAGGAGAAGAAAUUACUACACGCCUCACUUCAGGUUGGAGAGUGUGUAUUGAUUAUAGAAAAUUGAAUGUUGUGACAAGGAAAGAUCAUUUUCCAUUGCCAUUUAUUGAUCAAGUCUUGGAGAGAGUCUCUAGCCAUUCUUUCUAUUAUUUCUUGGACGGGUACUCCAGAUAUUUUCAAAUUGAAAUUGAUGUUGAAGAUCAGGAGAAAACCACUUUUACAUGUCCAUUUGGAACAUCUGCCUAUAGAAGAAUGCCUUUUGGUUUAUGCAAUGCACCUGCAACAUUCCAAAGAUGUAUGCUAAGUAUCUUUACUGAUAUAGUGGAGCGAAUUAUGGAGGUACAUUUGAAGAAUGCUUAGUCAACUUAGAAGCGGUUCUUAACAGAUGCAUUGAGGAGGACUUGGUGCUCAACUGGGAGAAAUGCAAUUUUAUGGUACAUCAAGGAAUUGUCCUUGGCCAUAUCAUCUCCGAGAAAGGCAUUGAAGUUGAUAAAGCAAAGAUGGAACUUAUUGUCAAAUUGCUGUCCCCAACAACUGUAAAAGGAGUAAGGCAAUUCCUUGGCCAUGCAGGGUUCUAUAGGAGAUUUAUAAAAGAUUUCUCUAAUCUUUCAAAACCUCUUUGUGAACUUUUGGCUAAGGAUGCUAAGUUUAUAUGGGAUGAAAGAUGCCAAAAGAGUUUUGAUCAACUGAAGCAAUUCUUGACAACAACUCUAAUAGUGCGGGCUCCUAACUAGCAACUACCCUUUGAAGUAAUGUGUGAUGCCAGUGACUUUGCUAUAGAAGCUGUGCUUGGCCAAAGAGAAGAUGGAAAGCCCUAUGUGAUCUACUAUGCAAGCAAGACAUUGAACGAAGCUCAAAGGAACUACACAACUACAGAGAAAGAAUUGUUAGCUGUAGUGUUUGUCUUAGACAAGUUUCGUGCUUAUUUGGUAGGGUCUUUCAUCAUUGUUUUCACAGACCAUUCAGCCUUGAAGUAUUUAUUGACAAAACAAGAUGCAAAAGCAAGGUUGAUUAGAUGGAUUCUCUUAUUACAAGAGUUCGAUCUCCAAAUCAGAGAUAAGAAAGGAGUGGAGAAUGUGGUAGCUGACCACCUUUCAAGGUUAGUUAUAGCACACAAUUCCCAUGUCCUACCUAUUAAUGAUGACUUUCCUGAGGAAUCACUUAUGUUGCUAGCAAAAACUCCUUGGUAUGCUCAUAUUGCUAACUAUCUAGUUACUGGUGAAGUUCCAAGUGAGUGGAAAGCACAAGACAGGAAGCACUUCUUUGCAAAGAUUCAUGCUUAUUAUUGGGAAGAGUCUUUCCUUUUCAAGUAUUGUGCAGAUCAAAUUAUACGGAAGUGUGUCCCUGAAGAAGAGCAACAAGGAAUCCUCAGCCAUUGCCAUGAAAGUGCAUGUGGAGGCCACUUUGCCUCUCAGAAAACAGCCAUGAAGGUGUUGCAAUCAGGGUUUACUUGGCCAUCACUCUUCAAAGAUGCCCACAUCAUGUGUAGGAGCUGUGAUAGAUGCCAAAGGCUCGGGAAGCUAACAAGAAGGAAUCAAAUGCCUAUGAACCCCAUUCUAAUAGUUGAUCUCUUUGAUGUUUGGGCCAUUGACUUCAUGGGACCUUUCCCAAUGUCUUUUGGUAACUCUUAUAUCUUGGUGGGGGUGGACUAUGUUUCUAAAUGGGUUAAGGCAAUCCCCUGUAAACACAAUGAUCACAGGGUGGUUCUCAAGUUUCUUAAGGAGAACAUCUUCUCAAGAUUUGGGGUGCCCAUGGCCAUAAUCAGUGAUGGAGGUACUCAUUUUUGCAACAGACCUUUUGAAACCCUAUUAGCCAAGUAUGGAGUGAAGCAUAAGGUAGCUACACCUUAUCACCCUCAGACUUCCGGGCAAGUUGAGCUAGCAAACAGGGAAAUCAAGAAUAUAUUGAUGAAUGUGGUGAUCACGAGUAGAAGAGAUUGGUCUAUUAAGCUUCAAGACUCACUAUGGGCAUAUAGAAUGAUUCGUGCCCAAUUGGUGUCUCAGCUGAUUUGUGUUCAGCUGGUGCUCCUUGAUUGAGGGAGUAAUCAACAAAAUUUAUAACCUAUAACACCCUAUACUAGGGUAGCAAAGAAAAAGCUACUAUAGUAUAGUGGCUCUAGGAUCGUCCACUGGGAAAGAUUAACAAGCUCUCAAUGAUACCAAUUCCAAGUGAAUUGGUUUUGUUUCAUUUCAUGGUUAGCUUAAGAAGUAAAACACAAGCUUUGAUUGGUAAAGGUUUAGACUUAAACUAACUAACACAACAGAAGUUUGGAAUAAUUUAGGAAGAAAAGCAUUCCCUGGACAGUUAGGUUCACUAGGGUGGUUCCUCAUGCAAAAGACACGGCUCUGGUCAGAUGGUUCAUUUCCUCGCGUUAGAGAUUCAACAUAUAGUCAAUUCUCUAACCGGUGCUGUACAGAGACUCCUUCAAUUAGAUUUCACUUUAAUUCUCUCACUGAUGCAACUUGCAAUGGUUUAAGCCUCUCACUAAGCCUUAACCAUUCAAGGUGAUCUUUAACCUUGGAUUACCCGUCAAAAGCUCGCAAGAGAUAACUAAUGGAUGUCUCCUUGGAGUCCAAAAGCUUAUCAAGUGUUGGCUAUUCUAGAAAAUCCUACCUUGAAGUCACCUCCCAGAGGCUCGCAAGGGGUAAACUAGUGCAUUUCCAUGGUUGGAAAUUACUUGCCUUACCAAGUGUUGGCCCAGGUGACUCUAAGGUGUUUUAAGUUAACUAAAAACAUAGAAAUCACUAAAGGAUUUCAAUUCCUCUUCAUUACUAGCAAAAACCACAGAGCUUUGCAUUCUUGCACUUGGAACCUUCCCCGGCAACCUUAGCUCCAAGGAAUUAGAGGUUUAGUUACUCAUUCUCUGGGGAAAACUCCUCAGAGAAUUCAUAACUUAGUAAGAAAAUAAAAAUACAAAGUGAGAAGGUAAGGCAGUAGAAAGAAAUAGACUUUACUUGUUUACCCAAACUUUUACAGAAGGAACUCCUCUCUGAGAACAGGCUCCCGAGAGGUAUAUAUAUGUACAUAAUUUAAAACUAAUUAUUACAUAGAUAUUUAGUCUUUUUACUAACUUAAAAACUAAGGAAUCAUGUAAUUGGUGGUUUACAAGGAGUAUUUUGGGAUUUCGACAACAAAAAUCUAAUGGAAAAUAUCUCCCAAUGUUGGUAGCAAAUAUCGGGAGGCUUCAGGAACCAUUUCGCAGGAGAAAAAUGGUGUCUGCGAGAUUUCGCAGACACUCAAGAGGGCUGCGAAAUAAUUUCGCAACACCAAGCUAAACUCGCAGGGCUGCGAAGUUGGCUUCCACCUUGAGGUUCCAAGCUUCCUUCUCGCGGUAUAUGUCGGGCAUUGUCAGAAGGAGAAACAUCACACUGUACAAAAAGGCUGCGAAAUCACUUCGCAACAAAAGGGUGAUUUCGCAACACUUUGCAAAAUGCUUCCUUCAACUCAGAGUGAUUGGCUUGUAAUGGCUGCAACUUCUUCGUUUCAACUCCGAAUUGCACAUCGUUUGAAGAAUUGGAUUGUUGACUUCCUGAGCUUUGAAAUGGUAUAUAGCAUGCAUCAUUUGGACUUCAGAAAGUGCUCCAAAAGUGGCUGCUAUGACUAUCAUCAAGAAUAUGCUUUAUGGCAGAUUCUCUUUGCUUUUUCUCCUUGCAAUCCGGAUUUACUCUUGGAAAAUGACUUCUAAGCUUUGCCCAAGAUUCCUCAUAGCUCUCCUCAGUCUUGACUUGCUUUGGUGAUCAAAAUACUAACAAAAACACCAAAACUUACACAAAGUGAUCAAAAUUGCUUUCAAGGGUCCUUAACAUGCCAAUUGAGUUAAAAGGCCAAAACUACUACUCAAAAGUGUUUAAAAGGAUUAAUUAUAGGCUAUCAAAUAGCACUUUUUGAGUAGUAAUCAUAGAACAGCUUAUAAAACUAUUCUUGGCAUGUCUCCCUAUCACCUAGUCUAUGGCAAAGCAUGCCAUCUCCCUGUGGAAGUUGAAUAUAAGGCUUGGUGGGCAAUCAAGAAGUUAAACAUGGACUUGAUCAGAGCCAGGGCAAAGAGGUGCUUAGACCUUAAUGAGAUAGAGGAAUUAAGAAAUGAUGCUUACAACAAUUCCAAAGUUGCAAAACAGAGGAUGAAGAGGUGGCAUGAUCAAUUAAUCUCCAACAAAGAAUUCCGAAAAGGACAAAGAGUCUUACUCUAUGAUUCAAGGCUCCAUAUCUUUCCUAGGAAGCUCAAGUCAAGGUGGAUAGGCCUUUUCAUUAUUCACCAAGUGCAUCCCAAUGGAGUGGUGGAAUUACUGAAUUCCAACAGCACUGACACUUUCAAGAUCAAUGGUCAUCGUCUCAAGCCAUUCAUUGAGCCAUUCAAGCAAGAAAAAGGAGGAAAUCAACCUCCUUGAGCCACAGAAAGCCUAAUCAGAAACAGGUUAAAUGGACUUGGUUUCACCAAAGUCCAUAUUUUUUGUUAAAUUUUGUUAAUUUAAAAGCUUUGUUAAUUCUUUUGAUUUUAAUUUUGGUCUUAAAUUGUGUUAUUUAUAUGUAACUUAAUCUUUUUGAAUGAUCUAAUUUAGAAGGAAUUGCAAAGAAAAUGAAGGAAGGUCUCUUGGAGCUAAAAGGAUUUCAAAAGCAAAGGAAAAUUCAUGGCCUGCGAGAUUUCGCAGCCCAAAGGAAGCCUCUGCGAAAAUGGCCCUUGGUUACGAAAUGAUUUCGCAGCCCCAAGAAGAGCGCUGCGAAAUGAGGUAUCCGUUGCGAAAACGCCCCUUGGCUGCGAAAUGAUUUCGUAGCCCCAAGCCCCCACUCUGCGAAAAUUUUCGCAGCUGCGAAACACGCCUUUGGCACACGAGUGCCAUUUCGCAGGCCCCCACUUUAUUUCGCAGCUGCGAAAUAGGCUGCGAAAUCCCCAAGCUUUAAAACUCCAAUUUUCGCAACCCCAAGGAAGCCGCUGCGAAAUCAGGCCUCCGCUGCGAAAUAGCCCCUUGGCUGUGAAAUGAUUUCGCAGCCUCAUAGCUCCCUCUGCGAAACCACCUAUUAGCACACGAGUGCCAUUUCGCAACCUCCUACCCUCAUUUCGCAGCUGCAAAAUGGCUGCGAAAUCCUCAAAGCCUUAAAAACUCCAUUUUCGCAGCCAAAGCCCAAUUUCGCAGGGUGUUUCGCAGCUGCGAAACACCCCUUUGGCACACAAGUGCCAUUUCGCAGCACACCCCCCUCAUUUCGCAGCUACGAAAUGGGUUGCGAAAAUGCCUUUUGUUGCGAAAUCGGCCCUCCGCUGCGAAAUCGGCCCUCCUCUGCGAAAAUUAAAACGACCCUUGGCAUCCAUUUUAGAACUUUAUAAAUUCCACCUUUCUUUUUAAAACUGGUCAUUUGAAUUGCAAAAAGGUGCCAAAGAGGAGCCAAGCCAAAGUGAUUACUACCAAAAAGUGCUAUUUUGUAGACCUAAUUAUAAUGGUUUUAAGCACCUUUGAGUAGUAAUCAUAUUCAUUUAACCCAAUUAAUUCAUUAAGGUCCUUAGUAAUUGGUUUUAACCUUUUUGUGGCAAAGUUGACAUGUUUUUUAUCAGCUUAUGAAUCGAUUCAAGCAUGCCAAUUGAUGGAGGAGCUACUUGGGCGAGUUAAGCAAGGAUUUUGUACGUUUAUAGGCUUGAAUUUCAAGUGGAAACACGAGCACAAGCAAUGGGGAAGAGGAAAACAGAGUGAAGAAAACAGAGUGAAGAAAACAGCUGCAGUCUUCUUUUGAACUUUUGGAGCACUUCACGAAGUCCAUUUUUUGCAUGCUAUAUACCAUUUGAAAGCUUAGGAAGUCAAGAAUCCAACGCUUCAAACCGUGUAUGAUUUUGAGCUGAAAUGAGGAAUAUAUGGCCUUUGGAAGGCAACUGCAUCAUGUCAAAUGACCAAUUUCGCAAUGUGAAUUUCACAUUGCGAAAAUUUCGCAAGGAGAUUUUCUUCAUGGUGCGAAAUUUUGCCACUUCGCACCAUGAAGAAACACAUUGCGAAAAUUUCGCAAGGAGGAUUUAGGCACAUUGCGAAAUUCCUUUGAAUCCCCUGUUUUGAGACGUUGUUGAUGUUAUUCCACUAUCGGUUCUCCAAGAUAUUUUGCUUGAUUUUUAGCUUUGUAAAUACCUAUUUUACCCUUGUAAUCAACCAAUGAAUAGGUAUCUUUUGUAAUAGCUCUUGUAAUUUAGCUUGUUAUUGUCUUGAAAUAGAGGUGAAGAGCCUCAGACAAUCAUCUAAUCUUGUAACCUGUAACUUUAUAAGUUAUAAGAGCACUUUUGUUCAUACGUUUCUUUCUCAUUUUCUUAGUAGCCAAACAUCCUUGGGGGAUGAAAUCCCUAAGGAUGAGAGGCUAAAACCUUUUAGUUUCUUGAAGUAAUGGAUGCCAUGUGAAGCUCCCGUGUCAGGAUGGAGAUUUCCAAGCCAUAAAUGUAAGUAGCUGAGCGUCAUAAAUGUUUUCAUUCAAAGUAAAGCUUUUAAUCCCCCUGACUUGCUUUGAAUGGCCAAUACUUGAUAAUCUUUUGGUCUUAGUGGAUUCUUAUUGUUAGAUCCACUGACGUUCAUUAGUUAUCUCCUACGAGCCAUUGUAUUGCAAGUCGAGGAGAUGACCUAUAUCAUUAAAAGGGCAUUUAUGAGGUUCAGCUACCCUUUUUGUAAGUUUUCAAGGACUAAAACUCAGUUGUUAAACUCAUACCGGUUCGGGAAGUAAGCAUCACCUUAGUUGCUUCCCCAACUCGAGGUGAAAAAUCCCAAAAUCUCCAUUUUUACACAGUGAGUUAAGCAUGGCUAUCCAAAGCUUUGAGAAACUUCUUUUUCCAUCUUUUAACCUAUUUUCAUGUUAGUUUAAGUUUACAACACCUUCAUCUUUUUAUGUUUUCAUCUUAACCUAAUUUUUAUUAAGAAAAGUUCACUCCAUCCUCCGAACUUCACCAGUUAAAGUAAAAACCCUUCCCAGUGUUCGAUCCUAGAGCCACUAUGCUAUAGUAGCUUUGCUACUUUAGUGUAAGGACCUUAGGUAUAAAUUUUGUUGAUACCCUUACAUGCCAAGCUACCAAGAGUCGGGUUAUCACAAAGAAACCGUCCAUUUGCUCCCCCAUCUGAGCCCAAGCCGCGCGCACCUUCGGCUGCUUUCCGUCAGUCAGCCAUGGCAAGAACCCAAGGAGUUAAGUCCUCGUCUCUGUCAGACCGCAAGAGAGCCCCAAAAGAGACCCCUGUUCAAAGCUCCAUGUCCGAGCCUCCGCGACCACUAGUCGUCCCACCUCCGGUUGAGGACACACCAUUGAGUCCUCCGGCAAGGAGCUAUCAGACAAGGUCAAGUAGCCAUCCCCCAAAGAAGAAAGCCACGGUAUCAGAGCCAGAGCUAAUUGACUUAUUAGAGCCGUCUUCAGAGCCUCCAUCAAAGCCGCAACCAUCUCAACCGCCACCCACACAGUCUCAGAUUCCCUCAUGCAUGACUCCUGAGGUGCUUAUCAGGCGUCCCAUGGUCACUCAGAUGCCCAUUGAGGGUAAUUUGGAUUGCAGGGCUAGGUCAUUCCACUCCGAGCUCUGUUUUGACACAGCCACUUUCAGACUUCAGCCAAAGCUCAGGGACUCCUUCCAUCUACUGCAGAGGUACCAUAUGGAGCAUUUGCUGACUCCCAGGGAUUUUUUCUAUCCCCGUGUAGCAAUGGACUUCUAUUAGUCCAUGACCACACACCAGGUCCGAGAUCCUACUGUUAUCCACUUCACCAUAGACGGACGUCAUGGUAUUCUGGGAGCUAGACACAUAGCAGAGGCAUUGCGUAUUCCCUACGAGCCAGCCCGUCCAGAGGAUUAUCGAGUCUGGACUCAUCCUGCCCAGAGCGACAUAGUUCAUAUUAUGUCUAGAGGAGCAUCCACACGCCAGUAUCUGUUGAGGAAGGAGCUCCCUCCUAGCAUGUUUUUCAUAGAUGCACUCCUGCGCCAUAACAUUUUUUCACUUCAGCAUUGGGUACAGAGGAGAGGAGUUUUACUAGAGGCAUUGUUCAGGAUAUCCGAGAGAUUCUUCUUUGGCCCUCAUCAUCUCAUUAUGGUCGCUCUUCUGUACUUUGAAGAGAAGGUCCAUAGCAAGAAGCUGCUCAGAGCGGAUGCAAUUCCACUUCUUUUCCCCAGAUUGCUAUGUCAAAUUUUGGAGCACUUGAGGUACCCAUCAGAGCCUCAGCUUGAGCGCAAAUGCAUUUUCCGAGAGAUAUUCACUCUCGACAAAUGGACGAGUAUGACAGCCUAUAGUGCAGAGCAGGGAGCCCCAGCUGGAGCAGAGCAUCUAGAUAUUCCACAUCCAGAGCAGCCAGAGGAGCCACAGCCGGUUGAGAUACCAGCUGACAUGAGAGCACCUGCCCCUAUAAUGCCUUCUACAGAGCCUAUACCAGAGGUUGCACCCUCUGCUCCUCCUGCCACACCACGGACUCCCCCUGUUAUUCCAGCUACAUCAGAGCCCUCUUCUUCAUCUGAGCCUAGGAUUGCCAUAUCCAUUUCCGAGUACAGAGGUCUAUGUCACACUUUGCAAACAUUGACCACUUCUCAUAGCAUCCUUGCUCAGGAGAUGACAGCUCUUCGUGCUCAUCAGGAGCAGAUUAUCGCCACUCAGACUCAGCAUACUGCCAUCCUGACGCAGAUUCAGCAUCAUCUGGGUAUUCCAUCAGCUCCUGAGCACCCCAUGCCUGUCCUCUCAGAGCCCACAGAGCCAUCACAGGCCCCUCCUUUCGUGGAGCACACUAUGCCCUCUGAGGAGCCGACUACAGGAGAUGCAAAGACAUCCACCUGAGCCAUCAUCUUCCCAUCAUCAUCCUCUCACUAUCUGAUCAUUUGCAUAAUUUCCUUUAUGUAUUUCCUUUAUGUAUUUCCUUUAUGUAUUUCCUUACUAUAGUAGCACUUGUAAUCCCAUGCUUUUGAUAAUUUAUAUAUUGGGAUUGGUUGUAUUACUUGUUUUCCUUUAUAUUGUACUUUCAUGAAGUAAUACAAAUCUAUCAAUUUUUUAGCACUCUUAGCAUUAUUUUAUUUUAAUUCCUCUACUCAUAUCUUUUGUUCUUUUUGAAACAUGUGGUUUCUCCUAUUCCACUCGAACUUCAUAUCACUCAGGAGGCACCACUUCCUCCCUGUAAUUUCAAUCGCUCAUGCCACAUUGAGGACAAUGUUCAACUUGGUUAGGGAAAGAGUUGAGGAAGGAAGUUUUUUGUUGUUAAUACUAAGUAUUUUGGUAAUUUAGUUUAUUUUUGUUUAAUUUUAAUUUUUUUUUAAGUUUUUAUUCUACUCUCCAUGGUUAUUAAGGAAAAAUUCUCAAAUUAAAAUAAGAGAAAUCGAAUUUUUGUUUUUACUUGACUUAGAUUUUGUAUUAUGCUUAUUAAAGAUGAUGAAUUGUUGAAACUUCUAUUGAAUUCAACCUUAGUUCUUCCACUUUAAGCUAUUCACACACUGUGCACAAUAGGUUCCGAUUAUAAGAUGAAAAACUAUUUCCCUCUUGACUUAGUAAAAUUUAGACUUGGUACCUUUGACCUCAUUUUAAUAGUGUUGGGACACCUUAUGAAAGGCCAAUGAGCUUUUGAAAAAAACAGAAAGAAAGAAAAAUGUUUGCUUGCCUUGAAACCCGAGCAAGGUCUGAGGGGUAUAUGGUGAAAAUCUUUAAAACCUGGUGCCCUAAGCCUUCAUUGGUUGGGAGUCACCGACCUCAAUGCUCGUUACAAGGGUGAAUAGGUGGAGUUAAACAUAUUGUAGGUGCUUGGGUAUUAAAAUUCAUUCUCAAAAGUCCAGGGUAAAAUCCGAGGAGUUAGUGGUUGAAAGAUCCUUAAAGCUUGAUGCCCUAAACCUUAAUUGGUUGGGAGUCAUCGAUGGACCCCCGUUACAUGGACAAUUUAGAAAAGAAUACCUUUAAGCCUUGUACUCCUACAAUGAAAAAAAAAUUGUGAAAUAAAAGGGUGCGUUCUUAGCCUAUUGAAUUUGGUCAGUUUGCUAAGUGUUGGAAAAGAACUAGGUUGGAGGGAGAGAUUAGUUUAGCAUACUAUAUUCGGAAGCUAUCAAGUAACACUUAGAUUUUUGUGGAAGAGUAAGGUUUGGUCCUUUGAAAGUGGAAAUGAUUUUAAAGCUUCAAUUUGCAUAAUACCUUCUCUUUAUGAAUUGUGAUUAGGUAAAGUAUUUGAUAACUCUUGCUGAAAUUUGAGUUUUAUAUCUUUAAUUUCCCAUGUGAGAGCUUGAUCAUCAUGCCACUUAAAAUUUUUUGAAGUGAUCAGCAUGAUUUUGUAAAGUAUAUUACUGUUUAGUUUAUUUUUUUCUCUCCUUUAUUGCUAAGGGACUAGCAAUAUGUCGGUUGGGGGGAGUGAUUACUACUCAAAAAGUGCUAUUUGAUAGCUUGUAAUUAACUCUUUUAAACACUUUUGAGUAUUAGUUAUUACCUUUUAACUCAAUUAGCUUAUUAAGUACCUUUGCAAUCGUUUCUAAUCAAAGUGUGUAAGUUUUGGUGCUUUUGAUAGUAAUUUGAUCACCAAAGCAAUCCAAGAUUAAGGAGAGCUCUAUGGAAUCCUUGGCAAAGCAAUUGGAAGCUCAUUUACAUGAAGAAUUCAAGCUUUGGAGCUUUAUAGUCCUUUACCAUAAACAAAUCAUGAAUGCAAGGAUGAAAGCAAAGAGAGAAAUCUAACAUGAAGAAUCCAAGAAGACAUCAAUUGUUUGACACUUUUGGAGCACUUUCUGGAGUCCAUUUUAUGCAUACUAUAUUUCUUUUUGAAGCUCGGGAAGUCAUCAAUCCAAUGCUUCAAAUGCUGCGCGAAUCGGAGUUGAAAUGAAGAAGUUAGAGCCAUUGGAAGCCGAUCACACCAAGCUGAAGGCCAAUUUCGCAGGUUGCGAAAAGCUGCGAAAUGAUUUCGCAGCCAUCUCGUGCGUCUGCGAAAUUUUGCAGCCAUCUUGUGCGCCUGCGAAAUGCUCCUAAAUGCUUCCAGAUAUUUGCGACCGACAUUUUUAGAUAUUUUUACUUCAGAUUUUUGAUGUCUAAAUCCCCAUUUUCUCCUUGUAAUCCACCAAUUAUAGGAUUCCUUAGUUAUUAAGUAAGAGAAAAGGGUGAAUAACCUCAUAUAUAUUGUUUUGUAAUUUUCAUUACAAAGAUAUCUCGGGAGCUUGUUCUUAGAGACGAACAUCUUUUUGUAUAGUUUUGAAGGAAGUAAAAUACAGAGCUUUGCUCUGCCUUACCUACUCAAUUUGAUUGUAUUUUUCUUACUAGCCAAACAAGCUCUAAGGAUGUUUCCUCAUAGAAUGGGUGGCUAGGAUUUUUGUCUCUUGGAGCUAAGGUAGCUGGGUAAGGUGUCGAAUGCAAGAAUUGGUAGUUUUGUUGUUUUAGUUGUUAAUGAAGAGAAAGUGUAACCCGUUUAUGGUUUCUAUGUUUUUAGUUAACUUAAAACGCCUUCAAUUCACCUAGGCCAACACUUGGUAAGGCAAGUGAUCUCCGUCCAUUGAGAUGCACUAGUUUACCUCUUGCGAGCCUUUGGGAGGUGACUUGAAGGUAGGAUUUUCUAGAAUUGCCAACACUUGGUAAGCUUUUAGACUCUAAGUAGACAUCCAUUAGUUAUCUCUUGCGAGCUUGAGAAGGGAAGUCCAAGGUUAAUGAUCACCUUGAAUGGCAAAUGCUAGGUGAGAGGCACGAGCCAUUGCAAGAUACAUCAGUGAGAGGGAAUUAGUGCUGAAAUCCAUGGAAGGGAUAUAUCUGUACAACACCGGUUGGAGAAUGAACUAUAUGUUAAUUCUCCAAUGCGAGGAAGAGAACCAAAGUGACCGAAACUCUGUUUUUGCAUGAGGAGCCUGACCCCAGUGAUCCUAAAACUCCAAGAAACGCUUUUCUUUAUAAGUAAUUCCCAUUUCUUUCUUUUUCGUUAGCUUGAAACCAAACCUUUUUCAACCAAAGUUUAUGUUUUCUUUUGAAGCUAACCUUGAAAUGAAAAAGCACCAAUUCAACUUUGAAUUGGUAUCAGUUGUAAGUUGAAAACCCUUCCCAGUGAACGAUCUUAGAGCCACUAUGUUAUACUAGCUUAUGCUAUCUUAGUGCAUGGUGAUAUAGGUUAUAAAUUUUGUUGAUUACUCUUGUCUGAGGACCAAACUCAAGGUACACCAACUGGGCAUGAAUCAAUGGGUAAGCAAAUAAAGAGAACUCAAUAAAAAAAGGUGGUAUAAGUUUCAAGGUUAUAUUAGUUGCAAAAGGGUACGCAUAACAUAAAUAUAUUCAUGAUAAUAAAGUGUUUUAUCCUAUUGUUAAUCAUUCUUCUAUUAGAUUAUUGUUUGCUCUUAUUGCUCAAUAUGAUUUGGAGUUGUCUUAGUUAGAUGUUAAAAUUGAUUUUCUCCAUGGUGAUUUAGAUGAAGAGACAUCUAUGUCUUAACUGGAAAGGUUUUAAAGAACCAAGAAAGAAUAAUUUGUUUGUAAAAUUAAACAAAUCAUUAUAUCAUUUGAAGCAAUCCCCAUGGCAAUGGUACAAGACAUUUGAUCAAUUUAUAAUAGGAAGAAUUACAUUAGAAGUAAAGUUGAUCAUUAUGUUUAUUUUAGUAAAUUAUCUUAUGAAAAUUAUAUUUCUUUGUUAAUAUAUGUCGAUGAUAUGUUGAUUGCUUGUAAGCCUCUGAUAGUCAUUCAUAGGUUAAAAAAUUAGUUGAGAACUAAAUUUGAAACUAAGGAUCUUAGAAUGCAUGAAAAAUUAUUGGAAUGGAGAUGACAAGGGAUAGAAGAAAGGGGAUUGAUGAAUUGUCACAACAACAAUGUUUGUAGACAUUACUUUAGCAUUGUGGUAGGACUUCCAAAAUAAAAAGUGUACUCCUUUGGCACCUCAUAUGAAACUCAAUGUAGAGAUGUCUCAUAACUUAGAUGAAGAAGUAGAGUACAUAUGCAUAAUGUUCCAUAUGCUAGUGUCGUUCGAAGUUUGAUGCAUACCAUGGUUUAUAGUAGACUUGAUAUUCCACUUGUUGUCAUCAUGGUUAGCAGGUAUAUGCAUAAUCCAAUGGCUCUAGCAAACAGUAAAAUAAAUUUCAAGAUAUAUUCUAUGCACAACUGAUGUUGGAAUAGUAUUUCAACAAGGAUGUUCAACACAAGAUAUGGGUUAUGCAUAUUUAGACUAUACAACUAAGCCUUGUAAGUGUACGUCUAUUAUAGGUUCUGUAUUUACACUUGUAGGUAGACCUAUUUGCUAGAGAUCAACAUCUAUUGUGGCUUUGUCUGCUACAGAGCUAGAAUAUAUGAUAAUUAUAAAAGCUUUCAAGGAAGCUAUUUGGUUACAUGGUUUGGUUAAGGACUUGGGAAUCAAACAUGUCACAUCAUAACUUAUUGUGGUAGUUAAAGUGUCAUUCAUUUGGAAAAGAAUCAAAUUCAUCACUCCCAAACAAAGCAUAUUGAUGUUUGAUUUUAUUUUAUUAAAGAAAUUCUAUAAGGUGAUAUCUUUCUUCAAAAGAUUGCUACUAUAGAUAAUCUAGCUUAUAUGUUGACAAAGAUAGUUUAUGGGAUCAAGUUCAAUCAUUGUGUAGACUUAAUCCAUAUUGAGAGGAUAUGAGUAUCCUCAAGUGCAUUUGGCUACAAGAUCCUUAAAAGAAUUUGUGUAGCGUUCAAUCUUGGCAAGGUGGAGAUUGUUAAAUUGGCUUCACUUGAGUUAAUCAACCAAAUAUUGCAAGAGAAUUUUGAAGCCUUAAUAGUUAAACCAUAUAUUGUUUUUUUAGGUGAUGGUUGAAGAAUAAAGUCUAUAGUUACAAUGCAUGUAGUUGGUUUGAAAAGUUUCUUGAGGAACAUAGGAUAUAAUUGAUGUUCUCUACAUUGGUUUUUCUUUUUUCUUUUUUCAAUUUUGAAAUUCCAGAGAAAACUAUCUUACAAAGGAGAAAAUACCACACUUAGGACAAAGAGUACUUUGUAAUUAUUCUAUACUCUUUUGAGAUCUUUAGUGAAUGAUCUUACUAUAGGCAAAAACCUUAAAGUUUUACAACGUUAUGAUGUAGUAUUUCCAAUAAUAUAUGCACUUCAUUUUCAAAACCUUUCAAGUAUGUUGCCUCAUCUCUUUCUUGUCCAUGGAGUUUUUUCGAGGCUACCACAUUGCCUAUACAUAAUUAAGCCUUUAAACACUACCAUAGCCUUCGAUACCUAUGUAAUUUUUGAUAUUGAAAUCUUCUGUUGCCUUGAUGAUGUCUUCAUAAGCAAUCUUACCAUCAUAGUUCCAUGCCAAAAAUAUAUAUCCUUAUGGAUGUUACUUUGGUUUGAUUUUUUCUUAUCUUCAAUGAAAGUGGGAGGGCCAUAAAAGAAAGAAACAAAGUGGUAAAAAUAAUAAUAAUAAUGAUGAGUAUGAUUUUAUGUCCCUUCUUAGAAUGAGGCAAGUCUUCUAUGUCCACACAUAAACCUUUAUUGUGGUCAAAUACUGUAAAUAGAUGUUCAAACUGCAUUAGAUUCUUCAAAUCCCCAAUUUCAAAAGAGCUAGCAUCGUUGAUUUGAUUGUAACAAAGAUAAAAAUGAGUCAAAUCAGUAGAUGCCCCAAAGAUGAAGGAAUAACACCAAUAAGGGAGUUAUGACUAAAAGACAAUUCCAAGAAUUCUAGGUUGGUAAAAUAUCCAAGUGAGGAAGGGAUGACUCUGGAAAAAGAGUUAGAACCCAAAUCCAAGUGAAUCAGAUUCAUUAAAUUCCCAAUCUAGUAAGGAAUAAAACCAUGGAUUUCAUUGUAGCUUAGGCUUAAAUAUUUAAGCAAGUAAACAAUAAUAGCACAAAAUAAACAAGAAAAUAAUAACAUAAUUAUUUCCUCAUGGGCUUUAAGGAUCUUAUUGCACAAUUAGUAAUAAUUUGGAUAAAAUCCAAAUAACGAAUAUUACCAAAAAUACCUAUAACCAAAAAUAUGAUUAUAAAAUAAAAAGAAACCUUAAAAAUGAUGGGAAAAACUUGAAUCUCUCCAUUUUCCGAGCCUAGAUCAGGCUAGGAACAUGCUUAACUAUCCUAAGCUUUUCUAAAUCCCAUGCAUAGUGAAAAAAUUGCAUCUUUAAAACUUAAUAUGGAUUUAAUAAGUGCUAACGAAAACAUAAUUUGGAUUCAAAUGUUCUUAAAUCCAAUCCACAUAGUGAAUAUAAAGAAGGAAUUCAUAGAAGUCUCAUAAACUCAAAGUCUUCCAUUCGAUGACUUGAACCUUGAACUUAACACACUUCAGGUGGGAAUGUAAGAUAGGGUAAAGGCUAUGGCUCUCUCUCUCUCUAGAGGUGAAAGACAACUCUCUCAAAAAAACAAUGGAAACCCUAACCCUUAAGGGGUAUUUAUAGGGUUUCCCACUAGGCUUAAGUAACUUAAGCCCAUUAAAGGCUUGGGUCACUUAGUCUAGAAAAAAACAAGUCCUAAUUGAUUAAUUAACCUAAUAAGGCCAAUUAAUUAAUUAAUUAGUUCAAUUUAGAGAACUUGUUCACUUGCCUUGUGCAACCUUACGUAAUUACCAAAAUGUCCUUAUGCAUAAAAGUGAACCUAAAGUUAAUCCAACCUUUAUUACCCAUGCCAACAAGGUAUAUGAGCGUAGAAUAGGGACCAAUGGGACACAUAAAAGUAAUGACACCCUUAAAAUCCAAUUUUGAAGUUGAUUCAACAUCCCACUACAGAGAAUCAACUGAACUCCAAUAUCCUAUGUGAAUAACAACAAGACACCAUGUGCUUGAAUCUGUGACCUGUUAUCCAUUACGUUCAGUCUCCCCAUAAACUUGUGUCCAUAGUCUAAUAAGGUGAAAGCUAUCAGUCUUUCAAGACUACCUUUGCUAUCCUUGAGUUAUAGAUCCUUCUAUUUUGUUUUCAAUUAACAUAUCUUAGCUUUCCAAGAGCUAAUGUCAAGUUCCACUUAAAGAACUACUAUGACCAUAGUUUCCAUGAACAUACCUCCAUAGGAUUAGCCAAGGGGACACUCUAUCUCAAUCCCAUAAGAUAUCAUGGUGCCUCUAUUGAGAAUACCUAUUGCUACUAAUUUCCAUCAAUAGUGACCCAAUCCAUAAGGAAUAUAUAAUCAGCUUACGAUAUCACCUAUAGGUCAAAGUCAUUGCUAACUUGAACAUAAGCUCAACAUUCUCUCAAGAUUGAGGGACAAUACAAUGAAGCAGCUUGGUGAAGUCAUGACUACAUGAUAGCCUUACAUCAUAACUCAUCGUAGGUCUUGUCCAAUGUGCAACCAUACACACUAAUGCACUCACCAUGGGAAACCUAUCCUAAUGGCCAAGACCAGUCAUCCCUCCAAUUAGGAGGUAGUGCACUAUAACCUCUAAUGGGUUGCCUAAGCCUAUGAACUAGCUGUGAACAAGUCAUCCAUUUGCAAGGAACCCAUGACUUAGAUCUUGAAUGCAACUCCUAAUGCACCUAAGUCACAUAUAAUGGAAAAAAUGCAUGCCAAAGUGCUUACAAGAUAUAAUGCAUAGAAAUAGGAUAACUAAAAGUAAACUAAAACUUUAUUAAAUAAAUAAUAGAAAUUCACAUGUUUAUUACAUCAUGUCAUGUUUUUAAAGGCUCUAUCCUAACAAAAAAAAAUACCUUAAAAAUGUCAAAUAGCAAUCAUUUGCACUUUAGCGUCCCAAGGGUCGUUGGAAGGACUACUCAAUCACUUAAGCAUUGAGGCCACUUGAGUGCUAAUCUAAGUGCUUAAGCACUACAUCCUACACAUGAGGUUGUUUCUAUAACUAUUUUAACCAUCGUUUCUAUGAAAGCCUCAUCAUUUUGGAUGACUUUUUGCACCAUGGAUGCUCGUGAAUGCUUGGAAUCUUUAAUCUUCAAGUUUUGGGUCACCAAAGACGGAUAAAAUUUUGAUUUUUACAUUAAGAAAAAUCUUAUGCUUCGUUAGAUGGAGUGUACAGUCCAUCUAAGAACAAAAGACUUGAUAUUUACUUAUAAAAUCAAAAUUUUAUGCUCCUAACCACAAAGUUUCCAACCUAGUCUAUACAAAGAACAAAUCCAAACACUUAAUCACAAUUAUAAACAUCAUAUUCAUAAAAAUAACAUCCAUGCAUUCAUCCCUUUAGGUCAUGGGAUGAACAAACAUGCCUACAAAACCAAGUAAGCACACCUUAGAAUGGAUCUAAUAAGCUUUUUUGUAACCUAGGGCUUUGAUACCAAUUGUUGGGAAAACCUGGAUUGCUCCAUUAUCAUGUCUUGGAUCGUUAGUGUGCAUGAAAACCUAUUCUAGGCUCUCUAAAUCUAUCAUACAAUAGAAACAUUGCAAUUGAAACCAAAAAGAAUACCAUAGAUUUAGAGAUUAGUGCCAUACAUGUUAUUUAGAUAUUCCUAGAUUGAUUCCUAUCAUUGUAGAAAGCUCCAAAAUUGAAGAAAAUUUAUAAACAUCAUGAUUUUCCACCCAAUGACUUCUCCUUGAGUGUAGGUGCUAAGAUGGUGGAGAUCUCAAGGGUUGGAGGCUAGGUUUCUCUCUCUAGACUAUAAGGAGAGAAUGGUAAGAUUGAACUUCACUAGAAACCCUAAUCCCCUAAAGGAGUAUUUAUGGGCUUCUUACUAGGCUCAAGUGACUUAAGCCCACUAUGGACUUGCGUAAGUUAAUUUAGCCUAAAAGGGUGCUAAUUGAUUAAUUAACCCUAUAGAGCUCCAAUUAAUCCAUUAGUCUAAUCCAGAGAUAUUGCAUACUUAUCCUUAUGCAACCUUGCAUGAUUACCAAAGAGUCAUAAUAUUCAUAAGUGAACUAAAAACUCAUCCAACCCUCAUAAACUGUGUCAUCAAAGAAUAUGAGCUCAAGUGAGGACCAUUAGGACCCAUAGGAUAGAACUAGCUCUCUCAGAAUCCAAUUCUAAAGUUGACUCAAUAUCCCACUAUAGAGAGUCAAUUGCACUCCAAUACCCCAGGUAUAUUACAACGAGACACUAAGUACUUGGGUACGUGAGUCUCUUCAUGAACUGGUUAUUGAUAGUCUAACAAGAUGAAAGCUAUUAGCUUUUGAAGACUACCUUUACAAUCCUUAAGUUACAGAUCCUCAUCUUAUUAUGUGAACAAAUGACAUACUCUAGCUUACUAAGAGCAUGUGUCGAAUUCCACUAAAGGAAUUACUACAAGCCCAUAAACUUCAUGAUCACGUGUCCUUAAGAUCACCUAAGUGGACAUACUAUCUCAAAGUCCAUGAGCUAUCAUGGUGUCUAUAUUGAGAAUACCUGUUACUACUGGUUUCCAUCAACAGUGACCCAAUCCAUAGGGAAUAUAUGAUCAGCUUACGAUCUCAACCAUAAGUCAAAGCCACUACUAGUUUCUACACAAAAUCAAUAUCCUCUCAAGGUGAGAGACUAUAUAGUAUAGCAACUUAGUGAUGUCAUGACUCCUUGAUAACCUUAUGUCAUGACUCAUCGUAGGUCUUGUCCAAUGUGUAACUAUACGCACUAGUGCACUUUUCAUGGGAAACUCAUCCUGACAACCAAGACUAGCCAUUUCUCUAAUUAGGAGGUGGUGAAAUACAACCCCAAAUGGAUUGCCUAAGUCCACAAACCGAUUGUGAACAAAUUAUCUACUUGCAAGGAACUCAUGACUUGUAUCUUAUGUGCAAUUGCUAAUGCACCUAAGUCAUGUACAAUGCAAGGCAAGAGAUGCUAAGCCAAAGUGGUCAUAGAGAAUAAUCCAUGGAAUAAGUAUAGAUAAGAGUGAACUUGGAAUAUCAUCAUGAAUUUCAAAUUUGUUAUACCAUCUCAUGCUUUUAAGGAUUCUAUCCUAACACUGUGUACCUUGAGUAUAUAGUUUUCUUUAAAUUUUAAAAUAUAUUGUUGCUUUCUUAUUAAAAAAUCAUUUAAAAAAACCUCAUUUGACCCUUUGUAUAUUGUUUUUCUAUACUUGAAUGAUAGAAAUGGUGAUUUAGGUUUGGCUUUCUAGCUUAUAUGACUUUUAUGGUAAAUGCUUCAAAGCAUAUUCAUGAUACUAUCUUGCUAAUGUUGAGGAUGACGUAGCAUAACUUCAAGAAGGUAUUUGCAAAGUAGAAUGUACAAUUUCUAGAUUAAAUUUUUUAGAAAUGUUUAUAAAGUUUAGAUUUGAAGAUUACUAUGGCUUAUUUUUAAUAAAAUAGAAUUUGUAGAUAUCCUAUUAUGUUAUUGCUUAAUACAAAAACAAAAAAACAAAAAGAAAAAAAAACAAAAACAAAAAAACAAAAACAAAAACAAAAACAAAAACAAAAAGAAACACAAAAAAAACACAAAAAAAAAAACAAAAAAAAGGGUUUAAUUUUGAUGUCUUCUACAAGAUGCAUUCACUUUUAUAUUAUUUAAAUAACAUUUUCCAAUAUGUUGUCAAAUAUAUGUUUUCUUAUAUUAAUUUCUUCCAAUAUUUUACUUAGGAAUAAAAAUGGAAUAUUGCAAUUAUUUUUAAUGUUGCAAUUAUUUUUCCUACACACACACAUAUAUAGAGCCUAUCUAAAAAGGGAUUGAUUAGGGUUUAAGCUUUUUCUUUGCACAAAUUUGAUCAUGAAUGAUACUUACAAUGAAUCAACUUAAUUAAUAUAAACAUCUCAUACUAAUUUAAUCAUAUAUAAUUUACUAUAAAAUAUUUCUAAUUCUUUCUUAAUUCAAACUAAAAAUUUAAUUCUUUUAAUCAAAACUUUUUGUUUUAAAAAUGAGUAAUACAAAAGGUUGACGAAAAAAUUAAAAAAAAAAUGUAGAAGAAUAAUAAAUUUAUGAUACAUGAAAUGUGUAUAUAUCUCAACUUAGAAUUAUUAUAUCCUAUAUUAAAAGGAUGUAUAAAGGGAUUGGAUCAAUAAAUUAUCUUAUUGAAUGUUUGAUUAAAUAUGAUAUAUGAUAAUUAAAGGAUGAGAUCAUUUAUCCUAUCCCAUAGCUAACCAAACAUGGGAUAGGAUAUGUUAUCUCAUCUCUUAUCUCAUCUAAUAUUAUGUAUAUUAAAUCAACUAAAUACAACCUUACUUUAGAAGGUAAUUCAAUUGAGAUGUGGGGAUGUGGACUACUAUUACUUUUAAAAGAAAUAUAGAAGUGAUAUAGACUAUUGAUAAGUUGAGUGGAUUAUGGGGGGGAUACGUUGAGUGGGUUCAAUUUGACAUCCACCUAUCUAAAUAUAUUAAUAGAUCAUCUUGGAUUAUGAAAAUUAUGAAGUUGAAAAACAAUAUGGAGCACACACUGGUAAUAUAAAAACAAAUCAAAAUUGGUAUCAUCAUUGCAUGCUAGUUACCUAAUUAUAUUUGUUGAAUAUUUAGUUGCCAAAGUGAAAUCUCAUGAAAAGAUUCAAGAAAUGGUGAUUGAGUAAGAAGCUUCGAUGAGAUGUGUUGUUGGACGAGAUCUCGGAUUAGCAUGUAUGCAUUUCAGUGCCAACCAAACCACAAGAACUACAUCUUUAACAACUUGUUAGUCUUGAGGAGAUGGGAGAUGUGAAUCUAAUAUAUUAGUGAGCAUUAUGUUUUGAGCUGAUGAGGAAGACAGUAAGGUGAAAAGUUCUCCUGGAUGUUUUCCCAUCAUUGUCUCAAGUGCAACUACUCCAAAGCUAUAAACAUCACAUUUUUCUGUCACAAUCAUAGUAUAGGCAAGCUAUGCUAAGAAUCAAAAUAAGAAAUAAAUAUUGCACAAAUGAGAAAGUUACAUUCAUUUGAUUUUCUCGUAUUAGCCAUAACUAUAAAAUGUUAAUAAUGUUUCAUAGCAUUCCAUUGACAUUUGGCUACAUUUUAUUUCUAGGAUUGUGAUGAAAUUAAGUUAAUUUUUACAACUUAUAUGAAAUCUUUGAAAAACCAUUCUAAGGAGUUUUUAAAAAUGUUUAGGUAUUAUUAGGAAAAUGAAGACAACCAUUUGGAGAAUGCUUGAGAGACCAUUGAUAAGUAUUUUCUAUAUAAAGUUGUCUAGCUCUCUAAUAUCCUAAACCUUUUUUUUUAUAACUUUUUAAAAUAACUAUUAAGAGUUUUCUUUUUCUUUUCUUUUUUUUGGGAAUUUUAGAAUAAAUAAAUAAAUAAAAAGAGAAAAAUAUGUUAAAGAUAUUUCAACUUCUAUGAGGGCCCUUUGGGCAUAUAGCAAAUAAUAUUUACACAGUUGGAAGCACAUCAUUAUAAAUAAUAUAAAGUUUGUUUGGCUCUGUAAUCCCAUUGGACACAAAAAGGAUGUUAUGCCUGCAUAAGGGAUGAGUGUGAUAUCUCACAAUAGAUAUUAAAACAAACAGUUCUAAAACUACAUAUGAACGAGUUCUUCUUAACCUUGUAAAUGCAUUUUGAAGUCGUGUGAACCCUUAAGCCUAGACUAAACAAUAUCUACGCGGUUUGGAGAUAAUAUCUAGUUUGCAUGAAAAAAUAAAGAAAAAUAAUGUAUUAAAUAUUUUAAAGAAUAUAUUUACUUUUGAGCUCUUCAUAAUUUUGAAAUAAGUAAUAAUAUUAGAAGUUUUGUUUGGCUUGUAAAAAUAUUUCCUUUCCGUUCAUCCAAUAUAAUAUAUCACUUCUAUGAAGUACAUAAUGAGAGGUAUAAAAGUACUAAAUACAUCAAAUCUCAAAGAUACCAUACUAAAACGAAAAUAGCUAGAAGUUCAAAAGAUAUAUCCGAAAAGUAAAAGUUGAAAGAAAUAUUAGUGUGUACUUACCUGGUGCUAUGUAACAGUGUCUGCAAAAAGUGUUUGGUUUGAUGAAUCAAGAUGUAGCAGUCUAGCAGUGCCAAAAUCCAAUAGAAAAGCGUCUAGUUUAAAAUCCAAAAGAAUAUUGUUGCUUGAUAUGUCCCUAUGAAUAAUGGAGGGAGUACAGUCAUGAUGCAUGUAGCAUAAGGCAUGGACUAUGCUUUUGACCACAUUCACCCUUUUAAUCCAAUCCAAUUCCAAAGCUUCAACUUCAUUGCUCAAUACACAAAAUAAGCUUCCUCUUUCCAUGUACUUUUAAAUCAAAAACAUGCAUUUUUUUUGCAGACAAUAGUCGUGAAGUUUUAUAAUAUUCUGAUGUUGUAUUUUUGACAAUAUCUGCACCUCGUUUUGAAAACUUUUCAAGUAUGUUGCAUCAUCUAUUUCCUAUCCAUGAAACUUUUUCAGGGCUACCACAUUGCCUGUAGGCAAUUGAGCCCUAUAAACAUUGCCAUAGCCUUUGGUGCCUAUGCAAUAUUUGAUAUCAAAAUCCUUUGUUGCUUCAAUGAUGUCUUCAUAAGCAAUCCUACCAUCAUAGUUCCACAUUGAAAAUAUAUCUCCAUUUUUUGUCGAUGUUGUCUUGGUUUGAUUUUGUCUCGUAUUCUGUAAAAACAAGAGAAACCCAAACGUCGCAAAAAGAAAUAAGAUGGUAGAUAUAGCAAUAACAAUGAUGCAUAUAAUUUUAUGUCCUCUUCUACAAUGUGUCCAACCUUUGAUUUCACCACAUAAACCUUUUUUGUGGCUAAACACCUUAGGGUGAUGUUCCAACUGUAAUUCAAUGGGUAUAUGACCCUCCAAAUCAUUGUACGACAAAUCAAUUGAUGACCACCUAUAUAUUGGAAGAGUAGGAAUGCGACCUAAGAGGUUAUUGUGGGAGAGAUUCAAGUUUUGGAGCUGGGAAGGUAUCUUUCCAUUGAUCAAAUGCAAAUAUCAAAGUUGCGGGUGUUUGAAUAUAUAUUCUCGUUAUGGCAAGCUGAAGCGUGAAUUUCAUUGAGUCUAUGGACCUACUGCUGCCCCUAUGCUGGACCAAAACGCACAGCCAUUAGUGACAUUCCUUGUUUGGCGACUCAUUUAAAAGAUGAUUAAAAUUGGGUCAAAGCUAGACACUGACAGCUAUGCAAGAAUGUUGGGUUUCUUGAUUUUGGUGCCUUUGGCUCUCGUCCGUUCUGGUUGGCGGGUCUAUUCUCAGUCAAUUUUCACGUCAAUACAGUGCUUGAUUCGAUGAGAGUUUUUCUUUUUCUUCUUCUUCUUUCGAUAUUGCGUUCGAGGUCAAAGAAGUCACAGCUUCGAUUCCUCUAUCUGAAACCAAAUGGACCUAAUAUCAAUGUCCCCAAAAUUGGUGCUGCUGGUCUAAUCAGAAAAGAUUCAUUAUCCUUGUUCCGCUGUUUGGAGGAUGUUGAGCCGCUUAUCUAUGGUUCUUUUGAUGAACUUGGUGAUUUUGUGAACUCUGGGUUUGAUCUGUAUGGCGAUGAUCUAGAACGCGAAAUUCUUUUUUGAAGUGCUCCGACGCAUUAGUAGUAUCAGCCGACAACUGGGCAAAACCGCUUCAGCACUGUUUUAUGAAUCUCUUAUUGGUGCAUCAAUUAUUUCACCUGAAGAAGUUGUUCCUCGCAGUUUCUCCACCCCCUCAAACUGUCAGAGACCGAAGAUGCCACGUGUUUCUGGACCAUCAGAAGCUCCUCAAAAUUCAGAGGUGGCUGAAAAUGUUACUUCAUCACCUCUAACACCAAUUUCUUUAUCAAACAUCCAGCCGGUAUCAACUUCUUCUGUCAAUGAUACUAGUCAACACUUGGAGAGAAAAGUUUCGUUGGAAUUCCUGAUAAAACUUCUGGUACAAUCAAAGAGCAACUUGCAUCAGUCACACCACUAAUAGAAGAUCUAAAAUCGAAGUUUGGUGGAUGUUCCGGGUAUUUGGGCAUGAGAGAAUCUGGAUGUUGAUGGGCAAUGCAUUAGUCAACCUCCUUACUUUUCAUCUGGAUAUCUUCAGCAACCUGUUCCUUAUGGGACAGAAGCCGUACCGUGUUAUUCAUGAUUUGACUUACAUUGGAGAUGCUACAAAUGGAACCAUGCAUGUAUAGUCAUUCAUCCCUACCCGUGCCAUUACUCACCUCCAUUAACCUAAACCUCCCUUCAUACCCACUGCUCGUUUCCCAUUGAUUUAAUUCCUACCCUACCCUAUCCUACAUGCAGGACCAUCCUCCAUAAUACCCAUGUACAUACCCAUUUUCCAUACCCAUUAAAUCAUCUAUCUCUCCCCCAUCUCACUACAUUUUUUUUUUUAUCUUUUUACACUCUCAUCAUCCACUUCCCUCACUAUUUUCCAUCACCCGUCUAUCCCUCAUUUCCUACCCGUUUGGCUUCAUUACCUACGUCCUCAAUACCCACCUCAUCCUUCAUAACCCUCCACACCUAUACCCAUCCUUCAUGCCAUGCCCAUCAUCACCCUCUUCAGUGAGCUCCACCAUCUUAAUUCAGAGGAAACAGUUUGGACAGAUGGGUCACUUCCAGUACAUAGCUUCAUGAGCAUUAUAAAAAGAAAGUUCUCCGUAGAUGAGUCCGGAUCAGAUUUGAAGAACACUAUCAGUAUAUCCUAUCAAAAUGACGCUGCUAUUGCUCACAGUAUUGACAGGGAUACGAUCAGUGGCGAUGAGAAGAACGUGUUACAAAUGCAGGGGAACCAUCCAAAUGAAAGACGGCAGCCUUGCCAAGACCAGUGGAAGUGCCUACAUUAGUGAUCGUGUUGAAUUUGUUGAGAUUAGCAAGAGCAGUAUGUGCAGAGGUAGCACAAGCAGUGACGUGAGCGAGGCUUCGGUUCUAGAGGAUGCCUAUGCUGCAUGAGAAAUAGACUGCGUUGCAGUGAAGCACAACUGAGAGUGUGGUACAAGCCAAUUCAGACUUCAAGUCCCAAGACAUUGACCUCGAGAUGACCGGUGGCGCCAGCGCUUCUCGGAGAGAAUCAUUCGAGUUUAAUCUGUUUGAUGUUCAGUAUUUCAAGGUUAUGGACUCAGCGGAGCAGUUCGUUGUUGUCCAGUUCGGUGUUUGUCUCUUUCUAUGGGACAGUUAUAGACAUUGCUUCGCAGCUCAUCCGCAUAAUUUUUGCGCAUUUCCUCGGUAGGAGCUUCCAGUUGAUGACCCCUUCAUAUGAGUUCCUCUGCCAGAGAACAAGAGAAUGAAAUGCUGAUGUCUGAAUUCUGAAUGUGACGAAAUGCUGAGAUGCCUGAAUUCUGAAUGUGAUGAUGAGAUGUCACUGUUGUGGCAUAACAUGAAAGAAGUUAAAUACAUUCCAUUAGUUAGUAUGGCAGAUGUUUUCUUCAGCAAAAGAAUGAAGGCACGGCACCCGAUGAGGAUAAUAGGCGAAUAAUCUACUGCUGCUUUACAGGAAAUGGUUGGCAUUUUUGAAUCAAGGGAAUGUGAUCAUCACGGCCUUUUCAAAAGUGGUGGGCCUUGUGUUUUAGGCCACCGAUAUUCUGUCAAAAGAUGGAAUCCAUGUUGAAGAGUUUGCGCUCAUUUAAGCCCUUGGGCCUCUCUCCUAUACAUAUCCAUGCCUGUCCAUCUCCCUAAACCCUUUUCAUGGCCCAUACAGAAAGCUCACAUGAUUCAGUUGAAGAUGGGCUAUUGGUACAGUGAACACAUGCAACAAUCUGAGAUUCACACCUAAGUGGUCAUCAUUCCCCAUCUCUUCCACUUAUGCAUGAAUUUUAUAGCAACUUUUAGGCCGCAUGUCUUUCUGCCAUUGCUCCAUCUUUGACUUUGGAAAAUAAUUGCCUCAUUUCCCAUUUUGUGAAUGUUUUUUUUUUUUAAAUUCCAAUUUUCAAAUAAUCCCAACUUUCCCCUCCUUCAUCCUUAGACUGUUUAGGUUUCAAAAUUCCUUUCAUUUUUAAUAAAAUUUUGCUGCCACUUUUCUUCCUGGUAAGCCAUUUUCACAUCUUUUCUGUUUUUUAAAAUGUUUUUUUAAAUAAGCAAUAAUCAAAUUUUGUAAUUCCAAGUGAUGGAAUCCAUGAAAUUGAUUCAUGCAAAAAUAAAAUAGGCAUUGGUGGGGGCCCAACAUCAAAUAAAUUUUCGUUAAAAUGAAAAUGAAUUUUGAAUGAAGUGUCGUGCGUACUAUUAGUGGAUUUUCAUCUGGUUCGAUGAUAUGAGUGACAUAUUUUGUAUUCAUUACUAUGCACUAACCUCAUUUCUUGAUAGUGCUUUAUGGAUCACUGCCCUAGUACGCAUCCAUUCCACUUUGGUCAUUUUCUAUGCAUGAACUGAUUCUCAUAUGUGCACGAUCGAUUUGAGUAUUCAUUGUUUUCCUUAUUAGAUGUCAUGAUUACUUCAUUUCAUUAGUAGAGACCCGACUUUAGGGGCUUAAAGGGGUGCUACGAUCUUUACCGUACCUUCCCGAUAAGUAACCUGACCCUCGAACCCGAUCCGAUUUUUCACGGACCACCUUUUUCAAACAAAGAGUCACACUUAGGGUUUUCUUUUUUAUUUUGUUUACCCUUUAAAAAUAAAACAAAAAUAAGUGGCAACUUCAAGUCAUUUUCUAAUAAAUAAAAUCAUUUUUUCAAAUAAAAAUCAAGCUCGCCAUCGAGUGGAAGCGCAUGAGCCGAAAUGCGGGGCCCACAGGUAUAUAUAUUUAAUUCCACCUUUUUUUGUAAUUAAAUUUUUCUCUACUUGUCAUAUAAUCACCAAAUAUUUUUUAUUUUCUAUUUUAUAAUAAUAGUGAUAAAAUUAAAAUCACUAAUAUGUUUAGCAUUGAUAUAAAUUAAAAAAAUAUUCUAUGACAAUAAAAGUCAAAAGAUUGCAUUUUUACUAUUUGGUUGUCAUCCACCUUACAUGAUUAGUUUGUUUAAGACUUUAUUUGAUUUUUCUUCCAAGCAAAGAAUGUCAACCAAGUCUUCUUAUGUCCACUUCUUAGACCACCCACUGUUUUCUAGUCAUGCUUCUAAUUAACUUGGAAAUUUCCCCGAUUUGAAAGCUUGAAAGCCCAGAUUUGAUCAUAUAUGUAUGGAUGAAGAUAUAACAUUAAAUAUUUUAAAAUUUUAUUAAAAAAUAUACAUAUGAAUCACCCUAAUUAAUACUGCCACAUUCUUCCCAUUCAAUAAACAAUAAUAGCAUAAAAUAAAUAAAGGAAUAAGAACAUAAAUAUUUCCCCAUGGCCGUUAGGGAUCUUGUUGCAUAAUGGUAAUAAUUUGGAUAAAAUCCAAGUAACUAAUAUUACCAAAAAAUCUUGCAACCAAAAAUAGGGUUAUAAAAUUUAAAAAAAAAAUACCCCCAAAACGUCAAAUAGGCAUCAUUUGCGCUUGAAUGUUCGAAAGGCUGCUGGAAGGACUACUCGAUCAAUUAAGCCGCUCAAACACUAACAUGGUCGUUUGAGCGGUGAGGCCACGCAAGCACUAAUCUAAGUGCUCAAGCACCACAUCCUACACUUGUGCAUACAAGGUUGUUUCUACCACCGUUUCUCCGAAAGUGUCACCUUUUCAGAUGCCUUUUUGCACAAUGGAUGCUUGUGAAUGCUUGGAAUCUUCAAUCUUUGCUUUUGGGUCACCAAAGAUGGAUAAAAAUCUGAUUUUUACAUUAAGAAAAAUCUUAUGCUCCAUCAAACGAAGUGUACGAUCUAUCUAAAAACAAAAAAAAAAAUUAUUUUUACAUGUAAAAUAAAAAUCCUAUGCUCCUAACCAUGAAGCUUACAACCCAAUCUGUACAAAGAACAAAUCCAAACAUUCAAUCACAAUUAUAAACAUCAUAUUCAUAAAAAUAACAUCCAUAUAUUCAUCCCUUUGGGUAAUAGGAUGAAUAAACAUAUUUGCAAAACCAAGUAAGCACACCCUAAAAUGAAUCUAACAAGCUUUUCCCUAACCUAGGGCUCUAAUACCAAUUAUUGGGAAAACCUGGAUUGCUCCAUUCUCAUGCCUUAGAUUGUUCGAACGCAUGAAAACCUAUUCUAGGCUCUCUAGAUCUAUCAUACAACGGAAACAUGGCAAUUGAAACAAAAAAUAAUACCAUAGAUUUAGAGAUUAGUGUCAUACUUGUGAUUUGGAUGUUCUUGGUCAAUUCUUAUCAUUGUAGAAAUCUCUAAAACUGAAGAAGAUCUCGUGAACACCAUGAUCUUCCACCUAAUGAUAACUUCUCCUUGAGUCUAGGUGCAAAGAUAGUGAGAUCUCAAGGGUUGGAGGUUAGGGUUCUCUUAUUGACUGUAGUGAGAGAAUGGCAAGACAAAACUUCACUAGAAACCAUAACCGCUAAAGGAUUAUUUAUAGGCUCCUUACUAGGCUUAAAUGACUUAAAUGACUUAUGCUCACAAUGGGCUUAGGUCAGUACUGAAUCUAGCCCAAAAAGGGCACUAAUUGAUUAAUUAACCUUAUAGGCCUCCAAUUAAUCAAUUAGCCCAGUCUAGAGAUAUUGCUCACUUACCCCUAUGCAACCUUAUAUAAUUACCAAAAUGCCCUUAUGCAUAUAAGUGAACUAACAACUCAUUCAACCCUUAUAAACUAUGUCAUCAAAGGAUAUCAUGAGCUCAAGCAAGGACCACUGAACCCAUAAGACAAUAUUGUCUCUCUUAGAAUCCAUUUUUGAAGUUGACUCAACAUCCCACUAGAGAGAGUCAACUACACUCCAGUGCCCUAUAUUUAUUACAAUGAGAUACCAAGUGUUCGGGUCUGUAACCUACUAUCCACUGUAUAUAAUCUCCUUUUGAACCAGUCGUCGAUAGUCUAACAAGCUGAAAGUUAUCAACCUUUCAAGAUUACCUCCACAAUCCUUGAGUUACAGAUCUUUUCAUUAUGUAAUCAAAUGACAUACUCUAGCUCACUAAGAGCAUAUGUUGAAUUCUACAAAAGGAAUUACUAUGGGCAUAUAAAUUUCAUGAUCACACAUCCUUAGGAUCACCUAAAGGAACACACUAUCUUAAAGUCCAUGAGAUAUCGUGGUGGCUAUAUUGAGAAUAACUCUUGCUAUUAGCUUCCGUCAAUAGUGGCCAAAUCCAUAGGGAAUAUAUAUGAUCAACUUAAGAUCUCACCCAUAGGUCGAAGUCAUUGUUAACUUUUGCACAAGUUCAAUAUUCUCUCAAGGUUGAAAGACAAUAUAGUAUAAUAACUUGGUGAUGUCAUAACUACUUGAUAGUCUAUAUCAUGACUCACUAUAGGUCCUAUCCAAUGUGUACACAUUAGUGCACUCUUCAUGGGAACCUCAUCCUGACAACUAAAACUAUUUAUCCCUCCAAUUAGGAGGUGGUGCACUACAAUCUCAAAUGGAUUGAGUAAGUCCACAAACCAACUAUGGACAAAUCAUUUAUUUGUAAGGAACCCAUGACUUAGAUCUUUUAUGCAAUUGUUAAUACACUCAAGUCAUGUACAAUGUAAGAAAUGGUAAGCUAGAAUGUUCAUAGAGAAUAAUGCAUGGAAUAAGGAUAGAUAAAAAUGAACCUAGAAUAUCAUCAAAUAAAUAAUGAAUUUCAAAUCUGUUACAUCAUGUCAUGCUUUUAAAGGCUCUAUCCUAACAAUGUGUUCAUUGGUAUAUAGUUCACUUUAAAUUCUAUAAGAUACUAUUGAAUGCUUAUCAUCAAAUUACAAAAGGACCCAUUCAGCCUUUUUUAUAUUGUUUUUCUAUACUUGAAUGAUAAAAAUGGUGAUUUAGGUUUAACUUUCUUGCUUACAUGUACUUUUACAAUAAAUGCUUCAAAACAUAUUCAUGAUACUAUCAUGUUAAUCUCAAGGAUGAGGUAACAGAACUUCAAGAAGGUAUUUGCGAAGAAGAAUGUACAAUUUCUAGAUUAAAUUUUGUUUAAAAUGUUUAUAAAGUUUGGAUUUAAAUAUUAUUGUGGAUUAUUAUUAAUAAAAUAGAAUUUAUUAGAUAUCCUAUCAUGUAAUCUCUUUAUUUAAAAAAAAAUGUUUAAUUUUGAUUCAUUCUGCAAUAUGCUUUCACUUCUAUACUGUCUAAUUAACAUUUUCUAAUAUGUUGUCAUAUAUAUGUUUUCUAAUAUUAAUUUCUUCCAAUAUUUUACUUAGGAAUGAAAAUGGAAUAUUGCAACAACAACAUUCAAUUUGAACUAAAUUUAAUGUUUCAAUUAUUUUUCCUACACACACACACACAUAUAUAGGGACCAAAAAAGGACUAAUUGGGGUUAAGCUUUUUCUUUGCACAAAUUUGAUCAUGAAUGAUAGUUACAAUGAAUCAAUUUAAUUAGUAUAAACAUAUUCUACUAAUUUAGUCAUGUAUAGUUUACUAUAAAAUAUUUCUAAUUCUUUCUUGUUUCAAACUAAAAAUUUAAUUUUUUUUAAUCAAAAGCUUUUGUUUUAAAACUGAGUAAUACAAAAGAUAGAUAAAAAAAUUGAAAAAAAAAAUGUAGAAGAAGAAUAAAUUUAUGAUACAUGAGAUAUUUAUAUAUCUCAGCUUAGAAUUAUUAUAUCCUAUGUAAAAAUGAUAUAUCAAGAGAUUGGAUUGAUAAAUUAUCUUAUUAAAUGUUUGAUUGAACAUGAGAUAUGAUAAUUAAAGGAUAAGAUCAUUUACCUUACCCCAAAGCUAACCAAACAUGGGAUAUGAUAUGUUAUCUCAUAUCUUAUCUCAUCCAAUAUUAUGUAUAUCAAAUCAAUUAAAUAUAGCCUUACUUUAGUAGGUAAUUCACUUGAGAUGUGGGGGAUGUGAACUACUAUUACUUUUAAAAGAAAUAUAGAAGUGAUAUGGACUAUUGAUAAGUACCAUGUGGGGGAUAAGCUGAGUGGAUUCAAUUUAACAUCCACCUAUCUAAAUAUAUUAAUAGAUCAUCUUGUCUUAUAAAAAUUAUGAAGUUGAAAAACAAUAUGGAACACAUAUUGGUAAUAUCAAAGCAAAUCAAAAUUGGUAUCAUCAUUGGAUGCCAGUUACCUAAUUAUAUUUCUUGAAUAUUUAGUUGCCAAAGUGAAAUCCCAUGAAAAGGUUCAAGAAAUGGUGAUUGAAUAAGAAGCUUCGAUGAGAUGUGUUGCAUCGUUGGACGAGAUCUUGGAUUAGAAUGUAUGCAUUUAAGUGCCAACCACACAACAAGAACUACAUCUCUAGCAACUUGUCGAUCUUGAGGAGAUGGUAGACGUGAAUCUAAUAUGUCGGUGAGCAUUAUGUUUUGAGCUGAUGAGGAAGACAAUAAGGUGAAAAGUUCUCUCGGAUGCCUUCCCAUCAUUGUCUCAAGCGCUACCACUCCAAAGCUGUAAACAUCACAUUUUUCCGUCACAGCCAUAGUGUAGGCAAGCUCUGUUAAGAAUCAAAACAAGAAAUAAAUAUUGCACAAAUGAGAAAGUAACAUUCAUUUAAUUUUUUUUCAUAUUAGCUAUACCUAUAAAAUGUUGAGAAUGUUUCAUAGCAUUGCAUUCACAUUUGGCUACAUUUUAUUUCUAGAUUAUGAUGAAAUUAAGUUAAUUUUUACAACUUAUAUGAAACCUUUGAAAAACUAUUCUAAAGAGUUUUUAAAAAUGUUUGGGACUUAUUGGGAGAAUGAAGACAUCUAUUUGGAGAAUGCUUGAGAGACCAUUGAUAAGUAUUUUGUAUCUAAAGUUCUCUUACUCUCUAAUAUCUCAAAUCAUUUUUUUACAACAUUUUUUAAAUAACUAUUAUGAGUUUCCUUUUUUUUUUUUUCUGUUUGUUUGGAACUUUAGAAGAAAUAACCAAUAUAUAUAUAUAUAUAUUAAGUCCCUUUGAGCCCAUAACAGAUAAUAUCUACACGAUCAGGAGCAGGUUAUUACAAAUGGUAUUAGGGCUUAUCUGUAACCAUAGUAUGGAAGUUUGUUUGGCUCCACAAUCUUAUGGGAUAAGUGUGAUAUCCCACGAUAGAUAUGGAAAAAAAAAAAAAAUUCUAACAUUAUUUAUAAAUCAACUUCCCUUAACCUUAUAGACAUAUUUUAAAUUCAUGUAGGCUCCUUGGACCCAAAGUGAAAAAUAUUUACACAGUUGAGAGUUAUUAUCUAGUUUGCAUGAAAAAUAUAAAGAAAAAUAAUAUAUUAAAAAUUUAGAAGAAUUUAUUUACUUUCAAGCUCUUCAUAAUUUUGAAAUAAGUAAUAAUAGUAAAAAAAGUUUUGUUUGGUUGGCAAUAAUAUUUCCUUUCCCUUCAUCCAAUAGAAUUUGUGACUACUAUGAAGUAUAUAAUAAGAGGUGUAAAAGUUCUAAAUAUAUUGAAUCUCGAAGAUACCAAACUUAUUAAAACGAAAACAACCAAAAGUUCAAAAGACAUAUCGGAAGAGUAAAAGCUGAAAGAAAAACUGGUUUGUACUUACCUGGUGCUAUGUAACCAUAAGUGCCUGCAAGAAGAGUUUGAUUGGAUGAAUCAGGAUGUAGCAGUCUAGCAGUGCCAAAAUCAGAUAGAAAAGCGUCCAGUUUAAAGUCCAAAAGAAUAUUGUUACUUGAUACAUCCCUAUGAAUAAUGGGUGGAGUAGAGUCAUGAUGCAUGUAACAUAAAGCAUGGACUAUGCUUUUGAUUACAUUCACCCUUUUAAUCCAAUCCAAUUCCAAAGCUUCAACUUCAUUGCUCAAUACACAGUAUAAGCUUCCUCUUUCCAUGUACUUGUAAAUCAAAAACAUGCAUCUUUUGUGCAGACAAUAGCCGUGAAGUUUUAUGAUAUUCCGAUGUUGUAUUUUUGACAAAACCUGCACCUCAUUUUGAAAACUUUUCAAGUAUGUUGCCUCAUCUCUUUCCCAUCCAUGAAGCUUUUUCAAGGCUACCACAUUACCUGUAGGCAAUUGAGCCUUGUAAACACUGCCAUAACCUCCAGUACCUAUGCAAUAUUUGAUAUCGAAAUCUUCUGUUGCUUCAAUGAUAUCUUCAUAAGCAAUCUUACCAUCAUAGUUCCACACUGAAAAUAUAUCUCCAUUUUUUGUCGAAGUUGCCUUGGUUUGAUUUCUUCUUGUCUUCCGUGAAAGCAAGAGAAUCCCAAGGGCCACAAAAGAAAGAAACAAGAUGGUAGAUAAAGAAAUGAUGAGAAUAGUUUUGUGUCCUCUUUUGCAAUGAGGCAAGCCUUCCCUUUCACCACAUAAACCUUUAUUGUGGCCAAAAACCCUUGGUGGAUAUACAAACUGCAAUUCAUGGGGUAUAUGACCCUCAAAAUCAUUGUGUGAAAAAUCAAUGGAUGACCCUUUGUGGAUAUAUAUAGAAAGAGGAGGAAUGUGACCCGAGAGUUUAUUGUGGGAGAGGUUCAAGCUUUCUAAACUCUUCAAAUUUUGGAGCUGGGAAGGUAUCUUUCCAUCGAUCAAGUUAUCACUAAGGUCGAGGCUAGUCAGAUUAUUCAAAUUUCCUAUCUUAGAAGGAAUGUGACCUCUGAUUCGAUUUCUACGAAUGUUGAACACAUUUAAAUGAAUGAGAUAGCCCAAAGAAGGAAUAACACCGGUAAGGUUGUUGUGAUCCAAUCUGAGAUGAAUUAAAUUCUUCAGAUUCCAAAUUACAGGAGGGAUGGAACCAUUGAUUUGAUUAUAACGAAGAUACAAAUGAGUCAAAUUGGUAAGAUUACCAAAUGACAAGGGGAUGAGACCCUGGAUUUGAUUGUCGAUGAGAUGGAAAUAAGUCAAAUUGAUAAGAUUACCCAAAGAUGAAGGAAUAGUACCAAGAAGGGCAUUAUGACUCAAGGACAAUUGAACCAAAUUUUUUAAAUUCCCAAUUUCAGAAGGGAUGGAACCGUUGAUUCGAUUGAAAUUAAGGUACAAGUAUUCCAGGUUGGUUAAACUUCCAAGAGAGGAAGGAAUGACACUGGAAAGAGAGUUAGAACCCAAAUCCAAAUGAAUCAGAUUCUUCAAAUAUCCAAUAGAGGAAGGGAUGGCACCAGAGAGGUAAUAGUUAUAACUCAAAUCCAAAUGAAUUAGAUUCUUUAAAUUCCCAAUUUCAGAAGGGAUGGAACCGUUGAUUCGAUUGAAAUUAAGGGAUAAGUAUACCAGGUUGGUUAAAUUUCCAAGAGAGGAAGGAAUGACACCAUAGAGGUCAGAGUUAUGACUCAAAUCCAAAUGAAUAAGAUUCUUCAAAUAUCCAAGAGAGGAAGGGAUGGCACCAUAGAGGCUAUAGCAAUGACUCAAAUCCAAAUGAAUAAGAUUCUUCAAAUAUCCAAGAGAGGAAGGGAUGGCACCAGAGAGGUAAUAGUUAUAACUCAAAUCCAAAUGAAUUAGAUUCUUUAAAUUCCCAAUUUCAGAAGGGAUGGAACCGUUGAUUCGAUUGAAAUUAAGGGAUAAGUAUACUAAUAGAGUGAGGUUACCCAGUGAAACAGGUAGCUCACCAUCAAGUCCACAAUCAGAGAUACUGAGGUAAGUGAGUUUUGUAAGCGUACCUAUCUCAUCUGGGAUGCGACCAUAGAUGGAAGAAUAACUAAGGUUGAGAUGGAGGAGGCUGGGAAAUGAAGAAACUUCAACUGGCUAAGCAUACACCGUGG